rnacentral:lncRNA from 1 species
CCGGAUUGAAGAUUGCCGGCAAAUGUAGAGGUUUACCUCUAGCAGCAAAUGUGAUUGGAAGAGUUUUACGAGGAAAGAAAAUAGGAGAGUGGGACUCAAUCCUACGGAUUGGGCUUUCAAAUCUUGAAGCGGGUGAAAAGGGCAUCUUGCAAGUCCUAAAGGUGGGAAAAUACUUAUCAAUGUGCACCACCUCGGCGGGUGGGCCAUCACACACCCACAAAGUGUGUGGGUCAUCCAUCGAGGUGGCACCUUGAGGUUGGGAUGGUGCGACCGUCCCACCCAAGCCUAAAGGUGAGCGCCUAGUGUCUUUGUCAAUGAAAGGAUUUGGUCAUAAAUAGAGAAGAUUUAGUCCAGCUCUGAAUGGUGGAAGGAUUUCUUCCGAAUAAUCAAGAAAGUGAGAUGGAGGUUGUAUGGAUUGAAAAUUUUUAUAUUUAAAUGAUAAAUUUUCUCAAAAUUUUUAUAAAAAAGAUAUUUGCGUCGUUGCAAAUAUUUCCCAAUUUAUGUACGAAAUCAAUAAGUAAAAGGGAAGAAAUGAUACAAACGAUGUAAUUGUGGAGGUUCGAUCCCAACCAAUAAUCUACAUCCUCCGUUAUCAUGCUCUUCGGCACGAGCAAUGCCUUUUCACUAUAUUGAUUGACUUAUAGUACAAUCCAACUCUUUACAACACUUUCGAUAACUUACAAACAAGGACCAUCGAUCCUUAUACAAUAUUGAGCUUUACAAGACCUCAAUAUGACCUAAAAAUUUAAAAAGUAAUGAUUUAACAAUUUGAAACUUUUCUCUUAAUAAGUAUUAUCACAAAUUAAGUACAAGAGAGAAAUAGGUUAACACUUAAAUAAAUAGCAAUGAAUGAGGCUCAAGUGUUAGAUGAGAAAACUUUGAUGAAAAAGAUGAUUUUCAAAAUUUGAUUCAAUCAAUCAAAAGUUUUCAAGAAAAUGUUUGAAGAAUAAGAUGUAAGCUCAAAGAAUUUUGCUCAAAUAUUUCACUUUAAUGCUCUUUAAGAAUGUUAUGAUGAAUGCAAGAAAUAUGGGGUAUUUAUAGAGUUCAAAACGUCAAAAAAUUUGUAAGUGCGGGUGACUCAUGCGGUCGACCGCCUUUUAUUCGGAUGACCAAUAUAUCCGUUUUUUCAAUAAAAAUUAGAGAUCAGAACGGUCAAAUUUUGAACUAUUGGAAAAUUUCGGUUGACCUCCUCUUCUCGCCGGUCAAUUGCCUCUUCCGAUCGGUCAACGAGCAAUUUCGAUAAAUUUAUGUUUUGACCUCGUUUGAUCUGAUUUGAAGAUUUUGAAAGGUAUGGAUAUUUGGAAAAUAUUUUCAACUAACUUUCAUGAUAAAAGAUAUUUUUCAAGUCAAAUAUCAUUUUAAAAGUCAUUUUUAUAUUUGAUCAAAUCAUUGCAUUAGAAUGACUUUUAAUGCAAAAUAAUAAUAAUAAUAAUAAUAAUAAUAAUAAUAAUAAUAAUAAUAAUAAAUAAAUAAAUAAAUAAAUAAAUAAAUAAAAUUCAAUUUUGAUGCCUAGAGAGAUUUUUGAGGAGCUUAAGCGUUCAUUGCCAAAUAUUAAAGUGUUAGUAUCUUUACAUUUUAUCUAAGAAAUCAAGUCUUUGAUCUUGCUUCGAAGUUUGGCUCUUAAAUUUUUGAAUGUGUGAUUUCGAACUUGACCUCCAUCAUGAGUACGAUUUGUGAUCAUAGCUUUUGUAGCGACCCGAAAAAAAAAAUAUUUUGUGUCAUUUUAAAAUAAAUUUUUUUUGUACUACUCGAAAGUAAUUUGAGUUAUAUUAUUACGUCCUGCGACCAUUCCUAAGAGUUUAAAUUAAAGUUUUGGUCACGAUAGUAAUGUUGCGUGCACUUGUUUUAAAAUUUUGUAAAGUGUUGAAAUCUCUUUUAAACGACAAAAUUUUAAUAUCAUUUGGUUAUACUAUUUUUUUUGACGACACACAUUAUGUUAAAUUGCUACCAUUUGGAUUUAGAGGUCAUGCACGUUCAACUCACAAACCCCACUUACUACCAUUUUGAUUUCCAUUUUGUUUGGUGCACGUUCACCCACAUUUACACACAUGAACUGCCUAUUUACAUCAAUUCUGUAAACUGCCAUGCCGAAUGUGUUCUACUCUAUGAGUAGAUUAAUAUGGUAUAUUUAUUUUCUCAAAACCAAUUUAGGGUGAAUGAGAAAUUAAGGUCAAAAGAUGCCCACUUGAUGUUGAAAUAAAAUAGGUGGAAAAUUGGAAAAUACCAAUCCCACAUAGGAAAACUAGAAGAAUAUAAACCACCUUAUAUAGCUCAAGUUUGGGACUUGGGUUUGGGCCUCAAGGGGUACCAAUAGUUUUUAAGGGGGAGAGAACCUACAUGCUAGUAGGUUAAGCCAAAGCCUACACGUAGAAUUUCAUAUCAAAGCAAUAUCAAGCAGUAACAGUAGCAUGCUUGUCGAUUGCAGCCUGCAAUUUUCCUUCCUUGCACCGACGACCCUACCACUUCUUUCCCAUCCUUGAGGAACAAGAAUGUUGGCAUGGCCUUCACGUUAAAUUCUUCAGCAGCAUCCCUUAGUUCAUCCACAUCCACCUUCAAGAAUAUAACAUGUGGAGUCUUCUUUGCAAUUUCAGCAAAAAUUGGGGCAAUAACUCGGCAGGCCCAGACCACAAAGCAGUGAAAUCGACCACCGCCAAUUCCGUGGUUUCGAUGCCCUUUCUGAAGUUCUCCUUCCACUGAUCAAUGGAGUGGCAGCUGAUAACCUGUCCUUCUUCUACCAUUUUUUUCCCUCACAAAAACCCAAAUUUUAAAUUGUGUGAAAAAUUGGAAAAUACCAAUCCCACAUAGGAAAACUAGAAGAAUAUAAACCACCUUAUAUAACUCAAGUUUGGGACUUGGGUUUGGGCCCCAAGGGGUACCAAUAGUCUUUGAGGGGGAGAGAACCUACAUGCUAGUAGGUUAAACCAAAGCCCAUACGCGCGCGUCGCCGUCGCCGUUGCCGUCCGUCCGACUGGCCGACACGGUCAUGGGUCGUGGGUCUUAGGCUUGGGCUUGGGCCAAGCUGAUAUAUAUUUUUUGGUAAAAUAACAUUUAAUUAUAUUAUUUUAUUAUUAUAAUAAUAAUAUAUUUUAUGUUAUUAAUUUUUUUUCUUCCCCAAAUUUUGACUGUCCAAAAUAGCGGUUGACUGUCCAAACUGUUUGUGUCUUUUGGACACAACUUUUCGGCAGUUAUGACUGUUGGGACACAACCUUUCAACAUCUAUAAAUAAGCCCCAUACCCCGAUUUUUAUUCAUUCCAAAAAUCAGAAUUGAUUUUCUACUCUCCCGAAAUUAUCCCUUUCUCCCUGUAUAAUUUCUGUUCUUAUAAUUCAGUCCUCGAAAAUUACUUUUCGUGCAUUUCACUCAUCCAGUGUGUGGAGAGAUCUAAACUUUACGGGUUCGUCGGGUCUUGUAAUUUUGAGUACUACUAUUACAAGACGAGGUCGUUGUAUCUUGGGAAACGAGUGCUGCAAUACCGUUAGUACCAGUGCGGGGCAUUAUCGUUUUAAGGAGAAAUAGUCGAACUCUUGCCUCGACCAUUCAAAACCAUUCAAACAUCGUUACUCUGCCCAAAUAUAAAUUACGGUAACACUAUUAUUUGCCAAUAUCUUAUUCAACAAUCUUAAAACGAUAAUGGCAAGUAGUAGUACGUCUGUUGUACCCCCUAGUACGUCUGUCGUACCCCCUAACAAUGCUCACGGGGAGAAAUCGAAAAAAUUCACGGGAGUGGAUUUUAAGAUAUGGCAACAGAAAAUGUUGUUCUAUCUCACGACUCUGAAUCUGGUCAAAAUCUUGAAAGAGGAUGCUCCAACUGUUGAGGAGAAGGAAACAGAUUCUCAAAAAUGAGCAGCAUUCGAUGCUUAGAGUCAUAGUGACUUCUUGUGUAGAAAUUACAUCCUCAAUUGCCUUGACAACACACUAUACAACGUAUAUUGUUUCGUCAAAACGGCUAAAUUAUUAUGGGAGUCAUUGGAAAAGAAGUACAAAACAGAAGAUGCCGGAUUGAAGAAAUUCGUUGUAGGCAAAUUCCUGGACUUCAAAAUGGUAGAUUCUAAAACAGUAAUGACUCAAGUCCAAGAGAUACAACUUAUCUUGCACGAUAUACAUGCAGAAGGCAUGAAGCUCUGUGAACCAUUUCAGGUAGCUGCAAUUAUUGAAAAAUUACCACCAAUGUAGAAAGAUUUCAAGAACUACCUGAAACAUAAACACAAGGAAAUGAGACUUGAAGAUUUGAUUGUUAGAUCAAGAAUUGAGGAAGACAAUCGAAAUGCUAAAAAGAAGUCUGGAAAGCAGCAAAUGGAGGCUAAAGUCAACUUGGUGGAGCCAAAUACUAGCAAGAAAAGGAAGCACCCAAAUAAUAGCAAGCAAAAGAGCAAGGCCAAGAAAUUUAAAGGAGAUUGCUAUAACUGCGGUAAGCCUGGUCAUAUUGCAAAGGACUGCCGGCAGAAAAAGCAAAACAAAAACGACCAAGUGCACUUGACUGAAAAAGACAGACUAUCUAACGGAGUGUUUGAACUAAUGCUCUCGACUGUUGUAUUUGAAGCAAACAUGGUGGAUAAUCCGAGAGAAUGGUUCAUUGAUACUGGCGCUACUCGUCACGUUUGUGCGGAUAAGGAGAUGUUUUCAUCUUACACUCCUAUCAAUGGACGACAACUCUUCAUGGGCAAUUCAGCAACAUCAAAAGUUAUUGGUCUAGGUAAAGUAGUGCUAAAGAUGACAUCAGGGAAAGAAGUAACACUCAUCAAUGUGCUGCAUGUUCCUGAUAUUCGAAAAAACUUGGUAUCCGGAGCUCUUUUAAGCAAGAAUGGGUUUAGGCUGGUAUUUGAAUCUGACAAUUUUGUACUCACCAAAAAUGCUAUGUUUGUAGGCAAAGGGUACUUAGCCAAUGGGCUAUUCAAAUUGAAUGUAAUGCCUGUACUCCGUGAUUUUGAUAUUAAUAAAAAUAAAUCUUCUACUUACUUGAUUGAGUCUUCUAACUUAUGGCAUGAUAGGUUAGAGCAUGUAAAUGUUAAUACAUUAUGAAGAUUAGUAAGUUUAGAUUUAUUGCUUUCAAUGUCCUUUGAUCAAAAUCAUCGAUGCGAAACAUGUGUAGAGGCUAAAUUAGCAAAAACACAGUUUCAUUCAGUUGAAAGGAACUCGAAUCCUCUAGAACUAAUUCACAGUGAUAUUUGUGAUUUGAAGUUUGUGCAAACUAGAGGAGGUAAAAAGUAUUUUAUUACUUUUAUAGAUGAUUGCACAAGGUAUUGUUAUAUCUUUUUGUUAAGGAGUAAAGACGAGGCUUUAGAAGUAUUUAAACAGUACAAGAAUGAGGUUGAGAAUCAACUAAGCAAACGAAUAAAAAUUGUUCGUAGUGAUAGAGGUGGGGAAUAUGGAGCACCGUUUGAUGAAUUUUGUUCAGAUUCUGGGAUUAUUCAUCAAACUACAGCUCCUUAUUCACCUCAAUCAAACGGUACCGCGGAACGCAAAAAUCGCAAUCUAAAAGAGAUGAUGAACGCUAUAUUGGUUAGUUCUGGUUUACCACAGAAUUUGUGGGGGGGGGGGAAGCAAUUCUCUCAGCUAACCACAUUCUAAAUAAAGUACCACACAAAGGUAGGAACGAAACUCCUUAUGAGAUAUGGAAAGGUCAUAAACCUUCGUACAAAUACUUAAAAGUGUAGGGGUGUUUGAUUAAGGUACAAAUACCAAAGCCUAAACAAAUUAAAAUAGGGCCUAAAACUAUUGAUUGCAUAUUCAUUGGAUAUGCUAAUAACAGUAGUGCUUAUCGGUUCCUCGUACAUAAGUCUGACAUUCCGGAUAUACAUGAAAAUACUAUCAUUGAAUCUAGGAAUGUUGUAUUUUUUGAGGACAAGUUUCCUUGUAAAAAUAGGAAAGAAAUAAGCCCGCAAAAAUGAACUUAUGAUUCUGCAAUUAGUAAUCGUCAAAGUGAUGAAGAACCAAGACGCAGCAAAAGAACCAAAACAUCUACAUCUUUUGGUCCAGAUUUUUUAACUUAUAUGUUAGAAAAUGAGCCCAGGACAUUCAAUGAAGCAAUGUCUAGUCCAGAAACUCCAUUCUGGGAAGAGGCUAUCAAUAGUGAAAUUGAUUCUAUUAUGCAGAAUCAUACCUGGUAAUUGGUAGAUCUCCCACCUGGUAAUAAACCAUUAGGUUGUAAAUGGAUUUUCAAAAGAAAAUUAAAGACUGAUGGAUCAGUUGAUAAAUACAAGGCCAGAUUGGUAGCUAAAGGAUUCAAACAAAGGGAAAGCCUUGAUUUUUUUGAUACAUACUCACCUGUGACAAGGAUAACAUCAAUUAGAGUAUUAAUUGCAAUUGCAGCAUUGCAUAAUUUGGAAAUCCAUCAGAUAGACGUCAAAACAGCUUUCUUAAAUGGAGAGCUAGAAGAAGAAAUUUACAUGGAACAACCCGAAGGGUUCAUCUCUCCUAGACAGGAGAAAAAGGGGUGUAGACUCGUCAAGUCAUUAUAUGGACUAAAACAAGCGCCAAAACAAUGGCAUGCAAAAUUUGACAAAACUAUGUUGUCAAAUGAUUUUAAGAUUAACGAAUGUGAUAAAUGUGUUAUAUUAAAACCACACCUAAUGCAUAUGUAAUUGUAUGUCUAUACAUUGAUGACAUGCUAAUUGUGGAUAGUAGUUAUGAUAUGAUAACAAAUACCAAGAAAAUGUUGACAAAACAUUUUGACAUGAAAGAUAUGGGUAUUGCAGAUGUAAUAUUAGAAAUUAAAAUUCUUAAAACAUCUGAGGGACUUGUAAUGUCUCAAUCUCACUCUACUGAGACUGUACUUAAAAGGUUUAAUAUGUAUAAUGAAAGUCCAGUUAAAACACCAGUAGAUUUAAGUCUACAUUUGGCCAAACAUAAAGGCGAACCCGUAUCUCAAUUAGAAUACUCUCGGAUAAUAGGCAGUCUAAUGUAUAUUACGAACUGCACUUGUCCCGAUAUUGCAUAUGUAGUAAACAAACUUAGUAGAUAUACAAGUAACCCAAAUAAUGACCAUUGGAAAGCACUGGUAAGGGUUCUAAGAUAUCUACAAUACACCUCAAAUGUUGGAUUACAUUAUACGAGAUAUCCAGCUGUAUUAGAAGGAUAUAGUGAUGCUAAUUGGAUAUCAGAUACAAAAUACUCAAAAUCCACUAGUGGGUAUAUUUUUACCAUUAGUGGUGCGGCUGUAUCUUGAAAAUCCUCUAAACAAACAUGUAUAGCUUGAUCCACAAUAGAAUCUGAAUUCAUAGCUUUAGAUAAAACUGGAGAGGAAGCAGAAUGGCUUCGAAAUUUUUUAGAAGAUAUUCCAUGUUGGCCUAAGCCUGUGCCUGCAAUUAGUAUACAUUGUGAUAGUCAGUCGGCUAUCGGUAGAGCACAAAGUAGUAUGUAUAAUGGUAAGUCUCGACAUAUACGUCGAAGACAUAAUACAGUUAAGCAGUUAAUCUCAAAUGGUAUUAUUUCCAUAGAUUAUGUAAAGUCUAGAGAAAAUAUGGCGGAUCCGCUUACCAAAGGCUUACCAAGAGAUCAAGUAUACUGCCUAUUAAGGAGAAUGAGCUUAAAGCUUACUGCAUAAGAAUCUUUGUAAUGGUAACCCAACCUUACUGACUGGAGAUCCCAAAAUCUUGGUUCAAUGGGACAACUAAGUUAUGAAGAUUCAAUAAGCACUUCGGAGUUAACUCCUACCCAUUCCUCUGAUAAGGAAGUGCAAUCUGCAAAAAGUUUUAGGUUAAGUUAUACUUUUAAUGAUUCCUAUAUCUUGGACUACCUAAGUGGAGUACGACAGGUACUCUUAAUAGGAGAUCACCUAUACAAGUGUGAAGUGUGGCCGCUUCUAUGAGAAUGUUUCAAAGGUUAGAAUUCUCUAAAGCACUUAUGAAAUCCAAGAGUUGUUCAGGGCCAAAAUGAACACAACAGUGAGAACUCGAAAAUGUUAGGAAGGUUAUUGUGUUGAUACUAUUGUCUUGAUUUACAAAAAUGGCUGACAGUUUAAGACACCGCGUUCACUGAUUAGUCAAGUAAAUCCGAUAGUAUUCUACUACAGAAGGUUCAAACCCAUAAGGUACCUAUCCAGAUGCGAUAACAUUCCGCCUGAUCUCUCUAUAGGGUCUGCAUAGUCUACUGCAUUAAUUUCUAUUCAUGUGGGGGAUUGUUGGAAAAAUUGGUUUUAAUUAGUUGGUUUGACCAACUUUUGACCAAUUAAUUUAGUGGGUCCCGUUAAUCGGAAAUAAGAUUUCUUUGGCUGAAUGUGUUCUACUCCAUGAGUAGAUUAAUGUGGUAUAUUUAUUUUCUCAAAACCAAUUUAGGGUGAAUGAGAAAUUAAGGCCAAAAGAUGCCCACUUGAUGUUGAAAUAAAAUAGGUGAGAAAUUGGAAAAUACCAAUCCCACAUAGGAAAACUAGAAGAAUAUAAACCACCUUAUAUAGCUUAAAUUUGGGACUUGGGUUUGGGCCCCAAGGGAUACCAAUAGUCUUUGAGGGGGAGAGAACCUACAUGCUAGUAGGUUAAGCUAAAGUCCACACGCACGCGCUGCCGAAGGUUAAGCUAAAGCCCACACGCACGCGCUGCCGCCGCCGUCCGUCCGACCGGCCGGCUCGGCACGGCACGAUCACUGUCGCGAGUCGUGGGUCUUGGGUUUGGGCCAAGCUGAUAUAUAUUUUUUGGUAAAAUAACAUUUAAUUAUAUUAUUUUAUUAUUAUAAUAAUAUAUUUUAUGUUAUUAAUUUUUUUCUUCCCCGAAUUUUCUAUGUGUGACACGUGGUACGGUGCUUCUAGAAUUUAGCGGGUUGUGGCGGUUGACUGUCCAAGUGGCGUUUGACUGUCCAAAGUGGUGGUUGACUGUCCAAGUGGCGUUUGACUGUCCAAAGUGGCGGUUGAAAACCAUUUGUGUCAUUUGGACACAACUUUUCGGCAGUUGUGUCUGUUGGGACACAACCUUUCAACAUCUAUAAAUAGGCCCCCAUACCUCGAUUUUUAUUCAUUCCAAAAAUCAGAAUUGAUUUUCUACUCUCUCGAAAUUAUCCCUUUCUCCCUGCAAAAUUUCUGUUCUUAUAAUUCAAUCCUCGAAAAUUACUUUUCGUGCAUUUCACUCAUCCAGUGUGUGGAGAGAUCUAAAUUUUACGGGUUCGUCGGGUCUUGUAAUUUGGAGUACUACUAUUACAAGACGAAGUUGUUGUAUCUUGGGAAACGAGUGCUGCAAUACCGUUAGUAACAGUGUGGGGCAUUAUCAUUUUAAGGAGAAAGAGUCGAACUCUUGCCUCGACCAUUCAAAACCAUCCAAACGUCGUUACUCUACCCAAAUAUAAAUUACAGUAACACUAUUAUUUGCCAAUAGCUUAUUCAACAUAAGCACUCCACGGAUACCUCAUUGAUCUGAUAAAAAAGAAUGUAUGAAAGAAAAAUUCCAGAAUCUAAUAUUACACGCUACAUGUAUAUGCUGCUUAAGGGUCUCUCCUAAGUUCAUGAGAUCGGGUCAACAAAGUCAUUCAACCCUUUGAUCCUGUAGAAAAGGAAGAUUUUAGUGAAAAUAAAUGAGUGGAUGAAUUUAGAAUGAUAUAUUUUUAUAUAUGCCUAUUUAGGUAAAUUUACAUAAAAUUAAAAAUGUAAUAUUAUUAUCAUUUUAAAGGUGGAUAUAUAUAUAAAAAUCGUGGAUGUAAAUAGCGCCACCCUAUUUUUUUUUGGCAUUAGGAUAAACCAUUUUUUUUCCCAAAAGAAGUCCAAUGCUGUUGAAAUUCCUCGUGCACACAUUUUUACUCACUCCAUCUUCAUAAUUUUAGUGUUCCAUUCCCAUUUUCCCUUGAUAACAUAGCAACAAGAAUAUAUACAUAUAGAUCAUACUGCGAGGAAGUAAAUCUCAAGUAAAAGGACAUGUUGCUCAUAACUUCACAUUUUUUUCAAAAGAGGUAGACUCAAACCCCAUUUUAUUUCAAUUCAUGUUAUAUUUCAGCAUGUAUAAAUGUGGUUAUAUGUUAUAGAUGACUCCUUAUGGGGUAUAGAAAUAAGUUGGUGGUGAAAUGGUACACCAAAAAUGUAAACUUGGUGGCGUAGUAGUGCACCAAAUGUUGGUAUGUCACCUGAUCAUCGGUAUGCUUGCUUAUUAAAAGUUUGAAUGACAUUAAUAUAUGCUUAAAGUAUAAUAUGUUUGGAUUUAACGUGUGUAUGAGUCUAUUGAGUGUUUCUAUGAAAUAUUAAUCCCACUAACAAUUUCAGAUUAAAGCGAUCAAUGACAGUGUGGAGGAGAGCGGUGUUGCUUUGAUGUGAACUCCAAAGGACAUCAUUUGAGUUAUGUUUUGUUCAAAUAAUAUUUAAAUUUGGAAUAUUUUAAGUUAGUAUUUCUUGAAAGCUUGAUGAUUGAAUUGUUGAUGAAAUUUUUUCAUGGUUGAUAGAAUAUUUUUAUGGUGGUUUAUUUAGUUCAUUUGAGUUGCAACAAUAAGGUUUAAAUAUUUUAGUUUCUGCCCCCAAGUUUAAAAAAUUCACCCAGACCAAGACACUUGGAAUUUUGAGGUGAUUCCAGUUGGAGAAGAUAACCAUAUAAGUUAUCUACCUCUCAGAUUUAGAAUCAUGAAUUUUGGUUGUGUAAAAGUCAAGUUAUGGACGUUUCUCGAUGGCUGCAAAAAUGUACCCGACAACAAAUAGAUCCGAUUUGAAAACAAAUUUAACUCACCUAUCGAUUGAAUUUGUAUACGAAAUUUAAAUAUGUAAUUCUUCUAUGUGUAAGAUGUCUACACUUUAAAUUUUGUAAAUUUUGGAUUUUAUUUAUUUGUCGAACGAAAUUUAUUUCAAAUGUACAAGCUAAAAAUCUAAACUUUUCGAAAGAAAAAUUCUUUAGCUUUGUAACGGGUCCUUUGAAGCCUUAAUGUUUUUGGUCCAAGUUAAUUUCUGCAUUUUAUGAACAAUCUAGGUAGAAUUUUACAAGUUUAAGAUCUUAGUAAUGUCACGAGUCCAUAGAGCUCGGGGCGUUAAAAAGACUAAAGGCAAUAAAUUUGUAAUAUUUUGUUGCAAAAAUUCUUCUUCCAAGAGCCGUAAAAGCACAGUUAUGGCAAUAUCAUAAGCUACAAGAUACACGAUCUUGUCCAUGAUCUUGCAUGUUUAGUUUCGAAAUCAGAAAGUUUCAUGAAUAUGGAGGGUAGCAAUGCUACUAACAUUCUUCAAGUUAGAUACCUUGCAAUAGAAUCAAUUGGAGAGGAAACAUUCAAGGACAUAAAAGAGGUGGCAGUUAUCUCCGCACAUUGUUCUUAAGCAGCAGCGUACCAGAUGAAAUAUUGCCGUACUUUAAGCAUUUGCAUGUUCCAAAGCUAUGUUGUGCAGAUCUUAAAGAAUUGCCAACAUCAAUUGGCACGUUGAAACAUUUGAGAUAUCUUGACGUGUCCUACAAUCACGAUCUCACUACUCUGUCAGAAUCUGUUUGCAAGCUCUACAAUUUGCGAACCUGGACGAUUCUACACAGCUACAUAUUUCCAUCACUUCAAAGGCUUCCGAGAGAUCUGCAAUUCUUGAUUCAUUUAAAGCAUCUCCGUUUUAAUGAUGUUAGCGGAGAAUUCGAGAUGCCACCUAAAAUUGAAAGUUUAUCCUGCCUUCAAACAUUACCAUUAUUUUGUAUGAGCAACAAGGAAGGUUGUCGAAUCGAUGAGCUAGGAAGGUUGAAGAAUUUAAAGGGUAAACUACAAAUAUGGAAUCUAGAAUUGGUGUGUUGCAAAACAGAAGCUGAGCAUGCAAAUAUGGCUAGAAAGCUAAACAUUUAUAAGUUAUACUUCCAUUGGAAAGUCAACGGAUUCCACAGAAAGUAACAUCAAUGACAAGAGUAUACUUGAAGGGUUGCAACCUCAUGAAAGCUAAAAACCCUAAUAAUUGAAGGAUUCUGAGGUAAUAACUUUCCAUUUUGGACUAGCAAUAUGGGAAUAUGUAAAGACAUUGGUGGCCGUCUGGUGAUAUUUAAUAGAUUGAUCAAGAUCAAGUUUAAUUCUUGUGACAAAUGCGAAGAAAUCACAAUGCUCAGCCACCUACCACUCUUCAAGUAUCUAAAGCUCUAUGAUCUGAGAAACGUAAGAUCGAUAAGACCAUCAUUCUAUGGAAAGAGUGAUUGCAGCUCAACUAGAAAACGAUGGCUAGGAGACAAGAGUAUCUUUCCCAUCGCUUAAGUAUCUUACAAUAUGGGAUAUGCCAAACCUUACAGAGCGGGAAGAAGCACAAAUGAGGAGAAUGUAGGUAUUUCUUUGCCUUGAAUAUUUGGAAAUUCAUUUUUGUGAUAAGUUGGCUCGUGUUCUCCACUUUCGGGGCAGUGGAGCAUCUCUUAAAGAGAUGAAAAUUUCGUAUUGUGAUGAAUUGAGGGAAUUACCCUAUGACCUAGGUCGCUUCCAAUUUCUUGAGACAUUGGAAAUAUAUGAUUGUAGAAAUCUGCAAUUAAUUUCAUAUUAAAAUGGACAAAAAAGGCCCAAUUUCCCUUCAGAAUUUGGAAAUUCGUAAUUGCUAUGAGUUGAGCAACCUGCCAAAUGAAAUGCUAGAGUAUAGUAAGUCUCCACAGCAUCUAUCUGUGUGCGGAUGCCUGAAUCUCACUUCGCUUCCCAAAUUGAGGGGGAUGGGAUCUCUACGGCAUUUAGUUGCUAUAAUCUCACAUCACUACCUAAAAUGAGUGGAACGGAAUCCCUACAGGAGCUAAUUGUGAUUGGAUGGGAUAAUCUCACUUCGUUUCUUGAAUUGAGUGGGAUCAGAUGCCUUAACAGCUUAAUAGAACUGGAGAUUGGAAAAUUCUCCAAUUCAGUACACUUCAAUUCAUUUCAAAAUUUUCUCGAAGGUAUUGAACGCAUAAAAUCCCUUGAGAAAUUAAACUUACAAGGUCAAGAGGAUUGGUUUUGUUGCGACCCGUCCCGAAUCACUCUAAUAGAUCCGACACGUGUUGUGCACUAAUGGUAAAUACCAAUUAAGUGCCGAACCCACCAAUAAGGCAAUCUUGACCUACUUUGACUAUGACGAAUUUUAAAAAGAAAUUUGAUAGAACUUCUUUUGAAAUAUGGACUAAAAGCACCUGAAUAAAAAUCAACUUUCUCAAACAUGUUUAUACAAUUUAAAAUAGGGCACACUAGUCUCUCAAAAUAAUAAAAUGCUGGCAAAUCAAUAUUUACUAUACUUUACAAACAAAAGUCCCCGAAAGCAUUAAUGAUACCAAAUAUACAGUGAGCACAUGAUAUGGACACAUGAUUUACUAAUUAACUUUUCCAACAAAACAUACAUAUAUCUCAAAAGAAAUAUAAACUAUGGAGACCGACAAAAUAGGUCAUACAACUAACAAAAAUGUGUGGCUCAACUCGGUAGAUCUACAUGCUCCAAUAUUGCUCAACUCUGCUGCUAUCUGAUAAGAAAAAGUGUAACAAAAUAUGAGCUUGUAGCUCAGUGAAUGGAUAAUUUGCGCAUAAGUAUAUUUUUCCGUCUAUGCAUAUUUUCUAAAAAUUCUUAUCAAUUAAAACUUUGAGAAAUACUGAAAUCUGAUAACACUUUUUAAAACUAAAACAUUCUUGCAUCGUAAAAUUCAUUAUUCUUUGUUCUAGAUAGUAACUAUUAGGUAUAAUGAAUAUAAAUAAUCUGAUAUAAGUAGACAUAAGUGAAAAUUUUCUUUCACAAUACUAUAAGCUAAAAUCAUUACUCUGUAAACUAAAUAAACUAAAUUCUAUAAUGUAAAUUCUGAUAAACUAUAUAAUACUGAAAAAUCGCAAUAAAAAGGUACUCGAAAUAACCUUACUCAUGUAUGAGUUAGUACUCAUAUACAAAGCAAAGCUAUUCAAUUCUGAAAUUUUGGUCAUACACAGAGCUGCCUAAAAGCUAUAAUCUGGUCAUGCACCGUGGAAACACAUUCAUAAUAGUACAGAGCAGGUAAAAUAAUCAUAACUGAUCAUGCACUUUGUAAACACAUUCACACCAGUGCAAAGUGGGUAAAAUAACCAUAUGAGGUCAUAAACUGUGGAAACACAUUCAUAUAAGUGCAAACUAUGGUAAAAUCAUCUAGUACUUUCUGGUGGUUUUAAAAAAAUAACUUUAGAUGUGCUGAAAUAUGUAGUAUUCAUAUAACAUGCUAAUAAAAUGAUUUAACCGAACUGAAUUUAACUUUAAAGGAGCUUAUUAAAAAAUUCACUUUAUUCUGAAAAUCAUGCCGUCAAACCAACUUAUAUGAUUUACUAUAAGAAUUCUAAUGAACAAUUAUUUCAUAUGAGCUUGAGUAUAAUUUAAAACAAUGCUUAAUUUUGAAAAGUAGAUAUCCACUCACAUAAUACAAGUUACAGCCUAGGAUGGUCGGUAGACUUUUCCAAUCUCCUCGUCACCACCUGAAAUACGAUAUAAGAUAACCAACCUUUUAUAUCUAUUAAUGAAAUACUUAACUAAAUUUCUCAAGACUUGAAUAAAUUUCCCAAUUUUUUCUUUAAUCAAUUGAAGCUAAUUCCACUUUUUAGUCCUUUUACUAAUAAUUAAUUCAUCAAAAUAACCUUCACCUCAAGCGUAAGAAUAAUUAUCCCAUCUUCCAUCUAGUGAAACUUGAAAUCACACUUGCCUUAAUUUAUUUUACAUCUUGUUCCAUAAAUUAUUCUUUCAAGAAAAUAAUUCACUUAACAUAAUCAUUUUCACUAAUAAUCCUUAAUCAAGCAUCCAAUUUAAAAUCUAGGGUUUGCCAAAAAUGGUAUUCCUUACCUUAAUAUAAGUUGAAAUUAAAGAAUCAAGAAACUUGAGCUCCAAUUUGUACUUUUAUCCUCCUAAAUCUGAAAUUUAUACCACAAGUUAAAACCCUAGAAAUUUAACGUCAUAAUACCAUAAAUAAUUUAUUUCUUAAUCUCUCAAAGAAAUGAAGUAAUUGAAACCAAGCAUGAAGAAAUCAGCAUUCACUUACUUCAUUCUUUCUUUUUCUUUUUCUUUUUCUUUCUUCUUUUCUUCUUUCCUUUUUUUCUUUCUAUUUUCUCGGAUUUUAUCUUCUUUGGGCGAUCCCAGCUUCCUCUAUGUGUUUGUAUCAAAUGACAAAUGAAAACAAUGGAUAUAGAUGUGCCACUUUUAGUCCACUGCCCAACAAUUGCAAAGGAAGCCCUCCAACUAAUUCAUAUAAAAUCACAUUAAAUCCUUAACUUCCCAAAAUAUAUAAGUAGAUCCCCAAAAUUAGAUUUUAUCCAUCUUAAACCCUUAAGAAUUCUCAAUUAGUAAAAUAAAACUAAAUAGAAUAAUUUGUUUCAUUUUAGUCCUUAUUUGACUUUGACUUUGACUUUGAUCAAUUGAAUUUUGGACUUUGACUAAAUACUUUUCUUGACUUUGACUAUGAACGAGUGGGCUAUAACAGGUUCUCUCUACCAUAUCAGCUUCAACAUCUCACUUCUCUAAAAUAAUUGACAAUACAUCAUUUUGGAAUGGAAGAAUUGCAUGUUUGGUUUGGGAAUCAUCUCUUGAAGUACUAAAACCAUGGUCUUGUGAAAAGCUUAGGCAUCUGCCAUCUAAAGAAGCUAUGCAACGACUCACUAAAUACAAACACAAACUAAUUUAUUUAAUUUCUUGUGAAAUUUUACAGGUGCAACAUGGGUAUCAGUUUGUCAAGUAUUAAAGAUAAAUGACAUGACAUGCAUUUGACAUUUAGUUGAAAAUUGAGCCACAUGAAAUUUCGACCAAACAAGGAAACUCUCGAAGUUGGUAACUGUUUAUGAAAACAAUUAGUAAAACAAUUCUAAUUUUAUGUCUUAGUAUUUAAUUUUUGAAAAGUUUCCUUAGGUGCCCAUUAUAGAUAUUCCAAUGUUAGAAACACGGAAAGUAGUAUAUCAAGAAUGAUUCACGGCAUUACCCAAAUAGCAACAUAGAUUUAUCAAUAAAAUCCUAUUACUUGAUAAUACAACUUUUCCAUUAGACGAUUGAAGCGAAGUAAAGAAACGAUGGUUUAGAAAGUUAAAUAACGAUGAUGUAUUAUUUAAUAUCUUUUAUAGUGCUAAUUGAUUUAUGUAAUAUGAGCAGUCUCAAGACAUUACCUUGCUUUACUCGGCCAUAUGUACAAAUGGGCAAAUGGUAAAACGACCUAAUAAUUAAGAAUCACUAUGUACAUAGUAGAAAAACGGACACCCACUAAUGUACAAUUAAAUAAAGUCUUUCAAUUAAAAAUGGGGGAGAAGUCAUUGCAGAAAAUAUAUGCUCUCAACCAAAAAAAUGGAGCUGCAUAUUUUAGAAAAGCACACCUGCGUGAAGUUAAUAACUUUGGAUGGCAAGCAACUCAGAACUUACUACCUACAAUCAGUUUCUAAUAAUUCCUAAAACUUCUGGUCGAAAUAUUUAAUCACCAUUCGGUCAGUCAGUAUCAUUAAGCAAACCAAUAAAUAAAAUUUGUAAAAAUAUGACACAUUUUUUCAACUAUCUCCCCUUUGACUUUGCUUAAUUUCAAAAACUAAUUUUAGAUUUUUAAUAUCGCGUGUACGAUGAAUGUGAUCAACCAAGUCACAUGGAAUACUCCCCUGUAAUCAGUUAUCAUCAUAUACAUCAUACUUCCCCUAACUCAAAAACCCUAAAACAUUAUGAAAGAAGAAAAAACAUGAGUGAUAAAACCUCAAACACGGCUAUAUGAAAUCAGUUAAUUCAACUAACAAACAAAAACAUAAGAAUAUAAAAAUGGUGAAUUCAAUUAACAGCCGUUUAUGUUUUCCAUCAUUUGUUCACCACUUCACCAUCAGUUCACAACAUCAUGAAAAAUCUAACCUACUCCAACUUUUUUGAGAUUAAAAGAGCACCACAUAACGCGGAGGAGAAAUCCAAUCAACCAAAUAGUGUUGCAUGUAUCAUCCAUUCAUAACACAAUUAUCCAUAAAAUGUGUCAAUGAAAUGGUUAGGAGCAAAUAGUCAUAUCAGAGUAGGAGUCAAAGAGUUAUGACCUGUGGCAUGGGGCCAUUGGAUUGAAAGCCCGAGAAUAACUAAUCAAGAGGGAGGUGAAUUGGUUAUUUGAAACUUUUUCGAAAAUAAUUGCAAAUCUAAACAAAUAACAAAUAAACAAUUGCUCAAGUAAGAUAGCACAAAUAAAAAAGUAAUAAGUAAAAGGGAAGAAAAUGCGUAAAUGGUGUAAUUAUGGAGGUUCGAUCCAAUCUACGUCCCUCGUUACCAAAGCUCUCCGUCACGAGCAAGGCCUUUUUCACAAUUGUUGAUUGACUUAUGGAGCAAUCCAACCUUACAAAGCUUCCUGUGACUUACAACCAAGGAGCACCGAUCAUUUUACAACGUUGAAAUUUCCAUGACUUCAAAUCGACGCACAAUCAAAUGAGAAAAGAACAAAUUACAAGUAAAAGCUUCUCUCGUAAUAACUGAUAUGAUCACAAUUAAAUAUCAAGAGAGAAGUAGGCUAACACUUCAAUAAGUAUAGCUCUAAUAUUAGUUGUUGAAAAACUUUAAUGAGAUAAAUGAUUUUCACAAAAUUGAUCACUCAAACAGCUUUUCAAGAAAUGAAUUUUUUUAUCUUCUAAAGAUUGAAAAACAAAGUAGUUGAGAUCAAUAAAAGCCUCUCUUAAAUGCUUAAAGAAGGUUGUUGCAAAUGAGGAAGAGAUGUGGUAUUUAUAGCACUCAAACGAUCAAAAAAUCUGUCCAUCCUGACACAUGAUUUGGACGUCUGGUUUGUAAAGACUUGGGGUUCCAUCUUAAAAGGUCAACCUUGUUAAGAGGAGUAGCCCAAUUUUUUAUAAAUCGAUCUAUGUUUUCAUCUUUAUUCGAUGUGGGAUUUCAUUCCUUAACAUGCCCCCGCAAUAUGGUGGCUCAUUUGAGCAGACCAAUCUUGAAAUCCGUAUGCUCAUUUAUUGAGUCUUAAUCGGAUCGAGUCGCUCGUUAGAGCUUAAUGGACUCUGAUACUAUGUAAAGAUUUAGGUUCCAUCUUAAUAAGGUUAACCUUGUUAAGAGGAGUAGCCCAAUUCUUUAUAAAUCGGUCUAUAUUUUCAUUUUUAAUCGAUGUAGAAUUUCAUCCAUUAACAUGGUUGGGGUCCGAACAGUUAAAAAAACUAGCCUUUGAUUCAGAGGCAGAACGGUCAAGAAAGUGAUCGUUGGGCAUCUAGAUGUCCGGAUGGUGAUCCAAACGUCCAGAUGGACAGAAAUGCCCUCGGACAUUUUCCUUCGUGAUGAAAUUGAUUAAUGCAGGUUCUUGAAGGACUUUCACAUUUAUUUUGUAAAGAUAAGUAUUUUAUAAAUAUUUGAUCUUGAAGUCAAAAUACUUAUCUUUUGAAAAUAAUUUUUAUGCAAGUAUUCUUUUGUGAAAUGAAAUUGCUAUAGUGCAUAAAAAUUCUUUUUAGCUAUUGUCGAUGCUAAUAAUUGAAGUGUUUUACCUUUACAUAUAAAUUCAAACGCAUCUACAUCUAUUGUCUUGAAUUUGAUUAUCAAUCUUUUCUCCAAUGUGAUUUUUGACAUGAAGGCUCGAUUUUCGUCUCUAUGUUCCUCAAUCGCCAAAUUUUUUUUCCAUGUUGAUCGUUAAGCGUCAAAAUCACUUUUCCAUGUGCAUGUCUCUUGAUCUCAAUUUUAUCAUCUUCAUUUUGUUGAUUUUGCAAUAAUCACUAUCAACACUCAAAUUCAACUUGUUAGAAAUAAGCGCAAUUUGUUUGUGAUAAUCAAAUCGAGAAGUCAACCAUUUAAGUCAACAAUUUCUCCCUUUUUGAUUUUGACAAAUAAGAUGAUUUGCAAUACAAACAUCAAACAAAUUGAAGAGGCACAAAUUAAUACGCAUAAAUUUUGCAUAUUCCCCUUAUCGUUUUCACUUAUAUUUCCCCUAUCAACAUGCAUAAAAAUUUAUAAGUUCCCCCUUACAAUGUCCCCCCCUAUUUUGCAUAAUUAUCUACCUAUCUUCUUCCUUUUGGCAUAAACAAAAAGAAGUAGUAGGACAAAUUAAACUUGCAAAGAAGUCAACCAUAAGAAAUUUAAUUCAUAAUGUACCAUGCAUUGAAAUAACUCGAAAGUACAAUAAUGGAAAGUUAUAGUACGACAAUAAAAGAAACAUCUAGCAAAUGAAAAUAUUUCAAAUUGAAAGUAAACUAAGGCGCCAGAGGCGGUUGUGACGGUGGGAAGUAAGCAUAGAAGUUGGCAAAAAAUUCAUUCUACUGUGCCUACAUCUCAGCCUGUCGAUCUUCUAUAGCGUUCUACUGUGCCUAAAUCUGAAGGAGUAGGCUACCUAGGCUGUCGAUGGUUGAGGUGAGAGAAUCAAUGCGCCCGUGAAAGAGAUUAAACUGUGUCUCAGUAAAUGUAAAAUGGCAUCCUGAUGGAUGAGGUGCGCUGGAUUCGAUAAUGUCAGAAGCGAGAGCUAGGGCUUUAGGCUUGUCUUCGUGCUCAUCUUCGACUUUCUCUUCGAAAGCUAAAGUGGAAAGAUUGGAGGUAGGGUAGAAUCCAUUCGUGUACGCCAACCAUAGCCCAUUUUCUUUUAGUAUUUUCAUCCAUUUUAGGGUUUGGAUGUUGAUAGUAUCAGCGGAGCGUAACUUAACAAGGGUUUCACUGUUGAGUGAAAUGUGAUGAAUGCACAAGUUUCUUAAGCCCCAAUGCAAUGGUGGGAAAUAAAUUUUGCACCCUACUAAAUGUGAAUUUAAAAUGAAGAGAUCGGAGUGAUUAAAUUUGUCUCAGUGGCCCUUACGGGGAAAAAUAACAUGGGAAAUAAUGUUUUGCAAAACUUUGUAUGGAAGAGUAAACCCCUAUUUGGCCCCCCAGUCUCUUUCAUUUUUUUUCUCUUAUUUUUAACCACAAAAUCUUCCAUAAAAAAAUAUUACACGUAAAUAAAAAACUUUUCGUUCUUUUUCAACCACACAUUCUUCAUAAAAAUACUAUUCCAAUCAUUAAAAUUUGAAAAGACAAAUGGGGGCCCAAUGGGGACUAAAUUGAUUAGCACUCAAUUUUGUAAUAUUCUCGAAAUCCUUCUCGAUGACUCGACGACAUGCCUCGGAAGGAUCGUAGCCUUCCACGGUAGGUGGAGAUUAAUGUAGAAAAAUUUUCAAGUCACAGGGCUAGUUUGAGAAUAUCACAAAUUAGUACUUUUGUAACCGUAAUGCGUACAUUUUUUAUCAAACAUGUAAUCUCGUCGGAAUGAGGUGCAACAUGCAUUUUUUGAUAAAAUUCUUUCAUGAGGCAUGGGUAUGCGUGCUCUACCAUGGUAGCCACUGAUAAGCAUCCCAUUCUUUUAAAACGUUCUUUGAUAUUAAAAGCGGGAGCUUCUAUAGUAAAAUCCGCAAAAUCAACCUAAUUACAAAUAAGAAUGGGUAAUUUUUCAAAAGGAUUCACCUGUACCUCUAGCUCCAAGUCCAUAUCUUCAUCAGAUGAUGAUGGAGGAGGUCGUCUCGUUGUUCAUUUUACCCAGUUGCCUCAUUGCAUUCCCGACAUUGUGAAGGAGUGAUGGAAUAUCCAAAAAGCCCCAAAAUUUGAAUUCUAGGGUUUGAGAUUAUCACCCCAAAAGUUAAAUUUUGGAAGGAGAUUUCGAAUAUAUAGGUAAGUAGUGUGUGGUGGUAUGAUUUUCUACAAUCUAAUAUGAAGAAUUUCUGCGAAAAACACCAAGUUUGAUGUAGGUUGGUGUAAAAUUUGGUAUUUUGAAGUUGAAAUUUUCGAGCUUGUGAGAGAUUGAUUUUCUAAAUCUCUUGGGUUUUUGAAUUAAAAACAAAAUUGAGAAGAUUGAAUCAACGUCCAGAUCAACAAAACAUUCAAUGCUUUGAAAGUUUCUAUCAAUCUGGACACUCUUGUUCGGACUGUCCGGAUAGAUAAAAGUGUGUCCGGAUUUUUUUUAUGUGUGACAUGGUUAUUUUCAAAAUGAAAUUAUCAUUUAUAAAAGGCUAUGCAUGCAAAAACUUACGUGAUAGGAAAAUUUAAACUCAUUCUACUUCAUUUUCAUCAAUAAUUUCUAAACCUCUUUGAAUAUGUGAAAAUCAGUCGUGCGCUAGAUGUUUGGUGAAAAUAUUCGCUAAUUGGUUCUUUGAUUUUUAUGAAUUCUAACACGAUAUCUCCCUUUUGUGCAUAAUCUCUAAGAAAGUGGUAUCGAAUUUUAAUGUGUUUAGUUCGAAAGUACAAAACGGGAUUUUUAGACAAGUUGAUGGUACCGGUGUUAUCACACUUGAUAAGCACGUGAUCGUAAGACAGGUGAUAAUCACUAAGGGAUUGUUUCAUCCAAAGUGCUUGUGCACAAUAAUUUGCGAUCAAAAUAUAUUACGCCUCAGCAGUAGAAAGUGCAACGAAAUUUUGUUUCUUACUAGACCAUGACAAAAAUGCAAAGCCUGGAAAGUGACAAUUUUCGCUAGUGCUUUUACGAUCAAUGCCCAAUCGGCAUCCGAGUAACUAAUCAAGUCAAUGUGACUGCCCUUAUGAUAACAAAGUCCUAAUGUUCUAGUUCCACUAAGAUAUCAAAAAAUUCCUUUCACGGCACGUAAAUGUGAUUCCUUAGGAUUAGAUUGAAAUCUAGCAUAUAAACACAUUGAACAUAAUAUCAAGUCUACUAGCACUUAAACAAAGGAAUAGGAUCAUACCUCGAUAUUUUGUGACAUCAAUGGGAGUGCCUUGCUCAUCAUUAUCUAGCUUUAAGGAUGUACUCAUCGGGGUGUUCAUUGGCUUUAGGUCGUCCAUAUCAAAGCUUUUGAGAAUAUGUACUUGUUUUGAUUUAUGAAAAUUUCGUCAUUUGUUUAUUUAAUAUGAAGACCAAGGAAGAAUUUUAGUUUUCCCAUCAUGCUCAUUUCAAAUUCUUUACUCAUGCAUUUUGAAAAUUCUUCACAAAGAUGGAUAUUUGUAGCACCAAAAAUAAUAUCAUCAACAUAAAUUUGAACAACAAGCAUAUCUCCCUUAUGAGUUGACAAAAAGUGUAGUAUCCAUUUUUUCAAUUGAGAAACCAUUUGAUAGUAGGAAUUUGCUCAAACAUUCGUACCAAGCUCUUGGAACUUGCUUCAAACCAUAUAGAGCUUUUCUAAGUUUAAAAAAUGAUCUGGAUACUUAUGAUCUUUAAAACCUGGAGGUUGCUCAACAAAACUUCUUCUUAAAUAAAUCCAUUUAAGAAAGCACUUUUUACAUCCAUUUGAUAAAGUGUAAAACCUUUAUAGCCUGCAAAUGCAAGAAGCAUAUGGAUGGAUUCUAAUCUAGCUACCGAUACAAAUGUUUCUUCAAAACGAUACUUUCUUCUUGAUUGUAACCUUGGGCCACUAAUCUAACCUUGUUACGAACAAAAAUCCCAUUUUCAUGCUUUUUAUUUCUAAAAACCCAUUUUCUACCGAUUACGAUUUAAUCAUUUGCUCUAGCAACUAAAUCCCAAACAUAAUUUCUUUCGAAUUGAUUUAAUUCUUCUUGCAUUGUUAGAAUCCAAAAUUCAUCAUAUUCGGCUUUUUAAAAAUUUUUAAGCUCAAUUUGUGAAUUGAAUGCACAACUACCAAGAUGAUUUCUAAAAGAGGUUCUAGUAGUGAUACCUUUGGAUGGAUCGCCUAUUAUAAGUUCUUUGGGAUGCGAUGGAACAAAACUCCAUUCUUUUGGUAGUGGAGGAUUACUUUGAGCUUCAGUUGAUUUCUCUUCACUUUCUUGAACAUUAGGCUCCUCCUUUUGUUCUUCUCUGGGAGUUUCCUUGUGUUGCUCUUGAAUAUUCAUUUGUUCGAAUGGGGUUUCUAAACCUACAUCAUCACCAAUACCUUUCUCGCGAUCAAGUGAGUUAGUUUCAUCAAAUGUUAUAUACAUGGAUUCUUCAAUGACUAGAGUUCGUAUGUUAAAUACUUUAUGAGCUUUGCUAGUCGAUGAAUAUACUAGGAAAAUUUCAACAUUGAAUUUUGAAUCAAAUUUUUCCAAAUUAUCUUUUGUGUUUAAAAUGAAACAUUUACAACCGAAAACUUUAAAAUAACUAAUAUUGAGAAUUCUAUUUUUCCAAAUCUCGUAAGGAGUUUUAGUUUUCUUUUGACUUAAACUCUAUUAACAAUGUAGCAAGUGGUGUUAACGGCUUUGGCCCAAAAAUAUUUUGGCAAGUUAUUUUCAUUUAACAUGGUCCUAGCCAUUUCUUGCAAUGUACGAUUCUUCCUCUCUGCUACAUGUACCAUUAUGUUGAGCAGUUCUAGGAGACGAAAAAUUAUGUUCAUAUCCAUUUUCAUUACAAAAAUCAUUAUAGCCGACAUUAUCAAAUUCUCCACCAGUAUUUUUUUUUAAAACUCCAGAUUUUAUAGAUCAGCCCUCACAUAUGGUGGAGGAAUACCAUGAAAAUGAACUCCACAUUACAAAUAGACUUUAAAGACAAACUUUUAUUAACGUUGUGCAUAUGGAAAAUGAUUUCUAUUUGAUAUAAAUAACUUGGUAACGGCCCCAGGAAGAUCUGCCAUAUCAGAAAUGUUGCCGUGCUUCCAUUUCCACCUAUUUUAGAUAAUGCGUCUGCAACUUGGUUUGCUUCCUGGAAAACAUGUCUGAACACCACUUCUCUUCCAAUCAUGAGAUCAUUUAUCUCCUCCCAUGCUUUCCAAAAUUUCCAUCAUGUACAUUAUUUAUUGAGGAACCAGUUCACAACGACUUGAGAAUCACUUUCGAUUAUAAUCUUUAGGAAAUUUCGUUCUACACCUAUGUGGAUGCCUUAAAAAGAUUGUUAGCCAUUGCUCAAGAUUGUGAGAUCUUAAAAAGAAUGAGCACCUCGCUCUAAUACCAAUUGGAAGCCCAAGAAUAACAAACUAAGAGGGGCUGAAUUGGUUAUUUGAAACUUUUUCGAAAAUAAUUGCAAGCUUAAACAAAUAGCAAAUAAAUAAUUGUUCAAGUAAGAUGGCACAAAUAAGAAAGUAAUAAGUAAAAGGGAAGAAAAUGUGCAAACAAUAUUAUUAUGGACGUUCGAUCUAAUCAACAAUCUACGUUCCCCAUUACGAAACUCUCUGUCACAAGUAAGGCCUUUUUCAUUAUGGUUGAUUGACUUAUGGCGCAAUCCAACCCUUACAAAGCUUCCGGUGGCUUACAACCAAGGAGCACUGAUCCUUUUACAAGGUUGAAAUUUUCGGGACUUCAACACAACCCACAAUCAAAUGAGAAAAGAAGAAAUUACAAGUAAAAGCUUCUAUCUUAAUAAAUGAUAUGAUCACAAUUAAGUACCAAGAAAGAAAUAGGCUAACACUUCAAUAAGUAUAGCUCAAAUGUUAGUUGUUGAAAAUUUGCAAUGAGAUAAAAGAUUUUCUCAAAAUUUAUCACUAAAAAGGACAAGCUUUUCAAGAAAUUAAUAUUUUGAUCAUCUAAAGAUUGAAAAACAAAGUAGUUGAGAUCCAUAAAAGCCUCUCUUAAAUGCUCAAAGAAGGUUUUUGCAAAUGAGGAAGAGAAGUGGUAUUUAUAGCACUCAAACGGUCAAAAAAUAUGUCUAUCUGGACACAUGAUCUGGACAUCCGGUUGGGGUCCGGAUAGUUAAAAAAUUGACCGUUUGAGACAGAGGUCAGAACAGUAAAAAAAUGACCAUUGGGCACCUAGAUGUCCGGAUGGGUAGAAAUGCCUCCGGAUAUUUUCCUUCAUGAUGAAAUUGAUCAAUGUAGGUUCUUGAAGGACUUUCUCACUUAUUUUGCAAAGAUAAGUAUUUUGUAAAUAUUUGAUCUUGAAGUCAAGAUAUUUAUCUUUUGAAAAUAAUUUUUAUGCAAGUAUAAAAUAUUCUUUGUGACGUGAAAUUGUUCUCAUGCAUAAAAAUUAUUUUGAGCUAUAGUCAAUGCUAAGAAUUGAAGUGUUUACCUUUACAUAUAAAUUCAAACGCGUCUAUAUCUAAUGUCUUGAAUUUGAUGAUCAAUCUUUUCUCCAAUGUAUUUUUGACGCGAAGGCUCAAUUUUUGUCUCUACGUUCGUCAAUCUCUAAUUUUUGUUUCCAUGUUGAUCGUCAAGAGCCCAAAUCAUUUGUCCAUGUGCAUGUCUCUUGAUCUCAAUUUUCGCGUCUUCAUUUUGUUGAUUUUGCAAUAAUCACUAACAACAUUUGAAUUCAAUUUGUUAGAAAUAAACGCAAUUUCUUUGUGAUAAUCAAAAUGAGAAGUCAACCAUUUAGAUCAGCAUGGAUGUUUUCCUUCGAGGUUUACCAUGUUACAACUUGUGUCCAUACUUUUAAUCCAUAAAUUAAAUUUAGCGCUCAAUUAAAAUUGCAGGAACAUAUUAUCAACCUGCACAUCAAUUAAAAUCAUUAGAAACUGAUAGUAAGAAGUUCUAACUAUCGAUUGUUUAGAUUUGUAUUAGUUAGAUUACAAUUUAUUUUUAAUUUAUUGGGGUUUUAGAAUUUACACAAACAAUUUGUAAUAAUGAGUGAAAAUAAUAACUAAAACAAACUAUUAAAAACAACUUUGAAAGUACAUAUAUUAUUUGUAAAAUUAAAAAAUACAAAAAUAAAAAAGAGGGUCCAACAACUAUUAGAAAAUCCCUUUUAAAGUGUGCUUAUCAUCCAGAAAAGUUCAAAGUUCAAUGAUAACUAGAAAAUAAUGUUGAUAGUAGAAUGACCACUGAGAUUUCUAUCCUUAGGUUGAUCGAGAAAAUUGAAAACAGACAAAAUUUCUUAUUUAUAUAGAAAAAAUAUAUAUUUUUAUUUAAUGUCUACCAUCGAUUCCGAUAUAAGACUUUCAAUCAUUUAUCUUAUAGAACCAAUACGCGCUCGAGAUUUUAAAAUAAAAAUAAAUAAGAAGAAAAAUUAAUUAUUAACCAAUCUAUUGAUAUAUCUCCAUGCAUGUAUAUAUUUGCAUGCACUACACCAAAAACUGCCUUUAACAAUGGUCGAAAAACAUUUCCAUUAACAUUUUGCAGUGUUCCAGCGUAUGUUGCAGUCUUUGACGUUGCUGUAAAGUGGAAGGUUUUCGUAAUGUUCAAUGCGUGUUGUCUUAAGGUUUUUUGCAAAGUUCUUUGAAUGUUGUGUUAAAGUUUUUUCAACAUUUGAUGAGUGUUGUCUUUCUGUUUUUCACAACGGUCAUUGAAUGUUCUGUUAAGGUUCUUUACAAUGUUCAUUGACUGUUGUGUUUCUUUUUUUUGCAAUGUUCUUUGAAUGUUGUGUACAGGUUUUUUGCAACGUUCGAUGACUUUUGUCUUUCCUUUUUUCACAACGGUCGUUGAAUGUUGUGUUAAAGUUUUUUGCAACGUUAGUUGGCUGUUGUCAUUCUCUCUCUCUCUCUCUCUCUCUUUUUUUUUUUUUUUUUAAAUUUUUUUAAAUUUUUGUUUAAAUUUUUUUUAAAUUUUUUUUUUUUUUUUUUUUUAACGUUCUUUAAAUGUUGUGUUAAGAUUUUUUGCAAUAUUCUUUGAUUGUUAUCUCUCUCUUUUUCACAACGUUCUUUGACUGUUGUGCUAAGUUUUUUGCAAUGUUUUUUUUAUUAUUGUCUUUUUCUUUUUCACAACGUUCUUUGAACAUUUUCUUGACUUUUUAGUUCAAUUAUGGCAACAUUUUUGGCCCGUUGUCAUUUCUUUUCUUCUUUUCUUUUGGCAAUGUUGCCAUUGCCAUAGUCCUUCCCUGAUUAUUUUCCCUUUUUUUCUAUUUCUAUAUACCAACAAAAUUAAAAACAAACAUCACCUAUUUACGAACAAGUAUUUUAAGACUGUGAAAUUAAAGUUAUAACUUCGUUAGGAAACAUUUAAUCCGUACACAAUAAACAUAGUAAUUCACUAAAAUGCUUCUAUUCUACCUUGAAGUAACCAAAACCUUUCAUUUUGGAUUGGGUUGAUUACUUUGUCAAGGUUAGAUGACCAAAAAAUAGCUCUCAUUGGCUUCAAGUUGGCUAUGGGGUAUCUACUGAAAUGGACUUCAAACAGACAGCCAUUGAUAAAAUACCAAUGAUAGCUUUCUUGUUAAACCAGUGGGGCCUAAACAUUAAAAUUAGACUUAAAACUUCCUAUCAAUUAUAGUUUGAUCAGGUACAUGUAACCAUGGAAACACAAGUAUAGCAAGUAAGCAAACUCCCAAAAUGUUGAAAUGGCAUUAUUGGAAUUUCACAACACUAUAAUAUCUCAUUAGCGUAGACUAAUUGUUAGAUUAAACCUAGAUACAGCUUUCCUUAUUUGGCUAUAAAAGCAAACAACGAGGCAGGCUGUUGUUCAAAUUAAGAAAAUUCUCAAAAACCAAUCUAUGGAUGUCUAUAAUGGAAGAAAAUAACAUGGAGGGGAGGAAAAUAGUAGUGGCAGUUGAUGAAAGUGAAGAGAGCAUGUAUGCCUUAUCUUGGUGACUUGGUGUCUCGGCAACCUCUUGUCCCAAAACCAUAAACCAACAAGUAGCUUAAUUCUCCUCUACAUCAAACCUCCCCUGGAUUUCACAGGGCAAUACUAUAAUCAAUUCACAAUGCAAUUCACAGGGCAAUAUACUAUUUCCUAAUUCUAGUGACAGAGUAAGCAACUCAUAGUCACAGAGGGCGCCUCUACCGCAAUAGGCUUCGAGCAAUGUGUAGGCAGUGCCGCAGUAGGCUUCGAGCAAUUGAAGAGCAAAGUGCUAAUUUCAUAUUUUAAAAAGAAAAAAACCAAAAAUUAUUGCAAGUUACACAAAUAAAAAUAACAAAAAAUAAGGGAAAAAAAAAGCUUGGGUUGUGAGAAAUUCAGACAUUGGAGCUUUACCUUAUCUUUUGCUGCAGCGGUGCCACCGGCUGUUGAAGAAUAACCACCUCGAACUGCUGAACAAACAGGGACGACCGCUGGCGGAGUCAUGGACACGGAGAGUCGGAGAGCUGAGAGCAGGCAGGGCCGUAGGAGGCAGCAACAAAAUAUGAAUGGCGGAUAAGUAGAGGAUCGGAGAAGUAGGCGGAGACUAAGCGGAGCCGAGUGCCGGGAUGGGUGGGAGUAGCGGGCGGGCGGAGGUGGAGCGGAGGGAGUAGAAGAAGAAGUGGGUGUGCCGUGUGGGUUGGAUUAAAUUGAAAUGAAAAUGGAUUUUGAUUUGAAUGGGUAAUGGGUAUGGGUUGUAAGUUGUAACUAGAAGUGGGUGUUAAUGUGUUGAUUGGGCUAAUGGCUAUUGGUCAUACGGUGAAACUAAACAAAGGUUAAUAGCAACGUUCAAGAGCGCGUUGCUAAAAUAUCUAAUGGCAACUCACAUUGUCUAUUGCUAAAAUUAAAUAAUGGCAACACGUACCGCACGUUGCUAAAACAUUAAGAACAACGUACAUUGCACGUUGCAAAAAGAAAUUUCACGACAACGGAUUUCGAACAUUAUAAAACGGUGUAUUAGUAACAUUCUUUAUAAAAAUAUUGUCAAAACUCAAUUUAGUCAAUCAAUAGCAAUAUACACUUGUUGAAUGUUACGAUAGACCACUUUUAGGGACAUAUAAUUGGUGAAUGUAGCCUUUUGUAUAUUGCAAAAUUCCUUUUUUCUUGUAGUGGUAUCUUUCUUUAUCUUUAAAAUAUAGAUGUUUAAUGAAUGAAUAUUGAUAUAAUUAUUUAUUAAGCCACCUAACAUCAUGAAUUUAUAUCCAAAUCUCAUCUUAACCAGGAAACAUUGGUAUUCGGCUUCUUCACAUAAAGAAAAAUAUCAUGCUGACAGCUCGGUGUACAUUAUACUCAUAUGGGAGGGUCCAUGCAUUUUUUUUAUCGGGCGCAUCAGGCUCGGCUGUACAAAUGCAUUAAUCCUAAAGAAAAAGCGAAAAACUGCGAGGUCAACUAAUCACACCAGUCCGCCAACACAUCUUAGGUAUUAAUGGCUUGGAUAGUGAGGUUCAUGGGCUGGCCCACACGGGGUCUAAGAGACCCCAUAAAAUUUUAUUUUUUAACUUUUUAAAAAAAAAUCUGUAUUCAUUUUUGCCCAUGUAAAUAGCAAGAUACAAAUUUUCUCAAAUUUAUAUAUUAUGUGAAAAAUCAUGUAGUUACCUUUUACGACCUACUUCGAUGCGCUCAUUACGGAAUAGCAAACGAAGUCGAAAUAUAACAUUCUUAAUAUCAUUUUGAAGUAGUCAUAGCCUAGUUUUUUCCAGGGCUAAAAGCAAAAAUCACCAAACCAAAAAAUUGAACCGAAACCCCAUUUCAGAAACCAUCGGUUUGGUGCCACGUAGACCUGAUCAACAAAAUGAUUUUGAACCAAACCAAACCAGUCAAAAUGGUUUGGUUUAGGUUUGAGAAUUUUAAUUGCGGUUUAAAAUCAAACCAGACCACAGAAAAAAUAUAAAAAAAUAAAAAAAUAAAAAAAUGAAAUUUUUUGAAAAUCCAUCCAAAUAUGUAAAAUUCAAUAUUUUUGUCAUUUGUGGGUUUUUUUUUUUAUCAAUUUCUAAUUUUCUAUUACAGAUAUGUUAUUAUUAUCCAAUAAUCAUAAUUUAUAUCUAAUAAUCUCAAGACUAACAUAAUCUAUCCAAAGCCCUUUUUCUCUUUAGAAUUUAGAUCAACUCCAACCGACACCCAACACAGUCUUGAGUUGAGCCAACGGCACCACACACUAAUUUUUUUAGAUUUUUCAUACAUCUUCAAAUUUGAAUUGAAGUCCAUUAUACCAAAUUGGAGACAAAAAAAAUCCUACACCUUUGGUAAUAAUAUUUGCCACGAAUAAAGUUUCAGAUCAAUAAUUUUGUUGAGCAAACUAAGAUAAGAGUUUGAAAUUAAAUGUAUUUCGUAACAUCAUGCAAGCGUAAACUUGUGUAAUUGUUAUGUUUAGAUUUUAUAAACAAUUAUUUUAUUAUUGUAGUUGGUUAUUCUCUUUGUCUAGUCAGCAUCCUUUUUUCAGAUAUGAUGAUCACGAGAUCUUAUUGGACGUAAUUAUAUUUUUUAGGUCUUAUAUCUAAUUUAGUAGACUUGUAUUGUAACGUUAUUGUAUCGUCAUUAGCCUAAAAAAUGUGAACAAAAAUGAAAAAAAAUAUAUACUUUAGUUUAUUGUGAUUUCAAUUUGAUUUAAUUGGUAUUUAAAUUUAUAGUAGAUAUAUUUAGUCCCUGUUUGAGCCAUAUUUUCUAUAUCAUCAUAAUGAGAAAAUUGAUAGUUGAAGAUGAGGCUGGGUCCCACACAUGAAAUAGCAGGUCAACAAAGGCGUUUGGACUUAUGGGAUAACAGUCCAAAAUUUCAUUUUUUUGUCCAAAAAAUUUGGUUCAAACAGGGGCUUAGUUUAUUUUAUAUUUAUUGCUAGUAAGAUAUAAAUAUAUAUUGAAUUCAAAGAAUUAAUGACAUAAAAGUAGAUAGGCAAAAAAAAAAAUGACGAAACAGGCUAUUUAAAAUCGGACCAAACCGUUAGGUUUAGGUUUGAAUUUUUUUCAAACCAUUCAAAAUGGUUUGGUUUAGGUUUGAGCUUUUCUCAAACCGAUUUAAACGAUUUGGUUUGAAAAUCUAUCAAAAAUUGAUAAAAUUGGACCGCUUACACCCCUAAGUUUUUGGUUUGUUAAUGGCGCACGAAAUGGCCAACCGCGGCAAAAGUUAUAGCACGUCAAAGUACAUCAUUCCAAACUACUAUUUUGAGAAUUUCGAUAAUAUGCUAACUUUAUAAAUUCGUCGGUGAUUAUAAGCUAGCCAAAUUCACAAAUCACCUAUGUAUUUAGAAGAUCAUUUCGAGAAUUACAUCGUAGUCAUAUUGAAUGGUGCAGGUCAAAAUCAAAAAUGGUCAAAAGUGCGUCAAGUGUAAGUCUCAAAAAGAGGCAUUUAACUCGUCUUUUCCUUAACAAUUUUCAAUUAUUUCAUUUACAUUUAUUAUUUUCGCACGAUAAAUUUCUCAAUGUAGUUUACAUCAUUUUAGUAAGAAAUUUUACUUGGAGCAUGAUGUAAAAAAAUUGAGGAUUGUUAUACAUUAAAUGUAAUUUGAAUUACUUUUGAAUUAUAUUUGCAUUAAAUUUGAAUUUCAUUUACCUCCUAAAUUAAGUUUGAAUUCUCUUUCAAUUCAUUUACUUACCUUCAGUUUGAUUUACUUGUUGUCAAUUCAGCAUUUCUCAACGAGUUGGUAAACAAAAAUAUGCAAAUAAUAAAAUUUAUUUGACAAUAUUGAUAAUGAUAUAAUUAUAAAACGGUUUCAAAGUAUCAAGAUGCAUAGGCUAUAGUUACAGUAGUGUAUAUUGACUUAUUUUCAUUAAUAAUUUUUUGCUUUAAAAAAAUUGCAUUUUAAUUUUUUAUCCUCCAAUACAAAAAAUUUGCUUCGCCUCAGUGAGGUUGAAUGGAAUAAUAUGGAGUGGAAAGAACCAAAAAGAUAAAUAAAUAGGAUAAGACUUGAUAUUUUAAAAGUUUUUAGUAUGUUGUAACAUGCAUUAAUAAUGUUACACAUUUCACAUUAGUAGUAUAGUAUAUUGUAACUUUCGAAUUUCAUGUUAUGAUAUUUUAUUUUGUUGUUUUAGAUAUAAUAACGUUCUACUUUGUCUUAAGAGCGAGGAUGACAACUAAGCAGAUUGUUGUCAGGGUAGCCAUUACCUUAUUGGUCUAUUAGGUAUCUUCGAGAGGUAGGGACUAGUUGGGAGCAAGGAUAUAUAUAUAUAUAUAUUAUUUUCAAGAACCAUCCCACUUUUUUUAUGUUGAAAAAAAAUUUUGGAGGUCGGUAUCUUGAAUUUUACCUAUUCUUCCCCUUGAAAAAAUCAGGGGUUCUCUUAUUUUAAAAAAAAAUUUUGGAGGGUCGGUACCUUGAACUUUACCUGCUCUUCCCCUGCCUCUUGGACAAACUCUAGGGUUUCUCUUAUGUUAGUUUUUUUUUUUUUUUUUUUCACUCAAAUAUUUUUAUUCCAAGUUUGAGAAGUUCUUGGAUUUUUGGUUUGAUAUAUGCCUUUGCUGCGAUUUUUUUUGUUGAAUGCUUCCCCUCAAGUACUUGGAGUUUAUUCUACGUCAUCUUCGAACAUUUAAUUGGAUCAAACUCAAUAUUUUACACCAUAGUGAGUUUGAGGGGAGAGUGUUAAAAUAUGGAAAGAUAGGAAAAUGUUGUUUAGAAUAAUUUUCAAUAUAUUUUUCCAAUUAUGUAGGAUUACUUUGCCUUAGUAGUUGAUUGUGUAAUUAUUAAGCAAUCUUUCUUUUUAGGUUUAUUUCCUUUUAGAAUUAUUUGUAGCCCUAUAAAUAGAGUUCUCUACUUUGUAAUAUUCUCUCUAGAAUAUUACAAUAUAGAAGACCCUAUUUAUAGAGUUAUGAAUUAUUCUAAAAGGAAAUAAACCUAAAAGGAAAGAUUGUGUAAUUCCUUAAAUUUAAAAGGAAAGAUUAUUUAAUAAUUACAUAAUCAACUACUAAGGAAAAUAAUCUUAAAUAAUUAGAAAAAUAUAAUGGAGAUUAUUCUAAACAAUAUUUUCAUAUCUUUAACACCCUCCCCUCAAACUCAAUAUGGGGUAGUGACAAUCAUAUUGCGUUUGAAAACUAAAUUGACCAAAUAAAAAAUUUGGAAUAAAAACAUUUUAGGUGAAAAAAAUAAAAAAUAAAAAGGAAGAAAAAUUGGGAUUUGAAUUUUCUUCUUCUCCUCCCUAAAGUUUUAGGUUUAGCAAAAUAUUUGACGUUGCUAAAUCAAUAGAAAAAUAUACCAUGUUAAGAAAAUUGUAAAUUGUAUUAUUAUGAAUUCUUGUAAAAAUUACAAAGUAGAGAACCCUAUAUAUAGGGUUACAAAUAAUUCUAAAAUGAAAGAUUGUGUAAUAAUUACAAAAUCAACUAUUAAAGAAAAUAAUCCUACGUUACUGAAAAAAUAAAAUAGAUAUUAUUCUUAAUAAUAUUUCCGUAUUCUUCAUUAGGGAGAGGAAUUACCAGCUUCAUUUGGGAAGGGAUGGGAAGGGAGGGACGGUUCGGGGACUGCCAUCCCUAUAAUAAGAACAUAUGUUUCAAUUUUUCCGUAAAUAAAAAGCAUGUUAUUAACAUUUUACUUGUGUUUGUAAUCGAAUUACAACUCUAACUAAAUUUGUAUGAUGUCUUCAAACAUGUUUCAUUUAGUCGAUGUUCUAUUUUUAUCUAUAUUAAAAGUGUUAUUGUUUUUAAAAUAUAGAGCACGGUAUAACAACACUCCAUUCAUGUUAGAGUGUGUUGGAUUGCGAGUAUGGAAUUUGCAUGUAAAGAAAAAAAAUUAUAGGCACAACCACAAGGAUGAUUUUGACAUUUCAACUUAAAAUUUUAGUGAAAAGACUAUGAUGUCCCUACAUUUUUUAAAUUUCACACAACCACAAGGAUAAUUUUGACAUUUCAACUAAUAUGUAAAUGACGGUUGCAGUUUUGUCCCUGAUUUUGCCAGUUUUCUUGCAGAUGUGGGGCCCAUUCACUUUGUGUCAAUGGUCAAAUUUCUGCUUAUGAUUUGGAAAUAAUCCGUGCCAGACAGCCCCUAAAUAUGUUGAUUGAUUAGUUUUUAACCUGGAAAAUGUUAUAUACUUGUCCAUUCUUUAUUAAUGAGUGGACGAGAGAGGGGGAAUAAAUGAGAGAGAAAAAGAGUAAAUAACCUAGAAAAUGAAAAUCACUCUUCACUAAAAAAUUGUUUUCCUUAUUUUUGAGAAAAAUACGAUCACAUGAAUAGAGAUGGGAAAUGUUUUCAUGGAAAAAAAUAUCAAUUAAACACAUCAAAAGUAGGAAUUUGGGUGAAAAAUGAUAUUUUUCAGAAAAAUUUCAUGGAAAAUAAAGUCAAUCAAACUGCUAGGUCUAAAAUUGCAAUUGGUGAUUUUGUGGACAAAAGGACUAAAUUGUAAAUUUGUAAAAGUCAGGGACUCAACUGUGCAAUGCUAUAAAAGUCAGGGAGUAGGGUACAAUUUAGUAAAGUUAGAUGGUAGGGACUAGGGUUUGAGUAUUAGGUCAAAAUCAAGGUCACGGCAUCGAAAGUUCGCUAGUUGUCCGCCCUGCCACCGCUCGAGCGAGAAGAAGCAGAAUACACGUCGCUCGCUCUUCGCCUAGACUUCGCUCGAGCGAAGUACUGUCACUCACUUUCCGCUCGAGCGACAGUGGUAUAUGGGAAAUCGUAUUUUUGGUUUCUCGAAAGUUUUACACGGCCUAGGACACUUAAUUGCCUCCAACUAUAAAUACAAAGGCCAGUGGACGUGAAAUAGAAAUUGCUAGAUUGUGCCCACAUAGAUAUCAUUCUUCCAAUAUUCUUUGAAGUGAUCCAAGGCAAAAUUGAACGAGGAAUUCAUCCAUAAACACCUUGUGAUCCGGGCAAUCCAUUAUUGGGGAAAAACAUCAACCUUGUGAAGACAAAACACCUGGAUUUCUUCAUAUGUUGAGGAAGGGACUCUCUCAUUGGAGGAUUGAGAGAGGUGGACGACAAGCGCAGGAACUAGACAAGAAUAGGAGGUUCUUGGAAUUCCACUUGGUGAUACAAUUAGCUAGAGAUCAGGAGGCUAUAUUGGGUAACAGAUUGGGCUGCAGGAGGUAGAUCGUGAAACUAGUAAGAGACUAGCAGUAUCUAUGGUAGUAGAUCGUGAGAUUGGAACAGUGGAUCUGGCUUGGUACGGAGUUUGAAGAACUUGUACUUGCUGAAUUGGUAUAGUGGAAACUAUUAGCUUGGUCCCGGAGUUUUACCCACGUUGGGGUUUCUCUGUUAUCACAUCGUGAGUUGUUUUGUGUUAAUUGAUUGAUUUACUUUACUCAUUACAAAUCGACAGUUCAACUUAGGAUAAACUGGAUUGUAUGUUUAAUCAUCUAGAUAACAAUUAAUCUGUGACUUGUUACAAUUAAUUGUGUUAAUUCCGCACGUAAGGUCAAACGAUAAAUUGGAACGUAAACUUGAUAGCGACAAAAUUUUAAUUGGACAUAGUAUAGUGUUCUCGCGAACUUUCAAGUGUAGUAGUGCGUUCCUAGAGCGAUUUUUUCAAGUGGUAUCAGAGCCUAAGUAUGAAUCAUGACCUUACAUUAGUCUAGAUGAGUAUGUCGUUGAAUGUGCCACCCCACUUUGAUGGAAAUAAUUAUGCGUAUCGGAAAGUGAGAAUGAGGGUGUUUUUGAAAUCCUUGGAUGAGCGUGUUUGGCAGCUUGUGGUAAAUGGUUGGUCAGCCCCUAGUACCACAAUAGAUGGUGUAGUCACUCCCACCCUUGUCGAGAACUAGUCUAGAGCUCAAUUGGAUAGCUGUAAUUUAAAUCGCAAGGCCCUACAUGCCCUAUUAAUGGUAGUUUUCCCCAAAGAGUUUAGGAGAGUUUCCAUGUGUAAGGUAGCAAAAGAAGUUUGGGAUAUUUUAGAAACCACACAUGAGGGAACACAGACAGUUAAAAACUCUAAACUGUGGAUGUUGGCCACUAGGUUUGAAGAGAUAAGAAUGAGAGACAAUGUGAUGUUUGAUAUCUUUUAUGCUAGCUUAAAUGACAUAGUCAAUUCAUCCUUCAACCUAGGUGAGAAAGUCCCCGAGCCUAAGAUAGUGAGAAAGAUUCUUAGAUCCUUACCUGAGCGUUUUAGGCCUAAAGUUACGGCAAUUGAGGAGAGUAAGGACAUAGACACUAUCAAGGUAGAUGAGUUAGUUGGAUCCCUCCAGACCUAUUAAUUGACCUUAGACAAUCUAGCUAAGGAAAAAUCCAUAGCCUUAAAAAUCGCUAGGAAUAUCCAAAUGGAAUCUUCUGAUUCUGAUUCACCCAAUGAUGAGGAGAUGGCCUACCUAAGUAAAAAAUUUUGAAAAAUGGUUGGAAUAAGAAGAAGCCUCAAGAGAGACAAAGAGGUGGCCCGAGUGAAUCUAGGAAGAAAUCCCAAUCCGUGAGAUGCCAUAACUGUCGCGAUUUUGGUCAUGUGAAGAAUGAGUGCCCUAGUGCUAAAAGAUUUGAAGAGAAGGCUAUGAAAACUACUCUCACUGAUGACGAGUCUAGCUCGAACAAUCAGAGUGAGAAAUCCACCCGUGAAGAGAGUGGAAAAUAUGUGGCCUUCGUUGCUAGGGGUAAAAGUGGAUCCGAUCAGUGGAGUGAAAGGAUAGAGGACCUAGAUAGUAGUGAAGAAUCUAGUGAUGAGAGUAGAAGUGAGGAAGAUCUAGAAACAGCUUAUGAUAGGAUGUAUGAGGAGAGCCUCAAUAUCUUAGCAACUAACCAGGCUUUGAGCAAGAAAGUGAAAGAGCUUGACUAGAGAAGGAACAGUUAGAGGCCCGGGUUAGUGAUCUCACUAGUAAAAAUGAGAUGUCCUCUAGGAAAUUAAGUGAGCUGACCAUUGUGAAUGAAACCUUAGCUAUUCAGGUUAAGCACCUUGAGAAUGAGCUAGAGUUGUCUAGGUCUCAGUUACUUGCCUUUUCUAGCAGUUCUAAAAAGCUAGAUAAUAUUCUAGGAAUAGGCAAGCUGGCUAGUGAUAAGAGAGGUCUAGGUUUUGAUCUGAAUGCUGCUAGUACAUCAAAGACCACCUUUGUUCGUGCUACUGACCAACCAAACAUUGUGACUAAACCUAUACCAAAUGUUGUGGGAUCUUCAGGACGUAGGUCUACCAGACAUCGUAGGACCCGUCGACCUGGGAAUAGAAAUCAGCGUAAGCAUAUCACAGGUCCUACGUUGUGAAGCGAGGCAAGAAAGUUGCUGCCAAGGAGGAGCAACUGAAGAGCAAGCAAGCUCGCUAGCGUGAUUUUGAAUCUCACUUUAAUAAACUUCACCAAGCUCGUGGAUUGUAAAGUGGCUCAAGCCCAGCCCAGUCCUCGGAGCUAUCCAUGGCAACCCAAACUAUAUUGUCAGUUGAACCCUCCAAAUUUGAUUCCGACUCUAAGCGCAAAUUUUUUUUUGAAAUGAUCAAAAUUUUUUAUCCAAUUAAAAUCAAAAGAGGAAAAGAGGACAAGAAGAAAUGGAAAUUUAGUGGUUAUAACCCCAAGAAGAAGAUAAGGAAGAGUUAGUGAAAGUCAACAUGAGGAUGAAAAGUAUAAGUUUGGGGUAUGUGGAAAUCUUAUUAUUAUUUUUUUUGAAUUAGGAAUAUAAUUGUAAAUUUAAUGUGGUGUAUUUAUUAAACACAUAUUUUAAUUGUGGUGUGAUUAUACUGUGGUGUGGUAAAUAUAUUUUGUAGUGGUAAUAUAAUAACCCAGGGCCAGAAACCACAAAAAUCCAUCCUAGAUUUUAGCAGAUCCAUGGAGAUUUCUCUUCCAUGGACUUUUAUGAACCAACGAGAAGAAACUCUCACUUGGUUUCCUUGCGAACCUUUGUUUGUAGGGAAAAUGUUCACUUCCAUGGUUUGUGUAGAACAAAGUGAUGUUUUUCCCACAUUUAAUUAUUUCGCAACUAAGAGGCUGAGAGAGAAAUUUUUUAUAACUAUAUAGGUCUCUUGUCCAAACCGUUAUAUCAUAUAUAUGGUCCACUUUGGAAUGACAUUUGUUCACUUACUUUCCCAUGACUUUAAGUCUUGUAUACUAAGAUUCGGACCUAAGACAUCUUUUAUUGAGAGACUUAAGUUGAAUCUUGGUAGGAUUCGAGUCCCGUGCUCAAGUAAUUAACUUACGUAUUAUCCACUUUAAGAAAGUUUAGACCAUCUUACCUCUCACGGAUUUCUAUCGCGUCCCUAUUAUUCAAACUCAAAAUAUCUGGUUUAUAAGAGAUGUAAGCUAAAUCAUGGUACAGAUUGGACAACUCCUUGAUGUGGCAGCAUGGUGGUUGAGUUGUGGUGGGAUGGGUUUAGUAUAGAAUUUUAUUUGUUUAUUUUUUUGCUAUUUUUCAUUUUCAUUUACUUUUAUACUUCAAUUAAGAAUAAUGAAUGAAAAUUUUCUCUUUCUAAUAUUUGAAUGUAUGGGUCAAUUAGGUUAACUAAGGGAAAAAUGGUUCUAACUAGAUAGAUUAUAGCUUGCUUUUCAAAAUUUGGGAACCUCUUCGUUUAGAACAAUUGGUUGGGGAUAGAAAUGUAAAUGACCCUAAACAUUGGAGAUGUAUCGAGUAGUUUACCUAAAAAUAGAGUAUAUAGAAUGCUAUCGAUCAAAAAUGCAUUUCAUAGUAUAUACUAUACUCGAGUGUAACGCCUAUUAAGAAGUGUUGUUCAAAUUAAUAAAGGAAGAGUUGGAAUGAAAAAAGGAAUGGUAGCCUUAAGUAUGGUCCAUGCGACUGCAUAGGCCAUAUGGCCAUGCAGUUGCAUGGUCAUAUACUGAGAGUUUGAGGUUCGGCUACAAAUACACCAUGCGAUCGCAUGGAGUUGUACCAUGCGGUUGCAUGGUAAAUUAUUUUCAAUUGUUAUGUGGCCAUUUUUGACCGUUGUGAAGUCAAAUUUGGUAGCCUUUCUUAUGUCUUUUGGCACCAUUUCAAGCAUAUGGUCGAGGUCUAUAUAUAUGAGAUCAAUAUUCAAGCCAUUGAGCAUCGAAAACAGUUGAGAUUCAUUCCUUAUUCCACAAACAAAGAUCAAACCGUGGUUUUUAUUCAUAUUCAAUUUCUCUUAUUGUGUUCUUCAAGUUUUGGAGGAUUUCACUUUGUGCUUUGGUGAAAAAUCCUUUACAAUUCUUGUUAUAAUUCUUCAAAUUGUUUGCCAUAAUACCUUUAAGCAUCUCAUUCAAUUAGGAGAUGGAGCAAAUAUUGUUUGAGGAUAAUGAUAUCGUGUUCGGGCCUUCGAUUUUAUUCUUACAAGUUUCUGGUUUUGAUUCAUAUAUUGCUGUUUUUUUUUUUUUUUGGUUUCUUCCCUAUCACUCUAUUGUUUCCAACAAUCUCAAAUGAUAUUCCUAGAAACAUUGAUGGCGACAAUCAAACUAACGAAUCAAGACAUGGUGCAGUUGGAUCGAUUCGACGGGACUAACUUCACAUGAUGGCAAGACAAAUUAAAGUUUCUCCGAAUGGUGUUGAAAAUCUUCUAUAUUCUUGAUCCAGAUUUGGCACCAUUACUAAAACCACGAAUGGAGAGCCAGAAGCAAUUAACGUCGAAAGACAAAAUCGUUAAGAGGAUGAAUUAAUUUGCCGCAGUCAUAUACUCAACGCGCUAUCGAACCCCUUGUAUGAUUUAUGGACCUUUCUUUGGUGAAAGAAAUUUGGAAUGCUUUGGAGAGUAAGUAUAAAGAGAAAGAGGAAGGUACCAAGAAAUUUUUGAUAUCUAAAUAUUUCGACUUUAAAUUUCUUGAAAAUGUUCUCCUACUUCCCAAAGUGCAUGAACUUCAAAUUAUUGUCAACAAACUAAAGACAGUAAAGAUUGAAAUCCCGAAGAUUUUUCAAGUAGGGGCUAUAAUUGCUAAACUCCUGGGGACUUAGAAAGGAUAUCGGAAGAAAAUCAUGCAUAGUUCUGAAGAUUAUUCUUUGGAACAAUUACAAAGGCAUAUUCGGAUUAAGAGUCUAGAAUGCAUGAUAAGAGUGAAAACUCUCAUGAAGGAACCUCCAAAGCAAACACAGUGGAGAAAACUGAACCGUCUGCCGAAUCCAACAAGAGAAAGCCUUCAAGGAACUUCAAUAUGUCCAAGAAGAUGACCCAAAGGUGAAUGUUUCGUAUGUGGAAAGCCUGGAAACUACGUAAAGGAGUGUAGGCACCGAAUGAAACAACUCUAAGGGUAAAGUGAAUUCUAUCCAAGAGGAUAAAAUUGUGACCACUGUAAACGAAAUAAGUGCAAUCAAGGGAAAGGUUCCCGAGUGGUGGUAUUAUACUUGUGCUACUGUACAUUUAUCAUAUGAUAAAUCCUUAUUCAAAAUAUAUCAUGAGGUGGAUGGAGAGCAAGAGAUACAAAUGGGUAACGAGGUUUGGUCCAAGGUGAUUGGAAAGGAAAAUGUUGAUAUGAUCUCCACUUCUAUGAAAACAAUUGAUAAGUGUGUUUUUGCACACUUAUUUAGGUCACAAACAUGACUUAAUUACGAAUAAAAUGAUUGAAUUGUGACUUAAUUUCGUUGCAUUUGUGAAUUGUAGGUAACACCGAUGAACAUGGUGAAAUACAUGAGAAAAGACGCAAAAAAGGACUAAAAUGACACAAAGUGAAAGUUCAAGGACCAAGGUGCAAUUACCCAAAAGUUUACCUGAUGAACAAAUCAAGGAAUCGGCUGAACCAAAUGCCAAUUGAUAAUGCCUUGGGAUGAUGGAAUGGAAAGAGUGAAGAAAAGAGCCUAGAAGUGAAAGAUUCAAGUAAAGGGACUAAAUUGAAGUUUUUGGAAGUUAAAGUCUACCAUGCGGUCGCAUGGUAGAACUCUCAUGCGGCCGCACGAAGGGAUGCAGGGAAUUCAAUUGGAAAUAUGGAAUAACCAUGCGGCCACACGGAUUAAAACCAUGCGGUCGCAUGGCUAUUUGUCUGAUACGAAAUUUUCUUUCCUUAUACGAUUAAAACUCUUUUGGUAACCUAAUAUUGACGGGAUAUAAAUAUCAAAAACAUUUCAGAGACGACCAGAAUGCAAUUGGAGGCCGAAAAACACUUCUUGGAGAGGAUUUGAGCGCAAGAACAAAGAUUGGCACGAAGAACUUCAAGAUUUCUUCAAGAUUUCAUAACUCGGUGAUGUCUUUUAUUCAAAACAUGAUGUAUUUUGUUAUUUUAAUCAUGCUAGGCUAGAUUCUUAUUAUGCUAGGAGAUCGAUGAACCAUGUUAUUUGAAUUUUAAUAUCCUCGUUUUGCAAUUUGAUGUUAAGACACAAUUUUUAUUGUUUUGAAUGAUUUAUAUGCAAUUAAUGUUUCCGCAAUUAAGGGCUCGUAAUUGUGUGAAUUUAAGUGAUUUAUUCUUGCAUUCGAGAGAAUUGGAAUAGAUUUGACAUAAGAUAAAUCAUCGUAGGGUCCGAUAGUGGAUAGAAUUAUACCGCUAUGCCCUACGUGAAUCUUUAAGUGUUCAUAAAACUACAUGCAUUUUUUACAUAUGCUCUUGUCAUAGAAAUAUAGACCGGUGGUAUGUAGAAAUAAGUUUGAUAUAUCUCGAGAGAGAGUAUUGGAUAGACUUAGGAACAUUGAUUCGUCACAAUUGAAGUGUGUUGUCAUAUUGUGAAACUAGGGUUUAACGUGAUAAUUGCAUGGGAAAUCGUGAUCCUAGCGUAUUUAAUUUUAAAUAAUUAUAACAAUGUGCGUUCUCAACUUUUAGUUUUAUUCUAGAGUGUUAAAAUAUUAUUUUGAGUUUUAAUUUCAAUUUACUCAUUUAAUUUGCAUAAUUAGGGUUUCUUUUUGAAAUUAGAGUUUUUAAUUAGGUCCAUAUCCACUUUAACAAUCCAGUUUCGGUUAAGGCUACGUUAGAUAAAAUUUGAACUAAUCAAUCUCUGUGGGACGAUAUUCAAACUCAUUGAAUCCACUUUAUUACUUGUUAACGAACCGUACACUUGCGGUAGUUUUAAAUCGAAAGAAAUAAUUUCGCGAACAACCAUUACUUUGACAAAUAUAUUACACGUUCCAAAUAUAAAUCCGGUAAACUUGUAUUAUCCCUUAACGGAAAAUUUGUUGAAAAUAGAUAUUCUUGUGAAGGAAUCGUCAAAUUAUGUACCAUUAACAAAAAAAUUAAUAAAAUUGAUUUUGCUUAUUCUGUUGAUUCAUUUUUAUUGUGGCAUGCUAGAUUAUGUCAUAUUGGUAGAAGUACUAUGAAACAUAUGAAAAAAUGUGAGUUGAUUUCUUGUGAUGAAAAUAAUGAAUAUAAAUGCAAGACAUGUUUAGAAUAUAAGAUGAUUAAAAAAACCUUAUCAAAGUGUGAAAAAGGACAAUGGCUUGUUGACUAGCGGUAGAAAUAGGUAUUUCAUUGCCUUCACUGAUGAUUGCACCAUGUACACGUAUGUUUACUUGAUGAAACGUAAAAAUGAUGCCUUUGAUAUGUUUAAGGUAUAUAAAAGUGAAGCUGAAAAUUAUCUAAGAAAGAAAAUUAAAACCUUAAGAAGUGAUAGAGGCAAUGAGUAUUUUAUAGUGAAUUCAACUUGUUUUGUGAACAAUAUGGCAUAAUUUACCAAUAUUCUGCACUUAGGAGACUCGAAAAAAAUGGUUCAGUUGAAAGGAAAAAUAGGACCUUAGUUGAAAUGAUUAAUGCUAUACUUAUCUAUCCUAUGUUAUUAUUUAACUCGUGGGGUAAAGCAUUAUUAAGUGCAUGUAGGAUACUUGAUAGGAUUUCUUCAAAACAUAUAAAGGUUUCUCCUUACGAAUUGUAGAAAGGAAGGAAACCAAAUAUUAGAUACUUCAAAGUAUGGGGAUGUCUUGUUUAUUGUAAGAACACAAAUCCUAAUAGGAUCAAAUUGGGCUAAGAGGCAUUAAAUGUGCCUUUUUUUAAGAUAUUCUAGCAAUAGCAAAUCUUAUAGGUUGUUAAAUUUGGAGACCAAUGUGAUUAUCAAAUCCAAUGAUGUGGAGUUCUUUGAAGAUUCGUUAUCUUCGAACAAUGAAUUGAGAGAAAAUCUUAAAGAUAUCCCCAGCUCAAGUGAAAUACAAGAAGAGACAUCUUUGAAAGAUGUUAAUGAUCUAGUGAGCCACAAAGAAGUAAAAGAACUUGGGUUGAGAAGUCUUUGGGACCAGAUGAAAUUGAUUAUCAACUUAUCUCCUUUUAUUUAGCAGAGGGAAAUGAGUUGAAUGUUGUAAGAACAAUUCCUUUUGUAUUACAAAUGGAAACUGAUCCUAUGACUUACAAUGAAGCUAUGGCUUCUCAUGAUAGUAUUUUCUGGAAAGAUUCAAUUAAAGAUGAAAUUGAUUCGAUAAUGUAUAACAAUACGUGGGAACUUAUUGAUUUAUCACCCGGAUCCAAAUUAUUGGAUGUAAAUGGGUAUUUAGGAGAAAAUAUAACGUUGACAACUCCUAAAUACUUUAAGGCUAGAUUAGUAGCCAAAGAAUAUCGACAAAAGGAAGGAAUCAAUUAUUUUGAAACCUAUGCACCAAUAGCUAGAAUAACAUUGAUUAUGAUAUUAUUCACAUUAGUUUCAAUACAUGACUUGCAUGUUCAUCAAAUGGAUGUCAAGACGAAAUUUAAAUAGGGAUCUAGAUGAGGAGAUCUAUAUGUAAUAAUUCAAAGGGUUUACCCUACCUAGAAAUGAACAUAAGGUAUGUAAGUUGGUGAAAUCGCAAUAUGGUUUAAAGCAGGCACAUAAGAAAUGGCACGAGAAAUUCGAUUUAGCAAUCAUAUCAUUUGGUUUUUAAGCAUAAUAGUGUAGAUAAAUGCAUAUAUUCUAAGUUAUGUGAUAAUUAUUUGACAUUUAUUUACUUUUAUAUUGAUGAUAUGUUGAUUAUGAGUAAUCACAUGGACGAAAUAGUAGAAAUGAAGAGGUUUCUAUCUUCCACAUUUAAGAUGAAAAAUCUUGGAUAGGUAGAUACCAUUUUAGGUAUCAAAGUCACAAAAACUAGUAGGGGUUACUAUCUAAGUCAAUCACAUUAUAUCGAGAAUAUGAUGAACAAGUUCAAACAUUUGAACGUAAAAGAAUGUAGUACCCCAAUUGAUCCAAGUUCUAAGUUAAUGAAGAAUGAUGAAAGGGCAAUUGCUCAAUUGGAAUGUGCAAGUGCUAUACAGAGUCUUAUGUAUGUAGUACAAUGCACAAGACCGAACAUAGCCUAUGUGAUAAGUAAACUUAGUAGACUUACUAGCAAUUCGAGCAAUGAUCAUUGGAAGGCCAUUGAGAGAGUUCUUAGAUAUUUAAAGAAAACCAAGAACUUAGGCCUACAAUAUAAUAAAUUCCAGGUUGUAUUGGAAAGAUUUACUGAUGCUAGUUAGAUAUCUAGCACGGGAGAAAGUAAGUCCAUUUCGAGUUGGGUGCUCACCUAGGAGGAGGUGCUAUUUCUUGAAAAUAAAAAAAACAAACAUGUAUAACACGACAUGGAAUCCGAAUUUGGCACUAUCGAAAAUCGAGAAAGAGGCCAAGUGGCUUAAGGAUCUCUUUUAUGAGAUACCUUUGGGAUCGAAGAACAUCUCUUUAAUACAUAUCAUGUGCAAUAGUCAAGCCACAUUAGCAAAGGCAUACAACGAGUUAUACAAUGAAAAGUCUAGACAUAUGAAUUUUAGACAUGCCACAUAAGAAAAUUAAUCUAGGAUGGAAUAAUUUCCCUAAAUUAUGUAUGGUCAAUUGAGAAUUUAGCGGAUCUUUUAACUAAACAACUAAAUAGAGAUUUAGUAGCGUCUACUUCAAAUAGGACGGGGUUGAAAUUUCGAAACUGAAAAGGCCCACCAAUGAUGGCAGCCGUACCUGAUAUUACUUAAAAGGUAAUCCACAGGCUCAAAGAGUAACAUCAAGUCAUUCGAUAUGUGGAUAGCUGCAGCAUUAUUUAAAUCUGCUAUAAACCUAUCCUAAUUAAAUAAUGCUGGUUGUUAUUGAAGUGGAGGUUGAGCUUAAAGCUCUUAAUGAAGCUCAGUACUAAAACAUAAGUACCUCCAAAAGUAAUAAAGGUACUAGAAGAACUUCACCUAAACUAACUUUUAGGUGGUGCCGCCUCAAUAGAGAGUUGGAGUCUCUCUUUUAAAAGUUUGUGAGAAGGAUGAGCACAAGGCCAUAAUUACGCUAAGCGAGCUAUGAGAAACUUGAGAACACGUGAUACUCGUGUGUGUGUGUGUGUGUUCUUACCAGUAUAGUCACAUAGAAUAACUCGUUUAAAACUUCAUGCUACCUUUGAUUCUGACUUUACCUUGUUUGAAUUACACUAUGGUUAGAUUCAAAUUGGAAAAUAUCUAAUCCUUAUGCAUGAGUAUCAUAUACUUUGAAUAUGAGACUUUAUUGAAAUUGAACAAGUGGGGGAUUGUUAAGAAAUGUUGUUCAAAUCAACAAAGGAAAAGUUGGAAUGGAAAAAGGGAAUGGUAGCCAUGAGUAUUGUCCAUGCAACCGUAUAGGCCAUAUGGCCGUGUGGUCGCAUAGCCAUAUGCCGAGAGUUUGAGGCUCGGCUACAAAUAUACCACACAACCGCAUGAAGUUGUACCAUGCGGUCGCAUGGUAUAUUAUUUUUGAUCGUUAUGUGGCCAUUUUUAGCCAUUAUGAAUUCAAAUUAUAAUGGAGAUAUAUAUAUAUAUAUAUAUAUAUAUAUAUAUAUAUAUAUAUAUAUAUAUGAGAUCAAUAUACAAGCUAUUGAGUAUCAAAAACACUUGAGAUUCAUUCCUCAUUCCACAAUCAAAGAUCAAACACUAGUUUUAAUUCAUAUUCAAUUUAUCUUAUUGUGUUCUUUAAGUUUUGGAGGAUUUCACUUUGUGCUUUAGUGAAAAAUCCUUUACAAGGCUUGUUAUAAUCCUUCAAACCAUUUUUCGGAAUACCUUUAAGCAUCUCAUUCAAUUAGGAGAGGAGAAAAAUAUUGUUUGAGGCCAACGAUAUUGUGUUCGGGCCUUCGAUUUUAUCUUUACAAAUUUCUUGGUUUGAUUCAUAACCUACUGUAUUUUUUUUUUCUUUUUUUGGUUUCUUCCCCAUCACUCCAUUGUUCUAACAACGCCAGCAAAAGUAUAGAGUGGAGAAGAUUGCGAAAAUGGCUCCUGGUGUUUCAUUCAGCAACUACUUUCUUCUUAUCCAUUCUUCUUCCCUAUUUCAAAUCAUCAUCCACCCAUUUCUUUCCUAUAUUAACCCAAAAAAUUUCCAACAACAUUCAUAGAUGCUACUUCACUCUCCUUAUCCUUCUGCCAACAAGGUUUGUGUUCUCUAAUUCCUUCUAAUUCUAAUCAUUACUUAUUCUAGCUCAAAAUCAGUGCUCGUCCUGUGAUUUUAGGGGCCUGAGACAAACUUCAUAAAUUAGGUCUCCAAAAUUGUAUUAUACGUGCAAAAUUUAUAAGCGUAUCAUGUAACCAUUUGUUAACUUCUUAACUUAAAAUGUAACAGUAAAACCAAAAAAAAAAAAAAAUGUGUUAUAAAUUUUUUAUUAUAAUCAACUAACAGAGCAGACAAUGUUCCAAAAGAUCAACUAAAUACUAUUCGCCUUGCAGUUUUAUAGGGUCCUCCAAAUUUUUACAUUGAACAUUAUCUUCUUCCUUUUCAUCUAUUUCAUUUACACUGACAAGUUGAAUCACUUCUUCACUCUCAGCAAAUUCAUUCACAUUAUUUCUUUUAAAAUACUUGUCAAUAUUUCCUGCUUGACUUUGAAUUAAUGCCAUCUCAUUUUAUUUCCUUUUUCUUUUUUGAGCUCCAGACUCAUAUUUAGGAGGCAUGGUAUACGAAUGUUUUCAAGUGAUUAAGCUAAAAUUGAUAAUAAUAAAAUAUUUCAAUCAUCUCACAAUUAAAAUAUUCAACAUAAUCACUAUGUGCGCCUGUGCAAUUGGUCCUAUGAUUAAACGCUAAUAAAAGUCAAUAUAACCCAACAAUGUUACAAUACCUCAAUGUAAUCACAUAAACCGAAAAAGCCAAAAUGAUAUAAGCAAACAUUUCUUAAUAAAAAAGCAAGUGCAAGUCAUUGCUUACAUGAGAAGUAUGACUUGAGCAAAAAUUAUGAAAUGAAACAAUUCGAUACUUUGAGAGUUCCACCAUCGCAACUCACAAUCCUAAAAUUAAAAUUUAACAACAACCAUAACAACCGAUUAGAAUAAUUUUCUAAAAAUUAACGGAAGUCAUUGUUCGAAAAUUAAAAUCCAAGUUCGCACUUUAGAUAGCAUUCAUGUAAAGGUAAUUGAGACGCUUCUACUUGAAUUCGACAAGAAAUUUCAAAGGCGAACUCAUACCAAAAUGUCGGGCCAAUCGAACAGAAUAAUGAAAGAAAUAAAAAAUAAAUAUGACCUUCAUUAUUUAGAGGGAAAAAAACUAAAAAGCCUAAAUGAGAAGGGAUCAUAGUUUUUCAUAUGAUAAAUUUAACAACAUUAAAGAACAAGAUUAUUAAAAUCUUAAGUUUCUGGAAGAAAAAAUUAGUUGCAAAGUGAACAACAUUAAACAGCAAAUGAACUUGAUGAUUUCUCCAAUAGUUGAAAAGUGUAGUAUGGCUAUGGAAACGUCAACAAACAGAUAUAUCAUUCCCGGUUCCUGUAUAAUUUUGCAGAGGAAUUAUCUUUGAAAUUAGUUUGACACAUAUGAAAUCGGGAAUUCUGACUUCUGAGGCAAGAGAACAAGAAACACAUAUAAAUUCAAAGUCUAAUGACUGAUUAUUUAUUCCUCCACAAAAUUUUGAGAAACAAAGGCCAAUUAUCUAUUCCAAGGUUUUAUUUAUUACUGAUGUUCAUGUAAUCACCAUCAUACUAAGAAUUAAUUCAGAAACAACAACUAAGAAUCAAUUAAAUCACUCAAAAGGAAAACCCCAUAAUUCUUAUGCACAGAAUGUCAAAAACCACAAACCCGACAACACAAAUCCGAUUAACGUAGGUAGGGAAGGUUGGACGGCGCUCGGAGAAGUAAGAAGAUCGCCUUAUGUCCUUGUAAUGCCGUUUGGCAGUUUGGGUUGUUCAAUAAUUUGGAUUUUGAUUUGCAAGAGACCAGGGGCCGAACGACAAUGGAUACCAAUGCCAAGAAAUUUGUUAUUCCCUUUUUUAGGGGAAAAAAAGAAUUCAAAGGCCCCUUAAAUUAUUGGGCCUCAUGUGCCUCAUAAUAGGAUCAGGCCUGCUCAAAAUCUCCCAGCCAAGAUUGUUUCUUGGCACUUAUGUACCUUGCUCUAUUUGUGCCAAUUCUAAAUCGAGCUAAGUACAGGAAGCAUUGGUCUUUAUCUGUGAAGGGAUUUUUGUGUUAAAUGAUAUAUGUGAAAUAACUAUUGAUUGUAUUCUAUUUUUUUGUUGUUGAUUUGAUAUCAUGGCUAUUUCAGGAUUUUGGUUUUCACUUGAGAGGAAGCCCUACAAAGACCUUAAUGCACAUAUGUGAGCUGUUUGAUAGUUAAUUGGCUCGAUUACUGCUGCUGAGGGGCUACGCUUUGUUAUUAUCUGCACUGCCAUCUAGAUAUUUGAUCUAGUUAAUUAUGUCUAUUACAUUGAUAUUGGGUGUUUGUUUUUAUUUUUAGCUAUUGAAUUUAAGGCCCAAUUUCUAUUUUUCUUCCACCCCCACUCCCCCAAUGGAGGAUUGGUGUUCAUUUUGCUUGUUCCAAAUUCUGGCUUCUUCUUGGUCUGUAAAAGGUGGUGGCACGUUACAAUGAAAUUAUCACAAAGCCUCUACUAGAGGGAGCUUUGGAAACUUUCAAGAAACACUCAGUUAAAGAAGAAGAUUGUGUUGGGUUGUGUGCUCGUAUAGUAUAGUUUUACUGAUGUAAAAAUAACAAGAUUUUUUAUCUUUAAUAAAAUUUUGUUUACUUUAUUUAUUGCAUUUAUUUAUUAUUAAGUAUGCAAAAUUAAAGUGCCUAUGAUCAGUUGUGAAACGAGUUGGGUACUUGAGUUGAGAAGUACAGUGUGACACAACUUAUAUUUUGAUCAUAAAUAAUUGUUCACAACCAAUGUAUAAGGGUUGGAACCUUGUAUUGGAAGAUUGUAGUGUUGACCGAUUCACUAUUCAGGUUUGUGAUUUGCCCUUAUCACAGAAAUAGUUAAAGGUGACACUAGUACACUUGGAGUGUAUUGAACGGACCGCGUGUUGAAUUUAAUUCCAUAGCAUGACCGUGCGGAGAAUUAAAUUUCACUUGACGGUUGUGUAUUUCAUCUAAAUCCCUUACAGAAUUAUGUAUAUCUUUCGUGAUUUUUAAUGGUUCUUUGAUUCAUCAAUGGGUGAGAUCAAUUUGAUUGAUCAAAUAUCUCGAUGAGAUGGAAACUUGAGAAUGAGCGGAGUAGAGAACAUGAAUUCUUGUCGAGAACCGUCACCUUGAAAAUGGGUAGAGUGACUACUUAAGUACUUUCUAUUGAACGGUUAAAAUCUGAUCUUAGUAUUUAGCAACGGCUAAACUUCGACAUCCGUGAUUUGUUCACAGGACCGUUGAAAAAAAUGAAACUUAAGUUAGUGAGAAUAACUAGAGGAGCAAAAAGGUCAUUUUUACUUGUUCCUAAUUAUCAUAUCUCAGACGGGGAUAAAAUACAUAUACGGCAGGUCAAAGGAAAGUAUUAUAGAUUUAUUGGGUAGUCUAGGGUCGGCUAGACAGGAUUUAAUUAUUGGAGCUUGAAAAAUAUAUGCCUAAGUCCCUGUGGUAGGUUCAUAAAGUAAUGGAGCUUAAUUACGGUAAUUAUAAUAGUUUUGAGCUUAAUUGUAAUUACAAUAAAGUUUUGUACUUGAUUGUAAUUUCUAAGAAAAUUAUAAACUUAAUUGUAAUAGUAAUUAAAGUUCUAGGACUACACAUGCAAUUAAAUGUAAACUAAUUAGAAUUGGACUUAAAUUAGAACUCCUACUUGAGUUUUAAUUAGAACUCUUGUUUGAAUGUGGAAUUAUAAUUGUACUAGAAUUGUAUCAUCUUUUUCUCUAUAAAUAGAGACUAGAUGGACAAAAAAAUACUACAACAUUCAUAAUUCCAUAAGAUUCAGAUUUAGAGAGAGAAAAAGAGAGGGAAAAUAAUUUAUUUUCUUGUUAUCCAAAAUUCAAGAAUUAGUUUCUGGAUUAAUUGAAAGAAGGUGCCCACACACCGGUGUUGUCUUUGCGUUGAAGAAUACCAUAGAAGGCUUGAAGAUCUGAAACACCAAGAUUCUUGCAAUUAAAGGAGAUGGAAGUUCGCGGAUCAAAGUUAAUUCAAGGUUGAUCAUUGAACUUAAGCAAAUUAUUCGAAUCCUUUAAUUUUGAUAUAACAUACACGUGAACAUCUAGACGAUCUUGCUUAUUGAAUUAAAGAAAAUUUUAAUUCUGGAUAAUUACGCUUCCGCAUUCCAACGACUGGUAUCAGAGCAAUCUAGAUCAUUCACGUCCUUGUUAUUUAUGAAUCUUGAUUGCAUGUUCUAGUUGAGCAAUGUCUAGGAAUAAUUUAUUAUAUGUUGAUUGAAUGAUUGGAUUAUUUUAAAUUGUGAACUAAUUAUUUGUGGCCAGUUCUUGAUUGUAAUUCGUUAUUUCGAGUCUGUAACAAUAUAGGUGGAUUACGACUCCAUCAUCUUGAUAUAAUUUUCUGUUCAAUUAGAUUCAAAAUUUGUGAGCCUACGGGAUAUAGGAAUUUAUGUAAUUCUUGUAAUUUUUGAAUCUUGCGAAUUGAUUGAAGACAAAGACGAAGAUUGAAGACGCAGGAUGAAAAAUUCAAAAAAAAAAAAAAGGAUGGUAGUUUCAAUUGCACAAAGUGAUCGUCCAUGGUCCGUUCGUAAAAAGGCUGGAAUAUUACAUGUUGGACAACAAACCAAUAUAGUUAAUUGCCUUGGUUCUAGAAAUGUGGGCCACCAUCAACAAAUAAAUAUUCUGAACGGCACAAUUGGGUUAUUAAUUCUCCAAAGGGUAACAUUGAUGACAAACAAGCUUUGCAAAAAAAAAAAAGAAUUAAAUAAUGGAAUAAAUUGCUGUUGAUGGGGAACUGCCAUGAUAGAUGCAUCGAAUUGCGGCAGAAGGAUUAGAAGCAGCAUCUAUAUUUACGCAAUGGGUCAAUUGGAAUUUUGUUUUGGACAGUGUCUUAUUGUUGUUAGAAUUGCUACACUGGAUCCUUGAAUAUUUUGGACUGAAGAUUUAGAUUAGAUAUUGGGCUUGGAUCCAAUUAGGUUUUAAUUUAUUUCUUGAGUCGUGUUUGGGCCACAAAUAAUUACUAAUUUAUCGCUUUAUGAAUGCUUUAAAUUAUUGUUUGAAAUACUGUCAUUCUAGAUAUCAUGACAUAUAUAUUUAUUUGUGACAUCGUUCGUGAUACUAUGAAUAGGAUGUAUAGCAUUAAACACGGAUUUUUCUUUGAUUAAUUUAAUUUAAAUUAAAUUUUUCUGAAUAGAAAAAUUGUAAUAAUUAAACUGUAUAUUAAUUUAAUUAAUAUGAAUAGUUGGUAAUUAUUUCAAUUAAUAUCCAUUAUUCUAAAAGAUUGAGUGGGAGAGGGUGUUUAUUUAAAUAAAAACCCACGGUCUCAUUUGGUCAAUCCAUAAGCAAAGUAACACGCUUGCCUCGUGCCGGUAAUGCAAUGGAUUCCCUAUAGGAGGGUCUCGUGGUUCAAGUUGUUUGAUUGGAUUUCUUUAUGAUAAAGUUGUCUAAAUAGAAUAUAAUUUGUGAUCAUCCUAUAGAUGGGGAAAUUAUUUUCAAGUGUUUAGAGAUUCAGACAAAGGUUUGUACACUCAAAUCAAAAUUAUCUACGAACCUCCUAUAGAGGCUCUCGUUUAUAAUUUUGGUGACCAAAUAAAAUGAUGCUAGGCUUAAUAUAGACAUUUGUCGUCAGAUAUAUUUUGUUUAGUGGGAGGGUCUCAGCUUGAUCAGUGGACACAUUGACCUUUCCUAUAGAGAGGCAUGUUGGAUCACAGGGAUCAAGUCAUCGUUGCAUUAUUGUAGUUAGAUGGAUCUACACAUGCAUUCAUGCAUCAUAUGCUAAAUUAUCAUUCACUGCUCAAUUUUUAAUAUGUAAUAAAUUAUUAUUUUUCAGCAAGAUGUCUCUCAGCGCUUUUUUCGUUAUUCUAAAAAAAACCAACUUGUCGGGGAUAAUUAUGUGGAUUGGAAACGUAAUUUGAUGUUUGUGCUUAUUGCCGAAAAACUUGACUCUAUGCUCGAAGAAGAAUGUCUCGAGGUACGUACCGAGACUACGGGCAAGUCCAAGAGGGCUGCAUAUGAUAAGUGGAUCGCUCCUGACAGGAUGGCUCGCUAUUACAUUUUGGCAUCCAUAUCAAACGUGUUACAGCAAAAGCUUGAAAGUGAGGAGAUCUCUUAUGAUAUACUAGAAAACCUGAAUGUAGGUUGUCAACGAGCCGAGCCGAGCCAAAACUCGAGGCUCAAGCUCGGCUCAAGUAAAAUGGGAAGAACUUUUUACGGCCAGAGCCGAGCAGAGCAAAAGCUCGGUCAAAAAAAUUGGGCUCGACCCAAGCUUUCGGCUCGGGCCUUAGCACUUGGCUCGAUUUUUUUUUAUUUUUUUUAACAAAUCUAACAUUUUUUAAAAGAAUUUAAAAAUUGUGCAACUUAUACGAACUAUAUAUUAAAUAAAAGUUACAACUUACAACUCUUUUUUUUUUCAGUUUGAAAAAUCCAUCUAUAACUAUUAUAAUAAAAGAUAAUGAAUAUUAGAACAAAGAAAUUGAAGUUGAAACUACAAUAUUUCAAGUUGAAAACAAUUAAAGCAAAUUGAUAGAAAAUUCAAAAUUUUGUCCCUAUUUUUUAGCAAAAGAAAAAAAAUUUUAACUUAACCAAAUUUAAAUUUCGCAUUUAUUCAAAAAUUUGGACGCUAACUACUUGUAUAUUCGUUGCCCUAACAGGCAGUUUAUAUAGCUGCCUGUUUCAAGGCAGCUACACAUUUUUUUAAUAAAUAAUUUUUUUAUUUUAUGGCCUUAGUUAGUCUAUACGUAAUUUUUUUAUAUUUUCACGGGCUGGCCCAAGCUCGAGCUGAUGCCCCAAAAUGGGGCUCGGCCUGAGCCUUUGCUUGAUUUCUUCAAGCCACGAGUUGGGCCGGCUCGGGCUUUUCUCGAGUCGAGCCACCCGAGCCGAUGAGCCUUUUUGACAUCCCUACCUGAAGGGCAUGUUUGGACAUCAAAGUAGGAGGGCUCGCUUUGAGGCCAUUCGUACCUUACAGAACAUCAGCAUGAAACCCGGAAUGCCUCUAAAGGAUCAUAUGUUGACUAUGAUUUUAUACUUCAACGUGGCGGAGAAUCUGGGUACAACUAUUGAUCAAGAAACUCAAGUUGAUAUGGGGUUGAAUUCUUUAUCUGAUAUGAUUUCACAGUUUACUGUGGACUAUCACUUGCACAAAAUGAAUAUGCCAUUAGCUGAGUUGAUGAAUGAGCUGCAAAAUGUGGAAAGUGGUCUCAAGGGUAAGGCUGGCCAUGCUCAUGUGGCAAUUGCUAGCUCCUCUAGCUCCAAGCUAAAAGGAGAAAUUGGAAAGAAGAGGAAGAGAUCUAACAAGAAGCUAAGAAGCAACAAAAAGCCCAAAUCAGAUGGAACACCGAAAGGCAAGUGUUUCCACUGUAGUUGCAAAGGACACUGGAAGAAAGACUGCCAUGAUGCACUAGCUAAAAAGCUGGGCGUUGUGAGUUUUUUAUUGCUGAGUCAUGUUUGGUGGUUGAUUCUACAAAUUCUUGGGUUGUAGACUCUGGAGCCACUAAUCAUAUAUGCAUGUCUAUGCAGGUGCUUCAAGAGAGCAGAAGAAUCAGUGAGGGCCAGUUUAAAAUUACUUUCGGCACAGGAGCUAUAGUUUCAGCAAGAGCAAUAGGAGUAGUUUACUUUUAUUUCAAUAGUGGUAGGGUUUAAUUCUUAAAGACUGUUAUUAUGUCCCAUAGAUGAAGCAGAAUUUGAUUUCUAUUUCUUGUUUAAUAGGACAAGGUUAUUCUGUAAACUCUGUGCAUGAUGCGCUUUAUAUUCUAAAUAAUAAAGCCCCUAUUUGUCCUGGAUAUUUGGUGAAUGGUCUUUAUAUUUUAAAUUGUGCCACAAAUGAAAUAAAUGUUACUUCUGCAAACCAUGAAUGAACAUCUAACCGUACCAGUGAUACUCAUUUAUGGCAUCUUAGACUUGGACAUAUUAACGUUAACAGGAUACAAAGAUUGGCUAAAGAUGGUCCACUUAACACAUUUAAGGUUAAACCAUUGCAAGUUUGUGAUUCUUGUUUGGAGGGUAAAAUGACCAAGAGAUCUUUUCUAGCAAAAGGACAUAGAGCCAAAGCAGUAUUAGAACUAGUUCAUUCUGAUGUAUGUGGACCCAUGAAUACACCCGCGAGUGGGGGUUAUGAGUAUUUUAUCACUUUUAUCAAUGAUUACUCUAGAUUUGGAUACAUCUACCUAAUGACUCGAAAGUCAGAUGCUUUUGAAAAAUUCAAAGAGUAUCAGGCUAAGGUCGAGAAAUAUUUGGGUAAUAGUAUUAAGACACUUCAAUCAGAUCGAGGUGGCGAAUAUCUCUCGGGAGAAUUCAGGGACUACUUGACAGAAAAUGGUAUUGUUUCUCAACUGAGUACGUCGGGUACACCCUAACAGAAUGGCGUUUUAGAAAGGAGAAACAUGACAUUGUUAGAUAUGGUUAGGUCAAUGAUGAGUUUCGCAACUCUACCUACCUCAUUUUAGGGAUAUGUACUGAAAACAACAGCAUAUGAUCUUAACUUAGUUUCUUCUAAAUCGGUUCCCAAGACUCCCCUAGAAUUAUGGAAUGGACGCAAGUCUAGCUUUCAUUAUAUUCGAAUUUGGGGAUGUCCGGCUCAUGUGCUGAAAGGGAAGUCAGAGAAGUUGGAGUCUAGAUCAGAGAUAUGUCUAUUUGUGGGAUACCCUAAAGGUACCAAGGGAUAUUAUUUUUAUAGUCCUCUAGAUAGGAAAUCUUUGUUAGCACAAAUGCUACUUUCCUAGAGGAUAAGUAUAUUAAUGAACGUUAGUCCAAAAGUAAGGUUGUGUUGGAAGAAAUGAGUGGGAGCAGUUCCACCACAUCGAUUCCUGAAACACAAUCUCAUGACAGACAACCCUUGGUGUUAGAUAUACCUAAACAAUGUGUUUUGAGUGGGAGAGAUGAGUCAUCCAAUCCCAUGGAUCAAGUAAAUGUUCAAGGUAUUGAGGAGAUAAUGGAACCACCUAAUGGUGAUACCAACAUUGAUACAAAUGUUACAAUUCCAAAUGAUGCCACAGUUCAGGAUCUACCGUCCCUUAGAUAAAGUCAGAGGGUUAUCAGACCACCUUCUAGGUACUUGUUGGUUGGAGAGUCCAAUCAGGCGAUCUCCACAACACAAGUUGAUGACGUGACAUCAUCUAAGAAGGCCAUGAAUGAUGUGGAUGCAGAUUUAUGGCAACAAGCUAUGAAUACUGAAAUGGAAUCUAUGCAUUCUAAUUAGGUUUGGAAACUUGUAGAUGCACCAGAAGGGAUAAAACCCAUUGGGUGCAAGUGGGUCUAUAAGAGAAAGAGAGGAGGAGAUAGGAAAGUGGAAACUUUCAAAGCAAGGCUAGUGGCUAAGGGUUUUACCCAACGAGAAGGCAUCGAUUACGAGGAGACCUUUUCGCCUAUGGCUAUGCUUAAGUCUAUCUGGAUUCUUUUAUCCAUUGUAGCUCAUUCUGAUUAUGAGGUGUGGUAGAUGGAUGUCAAGAAGGCAUUUUUGAAUGGCUAUCUUGAGGAAUGUAUCUAUAUGAUGCAACCAGACAGAUUCAUAGAACCUGGUCAUGAAGACAAAGUCUGCAAGCUUCAGUGGUCCAUUUAUGGGUUGAAGCAAGCAUCAAGAUCUUGAAACAAGAGAUUUGGCGAAGUGAUUAAGACAAAUGGUUUUGAUCGGAACUUUGACAAACCCUGUGUCUAUAAAAAGAUACAGGAGAAAAUUGUAAUUUUUCUCGUGCUAUAUGUGGAUGAUAUUAUGUUCAUUGGAAAUGAUGUUGGAGCAUUAUCGUCUAUGAAAGUGUGGCUAGCCCAACAGUUUUAUAUGAAGGACUUAGGAAAAGCUAGCUAUAUUAUAGGUGUUUAGAUCUUAAGAGAUCGAAAGAACAAGCAGAUAGCUCUAUCCCAACUUCAUACAUUGAAUAAAUACUUGUCAGAUUUGCCAUGCAAGAUUCCAAGAAAGGUAAUUUACCUUUCAAACAUGGAAUACAACUCUCUAAGGAUCAGUCCCUUAAGACUCCUAAAGAGGUAGAACGCAUGAGUAGGAUACCUUAUGCAUCGACAGUUGGUAUUCUCGUGUAUGCUAUGAUGUGCACUAGACCUAACAUUUGUUAUGCUGUUGGUAUGGUGAGUCGAUAUCAAUCUAACCCUGGACCGGAACACUGGGUGGCUGUAAAACGUAUCUUGUAGUACCUUCGAAGGACCAGGAAUCACAUGCUAGUUUACUCAUCACCAGAUCUUGUUGCAGUGGGUUAUACAGAUUUAGACUUCCAGGCUGAUAAGGAUUCCCGCAAGUCUAUAUCAAGAUCACUGUUUACACUUGGUGGUGGGGCCAUUAUUUGGAGAAGUAUCAAACAAUCAUGUAUUACUAAUUCCACCAUAGAGGCUGAAUAUGUGGCAGCUUGUGAAUCCGCUAAGGAAGCGGUGUGACUCAAAAAGUUCCUAACGGAUAUCGAGGUGGUCCCUGCAUCUGCACAACCCCUGAUGCUGUACUGUGAUAACAAUGGGGCAAUGGCAAAUGCUAAAGAACCAAUGAGUCAUCAAAGGGGUAAACAUAUUGAAUGGAAAUAUCAUCUCUUGAGAGAGAUAGUUAAUAGAGGAGAUGUGAUUGUCAAUAAAAUUGCUAUUGGGGAUAACCUCGCAGAUCCAUUUACAAAGAGUCUAUCGGCUAAGGUUUUUAAUGGACAUGUACGAGGCAUGGGGUUACAGGACAUGACACAUAUACUCUCGGGCAAGUGGGAGAUUUGUUGGGUUGUGUGCCCAUAUAGUAUAGUUUUGCUAAUGUAAAAAUAACAAUAUUUUUUUAUAUUGAAUAAAAUUAUGUUCACUUUAUUUAUUGAAUUUAUUUAUUAUUGAGCAUGAGAAAUUAAAGUGUCUAUGAUCACUUGUGAAAUGAGUUGAGUACUUGCGCUGAGAAGUACAGUGUGACACAACUUAUAUUUUGAUCAUAAAUAAUUUUUUCACAACCAAUGUAUAAGGGUUGGCACCUUGUACUGGAAGGUUGUAGUGUUGACCGAUUUACUAUUCAGGUUUAUGAUUUGUCCUUAUCACAGAAAUUGUUAAAGGUGAUACUAGUACACUUGGAGUGUAUUGAACGGAUCGCGUGUUGAAUUUAAUUCUAUAGCAUGACUAUGUGGAGAAUUAAAUUCCACUUGACGGGUGUGUAUUUCAUCUAAAUCUCUUGAUAGAAAUAUGUAUAUCUUUUUGUGAUUUUUAUUGGAUAUUUGAUUCAUCAAUGGUUGAGAUUCAUCAAUAGUUGAGAUCAAUUUGAUUGGUUAAAUAGCUCGAUGAGUUGGGAACUUGAGAAUGAGCGGAGUAGAGAUCAUGAAUUCGUGUCGGAAACCAUCACCUUGAAAAUGGGUAGAGUGACUACUUAAAUACUUUCUGUUGAAUUGUUAAAAUCUGAACUCAGCGUUUAGCAACAGCUAAACUUCGACAUCUGUGAUUUGUUCACAGGACCGUUGAAGAAAAUGACUUAAGUUAAUGAGAAUAAUUAGAGGGGAAAAAUGGUCAUUUAUGCUCAUACCUAAUUAUUGAAUCUCAGAUGGGGAUAAAAUACAUAUACGACAGGUCAGAGGAAGGUAUUACAGAUUUAUUGGCUUCUGUGAUCUUAUAUAUUCCGAGAGUUUAGUCUUUUGCCUUUAGUGGAAAAAACAAAGACUAAUAAUUAGAUUGGGUGGUCUAGGAUGGGCUAGACAUGAUCUAAUUAUUGGAGCUUGAAAAAUAUAUGUCCGAUCAGGUCCCUGUGGUAGCUCCAUAAAGUAUUGGAACUUAAUUACGGUAAUUAUAAUAAUUUGGGCCUAAUAUUCAUUAGAAUAAAGUUUUGUACUUGGUUGUAAUUACUAUGAAAGUUAUAAACUUAAUUGUAAUUGUAAUUAAAGUUCUAGGACUACACAUGCAAUUAAAUAUAAACUAAUUAGAAUUGGACUUAAAUUAGAACUCCUACUUGAGUUUUAAUUAGAACUCUUGUUUGAAUGUUGAAUUAUAAUUGUACUAGAAUUGUAUCAUCUUUCUCUAUAAAUAGAGGCUAGAUGGACAGAAAAAUAUUAAAACAUUCAUAAUUCCUUAAGAUUCAAAUUUAAAGAGAGAAAAUAGUUUAUUUUCUUGUUGUCCAAAAUUCAAGAAUUAAUUUUUGGAUUAAUUGAAAGAAGGUGCCCACACAUCGGUGUAGUCUUUGCAUUGGAGAAUACCAUAGAAGGCUUGAAAGUUUGAAGCACCAAGAUUGAUAUGAUCCAGGAGUCGAGCCCGACGAAGGCAAGUGCGAGACGAGAUCCGUUGAUAGUCGAUGGCGGACCAAUAACGCGAUCAAGGGCAAAGCAAAUGAAACAAGCGAUGGGAUUGCUCGUUCAAGAAACCAUUGAUGGAACCAUGUUCGAGACUCAAAAUAGAGCAACUUUCAUGUUCGGGUCGAAGGCCGAAUCAACUUGGAUCAAUUUGUUAUCAAGCGACGAAACCAGAGGCUGGAAAUAAGCCUGUGCAACCGCACAGCAAAAACACCAUGCGGCCGCAUGGUGGCAUACCGAAAUUUAAAUUGGGAUUUUUGUUGAACCAUGCGACCGCAUGGAAAUAUACCAUGCGGCCGCACAGGCAAAAAAUUUGGCGAAUUUUCCAAUUUUGGUAAUUUUUCAUAAUUUGUUAGAUUUUGAUUCUUUUCCAUAUUUUGGAGAUUAUGCUCGACUUUUGCACGAUUUUUACCUAGUUUUUAGGUUUAGUAUAAGGAGGAGUUUCCAUUUAAUUGUUGAAAACCUUUUUGACAUUAUUGAUAUUGAAUUAAAGUGAGGCGUAUUGUCUUCUCUUCAUCUUUUUUCAUUGAACAACUUCGAACUUAUCAAGUGUUAACUUGUGGCGUUCAAAUAACUGGAUUUAAUUCUUGGAUUGCAUGAUCAAGGGGUCUUUCAAGCGUCGUUCUUGUUGGAUUUUUUGGUUCGACUUUCUUUUGGGUUAAUCCUAAACUUUGGAUUAAUUUGGCUUUCUUGUGUUCAUCAAUCUCGUUGUGGGUUUCGUAGUCAACGUUGCUACGAUGUUCGCAUCAAAGAUUCUUUCAAUUAAAGGAGAUGAAAGUUCGCAGAUCAGAGUUAAUUCGAGGUUGAUCAUUGAACUUAGGUAAAAUAUUCGAAUCCUUUAAUUUUGAUAUAAUAUACACGUGAACAUUUAGACGAUCUUGCUCAUUGAAUUAAAGAAAAUUUAAAUUUCUGGAUAAUUCCGCUUCCGCAUUACAACAGAUUGAUGUGAGUAACCAACUGCUAACAAUUUUUGCUUCUUCAUUUGUUUCCAUCUCAGAACGCUAAUGCAAUUUUAUUAUUGUGUUUGGCUGUAGUCUCAGAUCUUUUGCAUGCUAUUACUUGUCAUUGGUAGAGUUUAUGAACAUAAAUUAAGCGAGCUAUAUGGAUGAUUAGAAUGCUGAGAUAACCUGUUUAUAUGUCUUUAUCUAUGACGGAAAUGUUAUCUUUGUCACUAUACGCAUGUUCCUGUUUCUUGAAGACUGAAGUUAUUUGACAUCGCUCAGUUGGCCCCUAUCUUGCCAAUUACCAGCUUCUAUUUAGCUCGGUCUUGCAGCAUUAAUUUUACGUAGUUGAUAACUUUUCCGUACCAUGAUAAAUGCGGGUUUAUUGCACUCAUUCAGACUAUUAAACUUAGAUACUUGCGCGUUUUAUUAGCGAUUUAUUACUUAUUUUUCUUAUUUUUAUUUUGUAGGUAAAAACCAGAGAUUAAACGAUGAAUUGAAGGAAUUUAUGUGACAAACGAGCUAAAGAUGAUGGCAAACAAAGAAAGACGACCAAAGACGCCACCGAAAGAAGAUUUUAAAAAAAUUAAAAACAGUAAAUGGGGCAGUGAACUGGGCGUCUGCCCAGUUUUGGGUAGAAGGCGCCAGCCGGGUCACUUUAAUUAUUCCCUUAAAUUUUAGGGACCAAAAGCUGCAAUUCCCUUAGGUUUUACUUCAAAGCCCACUGAAUUGCCAGAGGCUAGGGGCUUUUCUUUUUCUGCAAUUUUUGGGAAGCGGCUGGAGCAUUUUGUUUUAUUUUCUUUCCUUUUUUUAUUUUUUCUUUUUCUUCCAUCUUUUAGCUUGGUUUCCUUGGAUAUUUUGGAGAAAAUUUGGGGGAUGAUUAUGGUGAAGUAGCUUGGAGAAGAAGAUGAUUUGAUAUUGAAGAAACCCUCAACUAUUUUUCAAUUAUCAAUAAGCUUUUCUUUCCCUAUUUUCCAUUAUUGUGUUGUAAGAAUUUGAUGCUUAUUUGUGAAUAUUUCAUGGGUAACUAAAUAUAUAUGUGAUUGGGGAUUAUUUCAAACCCUACUUAUGAUUUUUAAUUAAUUUGUGCUUUAUAGUUCUCUUGAUUGAUGUGUUUAAUUCAUCGUGUUAAAUAUUUAUUUUGUUCUUCUUGGUUGUUUAGUUGUACAACUAAAUGAUUAAGUUGUUUCGAUAAAUGCUAUUUUGAGAUUAGCAGUACAUAAUAGCUAUUGAUUCUAAAACCUAGUAGUAAUUACAUUUCGAUGGAUUAUGAAGAAUUUUCAAUUGAAUGUAUGUGGAUUAACACUUAAAUUAGUAAACUGAGCUUGCGAGUUUACCCUUAAUUCAAUUAAUCUCUUUUGUCGUAAUGUGUUUGUUAAAUUAAAUCUAGAGAGCUUGUUCUAGGUUGUUUAAUGAAUAGGGUCGAGUAAAGAGCUUGUUUUAUUCGACUAACAUGUAAGGAGAGAUUGAGAUAAUUGAGCUUGUAAUUAUUUUCGAAUUGUUGUUAAUCUUGAAAUCGAAAAUCUAUUGUGGUAAUUGACAUGAAAGUCAUUCUCGUGGUGACGAAAUAUCCCCCAAUCACAUUUUCUAGUAUUCAAUAGACAACCACUUUGUUUAUUUCAAGUUUCAAAUAUUCUCUAUUUCGAAUUUAUCGCUUUACUUAGUUAAACGAACCAAACCCCCCCACCCAUUUAAUCAAUUUUGUAUAUAAUCGCUAGUUUUACUUUUUAGUGUGCAAUUGACAAAAUUGAACCAAUCCUCUAUGGGAAAUGACCCUUAUUUACCAUUUUACUAUUUAAGAAGACACUUUUAAGUUAAGUAAGGAAAAGUAAUUGGAACGUGAUUUGCAACGUAUCAAUUUUGGCGUCGUGUCGCCAGGGAUCGUUCUAUCAAUUUGUUAAUUGCAAUAUUUUUUCUUUUUGUUGUUUUUCUAUAUAUUUUGGUUAUUUUCUUUAUCAUUUAGGUUGUGAAUGAGCAAAAAGCCUAUAACACACUGCAACCUAAGAUCAAGAAAGAGGCCGACACAUCGGAAAGUGAAGAAACCAUUUUUCCAACUAGACAUCUAAGGCGACUAAGCAUUGAAUCCUCAAGUGAGUCCGAACACAUAGAAUCUGAAAUGGCGGAUAAAUUUUGUUCAAUAACCUCUAUGCAUUCAAUAUCCUCAAGUGGAGGUGGGAUUUGAACUAAAGUUCGGAAUGAUUCAUCUACUCCCCACAUUUCAUGGAUUCGCUGGAGAGGAUCCAAAUAAGCAUUUGAAGAAGUUUCAUUAGUUCGCUCAAGCAUGAAACCUGUGGGUAUAUCGGAAGAGCAAGUGAAAUUACGGCCAUUCCCUUUCUCUCUUACAGACAUUGCUAAGGAAUGGCUCUAUUAUUUGCCAGCCGGUCUUUUUACCACGUGGAAUGAAAUGCAAAAACUCUUUGUAGAGAUGUGUUUCCUAGCUUCAAAGGCUACAAACAUCAGGAAAAAAAUAUGUAGCAUUCGACAAUCUCAAAGGGAAAAUCUCUAUGAGUAUUGGGUGAGAUUCAAAAGGCCAUGUGCUAGUUGCCUAAACCACCAAAUUAGCGAGCAAUUACUUCGACAAUACUUCUAUGAAGAAUUACUCCAAAUGGAGAGAAGUAUGAAUGAUGCGGCGAGUGUAGGAGCUUUAAUGGAUAAAAUACCAGCAAUUGCUAGGGAUUUGAUAGCCAACAUGGCCGCUAACUCACAAUAAUUUGGUAGUAGAGAAGCGACACCGGUUAAACAAGCAAGUGAGGUAAGAACAACCUCUCAAAUUGAAUGACAACUAGCCGGUCUUACAUCUAUUGUACAACAAAUGGUACUUGAGGCAAUGCAACAAGCAAAAGUGUGCGGGAUUUGUUCUAUUGUGGGACACCCUACUAAGGCAUGCCCGACACUACAAGAAAAAGCCUCAGAGAAAGCAAAUGCCAUUGGGGUAUGUCCAAUACAAUAGAGAUAGAGAUAUGAUCCAUAUGCUAACACAUAUAAUCCUGGAUUUAGAGAUCAUCCUAAUCUCAGUUAUGGAGGAAAUCAUUUCAUAUCUCCACAAUCACAAUUCAAUCAUCCCCCGAGGUUCAAUCAACAAAGGCAACCACAACACUCUCAACCUCUUCAACAAACUCCGUCUCAAAGUUCAAAGAUGUCUCUUGAGGAUAUGGUUAUGUCCUUGGCUUCUAGUAUAAUACAAUUUCAACAAAAGACAAAGAACUCAAUUAAGAAUUUGGAGACACAAGUGAGUCAAUUGACCAACACAGUGGGUAAAUUGAAGGCUCAAGGAUCCGAAAAACUUCUUUCUCAAGCAAUCAACCCAAGAGAAAAUGCUAGUACUAUGACACUAAGAAAUGGAAACAUUUUGGAAGAGGCACCAAGGAAAACGAAAGAUGAAGUUGAGGAGUCAACACAAGAGAAAAACUUAGCAUGUGAAAAAGACGAAGCAAAGACUCCAACUGUGGGAUCUAAGGUAGAGUCUAAAAGUUCUAUUCCUACUUAUGUUCCCUCCCAUCCAUUUCCUUGCAGGUUUGCAAAGUCUAAAAGGGAUGAACAUGAAAAGGAAAUAUUUGAGACUUUUCGCGAGGUUCAAGUGAACAUACCACUUUUGGAUACCAUUUAUCAAGUGCCCCGUUAUGUGAAGUUCCUCAAGGAAUUGUGUACUAAAAAGCAUAUACUGAAAGGUAAUGAAGUGGUAAGCAUAGGGAAAAAUGUCUCGGCGGUUUUGCAAAAGAAACUUCCACCAAAAUGUAAGGAUCCAAGAAGUUUUACCAUCCCUUGCAUUAUUAGUAACACUAGGUUUGAAAAAGCAAUGCUAGAUUUUGGAGCAUCUAUUAAUUUCAUGCCAUAUUCUAUUUAUGCUUCUUUAAAUUUGGGAUCACUUAAGAAAAUCGGUGUUAUUAUUUAAUUUGCUGAUAGAUCUAAUGCAUUUCCAAAGGGUACGAUGGAGGAUGUUUUGAUCCCAUAGAUUUUUGUGUUAUUGACAUGAUGGUAUGUUGACAAUGGAGUUUGAUGGUGAGAUUAUUCACUUCAACAUCUUUGAAGCAAUGAGGUAUCCUAGUGAUGUUUACGCUUAUUUUUCAAUUGAUAUAAUGGAUUCAUUAGUACAAAAAUAUUUUGAAUUAUCAAAUGAAGAUGCAUUGGAUACCACUCUGAUUAAAAGCAUUGAUGCUAACAAUCUCAUCGGGUUGAGCAAGAAUUUAAUAGUGUGCAAGGAUGUUGUUGAAACCGUGGCAUCACUUGAGUCACUACCAAGUAUUCCACCAAGAUAUGAUCUCUCCUAUAUUACUUUUCCAAUAUCUAAAGAGAAACUUUUGCCUUUAGUGAUAUAGGCCCCGACAUUAGAACUCAAACCUCUCUCCAAGCAUUUGAAGUAUGUAUAUUUGGGAGAGGGAAAAACACUACCUAUGAUCAUUGCAAAGAAUCUCACAACACUUCAAGAGGCUUAUCCGUGUGCUCAAGGAACACAAAAUAGCUAUUUUUUGGACAAUAGCCGAUAUUAAGGGGAUAAGCACUUCCAUAUUCAUGCACCAGAUAUUAGUUGAAGAUGGAGCAAAGCAAUCAAGAGAAGCACAACGUUGCUUGAAUCCUCCCAUGAUGGAGGUGGUCAAGAAAGAAAUUUUAAAAUUGCUAGACGUUGGUGUCAUCUUUCCCAUCUUUGAUAGCAAGUGGGUAAGCUCGGUCCAAGUUGUUCCCAAAAAGUCUGGAAUCACAGUGGUGACGAAUAAAGAAAAUGAGCUUGUACCAACUCGGGUCCAAACGGGUUGGAGGGUUUGUAUUGAUUAUAGAAAACUUAAUUGUGCAACCCGAAAAGAUCACUUUCCUUUAACCUUUAUUGAUCAAAUGUUGGAAAGGUUAGCAGGUCAUUCUCAUUAUUGUUUUCUUGAUGGUUAUUUAGGUUAUAACCAAAUUGUGAUUGCUCCGGAGGACCAAGAGAAAAAAAAUUCACUUGCUCAUUUGGCACCUUUGCUUACCGACGCAUAGCUUUGCUUAUCAGCACAUGCCCUUCGGCCUUUGCAAUGCUUCCGCAACCUUUCAAAUAUGCAUGAUAAGUAUAUUCUACGAUUAUAUUGAAAGCAUCAAUGAGGUCUUUGUGGAUGAUUUUAGUGUUUAUGGUAAUACCUUUGAUAGUUGCCUGGAAAAUCUCACACUUGUGCUUAAGAGAUGUGUGGAUGCUAACCUAGUACUUAAUUAGGAAAAAUGCCAUUUUAUGGUUGGUCAAAGCAUAGUGUUAGGCCAUGUCAUUUCUUCCAAGGGGAUAGAAGUUGAUAAAUCUAAAAUUGAUCUAAUUCGUUCUUUACUUUCUCCAACAAGUGUGAGAGAGGUUCAUUCUUUUCUUGGACAUGCAGGAUUUUAUCGAAGGUUUAUCAAGGAUUUUUCCAAAUGUGCAAGACCACUAUGCAGGCUGUUGCAAAAGGAGAUGCCAUUUCAUUUUGAUGAAGAUUGUACAAAAGGCAUUCAAAAGAUUGAACUUUUGACAUCGGUACGCAUCAUUCAACCACCAGAUUGGAACAGGCCAUUUGAGUUGAUGUGUAAUGCAAGUGAGUUUGCAUUGGGAACCGUUUUAGGGCAAAGAGUUGGAAAGACACCUCAUGUUAUAUAUUAUGCAUCAAGAACUUUGAAUGAUGCCCAACUGAAUUACUCUACCACUAAGAAAGAGCUUUUAGCAGUUAUUUUUACCUUAGAGAAAUUUCGUUCAUAUCUUAUUGGCACUAAAGUAACGGUCUUUUCUGAUCACGCAGCUCUUAGGUACUUGCUUGCCAAGAAAGAGGCAAAACCAAGGCUCAUUAGAUGGAUACUCCUCUUACAAGAGUUCAACCUUGAGAUUAAAGACAAAAAAGGGAGUGAAAAUUCUGUGGCCGUUCACCUCAGUCGCCUUAUCCAUGAGAGAAACUCUCCCAUUGCAAUAAAGCUAUCCCGAUGAACAAUUACUUCUCGUCAUGGAUACAUGUCCUUAGUUUACGGAUAUAGUGAACUAUUUAGUCGCUAGGAAAAUUCCAAGUCACUUGACCACCGCUCAAAGGCGAAAACUCAAGACAAUGGGCGAGUAUUUUUUGUGGGAUGAGCAGUAGUUGUGGAAACAUUGUCCGGGUCAAUUGACAAGAAGGUGUGUGCAUAAAAAUAAAUUUCAUUCAAUACUUACCUUUUGUCACUCCUAUGUAUGUGGUGGACAUUUUGGAGCAAAGAGGACGGCUCUCAAUGUGCUUGAAAGUGGAUUCUAUUAACCCAACUUAUUCAAAGAUGCAUUUCUCUUUUGUAAAUCUUGUGAUCGAUGUCAAAGAGUAGGUACGUUGGGAUCCCGAAAUCAAAUGCCACAAACACCCAUACUUUUUGUUGAAAUUUUUUAUGUUUGGGGCAUUGAUUUCAUGGGACCUUUCCUUUCAUCUUAUGGUAACCUUUACAUCAUUCUUGCCGUUGAUUAUGCGUCAAAAUGGGUGGAACCAAGAGCCACUCGAACUAAUGAUUCUAAAGUGGUUGUAGAUUUUGUUGAAUCCAACAUUUUUGCAAGGUUUAGAACACCAAGAGCUAUUAUUAGUGAUGGGGGACUUCAUUUUUGCAACCGCUCCUUUUGGGCCUUAUUGAAAAGAUACAACAUCACCCAUAAAGUGGCUACACCUUACCAUCCCCAAACUAGUGCGCAAGUCGAAGUGUCCAACCGAGAGGUCAAAUCCAUCCUCGAAAAAACUGUGAAUCCCAAAAGAAAGGAUUGGAAUCUUCGCCUCAAUCAUGCACUUUGGGCUGAUAGGACGGCAUACAAAACACCGAUUGGCAUGUCGCCUUAUCAGUUAGUUUAUGGUAAGCCUUGUCAUCUCCUGGUUGAACUAUAACACAAGGUAUUUUGGGCAGCCAAGCAAGGAAACAUGGACCUAGGUGCAAUGGGUAAGCUUCAACUCAAUGAACUUGAGGAAAUUCGAAAUGACGCCUAUGAAAAUUCAAGAAUUUAAAAGGAAAAAAACUAAGGCGUACCAUGAUAAAAUGAUGUUAAGAAAAACUUUUGUUGUUGGACAAAAAGUUCUUCUUUUCUACUGGCGCCUCAAGUUAUUUCCAGGUAAAUUACGUUCUUGAUGGAUUGACUCUUUUGUUGUUACUAAUGUCUUUCCUCAUGGUGCAGUAGAAAUCAAAAGCCUACAGACUGAGAAAGAGUUUAAGGUAAAUGGGCAUUGAUUAAAGACAUAUUUUGAACCCUUCGUACCACAAAACAUGGAGGAAAUGCGAUUGGAGGAUCCAAUCGAAGAAGCAUGAGAGAUGACACUUAUUUUUGUUUUUGUGAAUUUUUGUCGCCAAUGGUCCCCAACCAUCUUCACAGCCAUCACCGUCAACACCACUAGGGGAGUAUUUGAACCUCUAGCGCUUUUUUUUUUUUUGUUUUUUGUUUUUACAUUAAGGACAAUGUGCAAUUUAAGUUUGGGGGUGAGGUGGUAUGUGCUAAAUUUUUUGUCGUAAUAUUUUGCUCUGGCUAAAAUUUCGAGGUUAAACACUUUACUUUCGUGCUUGUUUGUGUUGUUUGAUAGUUUUGCCAAUUGCAUUUUGAGUUGUUACAUUGCAUUGAUUUAUAAAUUAUGGACAUUAAUGCUAAGUGUUGUUUAUUUUCAUCCACGUAUUCCAUGAUUGACUCUUUAUGGAGCACUUGGGUCAUGAGAUUCAUUACACGCACUUGUAGGUUGUUAAACGAAUUUAAAUGACCAUGGUGUUAGAAAUUCUUCAAUCACUCUACCAAUGAAAGGAUAAGUUUAGGGGUGGUUGAACCGGUGAAAGAAGUUGUUUAUAAUUGUAUUAAUUUUCGACUCAGUGAUUGAUUUUGUGGAGUGUUCUUAGAUUUCAAAUGAAAGUUAGAUGUUGUUUUCUAUCUAUUGAUAUUUCAUAAAAAAAAUAAUAAUAAAUAAAUAAAUAAUAACUGUAGGAAAAAGUUGCCUACCCUAAGGAGUGUGAGUCAACAUUGAGUAAUCUGGCCUUAUGUAUCACUAAUGUGUAGGAAACGAUCUACAAAUGAAGAAUGCUACCCUUAGGGAUCAGAGCAAGAACUACCUACAUUGGAAAAAUGAAGAAAAAGAAAANNNNNNNNNNNNNNNNNNNNNNNNNNNNNNNNNNNNNNNNNNNNNNNNNNNNNNNNNNNNNNNNNNNNNNNNNNNNNNNNNNNNNNNNNNNNNNNNNNNNNNNNNNNNNNNNNNNNNNNNNNNNNNNNNNNNNNNNNNAAAAACUAAAAAAAAAAAAAAAAAAAAAUCUUUAGGAAAAAGUUGCCUACCCUAAGGAGUGUGAGUCAGUAUUGAGUAAUCUAGCCUUAUGCAUCACCAAUAUAUAGGAGACGAUCUACGAAUGAAGAAGGCUAUCCUUAGGAACCAGAGCGAGAACUACCUACAUUGGAAAAAUGAAGAAAAAGAAAAUGGGAUGUUAUAAGCAUCUAGGGGAGAUUUUGCUGAAAAUUUGAUGGAUUGUGAGUAAUUUGCCUAAUAUAAGUUUGUGGUUUCAGCACUUAAAAUUUUUUUGGCUAAUUAAUACAUGACUAGAUGAUCUAUUUUAUCGGUUCAACGCAACCAAAUUUAAGAGGGAAAGAUUGAGUGAUUUGAGAACAACCUUAAGUUUUUGACACCAUGGCUAGAGUGAAAAUAUCAAGUUUGAGGGAGUGUGCAUUCCACGAGUGAGAAACAAAAAUUUGACCAUUGAGGGUCUGCAAAACCACCAACUUGUGUAUUACGAUGAAUUGGAAUGACCACACACAUACACUCGAGUCAAGCAUGGCGUAAGUUAAAAAGUGUCUGUUGUAGCAUAUUUGUAAACAAUUCAUAAGUUAUUUGCAUAAUGUAAGACUCGAAGCAAAGUGGCAAAAUAUCGAACAUUUGGAGUGUUUGUUAUUAUAGUAUUAUCGUUUUGUUUUAAUUUGUGUGUUUGUGUGCCUGUUUGUAAUGCUUUUUUUGUGGACUAACAAAGAUUUAAGUUUGGGGGUGUGAUAAAUGUCGGUUUAUUACGCUUAUUUGGACCAUUAAACUUAGAUACUUGCGAGUUUUAUUAGCAAUUUAUUACUUAAUUUUCUUAUUUUUAUUUUGUAGGUGAAAACCCGAGAUGAAACGAUGAAUUGAAGGAAUUUAUGCGAGAACCAAGCUAAAGAUGAAGGCAAACAAAGAAGACGACCAAAGACGCCGCCGAAAGAAGAUUUAAAAAAAAUUAAGAACAAUAAAUAGGGCAGUAAACUGGGCGCUGCAGAGCCCAAUUAUUCUGCCCAGUUUUGGGCUGAAUGGCGCCAGUAGGGUCACUUUAAUUAUUCCCUUAAAUUUUAGGGACCAAAAGCUGCAAUUAUCCUUAGGUUUUACUUAAAAAUCCACUGAAUUGCCAGAGGCUAGGGGCUUUUCUUUUUCUGCAAUUUUUGGGCAGCGGCUAGAUCUUCUUCACUGCCGUUUAUUUUGUUUUAUUUUCUUUCCCUUUUUUAUUUUCUUUUUCUUCCAUCUUUUAGCUUGGUUUCCUUGUAUAUUUUGGAGAAAAUUUGGCGCAUGAUUAUGAUGAAAUAGCUUGGAGAAGAAGAUGAUUUGAUAUUGAAGAAACCCUCAACUAUUUCUCCAUUAUGAAUAAGCUUUUCUUUCCCUAUUUUCCAUUAUUGUGUUGUAGGAAUUUGACGGUUAUUUGUGAAUAUUUCAUGGGUAACUAAAUAUAUAUGUGAUUGGGGAUUAUUUCAAACUCGAGUUAUGAUUUUCAAUUAAUUUGUGCUUUAUAGUUCUCUUGAUUGACGUAUUUAAUUCCUCGAGUUAAAUGUUUAUUUUGUUCUUCUUGAUUGUUUAGGUGUACAACUAAAUGAUUAAGUUGUUACGAUAAAUGCUAUUUUGAGAUUAGUAGUACGUAAUAGCUAUUGAUUUUAAAACAUAAUAGCAAUCACAUUUCGAUAGAUUAUGAAGAAUUUUCAAUUGAAUGUAUGUGGAUUAACACUUAAGUUAGUAAACUGAGCUUGCGAGUUUACUCUUAAUUCAAUUCAUCUCUUUUGUCGUAAUGCGUUUGUUAAAUUAAAUCUAGAGAGCUUGUUCUAGGUUGUUUAAUGCAUAGGGUCGAGUAAAGAGCUUGUUUUAUUCGACUAACAUGUAAUAAGAGGUUGAGAUAAUUUAGCUUGUAAUUAUUCUCGAAUUGUUAUUAAUCUUGAGAAUGAAAAUCUAUUGUGGUAAUUGACAUGAAAAUCAUUCUUGUGGUGAUGAAAUAUCCCCCAAUCACAUUUUCUCGUAUUCAAUCGAAACCACUUUGUUUAUUUCAAGUUUCAAAUAUUCUCUAUUUCGAAUUUAUCACUUUACUUAAUUAAAUGAACCAACCCCCCCCCCCCCCCAUUUAAUCAAUUUCGUAUAUAAUCGCUAAUUUUACUUUUUAGUACGCAAUUGACAAAAUUGAACCAAUCCUCUGCGAGAAAUGACCCUUACUUACCAUUUUACUAUUUAAGACGACACUUUUAAGUUAAAGUAAGGAAAAGUAAUUGGAACAUGAUUUGCAACGUAUCAUACCACUAAGAAGGCCCAUCUGUGUCUCUUGUUCCUCAAAAUACCAGAUUAGUAAGAUUGACGGAGAGAUUUUCAGAAACUAUAAUUGAUAAGUGUAAAAAAUUUUCAGGUGACUCAAGAGUGCUGCGAGCUCAUUGGUAACAUAAACUACACAUACAUUGAACACCACCUGCGGGUUGUGUUUCUAAUACUUAUGGGGUAGAGAAAUUUAUGUUGAUAAUAAGGAUUAUGUUAGUGCAAAGGAUGUUUAUCAUUUUUAUCACAUGAGUGAGAAAUAGUUUGCAGUGACCUUUUCAUUUGCCUUGAUAUUCUGGAUGCUUUUCCUAUUGCCACUGAUGUAUAAGGGGUUAACUUUUUAAUGUUGGCCGGUCUGUCAAAAAACUUAUAUUCUUCAACAGAUACAUAUAUACCAUUAUUCUAAUCUCUUUGCAUUAGGUUAUGUGGGUUCCCGAUAGUUUUGAAAUUGGCAUGGUAGCUGAGAAGCUUGGAAAGUCACGAAAAUAUCAAGCAGUUUUGUGUAUUGGAGCUUUGGUAUGCUUUUCUUUCACAAGUUCCAAAUGUGCUGAUGUUUUAUAUUCUUUUAUUUUGCACGUCUCCCGCAAUUUGCAUUCAUAGUUAUUGUUUGCAUGUUCUGCCAUAGCUUAAGGUCAUCAUUUUUUUGCUUCAAUUACCCACUUAUCACAUUUGUUUGUUAGGAAUCUACUUAACAUGUACUGUAGAAAAUUAAAACAGAUUUCGAUUCCCACUAGGAGUCUCUUUGUGUUUAGAUAGAAAUUGUAAAAAAGAUCGUACAUUUUUCUAGAUCUGCAAACUCCUGUACUUUUCUAGCAUUCCAACAAUCUUGAUCUGUCAACCACAGUUGUCCAAUUGUCCAGCCUCCAUCGGUGAUCCACACAGAGAACAAGAUUGUAGGAUUAGGAUUUUCAUCUUGUUCUAGCAAGAAUAAUGAAGAAUAAUAAAUUCAUUACAAAAUUGUAAACUUAUUUAUAUAAGUCCAAACGGGAUUGGCCUAAUCCGGUCCAAUAUUUAAUCAAUCCAUUAAUUAAAUCUGGUCCGUGAAUUAAUUAAUCCAAUUAAUUAAUUCGGGCCUAUAAAUAACCAUCCCAAUUAAUUAAUUUAUCUAACGAUUGUUAAAUUAAUUAAUCGACAAAUUACAAUCUUCCAAUUCUCUUUUGUAUACGACCCAUCAGGUUUCCGAUCACGAUAUCUAACGACAUGAAAUAUUAUUUUGAUCUAAUCAAAAUUGAUAAAUCAAAACAGCAUUUUAAUUUAUGACAAAUUCACACUCGUCGUCCCAGAUUGACAUCUAGCAAUGUGUCAGGGCAAUACAUGUGACGGAAAAUGUCACGUGAUAUGACAAAAUCAAACUCGUUCGUUUACCGUGAAACUAUAAUCCCUUUGUCAAUAUGAUCCGAUCAAUUACAAAAUAUAGAAACGUGUCAAUCCCGAUUAUCGAUCAUAUCCUUCACUUCACUAUUAAGUCAGUGUAAGUCGAAAACUCCUUUUCGACUUAUGAGUACACCUUGACCAAUGAUUUCGUUAUCGAUUUAAUUGAGUAAAACGCAGAUCAUAAUUUCUUACUAUCUAAGAGUGACGAAUCCUCUAUUGAUCAUUAAUAACCUUCAUAUGAUUCUUGACAUACCCGAAUGAUGCCGUAUUAACGACCCUUGGCAAAGCAACAUCCAACACCGCCAACUGACCUCAUGCAAGGUAUCAUGACGACCUCAAGUCAAAGGACCAAUUCCACUAUCGAAUGUUAGAGAUUAACCACUGACACUCAGAUAGUUAUCCAUGUGAAAUCUCUCGGUGGGUGUCCAAUUUUUUGUUUUAUAAUAAAAUAUCCACAUGUUCAUUCAAGUGUCACCACACUUUAACUUGUGAGAUCAGCUGCUUAUUUUACAAGUAAGAAAUGCCACACGUGAUAGUCUAUCCGUAAUAACGAUAUCCGUAUGUCGUUAUUACUUACAAUCACAGACGAUUUAAGAUUCAAUCAUAUAUAAUUUGUAUCUCACAAUCACAACUCCUUGUGAUUAACAAAUUACGGAGAUUUGAAUCUACGGACUCUAUUACUGUAUAUUAAUUAAAUAAUAGAUCUGCCAUUAAAUUGCAUUAAAUAUAUAUUAAAAGUAUUUAUGUCUAAGGUUGAUUGAACAUAGGGCAUAACACUUACAUUGUUGAGGCCAUUGAGUUCCAUAAAUCUUUUGCUGCUUGUUAUUGUCUUUAUUGUGCUUAUCAUUAUUCUCAAUUACUAAAUGAUCUUUUUCUUCUUAAACCUUUCUGACCAGUAGAUUUGAAGUGAUACUUCCCACUUUGAUGAUGUGGCCAAUUCAGCUGCAUCUGGAGUACUCUCAGCAGGCCUAAAUUCAAGUGGGUUGAUUUGACAUUAGAAGUAUAUCUAUUUUCCAAUAUCUACUGCCGCGUAAAUCUAUCCAUGCUUUAACAUACUAAAACGUACAAUCUACUAUGUCUUUUGGCAAUAGGGCAUGUUUAUAAUGUUACUAUCAGUUAACUUAUUAGUGCAACUGUUGAAUUUGUACGGUGUCAUUGGUGGUGAACACAAGCAACUAAACAAUGAGAAAUUAAACAAGAAGAGAAAGAGGGAUAAAUAGGAGAAGAAAGAGGGAAGAAUGAGAGAAGAGACAGAAUUGCUGGAAGACUUUGUAAUUUUAUUCAACGAUCAAAGUUGGUUAUUACAAAGUAAGAUCCUCCUUAUAUAUAGUCUAAACUAAAAUAAAUAAGAAAAAAUAGGUUUCCACAUAAGGAAACAAACUAAAUUCUUUUAACUAACAAUGACUGAUAUUAAGGAAAAUAAAGUAAACCCUGAUUAUUUUAAUUUGUUCUACGUCUGGAAUAUACUUUUAAUAUUGUACUAUUUCUCCCCAGCUGACAAGAACUCAACUUUGAUGAGUAAUAGUGAAGAUAGGCAUCCAAUAACCUUGUAUCUUGUUGGCAAAACUCAUCUUCAUUAAUUCAAGUAGAAUCACUUGGCUGACGAUCUUUCCAAUGUAGCAUAAAUUUAUGAAAUUCACCAUUUUUCGUAUCAACAACUUGAUCUUUGAGCACUUCAUCAUUGAUAUCAGAAGGGGGAUACGUGGUGACAAGAAGAGUCCAAAGGGGUGGGCAAGAAUCAUAGGCUUGAAUGUGCCUCUAUAUAAGGAUAUACAUACACUAUAUUGAAAAUCAGACUAAUAUUUUAAUGCGCUGACAAAUCAAGCAAAUAUGAAUUAGUUCCCUACCUUAUAAUAAUGGAUAGAGACCAAGAGAUUCAGCACAUAUUUUUUUAGUAGCAUGUUUGGGAAAACGUUCUAGGACUUUUCAAAUCAUUACUUAAUCAUCAACAUUAAAUUCUUUAUGCCUAUGGCAUGAAUCGACUGCAAGUAUAUAGUGGUAAUUACUUAAAGCAUUUUUUGUUUAAUUUUAUAUGUAAUUGAUUAACAUGGUCAACAAAAGCUUGAGCAGAACUAGUUGGAUUAAAAUCAGUUAGUAAAGGAACAAGAUCAAGUAGGUUUGGAAGGUGAUUGCCACAACCACAAGCCGUAACAUGUGUGUAAACAGUGAUUUGGUCAGAGGAAAACGUCUGGUGAACUAAAGCAACUAAACCAUGAGCAAUUAAAGAAGAGGAUGAGGGAGAAAUCGGAGAAGAGGUAAGAAUAAGAGAAAAUAUCAAGAGAGGAAAGAGAAUUUGAUGUGAUUCGAGGUAGGCACCAAACUAUUGAGAACUUGUUGAUUGUCGACUAGGAGCUGGGACUAAGAUUUGAACCUAAUUCGAGCCAAUGAGACCAUGCAAUUGUUUGUUCGAGUUUUGAGUACGCCAUGUUGGAGUUAAUGAGCCAAAGAUCAAGUUCCAUGUUGGGGUCAAAGGCCAGAAACAAUUAGAUCAACUCAAUACACGUGGACAGAAUCAGAGGCCGAGGCUUAAAUAUGCGACCGCACAAGCUAAACCAGAAAAUCAGCUAGGCCAUUUUUUUGACUUGUGCGAUCACACAAGUUAUAACCAUGCGGUCACAUGGUUAAGUAACAAACCAAAAUUUUUUUUUUUUUUUUUUUUCGCGAGUAGUUUAUUUUAGUUGGAACUCUUAAUUUUGACAACUUUCUAUAGCCUAGGAGCCUUAAUUCCCUUUUUUACACUAUUUUCUAGGGUUUUAUAGUUCUAAUAUAAAUAGCCAUUAUUUCUUUUGUUGUAAAAGAAAUGAAUAACUAAAUAAAGACAUUGAAUAUUGAAUUUAAUUUCAGAGGCUAUUUGCACUACACCAAAAACUGCCUUUUGCAAUGUUCGAAAAACGUUGCCAUAGACCUUUUGCAGCAUUUUUGUGUAUGUUGCAAAUCUCGAUGUUGUCGUAGAGUAGUAGGAUACGACAACGAUCUUUGAACGUUGUAAAUAACCUUUUGGCAGUGUUCUUUGAAUGUUGUGAAUAACCUUUUUGCAGCGUUCAAGAAACAUUGCUAAUAAUUCUUUUGCAACAUUUUUUGUCUAUAACCUAUACUAAUAUCCUUAGUUUUUGCAACUUAUUUUGACCAGUGCCGCAAGUCUCUCUCUCUCUCUUUAAGAUAAUAUUGUUUGACCGUUGCAUAGAUAACGUACACAAGUUCAUCCAGAAAUCAGUCUAUUCAUCAAAUAAUAAGAACAAAAUUUAUUGAUAAACUAGCAAAGUCAUGAUAGGAUCUUACAUGCAAAGUCAUGGGCAUCUUACAUGUAAAUUUAUUAAUAAACUUGCAAAGUCCUGGGCAUCUUACAUGUUUGAAAAAUAGCAACUUUUAGAUCACUGUAGCAAAAAUGCAACCAACAAACAAAAAAGAGCACAUAAAAAAGGGAUAAAUACCAUAAGGAAGAAGUUACACCAUAUAUUAUUCAAGCCUCAAGAGGUUACAUUUCAUAGGACAUACCUAUUUUCCACAUCAUUUCCUCCAACUGGAAGGGCAAAGGGCUGCAAAACUUGUGGGAGGGCAAUAUCUUUGUGUGGAAUAAAUCCAACAGCAUAGCUUGGAGAGCAAAUGAAACAAAUUGACUUCUUUACGAGGAAUGGAAGUCCUUCAGUGGCCCUCACACCAACAUCAUGACAAGUAACAAAAAAGUGAUAUGUACCCACAGUUCUAUUCCAGUAAGGAUACUUGGACAUCAAGUUCUCCACAUAGUUCGGUACAAUUACAGUCAUGUUCUCAUAUUACAUUCCUUGCACGUUAUGAUAACAGAAUCAUUUAGCAGAAUGGAGCGGCUCAAACUAUGGUGUAAAUAUAACAACAAUAUUACGGGGCUAAGACCAUUUACACCAUUAGUAUCAGAAAAAUCCAAUAAAUUUAAUCAGCAAACUGUUAAAAGAUGCAAGACCCAAGUUAAUGCUCAUUGGUUUAUGAAUCGUAGCAAGUAAUAAAGUGGACCUAAGAGUCCAAGUUGUCGAUCCCACGAGGACUAGACUUGAGCAAUUCAUUCAAUUUUCUUUAACCUCUAUUUGAUGAAAAUAUAAAAAAAACGAUGAUCGAUUGUGAUUUUUUGAUCUAACUACUUAAAAUGUGAAUGGAUGCAAUAAAAAGUGAUUUGGAAUUCAAACAAUAAUUGGAUGUUAGGGAGGAACAACUUCACCUAUUGGUCACCUUUAUUUCUAAUAUCGAGAUUCAUAAAAUCUAAAGUAACGUUCGGUCAAAUUCUUCUAUUGUAUUCAAUUUACCCCUCUUGAGUUCUCAUUGAGCCUAUUUAACUGUUUCAAUUCCAUAUUUCUAUGUGAAUCAAACUUAGUUAAACGCACUAAUAGUUCUAAGAAUUCAUUUAUGACUGCAGUAAUUAAUAUAGGUAUCUCUACACGUUAUAUUAAUUUAUCGGAUUUUAAUAUAUGGUUUAAACAAGAAUUCGCAUCUCUACGCAAUUACUGUUCAUGAAAUCGUUGAAUAAUUGACCAGAAAAUUCAAAGCAUUGAGAACAUGAAUAAAAUCCACACGUAUAAUCAUAACAAUAAGAAUCUGAAAUUAAAAAAAUAAAGGAUUCCAAAUAGGUUACAUUGUUUGUCCUAAAAUUAGAUUUAGCUACUCUUAGUUUCCAAAGUAAAAGUCUCAUUUUAAUUGUGAUAUUCAAUGUGCAUUCAAAAGGUCGAGAGCGCGCACGAUUUCAAAUCCAAGAGCAAGGCGGCGGAGGAAGUUCGGCUGGGUUACGUUACGGCCUCCGACAAGCAAAAGCAGGAGGUUUCGGAUCUGUCGAAGACCGAGUAAUGAAAGAAAAAAUAAAACGUUAUUAUGGAAGACAUCAUCGGGCUUUAAAUAAGAUGUAGAAGAAAAAUUAGAAUUCUUGCACCAAGAUCUCCUUCCUCUUCCAAUCAAUACGUUAAGCCUUCAAUUACAUGAUGUUUUCAUCAUUUGAAUUCUUCUUUUGAUUAUCCAAUUAUGUUCUCUUGCCUCUCAAUGUGUGAAUCCCCUCUCCAACUGUCUUUCUCUCAGGUUGUAUUUUUGUCUUUUUCAAGUAUUGGAAGAGUUUUGAUUGAGUUGGGCUUUUAAAAAGAUGAAUUUCACUUGAAACCCCUAUUUUACGGUAGUGAGGCACCUAGGUGCUACAAUUGGGCACCUGAGCGCUGAAUUUCGUGAAAAAAAAUCAGAAACAUGGCACCUGGGUACUAUGGGAUAGUGCUUGGGCGCUACCGUCAGCUUCGAUUGCACUGCACAAUAUACAGUCUUUUUAUCAUAACUUUUACUUCUGAUAUUCGAUUGAGAUGAUUCAAAAUGCGUUCGAAAAGCAUUACUUAAAGGGCUAAAACUUUGUUUCAGAUACCAUUUUCAAAUUCGAUCAUUUUCUAUGUCAAAAAUGGGUCUCAAUAUGAGUCUGAAAAUGGUGCAUAAAUUUUUUCGGUUAGAACUUGAUGUAUGAUCAUACUUUGAUUAUAUUUCAUCCCUUCGAUGUUGCUUUUUCCAAUUGACUUCGAGCACUCUUGAAUCUUCAUCGUGAUGUCUGAAACAAUUUUCGAGUAUUUGCACUUUAGUCCUCGAGCUUUGUAUUUCUUGCAACUUAGCCAUUUGCUCUAAUUUUGUCAACUUUUCCUUAUUUCCUUCAAUAUCUUGUACCAUUAUCGAAUUUUACCUAUUCAACAUCAAAUAAAACAAUUUAGACUAUAAUUCAUCCGAUGAGCAACUAAAUAUCAUCGUUUUAAAGCCUUGAAUAAGUGUAUAAAAUAUACUUAUUAAAUACCUCCAAACAUAAACAUUUGUUUGUCCUCACACAACACUAUCAUCUAAAUAACUACGAACACAUAAGCAUGCAAAAGAUAAUGGUUGGACAAUCAGACUUUUUACCUCAAGAUUCGAGAUUUUGAUGUUUAUUCCACAAACAUACUUCAAAGUUGCAAUACCAAACCAAUAUCUACUCUUCCAGUGCAAAAUCGAUGUAUAUGUGUGUAGAACUAAGAAAUCAACCAUGAUUGCACAAGUUAUUUCAAUUCUCGACCCUCUGUUGUCAAAUAUAUCCUUACAUUUCUCUUGUGAUUCACACACUCCCAAACUUACAAUUUUUCACUCAUUCCUAGUGUACAACCUAAGGUUGAAUAUUUCAUUACUAUCCUCACCCUCUUGAGUUUAGAGGACGUUACUAGUUAUAAGUCAACACUUCAAUGAACAAGGAUUCUCCAAUUAUUUGAUUGCUUUGACUGCCACGACUCAAUUGGCUAAUUAUCCUUUAUAGAAAGUCAAAUUUCCUCAAAUAAGUGUUGGGGCUUAACCAAUGUAUUUAGUGCUUUUGCUCUUUUCAUACACGUGCUUUUUUUUUCGUAAGUUUUUUUUUUUAAUUUAUGCAUUCUCUCCUUCAAGCUUUCUAGAUGACCAUUGUAACAGGAUUUGGGUAGACGACUCCAAAAUCAGAUGAUUUUAGGACACCAGGUUUUAAACAUAUUUACAGGCUUAUUGACCAGAGUAAAAAAGGCUUUGAAGAGAACCAAUUUUUGUUUUAAGUGCAACUUCAUCUUUGAUUGCCUUCUAAAUGACCCCUAUAGCGAGCUUUAGGUUGAUGACUCUCAAAUCAGACGACUUUGGGGCACCAUGUUUUAAGAUACCCUUGCAGGCUUAAUUACUCGAAUCAUGAAGACAUCAAAGAGAAGUUUUUAGAUUUCAAAUGUAUAAGCCUUGAUUAGUGCAAUGCCUCGUCCACACAUUUAUUCAAAUAAACCAACCUCCAACUUAAAACUUUCGCUCGUUUUAUCAUAUUAGUCUAAGACAAUUCACACAUAAGUUUUCAUGCAUGGAAUUCAAAUUCACAUCCGCAUCUUCCUACAGCUGUAAAGUCACCCCCAAACUGUGAUAAAUUAGUUCUAAGGAUAAAUAAUUUACUAUAGUUUAGGUAAAACAUCUAUGUCCAAAUAAAUCAACCUAUCUAACAAAUGAAUCAACACGCUUCAUCGUAGUGUCAGACUCAAUUCUACAAGGUUAAGCUUCAAUCAAUCUGGCAUGCAUCCUAUCCACAGUUCAUAAAUUAACACCAAAUCUCAUAGUAAAACGUAAUUGUAAGCCGAAAUGUCCAACUGACACAAAAAAAUUUAGGUAGGCAAUUAGGUAAUUAAUAAUAAUACAUCCCCUAAACUUAAACUAAACAUUGUCCUUAAUGUAAAAUUUAAAAGAAAAGGUGAUAUGAAUCAAGGCGCGUCAACAACCAAGACAACUCAAGCGUCAAGUCACGGGAAGGAUCCGUUGAUCGUCGAAGGUGGACCGAUGACGCGAUCGAGGAUGAAGCAAGUGAAAGAAGUGAUGGGAUUGCUCGUCAACCAAGUCAAUGAAGACAAAAUGUUCGGGGCGCAAAAUGGAGCAAGUUUCAUGUUGGAGUCGAGAGCCGAAAGGACUUGGAUCAACGUGAUAAAGACGGAAGAAAAUGAAGCCGAAGAUUGUUCCAUGCGAUUGCAUGGUUAAACAACCUAUGCGGUCGCAUAGAUGGCCUCAGGGAUAAUAUUGGGGGCAGGGACUUGUUCUAUGCGGCCACAUAGAUUAACACUAUGCGGCCGCAUAGAACAAAAAAAUGAAAAAAAUUCAUUUUUUUUAUUUUUUUUCUGAAUUUCCUAGUUUCGAUAGAAUUCUUAUGAAAUCAAAUUAUUACCAUAAUUUGAUGGGGUUUGGACGUUUUUUACUCAUUACUAUAAAUAGGAAAAUAUUUUUCAUUGUAAGGACUUUUGCUUGAAUAAUAUUAUAGAGAGAGAAUUUGUUCUUUCAAUUUCUUGUUCUUCUUGAACAAUCUUGAGAAAUUAGGACUAGCAUUGUUAAGACACCCUAGGCCUUAUAAGUUGCAAUGGUUGAAUGAAAGUGGGGAAGUUAGGGUGAAUAGAAGAGUUUUAAUUAAUUUCUCAAUUGGGAGUUAUAGUGACAAAGUAGUAUGUGAUGUGGUGCCUAUGCAUGUGGGUCAUAUCUUAUUAGGAAGACCAUGGCAAUAUGAUAGAAGGGUCACACAUGAUGGAUAUAGGAAUCGUUAUAGCUUUGUCAAGGAUGGGAAAACUAUUACUCUUGCGCCAUUAACACCAGCACAAGUGUAUGGAGAUCAAAUCAAGCUGAAAAGUGAGGAAGACGAGAGAAUAAGAGAGUCCAAAAAAAGGAGAGGCAAUAGUGAAACCAAAAAUAAGAGAGAAAAUAGUGAGGUGGCUGAGAGUGGAGAAAAGAGAGAGAAGCCACAUGAGCGGAGAGAAAAUGAGUCAGUUGAGAGGAGAGAAAAUGAGUCAGCUGAGCGGAGAGAAAAGCCCAAGGUCAACUUCUAUGCAAAAGAGAGUAAGUUGAAAAAGGCUAUUAGCGAAAAUAGGCAAAUGAUAUUGUUAGUGUACAAGGAGUCCUUCCUCAAUUUUGAGGAUUCUAACACAUCCGUCCCUAGUUUGGUUAAGUCUUUAUUGCAGGAGUUCGAUGAUGUGUUUCCUGAGGAGAUGCCAAGUGGAUUGCCACCAAUCAGAGGCAUCGAGCACCAGAUUGACUUUGUACCCGGAGCUGUCAUAUCGAAUCGACCGGCUUACUGAAGCAAUCCCGAGGAGAUGAAGGAGCUUCAAAGCAAGUGGAGGAGUUGAUGAGCAAAGGUUAUGUCAGGGAGAGCAUGAGUCCAUGUGCUAUACUUGUUUUGCUGGUGCCUAAGAAGGACGGGACUUGGAGAAUGUACGAGGAUUGCCGAGCUAUCAAUAAUAUCACGGUAAAGUAUCGUCACCUAAUACCUAAGCUAGAUGAUAUGCUUGAUGAGUUGCAUGGUGCUUGCAUUUUUAGUAUGAUUGAUCUUAAGAGUGGGUAUCAUAAAAUUCGCAUGCGGGAGGGUGAUGAAUGGAAAACGGCGUUUAAGACUAAGUAUGGAUUGUAUGAAUGGUUAGUUAUGCCGUUUGGACUCACUAAUGCACCGAGUACUUUUAUGCGUUUAAUGAACCAUGUUUUGCGUACUUUUAUUGGGAAAUUUAUUGUAGUUUAUUUUAAUGACAUCUUAAUCUAUAGCAAAAACCUAGAUGAGCAUUUAGAACAUUUAAAUUGUGUGCUUGUUGUGUUCUAAAAGGAACAACUGUAUGCUAAUUUCAAAAAGUGCACAUUUUGCAUGGAUAGAGUUGUUUUCCUAGGAUUUGUGGUUAGUGCUAACGGGGUGGAAGUCGAUGAAGAAAAGAUAAAAGCUAUAAAAGAAUGGCCAACACCUAAGACUAUAACUGAAGUUAGGAGUUUUCAUGGAUUGGCUAGUUUUUAUAGGUGAUUUGUAAGAGAUUUUAGCACCAUCACCACACCGUUGAUUGAAAUAGUAAAGAAGUGUGUAGGUUUCCAUUGGGGAGAAUCUCAAAAAAUUGCAUUUAACACAAUUAAGGAUAAGCUAUGUAAAGUACCUGUUUUGGCAUUACCAAAUUUUGAUAAAACAUUCGAGGUUGAGUGUGAUGCAUCAGGAAUAGGUAUAGGAGCAGUGUUAAUGCAGGAAAAGAGACCUAUUGCUUACUUUAGCGAAAAAUUGAAUGGGGCAGCAUUGAAUUAUCCGACAUAUGACAAGGAGCUGUAUUCACUUGUUCGAGCAUUGGAGACUUGGCAGCACUACUUAUGACCAAAGGAGUUCGUGAUACACACCAAUCAUGAAUCUUUAAAGCAUUUGCGAGGUCAAGGUAAGUUGAACAAAAGACAUGCGAGAUGGGUGGAGUUUAUCGAGACAUUUCCCUACGUCAUCAAGUACAAACAAGGUAACGAAAAUAUAGUUGCUGAUGCGUUGUCUCGAAAGUACGUGCCUUUAAAUUCAUUAAGUACUAAUUUACUUGGUUUCGAGCAUAUUAAGGGCAUGUAUGAAUCUGAUUGUGAUUUUUCUACUAUUUAUACUUCAUGUGACAAAGGUGCAUUUGAUAAAUUCUAUAGGCAUGAAGGAUAUUUGUUUAUGGAAGAUAAGUUGUGCAUUCCUAAUUGUUCUUUGCGUGAAUUAUUGGUAAGGGAAGCACAUGGAGGGUGGUUUAAUGGGACACUUCGGGGUUCAAAAGAAUUUAGACAUGUUAGGGGAACAUUUUUAUUGGCCUAAAAUGUGACAUGACGUAGAACAAAUAUGUGGAAAGUGCAUAACUUGUAAAAAGGCUAAGUCUGAGGUUCAACCCCAUAGUUUGUAUACUUCUUUGUCUGUACCUAGUGAACCUUGGGUAGACAAAUCUAUGGACUUUGUAUCAGGUUUGCCUAGGACAAAAAGGGGUCGGGAUUCAAUAUUUGUAGUGGUCGAUAGGUUUAGUAAGAUGGCAUACUUCAUACCAUGUCAUAAAACUAAUGAUGCUACUAAUAUUGCAGACUUAUUCUUUAGGGAAAUAGUACCUUUACAUGGAGUACCUAAAAGUAUAGUAUCUGAUAGGGACGUGAAGUUUUUGAGUCACUUUUGGCGUGUUCUGUGGAGUAAGUUAGGAACUAAGUUAUUAUUUUCUACAACUUGUCACCCACAAACAGAUGGACAAACUGAGGUAGUUAAUCGAACUAUGACUCAACUACUUAGGACAGUGAUCAAUAAAAAUCUGAAAUCAUGGGAAGAGUGUUUACCAUUUAUAGAGUUUGCAUAUAAUCGAGCUACACAUUCUACUACUUCGUUUUCUCCUUUUGAAAUUGUUUAUGGUUUUAAUCCACUAACACCUAUGGAUUUAAUGCCUUUGCCUAUGCAUGAACGAGGUAGCUUGGAUGGGAAACGAAAAGCCGAAAUGGUGAAAACACUCCAUGAAAAGGUCAAGAUGCAGAUCGAAGAGAAAGGAAAGCUGAUUGCAUCAAAAGCAAAUAAAGGAAAAAGACGCGUUACAUUUGAGCCUGGAGAUUGGGUCUGGGUGCAUUUCAGAAAAGAGCGUUUUCCAGAACAGAGGAAGUCAAAAUUGCAACCACGAGACGAUGGACCUUUUCAAAUCAUCGAGAGGAUCAAUGACAAUGCAUACAAAGUGGAUUUACCAGGUGAGUACAAUAUUUCGGCUACUUUUAAUGUAUCUGAUCUCUCUCUGUUUGAUGGAGGUUCAGAUUCAAGGAUGAAUCCUUUUGAAGAGGGAGGAGAUGAUAUGAUCCAGGAGUCGAACCCGACGAAGGCAAGUGCGAGACGAGACCCGUUGAUAGUCGAUGGCGGGCCAAUGACGCUAUCAAAGGCAAAGGAAGUGAAACAAGCGAUGGGAUUGCUCGUUCAAGAAUCCAUUGAUGGAACCAUGUUCGGGACUCAAAAUGGAGCAACUUUCAUGUUCGGGUCGAAGGCCGAAUCAACUUGGAUCAAUUUGUUAUCAAGCGACGAAAGCGAAGGCUGAAGACAACACCAUGCGGCCGCACAGGGAAAGCCACAUGUGGCCACACACAUGCAUACCGAAAACCAAAAGACUAAUUCCUGUUGAACCAUGCGACCGCAUGGAUUUACACCAUGCGGCCGCACCAACCAAAAAAAUUGGCGAAUUUUCUAAUUUUGGCCGAAUUUCCUAGUUUCGAUAGAAUUCUUAUGAAAUCAAAUUAUUACCAUAAUUUGAUGGUUUUGGACGCUUUUUAUUCAUUAGUAUAAAUAGGAGAUUACUUUUCAUUGUAACAACUUUUGAACUUUUGACUUUUGAAUUAAUAUUAUAGAGAGAGAAAUUUCUUCUUUCAAUUUAUUGUUCUUCUUGAACAAUCUUAGAACUUAUCAAGAUUCAACUUCUUGUGGCGUUCUAUCAAUAGGAUUGUGGGUUCUUUUAAUUGUAAUCAAGGGGUUUUAGGUUCUUCGCUAAUCUAGGGUUUCUUGGUUCAAUUCUUGGGGUUCGAGAUCCAAAACCGGGUUAGUAUUGGCGUUCUUGGGUUCCGCGUCAAUCUCGUUGUGGGUUUCAUAGUUUCCAUUGCUACGGGGUUCGCAUCAGUUGGUAUCAGAGAUUUGGCUCCAAUUUAAUCAGGUUAUAUCUUUUUUUUUUCAAUUCCUUGUGUUCUUGUGUCCAGAAGGUUUUCUUGAUCUUUUGAUCCAAAAGUUUCAUCAAAAAUCUUCAAAUUCCGUUUCUGGGCUCAAUUUUCGCCCAAAUCAGUUUUCGUUUUCUUUGUUGGUUUUGUUAUUGAUUUCCGGAUCUGAAAAAAAUUACUGUUCAUCCGUACAGUAAAAAAAACUUAAAUAUUAUUGAUCCGUCAAAUACCAACUUUUAUUAUUCAUUAUCGUUUCUAAAUUACUUGGACACAUUAAAUCAUUCCAUUCCUUCAAUUCAAGUCAAGCUUUAAAAGUUUUCUUUGAGUCCUUUGUUAUAAUUAUUGAGUCACAUCUGGUUUGGGGAAUUCUACAGGAUUUGAUUGAUUGAUUGAUUGAUUGAGUUCAUUGAUUGUUCCUAAAAGCAAUUGUUGAAAGAACUAAAUGGUAAAAGGCAGAGAGGUGAGCUUAAUAGAGGGUAAAAGCCUUGUGUGUGUUCCGAGUGACUUUUGGUGAGGCAGUAAAAUAAAACUUUAGUGUUAGGAUGUCAGAAAGGGCAGAAUCAAACUCAAGCCGAUAGGGCAAUAAUAGCAAUGCAUUGGAGGAUUUAGUGCAAAGGUUUAAGAGGGCGUUUGGAGAUGUGAGAGAUAGGUUGGAGAUGUAGGAGGCUUGGAUGAAUAGAUUAGAUACAUCAGUGGCUAAUCUUAGUCGGGGGCAUCGAGUGAAUGUAUCCAAUGCCAGAUGACCGGAUAGACGGGAGCCUAGGAGGGAAAGCGAGAGGAGUAUGGAUAUGGGAGUGACAUGGGUGAAGAUGAAUUUCACGGUGUUGAGAUGGGAAGGAUGAGGAAUAGAGACGAUAGGUUCGACAGACGGGGUCGGAAUGAUCGCGAGGAGGAGUUGGAUGGAAACUUGGGAAAUAUAAAAAUGACAGUUCUUUCAUUCAAAGGAAGGAGUGAUCCCGAGGCAUACCUGGAGUGGGAAAGGAAGGUUGAAAUGAUCUUCAAGUGUUAUAACUAUUUGGAGGAGAAAAAGGUGAAGUUAACAGUUUUGGAGUUCAGUGACUAUGCAAUUUCAUGGUGGGAUCAGGUGAUUACUUCACAACGUAGGAGUGGGGGAAGACCAAUCAGCACUUGGGAGGAAUUGAAGUCAUUGAAGAGAAAGAGGUUUGUUCCUAGCCACUAUUACCGAGAGAUCCAUCAAAAACUGCAAGGUCUAUAUCAAGGGUCGAAAAGUGUAGAGGACUAUCAUAAGGAGAUGGAAAUACUCAUGAUUAGAGCCAAUGUGGUGGAGGAUCGGGAGGCUACCAUGGCACGAUUCUUGAAUGGGUUGAAUAGGGAAAUUGCCAAUGUAGUGGAGUUGCAACAUUAUGUGGAGUUGGAAGACAUGUUGCAUGUGGCUAUGAAAGUAGAGAUACAGCUGAAGAGGAAAGGGGCAGCUAGGCAGCCGUUAGGAACUUCGAGCGUUAAUCCAUCUUGGAAGCCAAGGUGGAACAACAACAACAAAGGUGAUAAAGCCGUACCUAAAGGUAGGAAUGAGUGGCAGAAGGGGAAAGAAGAAAGUGCUAGCAAAAUAGCACCUAAAACAGAUUCACAACCAUCAAGGAAUCGAGACGUCAAGUGUUUCAGAUGCUUGGGGUCAGGGCACAUUGCUUCUCAAUGCCUAAAUAAACGAGUAAUGGGUUUGUUGGAUAAUGGAGAGGUGGUGAGUGAAAGUGAAGGAGAGUUUGAGGACAUGCCUGCAUUGGAGGACGUUGAAGAAGAAGAAAAAUUGGAGUUUGCUGUUGGGGAAUCGUUGGUGUCAAGGAGAGCUCUUAACACUCAAGUCAAAGUGGAUGAUUCGGAGCAGCAGCAAGAAAAUAUAUUCCACACACGUUGUUACGUCAACAAUAAGGUAUGUAGUAUGAUUAUUGAUGGUGGGAGUUGGACGAAUGUAGCUAGCACAACUUUAGUUGAGAAAUUAGGACUAACAUUGUUAAGACACCCUAGGCCUUAUAAGUUGCAAUGGUUGAAUGAAAGUGGGGAAGUUAGGGUGAAUAGAAGAGUUUUAAUUGAUUUCUCAAUUGGGAGUUAUAGUGAUAAAGUAGUAUGUGAUAUGGUGCCUAUGCAUGUGGGUCAUAUCUUGUUAGGAAGACCAUGGCAAUAUGAUAGAAGGGUCACACAUGAUGGAUAUAGGAAUCGUUAUAACUUUGUCAAGGAUGGGAAGACUAUUACUCUUGCGCCAUUAACACCGGCACAAGUGUAUGGAGAUCAAAUCAAGCUGAAAAGUGAGGAAGACGAGAGAAUAAGAGAGUCAGGAAAAAGGAGAGGCAAUAGUGAAAUCAUCAAUAAGAGAGAAAAUAGUGAGGCGGCUGAGAGUGGAGAAAAGAGAGAGAAUCCACAUGAGCGGAGAGAAAAAGAGUCAGUUGAGAGGAGAGAAAAGGCAAAUGAUAUUGUUAGUGUACAAGGAGUCCCUUCUCAAUUUCGAGGAUUCCAACACAUCCCUCCCUAGUUUGGUUAAGUCUUUAUUGCAGGAGUUCGACGAUGUGUUUCCUGAGGAGAUGCCAAGUGGAUUGUCACCAAUCAAAGGCAUCGAGCACCAGAUUGACUUUAUACCCGGAGCUGUCAUACCAAAUCGACCAGCUUACCGAAGCAAUCCCGAGGAGACGAAGGAGCUUCAAAAGCAAGUGGAGGAGUUGAUGAGCAAAGGUUUUGUCAGGGAGAGCAUGAGUCCAUGUGCUGUACCUGUUUUGUUGGUGCCUAAAAUGUGCGUGGAUUGCCGAACUAUCAACAAUAUCACGGUAAAGUAUCGUCACCCAAUACCUAGGUUAGAUGAUAUGCUUGAUGAGUUGCAUGGUGCUUGCAUUUUUAGUAAAAUUGAUCUUAAGAGUGGGUAUCAUCAAAUUCGCAUGCGGGAGGGUGAUAAAUGGAAAACGGCGUUUAAGACUAAGUAUGGAUUGUAUGAAUGGUAAGUUAUGACGUUUGGACUCACUAAUGCACCGAGCACUUUUAUGCAUUUAAUGAACCAUGUUUUGCGUGUUUUUAUUGGGAAAUUUGUUGUAGUUUAUUUUGAUGACAUCUUAAUCUAUAGCAAAAACCUAGAUGAGCAUUUAGAACAUUUAAAUUGUGUGCUUGUUGUGUUGUGAAAGGGACAACUAUAUGCUAAUUUCAAAAAGUGCACAUUUUGCAUGGACAGAGUUGUUUUCCUAGGAUUUGUGGUUAGUGCUAAUGGGGUGGAAGUCGAUGAAGAAAAGAUAAAAGCUAUAAAAGAAUGGCCAACACCUAAGACUAUAACUGAAGUUAGGAGUUUUCAUGGAUUCGCUAGUUUUUAUAGGCGAUUUGUAAGAGAUUUUAGCACCAUCACCACACCGUUGACUGAAAUAGUAAAGAAGAGUGUAGGUUUUCAUUGGGGAGAAUCUCAAGAAAUUGUAUUUAACACAAUUAAGGAUAAGCUAUGUAAAGCACCUGUUUUGGCAUUACCAAAUUUUGAUAAAACAUUCGAGGUUGAGUGUGAUGCAUCAGGAAUAGGUAUAGGAGCAGUGUUAAUGCAGGAAAGGGGACCUAUUGCUUACUUUAGCGAAAAGUUGAGUGGGGCAGCAAUGAAUUAUCCAACAUAUGACAAGGAGCUGUAUUCGCUUGUUCGAGCAUUAGAGACUUGGCAGCACUACUUAUGACCAAAGGAGUUCGUGAUACACACCAAUCAUGAAUCUUUAAAGCAUUUGCGAGGUCAAGGUAAAUUGAACAAAAGACAUACGAGAUGGGUGGAGUUUAUCGAGACAUUUCCCUACGUCAUCAAGUACAAACAAGGUAACGAAAAUAUAGUUGCUGAUGCGUUGUCUCGAAAGUACGUGCCUUUAAAUUCAUUAAGUACUAAUUUACUUGGUUUCGAGCAUAUUAAGGGCAUGUAUGAAUCUGAUUGUGAUUUUUCUACUAUUUAUACUUCAUGUGACAAAGGUGCAUUUGAUAAAUUCUAUAGGCAUGAAGGAUAUUUGUUUAGGGAAAAUAAGUUGUGCAUUCCUAAUUGUUCUUUGCGUGAAUUAUUGGUAAGGGAAGCACAAGGGAGUGGUUUAAUGGGACACUUCGGGGUUCAAAAGACUUUAGACAUAUUAGGGGAACAUUUUUAUUGGCCUAAAAUGCGACAUGACGUAGAACAAAUAUGUAAAAAGUGCAUAACUUGUAAAAAGACUAAGUCUAAGGUUCAACCCCAUGGUUUGUAUACUCAUUUGCCUAUACCUAGUGAACCUUGGGUAGACAUAUCUAUGGACUUUGUGUUAGGUUUGCCUAGGACAAAAAAGGGUCGGGAUUCAAUAUUUGUAGUGGUCGAUAGGUUUAAUAAGAUGGCGCACUUCAUACCAUGUCAUGAAACUGACGAUGCUACUAAUAUUGCGGACUUAUUCUUUAGGGAAAUAGUACGUUUACAUGGAGUACCUAAAAGUAUAGUGUCUGAUAGGGACGUGAAGUUUUUGAGUCAUUUUUGGCGUGUUCUGUGGAGUAAGUUAGGAACUAAGUUAUUGUUUUCUACAACUUGUCACCCACAAACAGAUGGACAAACUGAGGUAGUUAAUCGAACUAUGACUCAACUACUUAGGACAGUGAUCAAUAAAAAUCUGAAAUCAUGGGAAGAGUGUUUACCGUUUAUAGAGUUUGCAUAUAAUCGAGCUACACAUUCUACUACUUCGUUUUCUCCUUUUGAAAUUGUUUAUGGUUUUAAUCCACUAACACCUAUGGAUUUAAUGCCUUUGCCUAUGCAUGAACGAGGUAGCUUGGAUGGGAAACGAAAAGCCGAAAUGGUGAAAACACUCCAUGAAAAGGUCAGGAUGCAGAUCGAAGAGAAAGGAAAGCUGAUUGCAUCAAAAGCAAAUAAAGGAAAAAGACGCGUUACAUUUGAGCCUGGAGAUUGGGUCUGGGUGCAUUUCAGAAAAGAGCGUUUUCCAAAACAGAGGAAGUCAAAAUUGCAACCACGAGGCGAUGGACCUUUUCAAAUCAUCGAGAGGAUCAAUGACAAUGCAUACAAAGUGGAUUUACCAGGUGAGUACACUAUUUUGGCUACUUUUAAUGUAUCUGAUCUCUCUCUGUUUGAUGGAGGUUCAGAUUCGAGGACGAAUCCUUUUGAAGAGGGAGGAGAUGAUAUGAUCCAGGAGUCGAACCCGACGAAGGCAAGUGCGAGACAAGACCCGUUGAUUGUCGACGGCGGGCCAAUGACGCGAUCAAGGGCAAAGCAAGUGAAACAAGCGAUGGGAUUGCUCGUUCAAGAAACCAUGGAUGGAACCAUGUUCGGGACUCAAAAUUGAGCAACUUUCAUGUUCGGGUCGAAGGCCCAAUCAACUUGGAUCAAUUUGUUAUCAAGCGACGAAAGCGAAGGCUGAAGACAACACCAUGCGGCCGCACAGGAAAAACCACAUGCGGCCGCACACGUGCAUACCGAAAACCAAAAGACUAAUUCCCGUUGAACCAUGCGACCACAUGGAUUUACACCAUGCGGCUGCACCAGCCAAAAAAAUUGACGAAUUUUCUAAUUUUGGCCGAAUUUCCUAGUUUCGAUAGAAUUCUUAUGAAAUCAAAUUAUUACCAUAAUUUGAUGGUUUUGGACGUUUUUUAUUCAUUAGUAUAAAUAGGAGAUUACUUUUCAUUGUAACAACUUUUGAACUUUUGACUUUUGAAUUAAUAUUAUAUAGAGAGAAAUUUCUUCUUUCAAUUUAUUAUUCUUCUUGAACAAUCUUGGAACUUAUCAAGAUUCAACUUCUUGUGGCGUUCUAUCAAUCGGAUUGUGGGUUCUUUUAAAUGUAAUCAAGGGGUUUUAGGUUCUUCGCUAAUCUAGGGUUUCUUGGUUCAAUUCUUGGGGUUCGAGAUCCAAAAUCGGGUUAGUAUUGGCGUUCUUGGGUUCCGCAUCAAUCUCGUUGUGGGUUUCGUAGUUUCCAUUGCUACGGGGUUCGCAUCACUUUGUGGUGAUGCGUGCACUCAACACACAAGUCAAGGUGAAAGAAGAUGAACAACAAUGGGAGAACAUUUUUCAUACUUGAUGCCAUGUGCAGAACAAGGUAUGUAGCUUAAUAAUCGAUGGAGGUUACUAUUCCAAUAUAGUUAGUACUACACUUGUAGAGAAGCUAGGAUAACUACUAAAAAACACCUAAACUUUAUAAAUUGCAAUGGUUGGAUGAUUGUGGAGAGGUUAAGGUAAAUGAGAGAGUACUAGUGGACCUUUCAAUCGGGCAGUAUAAGGAUGAAGUAUUGUGUGAUGUUGUGCCUAUGCAUGCGGGUCAUAUAUUGUUGGGUAGACUGUGGUAGUAUGAUAGGAAGGUGAAGCAUGAUUGGUUUAGAAAUAGAUACAGUUUUGACAAGGAUGGAAAAUCAAUCACACUUGUACCUUUAACAUCGCAGAAGGUAUACGAUGACCAAAUGAAGUUGAAAAGUGAGGAAGAGAGGAAAGUCAAUGAGAGACAAAAGGAGAGCUCGAGAGAAAAUGGUGAGGUGACUAAGUGAUAGACAAACAGAGUAGAGACACAAGAGGGAAAAGAAAGAGAGUCUUUUAAGCUGAGAGAAAAAUGACAGGUGAGUUUCUAUGAAAAGAAGAGUCAGCUUGAGAGUGAGUCGGUGAGGACUAACAAAUACCUCCCCAGUUCGAAUAUCUCUUCGAUGCAGGAAUGUGAAAACUUAUUGCAUGAACACUUUUUUUAAAGGAGUAUCACUGUUUGAAUAUCCAAUGGAUGCAGUACAACUAGAAUAUUUGUGGAGCAUUGAAGAAGAAUUAUAUAACCAUGGCCUUGCGGGGUUUCAAAAUCCAAAACAGAGGUUGGAUAUGGUUUGACACAUGACAAACCGGAAAUGGAGUUGUGCUCAUUCCAAGGCAGUGACUGGAAGAGGGGUAACAUAUUCAGAUACGGUAAUUGGACUUGGAAGAAUCAACCAAAAGGGCGUGAUCGUUUGCAAAGGAGUUCAAAGCUUUACCCAAGAGGAGACGGUCCGUCCCAUGGCAUCAUAAAGCUUGAGGUCCAUGGAAACAAUCAUGAUCUUGAAGUUCUGUAUUCGAGGACAAAUCAUUUCAAAGAGGGAGGGAAUGAUGUGAUCCGAGGUAGGUGCCAAACUAUUAAGAACUUGUUGAUUGUUGACAAGGGGCAGGGACCAAGAUUCGAACCUAAUUCAAGCCAACAAGAGUAUGCAAUUGUUUGUUCGAGCUUUAGAGUAUGCAAUGUUGGAGUUAAUAAGCCAAAUAUCAAAUUUCAUGUUGGGGUCGUAGGCCAGAAUCAAUUAGAUCAACUCAAUACACGUGGACGAAAUCGGAGGCCGAGGGUUAAACUGUACGAUCGCACAUGCUAAACCACCAUACAGUCGCAUGUUGGUCAACAGAAAAUCAGCUGGGCCAUUUUUUUGACUUGUGCGACCGCACAAGUUACAACCAUGUGGUUGCAUGGUUAAGUAAGGGACCAAAAAUUUUCCUUUUUUUGGGAGUAGUUUAUUUUAGUUAGAACUCUUAAUUUUGGCAACUUUUUAUAGCCUAGGAGUCUUAAUUCUAUUUUUUACAAUAUUUUCUAGGGUUUUAUAGUUCUAGUAUAAAUAGCCAUUAUUUCUUUCAUUGUAAAAAACAAACAAGACUUUGAAUAUUGAAUUUAAUUCGAGAGGCUAUUUUGCUUCCAAUUCUUUUGUUCUUACUGAAUAAUUCGAACUUAUCAAGAAAUUAAUUUUCUUGUGGCGUUCACAAAUUCAAUUGAUAUUCAUAAAUCGUGUAAUCAAGAGGUUGGUAAUUUCUUCAAUUAUUGGUUGCUUGAUUCAUCUUUUGGGGUCCAAUCCAAAACCUUGCCUAUUGGCUUUCUUGGAAUUUGGUGUUAAUCUAGUUGUGGGUUCCGUAGUUUUCGUUGCUUCGCAGAUUCACAUUAGAAUUGGAGGAAGACUGCAAUUUUAUUCAAUGAUCGAAGGUUAUUUAUUACGAAGCAAGAUCCUCUUUAUAGCAUUGCAUCAGUUAUGUUAAUCGUAAAAUUGUAUUCCAAGUUCUAUAGAAUAUCUAAUUCAGAUUGUUGUUGUUGGAGAAUCUGUUAUCUUAGCAUUUUCAACUUUUUUCAGCAAAAUUUGGGAUUUGGGGGUCACUGAAAAGGUAAGGUUUGAUGGAGAUGUGCAAGUCACUAUUACUUGGUCACUCUGGAAGGAGCCGAAUGCUAACAUUCUUCCAAAUAAGUAUUAACCAUCACUGCUUGCCAGAUUGAGUAAUUUCUUGUCAUCCAUGUUGGUCAAGGAGCUAAUACUUUUGCUGGAUUCACUUAAUUGGAUAUGCAACAUGGACGAAAUGAUGCUUAUUAUUAUUUUUUUUAUUUUUUUUUUCAAAAUUUUUUUGUUGAUUCUUGACUCUCUACUGUGAUCCCUUAUUAUCUUUUCAUUGGAAAAAAGCUGAGAUGAUUCACUAUUCGUCACCUUUUUUUUUCGAAUAUUAACUUUUCCCUAGAUAUGAUGUUUGGUUCCCUCAAUUACUUCAUUAUUUGAUCUCUCUAUGAACAUUGAAUCAUUUCUGCAAAAUUGACAAGCAAGUUCGUCUCCAUAGAUUUGGUACCAUCCCGAAAUUGAAAUCACCUAGGAGCAGAAGUGCUCUUAUCCAUGUAUGUGGGUCCAGGAAAGUAUAAAGACCAAAAAUAUUUGAGGCAAAAAUCAAGUAUAAACGCAGAUAUGUAGAAAACAGUAACGGAACACAAGAUUUUUCGGCCAAAGUCCCGAGGUUCAGUGAUUUAUCAAAUCGCCUAGUCCCCGUUGAGCAUCCAUAAAGGAAUAGGCUCAAAUCCAUUAAAAUCACCGGCCAAAUACCACAAACUUCGAUUACAACCGAAACACACAGUUCCAACCACAGCAACUAUCAAAACCCUCAACACCGAGUUGAACUCACACAAGAGUUCAUAAGGAUUCAAUCCCUUUACAGAAAAUCUACACAAAGAUCUAAGAGAGAUUCACCCAAAUUACGAAGAGAAUAACAUGAAAAAUAUAGAAGCUGCGCGAGAGAGGGCAACACUCAAACCCUAGACUCUCCUUUUAUAAGAGAGAUGCCCCAUUUUGAUCCAACGGCCUUUAUUUAGCCAAGUGUUGAAAUCUAGUAUAAGUUGUUAUUUAAAAAACUGAAAACGCGUUUUCUCAAAACCAAUUUUUGAGCUUCGAGAUUCUUCUUCAUUCUGGGUCAUUGGACCGAGUAUGGGCUGAGUCCUUAAAUUUGGGCUGGGCUUCCACAUAAAACAGCAACCCAUUUCUACAAUGUAAUUAAGGAACUGAUAAAUGUGGGCAUAGAUAGCUACACCCAUCCUCCUAAGGGAAGUGGAAACAGUAGUUGUGUGGAUAGAUAGUUUGGGGCAAGCAGUUGUGGAAGCAACUUCCCUAUGAUAUUAUCUUCUAUUAAAUCGAAAUUACACUUGCCUACAACGACAAGCACCGUAAAGUCGUACACACACACACACACUACUCGAAAUCAGUCAAGCUUUCUUAGCCCCUGUUGGGCUCCAUUUUAACUUCAAUACAUUUUUCUCUUCCUUUUUUUUUUAACUACACAUUCUUCAGUAAAAUAAUAUUACAUGUAAACCCAAAAUUUUUUCCUUCUUUUUUAACCAUAAAUUCUUCAAAAAAUUACUAUUCCAAAAUACAUUUUUUCCAAAACCUAGGUAAAAUGGAGCCCAAAGUUCCGUCUUUGUGAUACUCUUUUGAUUGCAAUCACAUUGACUGAAAUUUAAUGGCUGAUGAUCCUCUAUUGACAAUAGUUCACAUGAGUUCCUUGCAUAUUUGGUGUUUUGACAUGUGAUGGUAUGGAGCAGGUAAAAGUGUGGAACAAUUUUUUCUGUUCUGUGAGCAGAAAGACUAGUGCUUAUUCAAGCUGCAAUGUUUUGUAUUACAAAAUGGACCUUUUCUACUCUGUCGAUUCUAAGAUUUAUGCAUCUGUAAAAAUGCUAUUAUAUUUUCUUUUGGUAAAGUCGUAUAUCUAAAAACGUGUUAUUGAAAAUUCAGGCUUUGAAUAGAGCUAGUGGAAAGGCGGGAAAUAAAGACGCUGAAGCAGCUUUGACAGCUGUAAGUCGAUAACUUCAUGUAAUGAUAUUUUUCUUGCUGCCUUGCUUUUCCUUUUGGGGGUUAGUGUUACGGUUUUGCAAAUCCCACAAUUUCUGCAAAAAUGAGUCUGUUACUAUUGCCUCUGAAAGCUGUAUUUUGACUUCAUUUAAGAUGGGAUCAAUUUCAAGUUAAAAUCCAUCUACGAGGAUUUAACUUGGAAGAAGUCUAAUUUUAAUAUUAAUGAUUUAGGCCGUCUGCUUAGUUGUUUUGUUGUUUUCCUUGGACACGUUUUUCAUGGAAACGCUCCAUUAAAUUCUAAUCCUGAUCAGCAUGACAACUUCUACCUACUUUUCUCUUAAUGAAUAAUGCUAUGUAACUCCAAUGGGGAUGGAUCCCUAGUCUAGGUUGCAUUAGAUGAUAGGUUAAAUGAUUGGUGAAAUUAAGUGACUUAUUUAAUUUCACCAAUCAUUUAAUAACACAUUAAAGCCACCUAAACUGGGGAUGCACCCCAGCGAAGCUAAAUAGCAUUACUUUCUCUUAAUCUAUUUCUUCCCCUCUAUGGGUUUGUUUUGCAACAUCACUUAUAUAGACAGUAUGUUUUGCACACAAAACGAGAUCACUCAAGAAGCUUGGAUUCUUUGUAAAGCUUUAUAUAAUGCCUGGUAGUCAUGAUGGAGUAACCUGUCAGUAUUUGCUUAAUUCUUUGUACCUUCGUGGAUAUGGUUUUUGUCCUUGUGUGAAAUCUUGGAAAUAUGUGUUUCAAUUACCUGUUAUUAUUUAUUAAUCUUUUAUUUUAGUCUCGUCUUUGAUUUCAUGAAAAGAUUAUUUCGUUCUUCCUUUUUCCAUUUUGGAGGCUAGACUAGCAUCUAGCUUGUAGACAUAUGUACACCUCAACAGAGAACCUCUUCUCCCUCUCUUUUCAUGUGCAAAAUGACACGCACCUGCACGAUGAUGCACCUUUCGGAACUUGUUUUUCCACUUCAUUUGUUGCAGCCCUUUUUCUUUUUUUUUUUAACGCCACAGAUCAUUUGUAUAACUGUUUACCUCCAUAUAUCUGGAGGACUAACCAUCCUGUCACGAAUAAAAGGUGUUCGGUGGAAGACAUAAUUUUAAUAAAUAAAAUUGUCCAUUCUUUAUCAGAUGAAGCUUUUAGAAAAGAUGAUUCAAAGUCGUAUCAAAGCAGGUAGAGCUCCCGAGUUCAUGUUUUACGGCUACCCACCUACGAAAAUGUUAGGGAAUAUUUUCACAAGGGGAAGGAGAAAAAACAAAGAACCAAGAAUGAAGAAAGGAUAAACACGAAAAUCUUUGUCCUCAAACGAUGUUUGUCCCCUCUAGGAUUGAAUUAGACGCUUAAAGGAACUCUUGGCAAAUGGUUUGAAGGAUUAAUCAAGCAUUGUAAUAGAUAAACAUUUAAACACUUAGUGUUUUCUACCAAAACUUCAAGAACACAAAAGGGUUUUGAAUAUAAGAGGUUUUGAUCUUCACACGUCAUUGGUGGACCUUUUAGUUUAGGAGUUUUAAUCUCAUCCUACUUGAAAUAGACACUACUAAAUCUCUAUUUAGUGGUUUGGUUAAAGAUCCGCUAAGUUCUCGGUUGACUUUACAUAAUUCAGGGAAAUAAUUCCAUCUUUGUCUAAUUUCCUUAUGAAGUCAUGUCUACAGCUUAUACAUCUAGACUUUCCAUUAUAUGUGACUUGGUAUCUUAUUAAAUGUAGCUAGCCAACGAUCGAUUCAUUUAAUAGAUACAACUUAUCAUCACCAAGAAAUCCUCUUAUGAAGCUACAUGCUUCUCACUAAAUUUAUCUAAAGCUUUAUAAAUUUCCAAACACUGUUCGAUGAUUUCUAUCAAAUCAUUACACUAUUCAAUCACUUUUACUAGUGGAUUUCAUACAGGGUAUUCAAUUCUCAUAAUUGAAUCAUUACAAUGAUCUUCAAUUUUAUGAAUAUUUUUCAAAUAUUCCAAUUGUUUUUGCAGACACCAAAAUAGGCUUUUAUCCCAUUUCAUCUACUUUAGACUUAGUGUAUAUUAUCCUUAUAAUUGUAUGAGGAUUUCUACAUUUUCUCCUUCAUAGAUAUCUUUCUAUAAUUAAAAGUUAUAAGUAAUUUUUAAACUAAAUUACCCUCACAAUUCCUCAAUUAGGAAUCCAUAUGCAAUUUAGUAAUAUUGCAUCCAUAAGUUUUGAACUUUUCAUAGAAGUUCAAAAGCAUUAAUGUUAACCCCCACAUUUUAGGUUAUACUUGAACUUGAAGUUCAUCAACUCUUGCAGUUCAAUACACUUAUCACUUGGAUAAUAUUCGUGAAAAUCUACGUACUUUCUGAUAGUUGUCCUUAAGUCACAAUGUACUUCAAUCCAACUAUUUUUAAUUUUGAUCACACACAAUUUGAUCAAGGUCAUCUCAUAGACCAACAAUGCUUUUCAAGUAUAAGCCUACUCAAUUGGUUCCACGAUUGAAGUCAAAUUCAAUCAAUGAAGAAGACUAUGCAUCUUGAUUCACAAGAAUUGCAACUUCUUCAAGCAUGUGUAGCCCAUCACUUUUGUGACAUGUCAUUAGAUAGUGUCAUGUCAAAUUAUAAAGUACAUGUUCACCUUAUUCACAUUUGAUCAAAAUUACAUUUUGUCAUAUUCAUAUGCAAAUAUAAUUUUGCAUAAUUCAUCUUACUUAAUUGAGGCUAUCAUUAUGAACUAAAGUUAAUGAAAUCAAUCAACAAAUUUACAAUGUCGUUUUCAUAUUUCAAUAAAAAGUAUAGUCAUGAAAGUUCAUAUUCGAUCAACAAAUAGUUGGCAUUCCUCCAACACUACUAUCCCAUGCAUAUGGAUCAUUGCCAAUUGCCAUGAUAAAGCAAGAAUAAUAAAAUUAUUUCAUUUCCGCAUGUAGUAACAUUCAUCAAAAUUGAAUAAGCCAAACUUUGGAAAUUCACAUCCUUUCAUCUUUCUCAUUAUGUUUAUACUUCUUUUAAGUAUUCUAUUUAUCACAAUUUGUAAAUCAUCAAUCACAAAGAUCGAAAGAUAUGUUCUACCAUUUUAUCCUGGUUUUAGUUAACCAAUUUUCGGUUUCAACUUAAACCAAAAAGGAAAUAAUACAUUGCUUAACAACUUUCGGCAUAUGAUCAUGUACAUAUGUAGUUUUGAAUUGAGAAAACACAAAUCAGAAUAUGCGAAUUAGGACAAAAGGUCAUGCAUAAAUUCACCUUUUCACAUUAAAAGCAAUGUAGCCAUUCAUAUAUUCUUAUCCAUCAUUUGAUCAUUAAACUAUAAUGCACAACAUUAAUAUCCAGUCGUUUCCCAUUAACACAUAUCAAAAUCAGAUUUAAACAAAUGUUCAAUCUGUUUUAUGCAUAUAAAGUCAGAUUUCAUAUGUAGUCAAAACCCACGAAGAUCGAACAUAAUUUCGACUUACCAAAAUAGAAAUUGAGAAGGCGAAAUGAUAAUUACCGAAGUUGAAUACUUGACGACGAAUUUAAUCCUUCAUUCUUCAACAUUUCUUUUCAAAUCAAUCUAGAUUUCUUUGUAGAAGAAGUGUAGAUUCCGUAACGAUACCAAUUCCGGAUCAAAUGUGUAAAAGCUCUUCAACGCUAUUCCAAACGAACAAAACUUGAUUGUCACCAUAGCGGUUCCUUUCUCUAUUGCAAAAAAAUCAUUUGAAAUUGUUUGGGAAUAUUUUCACAAGGGGAAGGAGAAGAAACAAAGAACCAACAAUGAAGAAAAGAUAAAGAAAUCACCCGAAUCGCAAUGAAGGCUCAAACACGAAAAUCGUUGUCCUCAAACGAUAUCUGCCCCCUCUAGGAUUGAAUCAGAUGCUUAAAGGGACUCUUGGCAAAUGGUUUGAAUGAUUAAUCAAGCCUGUAAUAGAGAAAAUUUAAGCACUUAAUGUUUUCUACCAAAACUUCAAGAACACAAAAGGAUUUUAAAUAUAAGAGGUUUUGAUCUUCACAAUGAAAUGAAUUUAAUCUUCAAUAUGUUUUUCAUAUGUUUGUAUUACUUAUUCAUCACCUAUUUAUAGGCUUCAAUUAAUACAUCACGAAAUCGUGCCAAACCAUGAUGAAAAGUGGCAACUUUUUCAUUCAAAAUGGUCAUCGAGUUUCAAAUUGAAAAACCAGUCAAUGGCUAUUUUUUAACACUAUGCAUACACAUAGUAUAAAUCUUGCGUACCCAUAAUGGAAGCAAAUUUGAUUCUGAUUUGAUCAAAACACAUUUCAUGUAUGCACAAAAUUAAGUCUAUGCAUAUGCAUAGGCAAAAAUCAAAGUUUCUAUUUUUCAAUUUCUUUUGAUUCCAUUGAUUUCACAAUUGAGCCCAAUAAUCAGCCCAUUAUCAGUCCAUUGAUUUUGAACAAAUAUUCAACAAUAUGUGCUUGCACCUGGCCUUUGAUAUGGGUGUUUUCAAGAGACAAAGUUAAAUAAAUAAAUUUGUUCCAUUUUAGAUGAGGCUGCUCAAGAAUAGAUCGCUGCUUUGGUGACGCUGAAAUUUUAUGCUUUUAUAUUGUUAAUUUGUUUACUUAAACGUGGGAUCCUAAUAUUGAUUUUGCAGAUUGAGAUGGCAAUCUUGUUUGAGCAUCCUCUGAAGUUUUGAACACCGAUCGAGCUCCUUUUUCCACCUACAUCCUAUUAGCAGGUUGUGCUGUAAUUUUCUAUGAGAAACCACAAGUCUCUUGUUUAUUACAACCCGAAUUACCAUACUUUUUAUGAGAUGCGCAAGUGUGAUAUCAUCCUAGUUAUCUAUUCGAUAUAUUGAAAAAUGAUUUAAUAAACAUUUUUUUUGUUACACUAUUCAUUACGUUGAAAAAAAUGAUGGAAAUGAUAUGAUGUUCUCUAUUUUUAUAUCUUUGCCUAUGCCUGUCUAUAUAGAUCAUUUAGCCCCUCUCUCUAGGAGAUUGGAAUGCAAAUAGAGAAUAGCCCUGGGAAGUCGAUGUUACAAUAAUGACAUAUCGAUAAAUAUCACAAUCUAUUUACUAGGAUUGUAAUAGAUUAUCACGCAUGCAUUUCAUGAUGGAAAUAAUUUCCAAAAAAUUGCGGAGGAGCAGGAUUCGGUGGAGGGUUAAGUUAUUUUUUAACUAUUCUUUAUUAUUGGUUGAGUUUUAUAUUUUCGUGUUGCAUUCAUCAAUUUCCACUGGUAAAUUAAAUUUUAAAGCAAUUUUAUUAAUAAAAAUGAUAUUUUUUUCUAAUAUAAAAAUUCCUAAUUUAAUUAGAAGAUCAAAGGAAAAAUGUAAAAAAAAAAUUAGUCAAGUACCUUCAAAUUUGGAGUCUUAAAUGUAAGAAUUUGAAACUUCGACUCACUUACCAAAAUGUGCAAGUAUUAUUCCCUAGGUUCAAUUAAACAUUGCUUGUCCCUUGAUGCUGUGUUUGCCCGUGUGCAUUUGGGUAUUAGGCAUGUGUUGAAUUUAAAAUGACUCUCGACAAUGGAUAUCUCAACUCUUGCAUUGAUAAGAACGCAUCAAAAUACAAUACUUGGUGUGAAUUGUAGAAUCCAAUGAAUCAUCAAAAUUUUGAACUCAUGUUAAUUACACCCAAAGCCAUUAUGCUAAGGGCAUGUUUGUCAAGACAUCAUGCAUUGUGUCGCCUUACCUCCAGAUGGAAAUUGUCUCGUCACUACCAACCCAAACAAGAUUUACUAUUGUAUGGUUACAAGGAUUAUGCUACUUGUACAUAAAAAUGGUACAUGAGAGAUUAGAUAAAAUUAUGUGGAUGGAGAAAAUUGAUUGAAAAAGUUGAUUGUAUUUUAAACUUUCAAAUGAUAGAGUAACAAAUAGCAUAAUGUAAAACUUGAUAUACAUGCAGCAAUGUACUUGCCACAAUUGAUUUUAAUUUUUUUUUGAAAUCAUAAAUACAUUGAAAUUGAGUAAAUAUCACGUAGGUGACAUCUUGACCUCCUAGCCACUUGGUUGCAUAUAAGUUUGUUUCGCAAUUAAAAAAUAUUCUAUAAAAUGAAUCUUGAUCCCUACUCGAGUUUAGCUCGAAUAGACUAUAAGAAACAUUUAUUUAUGCAAUGUUUAUCUCAAUCACUAUAUCAAACAUGUCAUCUCUCUCUUUUUCUUUUUCUUUUUUAUUUUUAUUUUUAAUUUUAUUUUUAUUUUUUUAUGCAUUUCAAAUGAAAUUAUUGACUUGUUUCUUUCCUCUUGUUCGAGAGUUAUUUGCAUCAUUGACCGAAAAUUCGAGGUGAUUAAUAUUACCGAAUAAAUCGUAUUUGGAGUAAUGCAAAGUGGCAGGCUUGAAUGCUUUGCUCACUUAACAUUAUUUACAACAAUUCAAACUUUACCACUGUUCUUGUUCAUAUCUCAACCACUAGAAUCAUGUACAAUGACUAUAUUGAUAAAAAGAAACUUUUUUACUGAUACUAAUUACGAUAAAUGAGCUAUAAAAAUGCCCAAAAUGUGUGAACUACUCAAGUGACAUAGAAGCACCAUUCUGUUGAUCCCAAAGGUGAUGCAAGAUUGAGAUUUAAUGACAAUAAUGAAAUAUUCAAGAUCGCACCACGAAAAAUAAGAUUAAAGUCAAGUAGAAAAAGAGAAACUAAGCAAAGUAACGAUGAAUUCCAUUAAACUUGACAAUAUGGAGAGAAUAAUACAGGAUAACAAUAAUGUUUCAUCUAAGAUUGAUAAAGGAUUCUCUAAUUUAUAGGCCACAUUCAUAAACCUAAUGGAGUCCUAAAAGGUAAGAAAAUAUUUUAGAAUUAGAUUAAACCGCGUAGAAGGAAAAAAAUCUUGGAUUUAAUUUGAUUUCUUUCCAAAUUCAAGCCAAACGUGAUCUUCCAAGAUUUCAACCCAAUUUUGAGGCAUUAAACCUAACAAUCUCCACCUUGACUCAAAAUUUCAAUGUAACGAACGAAACUCCAAAAUUUCAAAUCUGUCUCCUUCAAAAUGAACUGACCAAUAUUCUCAACACAGUAACUAAAAUCUCUAUCACCAAACCAGCAUCCUCUUCACAGCAUCUACAAGCGACACCUGAACCCAAAUCCUGGAUUCCCAAAAUUCCACCAAGGAAUUACUAUUGACCAAACAGGGUCGAAGCACACCGUAUAGCAGAAACCAUACCAUGUGUUGGAUCAGAAAGCCCCUUGCUAGAACUGUCACUUUCAACUUCCCCUAAAGCAUUACAAACAUUAUUAACACUACCGUACCUACGCUCCAUGAGUCCAACCCUAGCAACUGAACAUAAUAUAUCCACUGAAAUUGGUGGCAAAGCGGAAUCACCAACACUCUCCCUAGCAGUGUUCUUAACCAACUCAGAGUUCGUCAUAAGAGGUAUUGUACCAAACUUAACUUCUACCAUGGUGCUGAAUUUAUCCAAAUGUCUCUUAACUAGUUUUGCGUUUCCUUACAAGAUGUACAACUGAAACUUAUUCCGUCCCUCCAUUAUCACCCUGAUACCCCUUCGAACCUUCAAGACUCCACCUCCACCAGAGAAUUUAUACCCUUUUGCAUCUAGGGUACUCAGCUAUAUGAGAUUCUUUGUCAAGUCUGGAACAUGGCAAACCUGAUCAAGUGUCCACACUAUUCCAUCUUGUAGCCUCAAUUUCACUCGAUUGAUUCCUGCAACCCAACAAGAUUGGUUGUUUUCCCACCUUGCUUUACCAUCUCAUAUGUCUGAAACAAAAUCCUAUUAGGACGCAUAUGAUACGAACAUGUAGAUUCCAAAAUCCACUCCCCAGGUUUGGAUUUCCCAUCAGAUACAGCCAACAUUACAUCUCCAUCAUCCGAAAAAUUCUCAACAAUGUUAGUCUCGUUACCUGAUUGCCCCGCAUGAUUUGCAUGUAAAUUACCUUUACCCUGCAACUUGUCGUAAUAUUGCUUAAUGUGUCCUUUCUUCUUGCAGUAAUAGCAAUACACAUUGCUGUAUCUCACCUUCGAUCUAUCCCUCCAUUGAUCACCAUGAGUAACUAGAGCAUCCCCACCUAUAGAUGUAAGAUCUCCAACCAACAGCUCCAUCUUUUCCUUUGAGAACAAGGCAUCAUAUACCUCCUCAAUGGCCAGCUUGUCACAUCUAUACAAUAUAGUAUCACAAAACGGCGAAAAAGAACUGGGUAGCGAAUACAUCAGGAUCAAGGCCAGAUCAUUUUCAUUAUAUUUUAUCUCCAACGUCUCCAAAUCUCCAAUAAUCUCCUUGAACACAACAAGAUAGUCCUGCAGUGACCCUCCUUCCGCCAUACGAUGGGAAUACAGUUUCUACUUUAGAGUCAGUUUGCUCGUCAGACUCUUUGUCAUGCACACCUGCUUUAAUAACCUUUCGAUCCCUCCGUUGUUUCUCCUCCAUAAACAAAUUUACUAGCAUCCUCUCAAAGCCCAACAAAGCAUCGUUAAGAUCCAUCUGCAUCAACACAACCCUCACCUUUACUUACCAAAGUGAAAAUCUUAUAUUGCGAUCCAGCAACGGAAUUUCAUACUUCAACGAAUUCAUCCUUAAAAAAAUCUCAACCAAAUUACGAAGAACUUGCAACCUGUGCUCUGAUACCACUUUUUGAUCCCAAAGGCGAUGCACGAUUGAGAUUUAAUGACAAUAUUGAAAUAUUCAAGAUCGCACCACGAAAAACAAGAUUAAAAAUAAAAUAGAAAAAGAAAAACUAAGCAGCGGAACGAUGAAUUUUAUUAAACCCGACAAUAUGGAGAGAGUAAUAUAGGACAAUAAUAAUGCUUCAUCUAAAAUUGAGUCUCUAAUUUAUAGGCUACAUCCAUAAACCUAAUGUAGUCCUAAAAUGUAAGAAAAUAUACUAGAAUUAGGUUAAACCGCGUAAAAGGAAAAACUUUGGAUGUAAUUUGAUUUUUUUCCAAAUUCAAGCCAAACGUGAUCUUCCAAGAUUUCAACCCAAUUUUGAGACAUUAAACCUAACACAUUCGGUACAUAAAUGAAGUCGAACAAAUUUCUAGCAAUAUCAAGCCUACCAGUUUAAAUUUCUCAUAGUUUAAUUAACACAGCCAAUCCAUAUCAAGCCUAACUUUCUCAUAGACGUUUAUUAAAAUAGCUAUACACGAUUCAUGACCCAUUUUAUCAAAAUCCUGAGAAUUAGCCUACCCAGUUAGAGCUAAAACCAAUGAUACUCUUUAAGCACUGAUCAUGAAACACUUCUAGUGCUUCACUAAUCAAAUCAAACUUCAAGUAGCAAUGCACCAAGAACUAGUGAUGAACAAAUCUAACAAUAACCCAAGUUUAAACAUUGAAAUGAGAAUUUCAUUUUUUAAAUUUACACCGUUUCCAAGAACUAUUCACUAUUUAAGUUACUCUAUAAAGAGUUUAGCUCGAGAAAUGAUAAUUUUAUGAUAAAUGAAUGAAGACGCAGUUGGAUUCAGGUUUGAUGCAUUUAUAGAAAUAUUUACGCUCCUCAUCCACACUCCCAUUGUAAAAUUCACAAAUUACCAUACUUCGAGUUUCAAAUAUCUAAAAAUAUUUGCAUGUUAAUCAUUCAAGAAAAGAAGUAUGUCCAUGAAAAUGCAACACUCGCAAGAGACUAAAAGAGGAAAAAUUAUUGACGUCCAAUUAAUUCUCACCACAAUUCUAGAUAUUUCCUUCAAACUCUGCUUGAAGCCUCUUUUGUUGCAAAGAGCAAAAAUUAAAUGAGAGAAACACUCUGUUACAAACAAAUAUUAGACAAACAAAUAUUAGACGAAACCAAACAUAUUAAGGUAAAGAAAAUUUAUCAAACUUGAUAUAAUUCUUAGAAUAGAAAGACAAGAGUAUUGAAAUCUUGACGUCAAUCACAUCUCCUCGUUUUAUUCUCUCUACCUCUCACUCUUUCCUCCUACCAAACUGUUUUAAUCUUAAAUCUGUAAUAGUUAUAUAGAACAGUCCGUAUCUUAAUUACUUCAAGUAUGUAUCUCAAAGAUGCUUUAUUAGAGAUGUCAAAUUGGACAGGGCCUCAGUGAUGCCUGGACGCCAUGCAUCACAGCCUUUUAACGACCUUGACUGGAUUGUCUAGUCCUUUUUUACAAAAGGUUUUAGUGAAAAAAAAUUUUAAAAAUAAACAUUGAGAAACAAAAGCCACCCACCGGUCGGGGCUUCACAAGUAGGCCGACCUGCCUGCCUGUCUAGACACCACUAGCCUUGACCAAAUUACUUCUAAUCGCGGCAUCUGCAGAAAAUGAAUUUCAAGUUAUUUCUUUACUAAUUACACAACCAUGUCAACUUGAUAAUACAACAGUUAAAUAUAUCAUUCCACGGCUUUUUUCUUAGCAAGAGUUCUCAUCUCGAUUUCUCAUACCUCAAAAAAGAAAUGCUACGAAUUUAUUUCUAGAUUUGGUUUAAAUCUUCAAAUUCAAUACUUCGGAUUGGCUUCACAUCUGAAAAUCAAAACCAAGUCAAUUCCUGAAAUUGUACAAGAUGAGAUGGAAGUAACCAUCCAACUAUUGCUGUCUUUGAGGAUUACGGUCCAUGGUAUAAAAAUUAUACCACAUAAGAAGGAAAUGUCAAAUUCUCAAGCCCAUAGUCCAUAUUUCAUGAGCUGUUUGGGCAAAACAUUGGUAGAACAAUAGAAGUCACAUAAGGCAUUAUGAUUUCCCAAACUUAAACAUUCAAUUUGUGGUAGGAAAUGUUUACCUCUCAAAAGAAAAGUUAAUUACAAUUGCCUGAAGAUAAUCCAAUUUUACAACAUCAACAGAUAUGUUUCUAUUUUCUAGAAGUUCUCGAAAACAACCUAAACUUGUGAUGGUUUUAUGACCCAAAGAGGAAGAGAAAGAUAGAUUUUUCGAAGUGGAAAAUAAAUUCUACUUUGCACUAAAAACCGGCUGCAUUACGUAUAUUUUUCAAAAGACUUCUACCAUACUUCUGGUCACCAACUUUCUGCCAACUACCACCUUACAUGAUGAUAGAUCACACCAUGCUGUGAAAAACAUUACAAGCAAUUAAAAUAACUAUAACAUGAUCUGAUCUUAAUAUAUACAAUGCUACAAAAAAAAAAAGUGACAACAAAAGUGGCAAACAACUAUCAACACUCCUCCUUCACACUUUUGUUGGAAACACCAAGGCAUUUCCUUAGUGUUUCAAACCUUUCUUUGGACAAACUUUUCGUGAGAAUGUCUACAAAUUGAACCUCAGAAUUGCAAUGCACAAGUUUCACUUCAAGGUUCUCCUGAGCUUCUCUAAUUGCAUGAUACCUUAUUUUGAUAUGUUUUGUCCUUCCAUGAAAUACCGGGUUUUUAACCAUAGCAACAGCAAAUUGAUUAUCAAAAUGAAUCACAGUUGCAUUAGUUUUCUUAUGGUUUAGAUCCUCAAGACUUUCCUUAACCAGAUUGCCUAGUUUGUAGCCUCAGAUGCAGCCACAUACUCUGCUUCAGCUGUUGAUUAAGCCACAAUUUUCUAUUUCAUCGAGUGCCAAUAGAUUGGACUUGAUACUAGAUAGAAUACAUACCCUGAUGUGCUCUUCAUAUAUCACAUGAUCUGGCCCAAUCACUAUCAGUGUAGCCUAUUAGAACAUAAUUUUCAGACCUCCUAAACCAGAUUCCAAGCUCUGUAUUUCCUUUGUUAUACCUUAGAACUCUCUUUGCAGGCUGAAAAUGAAGAUCGAUUGACUCCUGUCUAAAUCUAGAAAAUAUUUUGGCAUCAAAUGUGAGGUCUGGCCUUGACAUGACCCGUCCUGAAUCACCCUAGUGGACCCAAAACGUGACGUGCGCCGAUAAUAGAUGCUGACUAGAUGCCAAAUCUAUCACCAAGGCUGACUAUGAGUUAUUUCAAAAAUGCAAUAAAAUCAAAUGCUUAUAUAAAAUAUAAUGCGAUGGGCCCAAAGUAUUUACUUCAUGCUUCAUCAAUAUGAGUUAUAAUAUUCAACAUGUCGUGUGGCUCUUAUUCCGAAAUCAUUAGGCUCUUCCAACUAAGAAGGAUCAAUUUCCACCGCCUCCCUAUAUUUGUUUUUUAAUUCUUUUAAUUUUUUUUUUGUAUGACAUGUUUGACUUUUCCUCCUUUUUUUAUUUACGAAAUUAAUGUAUUACAAAACUCACCCCCUUAAAAGAAUUUCAUCCUCGAAAUUCAAUUAAUUAAGUACGAAAAAGCUCGAUAUUGAGAACACAUUUGCUCUUCACCUUCCUAUGUCGCUUCUUCUAUAACAUGAUUCAUCCAUAAGAUUUUAACCAAAGAAAUAGUCUUACUUCGCAAGACCUAUUUCUUUCUGUCCAAUAUUUGAAUAGGUUCUUCCUCAUCUGUAAGAUUUUCAUUUUUAUUCAACUCCACUAUUAAUCUUAUAGCUUAAGUAAAAUAUGACGUCUAUUUACUAACAACCCUCGAACAUAUGGAAUACAUGUAGAACCGAUACCUUAAAUAUCAUCCUAAUGGUCAAUAUAUGAUAUUUUAGCUUUUCAUUUUAUCACAUAACGAUAAUAUAUACACGGCUUCAAGUUCGGCUUUUUUCGAAUACAAAUUUACCUUAACCUCAUGUGAUCAGUAAGUAUUAAUCUUCCCACCAUGUGAUGACACCACAAUUCCUAAAUAUCAAUCCAAAUAUAACUAACCAUAUAUCAUGAUUUAAUUAUAUCUCUUUAUCAAUCUAUAACAUAAUCCAUAUUUUAUCAUUCCACUUAGAGAACAUUUUCUAAACCAUAACAUAAAUCAUUAUCGUGAAUCAAUCACUUAUCAUCUUUAGAUAUAAGAGCAAGUAUUUUCUCUGUAUUUCCUGAUAGUAAAACUUUUGACAUUUCUAUACCCACAUAAAUUUUGUUCUUUCUUUCUGUAAAGAGACAAUAAUAACAUUUAAUCUAUGAAAAUCUAUACUCUUAUUCCAUAAAUAGAUCGUUGACCUAUUACUAAUGCAUAAGCCUUUUUUUAUGUCACAUAAAGACCUGUAUUGAAGAUAAUGUAACCUAGAGAUAUCAGUCCACAAUGUAUAAAAUUUACACCUGAUGAUCAUCUUAGACUUUAAACUAUCUAACAUAUCAUCCAUUUAUUCCAUAGCAAAUACAUCUCGAUAAAAGUGGAAUACUUUAUUCAUGACAUCCAAAAAUAAAAUUGAGAAUAAUCUAAAAAUUACGUUACCAAAAUUUCAAUAACUUCACCUUAACUUCAAAAGUUAACUCAACGCUUCCAAAUUGUAUGGAAUAUAACACAAUAAUCCAACAAAUGCCUUAACAAAAUUAAUUAACUUAAUAACCAUAUCAAUCAUCACAUUAUUUUGCUAUAGGACAACUAUUACGUUCAUUUACAUACUCACUAUAUUAUGUUGUAAUCAUAUAACUUCAUCACAUACUUAUGGCCAUACCAUAUGCCUUCUAACUUUUAAUUGUAUCAAUUUUCCUUAAGAUCACAAAAUAAUAACUUUCAUAUUUAUCAUGUGAACCUUUCACACAUCAAUAUACCAUCAAGAUUUCGUAUGUUAAUUUUCUAAUCUAAAUAAAUUCCAACUCUACCAUUCUCUACUCCUUUUUGUUUUUCACAUUAACAUACCUGAAUACACAUAUCCAUUGAAUUCUAGUUCUUGAAAAAUAAAUUAUUCCAAAAUAAGUAAUCAUGAUGAAGUUCAUCCCAAUUAUUCUCACAUUCCUUAUAAUCAAACAACUCAUAAAUAGUCGAAAUAAUUGGAAUUACCAUUAAUUUUCUCAAUGCCUAAAAUACUCGAUAACAAAUUGUUAUCUAUCAAUCCACAAAUCACAAUUUUGUCUUCCACAAUUUCUUAUCAUAUAGCAUGAAUAUACACUUUAUGAUUUCUAUUAUCAUCCCAUAUAAGUGGCCACAAAUCACCACAAUAUUUUGAUAACACUGAUGACCAUUUGGCUCCAAAAUAAUUAAAAUUCCAUGCUAGUUGUAAAAUCUAUAACUUCGAAUGCCCCGCAAAAUCAUCAAAAUCAGUUCAAAUCUUAAUAGGUUACAUAUACACAUAGUUCCAACCCAAUAACUAAUAACAUUUCCAACCAUCGGAUCAUUGCAACUAUCAUACUUACAUACUAGUCUUUUCUGGAUCUGUUAAAAAUAUCUUUCUAUCAGUUUCGGUUCCAUACAUUUGAGUUAGAGAGCCUGUGAUUUCGGCUACCACGACAUGUGAUUAUAUCAACUGAACAUGCAUGAACCAUAAAAAUUUUCAAAACAAUGCUCUGAUACUACUUUGACACGACCCAUCCCAAAUCACCCUAAUGCACCCGAAACGUGAUGUGCGUCGAUGAUAGAUGCUGACUAGAUGUCAAAUCUAUCACCAAGGCUGACUAUGAGUUAUUUCGAAAAUGCAAUAAAAUCAAAUGCUUAUAUAAAAUAUAAUGCGAUGGAUCCAAAAUAUUUACUUCGUGCUUCAUCAAUAUAAGUUAUAAUAUUCAACAUGUCGUGUGACUCUUAUUCCGAAAUCAUUAGGCUCUUCCAGCUAAGAAGGAUCAAUUUCCACCUGUAGGAAAAAUCGUGGGAAAAUAUAUGAGUUGAUAACUCAGUGAGUGGAGCAGUUCGAAAAUAAUUAUACUUUUUCAAUUUUACAUUUCUAUCGAAAAUGGAGUUCAUAUUAUUUAAUAAUUCACAAGAUAACAUCAUGUAAUUAUAACCAAAAGUGAAAUAUUCACAUAAGGUCGUAAAAUGUCAUCUUAAAAGCAUAAUAUGAACAUCAGCUGAUAACCAUGCUAUAAUCUCAUCACAUCAAAUGUGCUGAAAAAUCCACCAAAAAUAUACCCUCUGAUUGAAGUAUAUAAUCCGCUCCUCGGGCUAAGAACUUUCGCUAGGGGCUUUUGGCCCCUCCGUGAAUGAAAGUCGGUCUCAAAGACCUCUCAUAAUCAAUUCUAGAACAUGGCCAAGGCCCCAUUAGUGAACUAUAUGUACACGAUCGAGACCCCUUCAACCCCGGUUCAAGACCCCUCAGUGUAGUAUAGAGCACGGUCAAGGUCCCUCAGUGAAUUAGAAGAAAUAUAUAAUUACAGGUACUUUUCUGGUCAAUCUCAAAAUCAUAUCUCAAAUCCAAAUUCACAAUGUACCGUAUACAAUUUUUAAAAUCCACAUGUAUCUUAAUAAAAGAUAUUUCCAUAAUAACCAUAUGAUUCAAACACAUAAUUGCAUAUAGUUGCACAUACUUUAACAAUAUACUUAAUUUAUAAAUACUUUAAAAAUAUUUAUAUUUUUCCACCCACAGUACUAUGUUCGCAAAAUCAAUGCGGUUGGUAAGCUAUUCUGAUGUUAGUAUCGUCGCUUGAAAUACGAUAUAAUUUUUAAAUAAACAAUUAAUUAUUUUAGAUAAUUUCAAUAAUUAAAUAGGCAAUACCCAAAUUUAAUGAUUUCACGCUUAAGCAAUUUCUACGCUCUCUUUAAUCACUAAAACUAGUUUUUCUUUCACUUUACUCAAUUUCAUAGUUUAUUAUACUUAACCCAUUCAAUAAGAUUGAAUUUAGUCUAACAAUAUAACAACUAUAAAAUCAAACAUAACUUGACAAAAAGUAACUCUUUACUUACCUUUUAAAAUUGAGGAAUUCAAGCCUAAUAAUGUAGACCAUUUAAUUACUAACACGUUGGCAAAAAAUUUCUAUUUUUUUUCUUCUUCUUCUUCCCUUUUUUUUCUCCUUUCUCUUUUCUCUUUCUUUCUCCCUGUUCAUUUUUUUUACUGUGUAUUUGUAUGUGUUUUAAUGUGGAAUUGGAACUUUGGUGGAUUAAUAUAAUCAAUCCACCGCCUCCCUAUAUUUGUUAAUUAAUUCUUUUUUUUUGUGACAUGUUUGACUUUUCCUCUUUUUUUUUAUUUACGAAAUUGAUGUAUUACAGGUCUUGUGAUGGUUAAGUACAAAAGACUUCCCGCCAAGCUUCUAUACACAUUUUCAUCAUAUCUGUUGCUUCCAUCUUCUUUCAUCAGUUUCAAAUUUUGAACAAGUGGAGUGCUAACUAGUUUACAAUUUUCCAUGCUGAACUUCUUCAAAAUUUCUUCAGCAUACCUCCCUUGAUUGACAAAAAUUCCAUCCUUUGUUUGAUUUAUUUCCAUUCCAGGAAAAUACUUCAUUCUUCCAAAAUCAGUCAUCUCAAAUGCCUCAUUCUUUUCAUUUUUCAAACUAUCAAUUGAGUUCUGAUUGCUGCCCAUUACUAAUAGAUCAUCAACAUAUAGUGAAAUGACAAUAGCAACUUCCUCCAUUUGCUUUAUAUAGAGUGUUUGUUCAUUAACACUUUUGAUAAAAUCGUAGCAGCUUAGAUGUUCAUCUAUUCAGCUGUACCAGGCUCUUGGAGCCUGCCUCAAACCAUACAAGGCCUUCCUCAAUAAAUACACUUUAUUUUCUUCUCCAGCAACAAGAAAACCAUCUGGUUGUUCAGCAUAAAUCUCUUCAUUUAGCCAACCAUUUAAGAAGGCAGAUUUGAUGUCUAAAUGAUGAAUGUUCUAGCCUAUUUGUACAUCAAUUGCCAAUAGAAGUAUGAUUAUUUCAUACCUUGCAACAGGAACAAAUGUAUCGGUAUAAUCAACACCAUAUUGCUAUGCAUAACCCUUCAAAACCUGCAUUCCUUUAAGUUUGUUGAUUGAAUCGUCAGAGUUUAGUUUGGUCUUAAACACCCACUUAACUCCUAUUACAUUAUUGUGCUUUGGUCUGUCAACCAACAACCAAGUUCCAUUCUUCUCAAUCAUCCCUAUCUCAUCCUUCAUUGCAGCCAUCUAGCCAAGUGAAUUCAUUGCUUUAUUGAAGUUUGAAGGUUCUAGUUCAGCUGCAUUGCACUUGGCAUAUAUAUCAGCAAGAGAUCUGGUUCUCAACACCUCAUUUUUUGAAUCUGAGUCAUCAUUUGGUUCAGGUUCAUUUGGUUCAACUUCAUUGUUAAAUGACAUCUUCAUUUCCUUGAUCCACCAACCUUGGAGUUUGAGGUUUAUCCAAGAAGUUUUCUUCCUAGUUCCAUGAAGAGUUUUCAUCAACCUUGAUAUCCCUGCUGGACAUCACCUUUCUGGUGUGUGGAUCAUAGACUCUAUAACCUUUAACAUUAUCACAAUAACCAACUAAGACUCCAAGUUUUGCCUUAGGACUUAGAUUAUCCCUCUUAACAUUAGGUAUAUGGGUGCAGCCAAUGCUCCCAAAUACCUUCAAAUGUGUGAUAUUUGAUUUAACUCCAUUCUAAGCUUCAAAGGAAGUUAAUUUCUUUAAAGCCUUUGUUGGCAAUCUAUUGAGCAAGUACACAGCUGUAUUCACAGCUCCUGUCCAGAAUUCAUGUAGGAAUUUUAUUUUCAAUCAUCAGGCAUCUUGCCAUUUCUAUCACGGUUUUAUUUUUCCUUUCACACAAUCCAUUUUGUUGAGGAAAAUAUAGAAUGGUUAAUUGAUGUUUGAUUUCCACAUCAUUGCAGAAUUUGUCAAACUAGUCACACUUGUACUCAGUUCCAUUAUCAAUUCUUAUGGCUUUUAUCCUGCAAUCACUUUCAUUUUCCACCUGUUUCUUUAACCUCUGAAAUACACCAACAACCUCAAAUUUAAUUUUUGGAAGAAACCCCCAACACAUCCUUGUUAAAUCAUCAAUGAAAAGUACAAAAUAGUGGUUGCUAUUUGAAGUUUUUGUUCUCAUUGGACCACACACAUCUAAGUGGACCAAUUGCAAUUUAAUUGAUGCUCUCUUCGAUUGAUUUUUAGGGAAAGGCAUUCUAGUUUGCUUUUCAAGUUGGCAUACCUUACAAAAAUAGCUUUCAUAACAAAUGUUAGGUAAGUUUUCAACCAAUUCCAGUUGGUGUAAUUGCUUGAGUGAGGUAUAAUUAACUGUCCAAAAGUUUUGUGCCAAAGUGAAGACAUAACUUCAGUACUGGUGAAUGCAUGAGAUGUCAUAUUCUUCCAUUCUAAUGGAAAACUUCUUUGCCUCAUCUCAGCUGACGUUAACUCCUUUCCAGUAGGAUUAAAUAUGGUGCAAUCACUAUCUCUAAAUAUCAAUGCGUAGUGCUUCUCAAUUAAUUGUCCUACACUUAGUAAGUUUUGAUCAAUAUCUGAUACAUAAAGAAUGGCAGAGAUACGCUUAAUACCUAUAGGAGUUUGUACAGCAAUCACUCCAAUGCCCUCCAUUUUCACAUAGUCUUGAUUGUCUACUUUUACCUUUGAUUUGUAUGAAUCGUUUAAUCCAACAAAGAUACUGGAAUCAAAAUACAUAUGGUGUGUACAACCACUGUCUAAUAACCAUGUUUUAGCAAUGCUGCAGGCCUUAAAAUUGAUGACAGUGAAGAGAUGCUCCUCCUGAUGUUGCAAUUGAUCCUCUGCCACUUGUGCCUAUUGCUGGUUCUAUUUUUCAUUCUAAUUUUUGCACACUUUUUACACAUGUCCAAAUUGCUUGCAAUUCCUACAUUGGAUACCUAGUCUAUACCAAUACCAUUUAGGUGAAUGACAGGUCUUUUUACAAUGAGGACAGGAUGGAUAUGUGGUGUUUUUAUUAGCAGCCUUGGUGCCUUCAUACUUCUUUGUUUUAGGUCCAGUCUUCUUCACAUCAAAGCUUGUUUGAGCUUUGUAUUUUCCUUUAACAAAUAAGGCUCCUUCUACUUGAUUUUCUUGCCUCAACAAUCUCUUUUAUUCAGUAGCAUGAAGGGAAUUCACAAGUUCAGAUAGAGAUAUGGUAGAUAGGUCCCUUGUAUCCUCAAGUGAUGAUAUCUUUGCCUCAAAUAUUUCUGGCAAGCAUAUCAGGACCUUUUCCACAAUCCUCUUGUCAGGGUAAUCAUCCCCCAACAACCUUAUUUUGUUCACAACUUUCAUCAGCCGGUCAAAAAAUUCUUUAACUGAUUCUGCCUCCUUUGUCUUCAAGCCCUCAUACUCCCUUCUCAAAUUCAAGACCUGCAUUUGUCUUAUCCUGGUAUUUUUCCUGAAUUCCUCUUGCAAUUUGUCCCAGGCUUCCUUGGAAGUUUCACUGUGAUUAUCCUAGUAAAAUUACAUCAGAAAUGGCUGACUGAAUGUAGGAAAGAGCCUUGAAUUUCUUUGCAACUUCUUCACUGUGCUGCUUGAGUUGAGCUAUGGUGGGAUUUGCUCUGGGUGGAAGAGGUUCAGUUCAGUUUCUGUGAUUUCCCAUAGAUCAUAGGCUUUCAGGUAAGCCUUCAUUUUAGCAACCUAGAAGUCAUAGUUUUCUCCUGUGAAAACUUAAGGUAAUGGAGCUGAAAAACCAAUUGAAGCCAUCCUCUUUUGCCUUUGAAAACACACGGCUGAUAUGGUUAAGGUUGUGGUGGAAGUUACCUUACUUGUUUUCUCUCUUUCUAUCUUUCUACUUUGCUUCUCCUCUAAGAUCACUAAAGCUCUGAUAUCACUGAUGGUUUUAUGACCAAAAAGGAAAAGAAAGAUAGAUUUUCUGAAGAGGAAAGUAAAUUCUACUUUGCACUAAAAACUGGCUGCAUUACAUAUAUUUUUCAAAAGACUUCUACCAUACUUCUGGUCACCAACUUUCUGCCAACUACUACCUUACCCGAUGACAGAUUACACCAUGCUGUGAAACACAUUACAAGCAAUUAAAAUAACUGUAACAUGGACUGAUCUCAAUAUAUACAAUGCUACAAAAAAAAAUGUGACAACGAAAGUGGCAAACAACUAUCAACAACUUGAUACGUCCUUCACAUUAGUAUGGCUGGAUAAAGAGUACAAGACUACAGCAUUUCAUCUUUGAUACGGCCUUGGGUAGAAAACUUCAGAAUCAAACUUAGAUAUUCUAAAUAAUUUGUAUCUUGGGUUAAAAUCUCUAUAACUGAAGAUACCAUGAGUUCAUCUAGGGAGAUAUUUCUCUCUUCCAUUUUGUGAAGAAAUUCAACCACUUUUGUGCGUCAUUAUAAUUGCAAAACUUCCUAGAAUUGCUUGGCAAGCAAGCAAAAAUAGUAAUUAAAAAUUUAAAAAUUAGAAUUUUCUAGAAUACAUUGACAAACAAGUAAAAUAAAUAAUAAAAUAAUUAAAAAAUAGCAUUUUCUAAAAUAGUUUCCACCACCAUUUUAUGUGUAUAAAUAUGGGCUACCACCUUUAAUAUAUUGUAACAAAAAUUGGAAAGAGCAUCUAGACUCUUGCAUGUAAAACAAAAGCCCACUUUGUAAUAAAAUUACUUUCUUCCUCCUCAAUUAUAUUGUUUAAUUAAAUUACUCCAUAUCAUUGCUAUCCCUAAAAUCCAUCCCAUCUAAAAUCUACUUUAUCACUUUUAUUUAAACCCUACUCAAAAUAAAAUUCAUCAGUGGUAUUAGAGCUUUAUUCGAUUGAUAGUGAGCGUAAGUAUAUACUCCGGCAGACGCUUUCCAUUCAUCUAUUCCUAUUCCAACAUUUAAUUGAAACAACUAUGAUUUUUGGUCUAUCAAAAUGAAGACCUAGUUUUGUGCGCAAAACUUAUGGGAUGUCGUCAAUGAUGUUUAUACUAACCUAGAUGACAUUUCUACUCUAACUACUGCACAAAAGAAGGAACUUAAAGAUAAUCAAAAAAGAUUCUCUAGCAUUACUCGCUCUAUAAAUAAGCUUGACAAACACUUAUUUUCUAAGAAUCAUGGGAGUUAAAACAACAAAAGAAGCUUGGGAUAAGUUGAAGGAGGAGUUCUAUGAUGACGACAACGCACGUACUUGGCAUCUUCAAACUUUAAGAAGAAAUUUUGAAAAUUUAAAAUGAAAGAUUCUGAAAUUGCAAAAGAUUAUUAUCCAAGAAUAGAUAAAAUAGUAAAUCAACUAAGAUCUUAUGGAGAUGAUGUUCCUAAAAAGAAAGUUGUUGGAAAUAUUUUAAUUAUCUGUACAGAAAAAGAUGACCCAAUUAUUGCAGUUAUUGAGGAAUCUAAAGAUAUAGAUAAAUUAACAACUACAAACUAGAAGCACAUGAAAAAAAGAUUAGAAAUGCAUUAUGAAAUUGACACAUAAAACGCUUUUCAAUCUAAAGAUAAUAUGCAAUUUUAGAAAUCCAAAGAAAGUUGGAGAAAAUUUAAAGAAAAUUCUAAAAUAAAGAAAUUCAAGGAAAGGAAAUUGAAAAAAGUGGCAAGUAUCCUUCAUGUUGCAUUUGUAAAAUAAAAAGUCAUUUGGAGAAGGAUUAUUGGUUUAAAGAAAAAUCACAGUGCCAUAGUUAUAAAAAAAUUUGAUCACAAAGAAAAAUUUUGUCGCUUUAAACAAAAUCAUCAAGUUAAUUUCUUUGAAGAAAAUAUAUAGAAAGAAGCCUAUUUUAUGCCUCCAGCAAGGAAGUGUCUGAAGAAAAAUUGGAUACGUGGUACCUAGACGGUGGCUGUAAUAAUUACAUGACAAAAGAUGAAAGUAUUUUCUGCAUUCUUGAUAAAACCAAUGCCAAAAUCAAAAUUGGUAAUGAAAAUUUCAUAGAGGCAACAGGCAAAGACACUAUUGCCGUUGAUACAAAAAAGGGCAAAAGAUACAUUAAUGAAGUUAAAACUAUAUUAUAAGAGAUAAAAGGUAAGUUAGAUGAAACGCCGGAGAAAUGAAUCUUCCUAGGUUAUAAUACUCAAUCAAAAGGCUAUCAAGUCUAUAACCUAAGAACAAAGAAACUAAUUAUAAGUCGGGAUGUUAAGUUUGAUGAAGAUGCCACCUAAAAUUAGCAUAUUGGUCAAGUUGAAAUAAAAGCUAUCAGCAUCCGAUCACAACCACAAAAAUAGGAGGGUGACGUUGAGGAGAACAAUCAACUAGAGUCUCCACAACAGGCAACAAUAGAAAAACCAGUUGACUCACUAGAAUCGUUACCAAGAAAAACACGAAGAUUAUCAGAAAUAUACCAAAGCUGCAACUUGGUGAUCGUAGAACCUGAAAGUUAUGAAGCAGCUUCAAAACAACCAAAAUGGAGGAAAGCUAUGGAUGAAGAAAUAAAAAUGAUCAAGGAAAAUAACACUUGAGAGCUUGUAGAUCUUCUUCAAGAUAUAGAAGUCAUAGGAGCUAAGUGGGUAUACAAGAUGAAGCUUAAUGUUGAUAUUUCAAUCCAAAAAUAUAAAGCAAGACUAAUCGUCAAAGGAUACUCACAGUAGUUUGGCAUCGACUACAAUGAAACAUUUGUUCCAGUUGCUCGAUUUGUUCUAUAAGGGCGCUGAGUAGAAGUUAGAAAGGUGAAAUCUUAACUUAAUAAGGAGUUUGAAAUGAAGGAUUUGGGUGCAACAAAAGAAAAUUCUUGGAAUGGAAAUUUUAAGGGAUGGAAAGGCUCGAAGAUUGUAUUUGAGUUAGAAGGGGUACAUUGUAAAGGUGCUUCAAAGGUUCAAUAUGCUGGAUGCUAAGGCUGUCGGUACUCCAUUGGGUGCUCACUUUUAAUUAUCAUCUGGGUUGUGUCCUCAAUCAGAUGAAAACGUUGAUUAUAUGUCUUGGCUUCCUUAUUCUAGUAUAGUUGGUUUACUAAUGUAUACUAUGGUUUGUACAAGACCAGAGAUAUAUGGCAAAUUCUGACAAUGAAUAUUGAAAAGCAGUGCAAUGGAUAUUCAUAUUAUUGAAAGGCUCAACUAAUGCUUGUUUGCAUUUUGGGAGAAAUAAAAAUCGAGUCAUUGGGUAUGUGGAUUCAGAUUACACAGGGGAUUUUGAAAAAAUGAGAUCACUUACAGGUAUGUGUUUUCCCUUGGAGGCUGUGCUAUCAGCUGGAAAGCUACUUUGCAAAAAUUAGCAGUUUUGUCUACAUCAGAGGCAGAAUACAUGGGCAUUACAAAGGAAUGUAAGGUGGCUAUGUGGUUAAGAGGAUUAAUUGGUGAAAUCAGUGAAGACUUGCAAAUUUCUGCAAUAUACUAUGAUAGUCAGAGUGCUAUAUUUCUGACUAAGGACCAGAUGUUCCACGAGAGAACUAAGCACAUUGAUGUGAGAUACCUUUUUUUAUGUGAAGUGAUUGCUUGUGGUGAUAUUGUAGUGAGCAAGGUUGAUACCAAGUAUAAUCCAACAGAUGCCUGCUGUCAUAGGCACUCCAAAUUAUAACCUAGACUUCUUAAAUUUAAUGUAGUAGUGGAAGUAAGAGUCGAUCCCAAGAAGAGUGAUUAAUUUACUUUUUAUACGAAAUUAACUAAAAUGAGGGUUUUUAGUUUUGAAACAAGAAAUUAUUAAGAAAACCAAUUAAUAUCAAUGCAAAUUAUCGAAUUAAAUGAAAUCAAUGGAACGAAUCUUGGUCUAAGUCAACAUCCACCAUUCGAAAUUCAUAACAAGUCAUUGAUCCACAAAUAAUCAUCAUUUCAUAAUUGUAGCAUUUAUUGUGAAAAAUAAAUGUCCCAUUCGAAACAAUUUUUCCAUUACUCCUUAGUUUUAAUUAAUUAGAAACAAGUGAUCCAAUUAAUCCUCAUUAUCAAACAAUCCUAGAAAAUGCGAGAAUUUAAUUUAAUAAUGACUUUGCGAAUUAGAGAAAUCAAUGAACUAGAUAUAUAACACAAGCCAAGCAUUUGCAUUUAACCUAGAUAAAUCUUCUACCUAAGAUUUAAUAAUUUCCAACCAGCAAAUUAUCAAUCCUAGUUACCUCACAAGUUAAACCAAUCAACAAUUAUAGUUUUGAAAUUCAACUUAGCUAUAGAUUGUAGAGAUUAAUAAACUAGCGUACACUCUAGAAAUUAAACACAACAAUCAUAAAAAUAAGUGCAGCAGAAGAUUUAAUACUAAAUAUAUGAAUUAAUCAAUAAAAAUCAGGUGAAUCUCACAGUUAUAAUUGUUCCAAAGCUUCUGACUCCUUCGAUCAAGCAAAAGAAAUGAGUUGCAUAUUAUAGAUCUUGAGCACAAAGAGAGAAAAAUAGGGUUGGGGGCGUUCUCCUAUGUUCUAGGGUACGUGUUUGAACGGAAAAAGGAAACAAAAAAAAUCACAUCUUGGAUUCUACCAUGCGACCGUAUGGUAUAUUUCCAUGCUACUGCAUGGUUAUGUCAAAAAACCAUCUUGAAGUCGCUGAAAUAGGCUGUGUGACCGCAUGGAAAAUGAACCAUGCAAUCGCAUUUGCAGUUUUUCUACUGGACAGCUUUCAGUAUUUUGGUCAUAACUUUCUCUUUCAAUAUCUGAUUGAGGUAAUUCAAGAUGUGUUGGAAAGAUAACUCAAAGGGACACAACUUUUCUUCAGAUGUCAUCUUUCAAUUCAAUUGCAUACCAUGUCAAAAAUGGUCCCAAGAUAAUGCUAAGAACCGGUGUAUAGUUUUUUUCGAUCGAAAAUUGAUGUGCUAUUAUACUUUGAUUGUAUUUCAUCCAUUUGACUUAUUUCUGUAUCCACUUGACCUCUAAUACUCUUGAUUCUUUAUUUCAUUGCUCAUCUCAUCUAUGAAUUAUUAGCAACUUGGUCCCUGAACUUUCAUCUUAUAUUUUCUUGGCUUCUUUUUCUUCAUUUCCUUCUCCAAUGCUUUAAGUCUUCCAUCAAUUGACCUUCAAAUCUUUCACUCCUUCAUUUCACCUUCCGAUUCAAUUUUUGGAUAUUUGCAUUGUAGUCCUUCAACUUUUAAUUUCUUUCACUUUAGUCCUUUUUCACUCUUUUCUUCUAAUUUAUGCCAUCAUCAUCUAAUUGCGACCUAGAUCAAAAUAUAAGGACACUCAGUACAUUUAGGUAUCAAUUAAUCACAAAAUACCAACAUUAAUGGAUGAAAAACGUGACAUUUUAUGUUCUAUCACACCUGCUGAUUUGGUGACAAAACCACUUUCCAUUGCUAAGUUUGAGCAUUGCCUGAAUUUAGUUAGUGUUUGUCAUUGAUUUAAUCGAUUGGGGCUUGUUUGGAAGAGGUAGAGUGGUGUUUACUCGGGAGUUCUUUGUUUUGAAAUUUGGCUCAAGGUAGAGAUUUGUUGUAGUAUGAUCCAAAUUCUAGUUGGUAUUGGAGUUAUAGUUGAAGUAGUCUUAGAAAUAUCAAAAUUAUAGACCGGGAAGAAUCAUGCUGCAAUUUCACCAACUUAGCAUUAGCUGACCGCUGAGUAAAAGACAGUAGAAAGUUUUCGCCCGCCAUUCGCUCGAGCGAUGAAGCUGUCGCUUGCUCCUUGCUCAACGUUGUUUGAGCGGUAGUACAUUUCUGGAAUUCGUGUUUUAAUGCGUUUUGGAUUUCUACUCAUCUACAACUUAUUUUCUAGGUUUCAUAUAUGUAUAUGUUCUGAUUUGUAAUGUCUUAUUAUCAUUCAUACAACAUCUUGAAAGGGUAGAUCUUAGUUGAGAGCAUUGAGAUCUUGUUGUAAACACGGUUGCUAUUGAUUAUAGUGGAUUCUCCUCAUUUGCCUGUGAUUUUUUUCCAUCUUGGGUUUCCCCAUAAAUCUUGGUAUUCUUUAUUUUAUGCUUAUUUAUUUCAUUAUAUUCAUAAUCUUCUGGUCAAUUCAUAACACUUAUAAAUUUGGCAUUUUGCUGUAUCUGAAACACAAAUUAUGGAAAUUUUUCUUCUCUAGUUUGUUACCUAAGGGAAUAAGUUUUUUUUUUUUUUUGGUUGCUUGAAUACCUAAACUAGCUCUGUAAUUAACUUUUCUUCCAUGUCAAUUUCCAAUAAUAUAAGAACCUAUUGUUAUACUCUCCAUUAAUGCUCAUUUAUCUCUGAAACUGAAAGUGAGAAAGGUUAUCAUCUUAUUUAGCAUCCUUGUCCGUUGCCAACUUCAUGAUUACUUCGCGCUCGCACUAUCAUAGUAGUUAGUUGAUCUACUUUGUUGACAUAUCUAUUGGUGUCCGGGUUGGUCAAUCUCCAUCAGUUGCCUCAACUAGAAUACAUACUGACCUGAUUCCUAGAGCUUGUCUAAUUCACUAUUAACGUGCAAUCUAAAACUGCCAUGUAUUCACUGCUGCUACCUGUGGAGGAAACUGAUUGUCGCCUCCAUCAUUCUUCUCAGCCUUUCUCUUUAUCACCACCAAUACACCAUAAUUUGGUAGUCCUAAAAUGUCCAAUAGCUGCAUCAACAAGCUACUAAGCUGUCGUAGUUACACCUUCUCAUUCUAUGAUAUCACUCUGUCUAUGGUUUUAUCACAUAAAUUUAGUUGACUUCUUGGCAUCAUCUUGACAAGGAUUGAUAUUGUGCUAUAAUACCAAAAUAAUGCAGCUGAAAAUACGUAUGAGAAUAAACACGAUAUUUACUACUGCUGUUGAUUCAUAAAGAAUUCUGAAAGUGGAUCAAAUGUUGAAGAAACCCUCAAGUUCUUAUUAUUUCAUAAAACCUGGUGCUAACUGUUAGGUCUAAAAGUGUAAUUGGCAAUUAUGUAGAAAAAAUGGGCGCAAUUAUGUAUUUGUAAAAGUCAGGGACUCAAUUGAACAUUAUUGUAAAAAUCAGAGACUUAAGGUGCAACAAUUUUGUAUGGUUGGAUAGGAUGGACUAGGGUUUGAGCUAGCUGUGGAAAUUAAGAACACGGCACUGGAAUUUCACAAGUUUCUCGCCCUGCUAUUGCUCGAGCAUAAAAAUCAGAAGCCCUGUCACUAGCUUUUUGCCCCUAUAUCGCUCGAGUGAAACAUACGUUGCUCGCUUUUUGCUUGAGUGACAGUGUAACUUGAAAAACCUUAACUUGCAUUUUUCGAGAUUUUUAUACGGCCUAAGACACCUUUUGCCCCCAAGUAUAAAUAGAACAAGUAUGGGAUGUGAAAGAUGAGAUUGCCACAAUGUGCCUUCAUUGCUAAACACAUUCUUACAUUCAUUAAAGAGAUCCAAGGCAAAAUUCAUUAAGGAAUUCAUCCAUGUCAUCUUGUGAUCCAGGCAAUCUACCUUUGGGAAAACAUCAAGGUUUGUGAAGACAAAACACUUGUUUCCUUAAUCGUGUAAGGAAUGGACUCUCUGAUGCGAACCGGUGAGCAACGAACACUCACAAACCCACAACGAGAUUGACAUAAUGGAUCCCAAAAAAGCCAAUGAAUUGAUGGUUUUGGACUAACGCGUAAACAAAGACUCAAACAACCAAUAAUAUAUGAAAUUAUUGACCUUUUGAAUACACGAUUUACAAAUCUCACUCGAAUAAUUGCGACACUCUCUCAUUGGGAGAUUGAGAGAGGUAGAUUGAAGCGUAGUUACAAUCACAAGAACAUGCAGUUCUCGAUGUUCCACAUGAAAAGUCGUUCAGCAUAGACCAGAAGGCUAUAGGAGACAGCAGAUUGGAUUGCAGGAGGUAGACUUGGAGUCUUACAGGAGGUUAGAGAAUUCUACGGCAGUAAGAGGCUGCAGAAGAUAGAUAAGGAGUUCUAGAGUUAGAGGUGUCUACGGCAGUAGAUCAUAAGGCUGUGAUAGUGAUCUUAACGGGUAUAAGGACAGGCUUAUCAUUGUAUGCUCUGAACAAUCGAGAGUGGAGGUAAUUGGCUUGGUCCCAAAAUUUUUUGCCACGUUAGAUUUCUCCAUCAUCAAAUUGUUGUUAUUUAUUGCUUUUCAUAUUAUACAAAUUGUGGCAUUCAAACUUAGGGAAUUGGACUUGAAUGAUUAAUCACCUAGAUAACUAUUAAAAGUGACUUGUUGCUUUGAUUAGUGUAAUUUCGCUGCAAGUAAGGUCGAAUUGGUUAAAUUGUACUCUAGAACGUAAACUUGGUAAUCAUAAGAUCUGAAUUGGUAGUGUAACUUGUUAGCAUGACCUUUAAAGUGGUAUUAGAGCCUGAGUGCUUGUCCUGACCUUAUAUAGUCUAGAUGAGUACUUCAUUGAAUGUACCGCCUCAUUUUGAUGGGAAUAAUUAUGCAUAUUGGAAAGUGAGAAUAAGGGCAUUUUUUAAAUCAAUGGAUGAGAGGAUUUGGUUGAGUGUUACGAAUGGUUGGUCUACCCCCAUGUCCACUGUAGAUGGUAUUGUCAUUCCCACUCCCAUAGAGAAUUAGACUAAGGCUAAAUUGGAUAGAUGCAAUUGGAAUAAUAAAGCUUUACAUACCCUGUUUAUGGCUAUUUCUCCUGAACAAAUUAGGAAUGUGUCCAUGUGUGAGGUAGCAAAGAGGUUUGGGACAUUCUAGAAACCACAUAUGAGGGAACACAGGUGGUUAAGAACUCUAAACUGCAGAUGCUGACCACUAGGUUUGAAGAGAUAAGAAUGAGAGAUGAUGAGAUGUUUGAUGUAUUCUAUAUGAGUUUAAAUGGCAUAGUAAAUUCGUCCUUUAACCUAGGAGAGAAAAUCCCAGAGUCUAAGAUAGUGAGAAAGAUUCUUAAAUCCUUACUCAAGCGUUUCAGGCCUAAAAUCACCGCAAUUGAAGAAAGUAACGACAUAGACACUAUCAAGGUAAAAGAGUUAGUUGGAUCCAUUUAGAUCUAUAAGUUGACCUUAGACAACCCAACCGAGGAAAAGUCCAUUGCCUUGAAAUCUGUGAGGAAUAACAGGGAAAAAUCAUCUGGCUCAAAUUCACCUAAUGAUGAAGAAAUGGCCUAGCUAGCUAAGAAGCUUCGAAAGAUGUUUAGGAAGAAGAAGAAACUGUAAGAGAAACCGAGAGUGGCCCGAGUAAAUCUAGGAUAAAAUUUAACUUGGUGAGAUGCCAUAAUUGUCAACGUACAGGUCAUGUGAAGGAGGAGUGCCCUAGUGCUAAGAGAGUCAAAGAGAAGGCCAUGAAUUCUAUUCUCACUGAUGACGAGCCUAGCUCGGACAAUCAAUGUGAGAAAUCCAUAUGUGAGGAAGGUGGAAGAUAUGUUGCCUUCAUCGCUAGGAUUAAGAGUAGAUUCAAAUAAGGGCGUGAAAGAGAUGAGGACAUAGAUAGUGGUGAGGAUUCUGGAGAUGAGUCUAUGAGUCAUGAAGAUAUUGAAGAGGCUUAUGAGAAAAUGUAUUAAAAAACCCAAAAAUUCUCAAAAAAAAUAAGGCCCUAAGUACGAACGUUCAUGAGCUUCAACUAGAAAAGGCUAAGUUAGAGGUGUACGUUAAGAAAUCUUCCACAAUCCUGGGUGAGCUUAAGUCGAUGAAUAAAGCCUUAGAAUCUCAGGUUAAGAAUUCACCGAUGAGCUUGAGAGGUCCUCUAGGAAAGUCAAUGAGUUGACCACCAUGAAUGAGACUUUACAAAGCUAGGUAGUGAACCUUGUGAGUGAAUUAGAGCAUUCUAAGUCUUAACUUCUUGCCUUCACUAGUGGUUUGUCCAAGCUAGAUAAUCUUCAAGGAAUAGGCAAGCCGGCUGAAAAUAAGGGAGGUCUAGGAUACAAAGGUAAAGCCCAGGAUGUUGCUAGCAUGUCUUAGACCAUGUUUGUCCCUGCUUCUGACUAGCCUAAACAUGUGCCUAACCUGGACCUAAGAUUAAGGGAUAUGUAGGAUAGAAGUCUACCAGACAGCGUAGAACCCAUCAACGUAGGAAUAGACAUCAGCAUCCACAUAACACAGGUCCUAGGUUUAUCUCGACAUGCUUUCAUUGUGGAGAGUUUGGUCACAUCUGCCCUAAAUAUCAUCAGUACCUGAAAAAUAGGAAAAACUUAAACUUGAAAAAGAACAAAAAUUAGGUGUCUGCUGGUUAGAUUGGAUUCCUUACUGAUCAAGUAAAUCGUUUGACUAAGUUGAUGACAGAACUAUUUGGGAAUUGUUCUCCCACUAGACAGGUUUGAGUGAAGAAGAGUGAUCAGCCAAAUUAGGUAGUAGAUCACGGUGCUCUUAAGGGAAAGAGCACUCAUAUACCUAUUUGAUUAGAUAAUUAUUAUACAUGCCUAGCUCUUAGAUGACAUAUGAUUGUUUGCAUGCAUCUUCAUUUUUUUUUUUUUUUUUUUUUUUUGUUUAAUGCAUGUGCAUUUUUCUUCUGUUUGUUUUGGCGCAUUCAUAUUUAGUUUUGUUUUUGUGUGCUUGGUUUUAUUUUCUUUUGUGUGUGGAACCCAAAAAAAUUGAAAAAGAAAAAAAAGUUUGUUAUGGAAAUGUCUACAGCAUGACAUAUGAUUCUUGAACUUGCACGUUGUGAUCAUGUAUGAGCUAAAAUUGAUAAAUUGUAAAAUAAUUUUCAUUGCUUGGGUAGGUCUUUUUGGAUUACUUAGUAUAAGUGUCUUCAUGUACCAUUUGCAUUGCACACACUAUGAAUUUGUUAGUGAGACUCUAACAUGUGUGUGAGAUUUGGGAUGUGGAGCAUGUUGAUAGGGUGACUUUGAAAAUGAAUUGAUCAUUAUUUAAUAGACUUAAACCUGAAAAUAAUCCCCCAUUAAAAUAAGCUCAUAUCUUAAUGUUCUUCUUGAAGGCCUAUUUGACUCGAGCAAUUAAGCCUGUGGGGCCUCCUAAAACCUAGUGCCUAUGGUCAACUGACUUGGAUUAAUUGGUAUAAAGCUCACUAUAGAGGUCAUUUCAGUCGUCUAAUGGAGAAGAACCUGCAUUUAAGAUGAAAAAUAAGUUAGCUUGAAAAAUAUGAAAAAUGUGAAAAAUAUGUUGAGCUAGAAAAAUGUGAAAAUUGAAAAAUAUAAAUGCUCAAAGUAAGGGAGAGAAAAUUAAAAAUAAUAAGUAUAGGUCCUAAUGCACACUAUAUGGUUUGACUUUCAUAAGUAGGAAAAUAUUCUUAUUGGUAGUGAUUGGUAUGUCCCAUCUCACAAAAUUAAGGUUUGGAGUCUUGCUUGCAUUGUAAUAGUGACACUUUAUACAUAUGAGUCAUUUGUACUUUUUACUUCAUUCAGGCUUGAACUGAGUAUGUGGGGAGGCCUAUGACUUGUUAAUUGUACUUUUGGAUGCUAUUAGCUGCAUUUUUGAGUUAUUAUGUGUUAUUGCUCAAAUUGUUCUUAAUAUGAUUCCCUUCAGCAUUUGUGACAAAAAGGGGGAGAGAAAAGUGUAACUGAGGAGGAGAAAAAUAUGUAAAAGAGCAUACACAUCGGAGAGUGACUGCAUUUGCAUGUGCACAUGAUUUCACUGAUUGACAUUACUUGCAUUUUGCAUUAAUAUGUCUAGGGGUCGUUGGGAAGAGAUAUAGAUACAUUGAUUUACUAUAUUAUAUUCAUGAGAGUUUGCAGUAAGGAGGAGCGUGUAUUACAUUCUACAUCACAUCCAUCUGUUUAAGUUUUGAUAUUUAGUGAUGUUGGUGUUUUGAUUGGCAUCAAUAUCAUGUCUCAAACUGGCAUGUUGAUUUAAGAUUAAGUGCUUUAAUUUUAUAUUUCCUAUAUCACGUGUUUCUACACUGGGUGUAUAGAAGGCUGCAGGAGGUAGAUUAGGAGUUCUAGUGCUAGAGGUGUCGACAAUAGUAGAUCAUAAGACUGUGGUAGCAGUCUUAACGGGUACAAGAACAUGCUUAUUAUUGUAUGCUCUGAACAGUCAAUAGUGGAGCUAACUAGCUUAGUCUCAGAGUUGUUUCCACUUUGGGUUUGUCUGUCAUCAAAUUGUUGUUAUUUAUUGAUUUCCUUAUUAUACAAAUUGCGGCAUUCAAACUUAGGGAACUGGAGUUAAAUGAUUAAUCACCUAAACAACUAAUUAAAAGUGACUUGUUGCUUUGAUUAAUGUAAUUUCGCAAGUAAGGUCGAAUUGCUUAAAUUGUACUUUAGUGGUAAUCAUAAAAUUUGAAUUGGUAGUGUAACUUGUUAGCAUGAUCUUUCAAGUGGUAUCAGAGCGUUCUAGGUUUUUCACUUACAAUGAUGAAUUUCAUCCAUGCAAUUGGCCAAUCCAUUGAUCCAAGGUAAGAAAAUGAAUAAAAAGAGAAUAAAACACUACAAAGAAUUCAUAAAGAAUUCUGAAAGUGGAUCUAAUAUCGAAGAAACCCUCAAUUCUUAUUAUUUUAUAAAACACGGUGCUUACGAUGAUGGAUUUUAUACAUGCUAUUGAGCCAUCCAUGUUGUACUAUAUAAGGUAAACAAAAUUUUCAAAAAGGAAUAAACCAAAAAAGGAAAUAGUAGGCAAUAAAGAGGAUAAAUGAAGGAUUCCGUGUGCAUAUAAUCAACCACUAAAUUGGUGAAAAUAUUGAGGGAAUCAGCUAGCAUUUGUGCAUUUCAUCAGUAUGUGAUGAUAAGGUAUGUGGCAAACGACUAAGUUCAAUACAUUAAAAUAUUUUAACCACUUUCACUACUUGAUUCGUUUGGCAUCUUUCCAAUGCUUGCAGAAUCAUUUUUGUAGCUAUAAUUUUAAUGAAAUGUAAUUUAUUUUUAAGGGAAUCUAUAAUUAAUUUGACGAUAUGUAUUGUAGACUGUUUAUUUGCACAAGUCAUCAUUUUCACGUUCUCAUCUCUAAAUUAAAGUUUCUAUCUUUCAUUAUACAGCUAUAACUAUUGAAAGUUCUAGAGUAAUUUGUAAUCUUCAUCUAGUCCAAAUCCAAAUUAGAAACUUUAACAACAAAAGAAGAUUCAAAGAGUUCAAAUCCAAAUUGAACACUUUAACCAACAAAAGCCUCAUUCAUUGAAUGGUCAAAGGAUAAGAUUUUCAAUUCAAGUUAUAUGCUCAACUUAUGCAAGUUGGAAAUUAACAUAGACAACAAUAUGAUGUUCACUAACAAUUGGAAUCUGGGAAUUACAUCAGGCAGCAGCCAUUUGACACUUCUUAUAUUCAAAUACAGAUGUAAUUGAAGACAUAACUGCUGCAAAUGAUGAAGAAAAAUAGCUAAUAUCUAGUGUAAUUGUACAGGAUUAGUAAGACUAGUUUACUCAAUGUUCUCUAUAAAUAGGAAGGCAUCUAUCUAGUUUUAUGUAUGUAGAAAGAAGUGAGAAAAAUCUCUUAAAAAAUAGAGAGAGUGUGUGUGUUGUAGCAACUCCUUUGUAAUCUCCCAAAUUUCAUUAGUAAAAUCUCAUAUUUCUCACAAUUAUCUUCUUCUACAGCCAACAAAUUUUGGUAUUAGAGCCAGGUUGAAUAGAUGACCAAAUCCUACCAAAAGUUGAGACAAAAUCAGCCUAAAAACAUACCACAGCACUAGCAAAUUUUUUUAACAAAAACAGGGCAAUUAUGACAACAAAUUCAGCAGUCUCCUUGUUCACUUAUUCACCAAGUCAAGUACCAAUCUUUGAAGGUGAGCACUAUGAAUAUUGGAGUAGUCAAAUGCAAACUUUCUUCACCUCUUUAGAUUUAUGGAAAGUCAUUGAAGAUGAUGAGGUGGUAGAAGAUUCGACUGAAGGAGUUGAAGAAGAUUCAAAGUUACAAAAGGAAUACAAAAAGAAAGAUGUAAUGGCGUUGCGAUAUAUUCAACAAGGAGUUAGAAAAUCAAAUUUUCCUCGCAUAUUUGGUGUUAAAAAAGCCAAAGAUGCAUGGAAAAUUUUAAAUCAAGAAUUUCAAGGUUCCAAGAAAACUAUCGCCUUGAAACUUCAAUCUUUAUGGAAAGAUUUUGACAAUCUCAAAAUGGAAGAUGGGAGUCAGUUCGUGAUUUCUCUUCACAAGUUUCGGAGAUUGUAAAUCAAAUCAAAAGUUGCCGAGAUACGAUUAAAGACAAAAUAGUUGUUGAAAAUUUCUUCGAUGUCUCCCUUCAAAAUUUGAUCAUGUAGCCGCUGCAAUUGAAGAAUCAAAUGAUUUGUCUAAAAUGACUAUGUCCUAGUUGACUGGAUCACUUCUUGCACAUGAGCAAAGAAUCAAUCAUUCGGCUAGUCAAUUAACCGAGCAAGCCUUCCAAUCAAAGCAAGCAUUAAAAAUAAGUUUAAACAAUCAUGGAGGUUCAAACAACAAAAAGGAAAAGUUUAGCAAGUGGAGUCAAAAUGAAAAGCAAAGCAACUGGAAAGCCAAGGCACUACAAUAAUCUGGUAAGGCUCAAUCUUGCAUUAUUUGCAAAAAGAACAAUCAUGAAUCAAAAGAUUGUUAUUUUAAAUGUAAAAGAUGCAGAGUUCCUAAUCAUUCUCAAAAGGAUUGUUGGUUUCAAAAUAAGGAGAAAAAUGAAGAUGCGGCAAAUUUUUUGAAAGAAAGUGAAGAUGAAAUUCUAUUUUAUGCUUAUCAAAAUGGUGACUUUGAAUCCAAGAAUAAAUGGUAUUUGGAUAACAGUGCUAGCAAUCACAUGAUAUGAAAUAAAGAUAUCUUUGUAGAGAUCAAUCCAAAUGUCACUUCUCAAAUUAUUCUCGGAGAUGGAACACAAAGAAGAGCAAAAGGAAAAGGCAUCAUUGCGGUCCAAACUAAGGGAGGUAUCAGACAACUCAUUAAUAAUAUUCUUUAUGUGCCAAAUCUUUCAUAUAAUCUCUUAAAUAUUGGACAACUCUUACAAAAGAAUUUUUUGAUGCGCUUAGAUAAUGAAAGAUGCAAGAUCUUUGAUAAAAAAAAAUGUCAUAGUGGCAAAUGUUGAAAUGAAAAACAAAACUUUUUAUCUCAUGUUACCACUAGACAACAAUUGUGCACUCAAAGUUCAAAAUGCAGAUUUGUCACAUCUAUGGCAUUUACAAUAUGACCAUUUAAAUGGCAGAGGACUUCAACUGCUUAAAGAGAAAAAUAUGGUGAUCGGGCUUCGUAAAAUUCAAAGGAUAGACAAAGUUUGUGAAGGCUAUAUCUAUGGAAAAAUGCAUACGGUUCCAUUUCCUAAAACUUCAUGGCGAGCAAAAUGCCAUUGGAGCUUAUUCAUUCAGAUAUUUGUGGACCAAUGCAAACUCCUACUCUUGGAAAUAAGAGAUAUUUCAUUCUCUUUGUUGAUGAUUACACAAGGAUGAUGUGAAUUUUCUUUCUCAAUCAAAAAUAUGAGGCAUUCUCUACAUUUCUAAAGUUCAAAGCACUUGCAGAAAGACAAAGUGGAUUUCUAAUAAAGACGUUGAGGACGGAUCGUGGAGAAGAAUUUCUCUAUAAUCCCUUCAUUGAAUAUUGCAAAGUUAAUGGCAUUCAAAGGCAACUGACAGUUAGCAGAUCUCCACAACAAAAUGAAGUAGCUGAUAAAAGAAUCGUACCAUUGUUGAAAUGACAAGAAGCAUGCUAAAAGGCAAAGGAAUUCCAAGUAUUUAUUGGGCAAAAGCUGUAAACACAGCAGUUUAUAUUCUCAAUCGAUCUUCUAUAAAAGUUGUCAGAAAUAAAACUCCGUUCGAGGCAUGGUACAGUAAGAAGCCAAAGGUAGACAACUUUAAAAUUUUUGUUAGCAUUGCCUAUACCUUCAUUCCAUCACAAAACAUAGAAAAGUUCGAUGAGAAAGGACAAAAACAUCUAUUCAUUGGAUAAAGUGACGAGUCUAAAGGAUAUCGUUUACUAAAUUUAGAGACAAAUAAAAUAACAGUUUCUCGAGAAGUUGUGUUCCAUGAAAGCGCAACUUAUGAUUGGAAAGGAAAGCAAGUCAUGGAUUCUAGACCCUAUCAAUUUGAUGAUCCAUCGACGUCUCAAAUCUCCAAAACUGAACAACUUACAGCUCCAAAUAUUCCAACAAUUGAAGAAGAAUCAGAAACCCCUCCAAGAAAAACACGUUCACUAAGAGAAAUAUAUGAAUCGCAAAAACUCGGAUUAUUCUCUUGUGAACCUCAAUCAUAUGAAGAAGCUUCAAAAGAAAAAUGUUGGACAAAAGCAAUGAAUGAAGAAAUAUCUACCAUUGAGAAAAAAUAAAACUUGGGAGUUCGUUGAGCUACCAGAAGGAAAGAAGACUAUUGGUUUGAAAUGGAUCUAUAAAAUCAAAUACAAUGAAGAUGGGUCAAUUCAAAAAUAUAAAGCUCGGCUCAUGGCCAAAGGAUAUUCUCAACAACCAGGAGUCGACUUCACAAAGACAUUUGCUCCAGUUACAAGAAUGGAGACAAUACGUACAGUUCUGGCAUUAGCAGCUCAAUUGGAGUUAAAAGUCUUUCAAGUUGACGUAAAACCAGCAUUCUUAAAUGGCGAAAUUCAAGAAGAAGUGUAUGUUGAACAACCUGAAGGUUUCAAAAUCAAAGGCAAAGAAGACAAAGCUUAUCGUUUUCAAAAAGCAUUAUAUCGGUUAAAGCAAGCACCCCGAGUAUGGAAUACGAAAAAUCAAUGGCUAUUUCAUUCAAAAUGGCUUCAAUCGAAGUUCAAGUGGAUCAUCCCUCUAUGUGAAAAAUGUAGAAUUUUUUCUCAUCGUUUGCCUCUACGUGGAUGGUCUUAUCUACUUUGGUGCAAAUGAACACAUGAUGGGCGAAUUCAAGAAUAAAAUGAUGAAAGAUUUCGAAAUGUCUGACUUGGGACUCAUGAGUUAUUUUCUCGGGAUUCAAGUAAAACAAAGGCCAUGAAGAAUUUUUCUUUCUCAGGAAAAGUAUAUUGAUAAUCUUCUCAAAAAAUUCAAGAUAAGUGAGUGUAAGUUAGUCUCUACUCCAAUGGCCUUAAAUGAAAAAUUGCAAGUCUAUGAUGAUGCAGAAAAAGUUAAUGCCAUACUCUAUAGAAAAUUGAUUGGUUCAUUGAUUUAUCUUAAUACAAGGCUAGAUAUUACAUAUUUAGUCAGCUUAUUAUCCAGAUUUAUGAAUGAACGAAGUAAACUACAUUUUGCAGCAGCAAAAAGAAUUUUGAGAUUCCUUAAAGGAACUAAGAACCAUGGCAUGAAGUUUAAAAAGGAGAAAAAAGGAGAAUAAUUGCAAACUUGUUAGCUAUACAGAUAGUGAUUGGGCUAGAUCAGUUGAUGAUCGAAAGAGCACUUCUGGAUACAUCUUUCGCCUUGGAUCAAAUGUGAUUUCGUAGAGCUCAAAAAAAUAGAAAUCCAUUGCUUUAUCAUCAACUAAAGCAGAGUACAUUGCAGCUACAGAUUCAGCUUGCGAAGCUAGUUGGCUUAGAAGAAUUUUGAAAGAUUUAAAAUUUGAGCAGGAAGGACCAACAACAAUUUAUUGCAACAACAUAUCGACAAUUGCGAUGACAAAAAAUCCAGUCUUCCAUGCUAGGUCAAAGCAUAUUGAACUUUGACAUCACUUUAUAAGAGAUUUGGUAAAUCAAGAAGAAAUUUGCAUUGAGUUUAUAAAUACCAACGAUCAACCGGUUGAUAUGAUGACGAAGUCAAUGAUAAUUGAUAAGUUUGAGAAAUUCAAGAAGCAUUUGAAGAUUACAAAUUAAGAGGGGUUGUUGAAGUUCUAGAGUAAUUUGUAAUCUUCAUCUAGUCCAUAUCCAAAUUGAAAACUUCAACAACAAAAGAAGAUUCAAAGAAUUCAAAUCCAAAUUGAACACUUCAACCGACAAAAGCUUCAUUCAUUGAAUGGUCAAAGGAUAAGAUUUUCAAUUCAAGUUGUAUACUAAACUUAUGCAAGCUGAAAAUUAACAUAUACCGCAAUCUAAUGUUCACUAACAGCUGGAAUCUGGAAAUUACAUCAGGCAGCAGCCAUUUGACACUUCUCAUGUUCAAACACAGCUGUAAUUAAAAACAUAACAGCUGCAAAUGAUGAAUAAAAACAUCUAAUAGCUAAUUGUAAUUGUAGACAAUUAGUAAGACUAGUUUACUCAAUGUUCUCUGUAAAUAGGAAGGCAUCUAUCUAGUGUUAUGUAUGUAGAAAGAAGUGAGAAAAAUCUCUCAGAAAAUAGAGAGAAAAAGUGUGUUGUAGCAACUCAUUUGUAAUCCCCCAAAUUUCAUUAGUAAAAUCUCAUAUUUCUCACAAUUAUCUUCUUCUACACCCAACAAUAACGAAGGUGUCCACAGAAUAGUACCUCAAAAUAUACUUAUAAUAUGUUCAAUAAUAUCUUUAUUGGUGAUCUAUUGAACAUCUCAACCAAGGGAUUUCCUUGAAAAUAUUAUUCUCGCACUUAAUCUCCAGUCUCAGCUCCCACUCGUGCUUUGCACUUCACAUAUUUGCAUCAAAGAUUAAAUGUGUGUGACUUUUGGAAGCUAUAGAUAGUUAAUUUUGUAGAAGUUGAGGGCAGUGCCCUAAUGGAAGAGCAUUGGCAAGUUGAAGUAUUACUAAUAAUUUUGCAAGCUAUGCCUGUUAGCAUCCUCUGUAACUAUACAGAGGAACUCAAACCCUAGCCUUGAGUUGAUAUUAUCCAAAUGUGGUGUAGUGUUGCACUAUGGUCUAAUUUUGUUUCGUGCUUGAAUCCCACUAAAAUAUUAAGAUGUAUUAGAUAGGUUCUUUGAUUUAUAUAUAACUAGGUUGUUUGCUCAAGUUCACAAGUACCCCUCAUGUCUUUCAAUUUUUUAGGAGGGGCACUAAAGGUCUAGUAAGGAGAUUGAAUCCAAAUUUAGUAAUGAAACAUAAUUAUUUAAUUGAGUUGAAAUAGAAACAAGGGUCUCAAUCAUGAAAGAAAAUAUCCAUAUUUGUCGAAGAACAAAUAUCACUCCAAGAGGAGAGUCGUAAUUGAUAAUAAUUUGAACAAUGCCGGUCUGGUCACUUUAUAGUGCGACUGUGGGUUCAGUUAGUAGAAUCACAAGAGUUUGUGAAAAAUAAAAGUUUUUGCUGUCAUGCAAUGUCACACAUAUCUUUUAUAUAUAUAUAGAAUUAAGUGACUCAAACUACGCGCCGGCUCCCCUCCAAUAGGGGGCCACGUCAGCGCCCUGUCUCCAUCCUUGUCACUCCAGUAGGGUUGGUGUCUAUAUAUUCUUCAAUAUUUUAUCGCUUUCACAGGUUUCCUCUUCAACACCCCUGACCUUUCCCUUAAACUUAACAUUUUAAGGGCUUAUUUUUUCCUAUUUUACUAUUUUUUUUGAUUUUGUGAAAUUCCAUGAAUUAUUAAGUUUAAGAAUAAUUGAGGUUGAUCUUCAGAUCAGAAUUUGAUUUAAUAAUUGUUGGUUAAUGCAUUCAGGUAGAAUCGGAUUUCAAAAUUUUUUGGCACAAUUAAAGUAUUAUUUUUCAGAUUCAGUCCCUAUCCGUUUUAAAUUUUUGAGGAGCAGAAUUUCAUUUGCCUUUUAGGCAUCUGCCAUUUUGGAUCUUUCUUUUAAUGGAUACAGAUUCGAAAUUUCAACUACUUUUUAGCUACAGCCACAAUUUUUGACUUUAAUGGAUUGAGGACAUAACUUUUCUUUUAUAAUUGCAUAAUGGAUAUAGCAUCUUGAUUGUAUAAAGGAUUCAGCCGUAAUUUUUGACCAUUGUCUCAUAUGAUGGAUUCAAUGUUGAAUACUAAAUAGUAUAUGAUGUGUGCUUUUUUCUCUUUUUUUUUUUUUUUUUUUUUUGGCAAGCUAGAUUUCUAGUUUCGUUGAUUUGAUCUCAUUAUCGACUUUUAAUACAUGCAUCUAUAGUUUCUAUGCUCAUAAUGUCAUGGGAAUAAUAGAAGUAUCGACACUUAGUUCGAUUUUAAGCAUUUAGUUUAAAUAAUAGAACUAAUAGUUUAAGAAAUCAAGCAAAUGAUUGUUUGGGCACGGAAGCUCAAAUCCAACUUUGUUGAUUCCAACGGAUUAUAAUGAAUGAGAUUCGAUGACAAUAUUAUGAAGUAAACAAAAUCACACCACAAAAACAAAGUUUAAAUUGUAAAGAAGAACAAGAAGAAUUAAUCAUAGAGGAACGAUGUUUAUUACUCAACAAUAUGGAGAGAAUAAUACAGAACAAUAAUAAUGCUUAUAAUUGUUACUACGAUCUAAACUGACGGAUGAACCUUUAAUUUAUAGGCCAACCAUAGAAGAGUUCUAAAAGGCAAGAAAAUAUAUUACAAUUAGGAGAACUAAUUUCAAUAGGAUUUUGUUUCCUUUUGUUAGAUGCAAUUACAUUUCUCUUCCAAGUACAAGUCGAAUACGUAUCUUCAAAAGACUCCUAACCAAUUUUUAGGAUUCCACUUGAUCAAAUUCCAAAUCAACAAGAAUCUUAACACAUUUGAGUCACCAACUCAAAAAUGAUAUAUUAUCAAUCGUCCCUCGACAUCUUGCUUUCCGGUCCUUGUAGCCAUAGGAGCAUAUAUUUACAAUAUUGAUGAUAUGUCUUGGAGAGGCAUGGCAACUCAAUGAAUUAAUCUUCUGCCAGUUAUCAUAAAAUGUAUGUGCAUGGUAGUUCUAAUAAUAUUACCUUUAUUACAAUAAGUUGUUCAGAUAUUUAUUUGGAAUGGGAUUUCAAAUGUAUAUUUUUUUUUUUUAUCAUAUGAUUCAUUUUCUAACGUCUUAAGUUGCAACUAAUUUAUUUGAAUUGUUUUGUUGCCGGCUUGCUUUUGGUGUUAACAGCAAAGGGUAAUGUGGCCUUACGAUUUUGUAAAUGACAUUGUCAUUAUAUUUUCUUUUGGAAUGCUUUCUAUAUUAUUUUGAAUCUUAAAAUUAUUAUUUUUGCUGAUGUCCUCUAAAGAGGCAAAGGGCUAAUGCCAGGCCACGACAUCGGAAUGGCCGACCAAGAAGAAACAGAAAAAGGACGAGGCCUUAAAGAAAAAAACCCCCGCUGCUUCUGUCCAUUUUGUGCCGUAUCCUUCGUUGCUGAAUGCUACUCCUCUUGUUCAUGAGGUUUCUCAACAGGACAAGGCAAUGCGUUUGGCUGACCAUGAGAUCUUUUUCUUUCAAGGGCAAAUUGCAGCAAUGAAAUGGGUGAAACCCCAGGCUUAUUUGGACUUCAUUGGGAAGGAAUUGCUGGAGGACGAUGCUGUUGCCCAACUUCUUCUCAACAUCUGUUCUUUAACCCAAGCUGAAGCUGCCAAUAAGAGCUGGCAGGAAAAAACAUAAUUGCUAUCUUUCUUCCAUGGAUGCUCAGUAUGCUAGCUUGAUGGCUGCAAUCUAAAAUGCUCAUGCUACAAUAUGUUCCAUAAAAGCUGAAAGAGAAACCAAGCAGGAAACGUUUGCAUGUGAAAAUGCCAGAGAAGUUGUGGAGUGUUGAAGAUACAAAUGCAUUGUGGGCACAUGAUAGUCUCAGUAAUAUAGUGGAGUGCACAUGGGUAUUGUAAGCUGGUAGUGUGCAAUUGUGGGAGCAUAGCUAGUUGCUGUAACUGUAUUUUAUUCCUACGUGUAUAGUGUAGGUUGAGUUAGUUUUUUUCUUUUUCUUGCUCAACACUCCAAGUGAGUGUAUAUAUACUAUAUUCUCUUCACUGUAAAUUGCAUCAAAAACUUUUCAUAAGUCUUUCUAUUUUCUAACUUGGUAUCAGAGCUUCAAUGGCUAACACUAGAUCCAGCGACAAUGUACAAUCAGCUCAGCCAGCUUCUAGCACAUUGAUACCUCCAAUGUUGGGAAGAAAGCAGAUGUCAACGUUUGGGAUAAGCCUUACUGAUGUGAUAUGGAUUAGGCCCGAAAUGAACGAGAAUUUGUUGGUUUUGAAUCAAGGCGUCGGGACGAGAAUUGGAGUUGAUUCAGGCCACAUAAUUAUUAAUUUGAGCAUUGGAGUUCAAUAUGAUGGGGUUGACAUGUCAAGUGACAUUAAAUGAAGGGGGUCGAAGACUGGAACCAAUUGGAACAAGUGUCACGAGCGGCUAAAGUUUGGGCCAAAACCGAGAAGCUAUGCGGUCGCAGGUGCGACAUGGGUUGCGACCACAAGGACACCUACAGGGAAACUAAGGGUAGCGUUCGGGAGAACCAUGCGACCGUACAUGGAAAUACCAUGCGGUCGCACAGUUGAUUGGCGAGGCAGAAAUUUCCUUUACGCGCAAGAGAGUUUUAUUUUAGUUAAAUUUCUUGUUUUUGGAAAUUUUAUUAUUCUAGGACUCUAUAGCACGUUUUUUAUAUUAUUUCCUAGGAUUUUAUUCCUUUUAAAAUUAGCUUUAUAUUUCUAGUAGAAAUAGGAUUAUUUCUCAUUGUAAUUUAGAACUUUGAUUAUGAAUUGAAUGAGAAUUCUCUCUUUCGAAGCUUUUGCUUCAAACCUUUGUUCUUCGGGACUUUGAACUUAUCAAGGGAUUCGUUUGGGAUUUCUUGUGGCGUUCGCAACCUUGGGCGAGGUUCUUAAAUUGUGUAAUUAGGAGGUCUUCGAUUUAAUAAAUCAUUGGUUGUCUAAUUCAUCGUUUAGGAACUAAAUCCGUAAAUUUCGAAUCAAAUUGGCGUUCUUGGGAUUGGUGUUACUCUCGUGUGGGUUCGAUAGUGUUCGUUGCUAUCCGGGUUCACAUCACUUACCCAAAUACCACCAAUGAAGCUUGAUAGGACCAACUUCCUGCUAUGGAAGAAUAUGGUUAUGCCCAUCAUUAAGGUUUAUAACCUUGAAGGAUUCAUCCUAGGAACAAGAAAAUGGCCACCAAAAUUCAUGGGAACACAAACCACAGAUACCACUGAUGUAACUGUUGAAUUGACACCAAAUGUUGAGUAUGGAAGGUGGAUGUCUACUAAUCGACUACUGAUGGGUUGGCUUUAUUCAUCAAUGACACCUGAGAUUGCCAUGAGAGUAAUGGUGUCUUCAAGCUCCUGCGAUCUAAGGAAUGCAGUCCAGGAAAGUUUUGGAAUUAUGAACAAGUCAAGAGUAACAUUCCUUAUUGGAGAACUUCAGAGAACAAGGAAAGGAUCAAUGAGUAUUGAUGAAUAUCUCAACACAAUCAAGCAGUUAGCAGAUAAUCUCGAGAUUGCUGAAAAAAGUGUUCCUCACAAUGAUCUUGUAACCCAAGUAUUAGCUGGCUUGGAUGAGGAUUACACUCCUAUUGUGGUCCAGAUCAACAGUAGAGUUCAUCUCCUGGCAUGAGUUGUAAUCUACACUUAUGACAUAUAAAAGCAGGAUUGAACAUCUUAAUGCUGUGAAAAACAGCAUGGCCUCAGUAAACUUAAGUCGCAGUAAACUUUUUUCACAAGCCAAACAUGAACAGAUGAGGUAGGUCUAACUUUGGUGGAAGAAAUAGUAACUACAGAGGAGGAAGAAGCAGAGGAAUAGGAGGCAAGCAACCUAGUAGAAAAGGGUCAUGUCAAAUAUGUGAAGUGGGAAAUCACUCAGUCGAGAGGUGCUUCAAUCAGGUACAUGGGUACAAAACUUGACCAAAAGUAUCAAAACAAUCUCUAGACCAGCUACCUUUGUAGCUUCCCCAAGUAUUGUUACAGACCUAGCCUGGUAUGCAGAUUUAGGAGCAAACAAUCACGUCGCUACUAAGAAAGGAAGUCUGACUGAAGCACGUGAGUAUGGUGGUAAGGAAAAUCUUAUUGUUGGAAAUGGAAAUAAACUUCAUAUCUCACAUAUUGGCACCAAGCACUGAAUGACAAGUCAAUGAUACUCAGUAACACAUUACUGGUGCCAUCAAUUAAGAAAAUUGAGGAAGUGGGGGAACAAUCUGGAGACAAUUUAAGGGGAUUCAGUUGGUCAAUUGAGGAAGAAAAAAGAAGAAAAUUCAGCCGCCAAAGAUAAAACCUUGAGGAAGUCGGCCAAACACAUAAUCUGGUAUAAGAGCAAGUGGGUGGCUGGGAGUGGGACCUAUUUUUGAAGGAGAUGGCCCACCCAUAAAUUUCAAGAAAUAAAUCGAGAGGCGUGGAAAUAUUAAGGGAAGAAUCGAUUAACACUUCAAUUUUUCUUUCCUUCUUUAUUAUGUUUUCCAUCAUAAUUUGUAUGAAUUUCACGUUUUAUAUUAUGAGCUAAAUAAAUUUUCUAGGGUUUGAGAUAGCCGAACUCGAUAUUAUGGUUUGAUGAAUUUAUUAAUUAUUUUGUUUGAUUUUCUCACGUAAAUUUAAUUGUAUAAUGAUUUUAAUGCUUUCAAUUGUCUGAUAAACAAUUGGAUAAUUUGAUGCUAGUCAAUUCUGGCACUCGAGAGGGAGCAUUUAGGCGUGAUUGUAAGAUUGAUACAACAUAGAUUUUAUAGGUUUCGAGAGAAAGUAUAAAAUCUGUGAAGUUUACUCCACAAAAGGAUCAGAACUUUUAUAAAUUCUUGAUUUUCAAUUUCGAACAGAGAUGUUGGAAUUGGGAUCUAAGAUUAAUUUCUAGCCGGUGCUCGAGAGAGAGGAUGAAAAACGUAUUAGGAUUCUUGCCUUUAAAUAUGGAAAAAUUAAUCGGAAUAAUUGAAAAUCUUUGAAUCGUAAUCAAGAGUUAGGUGAAAUCAAUCCCUAGGCUUUCUCAUUUGAUAAUUUGUAUUCUCCAAAUUUGUCGAUCCAAUCACGUUAGAUUAGUUUAAUUCAUUCACUCAUAAAGCAUUCAAACAUUCAACCAUUCAUUUGUCUGAAUAAAGUAGAAAUUACAUAAUUAUAGUACUUAGUGAAAAUUAAAUUACAAUCCUAUGGGUUCGACAUCCUAGCUUCAAAAUUAUAUUACAAAACUUGACACCGUACACUUGCAGUUAAAUCACAUUGUAUAAAUCGGUGGCACUAAGCAUGUGGAUAAAACAAUAGAAUAGAAUCUUAAUAGUUUAAGAAAUAUUCAAUAAAUGAGACAUUAUUAAUUGUCCCUUGACAUCUUUCUUUUUAGUCCUUGUAGCCGUAAGAGCAUAUAUUCACAGACACAGUAUUUGACAUGGUGACGUGUCUUGGAGAGGCACCGCAUCUCAAUGAAUUAAUCUUGUGCUUGUUAUCAUAACAUUUAUGUGCAUGGAGUUCUAUUAAAAUGAUCCUUUUUGAUAUUUCUUCGAAGAGCUAUGCUACAAUGACAAAGAAAGAUGACAAAAUUAGGUUACAAAAUCAAAUCUACACCAAUCAUUUCAAAAAUAGAUUUUUAAAUCAUUUGAAAUCAAAGGUUCAGAUUUUGCCAACACACUUUGACACUCCACUUUUGUACACCAACUUUGUAGGAGUAGAAUUAUUCUAAAUUUAUUUGAAUCAUUUUGUUUCCUACAUGCUUCAGGUCUUAAUGGCAAAGGGUAGAUCUUGCUAUUUGUACAUAGAGGUUUACACUUUGGUUGACACGGUCCCACCACUUCUCUCACAUGGGGAGGUCAGCCCCACACAUUUGGGAGUGGGACCCAACCUCUCCCAUGUGAGAGGUCGGAUGGGGCUGUGUCAACCAAAGUGUAAGACAUCAUGUACAAGUAGAUUAAUCAUUUUUCUGAUUUCCUUUACAGAGGCAAAGGGCCAAUUCCGGGCCACGGACUUGGAAUCGCUGACCAAGAAGAAGCAGAGAAAGGACAAGGCCCUGAAUCUCUAAUAUUUUUUUGUCUUCGGUUUCAAAAUUUUCUUUAUUUCUCUGUUUCUUAUCAAGGACAAGGCCCUGAAGGAAAAAACUCGUGCUGCUUCUGUCCAUUCUGUGCCCAAUCCUCCCGUGCUGAACACUACCCCUCUUGUUCCUGAGAUUCCUCAUCAGGACAAGAGGAAGUGUUGGCCGAACAUGAGAUCUCUUUCUUUCAGAAGCAAACUGAAGCAAUGAAAGGGGAGAAACCCCAGGCUUACUUAGACUUCAUUGAGAAGGCACCGCUGAGGACAAUGUUGUUAAACCAGCUCCCUUCCUACCUCUGCCCAAUAGCCCAAGUUGCCAAUAAGAGCUGGCAGGCAAAACAUAACCACUAUCUUUCUUCCAUGGAUGCUCAGGAUGCUAGCCUGAUGGCUGCAAUCUACAAUGCUCGUGCUACAAUAUGUUCCAUAAAAGUAGGGAUGGCAGUUUUCCCCACCCUGCCCCGCCGAGUCCCUGCCCCGAUGGGUUGAUGGGGCGGGGCGGGGAGUGUUGCCCCGUCUCGGGUCACGAGGCGGGGCGGGGCGGGGCGGUCUUGCCCCGAAUCCGCCCCGUCAAGUUUUAAAAAAAAAAUCCUAAUUACAAGUUUUGCAACCCUAACCUAACGUAACAUUCUUCUCAUUUCUCCAUCCAGAGUAGCUCUCCGCCAGUCCGACUUGCAAUAUUCUUUUGUUUUUCAGGAUCCAUCUUAUGUGAUCUCUACUUCUGUUGAUGAAAGAAGUCAUGAAAUCUGAAAAAUGACAAAUUUUGAAUCAAAAAAUGAAUUUUAGUACAAUGACAAUGUAAUUUUAAUUGCAAUUGUUCUUUUUUUUUUGACAGUGUUUGUUUCGACUUUCGAAUGUUUAUUUUAGACAUUAACUUUAUUAAAAAAAAAUUAUACGAGACAAGAAACGAGGCGAGGUGCGGGGCGGGGCCCCCGCCCCACUGCCAUCCCUACAUAAAAGCUGCAAGAGAAACCAAGCAGGAAAGGUUUGCAAGUGAAAAUGCCAAUAAAAGCUGCAAGAGAAACCAAGCAGGAAAAGUUUGCAAGUGAAAAUGCCAGAAAUGUUGCACAGCGCGCUUUUGAAGAGGAAAGGGCUAGCCAUAGCCGCUCCGUGAUAAACCUUACGUCAACUCUUGAACAAGCGAAGAAAUAUUGGGAAGCGCUGGGAGAGAAGCGUGCGAGGAUUAAGGAUCUGGGGCUGAAGCUUGCAUCUACGGAGGCUAGGCUAAGGGGCCUAAGCUUGGAGGUGUUGGUGGCAAGCGUUAUAACUUCACUUUUCUGUUUUAGAUGCGACAGCAUCUAAAAUACUGAGAAAUUAACGCUUCCAGCACCACGUCCAAAGCUUAGGAUCCUUGGGUAUAGCACCCUUGGGCACAUUGCUCUUAGAGGCCUUCUGUGACUUGGACAUCAACUCUGCUUUCUUCAACCACAUAGGAGACUGAGCGAAUAAAUCUGAUACCCUUCCCUGGUUAUAUCUUGGCACCACUAAAUCGGCAAAGCUCUGUCCUGACAACCCAUAAUUAACAGGUGAGACAAACAAAAGAAAAUUAACUCCAAAAUUGAACGUAAAAUCGAUAUGGAGUAGAAGCAAAACUUAUACAAAGCAAGACAGCGCGCGCGCGCACACACACACACAUAACAAAGCAAUAGACGUUUGCGUCCUAUAUUUAUCUAUUUGACAGCAUCUUCUAAUUUUCAAACUAAAACAAAAGAAUUCUAGAUUGAAACUAUAAUAUCCCGAAAUUUUAUAGAAUAUAAUUUAAUUUUAUUUAUGCUAUAUUUUUAAUGUUUUGAAAGUUUAGGGACUAAAGUGUAUAUAAAGUAAACUUUAAUAAUAUUUAGAUUAAAAUAUAAAUAUUGACGGGACGAUGAUAAGAAUACGGAUAUUGGGCUCAUUGGAUAGAUAAUAAUUAAAGACGCAUUUUAGACUCGAGAAAAAAUUAAUUUGGGUUAGUCGAGCCCAAGUUAUCGAAGUCGGAAGAUAUAACAUUAAAAUAUUAUUUUUAUUACUUUUGUUUGGAAGAAUUUACUUGGAGAGAGAGAUGAAAGUUGUUGAGAUAUUUUAUUGUUUUAUUAUUAAUAAUAAUAUUUUAUUAAGUGUGUUUUGCAUUGGGAGGUCUCACGUGAAGUACUAGGAUUCUAAGUAGGUGGUAGGUAAGUGAUAAUUGAUUUGUUUAUUAAAUGAAAUAAAGUAGAGAGAGAGAGAAUUAUGGGAAGCCACGUUCCUAAUGGUUAAAACAAAUUCCCUUGUAUAUAUAUGGUGCACUGCCACGUGUAAGAUAUAAAUUAUUUUUUUAAAUUGUGGGCAGUUGGCAAGAUUUGGGUCAAGUUUCUAUUUCAACUAUUUUGAUCCAUAUCUCUUUCCCCACUCCCACACGUUUCCUCAUUUUUUUUUAUAUAGAUAUUUUUAUUAUAUCAUAUGAAAACAAUAGCUUUCAUUCACUUCACUGUAAUAUUAUUGCACGAUAAGGCAGAAAGAAAAGAAAAGAUAGUUGCAACGUGAUUUUGGGUUUUCUUAUUCCAAGAAAUUGUUGGAGCGUGAACCUUGUUUUGACUUCCAAAAUUUAAGCAAUUUAACAAAGUAGGAUAUGAGGUGCAGUAUUUUUUUAAUUUCCCGUUUAAUUAUUUUGGCUACAUGUGGACGAAUUUCAUAUUUAUGAAAGUUAAAGUUAUGAUAUUAAUGCUAUGAUAUGAAUGAUAUGGCCAUUCCGGUACAAUGAAAUGAAAUGAUAUGAUAUGAUGUGAGCUCUUACCGGAUUUAAAGUUAUGCGACGGUAUGGUAUUCUGACACCUGUGUUAAAAUUAUUUUUCGGGAUCGCACCAUUAAUGUGAUAUCCCACUGAGUAUUCCCAUGUACUCACCCUUUUUCUACACCUCACAGGUUAGAUCGGGUCCUGUUGGAGCGUGGUGGUUCGAUGCGUGGUUGUGCCUCAUUUGCUGGACGAGAAUUUAUAAUUUUAACAAGUAAUUUUAGUUCAUUGCCAUAGACAUCCUAUUUUAAAGAUUAAGUUAUCAUUUAUGUUUAUUUGCUACAUGGAUGUUUUUUUUUUAAAUUCAUUUUAAAUAGAGCUCGAACUAUAUGUUACUACUUUUAUCGAUUUUAAUGGUUAAAAUAAAAUUGAUUAACUGUCAAGUUCACAUCAAAGACUUUUGCAUUUUUCUAAGGCAUCUACAGCCUUUUCAAGAUUUAUAACAUGCAUGGCCAAAACAAUGAUUCUGUACUUCACACCAAAUUUUCAAUUGUCUUCCUACCACAGUUAACUUUAUGCAGUGGAGUUGUAUUAUUCAUUUGUACUUUGAAUUGGAUUUUAUAAUAAAAAUAUUCAUAACCCGUAUUCACUAAUCAUGCUAGUAUAAAAGAUGUUAAAUACGGUCAAAUGUCAUCUCAUUUUAAGAUGAUAAUUUAAAAUUUAUUAAUCAUGUGGUUUCCAAUAAAUUUGAUCCUUUUAUAAUAAAGUUGGUAGCGACUAAAAUAAUUUUAAAAAAAUAAAAAUAAUAAUAAAAGAAAAUAAAAAUUUGGGUCGUUACAGUUUGGUAUCAGAGCAUAGGUUUAAUUUCCUGUAGAUCCACAUGGAUUCUCGUAAUUUGUUUUUAAAAAAAAAAUAUUUGGGACGUGAAAAGUGACGGGUCACUGUUCACGCACUGUUCAUGUGAACAGUGCAUUAAAUGGCAAAAAAAAAAAAAAAAAUAGGUAAGAAACGUGUAUUAUAAUGCCACCACCUUUUUCAUCAUAUGGUAUCUUUAAGUUUUCAAAAUUUCAAGAUUGCCCUUAUAAUUUUGUGAAUGCAUGCAAAUAUGUAUUAUUUUUUCCUUAAAAAAAAAAAAUGUGUGAUGUCAUAUAAAUUUUGAAUUUUCUUUUUUGUUACAUGUUAUAAAAGGCUUAUUUGCUUACUUGUUUUCCUAGAUAAUAUUUGUUUAAGGUUAAUAUUUUUUUUAUUUAUUUAAGAAUUUAACGAUAAUAUUAAAUUAAAAGUUAUGAAAUAUGUGAAUGAUCUUUGGCACUCAACGACCACCAAUCGACCACCCUUGAACGACUCUAAGGUAUGUAAAAAGGGUAAGAAGAUAAAUGUACUUAAAGCUUUUUGCGAGAUUUAAAUGCUUUAAAUUUCCUAUCUUUAAAUGUUAAGACAUGCACGUUUAUUUUUCCCACUAAAUUAUGAUAUAUAUUGUCAUAGAUAAUUAUAACUUAUUAGACUUAGUACUAAGUGUGAUUGGUGACUUCAUAUUAAAUUUUAGGAAAUGGCACCACCUACUCAUGCGAAUUUGAUGCGCAAUUUACUACGAGCGGUACAAGAGUUGAGCAGGCAAAGUCAAGCACCUCCACCACAAAAUGCACCGCCACAGCAGAAUGCACCGCAUUUUGCCGCCGGAGCUGUCUCAGUGGUUGAGCAGUUUCGUAGGUACAAGCCUUCCACUUUCGACGGUAAUUCUGAACCACUAGUUGUCGAAGAGUGGAUAAGAGGCCUGGAGCACAUAUUUCGACACAUUGCUUGUAUGGAUGCACAGAAAGUAUUAUGUGCAGAAUUUAUGUUGAUUGGAGCAGCUGGUCACUGGUGGGAAUCUAUUUCACGUACAAGGACGGAAGAGCAGCAACGUAAUCUGAAUUGGGAGCAGUUUAAAGAUGAAGUGAUGGCAAAAUAUUUCCCACAGGCUUUGAGAGACUUCAAGGAAUCAGAAUUUUUGCAGCUCAGACAAGGGAGUAUGUCACUUACUGAUUAUGAAAGACAGUUUGAGCAGCUCUCAAGGUAUGCCACACACUUGGUGGAUGCAGAAGUUAAGAAGAUUAGGAGGUUCGAGAAUGGACUGCGCCCUGAGAUCGGCAUGAUCAUUAUGUCCCAUCGUUUCACCUCAUAUCGUGAAAUGUUGGAGAGGACUCAUGCUAUUUCAUAUCAGAGGACCUCAUUUGAACAGUAUGCCCAGCAGAGCAAAGAGUCAUCGGGAAAAAGAAAGUGGAAUGAUCCAAACAAGGACAGACGUAAUUGGCAGAGUAAAAGGCCAAACACAGGAGUUCGUAUUGGUGGAGCGAGUGGGAAUAUUACACCGUGUCCUAAGUGUAAUAAACUCCACAGGGGUGAAUGCUUACUCGGGAAGAACAUGUGUUUUCGAUGUGGUAAGCCAGGGCACAUUGCUCUCAACUGUACAGAGCCACCAAAAAGGAAGGAUGAUGAUCAGGACAAGAACAAGAAAGGAAAGGCCCGAGUUUUCGCACUAAAUCAGCAUGAGGCGGAGCAGGAUCCGAAUGUGAUAGCAGGUACUAAAUUAUUUAAUAUUUUAACACACUUGCUUAUGUUCUUUUUACUGAAUCGGCAUGAGGCGGAGCAGGAUCCGAAUGUGAUAGCAGGUACUAAAUUAUUUAUAAUUUUAAAACACUUGUUUAUGUUCCUUUUUUUUUACCUAGGACUACACAUUUUUCCAAAUCCGUCCCUUGGUUGUUAGUCUAACACUAUAAAUUAUGCAAACAGGUAUUCUGUUAUUAUCUGAUGUACCCGCUUACAUACUUUUUGAUUCUGGGGCUACCAAUUCUUUUAUCUCUACAUCCUUCGUCGCUAGGUCAAACCUUGCAUGUGUGAAAACGAAUUAUGAAUUAGAGGUUAGCAUCCCUUCAGGAAGAACUCUUUGUACAAAUCUGAUGACUAAGGCUAUGAAGUUAGAGAUUGAUGGGAAAAUAUUACAAGCAGACUUAUACCUUUUGGAGAUGAAAGAUUUCGAUGUUAUUUUGGGCAUGGAUUGGUUGGGACUUAAUCAUGCGACCAUUCGAUGUCAUGAGAAAGAAGUAUUGUUUCACAAACCGGGAGAGGAAGAGUUUCGUUUCUUAGGAGCAAAGUUCAAGUCUUUACCGCGCCUAACAUCAGCUAUACAAGCAGAAAAGAUGUUAAGGAAGGAGCCAUGCCAGGGAUUCUUAGUUAACAUCAAUAGUUCUCAACAUACAGAAAUGACUGUUAACGAUAUUAACAUCGUCCGAGACUUUGCAGAUGUAUUCCCAGAAGAUUUGCCAGGCAUUCCACCAGAUAGACAAGUGGAAUUUACAAUUGAUUUAGUUCCUGGAGCGGCAACAGUUUCUAAGGCCCCGUACCGAAUGGCACCGAAAGAACUACAAGAAUUGAAGUUGCAAUUAGAGGAGUUACUGGAGAAAGGUUUCAUACGACCAAGUGCAUCUCCUUGGGGAGCACCUGUACUUUUUGUCAAGAAGAAGGAUGGGAGUAUGAGGAUGUGUAUUGACUAUCGGGAAUUGAACCAUCUGACCAUCAAAAAUAGGCACCCACUGCCAAGAAUAGAAGAUUUGUUUGACCAGUUAAGGGGUGCUGUAGUAUUUUCAAAGAUCGAUUUGAGGUCAGGGUAUCACCAGCUAAAAAUCAGGGCAAGCGAUAUACCGAAAACUGCUUUCAGGACUCGUUAUGGGCAUUAUGAAUUUACUGUCAUGCCUUUUGGUUUGACCAAUGCUCCAGCUGUAUUUAUGGAUCUCAUGAAUAGAGUAUUCCAUCAGCAUUUAGAUCAGUUCGUCAUAGUGUUUAUUGAUGACAUACUUGUGUACUCAAAAGACAAGAAGCAACAUGAGGAACAACUUCGAAUUGUACUUGAAACUUUGAGGAAUGAGAAAUUAUAUGCCAAAUUCAAGAAGUGUGAAUUUUGGCUUGACCGUGUAGGUUUUCUUGGUCACGUGGUUACCGCCCAAGGAAUCGAAGUAGACCCCGCUAAAGUGGAAGCAGUAACAAAUUGGCCAAGGCCGAGUGGUGUGGGUGAAGUCCGCAGUUUCUUGGGAUUGGCUGGUUAUUAUAGAAGAUUCAUUGAAGGCUUCUCAAAAAUAGCAGGGCCAAUGACUCAGUUGACAAGAAAGGGUGUAAAGUUUCAGUGGACAGAAAAAUGUGAAAAAUGUUUUCAAGAACUCAAGCAGAGGCUAGUCUCAGCUUCUGUAUUGACGAUAGCUGAAGGUUCAGAGGGAUUUGUGAUUUACAGCGAUGCCUCUAAGCAGGGUUUAGGCUGUGUACUGAUGCAGCAUGGAAAAGUGGUUGCUUAUGCCUCGAGACAGUUGAAGCAGUAUGAGCAAAACUAUCCAACGCAUGACUUGGAGCUUGCAGCAGUUGUUCACGCCUUAAAGAUAUGGCGUCAUUAUCUUUACGGUGGGAAGUGUGAAAUUUAUACGGACCACAAGAGUCUCAAAUACUUUUUCACACAGAAGGAACUAAAUAUGAGACAGAGGAGAUGGUUGGAGUUAGUGAAGGAUUAUGAAUGCACAAUUCAUUACCAUCUGGGUAAGGCUAAUGUAGUUGCAGAUGCCCUAAGCAGAAAGACAGGAACACAGUUAGCAGUUUUACCCACAGUACAGGAACACUUGAUAAAGGAGUUUGAUAAAUUGAGAUUGGAAGUUAUCACGCCGCCAACUCAGAUUUCAGGGAGAAUAAGAUUAGAUAUAUAAGUGAUUAGAUCUAGUGCAAGUCGAAGUUUGUAAGUGUUAUAGCCUAGAUCCAAUUAACCUUGGAUAGAGACACUUUUAAUAUAAAAUUGACACAAUUUUAUGGCAGGUCUAUUAUUUAUUUAAUAUUGAAUAUUAAAUUAAAUAAUAUAGUCCGUAUAUUCAAGUCUCAAUAAUUUGUUAAUCACAAGGAAUUGUGAUUGUGAUAUAUAAAUUACAUAUGAUUGAAUCUUAAAUCAUCUGUGGUCAUAAAUAAUAAUGAGAUACGGACAUUGUUAUUAUAGAUACACCAUCACAUGUGGGGUUUCUUACUUGUGAAGUAAGUAGUUGAUCUCACAAGCUAAAGUGUGGUGAAACUUAAAUAAAAACGUGGUUAUUUUGUUAUAGAAUAAAACAUUGAAGACCUGCUGGGAGAUUCCACAUUGAUAACUAUCUGAGUAUCAAUAUUUGAUCUCUAACGUUCGAUAGUGGAAUUGGUCCUUCGACUUGAGAUCAUCAUAAUACCUUAUAUGAGGACAGUCAUACUUUGGCAGUGUUAGAUGUUGCUCUGCCAAAGGUCACUAAUACGGUAUCGUUCAGGUAUGUCAAGAAUCAUAUGAAGCUUGUGAAUGAUCAAUCGAGGAUUCGUCACUCUUAAAUAGUAAGAGAUUAUGAUUUGCAUUUCAUCCAGUUGGGUCGAUAACAAAAUCCUUGGCCAAGGUUUACCCAUAAAUCGAAAAUGAGUUUUCGAUUUGUAUUUACUUAAUAGUUGAGUGAAAGAUAUGAUUGAUAAUCGAGAUUAACACAUUUUCAUAUCUUGUAAUUAAUUGGAUCAUACUGAUGAAUGUAUUAUAGUUUCAUGAUAAACGAAUAAGUUUGGUUAUGUCAACCACAUGACAGUUUUCGUCACAUGUAUUGUCCUAAUACAUUGCUAGAUGUCAAUUUGGGAAAGUGUGUGUGAAUUUGUGAUAAAUUAAAAAUGGUGUUUUAAUUUAUCGAUUUUGAUUUGAUCAAAAUAAUAAUUCACGUCGUUAGGUAUCGUGAUUGGGAACCUGAUGGGUUAUACACAAAAGGAGAACUAAAAGAUUGUAUUUUACCAAUUAAUUAAUUUAACAAGCGUUGGAUAAAUUUAUUAAUUGGGUUACUUAUUUAUUGACCCGAAUUAAUUGGAUUAAUUAGUUCAUGGACUUGAUUUAAUUAAGUAGGUUAAUUAAAUCUUGAACCAAUUUAGGAGACGGGCCAAGUCUGUUUGGGUUUGUAUAAAUAAGUGGCUAGUGUUUUGGAUCUGUAGAGGUUUUAUUAUUCUAGCUAGCAGAAGAAAACCCUAGUUCUCACAAUUUGUUUCUCUAUGUGGAUUUCCAUUAGAAGUUAUACAAUUGGACAGAUGUGGGAGGCAAAUCAAGAUUGUUGGAACAAAAGGAAAAGCAAAAGUUUGUAGAAUUCUUCAAACGUAUAAUCUCUAUCACAAUUUCUAUUUAAACACAAAGAGAUCCUUGGUAAGAAUUGAAAUCUGUAUUAAUUUUCGCCGUGCAUGUUUAAGUAAAUUCCCAACAUUAUGUUCCAGCAAGCAUGUGUUGACAAUAAUUUUUUCGGAACUAAUUCUGGCAAACAUCUAGGCCACAAUAAUCUUUUCUCCAAUUGCAGUCAACACAGAAUUUUGGUUCACAAUUGGAACAUGAUCUUACUCUCACCAAUUUUAUCAGGCUUGGAAUUUUUCCUAGCACUUGAACUAUACGUCUACUCUUACAAACAUAAAACUAAUUUACGUAAAAAACAUAUCUUCAUAAACAUAAUUGCAAGAUUCUACUGUACUAUAUCAUUUCCAAUAAGUCAGCAUAGAUUAUUUAUUUAUUUUGGUAAAUAGCUUGUUUUCAUUUCUACUACCCUAUUGGUCAUCAUCAAUUUCAUACACGAUUCUUAUUGUUGCUUCACAAACUAAUUAAGUCAUCCAGCAAUUCAAUUAAAUUAGGGUUGAGAUGCUCUUAAUUAUGAUAACUUUGCAUCAAAUAGGACUUCCCUAACAAAAUUUGUAACUUAGGGGUAGGCAGAACCCAUUCGUUCGAUUUUCCUCAUUAUCAAAUCAAACCAAACCAAACUUAUUUUACACAAGGAACCACUUGGUGGUUCCAUAAAACAGGAAUUAUACUUUUGAUUUCGUCUUUUAAUUGUAAGAAAUUCAUUACUUUCAUAAUCAUCAGAUCUUUCAUUUGGAUGAUCAAGAAAUUCAAGAUCUAUAGCUGAAUCAAACAUGGUUAUUGUAAUAAUCAAAUCAUGUGGCUUAGUCUUCCAAAUCAACACGUAGUCUCCUUUUCUCUCUGUGAUGGGAUGUAGAAGAGAACGAACAAAAUAAAAUCUCUCUAUGUGUGAUUCGGGGACCAUAAUUGUACUUAUAUACUAAUCUCUUUUGACCUAAUUCGGCCCAUCAUAAAAUUAGGAACUUGGGCCUAGUCUAUACACAUAUAGAACCCACACUUUAAUUGGACGCAUUACAGUCCAAAAUCGAAGCCUUAUUAAAUAACUUUAAAUGGCAUCAACCAAAUUCGAUAGCCUUUAAUUUAAUACACAACAUUUCACACAUAUGCCGAAUUAAUUAAUUCACGGAUCGGAUUUAGUUAAAUUGAUUAAUUAAAUAUUGGACCAAGUCAGACCAAACCCGUUUGGGCUUAUAUAAAUAACUUAUUAGAGUUUACAAUUGUAGGGAAUUCAUUACUCUUGCUAGUACAAGAAGAAAAUCAUAAUCAUGCAAUCUUGUUCUCUGCAUGGAUUAUCAUUGGAGGCUGGAUAAUUGGAAAACUGUGGUUGGCAGAUCAAGAUCGUUGGAACGCAAGAAAAGCAAAUGAGUUUGCAGAUCUAGAAAAAUGUACGAUUUUUUUCACAAUUUCUAUCUAAACACAAAGAGAUUCCUGAUAGGAAUCGAAAUUUGUUUUAAUUUUUCUGCGCAUGUUAGGUAGAUUCCCAACAUAAGACAUUAUCAAGUUUAAGGCAAACGAAAACAUAUAAAUCUUACAUCACUUACAAUAGUGUCGAAACACCCCUACCUUAAUGCUUGGAGUCUGAAAUAUCCUUUCGUGUCCAAAGAAUAAAAUACAGCGUCCUUCUUGGCCUUUUCUUUAGAAAUUUCAGAUUCAAAGUACUUCAUGUUAAUGAAAGAAAAAAAAAAAGGCGAAAUAACUUUAUGUAGGAGUAUAAUAGUUUGGGCGAUAAAACAUGGCUAAAGGAGGUGAAAUUCGGUUUUCACAAUACCAUAAUAUGGCUUGUAAAACAUAAAGGGACGGGUUUCUUUCUUUCUUCCUAGGGAGUGGCCGUGUAGUUUCUUUUCAAGAAAUGGUAGCAAUUUCUUUUAUCAAGAAAUGGCAGCAGUUAUUGUUUUUAAAUUUUAAAUCAAAGUGACUGUUGGCAUGGAACUUGUAAAUUGAUUUUCAAAUGGAAGUUCACAGAAAAGGUAUUGGUUUGUGGAUAAUUAAACACUAAUGGCAGUUUUAAUUUAAAUUCUAAGUGAAGUGGCGAUGAUAGUAGUAUUAAAAAAUUGGAGGUUACACUUGAGGAAAUGGGGGUGGUUGUUGUAUUUAAAAAUUGGAGGUUAUACAAGUGAGUGGAGAGGUAAAAAUUUUAAAAUGUUAACUUUCAAAUGGAUAUUGAGAAGAACGUACAGCAACUUCCAAAUCUCAAUAGCAAUUGAUGAUUAUGGUGGUCACAAUUAACUUUCAUCCGACAAAAUGGGCAGUUGACAAAAAUGGAAUUUAAAAUGGUAAGUUGAAUAUUAUGUGUAGAAAUGUGGAUGACGUAGUGGAGAAAACUGAAAAUAAAAGAAAUCGAGAUAGUAGGAUUGAAUUUGGGGUUAUUUGGUAUAGUAUAAAAAGUGUAUCUAAUUUUAAAAUUUAAGAACUUUAUAGAAGUAGCAAAAUAAUAUAAAGUGUCGUCAAAAAACAAUGUAACAAAUAAAAAUUUGUCGUUUAAAAGCGAUUUUAACACCUUGUAAAAUUUAAAAAAAUCAAUUACGCGAAACUUUACUUUCGUGACCAAAGUUUAAUUCCGCAUAGCUCUUUUGACGAUCUUGGGCAGUUUUAAUUCUUGAUCUAAUUUUAUAUAUAGCCUCCACAGUCUUCUCGACCAAUUCUGGACCCAAAAAUUCUUCUUUCACCAACUUCAUCCCAAUAUAAUGGAGAACGACAACGUCUACCAUAUAAAGUUUCAUAUGGUGCCAUGUCAAUAGUGGGCUGAAAGCUAUUAUUGUAUGCAACUUCAACCAACGACAAAUGAUCUUCCCAUUUACCACCCAAAUCUAGGACACAAGCUCUCAACAUAUCUUCAAGAACUUGGAUAGUUCGUUCAAUUGUCCAUUAGCCUGAGGAUGGUAGGUAGUACUAGAUGUUAACAUGGUACCCAUAACUUUCUGAAGACUCAUCCAAAACUUUGAAGUAUACCUCGAGUCUCGAUCUGAUACAAUAUAAGUUGGAACACCAUGAGGCUGCAUAAUCUCUCUGACAUAAAUUUGUGCGAGCUAUUCUAAGCUAUAGGUUGUCCAAACUGGAAAGAAAUGAGCAGAAUUCAUAAGUCUAUCCACAGUCACCCAAAUCGCAUCAUGACCUCUCUCUGAUCUAGGAAAACCAAUGAUAAAAUCCAUUGCAAUCUUUACCCACUUCCAUUCAAGUAUGUCUAUGGGGUUCAACGGCCUCGAUGGCCUCUGAUGUUUAGCAUCACCUGACCUUACAUUUGCACACAAACAAGGCUAUCUUUCCCUUCAUAUUUUUCCACCAAAAUGUAUCACACAAAUCUCGAUACAUUUUAGUUCCACCUGGGUGUGCAGCAUAAGGAGUUGAGUGAGCCUCAGUCAUAAUUUCAUUCUUCAACACUUCAUCCUUCAGCACGCACAUUUGACCUUUAAAUAUCAAGGCUUUGUCUUUGGCUAUUUCAAAUCCUUUCCUCUUCUUAAUUCCCACAUCAACCUUGAUCUUUUCCAAAAAGGGAUCAUCUUUCUGAGCAGCUACUAUUCUAUCCCUGAGUGUCAGUUUCACAGUAAAAUUUGCUAACAUCGCUGAUGUCCUUACUGGUGACGUUAAUACUUCAAUUCUCACGUUCUCAAAAUCUCUUAUUAAAUGAUCAUGUCUUGUACACAGUGCUGACAACUGUCCCGUGUUCUUUCUACUCAGCAUUAUCAGCGACUACAUUAGCCUUACUCGGAUGGUACAAGAUAAUGCAGUCGUAGUCCUUCACUAAUUCUAACCACCAUCACUGUCUCAUAUUCAACUCCUUCUAGGUAAAGAAGUAUUUAAGACUCUUAUGAUCGAUGUAGAUCUCACAUUUGCUUCCAUAUAGGUAAUGGCGCCAAAUCUUCAAAGCUUGCACUACUGCUGCUAGUUUGAGAUCAUGUGUGGGAUAAUUCUGCUCAUAUUGCUUUAAUUGCCUCGAAGCAUAAGCUACCACUUUCUCGUGUUACAUCAAAACACAUCCCAAACCAAGUUCGGAUGCAUCACUGUAAAUUACAAGACUUUUCGAACCAUCACGAGUAGUCAAAACCCAUGCAGAUUCGAGCAUGUCCCUUAACUCUUGAAAACUCAUUCCUCCGUCCAUACGAACUUAGUAAUCUUUCAAGUCAAUUGUGUCAUAGGACCUACAAUCUUAGAAAAUCCUUCUAUAAAUCGGCAACAAUAGCUGGCUAACCCUAGAAAGCUCCACACUUCUCCAACAUUUGUAGGUUUCGGCUAGUUGGUUAUGGCCUCAACUUUAGAUUGAUCCAUAGCAAUUCCUUGUGCUGAAAUAGUAUGUCUUAGAAAUCCCACUUAAUCGGGCCAAAAUUUACAUUUCUUGAAUUUGGCAUAUAACUUAUCCUCACUCAGGGUUUCCAACACUAUCCUCAAAUGUUCUUCAUGUUACUAAGAAUCUUUUAAGUAUAUCAGUAUGUCGUCAAUAAAUACAAUGACAAACAUAUCCAAAUACUGAUGGAAUACUCUAUUCAUCAAAUUCAUAAACACCACAAGGGCGUUCGUCAAGCCAAAGGGCAUCAUCAUAAACUCAUAAUGCUCAUCCCGAGUCCUAAAUGCCAUCUUUCAUAUAUCAACUGACUUAAUCUUCAGUUGAUGGCAUCCCGACCUUAAAUCAAUUUUCGAGAACACAGAUGCACCCUUCAAUAGAUCAAAUAGGUCCUCAAUCCUAAGAAGAGGAUACUUAUUCUUGAUCGUCAAUUUAUUUAGUUCGCGAUAGUCGAACACAUCCUCAUAGUACUAUCUUUCUUCUUUAUAAAGAGUACCGAAACUCCCCAUAGAGAUAUAAUCGGUCUAUUGAACCCUUUGUCUAGAAGUUCUUCAAGCUGCAUCUUCAGCUCUGGUAAUUCCUUUGGUACCAUUUGAUAUGGAGCUUUGGACACAGGAGUAGCUCCAGGUAUCAAAUCUAUCGUGAAAUCCACUUGUCUAUCAUGUGGAAUACCCAAUAGAUCAUCUGAAAACACAUCGACAUAUUCUCGUAUUAUUGGCGCAUCAUCUAAUACUUUCUCUCGAGUGGAGGUGCUUGUAUGACUAAUAAGAUAUCCUUGAAAAUCAGGCUUCCUCAACAUGCUCUCUACCUUUAAAGCUGAGGUGACGCGAGGAAGUGCCUUAACCUUCGAUCAAUAAAAUUUGAACUCCUGUUCUCCUGGUCUUCAAAAAUUACCUCUUUCUCAAAACAUACUAUAAUGGCUCGAUAAUUACCUAAUCAAUCCAUAACUAAAAUAAUAUCGAAAUAUUUCAUCUCCAUAACAUACAAAUUCAUCUCUAAUAACAUACAAGUCGGCCUCUAAAAUCAGUCCAUCAAGAUUUAUCAUGCCCCCUUAACUCCCUAAUUGUCCUAACUUGCCCAUAUUCCUAUUUACCAUAAUAGUUGCAAUCUCAUUUAGAGAAGUCAAUGAUACUUGUGCAACAUAGGAAAAAGAUUUACAGCUCAACUUCUCUUAUUAUUACCUCAAAUAAUCCUUCAAGAGGAAUACAAAGUAAUAAAAUGGCAUCUGACGAUAAUCAAUAUGAAAGUAAAAGGAACCCUACUAGACAUCAACAAUAAUUAAACCUAAUAAAAUCAACUAAAACUCCACUCUUCUAUUCAUCACUACCAUCAUUGUCGCUAGUCAAGAAUUCAUGAAUCCUAGAUUUCUUAGAGGAUACGCCCCAUCGUCUGAAAUAGGUGGAUGUGCAUCUUCAUGAAUUUAUAUCUUAAUAGGUACACUAUCGUACUCGAGGAUCGCAAGUCAGGCAUCUCCCACUACUUAAUCAACUUCAUGCAAAAGGCCUCAUGGUCAAUCUCUGGAGAUAAGGUAGGCACAACAAUUCCCCAUAAAUAAUCAUAAAUCAAUUUAACAGUCUCUAACCACUCUUGUGGCAAAGUAUCAAUAAGAAAGUGGGUGGGUCGACGACCAGUGACCAUAUGGCCUAGUUGUCUCACCUCUCUCUACCUUUCUAACAUCUCCCCAAUGUGCUGGUCUAUAUUGUGCACUGGAUUCGAUACUCUUCAUAUUGUCUCACGAUCUCAUAUCAACGAGACACCAAUGAAUGCGUCUUCCUAUAAGUUUUCUUAGUUCGUACCAUCUAAAUCAUACCAAUUAUUCAAAGUCCAAUCAGUGUGGUAUCUAAUAAGUUUAGGUUAAUUUUCGAGGACUUAAUUAAACAUUUAAUGUGGUCACAUUUCUCAAAAUACUUGAUGCAAUAAUGAUUAUCCACAAAAGGUAUUCAACUCAAGCAUAUAUUGAUAUUCAUACAUACAUUUCAAAUGUUGUAUCUAAAAUAAACUUUCUCAUAAUCAUCACAUAGAUACAAGCAUACUCAUAAAACUUUCUUUACUUCAAAAUCGGCGAGUCGCGACUAUGGCGAGCACAGUGUUCAGGAUCCUCAUUAAAAAAAAUUUGAUUGACUUUAUAUGUGACACAAUACACUAACGAUAGAGUGUUUAAUGCAAGUCUGCAGGAAACAAAACCAUGAUCUAAUACCAAGUUGUAACGCCCCGAAUUUUCGAAACCCGAAGCGUUAAAAGUAAAUCAUUUUUUUUUUGUUUCGACCCCUUUGAUGUAUCCAAAAUAAUUUGUAAAUUAAAAGUUUUUGGAUUUUUGAAACAUAUGGAAAAUAAUGAGAGAAUUUUGUCCAUGUACACUUAGACAAUUAUGGUAAAAUUUGAUUUUUGGGAAAAUAGUUGGGAAAAAUAUAGUAAAUACGGGUUGCACAAUAGUAGAAAGAAAAAUAUGUUUGGUCUAAUAAACGAUGACUAAAAAUUAUGAAAUUUUAACAGAGGUCUAAGAAUUCAUAUAUGUAUCACACAUAAAAAUUUGGGGGUCUCGAAGAUAACGUUUGAAGCACGAAAAUAUUGCUCGAUUAUGCUGGAUAGAAAACUCGGAUUCGACACGAUGCAGUUUACUAAAACGGGCAUAACUUUACAAUAUUUUUGAAAAAUUCCAAAGUCCACCAUUAGAGGACUUAUAGACCUUUCAAACCCAACUAAUUUCACUUUAAAACAUGCACUAUAUCCCAAGUUAUACUAUUUUCAAAUGCAAAGGCAGAAUCUGAAAUUUUAUCCCAGCAUAAAAUAAAACUUCAUACAAAUCAAUCCAACACUUUUAAAUUCUGGUUAACAUGCAUUCUCAAAAAAGGGGGAUGAAGUAAACAUUAAAAAAAGCACUUCUAAAAGUGUCAUCUAAGUUUCCAUAAAAUAUCUACAAAAUGGAAAUUUUUACGAGAAAGUGAAAGCAUUUCAGAUCAUCGAACACUUGCCACUAUGCCAACCACUGCCAUGCCUCGAUCUUAACCUGUAAAAUUUUUAGAAGGGGUGAGUGCUAUAAAUAAUACUCAGUAGGUUACACUUAAGUAAAUGGUAAAAACAUAUAUUUUCAGAAAUGCAAACUUUAAUUGAUUGUGUCACCGUCAAUUUCAAGGGAAUUGGUGAUCAAUCAAGUCGUUUACUUGUAGGUUUUGAUAACCCCAUUUCAUUUGUCAUAAUCAUCUCUUUAUAUAAACCACCAAAUGGUGAUUCCAUUUUUUUGAGCAGUCCAUUUCUUGUGUAAACCACCAAACGGUGAUUCUAUCAUGAGUAACACAAUAUCAAGUUUAACACAAACGAAAACAUAUAAAUCUUACAUCAUUUACAAAAGUGUCGAAACACCCCUACCUUAAUGCUUGGAGUCUGAAAUAUCCUUUCGUGUCCAAAGAAUAAAAUCCAGCGUACUUCUUGUCCUUUUCUUUAAAAAUUUCAGAUUCAAAGUACUUCAUGUUAAUGAAAGAAAAAAUAAAAGGCAAAAUAACUUUAUGUAGGAGUAUAAUAGUUUGGGCGAUAAAACAUGGCUAAAGGAGGUGAAAUUCGGUUUUCACAAUACCAUAAUAUGGCUUGUAAAACAUAAAGGGACGGGUUUCUUUCUUUCUUCCUAGGGAGUGGCCGUGUAGUUUCUUUUCAAGAAUGGUAGCAAUUUCUUUUAUCAAGAAAUGGAAGCGGUUAUUGUUUUUAAAUUUUAAAUGAAAGUGACGGUUGGCAUGGAACUUGUAAAUUGAUUUUCAAAUGGAAGUUCACAGAAAAGGUAUUGGUUUGUGGAUAAUUAAACACUAAUGGCAGUUUUAAUUUAAAUUCUAAGUGAAGUGGCAGUGGUAGUAGUAUUAAAAAAAAUGGAGGUUACACUUGAGGAAAUGGGGGUAGAUGUUGUAUUUAAAAAUUGGAGGUUAUACAAGUGAGCGGGGAGGUAAAAAUUUUAAAAUGUUAACUUUCAAAUGGAUGUUGAGAAGAACGUACAGCAGCUUCCAAAUCUCAGUAGCAAUUGAUGAUUAUGGUGGUUACAAUUAAUUUUCAUCCGAAAAAAUGGGCAGUUGACAAAAAUGGAAUUUAAAAUGGUAAGUUGAAUAUUAUGUGUAGAAAUGUGGAUGACGUAGUGGAGAAAACUGAAAAUAAAAGAAAUCGAGAUAGUAGGAUUGAAUUUGGGAUUAUUUGGUAUAGUAUAACAAGUGUAUCUAAUUUUAAAAUUUAAGAACUUAAUAGAGGUAGCAAUAUAAUAUAAAGUGUCGUCAAAAAAUAAUGUAACAAAUAAAAAUUUGUCGUUUAAAAGCGAUUUUAACAUGAUGUAAAAUUUAAGAAAAUCAAGUACACGAAACUUUACUUUCGUGACCAAAGUUUAAUUUGAACUAUUAGAAAGUGUCGUAGCGACAUAAUAAUAUAACCCAACUUAUUUUUGACUUCUACAAGAAAAAUUUUAUUUUAAAACCAAACAAAACAUUUUUUUUUCGGUCGCUACAACAUCAAUAUCUAGUCUUUGGACGAAAAUAUUGACUUGUAAGUUAUACUCUUAGUGUGGUAAUCAAGCAAAAACGAUAAAUACUUGUCAAUCAAUAAAUCUUUCUUUGGACCAAUUUAUUGAUUACACGUUAAACAAAAUAAUCACCAUAUGUUUAUCACCAAAAAUGUAUGUGAAAUUCGGCCAAAUAUUGAUCUUCCUUUGGGCCGAUCAAUAUUCGCAUGAAUAACACACACAAACACAUUUUAACAUUCUAAGUUAAUUAAUUUUCAUAAGAGAUGUUGCCUUUGGCGACAUGUUGCUUCAAUUAAUUGAUUUUCAAUUACUAUAUCUCUUAAAAGGGUCUUUAGUACCAAAAUUUGAGAAAGAAAAUCACCAAUUUUGUAUAUUAGAUGCCUUUUGAAACUUCAGGGACCUAAGGGUUAAUAAUUCAAAACAUAGUGGUUAAAUUUUGUAAAUUUCAAACCUUGAGGGGCCAAUUUAAAUUAAUUAUGAACUUUAAGGGCUUUAAUUAUAAAAUUCAGAACUUUAAUGGAUCGAAUUAAAUAAUUUUCAAACUUUAGGGACUGAAUUACUAAACCCAUAACCUUAAAGGUCCAACUUGGAUAGAUUUUAAACCUUAGGGGCUGAAACUUAAAAUUAUAUUUUAAAAUUUGCAAAACCCUAACCCUAAUAUUAAUUGCAAGCAAGGGCCUGAAAUCACCAAAAUUGCGACUCAAGCUCCCACCCCCAAAAUCCAUCCCUAACCUUCUCUUCAACGGUGCUGGCGGAUCUGCAAACAAAUCGAGCGGUGUUGUGAAAAUCAAGUCCAAAUGGCUUGAUCCAAUUACAAGGUAUAAAAAAUGAAACCAUGAUCCAUAAUAAAAUUGAAUUCAAUUGUUUCUGAAUCCAAUUUCAUAUCAACAUGCGGCGGUCGAAAUUAUACUUCGCUAAACAGAUUCGUUUGGCAGCCACAUUAAACAAUUCAUUCACAAUUGAAAUCCAAAAUAAGAACGAAUUCAUCAAAAGUCGGUGGUCGCAAUCAUGAAUCAUAUUCAAUUGUUUUAAUUUCUCUCACACGGCAGCUAUGAUUAAUUGUUUUCUUCCCAAAUAGUAAACAAAUGCAGAGAAAGCCACCAUUUGAUUCAAACGCAAUUUGUCUUUAAUAAUCUAACAUGAGUACUUGACACAUCCCACGGGUCCCACAUAAAAAUAUUUCCAAAUAGGAUAAUUCUUCUUGUACAUAAUGGGAGCCAUAUGGUAUAUGUACACCCGACGACCUCCUAUUAGAGGGUCUUACUACUUGUACUUGCUUCUUUAUCCUUUGGUUGACACGAUCCCAUCUCUUUUUCUCACAUGGGGUCGGGCCCAUACAUCAUGGCUCCCACGUGGGACUUGACCUCAUGUGAGAGGAGGGGUGGGAUCAAUUCAUCCAAAUGGUAAACUAGCAAGUACAAAUAGCAUAUUUCUUCUUGUAAUCAUAAGAAAAAGGAAUUUCCAUGGUUCCAUGACAAACUUCUCACACAAAAACAGGUUGCUUGAUCUCGAUCCAUAUAAACAUAUUUCUUGAAUCAAAAACUUGACACCAACAAUCCAAAAAUGUAAAAUUUUAGGGUUAAAAUUCAUAUCUCAAAAUUGAGAAAUUUAAACCAUAAAUUAUAAAAGAUUUUAAUCCAAAUCUAGGAAUACAACCAGGAAUAACAUGCUGAAGAGUUUUCAAAUUCACCAAAACUAGAUCCGAAAUUGUCAAAUCUGAAAACUUUCAAAAUAUUGUAAGAACCAAAUCACAAAACUUUGAUUCACAAUGAUUCAACAUGAAAAGGCUCUGAUACCACUUGUAAGAAAUUUGUUAGAGGAAAUUACAUGCAUCUAGGUGUUUUAAAUGCACAAUUCAAAAAUCUGAUGCAUGUUUAUUUAUGCAAAUGUCAGGUUUCCACCCCCAAUUAAAACCAUAUUCCCUUCCACCCAAUUAAAACCUAAAUAAUUUUUCUCUCAUCUUUCUUUAUAUCCUCUCCCCACACAUCGUCACCGUUGCCAAGCACCGUCGUCGGAGCACCUCCCCGAAGCCAACUUUAUUCUACUCCGAAUCCAUCUUCGUCUCUACCUCCUUAUCCUCUCUCGGUACUUCAUCCAUCUUUCAUUUCUUCUUCAAAUGGAGCUUCGCCUAAAGAUUUAGCCUACCAGCAAGUCCAAUGUGCGGUGCUCUCAGUUCAGCAGCACACGACCCUGCGGAGGCCGCUCACGGCUCCUCGCCACUGGUGGCACUCUGAGAUUGGCGUAGAUCGAUGCUGCUGUAGCCGGUGGUGAUUACCUCUACUCCAGCAGUACUUCUCCCAUGCCACCGCUUCCAACGAUACCUAAACUUCUACGCUGUGCGGUGGCAUCCACUCCCUAGACAUCCGAUUUCGAUAAUCCAAAAGGACUGUAAUUUUUGUUGGUGUUGAUGGUGGUGGUUUUUUAGUUGAAAAUCUUGGUUUGUUGGUGGUUUAAAAUGGUAGUGAUUAUGGUUGUUUUGCCAAUGGCGUCGGCGACGGUGAUGGUAGUAACGGUGCUCGUGUUGGCAAUGGUGAUUUGGGUGGUGGUGUUGAGGUUGGGAGGAAAUUGUAUUGUUGGGUGUGUUCGAUGGUUGUUUCUGGCUGUGAUUGUGCCCUAGUCAUUGUGAUGGUUUUCUGGCAGUGGUCAUGUUGGCGAUGGAGACGGUGGUUAUGCUGGUGUGUUUGGUGGUGGCAGUCAUGGUGGAUUCUAGCUACGGUGGAGGCGGUGUAGGACACAGUGGUCGUUUUUGUUGGUGGUUUGGUUGUGGUCAGCGUUUGUUGGUGGUUGUGUUGUUGUUGAUGAUGAUGGAGGCGGUGACGGGUGAGUAUUUGUGACCAAUUAUAUUUGGUGUUUGUGACCAAUUAUUUGGUCCUCUGUGAGUGAGUGUUAAUUUGUGACCUUGAAAUUCAUCAUUUUGUGACUAAAAAAGUAAUCUGUGACCAUCAAAUUUGAAAAUACGUGACCUGCGUUCUAUAAUUUUUUGGAUUUGUGACCAAUGACAUAAAAUGUGGCCCGUAAUUUUUUGAUCCGUGACCAAAUUUUUUGAUAUGUGACCUUGAAAUAAUUUGUGACCUAUCAAAAUUUUGAUUUGUGGCAUCGAAAAAAUAUGUGACCAAUUAAUUUGAUCAUAUGUGAUUGGUGAAUAAGUCUGUGAGCUAUAAUUAUGUAACUGUGACUUUAUUAUCAUUAUUUAAUAAAUAUUUUUAAUUAAUUAGUUAAAACUUGAAUUUGCAUUAAUCAAACUUGUAACUUGUAACUUGAAUUUUGAAUUAUGUAUACUUAAAACCUGGUUUAUGUACUCUUCCCAAUUUGUUACCUUCAUAAUCACCGGAUCUUUCAUGUUAGAUCAACAAUAAAUAUCAAGAUCUAUAGUGGAAUCGCACCUGAAUCAAACAUGAUUAUUGCAAUAAUCGAAUCAUGUGGCUAGUCUUCCAAAUCAACAUGUAGUCUCAUUUUCUUUCUGUGAUGGGAUGCAAAAGAGAACUAACAAAAUAAAAUCUCCCGUUGUGUGAUUCAGGGACCACAACCGUAUUUAUAUAUUGAUGCCAUUUUGGCCUAAUUCAGCCUAUAAUGGAAUUAGGAACUUGGGUCCGGUUUUUACACAUAUAGAACCCACACUUUGAUUGGAUGCAUUAAAGCCCAAAAUCGAAGUCUUAUUAUGUAAUACUCCGAAUUUUGUGCUCAUUUAAUUUUUAGGAUAGCAAUUUAACUUUUCAAAAUUUAUUAUGGCCAAAAUUAUUUAUGGUUGCCAAAUUUUGCAUUGAUUGAUUUAUUAAAAAGUUUUCCAAAUAAUUUGUUAAUUAGGGGUUUGGGAUAAAUGUCCAUUUUACACCUAAUUGCCAAGGUAAACAUUUUUUUUCUCCUCUUGGCCGUGAGUGGGGUGGCUAAGGUAAUGCAUGAAUUGUUUAAAUUUAAGCAUGAAGUGGCUAAGGCAUGCAUGAGGUGUUUUAACUUAAGCAUGUGGUGGCUAAAGGCAUAUAUAGGUGUUUAAUCGAAAUUAAGAUUUUCUUUCAUGCUGCCCACGUGUAGAAUUGGUUGAAGACUCACCUUAAUUAAUCAUUUUUUUCUUACCUAUAAAUAGUAAUGUUGCUGCCAUUUAUUUCCUUGCAAGAAAAAUCAGAAUAUCACUUGUUUUAAAGGGCAGUUGACGUGAGAAAGAAAGGAUAAAGUCUAGCAUUCUCAAUUCAUCUUUCAACCAAGAUUUCUUCAAAUUUUAUUGUAAGAUAUUUUCUAUGCUUAAGUGGUAGGAUUUCAUGGUAAUAUUUAUGUUUAAGUUAUGCAUGAAAACCAUAAUAUGAAAGACGUGGACAAGUCCACAAAGUUAGAUAUCUAUUUAUGCCUUAGGACAAGUCCGAAGGGCACCGGCAAGCCAGAAUGUGCAAGUAUGUGUUUGAAUGCUUUCUUUUGUGUAGUAUUAACAUGUUAAAUCCAAGCAUGGUAUUUUACUGAGUAUUCUUUAUACUCAUAGUAUUUCAUAUUAAAUUUUCAGAUUCAUAAUUGUGGAGUUGGUGGAAGUCAGUCGGCAAAAUCUAUGAUGGAUCAAGGACAAAAUUAUUUUACAUCGAAGUUUCUGUUUUGUAUGUUUUGUUUGACUGCUUUCCAUAUGUUUUGCUUUUGUUCUUAUAUAAAAACAUGUAUAAGACAUGAUGGAAUAUGGUACUGGAAGUAAAUUAUGUAAUUAUAUCUACCAAGUUAUAUUAAGAGACGUUUUUUUUUUUUUUUACUUUCCCUUGCAAGUGAUAAAAAGGCAGAAACAGGACAGUUUUUGGGUCAACUUCAAAAUGUUAUUUUUGACUCCAUAAAUGUCCAUUUGAGACUCUGAAAAUAUUGCUGAGUUCCUCAUUGAGUUUUCUUAAUAUGGGCACUAGAAUCACUCAAUUUGGAUAUCUAUAGCCUGAGAUAUGAAUUUUCAAACGUUGAAGGGUCAAUCUGAAAUUUCUAUGCAAUACCUCACUGUUUUCAGUAAAACGCCCAUAUCAUAUGAUCUUGGAUCUUUUUCAUAUUUUAACCUAGAAAACUACUUGAAAAUAUCUUUCUAAUGUCAUAAAUUUCAUAGAAAACGGAGUUGGGAUGAAUUUUAUAAAAAUAGUCUAACUUGCUGCCCCAACUAAUCGUGGCAGUGCCGAGUCCGUAUAUGUAAAGUAUAAUUUCAUGUCGACAUGCACUUCUACCGACCUUUAAAUUUUAUGAGAGAUAUUUUACCAAAUUGAAAAUAAGUUUCUAACAUGUAAUACUUCUAUUUAAGAGUAUUUACAUGUACCAAAGACAGAAGCUAUUAUGUUUAGUAUGUGACCCUCGAAGCUUAAGUUUGGGGCGUCACAUAUUCGAUAACUUUAAAUGGACUCAACCGAAUUCGAUAGCCUUUAAUUGAAGUGAAAAUUACACAGCACUAGGCAUUUAAAGAUCACAUUUCAAAAAUCAGAUAUGAAGUUUGUUUAAUCAUAAAUCAGGUCUCAAUUCAAUUAUUGAUAUUGUUAAAUUAAUUAAUUUAUCCAACCCCACCCUAUCUCGGUACACAACAUCCCAGAUUUCCAAUUCAAUCUAAACCUAUUUUCAUUCUCCUUCCCCUUUUCUCUAUCUUCACAAUGCUCUCUCUACAGUGCCUCUCCACCAUAUUUUCUUUCUUUCACUGGAGCGUUGCCUCUGUUAGAUAGCCCCUACUCUGACCAUUGGAGUAGCACCUUGUAUGUACAUCAUUUUCUCUUUUUCCAUCGGAGCGGCGCUUGUGUGAAAAUGGAGCAGUGAUGCUCAAAUCGGAGUUUGAGCCACGACGCUUGGCUCACUCGGCACUCUAUGUGCCACUAAUCUAAUCUAAAUCACGACGCAGUACGCAGCGAUAGGCUCGUCACCGCUGUAGCAGUUUUGUGUUCUUCUAUAGCGGUUUGUGGUGAUUUUUCUUGCGAUUUUUGAGUUAGAAUGCGGUGUGGUAAUGGUAGCGGCCGACGACGAUGGUAGUGGUGUACCAAUGUGGCUAAUCGACCUAUUGUACUUUUAUUGUUCGAUCCCUGUCAUUGUUGGUAGUUGGGUAGCCUAAUGACGAGGUAUUUUAGUUAGGUUUGUCGGUUUUUGGAGUGGUGGUGUUUUUCAUGGUAGUGGCGGUGUUGUUGGCGGUGGCUGUGAUGGUAUUGUUGCCGAGAUAGUAUUUGUGACCAAGAUUGUGAUGGACCGGGAUUGGGUGUCUGGUAUUUGUGACCAACUAUUUGGUUUGCUGUGAUUGACUAUUAGUUUGUGACCUUCAAAUUCGAUCAUUUUGUGACUAGAAAAUUCGAUCAUUUUGUGACUAGAUUACACAACGUGAUUUAUACCGCAAGUGUACGGUGUCAAAUUUUAUAAUAUAGUAUUAACAUAGAGUGUCGAACCCAUAGGGAUUGUAAUUUAAUUUUCACUAAUUACUAUAAUUGUGUAAUCUCUACUUUAGUCAGAUGAAUGUAUGAUUGAAUGGAUGAAUGUUUUAUGAAUGAAUGAUUUAAACUGAUUUAACGUGAUUAGAUGCGACAAAUUGGGAUAAUGCAAAUUAUCAAAUGAGAGGGCCUAGGGAUUGAUUUCACCUAACUCUUAAUUAUGUUUCAAUGAUUUUCAAUUUUUCCAAUUAAUUUUUCCAUAUUUAAAAGCAAGAAUCGUAAUAUAUUUCUAACCCCCUCUCUUAAGCACUGAUUAGAAACUAACCCUAGAUCCCAAUUACAACAUCUCUGCUCAAAAUUGAAAAUCUAGAAUGUAAUAAAAGUUUUGAUUUUUUUUUUUUUUUUUUUUUUUUUUUGUGGAGUAAGCUUCACAGAUUUAUAAUUUCUCUCGAAACCUAUAAAACCUAUAACAUCUAAAUUCCUCCUCUCUCGAGCAUUGAAAUUGACUAGAAUCAUCAGACAAUUGAAAGAAUUAAAAUCAUGACACGAUUAAAUAUAUGUGGGAAAUCAAACGAAAUAAUUAAUAAGUUCAUCAAACCAUAAUUUUGAUUUGGCUACAUCAAACCCUAGGUAAGUUGUUUAGCUCAUGAUAAAAUCUAUAAAAUUCAUACAAAUUAUAAUGAAAAACGUAAAGGAGAAAGAAAAGAAAUUAAACUCUUUUGGAGUGUAAUCGAUUCUUCCCUUGUUCCACGCCUUCCAAUUAAAUUCUGCCCUUUGACUCUUUCAAAUUUAUCCAGCCGUCCACUUUUUUCUCUUCUUCCAGAUUGUAAGUUGGUUGUCUGCUUGAAGUUCCCUCUGGUUCGUUCCUUCUACAAUUUUCGGUUGGCUGAAGCUUUUCCAGUUAAGCUCUGUAUUUGGGGUCUUGUGUUAGGCGGCUGAAAUCUAUGUAAUUCUCUCUAGAUUCUCCCCAAUUCUUGAAUUUGGGCGGCUGCCUUCUCUCUCCAAUUUGUCUAUCGAUUGUUCGCAAAUUUUGCCCACUCCAACCCCUCUUCAUUAGGUCUUGUAAGUGGUAUUUAUAAUUCCUUGGAGUUGCACUACAAUUUGGAAGUGGGCUGGGCUGUGAAAGAAUCCAGAAAUUGGUGAAGUUACUUCCCCGCAAAGUGGCGCCCAAACUGGGCACUAUAGUGCCACUACUUCUGUUUCUUCUACUUUAAUCUGGCACUAUGGCGCCUGUUACAGGGCGCUGCGGCGCCAUCUCUUCUACCGCCUUCAGUUCUUGUAUUUCGUCUUCCUUCUUCAUUUCUUUCGCUUAGCCUCAUUUAUUCCCUCUUUUCAACCCUUUAUCCAACCUGUAAAACAACAUGAAGAUCACAUGUUUACACAUCUAAAACACUCUCAAGAAUGGCAUAAUAAUGGGUUAAGUGAUCCACAAAAUCAGAGUGCAGAACAUUCAUCAAAUAGUCAAAUUUUUCCUUUGAAAUUCGAAAAAAGUCCAACUUUGGCCACCAAACUUUUAAAAACGUCUUACAAUGCUCAUUAUAAAUUUAGAUUUAAUCACACAUCUAUAAAAUAAAAUAUUGGAAAAAUUACAACACCGGUCCCUAAUCUUUUCAAUUUUUAUAAACUUUAUUUGAAUCUUCAUUUUGUGCCAACAAAGGUCCCUAACCUUUCAGAAAUAUGCAUUUGAAGUCCAAUAGAUGGAAUCCGUCCACUUUUUUCGUUAGUUAACCAAGAAAAUGAUUUUGACCACAUUACUCAUUAUUUCUAUAAGAGUAAAAUGAUAAUCUUACCUCUUUCCAUAUAAAAACAAUUUAAAUAAUUAAAUAAAAAACCAUCAUCUUCCACAACUACCCCACCCCAUCCAUAUACCCCACCCUAACCCAAACCAAAAUCACUGUACCCACGCACUUCGUGCCGUAUAACAUUUCGUACACCACUUGUCGAAGGAAAAAACAUGGUUGUUGCCUAAUAUGAUCAGUCAGAUCAGACAGUCCUCCGUCCCGACCAAAGAAUUGGAUUUCUAUACCGAGUCGAACUCGUAACUCAUUGAGUCUCCACCGAGUUCGACCGAAUUAACUGAGUCCUCCGGCCUGAGUCACAGCACUUGGAGAAAUGGGAAUUCCACAGCUCCAUUUUAGGCAUAGAUUUUGUGGAAGAAUAAUCUUCUACAGAUUUUGGAGAAGUUAUGUUGAUAAAUUAAAAUCUACUAACAUUAAAUAGCCGUUUUCUUGAAUCGACACAUUUCUGGCUUCAAAUCUCUGUAAACCAAUGCCCAAUCAAUGAAGAUAUUCCAAUGUCAUUAUGCCAACACCAAUUCUGCAACAUAAAAUCUAAAACAACCCCCCCCCCUCCCCAAAACCAAAAAAAAGUUGAAUCUUAAUAAUCCCCCAUUCUCUAUUUUUUCCAAGAUAACCACACCUUUUACCCCACGGCCCAAGACGAAUGUACAUUGAGGUUCUUCAGGUCUAAGGCAUUGUGGUGGUCGCCAUCGUGCAUAGCGAAGAUGACUGAUAACUAACCACAAGCUUAAGAAGAUGAUGCAUAAACUUCGACUGUGGGCAGAGUGAUUUUGGUUUGCGUAGGGGUGUGGAUGGAGAUGGAGAUGGAGAUGGAGAUGGAGAGAGGGAUGGGGUACCUAUGGAAGAUGGUGGUUUUUUAUUUUUUUUAUUUAAUUAUUUAAAUUGUUUUUAUAUGGAAAAGGGUAGGGUUACCAUUCUACCCUUAUAUAAACAAUUAAUAAUGUAGUCAAAAUUAUUUUCUUGGUCAACUAAAAGAAAAAAUGGAUGAAUUCCAUCCAUUGGACUUCAAGUGCAUAUUUUCGAAAGGUUAGGGACCUUCGUUGACACAAAAUGAAAGUUAAGAUAAAAUCUGCAAAAAUUGAAAAGGUUAGCGACUACUCCUGCAAUUUUCCCUAAAAUAUUUUACAUAUAAACUCAACAUUUUUCCUUACUUUUUAAUCACAUAUUCUCCAAAAAAAUCACUUUUUAAGAACUCGAUCAUCUCAAAUUUUAGUGGUCAAAAUUCAACUAUUUUAAAGUUCAGUAGCCAAAAUUCGACCACUUCAAAGUUUAGUGAGUACGAUCGAGUUUUUCCCCAAAACUUUGAACAACGUCUUCUAUGGCUCACAAUAAAUUUGGAUUUAAUUAAAAUUCAUUGUUAAAAUUUAGAUUUAAUUUAAUUUUACAACAAAAAAAUUCAUUGUAUGUGUGUCGUUAUAAAAUUCAAAUAUUAUGAUGAAAUAGCUUCAAAUUUUAAAAAAAUAAAUUAAAUUUAAAUUUAACUACUGUGUAAAUGAGUAAUCAUUUCUAGUGGUAUAGACAAUGCUUGCAAAAUUGUGCAAAUGAAGUGAUUGCUAAUUGCAAUGAAAUAUACAAUAUAUUUAUGGUAAAAAUUAAAUUAAAUUCGAAUUUUUUUAACAACAAAUUUUAGCCCUUGCUUGAUAGCCAUUAUUAAAAAAAAAAAAAAAGGAGUUUUGAAAAUAAUGAUUUUUUGGAGAAUGUAUGAUUUAAAAGUUAAAAAAAUAAAAUAAAAUUGAGUUUGAGUGUAAAAUAUUUUAUUGUAUAGAUGUGUAGUUAAAUCCAAAUUUAUAGUGAGUAAUAGAAUACGUUUUUUAAAGUUUAGUGAUCAAAGUUCGACCAUCUCAAAGUUCAGUGAGUAAUAGAAGACAUUUUUCAAAGUUUAGUGACGAAAGUUUGACAAUCUCAAAGUUUAACUGUGUGACGAGACGCCACGUGUGCAUUUCGUCAGCUACAUCUCCAAUUCUAUUAGGAGUUUGAGACGAAAGUUAUGCUAGUAAAUAACGUACAAUAUUUUCCAAAGUUUAGUGGUCAAAAUUCAACAUUUUAAACUUUUGUGAGUAAUUGAAGAUAUGGACCUAAGUUUUGUGAACAAAACUUGGCAUUUUAAAUUUCAGUGAACAAUCGAAGACAUUGACCUAAAUUCAAUGACCGUUGGAACAAUUAGCUUGAAACUUAGAAAAAAAUCCUCAAAUAUUAGACGUCUUUUGAAAAAGCAUAAAAGUAUAUUGAAAUUAAAAAAUAUUAUGUAAAGUUAGAUGUCUCUUUUCAAAGUUAAAAGUGACACAUGAUAUGUUUGUCACUAACAAAGUUGACACAAAUUUUAAAAAAAAAAGGAAAAAUCAAUUAAAAAAAGUAACGGAAGAAAGUGACAAGCACUAUUCAAUAAUGUCAAAAAAAAAAAAAAAAAAGUGAUACACUCAAAAAAGUGAUAAAAUACCAAUCAAAACUUAUGUUUGUCACUGAAAAGGUGACAAAAUUUUUAAAAAAUAACAAAAAAAAAAAAAAAAAAAAGUGAUACACUCAAAAAAGUGAUAAAAUACCAAUCAAAACUUAUGUUUGUCACUGAAAAGGUGACAAAAUUUUUAAAAAAUAACAAACAAUAAAAAAAAAAAAAGGUGACAUAAAUUUUGAAAAAUGUGACAGAAAAAAAUGACAAGAAGUAAAAAUACUAUAUAUAUAUAUAUAUAUAUAACCACUCCUCCAAUUUACAAACUUGUUUCAUAUUUAUUUUCGUACACAAAUUUUAAUUUUCCAAAAGAAAACAAACUACCAAAUCUCCACCCUCAAAUUUCUCGGGAGUGCAUUUUAACUUUUCUUUUCUUAGUCGCAUUCCUCCCCAAAAGAGAUAAUUCAAUCAAUUUUAUGGAGAAAUCCUCUUUGACUCAUUUAUUUUACUUUACAAUACAAAGGUGAACCUUCUUCUUUCUUUGGUAGUCUAUUUUUUGUUGUUAAUUUUCAAUUUAAUGAUUGAUUACUGAUUAGUUUUCAAUUAUUGAUGCAUUGAGGAAUGAAUCUUUCUUUUAUUUUUAAAUUUGAGUUUUAUGAUUGAUUUGUUUCUUGUUAAUUGAUGAAGGACGAGGUGGUGGAAUACUGAUAGAGAAGAUGACGCCAAGUCAAGGAGUAUUGUCGUUGAGGCAUGUCAUUGGAUAACUCAAUUCUCCAGGAAGAAAUUUUUCGCAAAGAACAGUGGAGAAGGACUAUAGUGACAUUUAUGGUCUCUUUAAUCAGUUAUGAGAUUCGGGGAUUUUGGUUUUGGGGGUAUGUUUUAUUUUAAGACUUAAUUAAUACAAGAUUUUAUGUGAUGUUUAGUUAAUUUAGUAUAUUAAUCUAAUUGGGUAACUUUUUAGAGCAUUUGGUCUAAUUUUCUCUUAUUUUAUCAAAAUCUAAAGUGGAAUCAAGAAUUCUUAGGCCUUAAAGCUCAUUAUAGCCUAUUUGAGCCUAUCUUUCCCAAAAUUCAUUUCAAUCAUGCAUUCUCCCAUCAAAUAAUUUUUCACAUAAAUUUAAAAUUUUUUUCAAUUUUUUUAACCAUGCAUUCUCCAAAAAAUUACGAUUUCAAAGUAUUUUUUUAGUUAAAAGAGGACGGUACCUCCUAGAUAUUAUUAAUAUGCCAUCACUUGUGGCAGAGGAAUACCAUGGUUAGAUGAGAAAAUAAUGAAAGCAAUAAACAAGGAAGUACUACUUUCCUUACAAUGAGAAUAAACGAUAAAGAACAAACUUAAAGUUGUAAGAGAGGAAGUACUACUUUCCUUAUAAUGAAGAUAAAUGAUAAAGAACAAACGUAAAGCUGUAAAAGAUGAAGCACUACUUUCCUUACAAUAAGAAUUACAAGUCAUUACAAAAAGAAGAAGAAUAAUAAUAAAUAAAUAAAAAAUCAUAUUCUAAUGUUGGGCAGUCCAUGUCUAUCGAUCUGUACCAGUGCCCUAAUGUGUUGUGGUAAGUCACCUGCUCUAUAUAUCUGGUAUCGUCGAUGAUCCCAACCCUCUACAGUAAGAGCAUUUGCAACUUGCUUUCCCUCUCUGUAGAUGUGGACAAGUGUAGCUCUGUCGAUGGAUACGAUGUCUGUGAUUUGUCUAAGAAUACCCUAAAUAGCCCAUGGUCCUCCUCCUUUAGUGAUGCAGUGAAUAGUCACUUUAGAAUCUGACUUAAUCCAAAUGUCAGAAAGACCGAGUCCUUUAGCUAAUAGAAUCCUAUCAAGAAUAGCCCUUAGCUCUGACUCUAAUAUCAUGCAUGUUCCAUAUGUAGUUGAAAAAGCCCUGAUAAAGGAUCCUGCGUGAUCUUUGAUGAUACCUCUCCAACUCGCAAUACCAUCCUUGACGCAUCCAUCAGUAUUAAUCUUGAUAGAUCCAACUGAUGGAGUACGCUACCAAACCAGAAUUGGAGGAGAUGGGAGAGGGGGAAUCAAAGAAAUACCAAAGAUGGGUACAAGAGUCGAAUCUCUUUUCCAAUGCAUAGCUUGAAAAAUUCCUCCAAUAUGUAGAAAAGAGAUCAUGCAAUAGACCCUCCAUAUGAUAUGUCCGACCACCAUACGGAUCCCCCUAUGCUUUGCAUCAUUCAUCUCGGUUCAAAGAAACUAAAAUACCAAUAGAGGAAUGAUAGUGAGAAUGUGUCCACAGCGAACAUACUGUCCAGAAUACCUCCAUCUCUAGAACCUCUGUCUAACUCCCUUUCUUGAACUCAUAGGUAUCUGAAAAAUAUUCCCAAAAUGUUGCCACCUGAUCAAAGAUGCUAUUGCUGUUGAAAAUAUGGCUAAUAGUCUCGAUCUCAGAACAACAUUAGCAGCGGGAAGCUAAUUGACAGCCAAUCCUCCUCUGGAUAACCACAUCUACUGGAAUGAGGUCAUGCAUAGUCUCCAACAGAAAAAUGCGACAGUGAUUGGCAAAAUGGUGCUCCACAGUAAUCGAUAUGAAUCCUGAUACUGGCAUCUUAAACGUACGAGCUGCCAAGCCGACUUGGUAGCAAAGCUACCAUCCAAUGUAUCCUGCCAAACAAUACGAUCUGGGGCAUCACACAUAAAUGUAUAGCCCCUAUCUUCUCUACCAUAAAAGGAGGGAGAACCUACAAUAAACGUCCAAUGUCCCACCUAGUAUCAUCAAAAAAUGCCUACACCCUCGUAGAUGUGUCCUGCCUGCGCGGUAAUAAUGAGGGCAAAGUGGUGUCACCCAUCCAACAAUCAUGCCAAAAGUUGUGAGUAGCAAAUCAACCGUUAGGAGCAACAUUGAGGUCCAACAAGCUAUUUGACGAUGGAUGAAUUCGACCUGGUCCUUUCUUUCUAGCAUGAAAAUGAGAGCAACAUUGAGUUCCAACAAGCUAUUUGAUGAUGGAUGAACUGGACUUGGUCCUUUUUUCUAGCAUGAAAAUGAACUUGUGAUAACAAUUCCUACCUAUUAAUACGUUUUAUAUUAAUAACACUCUUUUUUAAAAAAAAAACAAAAAAAAAAAAAAAAAAAUCUAACUUGCUCCAAGGUGCCAUACAAUGUGCGGCUCUAUCUGGGGACCAAAUAAUUUUAGCCUUUUCCAGGUAAGAGAAGCUGAGUGGGGGACUACAGUAAGUAAAUUAUGUGUUCCCAUACAAUACUUGCCUAGUGAAAAUUGGGUCCAAUAUGAUCUCUAAGAAUGGAACAACCACCAGAGCUUUAUGGGGAAGGUGUCUACCAUAUCCUGUCAUCCCCUAAAAUCUAGACCACCAUCAUCAGUAGAAAGGUAAAUCUCCUUCCAGUUCCACCAAUGUAACCAUCGCGCCUGUUUCUUGGAAAGGCAAAGAUGCUCUCAAGUUUUGAUAAGAGUGUAAAAUAUAAUAUUUUUCCCUCUUAAUUGUUGCAUUCAUGUGAUUAUAUUAUGCCAAAAUGCACUCAUUACCCCUAUGUUUGGGUUUAGGUUGCAUAUUGGUGAAAAAGAUGAAAUUUGGAAGAAACGAGUGGAAAAGGACCAAAGUGAAAGAGAAUGAAAGUUCAAGGACCAAGUUGCAAAUAAUACAUAGAUGAGACGGGCGAUGGAAUGAUGAUUCAAGGAUGCUAGGUGUCAAUUGGGUGCAAUCAGAAGUCAAAGGAAGUGAAAUAUGAUUAGAACAUCUUCACAAAUAAAUUCCCAAUCGAAAAAGUUACGCACCGAUUUUCAGCUUCAUAUCGGGACCAAUUUUUGACAUUGAAAACGAUCGAAUUGGAAGAUGACAUCUGAAUCGAAUUUGGAAUCAUUUUAGUUAGCUUUCCAAUACAUUUUGAAUCACCUCAAUCAAACAUUGGGAAAGAAAGUUAUGGCCAAAAUACUGAAAGCUAUCCGGCAAAGGGAAUUGCAAUAACCAUGCGGCCGCAUGGUUAUAAAGUCAUGUGGUCUCACAAGCACCUCCAGGGAAUUCUGGAGGCCAAAUUUUUUCUACUAUGCAGCUGUAAAACUUAUAACCAUACGACCGCAUGGUUAUUUUCCAAAGGUGAAGUCCAAAAUUCCUAUUUUGACGCGACACUUAUGGAAACUUGUCUGGCACACGUUUUAAAACCCUAAUCUCAUCUCAAAAUGUCACCAUUUAACUUCUAUCACUUUUCUUUGGUUUUUGGCUCAAAAAAUCCAUGGAGAACUAAACCUAUUGGUAAAGCCACGAAGGACCUCGGUUAGAUUUGGGAAUUUUCAUGUCUUUUCGUGCAUAAAUGUGCUCUUUCAUUGUAAAACAAUUCUAGAUUUAGAUUUCUUAUUCUUAUGGACAUGUUUUGAGAUUGGUUUAAUUUGUAUUAAAUUUUCAUGGAUUCAAUCACCUUUUUUCAUCGAAUAAUUGAAGUACUUAUUGAAUUUCAAUCUUAAAUGUCCUAUUGGUGUGAUUCUUUACCCUAUUGGUGUGAUUCUUUACCAUUAUGUGCUUGAUGUAUAUAAUUGCUUUUGGAUCUAAUUUCAAUAGAUUAUUGUGGAAUGAUAUUGUGAAAGAAAUCUAGGUUUGGGAAUCAUUGUGGAAUUGAAUAGGUUUGAAUGUUAAAUCUUUCAAUUAAAGUGUUAGAAUAAAAACCUUUAAUUGAGUAAAUUCAUGCAUAAUUGACAUUGAUUAACCCAAUCUAAUCGAGGGAAUUUCGGUGCUUCAUUACUUCAUAUAUUGAUUCAAACUUCAUUAAUUUAAAUAUUGAGACUUAAAAAUUACUCCAAUUGAAAACUUACUUCGCAAAUCACGAAAACCCUAGUUUGUUUGAUCCUUUAAAUAAUUUUCCAUCUCUUUGUGGAUAUGACACCCCAAACCUGUACUACAAUUACCGCGUUAUUCUUUGGGCAUAAUCAAAUUUUAGCGUCGUUGCCAGGGAGGCAGUGCAAAUAAUUAAAGGAUUUUCUAGCAAGAGGGUGACUUCGUUCCUUUUUUUUCUUUUUAGUUUGCCGUUUAUUUCUAGUUUAUUUUUUUAUUUCUCAUUUAGUUUCUUUUUUGUGCGUUUUAUGAACAGACUUCGAGAAGAGCGAGGGCGAUUUAUUGCGAGGCCUUAACCAGUGUUUGAAUCACUUUGUAACCCUCUUUUUGAUUAUGCAUCCAACACUACACCAUAUAACAACAUGUCCGUUAGUGAGCACGACGAUGCGCCCUAUAGGACUUCACAAGGCUACCUUCAUCCCACGCGCACAUCUACAUCGUCAUGCAUCAUGUUUUCGCCAAUAUGCUGCACAUGGAUCUCAAACCAAGAAUGAUUGAACUUCUUCCCACUUUUCAUGAUCUUGAAAACGAGAGUCCAUACGUGCAUAUUCUAGAAUUUGAGGAGGUGGUUGCAACCUUCCAUAAUCAACAUGGUACAAUGGACAUAGUCAGGCUUAAAUUUUUCCCAUUUCCACUUAAAGAACGAGCAAAAAGUUGGUUGUAUUCAUUGAGACCAUGUUUUUAUUGGGACUUGGGCUGAAAUGACCCAAGCUUUCUUUGGCAAUUAUUAUCCCUAUCAUAAACCGCUGCCCUUAAGAAGAAAAUCUCUUCAUUUGUCCAAAAGGAUAGUGAAAUUUUAUACCAAGCCUGUGAAAGAUAUGAAGAGUUCCAAGCCCUUUGUCCCCACCAUGGUUAUGAGAGUUGGCGUGUGGUGAGUUAAUUCUAUGAAGGAUUAACACCUAGGGAGCGUCAAUUUGUUGAGAUAAUGUGUAACGGUGACUUUUUUACAAAAAGAUCCAGACGAGGCCAUAGAAUACCUAGAUGAUUUAACUUAAAGGCUCACACAUAGACUGGACCUAAUGCCUCCAAUAAUAACAAUAGGUCAUGACCAAUAGGAAAUCCAACUAGCACAGGCAUUUACCACCUUAGAGAGGAGGACAACCUUAGAGCUAAGGUAGAAUCUCUUGCUAGAGAAAUUGAAGCUCUACGUGCUAAGGAUUUAAAAAUAACCCGACUUGUUUCCCGUGUUGAGUUUUUAGAGCCUUGUUUUGCGUGUGGAUGGAGUGAUCACCUAGCACAAGAUUGUACCACUUAUGCUGAGAUGAGGGGACUUUAUGAGGGACACUGUAAUGCUUUAGGCAUAUAUCAAAAACCCUAUAUUCCCUAUUCUGAAUCCUAUAAUCCAGGGUGGCGGAAUCACCAUAGUCACAGUUGGAAAUCUGAAAACCAACCUAUCCAAUCUAAUAGAGCCUACACUAUUCCUCCAUAUCAAAUCACAUCCUCUAGGAACUCUUUGGAAGAUACCUUACAUUAAUUCAUAGAGGCACAAAGUAAAACAAAUCAGAAAUUUGAGACUAUGAUUACCUAGAUUGUUGAGGAAAACAAGGAAAUCAAAACUCAUAUGUCCAAACUAACUAACGCCUUAGCUAUAGGGGAACGUGGGAAGUUUCCAACUUAACCUCAAGCAAACCCUAAGGGACAACACAUGGCACAAACCUCAGGCUUAAGAGAAAACAACCUUAAGGAAGUUAAUGUUAUAACCACUCAGUCUGGUAAGGUCAUAGAACCAAUUCUCAAACCUAAGGAAAUUGAAAUGGUACCUAGCAAUUCAGAAGAAAAUACCUCUAAUGAGGAGGUAGUGAAAAAUCCACCUUGAGUACCCUUUCCUCAAGCUCUUAAAUCCACCUCGAAAUCCGUUGGUCAACAUUGUGAAAUUCUAGAGCACCUUAACCAAGUAAAGAUCAAUUUACCUCUCUUACAUGUGAUCUCCUAGGUUCCCACGUAUGCUAAAGUCUUAAAAGACUUAUGCACCGUGAAGAGGAAACACCAUGUUAAGAAAACUGCUUUCUUGAGUGAACAUGUGAGCGCUGUAAUUGAGCAAAAGAUCUCUCCAAAGUAUAAGGACCCUGGUUGUCCUACUGUUUCUUGUGUCAUAGGGAACCAUGAGAUUUCAUAAGUUCUUCUUGACCUAGGGGCUAGUGUUAACAUCAUACCUUACUCUAUUUACUUGUCAUUAGGCCUAGGAGAAAUAAAACCUACAUCCGUAAGUUUACAACUGACUUAUCGAUCUACCAUACGACCAAGGGGAUAGUCGAGAAUAUGCUAGUACAAAUUGAUAAAUUUUGCUACCCCAUUGAUUUCUUGGUUUUGGAUUUAAAAGAAGAUGUGAAUGUUAACUCCAAGAUUCCCAUUAUUCUUGGUAGGCCUUUUCUUGUCACAGCUAAUGCUCUUAUCAAUUGCAGGAACGGUCUAAUGAAACUAUCAUUUGGGAACAUGACAUUCAACGCCAACAUUUUUCACAUCACAAAAUAGCCUGAGGAAGAUGAUGAGUGUCAUCAAACAUACAUGAUUGAUGCACUUGUCGAGGAGGAAGCACAUGCGCUUAUUGACCCCGAUCGUUUAAAUUCUUUCCUUUUAAAUUUUGAAAUUCCACUCGAGUAUGAUGAGGGGGAAUGUGCUAAUAUUUAUGCUGCCUUUAACGAUUUUCAGGAUUAUGGGACACCAUCAGUGACUGCUUCCAAUGAGUUUGAUGCAAUACACCAAAAGCUGACAAUGCCCUGGCUAGAUGCAGGCUAAAGAAAGCAAUAUUGGGUCGAGCCAAUAAUAAUAAACAAAGGCGCUAUUUGGGAGGCAACUCAAGGGGAGUUCUUUUUCCCUUUCUUUCUUUUCUUAUUUUUACAUUGUUUUUAGGUUUAGUUUCAUCACAUGCAUUAUUCACUGCAUUUUAGUUUAUUUUCAUUUUCUGCAUCACCCUUAAAUAUGAGUACUUUCAAGCUUAUUACACUUCAGCUUAUGUUGAUUCACUUCGGUAUUCAGGUGACAUCUUUCAUUUUUUUCUUUAGGCGGAUAUAUUUUUGCAUUGAGGACAAUGCAAUAUUUAGUUGGGGGGAGAGUUAACUUGAAUUUUGUUGUGAAUUGCAUACUUUCACGGGAAUUUGGUCUAAUUUUUUUUUAGGUCCCUACUUCGCUACUAUGCCACUAGGAAUUAAUAUUGUUCAUGAAAGUUUGGAUAUUGAGACAUUUGUUGAUUUAACACGUGUAGUUAGAGAAGUCUCUUGUUGAAAUUUUCUUAUGUGAGAGUUGGUGAGGAUUGAGAGCUAUCACAUAUUAAAAAUGGCAAUAAGCGCUCAUUAGUUUUGUGAACUGGACACUUCUUUUGAGAAUAACAUUACAUGGUUUGUGGUAUGAUGGUUGAUUAUAUUUGGGAAAUGAUAACAGUCAAUUUAGAAUUGAAAUUAAGCCUUCAGACUAGUUUUUUUCUUUUCAUAAUUAUAAUCCCUAGUAGCCACUUUGAGCUAAUACACAUAUAUAACCAUUUCUUUUCAUGCACUUAUGUUAUCCAUACCUCUUCACAUUGGAAUAAAGUCUAUGAAUAUUCAUUUUUUCUACCUUUAUGGUUCCAAGUGUAUAGUAGGUAUUAAAUGUCCAUUUGAGAAGCAAAGUAAUGAGGAAAGUGAUAAGAGAUGAUAAGUGCUCAGGUGCAACAGGAAAACACAAAAGAAAUGAAAAUUGGAAAAAAAAAAAAAAAAAACAAACAAACAAACAAAAGAAAAGAAAUGAAAAAAAGGUGGAUUGUUGUUGGGAAUUGAAAGGUUGAGGAAUUCGUUGAUACAAAGAUUGAUAUGUUGAAAUACUUAUUAAGAUGCCUAGUUAGAUACCUGAAAGUCCUUAAAUUCAUUUUGCCCUACUUUUUAUAUAACCCAACUUAACCCUUUUCACACCUUUUGCAUUGACUGUUUUGAUCUCAAGUCGGUUUGUGGUAAGAGUUGAAUUCUCAUUUGAAAGUAUGCCUAUCACAAGAUCAAAGUUUGUUUGUUGCUUAUUCCUAAAUAUUUAAGCCUCCAAGUUGUGAGUGUAUACCCUUUCUCAACUUCAUAGGGAGAAAAUCAUACUAAACACUUUGAUACCCAUGAGUUAUGGGGCUGAUCCUUUAGCUUGAGACAUACUUGAUGCUAUAUGCUUGAGACAUACUUGAUGCUAUAUGUGUUAGGGUUGGCAGUAAGAUGGUUAUUGGCUUAACACCCACUCACCCAUUUAGCAAGUGUUUUUGAUAUCUUGAUGAUAAUAACAUUGCUAAUUUCUUGUAGUGUUGAGUUUGAAAAGAUAAUGAACUGCAGUUGAAUUGGAACUCAACAACUUCACUUGUAAUAUGGAUCAAUCACUCAUUUAUUUUGUUCUGCAUUAAAUUGCUAGGGACUAGCAAUAAAAAAGUUGGGGGUAUGAUAAGAGUGUAAAAUAUGAUAUUUUCCCCCUCUUAAUUGUUGCAUUCAUGUGAUUUCGAGACAUAAACCCUUUAGGUUGUUUCAUGUAUAUCUCCUCUUUUAACUCACCAUUUAGAAAUGUUGUUUACACAUCCAUUUCAUGAAUCUCAAGGUUAUGUAUUGUAGCAAUUGCAAUUAGCAACCUUAUCGAAAUGAUUCUAGUUACUGGUGAGUAGGUAUCAAAGAAAUAAUGUCCUUCUUUCUGCCUAUACCAUUUAGCAACCAAUCUAGCAUUAUAUUUGUCAAUGGAUCCAUUCGAUUUCAAUUUGUUUUUGAAUAUCCAUUUGCAUUCUAAAGACUUAUUCCCCGAGAGGCAAAACUAGCAGCUAUCGCUAUUAGUUUAGAACGAGAUUUAUCGCCAAACAGAAAUUAUGAAUUUUAAAUAAAUACACGACAUUUUUUUACACAUUAAAUUCCCAGUACAUAGUUUAAAUCCAAAGCAAGUAAACAUUCACAUAAGCCAAAUAAAUUACAUCACAUGGUAUAACUUCAACCAUUACAAUAAUAUUAAAUAGUACCUCAUCAAGGGGUCCAGAAAGUAAUCAAGCGAGAUGUAUCAACAAUAUAAUCAAAAUAUUUUUCUUAAAGUUGAAAAGUCCCUUUUUUUUUUUACAUUACUGAAUAUCAGACUGUUAUACUCCGUGUGUGUGUGUCAUUUGUUGUGCUCGUGAAGAAAAGAAUUGAUAUUUAACAUAUUCAAUUGCUGAUAAUUUAUAGACGAAAAAAUGCAUUAUUCCAUCAAAUCAGCCAAUUAUUUCAUUAAAUCAGUCUACAAUUUUUGACUUCAACACUCUAAGGUGAGCCCAGUAACGGUCAACAAAAUUCUACAAAUUCCUCAAAAUGUGCAACGAAUAGGGACAAUAAAAGCAAUUUUUUUCCCAAAUGUUACAAAUACAUUGACACAUACAAUUUAGCAAUAAUUUAAAAUCCCUUUUUUUUUUUUGUUAUCCGUUAAUUCUAAGUACCAAAUACGUGCAAAAAUCACAGAAGAUAGAAAAAAAUUAUUAUUUUUUGUAACAAAUACAACGUGAUGUUAGACUAAACAAUUUUGCAUUUAUUUCACGUAACGGUUUAUAAAAAAUUUUGAAUAACUAAUUAGGUAACUAUAUUGCUACAUUCAUUAUACAAUAGAGUAUAAUCCCACAUGUCAGAAUAAAAUUUUACGCUGCCAUGAAUAUUCUUAAACUCAAUAAUGAUAAAUUAAACUAAAUUUAUGGUAGUGGCCCCACUAUUCAUGUGAACAGUGUUGUACAUUGUUCACGUGAACAGUGUCACUGUACCAAACAAAAUCAAACUAACAGUGACACUAUUCGGGUGAAUAGUGCAGGUGUCACUGUUCGAGAUUUUUUUUUAAAGUCUACAUAAACAUAGACCCGUUCUGAUACCAUUAUGUAACGACCCAAAAUUUACAAUAAAAUAAGUAAGAGAGUCGUUACCAAAAACUUCAUUUUAUUUAAUAUGAGCUAUUCCAAAUAAAAAUAGAUUUUAUCUCAUAUCAUAGUCUACAAACAAGAUAUCGACUCAUUAAUAAAUGCAUCUAAAUUAAAUACUAAAAAUAAAAUUUGAUUCACGUUACACCGAAUUUAAUGUGUUUAUUCCAAAUAAAAUAAUCUCGGCACCAUGACCGCACCUCAUCGCCUACCAACUAACGACCAGUUCAAUCUUGUAAGAGUGGGGAAAAUGGUGAGUAUAUGAAAAUACUCGGUAGGAUACGAUUAUUGGUGCAAUCCCGAUUAAAAGUGUUAGAUCAUGCGUGAAAAUAUCAUACCGUCAUAUCAUAUAUCUAAAAUCGGUAAGAGCUCAUAUCAUAUCAUAUCUUUGGUACCGGAUGGCCAUUUCAUAUCAUAUCAUAUCAUAACUUUCAUGAGCAUAAUAUUUAUCAACAUGAAGAAAUAAUUUAAAUGGGAAGAACCACUUCCACCGCAUAAUCCUACCUCGAUAGAUAAAACAGUUUUGCUUGGAAGCAAAAAACAAGAGGUUCGCAUUCCCAAAAAUCAUUAUUCUCUGUUUGUGGUGUUGCAGCCACUGUAUGCAAAUAUAUAAAUUUUUCUAGGAUAAAUAAUAAAAACCCUUGUAUGGUAUUUAUAGUUGAGAGGGAAUAUUAAAAGCCUAAAAAUGUGUCAACUGGCUUGCCCAUUUUCCGUAAAAAUUCUUAGUCAAUUGUCACUCCUUAAGAAACGUGUGGCACGUCCAUAUCACUCCUCCCAAAACCAAGGUAAUUAUCCCUUUUCAAUCUCUAAAAUCAAGGUAAAUAAAUAUUAAAAUAAACCAAUCCUUCUUAUCAUUUCUACAAGUGUCCACAAGUCAAAAACAUGAUAAUCUCAUACAUGUGGCAGCAUCACCUUUUUCAUUCUAAUCAUCAUUUUUUUAUUUGUAAAAAUGUAAUGUACAAAAUAAAUACAUUUUUAUUCUAAAAUUUGCGGGGCGCUACAAAAGCGGUGCUUCCAGGGUAGACAUUGCUUCUUCAAAAAUUAUUGGGUCAUUUUCUACCAUGUAGGUUAGAAAAUUCAGACCAAAUGAUGUGGAUAUUCUAGCCCGCUUAUUAAGCCUUGGUUCUUCCUUAUUUGAAGAUCCAUUUGCAAUUUCAUAAUUUCGUUUAUUUGAACUUACCGUUUCCUUAUCUUUGCAAGGGAACACGUUUUCAAAGAAUACUGCAUUCUUUGAUUCAAUUGUGGUGCCCUCGUGAACAUCUUGAACUUCAGAUCUGCGUACAAGGAAGCGAUAUGCACUACUAUUAUUGGCGUAUUCAAUAAAUAUGCAAUCAAUCAUCUUAGGACCAAUUUUAAUUCGCUUAGGUUUAGGAACUUCAACUUUGCCAAACACUCUCACACUUUUAAGUGUUGGUAAGAAGGAUGAUGACAUUUUCAUAACUCAAAUAAAGUCUUUUCCAUUUUCUUAAACGGUAUCUGAUUGAGAAGACUUUUUGCCCUUAAAAUAGCUUCCCUCCACAAGUUCUGAAGUAAAUCCAAACUUAUCAAUAUUGCAUUCAUCAACUCUUUAGGAGUUCGAUUUUUGCGUUUUGCAACACCAUUCAAUUGAGGAAAGUAUGGUGCCGUUGUUUGAUUAAUAAUUCCAUGUUCAGAAUAGAAUUCUUCAAAUGGUGCCCCAUAUUCCCAUCCUUGAUCACUACAAAUAUUCUAAAUUCGUUUGUCAAGUUGGGUUUCAACUUCAGCCUUAUAUAGUUUAAAUGCAUCCAAGGUUUCGUCUUUACUUUUCAAAAGAAAGACAUAACAGUACUUUUUACAAUCAUCAAUAAAAGCUAGAAAGUAUUUCUUACCACCUCUAGUUUGAACGAAUUUCAAAUCACAUAUAUCGUUAUGGAUUAAUUCUAGAGGUACCAUGUUUCUUUGAACCGAAUGGAAUGGUGCCUUAGCCAAUUUUGCUUCAACACACACUUCACAUUUGUGAUUAGGAUCAAUUUCAAGUGUCGGAAUUAAAUUUUGACUUAAUAAGUUUGCGCAAUGAAUUGUAAUUCGUAUGUUCUAAUCAAUUAUGUCACAAACAAAACUCAAGCAAGUAAAUAGAAUUUGUAACUUGAUUCAUAAUGCCUUGUUUCGGUACAACAGCUAGAACGUUCAUUUUGAACAUUCCAUCACACGUGUAUCUUUUUCCUAUAUACAUCUUAUUCUUAGACAACACAAAUUUAUUGGAUACAAAUACAAGUUUAAAAACCAUUUUUACCAAGGAGAGACCCGGACACAAGAUUCUUGCGGAUAUUCGGCACAUGUAGGACAUUAUUGAGGACGAGUUCUUUUUCGGAUGUCAUAUUCAAAGUGACUUUACCUUAUCCUUCAAUUUUGGAACUUGCAGAGUUCCCCAUGAACAGUUGCUCACGUUACAGUUCUUAAUAGUUGGAGAACAUCGACUUAACAGCACAUACAUGACGGGUUGCACGGGUAUCGACCCACCAUUCCCUCAAAUUUCCAACCACGUUGCAUUCAGACACAACCACAGAUACACUCAUCUCUUGCAUUCCUUCAGAAAUGUUGUCUUUUACCACCAUGUUGGCUUGUGCAUUCUUCCUUGGCUUUCCACAAUCCCUUGAACGAUAUCUGGCCUUUCCACAUUAUAACAUUUUCCUUUGAACUUUUUCACAUUCUUGGAGUUGUAUCUAUGCUGUGCAUCAUAGGAGAACUCGUUUCUUGUUUAAAGGCCUUUGUUCUGUUUCUGCAAAGUUUGCUCCAAGUUAAUCAACGCGUUUCCUUUCAUUUUUCUUAUUGUCUUCCUCAAUUCUCAAGCAGACUUUGAAAUCUCUCUACAAAGGAGGGGGUUUCUCGAUGAUGGCAGUCACUUGAAAUGAUUCGCUUAGUUCCAUCUUUUCAGCAUGUAUAUCGUGCAAGAAAACUUGUGUUUCUUGCACUUGGCUUAUCAGAGUUUUAGUAUCUACCAUUUUAUAGUCCAAAAACUUGCAACAAUGAACUAUUUGGUUUCAAAGUCCUCGAUUUUGUAUUUCUUUUCCAAUAAGUCCUAUAGUUCCUUGGCCGAGUCCUUUGAACUAUACACUGUAUUGUCCAACCCACUCAAAAUGUAGUUUUUGCAUAGAAAAUUCAAGUGCUUCCAUGCAUCCAACGCAAUAAUCGACUCACGAUUAUUUUCUCCCUCUUGUACGAUUAGCGCUGUUUCCUUUAGAAAUUUGGCUAGAUUUAAGGUAGCGAGAUAAAACAACAUCUUUUAUUGCCAUCUCUUAAAAUCCACGCCAUUGAAAAUUUUCAAUUUUUCACCAUACGGGAUAGUGAUGUUUUGCAGUGGUACAGCCAUUGGUGGAACCACCUGUGGAACCACGUUGUUCGUAACAUUUUGACUUGAAGUAACCACUAUAGUACUCAUUUUUGUUACACAAAUAGAAGAUUAUCAAAAUGCAAAGUAGGGGAAGGAAUAGUGCACUAAGACUAUUCCAAACAAAAGAACAAAGUUCAAUUUAAGAAUACCAAACAAUCACCGACAAAUAUUGUCUUAAGAUUGUUGGAACCGGGUUUAUUUGUGAGUGGUCAGAUGGUCGUUUACGUAUAUAAUAAAAAAAACACAAUCUAAUCCCCAAGACGGUGAUUAAACCACAUAUGUAUAAGAAAUGAAAAUUUUAGUAGAAAACCACAAUACCAAGGUAACAAAAUAAAAGAAGAAGGAAAAGGAAAAGGAAAAGAGAUCAAAUCAGAUGCAAGUGAUGGUACUUUCUCUUUAAGACAAUAUUACCCCGCUACGGUGCUCAUGGUUGACGGCACUUGUCUUUCAAGAUACAACAAAUUUGUAAUUUUGUGGUAGUAGCAUUCAAACCAUAAGAAUCAACGAACCCACGGAAUUUCCUCUUUACAAAGGAAUUUUAUACAAGAAGAAGAGAGAUUUUAUAAGGGAAGAAAAGUGCUCAAUGCAAAAUAUGAGAUGAUAUACCCUUAAGGACGUCCAAGGGGUCCUAUUUAUAGACGAAGAAGGGGUGUGGAUGAAGUCGUCCGAGCCAAAUUGUGCAAUCUUUGGAAUAGAAGCAAUACUUCAUUUUCACUAGCUUUUCGCUCGAGCAACACUGCAAAAAUUUGAACAGAGACUUUUUCGCUCAAUUUUUGCCCAGACAUCGCUCGAGCAAUAACACCGUAGCUCAAGCGACGGUGUUAUUUGGCCCACCAUAUUUUUAUUCAUUUUUUUCGUUUACUUCCUCCAACUUUUGAACUGCAAUUUUUCAUUCAUCCGAAGUAGUUUCUAGUGUCCAUAUAUACUACUAUCAUCUACUCGAUGAGUAGAACAAGUUGGCCUAUUGCCUUUCGUAAUUUGACCAUAGGAUCAAGUCCGAAUAUUCGGUCGAAUUUAACACGUUAGUCACACUUUCCAAUUUUAUAUUUAACCAAUUUCCGUCAAUUUAGAAACCAAUUUCCAACAAAAACAUAGUGAUUUAAUGGAUUCAAAAUGGAAAUAAUGGGCUUAAUAAUAAAAGAAAAUAUCCAUAAUUGUCAAAAGAACAAAUAUCACACCAAGAGGAGAACCAGGACUGACAAUAGAUUGAACAAUAUCGGUCCGGUGACUUCAUAGUGCGACUGUGGUCCAAAUGGUAGAAUCUCUCACGCACUCACGAAAAAAGAUAAUUUCUGCGUCCAUGCGAUGUCACACAGCUCAUAGUUUCUCUUUUUAAUAUUUUGUCACUUUCUCAGGUUUCUUCGGACACCCUUGACCUUUCCCUCGAAGUUUAUGUUUUGAAAGCUUAUUUUUUCCUACUUUGUUUAUUUAUUUUAUGUUUUUUCGCAAGUUAGAUUUUUAAUUUUAUACUGGACUUUUAAGAUGGUUUAUUAUGACAAUAUUUGUAUUGCAUAUUUGUAUUAUCUUUCGAAGUAUUUUAUUGAUUUCUUUUGAGGCUUACAUCUUAAAAUGCCAAUUAAGCUUUUUCAACAUUGUAUCAUCAAGUUUAUGUUGUACAUGAUUCAAUAGUAUAAAGAUUUGGUAUUGUAUCGAAGACACAAAUUGUUAGAGAUUGUAGUAUGUCUACCAGAGAUUGAUCAUCUUGUGACUAGAUGAGGUUUUGGGUUUUAAAUCCCAACGAGUUCAGUGAUCUGAGAUACAUAUAUUUUUGGCGUCAUCAAUUUCAUUGGAAUAAUAGAAGUUUUGUUGAAACUAGGUUGAUUAUAAGCAUAUGGUUAAAACAAUAGAAUAGAAUCUUAAUAGUUUAAGAAAUAUUCAAUAAAUGACACGUUAUUAAUUGUCCCUCGACAUCUUUCUUUUUAGUCCUUGUAGCCGUAAGAGCAUAUUCACAGACAGUAUUGACAUCGUGACAUGUCUUGGAGAGGCACCGCAUCUCAAUGAAUUAAUCUUAUGCUUGUUAUCAUAACAUUUAUGUGCAUGGAGUUCUAUUAAAAUAAUCCUUUUUGAUAUUUCUUCGAAAUGUUAUUUCGAAUGUAAAUGUUUUGUUGAUCAUGAGGUUCAUUUUCCAACGCCGCAAGUGGUAAUAAAUUUAUUUGAAUCGUUUUGUUUCCUGCAUGCUUCAGGUCUUAAUGGCAAAGGGUAACGUAGUGGCCUUAUAAUUUAUAUUGUUUAUUGUUAUUAUAUUUUCUUCUAGAAUUCCACUGUAACAUUUUAAACCUUAAAAUUGUUAUUUUUCUGAUUUCCUCUGCAGAGGCAAAGGGCCAAUUCCGGGCCACGGACUUGGAAUCGCUGACCAAGAAGAAGCAGAGAGAGGACGAGGCCCUGAAUCUCUAAUAUUUUUUUUUCUUCGGUUUCAAAAUUUUCUCUCUGUUUCUUAUCAAGGACGAGGCCCUGAAGGAAAAAACUCGUGCUGCUUCUGUCCAUUCUGUGCCCAAUCCGUGCCCAAUCCUCCCGUGCUGAAAACUACCCCUCUUGUUCCUGAGAUUCCUCAUCAGGACAAGAGGAAGUGUUGGCCGAACAUGAGAUCUCUUUCUUUCAGAAGCAAACUGAAGCAAUGAAAGGGGUAGAAACCCCAGGCUUACUUAGACUUCAUUGAGGAGGCACACUUGGAGGACAAUGUUGUUAAACCAGCUCCCUUCCUACCGCUGCCCAAUAGCCCAAGUUGCCAAUAAGAGCUGGCAGGCAAAACAUAACCACUAUCUUUCUUCCAUGGAUGCUCAGGAUGCUAGCUUGAUGGCUGCAAUCUACAAUGCUCGUGCUACAAUAUGUUCCAUAAAAGCUGCAAGAGAAACCAAGCAGGAAAGGUUUGCAAGUGAAAAUGCCAAUAAAAGCUGCAAGAGAAACCAAGCAGGAAAAGUUUCCAAGUGAAAAUGCCAGAAAUGUUGCAGAGCGCGCUUUUGAAGAGGAAAGGGCUAGCCAUAGCCGCUCCGUGAUAAACCUUACGUCAACUCUUGAACAAGCGAAGAAAUAUUGGGAAGCGCUGGGAGAGAAGAAUGCGAGGAUUAAGAAUCUGGGGGUGAAGCUUGCAUCUACGGAGGCUAGGCUAAGGGGCCUAAGCUCGGAGGUGGUGGCGGCAAGCGUUAUAACUUCACUUUUCUGUUUUAGAUGCGACAGCAUCUAAAAUACUGAGAAAUUAACGCUUCCAGCACCACCUCCAGAGCUUAGGACCCUUGGGUAUAGCACCCUUGGGCACAUUGCUCUUAGAGGCCUUCUGUGACUUGGACAUCAACUCUGCCUUCUUCUCCUUCUUCAACCACCUAGGAGACUGAGCGAAUAAAUCUGAUACCCUUCCCUGGUUAUAUCUUGGCACCACUAAAUCGGCAAAGCUCUGUCCUGACAACCCAUAAUUAACAGGUGAGACAAACAAAAGAAAAUUAACUCCGAAAUUGAACGUAAAAUCUAUAUGGAGUAGAAGCAAAACUUAUUCAAAGCAAGACAGCAUACACACACACACACACACACACACACAUAACAAAGCAAUAGACAUUUGCGUCCUAUAUUUAUCUAUUUGACAGCAUCUUCUAAUUUUCAAAGUAAAACAAAAGAAUUCUAGAUUGAAACACCAUAUGCUACUGUCUAGCCACAGUAAAAUAUUAAAUCCCCCAUUAAAUCUAAAAUCAUACUAAAUUAACAGCCCAUCUUUUUAAAAUUGUUGUUGCUACCUUUUUAAAUACCAAUAUGUCCUCCAUCUAAUAAAUAUUUUACACUCAACCUGUACGCGAAUUUCACCCCCACCCUCCACCACCAUUUCUACCCUAAAGUAGAAAAAAGUUCAAAAUAGUCAAACAGAUCCUUAUGUGCAACAGAUGACAUAUUACAUAUACACUAAAAAUCUGAAUUGAGCAUUGGAUUACGCAUCUCAUUACAGAGAGGGAUGGCAGAACUCACUUGAGAACCAUUGUUACAGUUGCCGAGCUCGCAUCGCUUGGUUUACUCCCUGAAAUGCAGGAACCCUAAGUGCACAUUAUAUGGCCCCUGUUUGCCCCCAUUAUUUCAAAUAUUAAUAGGUGGAAUAGUAUUUUUCUGAAAAACAAGUGAUUGAAAAAGAUAAAAAAAAAUUCGAUUUACGUGUAAUAUUAUUUUAUGAAAUAUUGUGUGGUUAAAAGAAAAAAAUAAGAUUUAAUUUAAUAGGAGCCAAACGAGGGCAUAGGACUCCAUUCUUGUCAAAAAUACAUUUUUGAAUAGUAUAUUGACGAAAAAAUAUGUGAUUAAAAUAAAAAAAAGUUUUAACUUUGCAUUGGAGUUGCUUUUAAUAUUCCCAAGUUCCCAACUUCUUAUUUUCCACGUCGGAUACUCACUAGAAUAUCAUAAAAUUUACUAUCUAUAAAUAGGUGGGCCAAAAGUUGGGUAAAAAGCUAUAUGGGUCUUUUAACUUUAGGAUUUAGAAGUUGACUAAUAUAAAAAUUUUAUCUUUCUAAUUUUUUCAAUUUUUGAUCGGGUUAUCAGAUAUCUGAUAACAUAGCAAAUCGAAUAUGUAUAUAACAAUCAAGUAUCCGUUGGAUCGGAUCGUAUAAGAUAAUUAUUCUUAAAAGUAUCGGAUCAAAUUUGGAUAGAUCCGGUCAAUUUACAGCCCUAAUCACAAAUAGGCAAAUAGCCUUGAUAAUGGAGAAUAUAAGUGGAAAAACUAAUGUCAUGUUUGGUAUAUUGUUUGGAUAUGAGGUAUUAUGAUUGGACGAAAUUAAAGAAAAAGAGAAACAUAUUCUAACGACAUAUUUAGUAGAGUAAUGAUAUUCGUAGCCAACGACUGCAUUAGUCAUUCUACAUGACAAUUUGUUACUUAAGACUUUAAUUUCUUAUAAUUCUAUUGCCUCAAUUAACAAGUAAAUGUCUCAAAUAAUAAGCUGUUACAUAGAAUAAUUAUUGCAGUCACUAACUAUGAAUAACAUUAUUAUGUUUAGUUCUAUAAAUUAAAUAUUGAUAUGCGUAUCGAGACGUUUAUAUAAAGUAAAAUUGGUUUGCAUUAAACUCUUUUGGUGGGCUCAGCAGUCCAAUAAUUUAUGUUGGAUUUGGAAAGAGGUAUAGCCAUUGCUAAUACUAUUCAAUCUGUUCCACCAACACCUUUGUCCGUUCAGACACCAAUUUAAGCAAAUGUGAUAUGACAAGAAAUAUUUAGCAUGCCACGCUAUUUGAUUGGACAACACUACAAAAAAAAAAAAGCACUUGAAAAAUAAUAAUAGAAAUAAUAAUAAUUAUCUGUUUUAAGUUUAGAAAAUUAAAUAAAUAAAAAAAGAGGGUGGCCCUAAAUCAAUUUUCCUUCACCAACGCCAGCUGCCUCAAUUCCUGGAAAGGAAAACUUUGCAUAGGAAAAGGAGAAAAAUCAUCGAAUAAAACUGGACGUCCAGGGCCCUGGACGUCCAGCACGUCUCAAAAUCAUCAAUCAUCACAAGACAGAGAAAAAAGGUGCUUUUCCAUUUUCAUGCAAGAGCUUACAUCAAUAUAAAUAGGUGGUGGUUAUUGAAAAGUUGAAAAAGAAAGGAUAUUUUUGUUGAUUAAAAAAAAAAAAAGGUUGAAUGUGGAGUACUUCUAGUUUGACAUGAGGUAAAAUUUCAAUAUUGCCCUUGUUAAGCUCCAAUCAUUGUGUCAAUUUUGUAUUCGAGUAUGGAAGUUAACAAAGUAAUGACCAUUUUUGCCAUUUUGAAAGCUUAAGAAAAAAGAUGAUACCAACACAUCUCGUCCAUAUAUUGUCGAUAACCAUAGGAGAGAAUUAAUUAUUAUUAUUCCUACUGUUCAAAUAUUUAAUAAAAAAUCAAGGCACAACAAAUUUCUCGUCCUUGCAAUUGAUUCUCUCAUAUCCCUUUAUAUAGUUUAGUAAUUUCUCGAGAAUGAAGAUGCUUAACAAAGGCUAUUAUGGUCUCUCGAAAGUCUAAUGAAAGACAUCCUCUUCUUUCUUAAGAGGCCGAAUAGAUUCUAGGAUAAGUGACCAAUAAAAAUCCAACAAAUAAUUGUUUGUAACCUACCUGUUGGGGCACAUCCCGCGAUUUACCUCCCUCACAAAACUCUAGGGGCGGGACAGUGAAGACCCUCAAUGUUGGAGUUCAACCUUUAAUAAUUGUUUGUAACCAAUCAAAAGAUCUUCACAAAAUCAAAAGAAUCGAGAAAGAAAGUGACUAUUCAUAUACAAUUAACUUUUCCAUGAUAAAUCAAUGUCCCAUGUAGGAGUAGGACCAAAUCGUCCUUAAAGACAGCAAAACCUUGCUCCUACCACGUGCUUCUUGUCCACCUCCUAUGUAUAUAUUGAUUGCCCAUUCAGAAUCCUCAGACACCAUUGUAAGGCCUUAAAAAUGUUAAAAGAAGUUCUCUUGUUUUUGUUAAGGGGCCCCAAUGAUAUGCAUGCAAUGGAGUGAUACGCCCUUAUGAGCAGGGAAGAGGAGAGUGUCCUCUCAUUUGUUGGCAACACAUACAUGUAGGGUUAUUAAUGGAUUGGAUUUUGAUUUGAAUUCGAUCUGAAUUCGAUGAAAUUAAUAGAAGAUGGAUUUAGGGUCUCAAUCAGAUAGUCCGUUGACUAAAUGAAGCAAAUAUGGAUGUAAGUAAAUCCGAUCCGAUUUAUUAUAAUAAUAUAAUAUAUUUUGUAUAUUAAAGCAUAAUUUAUUACAAUUUUUUUUUUAAAAUUGAUCUUAUAUACUUUAUGAAUUUUAAUGAAGGACGUCAAAAUUAUUAAAUUCCAAUAACAUUAAUAUAUAUUAUUGUAAAUUGUGUAUUCAGAAAAAAAAUAAAGAAAUUAAUGUUGAAACAUGAUAAUGGGCUUGACACUUUCGUCCCAAUCCAUAUGCCAAUCUGACAAAUGAUAAAGAUUAAUAAUGGGCGUGACACUAUAUCAUCUCUUUCGGCCACGUUUAACGUUUUGGUUCUUGAACAUUCUUCUUUCUUUCUAAUUAAUUCAAAAAACCUUUCCUAUUCUCCACCGUAGCUGAAUCAGAUUCAAUCAGAUGGAAACCCAUGGUAUUCUCCAUCUUUAAUUCAUUUUUACGUCUCGACUCUUCAUCUCUACACAGCAGGGAUGAUAUUCUUCCAAAAAUUACGGUUCCUUCUUUUUUUAUUUUUCUUUGUAUGUCAUCUCCAACACUAAGAUUUCAUCAGCAUUUCAAUUUCUUGAAAUGAUAUUUGUUUUGUACAACCUUUAUUCUUAAACAUCUUUUUUUGUAGGCGUGGUGGACUUGUGGUAAUAUGAUAUGGAGAUAGAGCUCAAACUUCAAAAGCUGCUCUUGAGAAUUUUUUCAUUCGUUUUUGUUGCUCACUUGAACGUUUGUUGGAUAUGUAGUCAUUGCAAUAUUUCAUAUCUUGGUUCUUUUUGGUAUCAUCAUGUGGAUUUUUAUUGAAAUUGACAAUAGGUUAAUAUGGUUAUUUUCUUUUAUUGCAAUAAAAAAAUGUGUAAAAUAUUUCGGAUCGGAUAUCCGAUAAUUUAGUAAAUUGGAUAUGAAUUUAACAAUCUAAUAUCCGUUGGAUUAUUGGAUCAAAUCGGAUAGAAUAAUUAUUCUUAUCGAAUCGGAUCGAAUAUGGGCAGAUCCGAUCCAUUGACAGUCCUACCCACAUGCCUCUUAAUGUAUUAUGUGAUUGUCGACAUUAGGCCAUGAACUUGUUUUUCAAGCAAAAGUGAUUUGAAUCCAAGAAAUUUAUCAGAUGGAUGACAUCAUAUUAAGUUUCAACCAAAUAGUGCUAAAUUAUGAUUUCUAAUAUAAAAAGCGAAAAUAAUCAAGGGGAAAGCCAAAUGUGUAAAUAAUCAAGGGGAGACCCAAAUGUUUCAACCAGAUGUUGGUAUAUAAGGCAUAUAACUGAGGACUAUGACACGCAGACUGACGAAAUAGCACAACUAGCACUUAGGUUACCUAGUGGAAGCUCCUCAACAUUCAAGUCGCUCGAAUAUUUUGAGAUAUACCUCAACAGUGAGUAGUCCUAAAUGAAUGUUUACCAAAACAAAAACAAGUUUUUACAAUGUUGUAACACCAUGUAUAGGUGCAAACACCUGCCAAGUGCUGAAAGGUCAAGGAAGUUAGAGACCUAAUGACCUUGAUGUAGGUGAUUGAAGGACGUGAAGGAUGACCGUAACUACAACGGUCUAAGGUAGCACAAUUUCUAGUCAGUUAUGUUUCGAGCAUGAAGCAAUCACUUGGAUGUAAUUAUAGGCACAUCAGUUACCCUCCUUAUUUGGUGCAGAAUGUUAUGCCCAUUUGGACGAAAUUUCACUUAGUAGGGUGAAAGGGAAAUUCAUCCUCAACAAAAAUGAUAAUGUUUACAUCUUGCCAUUUAAACUGUUCCUUCAAGAGGGUUCAAACGCCAAGUUAUGAAAUUUCAAUCUCAAAUCAUUUUUUCAUAGCUUAGCCACUGAAAGUAAUAGAGCAUCGUCUUGCCUGAUCAACGUAGUAUAAAUAUGCAUAUGGACUCCGUUUAUUUCGAAAACUGUUAAAUGAGCCACAGCAGAAUAAAUAAAACCAGGAGAGUUGAUAUGAUUUUGGAUGGGCAGCCGAGUUUUCAAGGGUAGUUUAAUUAUGGUAGACUUCUAUUAUAUUUGGUAUUUUUAUUAUUUUCAAUUUUUUCUAGGAUUUUAGAGUUUUAUUCCAUUUUAAUUACUCUCUAGGGUUUUAGUAUAAAUAGGCUUUUGUUUCUUUCAUUGUAUUUCAAGACUUUUACAAUGAAUUAAUCGAGAUUUCUCUUUCGAAGCUUUUGAUUCAAAAUAUGAACUUAUCAAGAUUUAAUAUCUUGUGGCGUUCAAACAAAAUAUCGGGUUGAUUUCUCUAGAUUGCGUAAUCAAAAGGUCCUUCGCGUCGCCGUUACCAUUGGGUUGUUUGAUUCAUUAAUUCUUUGGGUCAAAUCUACAAAUCCGGAGAAGAUUUCAAGAUUGUGUGAUUAAGAUGUCGUUCGUUUCAUAUACGUGCGGCUGCUUAGUUCACUUUUGCGGGUUGAUUCCUAAACCUUGGUCGUAUUUGGGCAUUAUUGGGAUCCGGUGUCAAUUCCUGUGGGUUCGAUUGUAACCUUGCUAACUGGGUUUGCAUCAUUCGGUAUUAGAGCUAAGGCACCAAGAUCAAGGUUAUAUCCCUUUUAAUUCUUGUUGAGUCAGUUGUUCUUUUCUUAUUGUUCUUCGAGUCAGUCCAUAGUUUCAAGUCUUUAAUUCAAAAAGUUACCAAAAAAAAUUCGAAAGUUGGCUUUGAAUUCCAUUUGCUUCCAAAUCAACUUUCGUUCGUAAAGAAAGGAAUGAAUUCCCACAAUUGAUACUAUUGCAGAUCCACCGACGAAGAGUUGUCACAGUAUAAACAUGAUCGGCAUGUAGAUUCUUAUGAUAUUAGAUACAUAAGUGAUUAGAUCUAGUGCAAGUGGAAGUUUGUAAGUGUUAUAGCUUAGAUCCAAUUAACCUUGGAUAAAGACACUUUUAAUAUAAAAUUGACACAAUUUUAUGGCAAGUCUAUUAUUUAUUUAAUAUUGAAUAUUAAAUUAAAUAAUAUAGUUCGUAUAUUCAAAUCUCAAUAAUUUGUUAAUCACAAGGAGUUGUGAUUAUAAUAUACAAAUUACAUAUGAUUGAAUUUUAAAUCAUCAGUGGUCGUAAAUAAUAAUGAGAUACAGACAUUAUUAUUAUAGAUACACCAUCACAUGUGGCAUUUCUUACUUGUGAAGUAAGUUGUUGAUCUCACAAGCUAAAAAGUGGUGAAACUUAAAUAAACACGUGGAUAUUUUGUUAUAGAACAAAACAUUAGAGACCCGUUGGGAUAUUCCACAUUGAUAACUAUCUGAAUAUCAGUAUUUAAUCUCUAACGUUCGAUAGUGGAAUUGGUCCUUCGACUUGAGGUUAUCAUAGUACCUUAUAUGAGGACAGUCAUACUUUGACAAUGUUAGAUGUUGCUAUGCCAAAGGUCACUAAUACGGUAACGUUCAGGUAUGUUAAGAAUCAUAUGAAACUUGUGAAUGACCGAUCGAGGAUUCGUCACUCUUAAAUAGUAAGAGAUUAUGAUUUGCAUUUCAUCCAAUUGGGUCGAUAACAAAAUCAUUGGCCAAGGUUUACUCAUAAAUCGAAAAUGAGUUUUCGACUUGUAUUGACUUAAUAGUUGAGUGAAAGAUAUGAUUGAUAAUCGAGAUUGACACAUUUUCAUAUCUUGUAAUUAAUCGGAUCAUAUUGACAAAUGGAUUAUAGUUUCAUGAUAAACGAAUAAGUUUGGUUAUGUCAACCACAUGAUAGUUUUCGUCACAUGUAUUGUCCUAAUACAUUGCUAGAUGUCACUUUGGGAAAGUGUGUGUGAAUUUGUGAUAAAUUAAAAAUGGUGUUUUAAUUUAUCGAUUUUGAUUUGAUCAAAAUAAUAAUUCACGUCGUUAGGCGUCGUGAUUGGGAACCUGAUGGGUUAUACACAAAAGGAGAACUGAAAGAUUGUAUUUUACCAAUUAAUUAAUUUAACAAGCGUUGGAUAAAUUUAUUAAUUGGGUUACUUAUUUAUUGGUCCGAAUUAAUUGGAUUAAUUAGUUCAUGGACCUGAUUUAAUUAAGUGGGUUAAUUAAAUCUUGAACCAAUUUAGGAGACGGGCUAAGCCUGUUUGGGCUUGUAUAAAUAAGUGGAUAGGGUUUUGGAUCUGUAGAGAUUUUAUUAUUCUUGCUAACACAAGAAAACCCUAGUUCUCACAAUCUGUUUCUCUAUGUGGAUUUCCAUUAGAGGUUGUACAAUUGGACAGCAGUGGGAGGCAAAUCAAGAUUGUUGGAACAAAAGGAAAAGCAAAAGUUUGUAGAAUUCUUCAAACUUAUAAUUUCUAUCACAAUUUCUAUCUAAAUACAAAGAGAUCCUUGAUAAAAAUUGAAAUCUAUAUUAAUUUCUGCCGUGCAUAUUUAAGUAAAUUCCCAACAUUAUGUUCUGGCAAGCAUGUGUUGACAAUAAUUUUUUCGCAACUAAUUUUGGCAAACAUCUGGACCACAGCAAUUGCAGUCAACGCAGAAUUUUGGUUCACAAUUGGAACAUGAUCUUACUCUCACCAAUUUUAUCAGGCUUGGAAUUUUUCCUAGCACUUGAACUAUACAUCUACUCUUACAAACUUAAAACUAAUUUACGUAAAAAACAUAUCUUCAUAAACAUAAUUGCAAGAGAUCACUGUAGAUUCUACUGUACUAAAUCAUUUCCAAUAAGUCGGCAUAGAUUAUUUAUUUAUUUUGGUAAAUAGCUUGUUUUCAUUUCUACUGCCCUAUUGGUCAUCAUCAAUUUCAUACACGAUUCUUAUUGUUGCUUCACAAACUCAUUAAGUCGUCCAGCAAUUCAAUUAAAUUAGGGUUGAGAUGCUCUUAAUUAUGAUAACUUUGCAUCAAAUAGGACUUCCCUAACAAAAUUUGUAACUUAGGGGUAGGCAGAACCCAUUCGUUCGAUUUUCCUCAUUAUCAAAUCAAACCAAACCAAACUUAUUUUACACAAGGAACCACUUGGUGGUUCCAUAAAACAGGAAUUAUACUUUUGAUUUUGUCUUUUAAUUCUAAGAAAUUCGUUACCUUCAUAAUCAUCAGAUCUUUCAUUUGGUUGAUCAAGAAAUUCAAGAUCUAUAGAUGAAUCAAAUAUGGUUAUUGCAAUAAUCAAAUCAUGUGGCUUAGUCUUCCAAAUCAGCACGUAAUCUCCUUUUCUCUCUGUGAUGGGAUGUAGAAGAGAACGAACAAAAUAAAAUCUCUCUAUGUGUGAUUCGGGGACCAUAAUUGUACUUAUAUACUAAUCUCUUUUGACCUAAUUCGGCCCAUCAUAAAAUUAGGAACUUGGGCCUAGUCUAUACACAUAUAGAACCCACACUUUAAUUGGACGCAUUACAGUCCAAAAUCGAAGCCUUAUUAAAUAACUUUAAAUGGCCUAAACCAAAUUCGAUAGCCUUUAAUUUAAUACGCCCUUUUCUUUAGAAAUUUCAGAUUCAAAGUACUUCAUGUUAAUGAAAGAAAAAAAAAGGCGAAGUAACUUUAUGUAGGAGUAUAAUAGUUUGGGCGAUAAAACAUGGCUAAAGGAGGUGAAAUUCGGUUUUCACAAUACCAUAAUAUGGUUUGUAAAACAUAAAGGGACGGUUUCUUUAUUUCUCCUAGGGAGUGGCCGUGUAGUUUCAUUUCAAGAAAUGGUAGCAAUUUCUUUUAUCAAGAAAUGGUAGCAGUUAUUGUUUUUAAAUUUUAAAUGAAAGUGACGGUUGGCAUGGAACUUGUAAAUUGAUUUUCAAAUGGAAGUUCACAAAAAAGGUAUUGGUUUGUGGAUAAUUACACACUAAUGGCAGUUUUAAUUUAAAUUCUAAGUGAAGUGGCGGUGGUAGUAGUAUUAAAAAAAAUGGAGGUUACACUUGAGGAAAUGGGAGUGGUUGUUGUAUUUCAAAAUUGGAGGUUAUACAAGUGAGUGGGGAGGUAAAAAUUUUAAAAUGUUUACUUUCAAAUGGAUGUUGAGAAGAACGUACAGCAGCUUCCAAAUCUCAAUAGCAAUUGAUGAUUAUGGUGGUUACAAUUAACUUUCAUCCGACAAAAUGGGCAGUUGACGAAAAUGGAAUUUAAAAUGGUAAGUUGAAUAUUAUGUGUAGAAAUGUGGAAGCUCCUCAACAUUCAAGUCGCUCGAAUAUUUUGAGAUAUACCUCAACAGUGAGUAGUCCUAAAUGAAUGUUUACCAAAACAAAAACACAAGUUUUUGCAAUGUUGUAACACCAUGUAUAGGGGCAAACACCUGCCAAGUGCUGAAAGGUCAAGGAAAUUAGUGACCUAAUGACCUUGAAGCAGGUGAUUGAAGGACGUGAAGGAUGACCGUAACUACAACGGUCUAAGGUAGCACAAUUUCUAGUCAGUUAUGUUUCGAGCAUGAAGCAAUCACUUGGAUGCAAUUAUAGACACAUCAGUUACCCUCCUUAUUUGGUGCAGAAUGUUACGCCUAUUUGGACGAAAUUUCACUUAGUAGGGUGAAAGGGAAAUUCAUCCUCAACAAAAAUGAUAAUGUUUACUUCUUGCCAUUUAAACUGUUCCUUCAAGAGGGUUCAAACGCCAAGUUAUGAAAUUUCAAUCUCAAAUCAUUUUUUCAUAGCUUAGCCACUGAAAGUAAUAGAGCAUCGUCUUGCCUGAUCAACGUAGUAUAAAUAUGCAUAUGGACUCCGUUUAUUUCGAAAACUGUUAAAUGAGCCACAGCAGAAUAAAUAAAACCAGGAGAGUGGUUCUGAUGAACAAGUACCAAAGAUCUCUAACAACUGCCAUUCCAACAAAUGAGAAGUAAAAGCCCAAUAUAAAGGUAUACAGCUCAACAAAUUUUGUAUCAAGACAAGCAACCUAAUCACUUUAUCUCUAUGAAAGCAAUCCUCUACAAUGUAACCCAAAUCUCUUAUCAAAUAUUUUUAAGAAUCUGUUUGACCACCGCCAGCCAUGCAGGCUGACCGAGCUUGCUGUUUUACAGCUUCUUGGUUGAGCGAGGCCUCUGGAAAAUUAACUAAAAAUUGUGAUGCCGGUUCAAUUUUCAAUCCUUCACAACUGAAUAAUAUUCUCAGCAAACAAUUGAAUAGCUUAAACAAAUGCAUCAUUAACAAAAUUCUGAAGAAUUUCAUCUAGAUUAAUAGGUCUAAACUACAUUUUCAUAUCUAGCAUAAUACAGAUGCAUAUUUUCCAUUGAAAGAAUCAUAAUGAUGCAUGUUUAAGUAAAUUGGACAAUUUGAUAGCUGUAGGCAGGAGUUGAUCCAAUGUGGGGGUAGUGAGGUCAGCUGCCCCCACACUAAAUAUGGAAAAUCAAAUUUUACCCCGUAGGUUUUUCAAAUUUUCCAAAAAAGUCCUUGUAUUAUUUAAUUUUUGACCCCACAAUUAUUAUUAUUAUUUUUUUUUUAUUUUUUUUUUGUAAUUUGCUCCCACAUGACUUCUCGGCUGGCUCCGUCUCUGUAUCAAGGUUGCUGAAAUAAAAGGAAAAGCAAAGUGGGAGGUGGCAGCAAGGCAAAGCUGCUGGGUGUUUCCACGGAUGGUGAACGUCGUCGCUACGGGGCAGUGCAUGCUGCUGUAAAAUAGUAGCGUGAGGCACUGCUUGUGUGCGAUCGGAAGCCGCGGCUUUAUGACGGCGACGAUGCCUUGACUUGCGAUGUCAGAAAUGGCACCGAUUGAUGCCGAUGCCUCUCAAAAGGUGAAAUAGUUUUAGGGAAGUUCUUCUGGGGUUUCUUCAGAGUCGGGUGAGAGAAUAUUUGGGGACGGGGGCUCUUGAUGUAAUUUCAUAGAUCCGGGCCCCUAUGUGCAAUUUUUAUUCAAGGUCCAUGUGGAAAUUUUAAAUAGAUGGUUGCCUUGCAAUUUGUGAAAUUGAGGGGCCAGUUAAUAAUUUUUAAGUGGGUCAAAUCGCAAUUUUCAAAAUGAAUUUUGAAUUUUAAGUAUUAAAAUGGUUUUAAAUUUAUUGCCAAAUGGGUUUUGACCUAUAUUAUCAAUUUUGACCCAAAUUAAAAUUUUAUUUAAAAAUUGACGACUUUUUAUAUUUUCGUUAAAAUAUAAUUUUUUUUAAAAUUGAAUUUGAUCCUAAAUUGAUUUUUUUUUUAAUUUGGGAGUUUUAUCCUGAAUUAAAAUAUUAAUUCAAUUUUAAUUAGAGUUGAACUCUAAUUUUGUAUUUGAUUUUAAUCAAUUAUUCACCAUGAUAUAUUCUUGAAGUUAGAAUUGGAUUCUAAUUUGUCAUUUAAUUAAAUUUUGAUUUUAAUUAAAUUGCCUUACCCUAAUUUUUUUUUUAAAAAUUAGAGUUGGAUUCUAAUAUGGUGUAUAAUUAAAAUUUGAUUUUAAUUAAAUAAUUUUUCCCUAAAAUCUUGGAAUUAGAGUUGGACUCUAAUUUUGAUAUUUAAUUAAAAUUUGAUUUUAAUUAAAUUCAACUGCCUUAAGUUUUGAAAUUAGAGUUGGACUCUAAUUUGUAAAAUAUUUUGCACAUAAGGUCCUUAAAAAAUGUAUGGCCACGUGUUUCGAUCCUUAAGUUUGAAUUAGAAUCAUUUUGGUACCUGAAGUGACCAUUUGUGAAAGUUUUAAAAACUUCAAUGACCAUUAGUGAAACCGCCCGAAACUUAAGUGACCGUUUAUGAAAAUUUUAAAUUUCAGUGAUCGUUUUGUAAUUUUUUGUUAAGUUCAGUGACCGUUUGUGAAAUUAACCCAUUAAAUAAUCCCCCACCCUAUAACUGUGGAAUUGACUCUAAUUCGAUAUUUAAAUAAAAUUUGAUUUUAAUUAAAUAUACUCGCUAAUUAAAGUAAUUGAUUAAUAUGAUUAAUUAAUUAUUUAAUUGUUCCGAUUCAUUUGUCUAAAUAGUUUAGACGACCUUAAUUACUAGAAACUUGAAACACGUUCGCAUAUAAUAUUAGAUAUUAUAUAGGAAUACAUUUAUGUGAUAAAUGUAUUAUUAGUGAAUGAUUAUGGAUUUGACUAUGUAAAUGUGUUGAAUGGUUAAUUUUAUUCUUGUCAUUUUAUGGGCAUGCGAGCUUUUAAUUAUUUUGGACCUGCAAGUCCGUUAUUAUUGUUAUUAUUAUGGGUCUGCGAGCUUUUGAUUAUUUUGGACUUGGGAGUCCAAUUACAUUUAGGCCUGCGUGCCAACUAGUUUUCGUUAUGAUUCAAAAAGACUAGAUAGUAAAAGUCCAUAAUCGUCCACACCAUUAUAAAAUAUAUAUGUUUAUUUACAUGAUAGAUAUAUAAUAAAAUAUAUAUGAUUGUUACAAUGAGACAUUUGAAUGUAAAACCCCUCAAUAAAAUAUUAAGUCACAUUUAUAUUCGCCUUCCAUCAUUAUAAUGAAAAAUCCGAGUCCUCAAUCGAUCACAAGGCCGGUCUAUUAUGAAUAUGUUUGACACUAUGAAUUAUUAGAUAUUUUUGAAUGAUGGGUUCGACUUAACGAAGAUUUAUCUUUUGUAGAGUACACUCAAGGAGAUAAAUUGUAAAGACAUGUUAAGCUAAUACAUAAGAUGUGUGAAGACAAUGAGUUGUCAGCUUAAUAAUUUGGGAGUUGCAUGGAGAUACAAUUGAUAAUAGUAUCUACCCAAAUUUAUAUUAAGAUUUAUUGAGUACACUCAAGGUGUCAAGGACCGCAGCUUUACUUAGCCCCUUGACACUAUCGCAGCCGCAGUUUGCCCAACUUCGGCCGCACAUUGUAAAUAUUACUUCAAGUUUGAGUUGUAAUUUUCGUUUCAUUGUAAUAGUUAUUUUAAUUGUAAAAUAGCUCUGAUAUUGGUAAAAGAUUAGUAUGAUUCCUCGGCUUUUAAACGUCUACUCCCGUCACUUGGGUUUUUGUUCAGAAUGCUAUUAUAGGGGGUAUUAGUCAUUCAAAAAUCUUUCAAGCUCACUGGUGUCCGCCCCCUGCACCAGCAUUUGUAAUUUUCUGUUUUCAUCAAUUGUAAUGUUCAGUUUUCAGCAAUCAAUGUUCAAUUUACUUUCAAUGUAUUCAAAUUCUCAAUUGUAAGCUUUCUACAAAAUUGCAAUCAAAUUUUCUUUCGUCCCGACGCGACCGAGAAAAGGCGGAAGGUAGUCUAGCGGAGCAGACUACUGCCGCACGGUGUCCCUUUCUGUGCCAAGAAGAAAGGCACCCCGUGAAAGUUGGUAUCAGAGCUGCGGCUCAAGACCCUCGAUAAGAAAGCUAUGGAUCCAAUUACAUCACACACCACUGAAGUGGUAGAGCCUCACAAGAAGGGUACUACGAAACAGCGCGUGGAUGCGCUUGAUGAGACAGCUACUAGGUUGUGCUAUGCUGUGGAAGGUCUCGAGGAAAAAGUCGAGAUGGCCGAAUCUGAGAUUCGUGGAUUACACAUCCAAUUGGAUGAAAGCCAAAGAGCUUGCGCAGUAAUGACGGAAGCUGCUGCAAUCAUUCCUGAUCUGCAGGAUGAAAUGGAAGCGUUGAGAGCUCAAUUGCGAGUACUCCAACGUGCGGUGGGCAAUGGGCAAGCUCCCGCACACGAGUAUGCUCCUAGACUCAGAAUUCCUGAACCGUGUANNNNNNNNNNNNNNNNNNNNNNNNNNNNNNNNNNNNNNNNNNNNNNNNNNNNNNNNNNNNNNNNNNNNNNNNNNNNNNNNNNNNNNNNNNNNNNNNNNNNNNNNNNNNNNNNNNNNNNNNNNNNNNNNNNNNNNNNNNNNNNNNNNNNNNNNNNNNNNNNNNNNNNNNNNNNNNNNNNNNNNNNNNNNNNNNNNNNNNNNNNNNNNNNNNNNNNNNNNNNNNNNNNNNNNNNNNNNNNNNNNNNNNNNNNNNNNNNNNNNNNNNNNNNNNNNNNNNNNNNNNNNNNNNNNNNNNNNNNNNNNNNNNNNNNNNNNNNNNNNNNNNNNNNNNNNNNNNNNNNNNNNNNNNNNNNNNNNNNNNNNNNNNNNNNNNNNNNNNNNNNNNNNNNNNNNNNNNNNNNNNNNNNNNNNNNNNNNNNNNNNNNNNNNNNNNNNNNNNNNNNNNNNNNNNNNNNNNNNNNNNNNNNNNNNNNNNNNNNNNNNNNNNNNNNNNNNNNNNNNNNNNNNNNNNNNNNNNNNNNNNNNNNNNNNNNNNNNNNNNNNNNNNNNNNNNNNNNNNNNNNNNNNNNNNNNNNNNNNNNNNNNNNNNNNNNNNNNNNNNNNNNNNNNNNNNNNNNNNNNNNNNNNNNNNNNNNNNNNNNNNNNNNNNNNNNNNNNNNNNNNNNNNNNNNNNNNNNNNNNNNNNNNNNNNNNNNNNNNNNNNNNNNNNNNNNNNNNNNNNNNNNNNNNNNNNNNNNNNNNNNNNNNNNNNNNNNNNNNNNNNNNNNNNNNNNNNNNNNNNNNNNNNNNNNNNNNNNNNNNNNNNNNNNNNNNNNNNNNNNNNNNNNNNNNNNNNNNNNNNNNNNNNNNNNNNNNNNNNNNNNNNNNNNNNNNNNNNNNNNNNNNNNNNNNNNNNNNNNNNNNNNNNNNNNNNNNNNNNNNNNNNNNNNNNNNNNNNNNNNNNNNNNNNNNNNNNNNNNNNNNNNNNNNNNNNNNNNNNNNNNNNNNNNNNNNNNNNNNNNNNNNNNNNNNNNNNNNNNNNNNNNNNNNNNNNNNNNNNNNNNNNNNNNNNNNNNNNNNNNNNNNNNNNNNNNNNNNNNNNNNNNNNNNNNNNNNNNNNNNNNNNNNNNNNNNNNNNNNNNNNNNNNNNNNNNNNNNNNNNNNNNNNNNNNNNNNNNNNNNNNNNNNNNNNNNNNNNNNNNNNNNNNNNNNNNNNNNNNNNNNNNNNNNNNNNNNNNNNNNNNNNNNNNNNNNNNNNNNNNNNNNNNNNNNNNNNNNNNNNNNNNNNNNNNNNNNNNNNNNNNNNNNNNNNNNNNNNNNNNNNNNNNNNNNNNNNNNNNNNNNNNNNNNNNNNNNNNNNNNNNNNNNNNNNNNNNNNNNNNNNNNNNNNNNNNNNNNNNNNNNNNNNNNNNNNNNNNNNNNNNNNNNNNNNNNNNNNNNNNNNNNNNNNNNNNNNNNNNNNNNNNNNNNNNNNNNNNNNNNNNNNNNNNNNNNNNNNNNNNNNNNNNNNNNNNNNNNNNNNNNNNNNNNNNNNNNNNNNNNNNNNNNNNNNNNNNNNNNNNNNNNNNNNNNNNNNNNNNNNNNNNNNNNNNNNNNNNNNNNNNNNNNNNNNNNNNNNNNNNNNNNNNNNNNNNNNNNNNNNNNNNNNNNNNNNNNNNNNNNNNNNNNNNNNNNNNNNNNNNNNNNNNNNNNNNNNNNNNNNNNNNNNNNNNNNNNNNNNNNNNNNNNNNNNNNNNNNNNNNNNNNNNNNNNNNNNNNNNNNNNNNNNNNNNNNNNNNNNNNNNNNNNNNNNNNNNNNNNNNNNNNNNNNNNNNNNNNNNNNNNNNNNNNNNNNNNNNNNNNNNNNNNNNNNNNNNNNNNNNNNNNNNNNNNNNNNNNNNNNNNNNNNNNNNNNNNNNNNNNNNNNNNNNNNNNNNNNNNNNNNNNNNNNNNNNNNNNNNNNNNNNNNNNNNNNNNNNNNNNNNNNNNNNNNNNNNNNNNNNNNNNNNNNNNNNNNNNNNNNNNNNNNNNNNNNNNNNNNNNNNNNNNNNNNNNNNNNNNNNNNNNNNNNNNNNNNNNNNNNNNNNNNNNNNNNNNNNNNNNNNNNNNNNNNNNNNNNNNNNNNNNNNNNNNNNNNNNNNNNNNNNNNNNNNNNNNNNNNNNNNNNNNNNNNNNNNNNNNNNNNNNNNNNNNNNNNNNNNNNNNNNNNNNNNNNNNNNNNNNNNNNNNNNNNNNNNNNNNNNNNNNNNNNNNNNNNNNNNNNNNNNNNNNNNNNNNNNNNNNNNNNNNNNNNNNNNNNNNNNNNNNNNNNNNNNNNNNNNNNNNNNNNNNNNNNNNNNNNNNNNNNNNNNNNNNNNNNNNNNNNNNNNNNNNNNNNNNNNNNNNNNNNNNNNNNNNNNNNNNNNNNNNNNNNNNNNNNNNNNNNNNNNNNNNNNNNNNNNNNNNNNNNNNNNNNNNNNNNNNNNNNNNNNNNNNNNNNNNNNNNNNNNNNNNNNNNNNNNNNNNNNNNNNNNNNNNNNNNNNNNNNNNNNNNNNNNNNNNNNNNNNNNNNNNNNNNNNNNNNNNNNNNNNNNNNNNNNNNNNNNNNNNNNNNNNNNNNNNNNNNNNNNNNNNNNNNNNNNNNNNNNNNNNNNNNNNNNNNNNNNNNNNNNNNNNNNNNNNNNNNNNNNNNNNNNNNNNNNNNNNNNNNNNNNNNNNNNNNNNNNNNNNNNNNNNNNNNNNNNNNNNNNNNNNNNNNNNNNNNNNNNNNNNNNNNNNNNNNNNNNNNNNNNNNNNNNNGUGCACUACUACAACGUGCAUACUACUGGCCUCAAAUGCGGGAUGACAUUGCAACAUAUGUAAAAACUUGUCUUAUUUGUCAGCAAGAUAAGGCAGAUCAUCAGAAAAAGGCGGGCUUGCUGGAGCCCCUUUCCGUUCCAUCCCGGCCAUUUGAAAGUGUAUCGAUGGACUACAUUAUUGGGUUGCCAAAAGUUGAGGAUUUUGGCACUAUCAUUGUCGUGGUGGACCGUCUAUCAAAAUAUGCAACUUUCAUUGCAGCGCCUAAGUAUGUAUCUGCGGAAGAGACAGCUCAACUCUUCUUCAAACAUAUUGUCAAAUACUGGGGGCUGCCUAAGGACAUCGUCAGUGAUCGAGAUCCUCGUUUCACUGGCAUAUUUUGGACUGAGUUGUUCAAACUUCUUGGUUCAACUUUGAGCAUGAGUUCCAGUUUUCACCCACAAUCUGACGGACAGACGGAAGCGCUUCAAUUCUAUGCUAGAAGAAUAUCUUCGGCACUUUAUCUCUACUUCGCAGAAAAACUGGGUAAAACUUUUGGAUGCGGCCCAAAUUUGCUUCAAUGCCCAAAAGAGCUCUUCCACCAAUAAGAGUCCUUUUGAGAUUGUUACUGGCCAGCAACCGCUACUCCCUCAUACAGUGGAUAUUGAACGAAGUACCAAGUCCCCUCAAGCAAAGAGUUUUUUCUCAAGAGUGGAAACGAAAUAUUGAAAUUGCUCGGAGUUAUCUUUUCUCAAAAACGGUAUAAAAAGGCUGCAGAUCUAAAGCGUCGUUUUAUUGAAUUCAAUGUUGGAGAUCUGGUAAUGGUUAAGCUUUUCGACAGAAUUGUUUACAAGCCAACAAGAGGGAAGGACUCAAGGUUGUCACCAAAAUACAUUGGACCAUUACCCAUUGUGAAGAGGAUUGGAAGAGUUGCAUACAGAGUUGAACUCCCUUCAUGGUGUAAAAUCCACAAGGUCCUUCAUGUUAGUGUGUUGAAGCCAUACUUUUCAGAUAAGGAGGACGCAUCUAGAAAUGAGCCAAAGCGACCUGUAUUUGAACUGAAGAAAGCUGGAAAGAAGGUUGCUGAAGCUAUUCUUGACCAUCGAAUCACUCGGGCUUCUAGAAAAGAUCAUCAGGAGUACUUGGUCAAAUGGAUGGGAUGCAGCAGCGAGGAGAAUACUUGGGAAAGAGAAAAAGAUCUCGGGGCCUUCAAAUCAUUAAUUGAAGAGUAUCAUGCAUUGAUGGCACCGAGGACGUCGCCAAAACAAAUGGGGGAGAAUGUCAAGGACCGCAGCUUUACUUAGCCCCUUGACACUAUCGCAGCCGCAGUUUGCCCAACUUCGGCCGCACAUUGUAAAUAUUACUUCAAGUUUGAGUUGUAAUUUUCGUUUCAUUGUAAUAGUUAUUUUAAUUGUAAAAUAGCUUUGAUAUUGGUAAAAGAUUAGUAUGAUUCCUCGGCUUUUAAACGUCUACUCCCGUCACUUGGGUUUUUGUUCAGAAUGCUAUUAUAGGGGGUAUUAGUCAUUCAAAAAUCUUUCAAGCUCACUGGUGUCCGCCCCCUGCACCAGCAUUUGUAAUUUUCUGCUUUCAUCAAUUGUAAUGUUCAGUUUUCAGCAAUCAAUGUUCAAUUUACUUUCAAUGUAUUCAAAUUCUCAAUUGUAAGCUUUCUACAAAAUUGCAAUCAAAUUUUCUUUCGUCCCGACGCGACCGAGAAAAGGCGGAAGGUAGUCUAGCGGAGCAGACUACUGCCGCACGGUGUCCCUUUCUGUGCCAAGAAGAAAGGCACCCCGUGAAACAAGGUCUUGAUAUAACAGAUGGAAUCCAAGCCCGUUGAGAAUCAAGUAUAGAUUCCAUAAAUUUAUGCGAGAGGGUCAUAAAUUUGAGUUAAAUAGUGGGAGUAUAAUUAAUUUAAUAAAAGUUCAUAUUAAAUUAUUUGAUGCAUUUUUAUAUAUUAUUCAUUUUCUUUUCAUCAUUUAUAUUGAAUAUUGAGUAACCAUAUAUAUUUAAGAGGCAUAUGGAUGCCAACAACCAAACCAAAAUUUAUUGAUUGGCACCGCAAUCUGAGAAUUAUUCUCAGGCAUGAGAAAAUUGGCUAUGUCCUUGAGUAGCCAUUUUCAGAAACAUCUACUGAUUGACUCGAUUAAGAAAGAGCUGGCUGCUAUAAUAAAUACAAUGAUGACACUAGUACUGAUUAUGCCCAAAGAAUAAUACGGUGAAUGUAGUACAGUUUUGGGGUGUCGAUUCCAAAGAGAGAUGGAAAAAUCACUCAAAGGAUAAAAAAAAAAAAAAAGGUUGAUUGUCCUCUUGAAAUAUGUAGGAGAAUUAUAGUCUGAAUGAAUUUUAAGAUCAAAGGAUUAAAUGAUAAAAUUGAAGCCAAUAUUUAGGAUAGUGAAGCGCCGGAAUUUCCUCAAUUGGAUUGGCUCAAUCAAUAUCAAUAAUUCAUGCUUUUUACUCAAUUAGAGGUUUUCUUCCCAACUCUUUAAUCAGAAGAUUUAACAAUAAAGUCCAAUUUAAUUCCAAUUGUAUUUCUAGAAUUUAGAUUUUCUAUAACACAUUCGUACAUUUUUAUUGGAACAAGAUCAAAGAUCGACCAUAUACAUCAAGCAUAAGGCAGUAAUCAAUCCACCAAUAAAAUAAUAUUAAGAUUAAAAUUUAACAAUUAUUUCAAUCAUUCGAUAGAAAGAGCAUGACUAGAUCUAUGAAGGAUUUGAUAAAAGUUAAAACAAUCUCAACAAUAAGUAAUUGAAAUUGAAACUCAACAAAUAGUUUAAUUUAACAAUGGAAAAAGCAUGACUAAAUUCAUGAAAAAUCCAGUAAAAGUUAAACCAAUUUCAAUACCAAUUCAUAAAGAGAACAUCCAAAUCUAGAAACUACUAAGCAAAGAAAGUUCGAAUUACAUGAAAUCUCAAAAUCCAAUGAGUUCUUUCGUGACUUCACCAAAGAUUUCAGUUCUUCAUAGAGUUUCUUGUGCCCAAAAUGAGAGAAAAGUGUAUGGAGGCCUUUUCUGGUAUUUUAGGGUGAUUUAGGGCUUAAAAAUCAUGAGAUAUUAAAUUACCAUAAGGGUGGGAUCAAUUUUGGAAACUAGAAGAUUCGGCCAAAAUUUGUUUUGUGCAACUACUUUCGGUAUUUUGGUAUUAACUUUCUCUCCCGAUGUCCAAUUAAGAUGAUUCAAAGUGUUUUGGAAAGCUAACACAAAGGGAUACAAUUUUACUGAAUAGCUCUUUCCAAACUUGAAAUUUUAAUAAGUCGAAAGUGGAUCCCAAUCUCCAGUUGAAAAUCUGGAAAAUCCUUAUGCGACUGGAUUUUGAUUUGUAAAAAUAUUAUUGUCAUAUUUAACUUCUUUUGACUUCUAAUUGUACCCAAUGUACUCUUAACUUUCUCAAAUCAUCAUUCCAUCGCAGUCUCAUCUUUGGAUUAUUUGUAGCUUGGUCCUGAACUUUCACUUUCUUCUAUUUUAGUCCUUUUUUGUUCUUUUCUUCUAAAUUCCGCCAUAUUCUUCCAUUUGCACCCUAAAUCAAAAUAUAAGGGUACUUAGUGCAUUUAGGCGUCAAUAUGUCAUGCAAAUAAAAGUAUAAAUGGAUGAGAACAUGACAAAUUUUGCUAUUAUCAAGUAUUGCAACGUAUGUAAUACUUGUAUCUACGUCACUUGAGUUACAGAAGCAACAUGAGAGUGUAGAUGCUAGCACAUAAUUUUUCAUUUCAAAAGAGUUGUGUGAUAAUAAUUAUGUGUGGAAGGAUAUGAGACUUCCAAGCAACUACACUGGCUCAAAAUGAUGGAGGAAUUUUCAGUGAGUGCUCAUAUAUCGAAGAUAAUUGACAUUGAGAAGUUGUAUCAAUUGAGUUCAAUCAUGAACUAUGAACUAAGUAUUGACUUGAUUCUGCAAACUUUGUCGGAAAGUUAUUCAUACUAAUUAUGAAUUAUGAUAUGAAUAAGCUCGAAUGCACACUCAUUGAGUUGCUUAACAUGCUUAAGGCUGUUAAGCCCAGUAUCAAAGUUAGUAAUGGGCAAGCCAUUGAUUCCUCUAAAGGUAUUAAAAAGAAGUCUAAAGAGGCUUUGAGAAAGAACUCAAUAUAGUUAAGACUAUCAAAGCGAAGGAUAAUACCAAAUCUAAUGACUCUUGUCUUCAUUAUAGAAUGAAAGGUCAUUGGAAGAAAUAUUGCAAGGCUUAUGUCUACUUCAUUAGCUUCUCAGGUAUUAGUUACUAGAUGUACAUCUCAUAUAUAUACAAAUAUGGAGAAACUAAAUGGAAGUAUACCACUGUAAAGGAAGAAGUUAACUUGUAUUGUCUGUAGGAGCAUACUUCUUACCAUUGUCUCUAAGUUUAGUAUUGAAUUUAGAGAAAUGUUACCUUGUACCCACCAUAACUGGAACAUUAAGUAAAUUUCAUGUUCAUACAUGAAUUAUUUUAAUGUUAAGGGUAAUUGUUGUUCUGGUUUAUCUUGAUAAAGAUGUUAAUGGUUAUGGUAAAUCACAAAAUGACGUUUAUAUUCUUAAUACUAAGCAUUCUAUAGAAAUUAUAAGGCAUAAAUGCGAUAAUCUAAUUAUUACCUAAAUCUGACAUUGCAGACUUAGUCAUAUCGAUGAAAUGCUAUUCCAAAGUUACAUAGAUAUGUAUACUUGGGGUCAAUUGAUUUUGAAUCAUUUGACGAAUGUGAAUCAUGCCUGUUAGGCACAAUGACCAAAUCUCCUUUCACUUGAAAAUGAGAAAUGUAUGCAUAAUUACUGGCCUAAUACAUAGUGAAGUAUAUGGACGAUUAUUAAUUAAUGACAUAUGAGAUUUCUCUUAUUUCAUUAAAAUUACUGAUGACUAUUUCAGAAAGAGCAAUGCUAUUUGUCCCCACUGGGGCUGAAUCCCCAAUCUAGAUGGCCAGUGGGGAUUGGUUAAAUGAAAGGUGGAAGUAAAUAAGUCAACUUCCACCUUUCAUUUAACAAAUCCAGUCUAGCCACCUAGACUAGGGAUGAAUAUUAUUUUUCUUUCAGAAAUAUUCAUGUAUACUUGACGAAAUUCCAUUGUGAAGCUAUUGAAAGGUUCAAGGGAUUCGAGCUAAAGUAGAGAAACAAUUAGGUAAAGAGAUUCUCACACUAAGAUCCAAUUGAGUGGGAAUAUUUUAAAGAUAAAAUUUUAGAUUAUCUAAAAGAGAAUGAGAUUCUCUUGCCAUGGACUCCUCUACAUACACUGCAACAUAAUGGUGUAUCUGAAAUGAGGAGUUGUAAAUAGAUAUAUUGCGAUUAAUAACAAGUCAUGCAAACCUCCCAAAAUCGUUUUACGGUCAUGCACUGAUUACAGUGCGCUGCACACUAAAUCAUGUCACAUCUAAGUUGGUUAACAAAACUUCAUAUGAGGUAUGGAAAGACAGUGGUCCAAAUUUAUCUCAUGUGAAAAUUUGGAGCUGUGACACUUAAGUGAAGCGUAUUGAAUCGGAUAAGCUUGAGACUGAAUCCAAUAAAUGCAUGUCUAUGGGAUAUCCAAAACAAAUAUUUGGAAAUCAAUUCUAUUAACCUAUUGAGAAGAAAGACUUUGUCUCACGAUAUAUCUUUUUCUUAAAGAAAAUGUUUACUCUAGGAGAGGACAGUGAGAGCAAAAUAGAAUUUGAAAGAGUUCAAGAGUCCACGGAUAUAGUUGAUCAAGUAGAUGAAUCUGAGUUUGAUCCCACAUCUGAUGAGGGACACACUUUUGAUCAGGAAGUAGAGACUCUUGAGGACAUGAAAGCUCCAUUUAAAUCUAAUAAGAUCAUUCGACCUUCAAGAAUGUGCAAAUCCACGAUUACUAAUCAAGCAUUAUUAAUCGAGGAUGAUGAACCUACUAACUACGCAGAAGCAAAGUCAAGUGUUGACUUAAAGAAAUAGCAAGAUGCCAUGUAAUUUGAGAUAAAAUCAAUGCCUGUAAACAAGGUUUGGACCUUGGUCGACCCUCCUGAUGGGAUAAGACCCACAGUUUGUAAAUGGGUUUACAAUAAAAUGGUCAACAUGGAUGAAAAUAUCCAAACAUACGAAGCAAUGCUACUUGAUUAAUUCUUAUAUGGAUUGAGGCAAGCCUCUUGGAGCUGAAAUUUUCAAUUUGAUUGAAAAAUCAAAAGGUUUGAUUUUAUCAAAUAUGAAGAUGAAUUAUGUGUUUACAAGAAAAUAGUGGGAGUAUUAUCACAUUUCUGAUAUUAUAUGUAUAAGACACAUUAUUAAUAGAAAAUGACAUCCCUACAUGUCAAUCAUUGAAAUUAUAGUUGUUAAAGAAUUUUUCAUGAAAGAUAUGGGAUAAGUAACUUGAUCUACAGAGAUAGAUUUAGAAGAUUGUUUAUCUCAUCCCAAUUUACAUAAAUAAAAUCUUGAAAAGAUUUUAUAUAGAGAAAUUGGUUUGCUAUUAAGAGAUGUAUUGGAAAUAUUCCAAACACAAAACAACAGUUGAUUUCAAUGCCGAAAACCUAAUACAUGAAUGUUUCAGAAGUAGCAAAAAGUUGUGGUAUGGAUCAGGAUGUUCAUUAAUGAACUUGAAGUAGUUCAUAACAUUGUUGAUCACAUGCCAUUGUAUUGUGUUAACAAUAAAGUCAUCGCUCAAGUGAAGGAACUAAGAUCUCAUCAAUAAUCCAAAUAUGUAUUAAGAUAGUAUUAUCACAUCAGAGAGAUAAUAUAAAGAAAUGACGUAAAGAAAGGAACGAAUUUUCACAAUUGAUAAUAUUACAGAUCCACCAAUGAAGAGUUGUCGCAAUAUAAACAUGAUCGUCAUGUAGAUGCUUAUGAUAUUAGAUACAUAAGUGAUUGGAUCUAGUGGAAGUGGGAGUUUGUAAGUGUUAUGGUCUAAGUUCAAUCAACAUUGGAUAUAGACGCUUUUAAUAUAAAAUUGAUACAAUUCUAUGCCAGAUCUAUUAUUUAUUUAAUAUUGAAUAUUAAAUUAAAUAAUGUAGUCCGUAGAUUCAAAUCUCAAUAAUUUGUUAAUCAAAAGAAGUUGUGAUUGUGAUAUACAAAUUACAUAUGAUUGAAUCUUUAAUCAUCCGUGGUCGUAAAUAAUAACGAGAUACGAUAUUACGGAUACACCAUCACAUGUGGCAUUUCUUACUUGUGAUGUAAGUAACUGAUCUCACAAGUUAAAGUGUGGUGACACUUAAAUAAACACGUGGAUACUUUGUUAUAGAACAAAACAUUGGAGAUCUGCUGGAAAAUUCCACAUUGAUAACUAUUUGAGUGUUAGUAGCUAAUCUCUAACGUUUGGUAGUGGAAUUGGUAUUUUGAUUUGAAGUUAUCAUAGUGCCUUAUAUGAGGAUAGUCAUACUUUGACGAUGUUGGAUGUUGUUUUGUCAAGGGUAGCUAAUACGGUAUCGUUCGGGUAAGCCAAGAAUCUUAUGAAGAUUGUGAAUGACCAAUAGAUGAUUCAUCACUCUUAGAUAGUAAGAGAUUAUAAUCUGUAUUUCAUCCAGUUGAGUCGAUAACGAAAUCUUUGGCCAAGGUGUACUCAUAAAUCAAAAAGGAGUUUUCGACUUGUAUUGACUUAAUAGUGGAGUGAAACAUAUAAUCGAUAAUUGAGAUUGACAAAUUUUCAUAUCUCAUCGACACGGAUGGGAAUAUCUAUACAUACAAAGGAGGCUACUUGAUCAAUUCUUAUAUGGAUUGCUGAAAUCUUCAAUUUAAUCAAAAAAUCAAAAGGUUUGAUUUUUAUCAAAUAUGAAGACGAAUUAUGUGUUUACAAGAAGAUAGAGGAAGCAUUGUCGUAUUCCUAAUAUUAUAUGUACAAGACAUAUUAUUAAUAGUAAAUGACAUCCCUACAUUUCAAUCGUUAAAAUUAUAGUUGUUAAAGAUUUUUUAUGGAAGAUAUGGGAGAAAUAACUUGAUCUAUAGAGAUAGAUCUAGAAGAUUGAUUAUCCCAUCCCAAUCUACAUAGAUUUUAUAUGGAGAAAUUGGUUUACUCUUAAACGAUGUGUUAGAAAUGUUCCAAACACGAAAUAAACGUUGAUUUAAUAGCGGAAACCUAAUACAUGAAUGCUUCAAAAACAGCAAAAAGUUGCGGUAUGGAUUAGGAUGUUCAUUAAUGAACAUGUCAUCGUAUUGUGUUAACAAUAGAGCUAUCGCGCAAGCGAAGAAACUAAGAUUUCAUCAAUAUUCCAAACAUGUAUUAAGGAAGUAUCAUCACAUCAGAGAGAUAAUACAAAGAAAUGACAUAAAGAAAGGAACGAAUUCCCACAAUUGAUAAUAUUGCAGAACUACCGACGAAGAGUUGUCGCAUUAUAAAUAUGAUUGUCAUGUAGAUGCUUAUGAUAUUAGAUACAUAAGUGAUUAGAUUUAGUGUAAGUGGGAGUUUGUAAGUGUUAUGGUCUAGAUCCAAUCAACCUUGGAUAUAGACACUUUUAAUAUAAAAUUGAUGUAAUUUUAUGACAGAUCUAUUAUUUAUUUAAUAUUGAAUAUUAAAUUAAAUAAUAUAGUCCGUAGAUUCAAAUCUCAAUAAUUUGUUAAUCACAAGGAGUUGUGAUUGUGAUAUAUAAAUUAUAUAUAAUUGAAUCUUAAAUCAUCUGUGAUCGUAAAUAAUAACAAGACACGGAUAUCGUUAUUACAGAUACACCAUCACAUGUAGCAUUUCUUACUUAUGAAGUAGGUAGCUGAUCUCAUAAGUUAAAGUGUAGUGACACUUAAAUAAACAUGUGAAUAUUUUGUUAUAGAACAAAAUAUUAGAGACUUGCUGGGAGAUUCCAUAUUGAUAACUAUCUAAGUAUUAGUGAUUAAUCUAUAACGUUCGGAAGUGAAAUUGGUUUUUUGACUUGAGGUCAUAAUAGUGCCUUAUAUGAGGACAGUCAUGCUUUGACAGUGUUAGAUGUUGCUCUAUCAAGGGCAGCUAAUACUAUAUCGUUAGAGUAUGUCAAGAAUCAUAUGAAGGUUAUAAAUGACCAAUAGAGGACUUGUCACUCUUAGAUAGAUGAGAUUAUGAUCUGCAUUUCAUCCAGUUAGGUCGAUAACGAAAUUUUUGGCCAAAGUGUACUCAUAAAUCGAAAAUGAGUUUUCGAUUUGCAUUGACUUAAUAAUAAAGUGAAAGAUAUGAUCGAUAAUCGAGAUUGACACAUUUUCAUAUCUCGGAAUUGAUCAAAUCAUAUUUAUAAAUGGAUUAUAGUUUCAUGAUAAACAAACAAGUUUGGUUAUGUCAUAUCACGUGACGUUUCUUGUCAUAUGUAUUGUCUGAAACAUUGCUAGAUGUUAAUUUGAGACGGCAAGUGUGAAUUGGUGAUAAAUUAAAAAGGGUGUUAUAAUUUAUCGAUUUUGAUUAGAUCAAAAUAAUAAUUCACGUCGUUAAGUAUCGUGAUUAGGAACUUAAUGGGUCACAUACAAAAGAAGAAUUGGAAUAUUUUGUUUGACCAAUUAAUUAAUUUAACAAGCGUUGGAUAAAUUAAUUAAUUGGGUUACUUAUUUAUUGGCCCGAAUUAAUUGAAUUAAUUAGUUCAUAGACUGGGUUUAAUUAAAUAGGUUAAUUAAAUCUUGGACCGGGGUAGGAGAUGGGCCAAGCUUGUUUGGGCUUAUAUAAAUAGGUGGCUAGGGUUUUGGAUCUGUAGAAAUUUUAUUAUUCUUACUAGCACAAUAAAAUCCACUCACAAUCUGUUUCUCUGUGUGAAUUUUCAUUGGAGACUGGACAAUUGGACAGUUGUAGGAGGUAGAUCAAGGUUGCUGCCUUGCUGGAACAAAAGGAAAAGCAAAAGUUUGUAGAAUUCUUCAAAUGUAUAAUUUUCUAUCACAAUUUCUAUCAAAACACAAAGAGAUCCUUGGUGAGAAUUGAAAUCUAUAUUAAUUUUCACGGUACAUGUUUAAGUAUAUUCCCAACAUUAUGUUCUAGCAAGCAUGUGUUGACAAUAAUUUAUUUGCAACUUAGUCUGGCAAACAUCUGGACCACAAUAAUUUUUUUCUCCAAUUGCAAUCAACAUAGAAUUUUGGUUCACAAUUGGAGCAUGAUCCUACUCUCACCGAUUUUAUCAGGCUUGGAUUUUUUCCUAGCACUUGAGCUAUACAUCUACUCUUACAAACUUAAAACUAAUUUAUGUAAAAAAACAUAUCUUCAUAAACAUUUGCCAGAGAUCACUGUAGAUUCCAUUGUACUAUAUCGUUUCCAAUAAGUCGACAUAGAUUAUUUUUAUGUAUUUUGGUAAAUAGCUCGUUUUCAUUUCUACUGCCAUAUAGGUCAUCAUCAAUUUCAUACACAACUCUUAUUGUUGCUUCGCAAAUUCAUUAAGUCAUCCAACAAUUCAAUUAGAUUAUGGUUGAGAUGCUCUUAAUUAUGAUAACUUCGCUUCAAAUAGGACUUCCCUAACAAUUUGUAACUUAGAGGUGGGCAAUACCCGUUCGUUCGAUUUUCUUCAUUAUCAUACCAAACCAAACCAAACCAAACUUGUUUUACAUAAGGAAUCGCUUGGUGGUUCCAUAAAACAGGAAUUAAACUUCCGAUUUCAUCUUUUAAUUGUAAGAAAUUUGUUACCUUCAUAAUCAUCGGAUCUUUCAUGUUGGAUCAUCAAGGAAUUCAAGAUCUAUAGUGAAAGUAUACCUGAAUCAAACAUGAUUAUUGCAAUAAUCGAAUCGUGUGAUUUAAUCUUUUAAAUCAACACGUAGUCUCCUUUUCUCUCUGUGAUGGGAUGCUGAAGAGAAUGAGCAAAAUAAAAUCUCUCUACGUGUGAUUCGAGGACCAUAAAAAUACUGAUGCCCUUUUGACCUAAUUUGACCCAUCAUGGAAUUCGGAACUUGGGCCAGGUCUCUACACAUAUAGAACCUACACUUUAAUUGGAUACAUUAAAGUCCAAAAUCGAAGCCUUAUUAGAUCACUUUAAAUGGACUCAAUCAAAUUCGAUAGCCUUUAAUUUAAUACACAACAUUUCAUACAUAUAAGCCCACACGAUCGUUUAAAAUUCCUUACAGUCUCCUACUUGGGCUAUAUGUGUCAUCUUUUAAUUGUGCAUUAAAUAUAACCUUAUGAGUAAUUAGAAUUUCGCUAUCAUUACUAAAUGCAUUUCCAAGCAAUCCGGUCCAUCAAUCAUAUCAACAUAGGAUCAAAGCAACUUUCGAUACUUUUAUUGUAAUUAAACCCAUCAAUGAUCACGUAUAUCGAUAUAACUGAAUGACGUGGAUCGAGCAUGAAUAUGUAGCAUGAAAAUUUCAUGGAAUGUGAUCUUAGCAUGCUUAUUUCCAACUGGUCCACCUUAAUUAUUUAGUAAGAUAAUUUUCAAAAAAAGUUCAAAGAGAAUAAACCAAAACUUUAUAACCAAAAAUAACUUUAACUAUAUUCAAAAUGAUAGUAUAUGUGUCUAGCACAAAAAUGCAAACUUCCACUGAAACUUAUCCUCAAGAGACAUUAUAACAAUAUGAGCAGUAUGUUCAUGAAAGACCUUGGGUAUCAAUUCCUUAGUGAGCGGACCGCAAUCAUGGAGUUUUUCCCGAUGUGCUUUAUUGACACCUGUCUACUCUGAACUCUUUCUUUAACAUCCAGGAACUGAUCUCUAUAUCUUUCGACUUCAUCAAGCUCAUGCUAUUAUUGGAAUAUAGCACUGCUGAUUUAUUGUCACAAAAUAUCUUAAGCGGUCUUUCUAUACUUUCCAUAAUGCGCAGCCCAAUGACCAAAUUUCAUAGUCAUAUUCCAUUGUUUGAUGCCUCAUAGCAGUGGAUCUCUUAUUAUCUUGGCAUCCCGCGAAAUCAAAAUUGGAAUAACUGAUGAUUUCCAACUGAUCCGAUCUCCUGUAUGUGAGCAUGCAGUCUUUUAUUCUUUGAAAAUACCAUAUAACCCAUUUGGCUGCUUUCCAAUGAUCCAUUUUCGAAUUACUUAAAUAUUUCUCUAGCAUUCCAACAAUGUACAUUAUAUCCGAACGCAUACAAACCUGAGCAUAUAUUAGACUUCCGAUAGCUGAAGAAUAGAUAAUCUUUUGCAUUUCUUUAAUUUCUAAGUCAUUUUUGGGGCAUUGACUUAAGUUGAAUUUGUUUCCUUUAACCACAGAGGUGUUAGCUGGUUUACAAUCUUGCAUGCCAUAUUUUUUAAGUAUCUUUUUGAUAUAGCUCUUUUAUGAUAACCCAAGAAUAUCCCGAGACCGAUCUCAAUGUAUCUGAAUUCCUAAUACAAAAGAGACAUUACCAAGAUCUUUCAUCUCAAAAUUCCUUACUAGAAAUUACUUGGUUUCAUGCAAUAGUCUUAUGCCGUUGUUGGCAAGUAAUAUGUCAUCGACAUAUAAAACCAGAAAAAUAAACUUGUUCCCAUCGAACUUCUGGUAUAUACAAUCAUUGGCCAUAUUCAUCUCAAAAUCAAAUGAGAUGAUCACUUGAUUAAACUUGUAAUACAAUUGACGAGACCCUUGCUUGAGUCUAUAGAUGGAUUUCUUUAAUUUGUAAAUUAUUUUCUUUGCAUUAUCCGAUAUAAGGUUUUCCAGUUGCGCCAUAUAAAUCAUUUCAUCAAUGUCACCAUUGAGAAAUGCUAUCUUAACAUCCAUCUGUAGUAACUCAAGAUCAAAAUAUGCUACCAAUGCCAUUAUAGUCCUAAAGAGUCUUUCGAAAAAUCGGAGAGAAAGUCUCUUUUAUAAUCGAUGCAUUCUUUCUGUGUAAAACUCUUUGCGAUAAUACGAGCUUUAUACCUCUCAACAUCACCCUUCGAAUCCCUCUUGGUCUUAAAUAUUCAUUCACAACCAAUGAGUUUCGGAACUUCAGGUAAUGGAAUAAGGUCACAUACAGCAUUGUCCUUUAUGGACUUUAUCUAUUCAUUCAUGGCAUCGAGCCACUUUUGAGAUUUAAAACCUUCUAUGGCUUGAUGGAAGUUGAUUAGAUCAUUUUCCACCACUCCAAUGUCAACUUCAUGUUCUUGGAGAAAUACGAUGUAAUCAUCCAGAACCACACCUCUUCUCUCUUUAGUGGAUCUUCUUAAUGGCAUUGGUUCUUAAGGUUGUAGAGUUUGUUCUUCUGGAAUGAUUUGUUAACCUUGAGAGAGAGAUACAAAAACAUUGUCUUGAUCCGGAGUUGCUUCUUGAACAAUAUCAGAGAGACUUGAUCAUUGUCAAUGGAAAUUAGAGGAAAUUUCAACGUAGUCCUUCUCAAAGACAAAGUUGUAACCUUUUCUCCCCCGCAAACUCGACAGUCGACAUCCUCAAAGAAUCGAGCAUUUCCUAUCUCAAAACUUACUUUAAUUGUGGGAUCAUAAAACUUGAAACCCUCAUAGACCUUUUAGAAUAUCCAAUAAAAUAGCAAUUGAUAGUCCUUCUGUCCAGUUUCUUUCCAUUGGCAUAUAAGGUCUUGCCUCAGUUGGGCAUCCCCAAAUGUGUAUGUACCUCAAACUAGGCUUCUUUCCCGUUCCAUUCAAAGUUUAUAAUGGAUUUUAUCUGUAAUACUCCGAAAUUUUAUGCUGAUUUAAAUUUCUUUAAGAUGGCGAUUUAACUUUCAAUACUAUUUUUGGCCAUAAGAAAAGGGGACACCACCUUUGUAGUGGUUAAUGUUAGAGAUAGCUAAUGACUACAAGCAUGAGGUGUUAAAUGUUGCGUAUACAUGAAGUGAUUAUUAGUUAGUCGAAACUUAAGUCAAGUUUGAAAUUGAAUGUGGUCGAUUAUUUUGUUAGGACUUCAAUUAACCAAAUGAUUAAAUUAAUUUACGAUCUACAAUUUUUGGAUAUGUAAGUUGGAUAUAAGUUUAGAUUUGGGAUACAUUUGCUAAUAAUGAAAGAUAGAGGGUUGGAUUAUAUUAGUUGGAAGAUUAGAGAUUUCCUUUGCAAAUAUAGGUCUUUAGGCUACUAAUUACUCAUAAUCAACCCCACUUGUUAUCCAUCACCACCAUACAUUUGGAUCAUAGAUUAAACAAGUGUACAAGUAUAAAAAAAAAAAAAAAAAAGAAGGUCAAAGUCGGCCACAACAAUUAAUAAAAAAUAAAAAUAUCUUUUUAUACUUAUCCUCUUAUACAAGUAUAAAUAUAACCCUAUCCAUGCCAUAGAGAAAGAGAUUUCUUUCAUUUCUACAAAACACUUAUACAUUUGAAAAGAGAGCCAAAAACCGAAAUUUAAGGAAGGAAGAAAAAGAAGUGAGCUUAACACUUUCAACUUACUUUUCAAACAAAGAUCAUCAAGUUUUACGGUAAGAUGCCUUCCAUGCUUAAGAGUUAUGAUUUUCAUGGUAAUAUUUAUGUUUAAACUAUGCAUGAAAAACCACAAUAUGAUUAUGGUGGACAAGUCCACAAAGUUAGAUAUCUAUUUAUGCCUUAGGACAAGUCCGAAGGGCACCGGCAAGCCGGAAUGUGCAAGUAUGGGUUUGAUUGCAUUCUUUGGUAUAGUAUUAUCAUGAUAAAAAUACAAGCAUGGUAUCUUACUGAGUAUUUCUUAUACUCAUAGUAUGUUAUGCUAAAUUUUCAGAUCCAUGAUCGUUGGAUUGAUGGAAGUUAGUUGACAAAACCGAUGAUGGAUUAAGGACAAGGAUGUUUUGGAUCUAAAGUUUCUUUUGUGUAUUUUUGUUCAAUGACUGUUUUCCACCUAUUUCCCUUAAAGUAUUAUGUAAAAUUUUGUACAUGACAUGAUGUAAUAUGGUAUUAAAAGUAAAUUUUGUGAUUAUAUCUUUCAUAUUACAAUAAGAGACGUUUUUAAAAGUUUAUUUUCCUUACGAAAGACAAAAGACAGAAACAGGGCAGUUUCUGGAGUCAAUUUCAAAAUGAUGUUUCUAACUCUAUAAACGUCCAUUUGAGAUUCUAAAAUAUUUCUGUUUUCCUCUUUGAGUUUUCUAAAUAUGGCCGAAGGAAUCACUCAAUUUGGAUAUCUACGACCGGAGUUAUCAAGGUUUUAACGUCAAGGGGUCAAUCUGGAUUUUCUGUGCAACACUUCACUGUUUUCAGUAAAACGUUUAUAUCAUAUAAUCUUGGAAACUUUUCAUAUUUUAACCUAGAAAAAUAAUUGAAAUUAUCUUUCUAAUGCCACAAAUUUCAUGUAAAACGGAUUUGGGGUGAAUUUUAUAAAAAUUGUCAAACUUGUUGCCCCAACUAAUCGUAAUAGUGUUGAGGCCGUAUAUGUAAUAUAUAAUUUCAUGUUGACAUGCACUUUUAUCGGCCAUCAAACUUUAUAAGAAUUGUUUUAUCAAAUUGAAAAAUAAGUUUCUAACAUGUAAUACUUCUAUUUAAGAGUAUUUACAUGUACCAAAGACUGAAGUUAUUAUGUAAAGUACGUGGCCCUCGAAGCUUAAGUCCGGGGCGCUACAUUAUCAGUGGCUUUAGUUGGAACUAUGUUGAGUAUAUACACUGCGGUCUUUAAUACUUCACCCUAGAGAGAUUUUGGUAAGGUAGAAUUCUCACUGGUUAAUUUUUACUUUACCUUACCCCUCGAGUACUUACAUGCAAUGAUUCAUUAAAAGAAGCAAUUGUAUCAAUUAAAUAAAGAUUAUCGGAACCUGACAAAGAACCAGAACCAACCAAUUUUGAAUCAUGAAACAAACUAAAUAUUCGAUUCCCAAAUGAACAACAAUAACCAGAUUUGUCCAAAGCAGAAAUGGAAAUAAAAUUCUGUCUAAAAGGCGGUACAAUAAAUGUUUCAUCAAGAUCCAAAUAAAAUCUAGUCUUUAACAAUAAUCUAAAUUUUUCUAUUGUCUCUAUUUUCAUCGUUUUGUCGUCACCAUCAUAGAUGUAUCUUUCAUCAUCACUUGGUUUUCAACAACUUAGGCAACCUUGCAUAGACACACUGAUGUGAGUUGUUGCACCAGAAUCUGUCUACCAUGUGUGUUUAGGUACUGAUGUUAAAUUAACCUCAGAACAAACCAAAUGAAGAAGAGUACCUUUCUUAGCACGCCAUGCCUGGUAGUUGGUACAAUUCUUCCUCUUAUGACACGCAACCCCACAGAAGAAACAACCACCAUCAGUUUGUUUCUUAUGCUGUUUCUUUUGUGGUGCUGUACCCGUAGCUUCCUUAUUAGUUUUCCAUUUUUGUUCCUUUUAUCAUUAGAGAUGGUGGCUAUUUGAGCACUUUUGUUUUGUCUUAGUUCAGUCUUUCCUCUUCUUUUACACAGUGAGAAAUGAGCUCAUUAAGGGAUCAUGAGUCCUUUUGUCAGUUAUAGCUCAUUUUGAAUUGAUUGAACUGUGCCGGAAGAGAUAUCAAAACCAAGUGCACUAACAAAUCUUUAGAUAAAUUCAACUUGAGUACCCUUAGUUUUGAAGUAAUGUGAGACAUUUCCAUAAUGUACUCUCGUAUGGUUCUUUUUUCGUUAUUCUUCAUUGAGGUAAGGUUUGUCAAAAGUGUACUAGGUUCAGCCUUUUCACUAUUGGCUAACAUCUUCUCAAGAUCCUUAAGGAAACCUUUAGCUGUGGUCACCUCAUCAAACACAGUGCCCCGAAAUGCUGUUGGAAUAGCACGAUUCAUGACCAUUAAGUUUAUGCGGUUCGAUCGUUCCCUUUUUGCAUCUCUCUCUUAUCAUCAGAGGUACUCUCAUCAAUAAGUUUAGCAAGUUGAUUGCCCCGUAAAGUAAGGUCCAAGCCCAUGACUUCGAGAAUGUUCAAUACAUUCUCUUGCCAUACUUUGAAGUUCAUGCCAUUAAAAAUUGGAACUGAAUUAAUGCUAGCAGAGAUAUUAGUAUCAGAACUUGAAGCUGAAUUAAGAACACAUAAAUAUCCUCAAUAUGCAAAUAAUAAUAUUCUCAAAUAAAGGUAGGACCCAUCACAAGAUACCUAGCACAACAUCAAUAUCUAGUCUUUGGACGAAAAUAUUGACUUGUAAGUAAUACUCUUGGUGCAGUGAUCAAACACUAACAAUAAAUACUUGUCAAUCAAUAAACCUUUCUUUAGACUGAUUUAUUGAUUAUACGUUAAACAAAAUAAUCACCACAUGUUCAUCACCACAGGUAUAUGUGAAAUUCGGCCAAAUAUUGACUUUUCUUUGGGCCGUCAAUAUUCGCAUGAAUAACACACACAAACAUCUUUUAACAUUCCAAGUUAAUUAAUUUCCACAAAAGAGGUUGCUUUGACAACAUGUUGCUUCAAUUAAUUGACUUUCAAAUAUUAUAUCUUUUAAAAGAGUCCUUAGUACCAAAAUUUGAGAAAGGAAAUCACCAAUUUUGUAUAUUAGAUGUCUUUUGAAACUUUGGGGACUAAGGGUUAAUAAUUCAAAACUUAGGGGUCAAAUUUUGAAAAUUUGAAACUUCGGGGCCAAUUUGAAUUAAUUAUGAACUUUAAGGGCUUUAAUUAUAAAUUUUAGAACUUUUAUGGCCCAAAUUAAAUAAUUUUCAAACUUUAGGGACUGAAUUAUUAAACCCAUAACCUUAAAGGUCCAACUUGGAUGGAUUUUAAACCUUAGGGGCAGAAACUUAAAAUUAUAUUUUAAAAUUUGCAACCCUAACCCUAAUAUUAAUGAAUUGCAAGCAAAUGCCUGAAAUCACCAAAAUUGUGACUCAAGCCCCCGCCCCCAAAAUCCAUCCCUAACCCACUCUCUAGCAGUGUUGACGGAUCUGCAAACAACCUAGCUGUGCCGUGAAAAUCAAGUCCACAUGGCUUGAUCGAAUUACAAGGUAUAAAAAAUGAGAAUCCAUAAUAAAAAUGAAUUCAAUUGUUUCUGAAUCCAAUUUCAUAUCAAAAUGUGGCUGUAGAAAUUACCAAUGUUUUGAAAACCGACUUGGCCAUCGACCCAAAAAAGAGAAAGGAUCAAGGGUCAAAGGGCUAUAUACCACAAAAAUGACAAAAUUAAGUUAAUUUUUCAUCUUAAUUAAUAUAUAUAGACAAAAGCACCAACUAAUGAUUAAAUUUGGGUACAAUUAAUUUUUGUUUGUCAUAUGGUGAAUUAUUUAGUAUUUUUAUAGUAUUUUAUUGUGUCAACAUAAUAAAAUUAAAUGAAAGAUCACGUAAAAUGGAUUGAAAAUGAAAAAUUAAUUUAAAGAGAUAAAUAAUUUACACCAAGAUAAUUAUGUCUUUUUUUUUCUUUUUUUUUUAAUAAAACUACUAAUUUCUAAUUUAUAUUCAACUUUUAAUCUUUUACAUGAAACAUCAUUUACAAGAAUGGACGUGGACCGGAGUGGGAUUUUUGUCCAUUUACUGUGCACUUCUCCAAAUCCCACAUCGGAAUCUCAGUGAAAAGGUUUGAUUUUAUACAUUAUAAAUAUAUGGGCACAGAUGAAGGUAAAUGUCUUGGGUCAGAUGUAUCUUUAAACGGUAUGCGCAAAAAGAUGAAUAAAUAAAAUAUUGGGAAAAAAUCAUAAUUACCGUACAUGUAUAUUGAAAUUCAGAUUUUACUACUAUAAUAGAAAAAAAAUAUAUAUAUAUACUACUACACUACAAAACAAAUCCACGUUUACUGGAUCCUGAACUUACCAAAUCUUCUCACGUAACUCACUGAUCUUAAGGCCUUACCUUAAGCAGUAACGUUUGCAUUUAAUUGAGAUUGCUCAAUACGUGGGAAUUCAAAUUUCAAAAACGGAGGUAUAGAUUAUACAAUACUUGCAAUGACUAUGACAUUGAUCAAUUGCAGAUCUGUGUCCAAGCCAUUUCGAUUCGGUAAUCCUCUAAUAGAAAUCAACACUUAAUUAGUAUAUAUAAUUUCAUGAAACUAUUUAAUCGAUCCAUUGUAUUCCUAUUUGUAAUCCAUAAGCAAGAGUUCAUAUUUUCAAUUACAAAAGGUGUUUCACGUUGUUGUAUUCGAUAUGAAUAUACAUCCAUUUACAAUAUUUUAUUUUUCUUAUCGAUUUUUUCCCUUUUCAUACAAGAAAAUAAAUUUAUGUGAAAUCAUGGUCAAUGACUCAAUGGGAUGUCAUAAUAAAAUAGAUUGCAUGCAUCUGAUUUCAAACUGAUCUUUAUAUUUUUGGAUAGACAUUAUCUGAUUGUACAUAUAGCAGAUUAUUCAUCUCUUAAUUUGCUCCCUUUUUAUCCUUUUUUUUUUGUUUCAAACAGGAAUGCGUUAACGUGUUCGCAACAUUCAAUUCCAUGACGUCCGGUAUUCUACUACCUAGUGGAUACAAGUAUGCCGAUAUACUUUUAUUAUAGAUGUGGUUAUGACUUAUGAUUUUGCUAUAUAUGAUGAAAUGUAUGCUAAGGUUGGAUUCCAUAAAUGGCCAAGGGCUCACAUGCAAACAAACAGGUUUACAGCGAUGACAUCUAACAUCAUGGAGUCGGUUAAAUGCAAGUCGUGAAACAUUGCACGAUUGACUACUUGUUCGGAACAUGGUUUUCAAAGAACAAGAGUAUCGUAGAAGGAACUUUCACCCUCCUAGCAUCGAAACCAGAAAAGCAGGCUCAGCUAAAAACCAAGCGGUCACUGAAGCUUAAGGUAAUUAUGAUGAAUUAAUAUUGUAAUUCGGAUAAUAUGUAUUGACUUCUAAGUUUUGGUAUAUAUUACAGCUGUUCUGUGAUGACUGAUGGAAAAUAGGUUACAUAUAAAAUGUGGUUAAUAAAAAUGUUGUUCAUUUAUAUUAGGUAUCUGAAUCGAAUGAAUUCCUCUACCAAGUGUCGGAUGAGAACAAACGGCACGUAGUUUAUUUGAAUAUGCUGACUUGCACUUGCUGUCAUUCCAUGUGGAUGGGAUUCAUUGUCAGCACGGUUUAGCUGUGAUUGGGGAAAUAGAUGGGCAACCAGAUAGGUAUUAUUUUGAUUACCACACUGGGGAGUCCUAUAUGGGUUCGUACGCUGCCUACAUCGUCCCACUAGAAGAUCGUGCACAAUGGAAGGUGGAUAAAUUCAGAUGUGGAGAUAAAAUUUUACUCCUAAUCGAAGAGACCACCAGGAAGGUCGAAGAAGACGAGGAGAAGGCCAAGGAUUGAGAUGUUACAAACAACGAGAUGUGGAACAUGUGGAAGUACGAGACACAAUAGGAGAACAUGCAGGCAACCUCAACCCAUGAAUAAUAUUAAAAAGUGGAAAAUGGAUUUGGAAGAAUAAUGGAGCCGCUUCUCACUUGCCAUUGAAUUGUCAAUCCCACAUUGACAAAUGAUUAGAACAAUUUAGGAUACAAAUUGGAAUAUGAUGUAAAAUUAUCAAUUUUCAUAAGUUUGAAUAAAAAGUGGGCAUUGAGAUUUCUUGAUUAAAUUAAUCAAUCUGCUUGCAUUAUUUUUGUUUGAUUAAAAAAUGAAAUGUAAUAAACGUGGGUAUGUUUGAAGUAUUAGUUGAAGGGUUGAUUUUGGGAUUAUGAUUCAUUCAGUUAAUCACAUACAACCACUUGUGUAUUGCACAAGUGAUUAAUUAGUGAAACGUUUCAAAUUGGAAGGCAUAAAGUGAAGGACAAUGAGCAUUCUAAUUUGAACACAAGCAACAAUCAAAUUUGAUCAGUUUAGAACACUAAAAUACCAAAUUAAAAAAAAAAUGAAUUUCUCUAAAAUUUGCUGAAUAAUACGCGAAUUAACAAAAACUUGGUCAAUCCCACAACAAUACGCACUCGGGAAAAUCACACUCUCUAAACAAUCAAUACAAUGAAUUUGGACAUUAUUGGGUUUCGUAAAUGAUAGAUAUCGCAUGAACAAAAAAACUAAUCCACUAUAUAACUGUACAAUGAUAAAAAUUAAUGUAUCAUCAUGACAGAUAUUCCUGCUUCGAUACUAUAACAUGUAGAGAAAGAAAAUAAAUCUAAAUAUGAAAUCGUAAAAUGCUAGAUUAUGGGACAAUCACACUCAUAUUAUUAUAUAACGAUAACUAGUUUGGACAAGAAUAUUACUGUAAGGAGUUGAUGUCCAUAGCAUCUAGACUAGAGGAAUGAAUGUGUGAUCCAUAACAAACUAAAAGAUAAACAAUUGAAUGUACAUAAUAGUACUUCACAAAAAAGUUACUUCGGUUCUGGAACUAUAAACUAGAUGACUACUCAAAAGAAAGCUAAUUUAUUAAAACGGCUGUCAAACAAUAAUCACACCGUUCAUCUUCUCGUCCCCCAUUCACAGACUGUGGAACCACGUCAAAGUCAGUCUCGUAUUCUUCUAUUUGGUUCUCGUACCCAUGCUUGAAGAGUUGAGCAGCCAGGUAUAACCUUGAUAAUAUCGGAUCAAAAAUUUUAGCCAUCCCAUCAAUCUUUCCCUAUAUGAUACAUUCUGCAUACUUAAUAACAUACAAUCCACAGUCAUGCCUAUAUAGUUUUUGAAAAAAUAUAUAAAAAAAUGUAAGCAAGUAGAGCCGGGCAUGUGAGAAAGAGUAAAUAUUGUGAAAUGUGUAUAUAUAACAUUUAAUGUGACGUAUAAUCAACAUCCUUACACGUAAGUUAACAUUGCAAUAUAAAUUAUAAUUAUUAUUUACUCACCCAUACUAAUCCUGCAGUAUGCUUGUAGCUAUCUUGACAAUGAGAGGGUUAACGCGUUAUGCUUCAUCAAUGAUCUUGGGCUGCUAGGUUUCAAUCUUAACCAUCAAGCAUGGCAUGACACAUGCAAAAGCCUCCACACCGGCUGUUGACACGCUAAAAGUGCAGCCCAAAUCGAGUAGCCCAAAGAAUGAAAUCCAACUGGGCAAUUCAGGAUAAAGGCCCAAAUAGGGUUAUUAACGAAUGCAGUGGAAGCCCACGAACACGGUAACACCAUCGCCCAAACUUGCAAGACGCCUAAGAUCUGAGCGAAUGAAGUGUCUUGCAGUCGCCCAGGGUUAUGACCCUGUUCUCGCCCAAACUUUCGAAUCGCCCAGAAUCUUAGCAAAUAUAAGAUGUUAUGUUUAUCCAAAAGUGCAGUUAUCGAAGCAGUUAUUAAGCAAUCUUAUCACGUUCCACGAUUCAAGAAGUUCAGUUGAAGACGGUUGAAUGACAAAGAGUAGUGACAGUAGUUAGAGACGGCAGUUCCACGAUAAGUUGGCCACCAUGAAGAAAGUGGGCAGUUAUAAAGCAAUUAAGCAGUUCCUAACGAAGAGAUCAUCAAGGGAAUAUAAAAGGAAGAAAAGACAUAGAGCAUAGGAGCCCGAAUAAAAAACUCUCAAACAGAGAAUAUGUAAUUUCAAUUUCUUAGUUUAGACUAAAACAUUUCUUUUCAGUACUCGUGUACUUACGCCCCUUGGAGGCAUUUUGUUUAAAGUUCCAAUUGUAAAGUCAUCGCCAAUAAAACAUCCCUUUUUGGGACUUUGUCUCAAGAGGUUUGUUUCUUACACAAUCGUCUGAUCCCUUUUUUAAUUGUAAGCGACUACCCGUGCGAAACAAUUUGGCACGCCCGGUGAGACAUUGGUGUUUGGUGUUGAAGAUACAAAAGGUAAAAUAAUAUGCCUCAGAAAUCAACCGAUCAACCAACCUGUAGGAAUUCCAUAUGACCCCAACGUCAUGUUGAGGAAUCAGAUUAUGGAAAUCGUACAGGACCAGAUGGCUUUUGGAGUACGUCCUGUCAUUAGGCCAACUUACACAAAGCCAUAUCCUGAUUGGGUAGACCAAGCAUAUUCAUGGCCUAGAGGGUACAAAGUGCCAGAAUUCUCAUUAUUUACCGGUUUAGGAAAGGUGUCUACUCUAGAACACAUAGGGCGAUUCACAUUGCAAAGUGGUGACGUAACUGAUUACCAUAAAAUGAGAUUGUUCCCUAGUUCGUUAACAUGAGUAGCCUUCUCCUGGUUCAUCAAUUUGCCAGCAAACUCUGUUCAAACAUGGUAACAAUUGGAGCAAUUGUUCCAUGCUCAGUUUUAUAAGACUGAGUCUGAAGUUACUUUGGCCGAUUUGGCGAAUCUACGUCAAAUGCCAUACGAAUGGGCCGAAGGUUUCCUUCAAAGGUUCAAGACAGCAAGAAGUAAAUGUUUUGUACCUUUGCCCGAAAAAGAGUUUGUCAAAAUUGUUCAAGGUUGUCUAAGCUUUGAUCUGAAGAAGAAGUUCCAAGAUAAGCAAUUUCCUGAUCUUUUCCAAUUGAGCGCGAACGCGAUUAGGUAUGAACGAUUAAUAAGAGAAGAAGAACAAAUGAAAAAUUCUAGCAAGGGGACUUAUUAUAGAGACCCAAAUUUUGAUGUUCAUACCAUUAAUGACGAGUACUACGAUCAAACCGAAAUGUGUUUGGCCGAAUUAGUUAAAGGAGACACAUAUACUUGUCCUAUAAUGGCUAAGCCUAGACCGUCGGGUAAGGAUGAGCCUAUAAAAAAUGAAAACAUAAAGACUAGAACGUUCUCGUUCGAUGUAACCAAAGCUGACCUUAUAUUUGAUAAAUUAUAUAAGGAUAAGCAGAUAAAGCUGAGUGAUAAGCACAAAUUGCCAAGCCCUGAACAAGUUAAGGGUAAAAAAUAUUGUCAGUGGCAUAAUUCAUGGCCACAUUUGACUAACAACUGUUUGGUUUUUCGCCAUGUUUAUAGGAUGCCAUUGAAUCAGGACGAAUUACGUUUGAGGAUAAGAGGAAGGUGGCAGUGGAUGAAAAUCCUUUUCGACAGCCACUUGGAGUGAACAUAGUGACGUCUGGUUUCAAAAACAAGUUGCCAAAAUUCAAGUUGGUUAUAGAUGAUGGAGAAGAAAAAGUUGGACCACAUCCCAGCGUCUUUGAACGUAUUAAAGGAAAGGAGCCCAAAAAGGACGAAGACGCCCUAUGUGCAAGAUGCAAAAAAGAAGUGAGUGCAGGUGCAGAGAAACCAGGGAUAUGGCAGCAUCACCAUCGUCCUAGUUUUUUCCCAAACGCUCAGCCUGGUAGAGGGCGGGGUGCAUCGUUCUAUAAGGGAUAGCCUUUUGAGAGGCAAUUCAGGCUAGUAAAUAAUGGGAGAACAUUCAGACCGCAACCUCGCCAACCAAAUGUAUGGCAUUCGUUCCAGAAUAAGGCUGGAAGGGCGAUACCUUUCAACAAGAUGACUAGAACCCAACAAAGGUAUUUCAACAGAACUAUGGGCGAAUGAUGAGGCAACAACAGGGAAUGCUAUGUCCAAAGGCACCUAGACUACUCGAGGUAGCCAAUCAAAAUGUUCUCAAAGACAGUGAAGAGACUGGUACGGGUGAACCUAUGGAAGAAUUGCCAGAGACUUCUUCUGGGAGGUUGAAGUUUGAGCAAGACAGAAGAGAAGGAGAAGAUCCAGAUUAGCCCCUAACUAUUCAGUUUGGUACGUUACGUCCUGUCGUGGCUAAUAACUAUUUAUUAGCCAAUGAGUUCAAGAAUAAAUGGAAGGAAGAAGAAGAAAAGGACGAUAACGAAGAGGAAGAAUGUAUGUUGGAAUAUGAAGAAGGCCAAACUUCUAGAGAGGCCUACAAUAGUGAAGAAGAUGAUGGUAUGACAGACAUCGAAGAGGAAAUCGAUCUGGAGGUAGAAAGAAUAAAAAGAGGAGUAUCGUACAACACUCUGUUGAAGCAACUACAUCGAGUGGGAGUUCGUGAAGUAGACUUAUUGGGAGAACCAUCUGGGUGUUCUUUCGAUUUUUACGUGCUGUACGAGACGCCCAAAAGGAAGAAGAGAGUGCCUCGCUCUGAAAAGUAUGGAUUACCUCCAAGAAUAAUACCUCCUCCCACAGGUUGGGUAACCAAAGAAGAAUUAGAAAACAGUAAAAGGGAAAUUCAGGAGGUAGAGGCUCAGUGCGAUAUGCUGCACGUUGACUUAUCACAAAAGGGUACUUCGACAGAGGACAAGCAGAAAGUGGAAAUAGAUGCUGCUGAAAAGGUUAUUUUUAAGCAGCCAGCCAUGAAGUUAACUAAACACUUGAGGCCAUUGUACGUUAAAGCUCUAGUUAACAGCAUACCUAUGGCAAAAGUGCUUGUCGAUAAUGGAGUAGCUAUAAACACCAUUCCAUCUAGGAUGAUGAGGAAAUUCGCAAAGACAGAAGGUGAUAUGAUCCCAACGGAAGUCAUCCUGACAAGUUUCAAUGGAGGAGCAACUUCAGCUAAAAGGGUUAUGCCAUUAGACAUAACUAUAGGAAUAACUACUAGGACCACAGUCUUCUUUGUAAUAGAUGGUCCCACUAGUUACAAUGUGUUAUUGGGAAGAGAUUGGAUACACGAAAGUCGCUGUAUACCUUCAUCGCUCCAUCAGUGCCUAGUUUUUUGGAAUGACAAGGGCGAAGCAGAGGUGGUGCAGGCCGAUCAUAGGCCUUUUGUCGCAGAAGCAAAUUUAGUGGAAAGGUUCAUGUAUGAAGGAAAUUAUGGACCUGUCAGAGUAAUCUAAGAUGGAGAAGAAACUCAGAUUAUCGCGCAGAGUGAAGAGUCGUUUUCGAUGGAUGCACUCACUGAAAUGUUCAGUCAGAUGAGGCCAAACAUAGUGGCCCUAGAGGAGCCAGUAAUUGGCAAAAGAAUAAUCAAAGAGUUUUAAAUAAGUUGUAAGAAAUAAAGACAAAUGCCCGAUAUUCAGGCCUUCAAAGCCAAAUUAAUGGCUUUCAAUAAAGAAUGCAAGGACAAGACGAAAGAAGCAGCAUCCUUGAAAGCAUUGAAAGACAAAUUGACAGUGUUCGAGUGAACAAAGUAUUGGCCGAGAAGUCAAUAAGGUGGAUUGUUUAGAAGAAGAAGUGCCUAUAAGGGAACUGGACGACGAAGUGAUAAGGAUCGCCAAGCCUGGAUACGCUCAAGCACAAGAUCCCCUGAUUAAAGUGAAUAUUGGCAAUGAAGGAUAAGAUCGCCCAACGUUCAUCAGCCAAAUGCUCAAUCAAGAGGUUAGUGAUAAAUUAAUCGCUUUAUUAAAGGAGUACAAAGAUUGUUUUGCUUGGGAAUAUGAACAUAUACCUGGUUUAGAUAGAGAUUUGGUGGAACAUAAAUUACCAACCAAGCCUAAUUUUAAACCUCAUAGGCAACCUUCUAGGCAUUUCACUCCUAAUGUACUCCCUGAAAUUAAGGAAGAGAUAGAAUGAUUAUUAAAAGCAGGCUUUAUUAGAACGGCCAGAUAUGUUGAAUGGUUGUCCAAUAUCGUGUCGGUAUUAAAAAAGAAUGGUAAACUAAGGGUGUGCAUAGACUUUAGGAAUCUAAACAUAGCCACACCUAAAGAUGAAUAUCCAAUGCCCAUGGUAGAUUCUUUAGUAGACUCGACUACCAGACAUGUAAUGUAUUCCUUCAUGGAUGGGUAUUCAGGAUACAAUCAAAUUUAUAUAGCUGAGGAAGAUAUAUACAAAGCUGCCUUUAGAUGCCCUGGGUCUCUAGGAUGUUUUGAAUGGGUAGUUAUGCCUUUUGGCCUGAAAAAUGCAGGAGCAACUUAUCAAAGGGCAAUGAAUUUGAUUUUUCAUGAUAUGAUAGGCAAGUUUGUUGAAGUGAAUGUAGAUGAUAUAGUGGUCAAAUCCCUUAAAGAAGAGGACCAUUUUGAACAAUUAAGAUGUUCAUUUGAGUGAAUGAAGCAAUAUAAACUAAAAUUGAAUCCCUUGAAAUGUGCAUUUGGUGUUAAUGCAGGGAAUUUUCUUGGUUUCUUAGUACACAAAAGGGGGAUUGAACUUGAUAAAAAUAAAGCGAAGGCCAUUUUAGAGGCCAAACCACCUAGCAACAAAAAAGAAUUGCAAAUGUUUCUAGGCCAAGUAAACUUUUUAAAACGCUUUAUUUCUAACUGUGCAGGGCGAACUAAAGCUUUUUCGUCGCUUUUAAAGUUGAAAAAUCAGGACGUCUGGAAAGAAGAGCAUCAAAAGGCUUUUGAGAGCCUAAAGACAUACUUAUCAAGUCCACCAGUGUUGGUGUCACCAAUCCAAGGACGACCAAUGAAAGUGUAUGUAUCGGCUAAAGAAGAAUCAAUAUCUGGAAUGGUCGCGCAGGAAGACCAAUUUGGUGAAGAAAGGGUGAUUUACUACUUGAGUAGACGGUUAACAAAAUGUGAAUGUAAUUAUUCUGCCAUUGAAAAAUUAUGUCUUGCAUUGUAUUUCACAUGUACAAAAUUGAGGGCUUAUUUACGGCCCGUAACUGUUUAUUUAGUUUCUAAAGUAAAUUUGGUUAAGUAUAUGUUCUCUCGUCCUAUUUUGCACCAAAUGGUAGGCCUUUGUACAUUAGCUAUAUUAGAAUUCGACAUACAAUACAUACCCCAAAAGGUAGUAAAAAAUUAGGCUUUGGCUAACUUUCUGGCGGAUCAUCCAUGCCUUGAUAUGCCUGAGGAAAUUGAGUUAGAGAUCAAUUCAUACGAAUUAAAACCUUGGGUUUUAUAUUUCAAUGGAUCGAAAACCUCUAAAUGUGCAGGAGUAGGAGUAGCAUUGAUAAAUCCUUUAGGGAUUUGUUACAAGUUUGCAUUCACUUUGGACAGGAUGUGCACCAACAAUCAGGCCGAAUACAAAGCCUUAAUCGUGGCCCUAGAAUUAAUGAUAGAUAUGGGGGUAAAGAAUGUGAUUAUUAGAGGCGAUUCUCAAUUGGUAAUUUACCAAUUGAUUGGUGAUUUUAAAUGCCAAAGUGAUUCCAUUAUAAGUCAGUAUGAAAUCGCCCAAGAGUUGUUGGAAGAAUUCGACCAAAUAGAGCUUCAAUGUGUUAAUAGGAUAUAUAAUAACGUAGCAAACGAAUUGGCCCAGAUGGCCUCAGAGUACUCUAAGGUUUUAAAUUGGAAGUCUACUUGUGAAUAUGGAACAAUAUUGCCUGUGAUCCAAAGAAGGGCGAGAACGAUUGAAAUUCAUUGCAUACAAGAUGGAGAUGCACUAGAUUGGAGGGCAGAGAUUAAAAGGUUCUUUAAAGAACCUAAUAAAGGAGAUAGUAGAAAAAUGAAGUUGCGUUUGCUAAACUAUACUCUGAUAGAUGAAGAGUUAUUUAAAAAAAGCUCUGAUGGUAUAUUGCUAAAAUGCAUAAGUUUGAAAGAAGCCAGGACGAUCAUGGUUGAAGUGCAUGAAGGAAUAUGUGGAGCUCAUCAAGCAGGCCAAACGAUGAGAUGGUUAAUUAUUAGGAAUGGAUAUUUUUGGCCCAAGAUGGAAGAAUCAUGCGUUCAGUAUGCAAAGAGUUGUCUAGCAUGCCAAAAGCAUGGCCCAAUACAAAGGGCGCCAGCACGAGGAAUAGCACCUAUUAUCAGACCUUGGCCGUUUAAGGGUUGGGCGAUGGACCUGAUAGGGAAGAUUUAUCCCCCAUCGUCCAAGCAACAUACCUUUAUUAUAGUUGCAACUGAUUAUUUUACUAAGUGGGUAGAAGCCAUACCUUUAAAGGAGAUCACUCAAAAGAAUGUCAUAGAAUUUAUCCGUGAUCAUAUUAUUUAUAGAUUUGAAAUUCCACAAACUUUGAUGGUAGAUCACGAAACAUCUUUAAAUGGGGAUCAAGUGAAUAAAUUCUUGACCGAGUUUGGAGUUAAAUUAAUAAACUCCACACCAUAUUACGCUCAAUCCAACGGACAAGCAGAAUCUUCUAAUAAGAUUCUAAAAAAUAUCAUAAGGAAAAUAAUAGAUGAAAAUGCCAGAAAUUGGCACGAAUGUCUAAACAAGGCCUUAUGGGCUUAUAGGACGUUGCUUCGAUCAAGUACCAAAAUUACUCCUUUCCAACUUACUUAUGGACAGGAGGCCGUUUUACCUAUGGAAAUUAACGUGCAAUCGAUCAGAGUGUAUUUGCAACAUAAGUUAAGUAGUGAUGAGCAUACCAAAUCACUAGUUCAAAACUUAUUGGAGUUGGACGAAUUAAAGUUGGACGUCCUAGAUAGAUUGCAAGUUCAAAAACGAAGAAUGGCUAAAUUUUAUAAUAAAAAAGUUAUAGCCAAGUCGUUUAGCCUGGGCGAAUUGGUUUGAAAAAUAAUACUUCCUUUGGAUAGCAAAAAUCCAAAGUAUGGCAAGUGGUCGCCCAAUUGGGAAAGACCAUAUAAAGUAAAUGAUGUGUUGCCUAAUGGAGCCUAUCAUUUGGAGGAUUUAGAUGGCACCAAGCACAUGAGGUUCAUUAAUGGCAAAUAUUUAAAAAAGUAUGUUCCUUCCUUAUGGGAAAGUGAACAAAUAAAAGCGUAAUCAAAUCGCGUUGAAUGAUCGUAGAUAAAAAAGGGCCAGAGCGAAAUACGUUCAAAUAAAUUCCUUUAUUGUCAAACGUUCAUUACAAAAUUGCAAAAUACAAAAUACUAAAUGCUCUAUAAGCUACAAUUAAGAGCGAACUAAUCUCCUGGUCGAUCGCUGAGUAAGAGGUGAACUGGCCUUGAUUGCCAUCCUGAUCGCACUAUUGCAGAAGCAAGUAGAGAGGCCGAGAAGCACUCUCAGCAAGCAGAAAGGAAGAAGAAGCACCCUCACAUCGCCUGAUGCGAACCUCGUAGCAAUAGAAACUAUGAAACCCACAACGAGAUUGAUGCGGAACCCAAGAGCGCCAAUACUAACCCGGUUUUGGAUCUUGAACCCCAAGAAUUGAACCAAGAAGCCCUAGAUUAGCGAAGAACCUAAAACCCCUUGAUUACAAUUGAAAGAACCCACAAUCCGAUUGAUAGAACGCCACAAGAAGUUGAAUCUUGAUAAGUUCCAAGAUUGUUCAAGAAGAACAAUUAAAUUGAAAGAAGAAAUUUCUCUCUAUAAUAUUAAUUCAAAGUCAAAAGUUCAAAGGUGUUUACAAUGAAAAAAUAUUCUCCUAUUUAUACUAUUCCUCGAAUAGGAGUCAAAAAGGAAAUAUAAUUCUAAUAAUCUAAUAAAAUUCCUAAAAUAUUCGUCCAAUAUGGUAGGAAUUUGAUUAAGAAUGAAAUUCUAGUAAAAUAAAGAAAAAUGCGGAAAAAAGGAAAAUCACCCCAGAAAUGAACCAUGCUGUCGCAUAGUUAUAACUCGUGCUGCCACAUGGUAAUAAAAUUUCGGCCAUUGAAUUCUCGGUAUCAUGUCAUGCGGUCGCAUAGUGCUGCCGCAUGGUUAUACUGCCCACUCUCUUCUUCGGCUGCUUGUAACGCAUUGAUCCAUUUUGUUUCGGCCUUCGACCCGAACACGAAACUUGUUCCAUUUUGAGUUCCGAAUAUGGUUCCAUCAAUAGUUUCUUGAACGAGCAAUCCCAUCGCUUGUUUCACUUGCUUUGCCCUUGAUCGCGUCAUUGGUCCGCCAUCAACUAUCAACGGGUCUCGUCUCGCACUUGCCUUCGUCGGGCUCGACUCCUGGAUCAUAUCAUCCCUUUCCUCUUCAAAAGGAUUCGUCCUCGAAUUUGAACCUAUAUCAAACAGAGAGAGAUCAGAUACAUUAAAAGUAGCUGAAACAUUAUACUCACAAGGUAAAUCCACUUUGUAUGCAUUGUCAUUGAUCCUCUCGAUGAUUUGAAAUGGUCCAUCGCCUCGUGGUUGCAAUUUUGACUUCCUCUGUUCUGGAAAACACUCUUUUCUGAAAUGCACCCAGACCCAAUCUCCAUGCUCAAAUGUAACGCGUCUUCUUCCUUUAUUUGCUUUUGAUGCAAUUAGAAUUCCUUUCUAUUCGAUCUGCAUCCUGACAUUUUCAUGGAGUGUUUUCACCAUCUCGACUUUUCGUUUCCCAUCCAAGCUACCUCGUUCAUGUACAGGCAAAGGCAUUAAAUCCAUAGGUGUUAGUGGAUUAAAACCAUAAACAAUUUCAAAAGGAGAAAACGAAGUAGUAGAAUGUGUAGCUCAUUAUAUGCAAACUCUAUAAACGGUAAACACUCUUCCCAUGAUUUUGGAUUUUUAUUGAUUACUGUCCUAAGUAGUUGAGUCAUAGUUCGAUUAACUACCUCAGUUUGUCCAUCUGUUUGUGGGUGACAAGUUGUAGAAAAUAAUAACUUAGUUCCUAACUUACUCCACCGAACAGGCCAAAAAUGACUCAAAAACUUCACGUCCCUAUCAGACACUAUACUUUUAGGUACUCCAUGUAAACGUACUAUUUUCCUAAAGAAUAAGUCUGCAAUAUUAGUAGCAUCGUCAAUUUUAUGACAUGGUAUGAAGUGCGCCAUCUUACUAAACCUAUCGACCACUACAAAUAUUGAAUCCCGACCCCUUUUUAUCCUAGGCAAACCUAACACAAAGUCCAUAGAUAUGUCUACCCAAGGUUCACUAGGUAUAGGCAAAGGAGUAUACAAACCAUGGGGUUGAACCUUAGACUUAGCCUUUUUACAAGUUAUGCACUUUUCACAUAUUUGUUCUACGUCAUGUCGCAUUUUAGGCCAAUAAAAAUGUUCCCCUAACAUGUCUAAAGUCUUUUGAACCCCGAAGUGUCCCAUUAAACCACCCCCAUGUGCUUCCAUUACCAAUAAUUCACGCAAAGAACAAUUAGGAAUGCACAACUUAUCUUCUCUAAACAAAUAUCCUUCUGCCUAUAGAAUUUAUCAAAUGCACCUUUGUCACAUGAAGCAUAAAUAUUAGAAAAAUCACAAUCAGAUUCAUACAUGCCCUUAUAUGCUCGAAACCAAGUAAUUUAGUACUUAAUGAAUUUAAAAGCACGUACCUUCGAGACAACGCAUCAGCAACUAUAUUCUCGUUACCUUGUUUGUACUUGAUGACGUAGAAAAAUGUCUCGAUAAACUCCACCCAUCUUGCAUGUCUUUUGUUCAACUUACCUUGACCUCGCAAAUGCUUUAAAGAUUCAUGAUCAGUGUGUAUCACGAAUUCCUUUGGCCAUAAGUAGUGCUGCCAAGUCUCCAAUGCUCGAACAAGUGAAUACAACUCCUUAUCAUAUGUCGGAUAAUUCAAUGCUGCCCCACUCAACUUUUCGCUAAAGUAAACAAUAGGUCUCCUUUCCUGUAUUAACACUGCUCCUAUACCUAUUCCUGAUGCAUCACACUCAACCUCGAAUGUUUUAUCAAAAUUUGGUAAUGCCAAAACAGGUUCUUUACAUAGCUUAUCCUUAAUUGUGUUAAAUGCAAUUUCUUGAGAUUCUUCCCAAUGAAAACCUAUACUCUUCUUUACUAUUUCAAUCAACGGUGUGGUGAUGGUGCUAAAAUCUUUUACAAAUCGCCUAUAAAAACUAGUCAAUCCAUGAAAACUCCUAACUUAAGUUAUAGUCUUAGGUGUUGGCCAUUCUUUAAUAGCCUUUAUCUUUUCUUCAUGGACUUCCACCCCGUUAGCACUAACCACAAAUCCUAGGAAAACAACUCUAUCCAUGCAAAAUGUGCACUUUUUGAAAUUAGCAUAUAGUUGUUCCUUUCGCAACACAACAAGCAUACAAUUUAAAUGUUCUAAAUGCUCAUCUAGGUUUUUGCUAUAGAUUAAGAUGUCAUCAAAAUAAACUACAACAAAUUUCCCAAUAAAAGCAUGCAAAACAUGGUUCAUUAAACGCAUAAAAGUGCUCGGUGCAUUAGUGAGUCCAAACGGCAUAACCAACCAUUCAUACAAUCCAUACUUAGUCUUAAAUGCCGUUUUCCAUUCAUCACCCUCCCGCAUGCGAAUUUGAUGAUACCCACUCUUAAGAUCAAUCUUACUAAAAAUGCAAGCACCAUGCAACUCAUCAAGCAUAUCAUCUAGCCUAGGUAUUGGGUGACGAUACUUUACCGUGAUAUUGUUGAUAGCUCGGCAAUCCACGCACAUUCUCCAAGUCCCGUCCUUCUUAGGCACCAGCAAAACAGGUACAGCACAUGGACUCAUGCUCUCCCUGACAUAACCUUUGCUCAUCAACUCCUCCACUUGCUUUUGAAGCUCCUUCGUCUCCUCGGGAUUGCUUCGGUAAGCUGGUCAAUUCAGUAUGACAGCUCCAGGUACAAAGUCAAUCUGGCACUCGAUGCCUUUGAUUGGUGGCAAUCCACUUGGCAUCUCCUCAGGAAACACAUCNNNNNNNNNNNNNNNNNNNNNNNNNNNNNNNNNNNNNNNNNNNNNNNNNNNNNNNNNNNNNNNNNNNNNNNNNNNNNNNNNCUUUUCUCCACUCUCAGUCACCUCACUAUUUUCUCUCUUAUUGAUGGUUUUACUAUUGCCUCUCCUUUUUCCUGACUCUCUUAUUCUCUCGUCUUCCUCACUUUUCAGCUUGAUUUGAUCUCCAUACACUUGUGUCGGUGUUAAUGGUGUAAGAGUAAUAGUCUUCCCAUCCUUGACAAAGCUAUAACGAUUCCUAUAACCAUCAUGUGUGACCCUUCUAUCAUAUUGACAUGGCCUUCCUAAUAAGAUAUGACCCACAUGCAUAGGCACCACAUCACAUACUACUUUGUCACUAUAACUCCCAAUUGAGAAAUUAAUUAAAACUCUUUUAUUCACCCUAACUUCCCCACUUUCAUUCAACCAUUGCAACUUAUAAGGCCUAGGGUGUCUUAACAAUGCUAGUCCUAAUUUCUCAACUAAAGUUGUACUAGCUACAUUCGUGCAACUCCCACCAUCAAUAAUCAUACUACAUAUCUUAUUGUUGACGUAACAACGUGUGUGGAAUAUAUUUUCUCGCUGCUGCUUUGAAUCAUCCAUUUUGACUUGAGUGUUAAGAGCUCUCCUUGACACCAACGAUUCCCCAACAGCAAACUCCAAUUUUUCUUCUUCUUCAACGUCCUCCAAUGCAGGCAUGUCCUCAAACUCUCCUUCACUUUCACUCACCACCUCUCCAUUAUCCAACAAAACCAUUACCCGUUUAUUUGGGCAUUGAAAAGCAAUGUGCCCUGACCCCAAGCAUCUGAAACACUUGAUGUCUCGAUUCCUUGAAGGUUGUGAAUCUGUUUUGGGUGCUAGUUUGCUAGCACUUUCUUAUUUCCCUUUCUGCCACUCAUUCCUACCUUUAGGUACUGCUUUAUCACCUUUAUUGUUGUUGUUCCACCCUGGCUUCCAAGAUGGAUUAACACUCGAAGUUCCUAACGGCUGCCUAGUUGCCCCUUUCCUCUUCCGCUAUCUCUCCACCUUCAUAACCACAUGCAACAUGUCUUCAAACUCCACAUAAUGUUGCAACUCCACUACAUUGGCAAUUUCCCUAUUCAACCCAUUCAAGAAUCGUGCCAUGGUAGCCUCCCGAUCCUCCACCACAUUGGCCCUAAUCAUGAGUAUUUCCAUCUCCUUAUGAUAGUCUUCUACACUUUUCGACCCUUGAUAUAGACCUUGCAGUUUUUGAUGGAUCUCUCGGUAAUACUGGCUAGGAACAAACCUCUUUCUCAUCAAUGACUUCAAUUCCUCCCAAGUGCUGAUUGGUCUUCCCCCACUCCUACGUUGUGAAGUAAUCACUUGAUCCCACCAUGAAAUUGCAUAUUCACUGAACUCCAAAACUGCUAACUUCACCUUUUUCUCCUCCGAAUAGUUCUAACACUCGAAGAUCAUUUCAACCUUCCUUUCCCACUCCAGGUAUGCCUCGGGAUCACUCCUUCCUUUGAAUGAAGGAACUGUCAUUUUUAUAUUUCCUAAGUUUCCAUCCAACUCCUUCCCGCGAUCAUUCCGACCCCGUCUGUCGAACCUAUCACCUCUAUUCCUCAUCCUUCCCAUCUCAACACCGUGAAAUUCAUCUUCGCCCAUGUCACUCCCAUAUCCAUACUCCUCUCGCCUUUCCCUCCUAGGCUCCCAUCUAUCCGGUCCUCUGGCAUUGGAUACAUCCACUCGAUGCCCUCGACUAAGAUUAGCCACCGAUGUAUCUAAUCUAUUCAUCCAAGUGUCCUGCUUCUCCAACCUAUCUCUCACAUCUCCAAACGCCCUCUCAAACCUCUGCACUAAUCCUCCAUUGCAUUGCUAUUAUUGCCUUGUCAGCUUGAGUUUGAUUCUGCCCUUUCUGACAUCCUAACACUAAAAUUUUAUUUUACUGCCUCACCAAAAGUCACACGGAAACACACACAAGGAUUUUACCCUCUAUUAAGCUCACCUCUCUGCCUUUUACCACUCAAUUCUUUCAACAAUUGCUUCUAGGAACAAUCAAUGAACUUAAUCAAUCAAUCAAUUCGUGUAGAAUUUCCCAAACCGGAUGUGACUCAAUAAUUGUAACAAAGGACUCAAAGAAAACUUUUAAAACUUGAUUUGAAUGAAGGAAUGGAAUGAUUCAAUGUGUCCAAGUAAUUUAGAAAUGAUAAUGAAUAAUAAAAGUUGGUAUUUGACGGAUCAAUAAUAUUCAACAAGUUUUUUUUACUGUACGGAUGAACAGUACCGUACGGAUGAGUAGUAUUUUUUUUUAGAUCCAGAAAUCAAUAACAAAACCAACAAAGAAAAUGAAAACUGAGUUGGGCGAAAAUUGAGCCCAAAAUCGGAAUUUGAAGAUUUUUGAUGAAAUUUUUUGGAUCAAAGAUCAAGACAAAUCUUCUGGACACAAGAACACAAGAAAUUGAAAAAAAAUUAGAAAACAAAGGAUAUAACCAGAUUAAAUUGGAACCAAAGCUCUGAUACCAACUGAUGCGAACCCCGUAGCAAUGGAAACUACGAAACCCACAACGAGAUUGAUGCAGAACCCAAGAAUGCCAAUACUAACCCGGUUUUGGAUCUUGAACCCCAAGAAUUGAACCAAGAAACCCUAGACUAGCGAAGAACCUAAAACCCCUUGAUUACAAUUGAAAGAACCCACAAUCCGAUUGAUAGAACGCCAUAAGAAGUUGAAUCUUGAUAAGUUCCAAGAUUGUUCAAGAAGAACAAUUAAAUUGAAAGAAGAAAUUUCUCUCUCUAUAAUAUUAAUUCAAAGUCAAAAGUUCAAAGGUGUUUACAAUGAAAAAAUAUUCUCCUAUUUAUACUAUUCCUCGAAUAGGAGUCAAAAAGGAAAUAUAAUUCUAAUAAUCUAAUAAAAUUCCUAAAAUAUUCAUCCAAUAUGGUAGGAAUUUGAUUAAGAAUGAAAUUCUAGUAAAAUAAGGAAAAACGCGAAAAAAAGGAAAAUCGCCCCAGAAAUGAACCAUGCUGUCGCAUGGUUAUAACUCGUGUUGCCACAUGGUAAUAAAUUUUCGGCCAUUGAAUUCUCGGUAUCAUGUCGUGCGGCCGCACAGUGCUGCCGCAUGGUUAUACUGCCCACUCUCUUCUUCGGCUGCUUGUAACGCAUUGAUCCAUUUUGUUUCGGCCUUCGACCUGAAUAUGAAACUUGUCCCAUUUUGAGUCCCGAACAUGGUUCCAUCAAUAGUUUCUUGAACGAGCAAUCUCAUCGUUUGUUUCACUUGCUUUACCCUUGAUCACGUCAUUGGUCCGCCAUCGACUAUCAACGGGUCUCGUCUUGCACUUGCCUUCGUCGGGCUCGACUCCUGGAUCAUAUCAUCGCCUUCCUAAAUGUAUCACUGCAAUAAUAGGCAAGGAGGCUGAGAAGCACUCUCAGCAAGCAAGGUGGCUUGCAGGCAUCCUCAAAAAUUGUUUUCCAUCAUCGAACUCCUUGUAAGGAACAUGGAGACGAUGGAAAGAACUUUGCUGGCCAAAGAAUAUUUCCUAUAUCUCCCAUACCAAAAGUGACAUAAAAAAAGAUGGCAAAAUGGGCAGAUCAAAUGAUUCAUUUCCAUGGAAGACGAAGGUUUUGGAUCGAUUGUCAAAAUGCCAGACAAUGGCAGCAAAUUGGUUUUGAAGAAGAGAAUGGAAAUGAAAAUGACAAGUGUGGAAUAUAAGUGCAUUUAUAGGGGCAUGAAGAUGAAGAGACAGAAUAUGAACAGCCACAUUCGUGCCUAGUAACUGGAAUCAAAUGGCCCGAAGUCUUGGAAAUAGAGACAGAAGUACCAAGAGAAAAUAUGCGUGAAUCUUAGCAUAAAGCAGUUAAAUGCUUGGGGGUUGACGAUUAAAGACAGCGUCAAUAAAUACACAAGAAGACAAAUUAAUCAUUCAUGAAUGAUAAUGGUUGCUGGUACGUUUAGAGUUACCAGUGGACAUCAGUACGAGGUUACAAGGGGAAAGUUAAUACGAAGUUACAAAAAGAAAAGUUAAGGCAUUAUAUGUCUUAAUUACAAUUCGCCCCAGAUCGAACGAAUUCUUUCCCUAAGUCUCCCCCAAUCCUCGCUCUGUCGAAAAGAGGCGAUAUCCAAUUCGGCUACAAAAUCAUCGUCAACUUUUAGCUUCUUGUACUGUUCGACCAAAGACUUGGUUCGCUCAAUUCCUUGGGAGGCAUUAGGCUUUUUAGCAGCCAUUCUCGCCUUGCAGUCGUCCAUCUUUGCUUGAAGCUCCUUCAUCUGUGCAGCCAAACUAGUCAUCAAAGGGUCUUCAAUCUUAACUUCGAAAGAGAUUUCUUUCAAUUCGUCCUCAGCUUUGUUGAUCUCUAGAAGCAAAGACUCUCUUUCAGAUACAACGCGAAGAUAUUGAGUACUCUUGACCUUCAGUUCAACAUUUUUGGCCAGCAAGGAGAGAAUUUCGGAAUGGACCUUUAAAGAAAGAUUGAGCGACGGAAGUGUCAGUGCUUGCGCCAACUUCGCCCUCAAAUGCUUAAGCUUAUCCUUAUGUUUGGUAGCACUAGCCUGACCAAUGUCCAUAUCCAUAAAGGAUACAUACUCAAAUAUCGACUGCUUAAGGAACUUCAUAUCUUCCUUUGAAGAAGCAGAAGGACGAUCGGUUGAAGCAGGGCGAGACGUCUUGACCUACCCCCAGGAAGUGAACAAGUCCUGAAUAGAACGCACAAUCUUAUCAGCAUCCUGCAAAGAAAAUUGCCAACAUUGAAGGUUUUCACUAUAAUGAACAAAGUGGAAGUAAAAGUGAAGCAAAGAUUACCUCAUCAGCAAUCUUGGGAGGUGGCAUAUCCCCAGCCAAAUCUACCACCUGUGUCUCCACCACUUGUGAGGACUUCCCCUUGUCUGGGUGAGAAGACUUUGCCACAAUGGGAAAACCCAUGGGAGCAUCUGCAGAACUCAAAAAGCAACAAAUCAAAACCCAAUAGCACAAGCAAAGGUAAAACAUCAAAAAAUGUAUUACCUUCUGGUUCGACAUUUUGGGGGUUGGCGCCCUGGGAAAAAGGUGGCUUAUCCAUUGGUUGUGAUGAGGAUUUCGGGACUGAAGGUUUCUCUUUAAGCGUAGUCCCUUCAUCAGCGGGUUUGGAUGAAGCAGUCUCAGUAGAGGAUGAUGGAGCAGGAGCUGCCAACACCAAAGCCUUCAAAGGAGAGGCUGAACUUUUCUGAGAAAUCCAAAUAAACCAUCAGCACAAAGAAAAGUUUCAAGUAUAGAAAGGUAUUCUUGUGAGUAAACUAAUUUAAUUACCUUUCUCCUGACGAUGAGAGGAGUAUCAUCAUCAUCAUCACCAUCAUCCUCCAAAAUGGGAGAUGCUGAGGCUGGCCGUUUGCGGCUUGGGGCACUCUUAGCUACAGUGGGCUUGGUAGGAAGAAAAGUAGAUGGACGAACAGACUAUUUAGCACGAACAAGGGGGGAAGGACUCCUAAUGGACAUAGGGGUGACCAAAAUAGGAGAAGUGGAAGAAAUGAUUGGCUGAUCUAGUGAAUGGAAAACACGAUUGACAUCAGUUGCAAACAAUCUGCGCUUCACUGAUGGCCAGAUUUGUUCAAAAAGGGGAUGGAUGGCAUGGCUAGAAUUGAAGGGGGCUAGUGAAAAGUUACUCGUCAAAAGAAUAUUGCGAGUAUCUAUAGAUUUUGCCUCUGCCUUAUUAAUGGUGUGGAAGCGAUCUAUCAAAUUUCUUGAAUAACAAAGGGGAACUGGCCAAGUUUGGCCAAAACCAAGUUGACGAGCAAAAAAUUAGGGAGCAUAUAUUUCAAUCCCAGCUUUGGCAUUGGUUCCAGUCAAAAUAUCAUGGAACAACUUCCUCCCAGUCAAAAACUAAACCCAAACGAGCAGAGAGGUGCUCAAUCUGUCCAAGGUGGAUGGGGGUUGCACAUAGUCUGGAGUUAAAAAUGGAGGAAAAGGAAAGAAAGAAUGAAUUGAAUUCAAAGUAUAAAAGAAUGAAAAGAUGUCCCUUCUGGACAUACUUACAGGGCUCAGUGGGUCAAUAGCUAGCCCAUAGCAGCUAGCAGAAUGAAGGGAAAAAGAUAGAGCACCAAGUGAUGGAAAAUAUGCUCUCAACCACAUUUGAGUGAACCAAAGAGGCUCACUGCCAGUGGAAGAUGCACUGUUUUUCAAUUGGAAUUGUAGAGAAGCCAUGCCUCUAUAGAGGGCAGCCAAAACGAAAGAACACAAAUUCAGAGGCCUACCACGCGCCAAUUCAUGUGCUAUGGGUAAAUAGCUUAUAGAAGGCUUCAUGCUUGGCACACACAGAAUAUAUUUACAAAGCCAAAUAUGAAGAAAGGCCACACGCUCAGCAUGGGAAGGCUCAACGCUCGAGUGAUUAUAACAGCUUUGUAGGCUUGAAUAGGAUUCGAUGAGUUUUUUUGUCAAAUUUUGGGGCGACACCAGAAAUCAAAAUACCAGGGAAAAUGGUAUUGUCCAAAGGUAGCAAAUUUACUAGGGCCCCAACAUCCCUUAAAGUAAUGGACAUGGGACCAAGAGGGAAAACAAAAGUAUUAUACUCAGAGGACCAAAAACUUAAAGCAAUAGGGAAAAGCACUGGAUCAAAAAUAGGGGGUUGAAAAGAGAUUUCUAACAAAUCAAAAAUCCUAGCACUAUAAAAAAUUGCCUUGGUAGGACCAUGGCCCAUAAGGUGAGCAUGCCAUCUACGGAAAAUAACAUCAGAUUUAGGCCAAGUACGAAUACCUCUUUCGCGAAGCGGCCUCAGCGGCAAAGAGUUCAGAAACGGAGGGCCUUGAGUACAAGGGAACAGCUGGCCCACCGCCACUUGUUCUACGGCCUCGACGUUGUUGAAUGAAGGACCUAGAUAGAACUCAUUGAGUUUGGCAUUGGCUGGUGUAAGGAAGUUCGGAGUUAUAUAUGGCCGAGUGAGGAUUUUCUGGAAGUCUUCGAAGCUGAAAGAGUCACUAGAUUGGGUUUGUGAAGCAGCCAUUGGGAACGAAAUAAAUUUUUGUUGAAGUUUGCUUGAAAAACGUAGCAGAUGAGCAAGAAGAUGAACAGUAAUAUUAUGAGAGAGAAGCGCGAAAUAAUGAGGCCUGAAAUGGCGUGUAUUUGGGGGUUAUAAGGGUUUGUAACGUCGCACCUUUUCAGGCUAUGGAAGGAAAUAAUAAUUGAAAUUCUUGGGAAUUUCAAAUGUUGCUGGGAAACACAAAGUGAAUAUGGCAAAAAUUAAUAAUUGGUAUUAAUUCUGCCAUAUUGGAGGGUAAUCGUUGACACGCUAAAAGUGCAGCCCAAAUCGAGUAGCCCAAAGAAUGAAGGCCAACUAGGCAAUUCAGGAUAAAGGCCCAAAUAGGGUUAUUAACGAAUGCAGUGGAAGCCCACGAACGCGGUAACACCAUCGCCCAAACUUGCAAGACGCCCAAGAUCUGAGCGAAUGAAGUGUCUUGCAGUCGCCCAGGGUUAUGACCUAUUCUCGCCCAAACUUUCGAAUUGCCUAGGAUCUUAGCAAAUAUAAGAUGUUAUGUUUAUCCAAAACUGCAGUUAUCGAAGCAAUUAUUAAGCAAUCUUAUCACGUUCCACGAUUCAAGAAGUUCAGUUGAAGACGGUUGAACGACAAAGAGUAGUGACAGUAGUUAGAGACGGCAGUUCCACGAUAAGUUGGCCACCAUGAAGAAAGUGGGCAGUUAUAAAGCAAUUAAGCAGUUUCUAACGAAGAGAUCAUCAAGGGAAUAUAAAAGGAAGAAAAGACAUAGAGCAUAGGAGCCCGAAUAAAAAACUCUCAAACAGAGAAUAUGUAAUUUCAAUUUCUUAGUUUAGACUAAAAUAUUUCUUUUCAGUACUCGUGUGCUUACGCCCCUUGGAGGCAUUUUGUUUAAAGUUCCAAUUGUAAAAUCAUCGCCAAUAAAACACCCCUUUCUGGGACUUUGUCUCAAGAGGUUUGUUCCUUACACAAUCGUCUGAUCCCUUUUUUAAGUGUUAGCGACUACCCGCACGAAACAAUUUGGCACGUCCGAUGGGACAUUGGUCUUUGGUGUUGAAGAUACAAAAGGUGAAACAAUAUGCCUCAGAAAUUCGAUAAGGAAACAGAAAGUCAGGGAGGAGUCCUGUCUGUGAUCGAGCGAUAUGAGGAGCAACAUAGCUCUCCACGAACAGAUGGACAGAAUCAGAGCAAUCACAGUCGUUAUGAACCAAUGACAGUGUUGAGUCCUCGAACCAUGCGUGCAUUACUUGGAGAACUCACACAAGAUGUCGUUGAACAGGUAAAUCUAUGAAAUAUUCAUAAUAUGGAAAGAUUUACCCAGAAUGGGAAUGCACAUUAUGACAACAUGGCCAAACAACUGAAUACUUUGAACGAAAUAAUGAAUAAGUUAGUAGGCCAAAUUUAUCAGCCAGUUGUGCCUCUUGCAAACCACUUUCAAACUAGGACAAUUGUGGGACAUAAUCCCCCAGUCCUAAGUUCAAAUCAAAGGGUAGAAUCACCUUUUGAUCUCUCUACUUCAAACCAGGGGGUGGUGUAAUACCAAAUCAGAAUAAUGGCAUUGGUACAUCUAACUUGGGAGGUAACCUAAAUGUAAGAGAUAAUGUCCUAAAUAAUGGGCAGAAUACCCCACGCGUUAAUGAUGAAAUAAAUUUUCAGGCUAAUGAUAACAAUGGCCCAAAUCAUGGUAACUUUGUUGCCAAUCAAAGACCAAACAUCAGGCCUCAAGCAAAUCAACCGGUCAACCAACCUGUAGGAAUUCCAUAUGACCCCAACGUCAUGUUAAGGAAUCAAAUUAUGGAAAUCGUACAGGACCAGAUGGCUUUUGGAGUUCAUCCUGUCAUUAGGCCGACUUACACAAAGCCAUAUCCUGAUUGGGUAGACCAAGCAUAUCCAUGGCCUAGAGGGUACAAAGUGCCAGAAUUCUCAUUGUUUACCGGUUUAGGAGAGGUGUCUACUCUAGAACACAUAGGGCAAUUCACACUGCAAAGUGGUGACAUAACUGAUUACCAUAAAAUGAGACUGUUCCCUAGUUCGUUCACAUGAGUAGCCUUCUCCUGGUUCGUCAAUUUGCCAGCAAACUCUGUUCAAACAUGGCAACAAUUGGAACAAUUGUUCCAUGCUCAGUUUUAUAAGACUGAGUCUAAAGUUACUUUGGCCGAUUUGGCGAAUCUACGUCAAAUACCAUACGAAUGGGCAGAAGGUUUCCUUCAAAGGUUCAAGACAACAAGAAGUAAAUGUUUUGUACCUUUGCCCGAAAAGGAGUUUGUCAAAAUUGCUCAAGGUUGUCUAAGCUUUGAUCUGAAGAAGAAGUUCCAAGACAAGCAAUUUCCUGAUCUUUUCCAAUUGAGCGCGAACGUGAUUAGGUAUGAACGAUUAAUAAGAGAAGAAGAACAAAUGAAAAAUUCUAGCAAGGAGACUUAUUAUAGAGACCCAAAUUUUGAUGUUCAUACCAUUAAUGACGAGUAUUACGAUCAAACCGAAAUGUGUUUGGCCGAAUUAGUUAAAGGAGACACUUAUACUUGUCCUAUAAUGGCUAAGCCUAGACCGUCGGGCAAGGAUGAGCCUAUAAAAAAUGAAAACAUAAAGGCUAGAAUGUUCUCGUUCGAUGUAACCAAAGCUGACCUUAUAUUUGAUAAAUUAUAUAACGAUAAGCAGAUAAGCUGAGUGAUAAGCACAAAUUGCCAAGCCCUAAACAAGUUAAGGGUAAAAAAUAUUGUAAGUGGCAUAAUUCAUGGCCACAUUUGACUAACAACUGUUUGGUUUUUUGCCAUGUGUUACAGGAUGCCAUUGACUCAGGACGAAUUACAUUUGAGGAUAAGAGGAAGGUGGCAGUGGAUGAAAAUCCUUUUCCACAGCCACUUGGAGUGAACAUAGUGACGUCUGGUUUCAAAAACAAGUUGCCAAAAUUCAAGUUGGUCAUAGAUGAUGGAGAAGAAGAAGUUGGACCACAUCCCAGCGUCUUUGAACGUAUCAAAGGAAAGGAGCCCAAAAAGGACGAAGACGUCCUAUGUGCAAGAUGCAAAAAAGAAGUGAGUGCAGGUGUAGAGAAACCAGGGAUAUGGCAGCAUCACCACCGCCCUAGUUUUUUCCCAAACGCUCAGCCUAGUAGAGGGCAGGGUGCAUCGUUCUAUAAGGGAUCGCCUUUUGAGAGGCAAUUCAGGCCAGUAAAUAAUGGGAGAACAUUCAGACCGCAACCUCGCCAACCAAAUGUAUGGCAUUCGUUCCAGUAUAAGGCUGGAAGGGCGAUACCUUUCAACGAGAUGACUAGAACCCAACAAAGUGCAGUUAUCGAAGCAGUUAUAAAGCACUCUUAUCACGUUCCACGAUUCAAGGAGUUCAGUUGAAGACGGUUGAACGACAAAGAGUAGUGGUAGUAGUUAGAGACGGCAGUUCCACCAUAAGUUGGCCACCAUGAAGAAAGUGGACAGUUAUAAAGCAAUUAAGCAGUUUCUAAGCGGUUGAUCACGAAGAAUGAGUCGGUCAUCAUACCUGAAUUUUGAAAUUGCCUUAUGUCAUCCAUCAGACUUGUACCCUGAUCGAACCAUGAAACCAAAGAAUGAGUCGGUCGUCAUACAUCUAUACAACUUCAAAAAUCUGAACGUUAACGUCUUCCACGUUUACGUACUACGUUCAGGUUUAGCGUCCAAAAUAAUUAGAAAAUAUACUGUAAAACUAUUGGAAUCUCAGCAACAUAAAUUGAAAAUAGCAUACACUUACUGAAUCCAUGAGGUGUACGUUCGGUUGGCAAAAACUCUUACCAUCGUGUUUUCGUGUCGACGACGCCUUUAAGGACCAAACUGUAGCAGUGGCUUUAUAACGUCCUUAGAAGCUGGGAACUUGUUUUUACUAAUUUGUGUCAGCACUGAUCAAAAGAAAUGAUAUAUAUAAAACUCAAAAAAAUCAACAUAAAAAGAAUAGAAUAAGUAAAAUUUACCUUAUGUGUAUUUCAUACUCAAAUCACUCUGCUGUACUAAAAAUUAAUUAAAAAUAAUAAACACAACGAAAUAAAACCACAGAUUAGUGACUCCGAAAAUUUUUGAAUAAAAUUUUGCUAUCUUUCUUACCUGAUAUGUAUGCAGUCUCACAAUUUUCUUCUUCUUAGCGCUCGAGUCACCCACAACAUUGUCAAUUUGCCUUUUACCGAUGUUAACUUUUCUAUGGUUUUAUAUAUUCAAAAACAAUCUCGAAAAUGUGUAAAUUAGAGAUUGUAGAAUGGAUUUUCUUUUAGGUCCAGAUCGAAAAUAUUUUGUGGUUAUCACGUUUAAAAUUGAUUGCAGAAAUAAUAAAAUCAACACCAGAAUUUUUCGCCCCAAAAAGGGGCCCGGAUGUUCAGCCUUUAGGCCUAAUCACCCGUUGAGCAUCUGCUACACAGAUAGAGCUCAAGAUCCACUAAGAAGAACCAAGAAAUGUUACAAAUGUACGAAAAAACUGAAAGUUUCUUCGAUAUAUCUCUCUAGCCUCUAUUCUAUAGAAAAUCACAAAGAUCAACUUCUACCAUGAAAGUAUUCUACUCUCGUUUACAUAACAUAUGGAAGAAUCACCACUAAGAUGAAGAUCGAAUUUACAGAGAGAAAUAUUCAUCAAACCCUAACUGCACUCAGAGAAAGGGAAAAGACAGAGAGAGAGAGAGAGAGUCACGAAGCUUCUGGCUAAUGAAAGGGCCAAAACCAAGUUAAAAUAUCUGGUCAACCAAAGGACGGGAUCCAAGGGUUGAGGAUCAGCCACGUUUACGGCUGAUACUCAACCCCUUUGAGGCGUUAAAUCGUGUUUCCAUUGGAUGCAACUUCUUUGCGACUCGGUCCGUAAUCAAUGGGCCAAAAAUUGUGAGGCAGCCCAAAGAAAAUUGGUUUAACAUUCUCCACCUUGCUGAACAAUUCUUUUGGUGCUUAAUAGUGGAUCUUGGACUUCUACAUGUGAUUACUUCGUUUGCUCUAAGUUCCUGUAAAAACAAAAAUUUCAGUUACAAUAUGUACUACAAAUUUGUGCUUGAAGAAUUUGAAUACCACUUCCUCAAGUGAUAUUAAGGAUCUUCAAGCAAGUUUUGAAUUUAUUUAAAGGUAAUACCUUUGUCCCCAAAUCUGAAGGAUUGUAUUCAGAAGGUAUUUUUAUCAGUUUACCUUUUUCUGCCAUAUUUCUUACAAAAUGAUACUUUAUAUCUAUAUGCUUGGUCCUGUCAUGAUAUACAAGAUUCCUGCUUAAGUGUAUGGCACUUUGAUUAUCUGUAUAAAUCCUUACAGAAUCAUUAAUGAAACUAAUUUCAUUUAAUAAGCCUCUUAGCCAAAUGCUUCUUUUACAGCAUACAUACAGCUAUAUAUUCUGCUUCAGUAGAGGACAAGGCAAUCAAUUUUUGUAAUUGUGACUUCCAACUAAUGCAACCAUCACACAAAGUGAAAAUGUAUGCAGAUGUGGAUCUUCUUUUAUCUAAGUCACCAGCAAAGUCAGAAUCGGUGUAACCCUUUAAUAUUACUCCUUCUUUGCACCUUUUAUAUACUAAAGUAAGAUCAGUUGAGCCCCCUAAAUACCUCACAUCCAUUUCAUGGCUAACCAGUGUGUCUUAACUAGAUUUGCCAUGAAUCUACUAAGUAUACUAAUUCCAUGUGCCAAAUCAGGCCUCGUGCAGACCAUAAGAUAUAUUAUUGAUCCCACAGCAUUAGCAUAAUUUUUUCCAUUCUUUUAAAUUCUUCAUUAGUUUUUGGUGAAAAUUCACUUGAAAGUUUGAAAUGAUCUGUAAUGGGUAAAGUAGUAGGUUUGGACUCAACCAUAGAAAAAUUUUCAAGAAUUUUCUUCACAUAAGAGUGUUGUUUUAGAAACAAGAUACCAUUCUGCCUAUCUCUUUCUAUUUCCAUUCCAAGUACCAUUUUAGCUUGCCCUAAGUCUUUCAUUUCAAAUUUAGACUUCAAUUUUGAUUUAAUAGUGUCAAUUUCAGAUUUAUCAUGACAGGCAAGUAACAUGUCAUCAACAUAAAGUAGCAGAUAAAUGGAUUUAGGCCCUCCAGAGCCUUUAUAAAAUAGGCAGGUAUCAUAUUUGCUUUUUACAAACGCUAAUGUCUGCACAUAGGAAUUGAAUUUAAUGUACCAUUGCCUAGGGGCUUGUUUCAGCCCAUAAAGUGAUUUCUUUAACAGGCACACCUUUUCAAUUUUGGAUCUUACUUCAAACCCCAUGGAUUGCUUCAUAUAUAUUAUCUCAUCAAGUUCACUAUUUAGAAAUGCUGUUUUGACAUCAAGUUGUUCCAAUUCCUAGUUAAAAUGGGCAUUUAGAGCAAGUAAAAUUCUGAUUGAAGUAUAUUUUGCCAUAGGUGAAAAUAUUUCAUUAUAAUCAAUUCCUUCUUUCUGAGUAAAGCCCUUAGCAACUAAUCUGGCCUUGUAUCUUUUAUCUUCAGAAUUUAUAUCCCCUUGUUUAAUUUUGAAAAUCUAUUUACAAUCUACUAUCUUAUGAUUUUCAGGUUUAUCAACAAGAAUCCAGGUUCUAUUCUUGAUAAGUGAUUCCAUUUAUUCAUUCAUUGCCUUUUUCCACAAAUCAGAAUCUGGAUGAGUAAUAGCUUCAUCAUAAGUAGUAGGUUCAGAGUUUAAAGAAUCAAGGGCAGAAAAUAGAGUAACGAAAUCAUCAUUAUUAAAUCUGGAGGAGGGAAUUAUUAUUCUCCUUUCUCUAUCUCUAGUUAACUGAUAGUUUUCUAGAGUAGGAUUAGUGAUUUCGUUUUCAUUUUCAUGUUCGUCUUGCUCAUUAUUAUUAUCAGAUUGAGUGGACUCCACCUCAAUUUGAUCAUCUUGAUUAUUAGCAUUUUCAAUUUGAGUUUGUAAGAUGGUUUCCCUUAUAGGUGCAUUUUCACUGACUUUUUCAUCAGGUGAUUCUUUACAAGGCAUGUCUUCCUCAUUAAAGAUGACAUUUCUACUGAUGAUCACCUUAAAACCAUUUUGGUUUUUAACCCACAGUCUGUACCCUUUUGUUUCCUCUCCAUAACCCAGAAAAACACAUUUUAAGGACCUUGGUUCAAGUUUGCCUUCACUUUGAUGUGAGUAGGCAGAGCAGCCAAAAACUUUAAGUUUAUUGUAAUCUGGUGUAUGCCCAGACCACAACUUUUUAGGAACUUGAAAAUCAAUAGCACUGGAUGGACUUCUAUUUAUUAGAAAGGUUGCAGUUUUUAGGGCUUCUCCCCAGAAAAACUUUGGAAGACCAGAAUUGUAUAACAUACAUCACUUUUUCCAAUAGAUAUCUAUUCAUUAUCUUAGCAACUCCAUUUUGCUGAGGAGUAUGUGUAACAGUUCUGUGUCUUAGAAUACCAAAUUCAUUGCAAAAUGUAUCAAAUUCAUGGUUGCAAAAUUCAAGUCCAUUAUCAGUUCUCAAUGCUUUAAUUUUCUUGUUGGUUUGAUUUUCAAUCAUGACUUUCUAUUUUUGAAGGUAUGAAAAGUAUCAGAUUUUUGUUUCAUCAAGAAAGUCCAGAUUUUUCUUGAGAAAUCAUCAACAAUUAGUAAAUAAUAUCUAAAUCCACUUAAAGUGUUUAUUGAUGCUGGACCCUAGAGGUCAGCAUGUAAAUAUUCCAGAAUUGAAGUGGAUAUAUAGGUUCCCGUUUUAAAAGGUAAUCUUUUCUGCUUUCCUAGUAUACAAUUUUCACAAAAUUCCAACCCUUCAAUUUUAUCAUUUCCAAAACAAGCAAGUCUUUUCAAAAUUGUUAGUCCCUUUUCAGAAAUGUGGCCAAGUCUAUUAUGCCAAAUUAAGGACUUAUUCAUUUCAGAGUUUAAGGCUGCACUGCAGUGACUGGCAAUUGGUUCUGCAGUAAUGGUAUAUAUACCAUUAGUUUUAGGGGAGGAUAAUACAGUUUUAUUUCCUUUUUGCAGUUCUAGGAGGCCUUUAUUUAUCAUAAUAGUGUAUUUAUCAUCAAGCUCUCCUAAGGAAAUAAGGUUUCUUCUAAGUUCAAGCACAUACUUGGUGUUCUGUAGUUCAAGUAUAUAGUUGUUCUCUAACUUCAACUUAACCUUCCCAUUUCCCUUUAUUUGACAACUCAUAUCAUUUCCCAUUUGAAUUUGCCCUCCACUAAAUUCAACAAAUUCAGAAAACCACUCUCUUUUGGGACACAUGUGAAAUGUACAUCCUGAAUCCAGAACCCAUUCUUUUGGGUCUCUAGAAUAGGUGUUAACAAGAACAACACCUUGAAUGUCAGGUUCAUUUCUACAGGCCACAGCUGCAGAACCAUCAAGAUUAUUUCUCUCUUUCAUAUCAGAAAUUUUCUUAAAGCAAUCUUUUAUUAGAUGUACAGUCUUAUCACAAUAAUAACACUUUCUGAUAUGAUUUUUUGUCUUCACAUGAUUCUUAUUCUUUUCUUUGGGUUUGGGAUUGGGAGAUUUCCAUUUCUUAUGGAAAUUAGAGCUUUGUUGAUAUUGUUUCUUGAUUUGAUUUACCCUUUCUUUUACAUAUAACCCUUCACCAUACUUAAGAUCUUUUGUUUCAGCCUUUAGUUCAAGUUCUCUAUUUCUUAAGGCUGUAGUAAUCUUAUCUAUGGUAAGUUCUUGACCCCUAUAUUCCAGGGCAUUUCUGAUGUCUUUAUAUUUCUCACUUAGUGAGUUUAAAAGAGUAACAACUUAUUGAUCAUUAGAAAUUUCCUCAUCACAGUUAUCUAAAUCCUAAAUCAAUUUAUUAAAUCCGUCAAGGUUUUCUUCUAGAUUAGAUGAGGGAUCAAACCUGAAGUUGUAAAAUUGCCUAAGAAGAUAACAUUUAUUUGGCAUGGUUUUGGUUAGACACAGAGUUUCCAAUUUAGUCCACAAUGCAGCAGCAGAGGUGGUUUCUCCUACUUUUCUAAUAACAUUAUGAGAUAAAUGUAAGAAUAUUGUACUCCAUGCAGUAUCAUCUAACUCUUGUCUCAUAUAGGCACUUAUUUCUACAGCCCAUUGACCAUCAAGGGCUACAGCACAUCUUUGUUGUAAAAGUAAUGCCCUCAUCUUCUGGCGCCAGAGACUGAAGUCUCCAGUGCUAGACCAAGUUUCAAGUUCAAAUUUAUGAGUAGUGGACAUUAUUACAGAUUCCUAGCACACAGCAGCUAUCUUACAACACUUAGAGUAUAAUAGUUCAGGCAAGUUAUGAUGCUUGUUUAAAAAACAGAACAGAUAAUAAUGCAGGAUAUUCUAGAGUUUAUACCUACUUAUUAUACAGUUCAAACAGUCAAUAUAUGAUAUUUUGAAAAAGGUUUAAGAGCUUAUAAUUCUUAAUUCCACUAUUCCCUCAGAUUUCCAGAUCCUCGCAGGAGAUCUUGGACAAAGGAAAGUAAUGGAGAAUUACUUACCUUAAUAACCAAUUUCCAAAAAAAAAAAAAGUAAAAGAAUAACUGUUUAUAGAGGGGGUUUCAAGAAAGAUACCAGAGCCUAAAAAUCAACAGUUUCAGAUUAAGGGAAGCACUAAGGGUAUGCAGGAUACGAAUCCAGCUCAGGAAUCCAGGUUGAAGAAAAACCAGCGAGUCACCAAGACUCAGUAAUGACUCAGCAAGAAAGCUAGAACUCAGCAGAACACUUAGUGAGUCAACACAACUCGUCAAAACUCAGCACGAGUCAUCAAAAAACAAGUUAGAACAAGAAUAACCAACAGUUCAUAAAAAAUAAAAAUAGAAAAACUUCAAGAUUCCAGUAGAGAAGGUAAAUCAAAACAACCGAGUUGAACUCCGAAUUAUAGAACUUCUAACAAAAAACAGUUUACUAUUUUCUGAAAAGAAUAAUUUCGAUUAUGUAAAACAACAAAUUUUUAAAAAAUUUUAAUUCGAAGUUUUGAGAUCUGCAAUAUACAAACAGAGAAAUAAAAAAAAAAUUGAGACGAAAGGUCAAAAAAAAAAAAAAUUUCCACACAAUAACUCGCUCUAAUACCACUGUUAGGUCCAAAUCGAAAAUAUUUUGUGGUUAUCACGUUUAAAAUUGAUUGCAGAAAUAAUAAAAUCAACACCAGAAUUUUUCGCCCCAAAAAGGGGCCCGGAUGUUCAACCUUUAGGCCUAAUCACCCGUUGAGCAUCUGUUGCACAGAUAGAACUCAAGAUCCACUAAGAAGAACCAAGAAAUGUUACAAAUGUACGAAGAAACUGAAAGUUUCUUCGAUAUAUCUCUCUAGCCUCUAUUCUAUAGAAAAUCACAAAGAUCAACUUCUACCAUGAAAGUAUUCUACUCUCGUUUACAUAACAUAUGGAAGAAUCACCAAUAAGAUGAAGAUCGAAUUUACAGAGAGAAAUAUUCAUCAAACCCUAACUGCACUCAGAGAAAGGGAAAAGACAGAGAGAGAGAGAGAGUCACAAAGCUUCUGGCGAAUGAAAGGGCCAAAACCAAGUUAAAAUAUCUGGUCAACCAAAGGAUGGGAUCCAAGGGUUGAGGAUCGGCCACGUUUACGGCUGAUACUCAACCCCUUUGAGGCGUUAAAUCGUGUUUCAAUUGGGUGCGACUUCUUUGCAACCCGGUCCGUAAUCAAUGGGCCAAAAAUUGUGAGGCAGCCCAAAGAAAAUUGGUUUAACAUUUUCGAACAUAAAUCGUUGAAAUACGAUCUUCUUGUGUUGAGCAUAUGGCUUAAUCACAGUUUCUUGAACAGGCUGAUAAGAGGGAAUAUAAACUGUCAUGUUCUUGUGUCGAUCCUUACUGGAUUUACCGGAUUCUAACUUCUGUGCUAGAAAAGGUAAAGAUGAGGGUUUGGGUAAAUUGGGGCGUGAAUUGGGGUAGGGAGUGAAUUAUGGUAGGGAAUUUAAUGAUAUAUUAUGUUAUGGAAUUGAUAAUAAUUUAUACUUUUCAGAUAUACUACAAAAAUUGCAGUAUAUUUGGUGAAAAACAAUGGAAAAUGUAAAAACAGGAUAUGUUUAUUAAAAGAUGUAUUGGGUGAAAUUACCUCUAAAAUAUUAUGUCAAAACAAAUCAAACCGGGAAAACCGGAUCUGGGCCUACGGUUAACCGGCUUUAAUGGGUUGGACUACAGGUUUUUUACCGAUUUGGAAAUUAAUGGGGUUUGGGCAUUAAUCGGACUGGAUUUUGAACCGGUUCCCAAUUGAACCGGCCGAUCCAGUCCGAUUUUCAAAACAUUGGAAAUUACACUUCGCUAAACAGAUUCGAUUGGCAGCCAGCCGCAUUAAACAAUUCAUUCACAAUUGAAAUCCAAAAGAGGAAAGAAUUCAUCAAACGGCGGUGGUCGCAAUCAGGAAUCAUAUUCAAUUGUUUUAAUUCCUCUCACAUGGCAGCCAUGAUUAAUUGUUUUCUUCCCAAACAAUAAAGAAAUGCAGAGAAAGCCAGCAAUUGAUUCAAACGCAAAUUGUCUUUAAUAAUCUAACAUGAGUGAUUUACACAUCACACGGGUCCCACAUAAAAAUCUUUCCAAAUAAUGUCACAAAUCUGAUUUUCUUGUAAUCAUAUGAAAAGGAAAUUUACGUGGUUCCAUGACAAACUUCUCGCACAAAAACAGGUUGCUUGAUCUCGAUCCAUAUAAACAUGUUUCUUGAAUCAAAAACUUGACACCAACAAUCCAAAAAUGUAAAAUUUUAGGGCUAAAAUUCAGAUCUCAAAAUUGAGAAAUUCAAACCAUAAAUUCUAAAAAUUUUAAUCCAGAUCUAGGAAGACAACCAAGAAUAACAUGGCGAAGAGUUUUCAAAUUCAACAAAACUAGAUCCGAAAUUGUCAAAUCUGAAAACUUUCAAAAUAUUGCGAGAACCAAAUCACAAAACUUUGAUUCUCAAUGAUUCAACAUGAAAAGACUCUGAUACUACUCGUAAAAAAUUCAUUACCUUCAUAAUCACUGGAUCUUUCAUGUUGGAUCAUCAAAAAAUCAAGAUCUAUAGCGGAAGCGUGCCUGAAUCAAAUAUGAUUAUUGUAAUAAUUGAAUCAUGUGGCUUAGUCUUUCAAAUCAACACGUAGUCUCAUUUUUUCUCUAUGAUUGGAUGCAAAAGAGAACUAACAAAAUAAAAUCUCUCUACGUGUGAUUCAGGGACCACAACCGUACUUAUAUACGGAUUCCCUUUUGAUCUAAUUUGACCCAUCAUGAAAUUAGGAACUUGGGUCCGAUCUGUACACACACAAAACCCACACUUUAAUUGGAUGCAUCAAAGUCCAAAAUCGAAACCUUAUUAGAUCAUUUUAAAUGGGUUCAACUGAAUUCGAUAGCCUUUAAUUUAAGUGGAAAUUACACUACACUAGGCAUUUAAAGAUCACAUUUCAAAAAUCAGAGAAGUUUGUUUAAUCAUAAAUCAGGUCUCAAUUCAAUUAUUGAUAUUAUUAAAUUAAUUAAUUUAUCCAACUCCACCCUACCCCGGCACACCACACCCCAUAUUCCCAAUUCAAUCCAAACCUAUUUUCAUUUUCCUUCCUCCUUUCUGUAUCUUAACCAUGCUCUCGCUACAAUAUCUCUCCACCAUAUUUUCUUUCAAAGAUGGUAGAACUCUCAAGGUCGAAUCUAAAUAGGUUGGGACUUGGGAUGGAGUGGAAACAUAGAGGAAGGCAAGCGAGGAGGUGAUUGCAACAGUACAUGACAAGCAUGAGACGGCUAAAGCACUUAUCGGGUCAGGCCCUCACACAAAACCAGCAGGGGAGGGGGUCGGAUUUAUGGGGUACUUUUUUAAUGCAGGACCCACUUCUCAUGUGAGACGCCCUGUAAGACCCCUGUGAGAAAGGACCUGGCAGACCAGCAAUUUCCAUAUCCCAGCGUUUGAGGUUAUUUUUGGGAAAACUUGGGAGUUAAUUGUUUCAAUGGUUACUGAAGUUAGGUCCAUGUCUUUCAUUGUUUAUUGAAAUUUAAAAUGUCGAGUUUUGGUUAUUGAUUUUAAGUCAUUGUCUUCGACUGCUCACUAAAGUUUAAAAUGUCGAGUUUUGGCCACUUAAUUUUGGAAAAUAUUGUAUGUUACUCACUAACAUAACUUCCGUCUCAAACCUCUAACGAAAUUGGUGACGUGGUUGACAGAAUGCAUACGUGUCAUCCCAUCACACCAUUAAACUUUGAGAGAAUUUUGGCCACUAAACUUUGAAAAAUGUCUUCUAUUACUCACUGAUCUUUGAGGUAGUGCCAUGCGUUUUCUGCAACGUGAUUUAUACCGCAAGUAUAUGGUGCCAAGUUUUAUAAUAUGGUAUUGAAAUAGAGUGUCAAACACAUAGGGAUUGUAAUUUAAUUUUCAUUAAGUACCAUAAUUGUGUAAUCUCUACUUUAUUUAGAUGAAUGUAUGAUUGAAUGGAUGAAUGUCUUAUGAAUGAAUGAUUUAAACUAAUCUAACAUGAUUGGAUGCGACAAAUUGGAAGAAUGCAAAUUAUCAAAUGAGAGGUGCUAGGGAUUGAUUUCACCUAACUCUCCAAUAUGAUUCAACGAUUUUCAAUUAUUCCGAUUAAUUUUCCCAUAUUUAAAAGCAAGAAUCCUAAUGUAUUUUUAACCACCUCUCUCGAGGACCGAUUAGAAAUUAACCCUAGAUCCCAAUUCCAACAUCUCUGUUCAAAAUUGAAAAUCAAGAAUUUAAUAAAAGUUUUGAUUCUUUUGUAAAGUAAGCUUAACAGAUUUAUACUUUCUCUCGAAACCUAUAAAACCUAUGUCAUGUCAAUCUUAUGAUCACGCCUAAAUUCCUCUUCUCUCGAGUGUCGAAAUUGACUAGCAUCAAAUCAUUUAAUUGUUAAUUAGCCAAUUGAAAGCAUCAAAAACCUUAACAGAAUUAAAUAUAUGCGGGAAAUCAAACGAAAUAUUUAAUUAGUUAAUCAAACCAUAAUUUCGAUUUGGCUACUUCAAACUCUAAGUAAGUUGUUUAGUUUAUGAUAAAGUCUAUGAAAUUCAUACAAAUUAUAAUGGAAAAUGUAAAGGGGAAAGAAAAGAAAUUAAACUCUUUUGGAGUGUAAUAGAUUCUUCCAUUGUUCUACUCCUCCAAUUAAAUUCUACCCUUUGACUCUUUCAAAGUUGUCCAGCCGUUCACUUUUUUCUCUUCUUCUAGAUUGUAUGUCGGUUGUCUGCUUGAAGUUCCCUCUGGUUCGUUCCUUCUACAAUUUUCGGUUAGCUAAAGCUCUUCCAGUCAAGCUCUGUAUUUGGGAUCUUGUGUUAGGCGGCUGAAAUCUAUGUAAUUCUCUCUAGAUUCUCCCCAAUUCUUGAAUUUGGGUGGUUGCCCUCUCUCUCCAAUUUGUCUAUCGGCUGCCCCCUAGUGUUGCCGACUCCAACCCCUCUUCAUUAGGUCUUGUAAGUGGUAUUUAUAAUUCUUUGGAGUUGCACUACAAUUUGGAAGUGGGCUGGGCUGUGAAAAAAUCCAGAAAUUGGUGAAGUUACUUCCUCGGAAGGUGACGCCUUACUACGGCUCGCUACUUCUUUUUCUUCUACUUUAAUAUGGCGUUGUAGCGAGGCACUGGGGCACCAUCUCUUUUGCCCCCUUCAGUUCUUGUAUUUUGUCUUCCUUCUUCAUUUUUUUCACUUAGCCUCAUCUAUCCCCUCUUUUCAACCCUUUAUCCAAACUGUAAAACAUGAAAAUCACAUGUUUACACAUCUAAAAUACUCUCAAGAGUGGCAUAAUAAUGGGUUAAGUGAUACACAAAAUCAUAAGUGUAGAACACUCAUCAAAUACCCUCAAACUUAAUAUUUUGCUAAUCCUCGAGCAAACACUAAACCAUAGAAAAUCGUUAACAAGAACACAAAUAACUUAAAAACAAGUUUAGCCAGGUAUCUUGCCUUCAUAGCUUAGAAUUAAAAAUAUAACAUCAAUUUCACUAAUCACUUCAAAGUUAUAAUGUACAAGCUAAAGUCUCACAUAUUCAAUGCAAAACGGGUAUGUGUGUGGAGAGAAUUAAAUGCAAUGCUGUAUAAUAAUAAAUUGAUCCAAUUCCUGAUCUUAAAAGUCAAAUAAUUCCUUACCUCUCUCGUAAGAUUCAUACGCCCCAGGCUUAUUUUCUUUUCUCUUCUCAACGGUGCAAUCUAAGGUGAAUUUUCAAUACUAGUUUCUUACAUCGCUCAAUUUUGAUUAGAUUUCACUGAUUACAGUUCAACAUGUCAACAAAUGAGGAUACUCGCUAUAUUUUUUGACUGGUUUAACCUCUAAGAAUCGAUCAAAUUACUAAUCCCUUAUCAAAGGUCUAAUCAUCUAAAAUAACUGUUAGGGGCUUAAUCAAGGCAUUUGAUAUCUAUUUUUUCUCCUUUUUUUUCUUUUUUCAGAUAUAAAUUUAUUCUUUAAUCACCAUUUGUGCGGACAUCCCUCCCUUAAGCUUUCUAAAUGACUUUUGUAGCAAACUUUAGACCAAUGAUGCUCUAAUUAGAUGACUUUAGAGCAUUAGGUUUUAAACCCUUACAGACUUAAUUACUUGAGUCAUAAAGGGUACGAAGAGAUGAUUUACAAUGAGAUUAUUAAAGUUGUCCUCAUUGGGAUAUUUUCUCUUUCUUUUUUUCUUUAUUUUAUUCUAGCGCAGUGAUUAGUGCAAUGCCCCUUAUUAAACACCUUGAUGCGAACUUCGUAGCAACAUUGACUACGAAACCCACAACUAAAUUGUUUCAAAACCCCAGAAAAGCCAAAAAAAAAAAAGUUUGGAGAUUGAACCUUAAAUCAAUGAAUCAAAAAACCCAGCAAAAAUGUUGCUUGAAGGACCCCUUUAUUACACAACCCAAGACCAACACUCGAUUUGUAGAAUGCUACAAGAAUAAUUCUUGAUAAGAACAAGGAAUUGAAAGCAAUAAGCCUUUCGUAUUAAAUCUGAAAAUAAUGUGUCGUAAAAUUACAUGGAAGAAAUAAACUUAUAUUUAUACUAAUCCUAGAAUAUAAGUUAUAAAAGGAAUAAAACUCUAAAAUCCUAGAAAAUAUGGAAAAGAUUCGUUCAACAUCUUAAGAAUUUAACUAACAAUAAAAUUCUAGCAAAUAUGGAAAAAAUGCGGAAAAAGGAAAUUUUCUUCCCGACUUGACUCUAUGCAGUCGCAUAGAAGAACCAAUUUGGUUACUUAAAUCCCUGCUUGCCCAAAUGCUACCGCAACUCCAAGUUAACUAUGCGGUUGCAUAGUUGACUUCGGUAGCUUCUUCUUCACUCACUUGUAUUGAUUUGAUUCAUUUUGAUUCGGCUCUCGACCCCAACAUGAAAGUUGCUUCAUUUUGUGUUCUAAACAUCGCCUCAUCAAUGGUUUCUCAAACGAUCAAUCCCAUCGCUUGUUUUACUUGCUUUGCCCUAAAUCACAUCAUCGAUCCGCCUUCGAUAAUCAACGGGUCUCAUCUCGAACUCGCCGUCUUCAAGCUCGAUUCUUGGAUCACAUCAUCCCCUCCCUCUUCAAAAGAAUUCGUCCUCGAAUCUGUACCUACAUCAAAGAGAGAGAGAUCAGACAGAUUAAAAGUUGCUGAAACAUUAUAUUCACCUGGUAGGUCCAACUUGUAUGCAUUGUCGUUGAUCUUCUCGGUGACUUGAAAUGGACAAUCUCCCCGCGGUUGCAACUUUGACUUCCUUUGCUUUGGAAAGCGUUCCUUUCUGAAAUGUACCCAAACCCAGUCUCCUAGUUCGAAUGUCACACGCUUCCUACCCUUGUUUGCCUAUGAUGUAACAACCUUGCUUUUGUUUUCAAUUUGCAGCUAUACCUUUUCAUGGAGUGUUUUCACCAACUCUCCUUUUCUUUUACCAUCUAAACUGCUUCGCUCAUUCACAGGUAACGGAACUAAAUCCAAUGAGGUUAGUGGAUUAAAACCAUAAACGACUUCAAAAGGUGAAAAUGAAGUAGUAGAAUGAACAACACGAUUAUAAGCAAACUCAACAAAAGGAAAACACUCUUCCUAAUUUUUCAAGUUCUUAUUGCUAACUGUGCGGAAUAGUUGAAUCAUGGUCCUAUUGACUGCCUCAGUUUGCCCAUCGAUUUGUGGGUGACAAAUUGUUGAAAAUAACAACUUUGUUCCUAACUUACCCCACAGCACUCUCCAAAAAUGACUCAAAAAUUUCACAUCCCUGUCAGAUACUAUACUCUUAGGAACCCCAUGCAAACCUCUUUAAAGAACAAGUCAGCUAUAUAUGUGGCAUCGUCGGUUUUGUUAAGUGUGCCAUUUUACUAAACCUAUCUAUCAUCACAAAAAUAGAAUUUUGUCCUUUCUUAGUCCUAGGUAAACUCAAAACAAAAUCCAUAGAAAUGUCAACCUUACGUUCACUAGGCGUAGGCAGUGGUGUGUAUAACCCUUGAGGUAAAAAUUUAGACUUAGCCCUUUUACAUGUUAAGCAUCGACUACAAAUUCUCCCAACAUCUACUUUCAUCUUAGGCCAAUAGAAAUGCUCCACCAACAUCUCCAAAAUUUUCUGUACCUCAAAAUGUCCCAUCAAUCUACCACUAUGUGCUUCUUUCACCAAUGAUUCUUGCAUUGAACAAUUAGGAACACAUAACCUAUUUUCCCAAAAUAAACAACCCUCAUGCCUAAAGAACUUAUCAACAACCCCUUUUUCACAAGAUUUAUAAAUAUUGAAAAAAUCUAGAUCAAUUUCAUACAUGCUCUUAAUAUGUUCAAAUCCUAGCAAUUUAGCACUUAAAGAAGCUAUCAAGGCAUACCUUCGGGAUAACGCAUCUGCCACUAUAUUUUCUUUACCUUGCUUGUACUUGAUGACGUAGGAAAAUGUCUCAAUAAACUCCCAUCCACCUAGCAUGCCUCUUGUUCAAUUUUUCUUGACCCCGCAAGUGCUCCAAUGAUUCAUGAUCAGUGUGAACAACGAACUCCUUCGACCACAAGUAGUGCUGCCAUGUUUCCAACACCCGAACAAGAGAGUACAACUCUUUGUCAUAUGUUGGGUAGUUCAGUGCAGCCCUACUUAGCUUUUCGCUGAAAUAGGUUAUCGGUCUCCUUUUCUGUAUUAAAACUGCUCCAAUACCUAUUCCUGAUGCAUCACAUUCAAUCUCGGAAGUUUUGUUAAAAUCAAGUAAUGCCAAAACAAGUGCCUUGCACAAUUUAUCCUUAAUGGUACUACAUGCAUGCUCCUAUUCAUUACCCCAAUAAAAACUCACACUCUUUUUAAUGACUUCAGUGAGAGGUACAGUGAUUGUGCUAAAAUCAUUUACAAACCGCCUAUAAAAACUAGGCAGACCAUGGAAAUUUCUAACUUCAGUUAUAGUUUUAGGUGUAGGCCAAUAUUUAAUAGCUUUUAUCUUUUCUUCAUCCACCUCUACCUCGUUAGCACUAACCACAAAACCUAGAUAGACAACUUUAUCCAUACAAAAUAUGCAUUUCUUGAAAUUAGCAUACAGUUGUUCUUUCAUUAACACCACUAGCACACAUCUCAAGUGUUCAACAUGCUAAUUAAGGUUUUUGAUAUAGAUUAAGAUGUCAUCAAUGUAAACCACAACAAAUUUUCCUAUAUAAGCACAUAAAAUAUGAUUCAUUAAAUGCAUAAAGUUCUCGGUACAUUAGUGAGUCCAAAUGGCAUAACCAACAAUUCAUACAAGCCAUACUUAGUUUUAAAUGCAGUUUUUCAUUCAUCACCUUCCCUCAUGCGAAUUUGAUGGUACCCAUUCUUAAGAUCGAUUUUACUAAAGAUACAUGUACCAUGCAAUUCAUCCAAUAUAUCAUCUAACCUAGGAAUUGGGUGAUGAUACUUUACUGUUAUGUUGUUGAUGGCUUUGUAAUCCACACACAUUCUCCGAGACCCAUCUUUCUUUAGCACGAGCAAUACUGGUACUGCACAUGGACUCAUACUUUCCCUUACAUAACCUUUGCUCGUCAACUCCUCUACCUGCCUCUGAAGUUCAUUUGUCUCCUCGGGAUUGCUUCGGUAAGCUGGUCAAUUUAGGAUGAUAGCUCGAGGUAUGAAGUCAAUAUGGUGUUCAAUGCCUCGAAUGGGUGGCAACCUACUAGGUAUGUCAUCCAGGAAUAUGUCUUCGAAUUCCCACAACAAAGACUUAACCAAACUAAGGAGGGAUGGGUUAGUUUUCUCAAAAAUUGAGGAGCAUUUCUUUAUACAGCAACAAAAUCAUUUCUUUCCUCUCAACUACCGCUCUCUUCAAAUUACUCUCUUUUGUAAAGAAAUUCACUGGUGACCUCUCAUUUCUCACGGAAGACUCUCUUUCUUUUCUCUAUUGUGGCUCCUCUCUCUUUUUCUCUUUAAUAGCCACCUCACCAUUUUUCUCUCUUACUUACACCCUCACUAUUUCUCUCCUCUUCUCUGGCUCUUUUACUCUUCUUUCUUCCACAUUCUUCAACUUAAUUUGAUCCUCAUAUACCUGUACCGGAGUUAAUGACACAAGUGUAAUGGUCUUUCCAUCAUUAACAAAACUGUAGUGAUUUUUGUACCUAUCAUGCUUAGCCUUUCUAUCAUACUACCAAGGUGUCCCUAACAAAAUAUGUCCCGCCUGCAUCGGUACUACAUCGCACACCACCUCAUCCCAGUAACUUCCAAUUGAGAGAUUAAUUAACACUCUUCGUGAUGCGAACCCCGUAGCAACGUUGACUACGAAACCCACAACGAGAUUGACGAACUCAGGAAAGCCAAAUUAAUCCAAGAGUUUAGGAUUAACCCAAAAGAAAGUCGAACCAAAAAACCCAACAAGAACAACGCUUGAAAGACCCAUUGAUCACGCAAUCCAAGAAUUAAAUCCGAUUGUUUGAACGCCAUAAGUUAACACUUGAUAAGUUCAAAAUUGUUCAAUGAAGAACGAUGAAGAGAAGACAAUACGUCUCACUUUUAAUUCAAUAUCAAUAAUGUCAAAGGUUUUUUAACAAUCGAAUGGAAACUCCUAUUUAUACUAAACCUAAAAACUAGGUAAAAAUUGUGCAAAAGUCGAGUAUAAUCUCCAAAAUAUGGAAAAGAAUCAAAAUCUAACAAAAUAUGGAAAAUUGCCAAAAUUGAAAAAUUCGCCAAAUUUUUGGCUUGUGCGGCUGCAUGGUGUAAAUCCAUGCAGUCGCAUGGUUCAACUGAAAUUGCACUUUUGGUUUUCGGUAUGCAUGCGUGCGGUCACAUGUAGUUUUGCCUAUGCGGCCGCAUGGUGUUGUCUUCAACCUCCGCUUUCGUCGCUUGAUAACAAAUUGAUCUAAGUUGAUUUUGCCUUCGACCCGAACAUAAAAGUUGCUCCAUUUUGAGUCCCGAACAUGGUUCCAUCAAUGGUUUCUUGAACGAGCAAUCCCAUCACUUGUUUCACUUGCUUUACCCUUGAUCGCGUCAUUGGUCCACCAUCGACUAUCAACGGGUCUCGUCUCGCACUUGCCUUCAUCGGGCUCGGCUCCUGGAUCAUAUCAUCCCCUCCCUCUUCAAAAGGAUUCGUCCUCGAAUCUGACCUGCAUCAAACAGAGAGAGAUCAGAUACAUUAAAAGUAGCCGAAACAUUGUACUUACCUGGAAGGUCCAACUUGUAAGCAUUGUCGUUUAUCUUUUCAAUCACUUGAAAUGGACCAUCACCUCUCGGUUGCAACUUGGACUUUCUUUGCUCCAGAAACCGCUCUUUCCUAAGGUGCACCCAAACCCAAUCUCCUGGCUCGAAUGUCACGCGCUUCCUACCUUUGUUCGCCUGCGACGCAACCAACUUACUUUUGUUUUCAAUUUGCACUUUUACCUUUUCAUGGAGUGACUUAACCAAUUCCGCCUUCUUUUUGCCAUCUAAACUACCACCUUCAUUCACAGGUAAAGGAAUCAAAUCCAAAGGAGUUAGUGGAUUAAAAUCAUAUACAAUUUCAAAUGGAGAAUAUGACGUAGUACAGUGAACAGCUCGAUUGUAUGCAAAUUCAACAAAUGGUAGACACUCCUCCUAACUCUUCAAAUUUUUAUUGAUUACUGUGCGUAACAAUUGUGUCAUAGUCCUACUUACUACCUCGGUUUGCCCAUCCAUUUGUGGGUGACAAGUUGUGGAAAAUAGUAACUUAGUGCCUAACUUACCCCACAAAACUCUCCAAAAGUGACUCAAAAAUUUGACAUCCAGAUCCGACACUAUGCUUCUAGGAACCCCAUGUAAACACACAAUCUCUUUAAAGAAUAAGUCAGCAAUUUUUGUGGCAUCGUCAGUUUUGUGACAUGGUAUAAAAUAUGCCAUUUUGCUGAACCUAUCUACAACCACAAAAAUAGAAUCCUGACCUCUCUUAGUCUUAGGUAAACCCAAAACAAAGUCCAUCGAGAUAUCAACCCAAGGCUCACUAGGUGUAGGUAAAGGUGUGUACAAACCUUGUGGUAAAACCUUAGAUUUAGCCUUUUUACAACCUAUGCAUCGACUACAAAUUCGCUCAACAUCACUUUUCAUCUUAGGCCAAUAAAAAUGCUCCUUCAAUACAUCUAAAGUCUUUUGAACCCCAAAGUGUCCCAUCAACCCACCACUAUGUGCCUCCCUUACUAACAACUCCUGAAUAGAACAAUUGGGAACACAUAACCUAUUUUCCCAAAAUAAAUACCCCUCAUGCCUAAAGAACCUAUCAACAGCCCCUUUUAUGCAUGAUAAAUAAAUAUCCGAAAAUUCAAUAUUUUUUUCAUACAAUUCCUUAAUAUGUUCAAACCCAAGUAACUUAGAAUCAAGAGUAGUUAGCAAUAUGUACCUUCGUGACAACGCAUCCGCCACCACAUUUUCCUUACCUCGUUUAUACCGAAUGACGUAUGGAAAGGUCUCAAUGAAUUCCAUCCACAAUGCAUGCCUCUUGUUCAAUUUAACUUGUCCCCGCAAGUGCUUUAGUGACUCAUGAUCGGUGUGUAGUACGAACUCCUUCGACCAUAGAUAAUGUUGCCAAGUCUCCAAAGCUCGAACAAGUGCAUAAAGUUCUUUGUCAUAUGUAGGAUAAUUUAAAGUAGCUCCACUUAAUUUCUCGCUAAAGUAUGCAAUAGGCCUCUAAUCCUGCAUUAAAACUGCUCCAAUCCCUAUUCCUGAUGCAUCACACUCAAUCUCGAAUGUUUUAUCAAAGUUAGGUAAUGCCAAAACAGGUGCUUCACACAAUCUACCUUUAAUAGUAUUAAAUGCAAGUUCUUGUUCAUCACCCCAAUGAAAACCUACACUCUCUUUAACUACUUCCGUGAGUGGUGCAGUGAUAGUACUAAAAUCCUUUACAAAUCGUCUAUAAAAACUAGCUAAACCAUGAAAACUCCUAACUUUCGUUAUGCUUUUAAGUGUCGGCCAAUCUCUAAUAGCUUUUAUCUUUUUAUCGUCUACUUCUACCCCACUAGCACUAACCACAAAACCAAGAAAUAUAACUCUAUCCAUGCAAAAUGUGCAUUUCUUAAGAUUAGCAUAGAGUUGUUCUUUCCUUAAAACAAUUAGCACACUCUUUAAAUGUUCCAAAUGCUCUCCUAGGUCUUUGCUAUAGAUUAAUAUGUCGUCAAAAUAAAUCACAACAAAUUUUCCUAUAAAAGCACGUAAAACAUGAUUCAUUAAACGCGUAAAAGUGCUAGGUGCAUUUGUAAGUCCAAACGGCAUAACCAACCAUUCAUAUAAACCAUAUUUAGUUUUAAAAGCCGUUUUCCAUUCAUCACCCUCCCACAUACGAAUUUGAUGAUACCCGCUUUUUAAAUCAAUUUUAGAAAAUAUGCAAGCACCAUGUAAUUCGUCAAGCAUGUCAUCUAACCUAGGUAUAGGGUGACGAUACUUUACCGUUAUGUUGUUGAUAGCCCUACAAUCCACGCACAUUCGCCAUGUUCCAUCCUUUUUUGGUACAAGCAAAAUCGGUACCGCACAAGGACUCAUGCUUUCCCUCACGUAUCCUUUGCUCAUCAACUCCUCCACUUGCCUUUGAAGCUCCUUAGUCUCCUCGGGGUUACUUCGAUAAGCCGGUCGAUUUGGGCUGACAGCUCCAGGUAUGAAGUCAAUUUGAUAUUCAAUGCCUCGAAUAGGCAGCAAUCCACUUGGUGCAUCCUCCGAAAAUACAUCAUCGAAUUCCUGCAACAAAGACUUAGCCAAACUAGGGAGGGGUGGGUUAGUUUCCUCAAAAUUGAGGAGUGAUUCCUUAUAAACGAACAAGAUCAUCUCUUUUCUCUCAACUACCGCCCUCCUCAAAUCACUCUCUUUUGCAAACAAAUUCCUUUGUGUUUUCUCUCUUCUCUCGGGGCACUCUCUUUCUUUUCUCUCUUGUGAUUGCUCUCUCUUUUUCUCUCUAAUGGCUAUCUCAACAUUUUCUCUCUUUUUCUCCAACUCACUAUUUGCUCUCAUUUUUUCUAACUCCUUUGCUCUCGUCUCUUCGUCACUUCUCAAUUUUAAUUGGUCUUUAUAGACUUGCGCCGGUGUUAAUAGCACAAGAGUAAUGGUCCUUCCAUCCUUAAUGAAACUAUAUCGAUUUUUGUACCCAUCAUGCAUAGCCUUCCUAUCGUAUUGCCAUGGUCACCCCAAUAAAAUAUGUCCCGCUUGCAUUGGCAUCACAUCACAUACUAACUCAUCCUUGUAACUCUCAAUUGACAAAUUAAUUGACACUCUUCGAUUCACCCUCACCUCGCCGCUCUCAUUCAACCAUUGCAAUUUAUAAGGUCUCGGGUGUUUCAACAAUGUUAAAUCCAACUUUUCUACAAGAGAUACGCUAGCUACAUUAGUGCAACUACCACCAUCAAUUAUAACACUACAUACCGUAUUGUUGACGUGGCAUCGAGUGUGGAAAAUGUUCUCCCGUUGCAACUCCAAGUCAUCCGCUUUGACGUGAGUAGUGAGAGCUCGCCUUGUGACUACUAGAUCCCCAACAGGCCCUUCAACUUUUUCUUCUUCACUAACACCCUCCAUUGUCGGCAUGUCAUCAAACUCGCCAUCACUAUCGCUCACAAUCUCUCCAUUAUCUCGCAACACCAUCGCCUGUUUGUUUGGGCAUUGAGAAGCAAUAUGCCCCGUUCCCAAACACCUAAAACAUUUGAUGUCCCGAUUGCGCGAUGGUUGUGCCUCCGAUUUUGAUAUUCGUUUGCUAGCAUUUUCAUCCUUGCCCUUUUGCCAAUCAUUUUUACCUCUAGGUACAGGCCCGUUUUUGUUGUUGUCAUCCCACUUCGAUUUCCAUGUUGGAUUAGGAGUCGAAGUACCUAACGGUUGCCUAGACGUCCCCUUCCUCUUCAAUUGCCUCUCGACCUUCAUUGCCACAUGUAACAUGUCCUCGAUUUCCACAUAGCGUUGCAACUCUACAACAUUUGCAAUAUCCUGAUUUAACCCAUUCAAGAACCGUGCCAUGGUAGCUUCCCGAUCUUCCUCCACAUUAGCCCGAAUCAUAAGAAUUUCCAUCUCCUUGUGAUAAUCCUCUACGCUUUUCGAUCCUUGGUACAAACUUUGCAAUUUUUGAUGGAUUUCCCUAUAAUAGUGACUCGGAACAAACCUCCUCCUCAUCAACAUCUUCAACUCAUCACAAGUGCUAAUUGGCCUUUCCCGACCCCUACGCCGUGAUGUCAGUACUUGAUCCCACCAAGAUAUCGCGUAAUCCACAAAUUCAAGCACCGCUAAUUUUACCUUUUUCUCCUCCGAAUAAUUAUAGCACUCGAAAAUCAUCUCAACCUUUCUUUUCCAAUCUAAAUAUGCUUCCGGAUCACUUCUCUCCUUAAAUUGCGGAAUAGUCAUUUUAAUACUCCCCAAAUUUCCAUCUACUUCAUCUCCCAAGUUAUUCCUACCCCAUCUUUCCAUCCUAUCGCCCCUAUUCCUCGCUCGACCCAUAUCAAUGUCAUUUUUAUCAAAAUCAUCCUCAUCACUACGAUACUCAUCUCGCCUUCCUCUCCUAGAUUCACGCCUACCCGGCCCCCUAGCAUUAGACAUCUCUACUUGUCCCUGGCUAAGAUUAGCAAUUGUAGUGCCCAUUUGUGCCAUCCAUUCCCCUUGCCUAUCUACCUUCUCCCUAACAUCACCAAGUACCCUUUCAAACCUCCUUAUCAUGUCCUUGAUGCAUUGUUGUCGUUACCAUUUCAGUUAGAAUUAGAACCUUCUCUUUCCGACAUCAUAUCACACAAUUUUUUUUUAUGCCUCACAAAGAUUUUCACUCCAAAAACACUCACUAUGGCUUUUUCCCUCUAUUAAACUCACCACUCGGCCUUUUACCACUCAAAGUCUCCCUCCAAGCACUUCAAAGAACCAAGUGAACUAAAUCAAUUAUUUUACCGGCAAUUCAAACAAAUCAAAUAUUAAUCAAAAACGACGAGACUCAAAGGACUUGAAUAAGUGGAAUAGAUGAAUGUUUUGACACGAAUAUGUGAAUAGACUCAAAAGAAGAAUGACAGACUCGAACCCAAUUGAAUAUCCCAAAACUCAAACAUAAUGUAGGAAUUGUUGUUGGUAGAAAAAAACACAAAAUCAAACAAUGAUAUCAAAAAAAUUUUUAUAUAUAUAUUUUUUUAUUUUUUGUGAACAAUACUUCGAGAGGAACAGUACCUCGAAUGUACAAUAAACUUUUUUUUUUUUACUCCUUGAUGAAAGAAGGUGAGUAAACUACCAACAACUCAACAAAACAAUGAAAAGAAAACAAGAAUGAAGAAAAACUAAGAAAGAAAAAUUAACGACCCAAACAAAUAAAGAAAAGAUAUAACCUUCAAUUAAUUUGGAGCCAAAGCUCUGAUACCAACUAAUGUGAACCCCGUAGCAACGUUGACUACUAAACCCACAACGAGAUUGACGAAUCCAAGGAAGCCAAAUUAAUCCAAGAGUUUAGGAUUAACCCAAAAGAAAGUCGAACCAAAAAACCCAACAAGAACGACGCUUGAAAGACCCCCUUGAUCACGCAAUUCGAGAAUUAAAUCCGGUUGUUUGAACGCCACAAGUUAACACUUGAUAAGUUCAAAACUGUUCAAUGAAGAACGAUGAAGAGAAGACAAUACGUCUCACUUUUAAUUCAAUAUCAAUAAUGUCAAAGGUUUUUUAACAAAUGAAUGGAAACUCCUAUUUAUACUAAACCUAAAAACUAGGUAAAAAUCGUGCAAAAGUCAAGUAUAAUCUCCAAAAUAUGGAAAAGAAUCAAAAUCUAACAAAAUAUGGAAAAUUGCCAAAAUUGAAAAAUUCGCCAAAUUUUUGGCCUGUGCGGCUGCAUGGUGUAAAUCCAUGCAGUCGCAUGGUUCAACUGAAAUUGCACUUUUGGUUUUCGGUAUGCAUGCAUGCGGUCACAUGUGGUUUUGCUUGUGCGGCCGCAUGGUGUUGUCUUCAACCUCCGCUUUCGUCGCUUGAUAACAAAUUGAUCCAAGUUGAUUCGGCCUUCGACCUGAACAUGAAAGUUGCUCCAUUUUGAGUCUCGAACAUGGUUCCAUCAAUGGUUUCUUGAACGAGCAAUCCCAUCCCUUGUUUCACUUUCUUUGCCCUUGAUCGCGUCAUUGGUCCGCCAUCGACUAUCAAUGGGUCUCGUCUCGCACUUGCCUUCAUCGGGCUCGACUCCUGGAUCAUAUCACUUCGAUUAACCCUAACUUUUCCACUUUCGUUUAACCAUUGCAAUUUAUAUGACCUAGGGUGUCUCAAUAGUGUUAAGUUUAAUUUUUCUACAAGUGCUACGCCAGCAACAUUUGUACAACUACCACUAUCAAUAAUGACACUACAUACCGUAUCAUUGACAUGGCAUCGAGUAUGAAAUAUGUUCUCCAUUUGCAACUUUGAAUCAUCCUCCUUGACAUGAGUAGUAGAGCUCUCCUUGCAACCAAAAGAUCACCAGCAGCGCCUUCAAUCUUCUCUUCUUCACUAAUCUCCUCCAACGCUGACAUAUCAUCAUAUUUACCUUUACUUUCACUCACCUUCUCUCCAUUGUCCAGCAACACCAUCGCCCUUUUGUUUGGACAAUGAUAAGCGAUAUGCCCCGACCUCAAGCAUCUAAAACACUUGAUGUCUCGACUCCUUGAUGGUUGUGACUCCGAUUUUGGUAUUAUUUUGCUAUCUCCUUCAUUCUUUCCCUUCUGCCAUUCAUUUCUACCUUUAGGUAUAGCCCCAUUUCCUUUUUUGUUGUCCCAUCUCAAUUUUCAAGAUGAAUUAGAACCCAAAGCACCCAUUUGUGGCCUAGAUGUCCCAUUUCUCUUCAAUUAUCUCUCCACCUUCAUGGCUACAUGCAACAUAUCUUCUAACUCCACAUAAUGUUGCAAUUCCACUACGUUAGCAAUUUCUUGAUUUAGCCCGUUCAAAAACCGCGCCAUGGUAGCUUCCUAAUCCUCAACCACAUUUGCCCUAAUCAUAAGAAUCUCCAUCUCCUUGUGGUAAUCCUCAACAUUCUUUGACCCUUGGUACAAACUUUGCAAUUUCUGAUGGACCUCCCUAUAGUAGUGAUUAGGAACAAACCGUUUUCUCAUCAACGCUUUCAACUCUUCCCAAGAGCUAAUCGAUCUACCCCACACCUACGUUGUGAAGUAACUACUUGAUCCCACCAAGUUAUUGCAUAGUCAAUAAAUUUUAAAAUCGCUAACUUCACCUUCUUUUCCUCCAAGUAAUUAUAGCACUCAAAAAUCAACUCAACCUUUCUCUCUCACUCCAAAUAUACUUCCGGAUCACUUCUUCCUUUAAACUGUGGAAUGGUCAUUUUUAUAUUUCCUAGGUUCCCAUCCAUCUCGUCUUCAUGAUUAUUCCUAUCCCUUCUUUCAAACCUAACACCUCUAUUCCUCAUUCGUCCCCAAUCGAUGUCAUUAACCCCAUAUUCAUCCAUAUCACUAUCAUACUCUUCACACCUCACCCUUCUAGGUUCUCGCCUACUCGGUCCCCUAGCAUUUGACACCUUCACUGGCUGUCCCCUGCUAAGAUUAGCCACAGAUGUAUCCAACCUAGUCAUCCAAUCUUCCUGCUUAAUCCUCCAAGCGUCCUAUUGAUCCAACCUAUCCCUCACAACUCUAAAUGUACUCUCAAACUUCUGUAUCAAAUCAUCUGUUGCACUAUUAUGAUUGCCGUGUCGACUUGAAUUAGAAUUCUCGCGUUCAAACAUCAUAAAACUAGUAAUUUAUCAGUCUCACCUGUUUUCACUCAAAAAUCACACAAUAUAGCUUUUACCCUCUAACAAGCUCAUCACUCUGCCUUUUACCACUCGGUGCAUUCUUCCAAGCACUUCAAAGAACACAAUGAACUCAAAGAUUGUUUAAACCCGUGGAAUUCCCAGCCGAAUGUGAACUAUAGGAUUGUGAUACAAAAAUAACUCAAAGAAAUUUAAAUGGACUGACGGGAAAGAAACUAAUGGAACUUGAUAAAAUUAAAAAAAACGACAAUUGUUGGUAGUAAAGUGCACAAUAAAAUAACAAUAAUGAUAAUAAUAUUUUUUUUUACUGUUACUGUAUAGUGAACAACAACGUGAAUGGUAAAAAAAAUUUCGACUUUUUUUUCCUUUUUCUGGACGUGAACAGUAAGCUGCCUUUGUUUUUUUUUUUUUUUUUUGCUAAAACAAUGAAUUAAACUACCAACGACUCAAAUGAAGAAGAAAGAUAAGAUAAACAAUGAAGAACGAGAUCUAAGACACAAAUUAACAAGAACACGAAGUACUAAGAAGAAAAAUUGACAAAAACGCGAAAAAAACUAGACUCAACGAAGAAAACAAAAAGAUACAACCUGUUAAUUGGAGCCUGUGCUCUGAUACCAACUGAUACGAAUCCUGUAGCAGCGUUAACUAUGAAACCCACAACUAGAUUAUUUCAAAACCCCAGAAAAGCCAAAUAAAAUGUUUGAAGAUUGAACCAUAAAUCAAUGAAUCAAAAAACCCAGCAAAAACAUUGCUUGAAGGACCCCUUGAUUACAAAACCCAAGACCGGCACUUAAUUUGUAGAACGCCACAAGAAUAAUUCUUGAUAAGUUCAAUGUGUUCAAUUAAGAACAAGGAAUUGAAAGCAAUAAGCCUUUCGUAUUAAAUCUCAAAAUAAUGUGUCGUAAAAUUACAUGGAAGAAAUAAACUUAUAUUUAUACUAAUCCUAGAAUAUAAGUUAUAAAAGGAAUAAAACUCUAAAAUUCUAGAAAAUAUGGAAAAGAUUCGUUCAAUAUAUUAAGAAUUUGACUAAGAAUAAAAUACUAGCAAAUAUGGAAAAAACGCGGAAAAAGGAAAUUUUCUUCCCGAAUUGACCCUAUGCGGCCACAUAGAGUAAUUCUAUGCGGUCACAUAGAAGAACUAAUUUGGCGACUUAAAUCCUUGCUUGCCCGAAUGCGAACGUAGCUCCAAGUUAACUAUGCGGUCGCAUAGUUGACUUCGGUAGCUUCUUCUUCACUCACUUGUAUUGAAUUGAUCCAUUUUGAUUCUACUUUCAACACCAAGAUGAAAGUUUCUUCAGUUUAUGCUCCGAACAUCGUCCCGUCAAUGGUUUCUCGAAUGAGAAAUCCCAUCAUUUGUUUUACUUGCUUUACCCUUGAUCGCAUCAUCGGUCCACCUUCGAUAAUCAACGGGUCUCGUCUCGAACUCACUGUCUUCAAGCUCAAUUCUUGGAUCACAUCAUACCUAUUCUCAAAAAUCAACCUCUAAUUUAAGGUUUUCACCUAAUUUUCAUCUUAUUAGUUCAAGACAGUCCACAAAAAAAUUAGCGCACACGGAAUCCACAUUAAUAUCUAUAUUUCCCUACAAUAGAUGAACCUUCUAAACGGUUUAGGGGUAUAGUAAUGUUUAACGGUUGUUUGGGUUUAGCAUCUAAGUUAUCUAGUCCAACCUAUAAACAUGAAUUAACCUACGCAAGUACAACACCACAAUCAAUUCACGUGCAUAAAAUAUUUUCUGUCUAGCAUGAAUAAGCAAAAAUUUAACUCAAACACAUAACUUAUUCAUAAUUCAUAAACCAACGCAUGUUCUCAAUUACACAAAUCAAUAUUGGCAAGACUAUCUAACUCACACAAGCAUGCAAAACACAAUGAUUUUUUUUAAACAAUGCACAGAAUUAAGAAAUUAAAAAAUGCACACAAAUCAAAGAAAAAUUUGUACACAAAUCACACAAAUUGAAAAAUUCAAGCAGUUAGAAAAAUAAAAAAAUAUAGGUAAUUAGGCAAUUUAUAAUAUACUCCUCUCAAACUUAAACUAAACAUUCUCCCCAAUGUGAAAUUAAAAUAAAAGGAGGAGGACUUUCCUGAAUUGUCUGAAUUGGCAAUGAUGGUCUGAUGCUCUGAUGUUGAAUUUAAUGGACCUCUUUUCUAACUUUUCUCCCCAAACUUGUGAUUUUUCAUGUUUUCUCCUUGUCACUGUUGGUAUAAUUGUUCCGCGAUGUCAUGUUCCUGAAAAAUCAAAUUUUAUAUAUUAAAUAUAUGGAACAAGUGUUACUUAGCUCAAACAUCUAAUAACCAACUUGACUACUUAUAAACCUAAAGGAAGACGGGAUAUGGCUGAUGAAUUCCUAAAUAAAAACUAUAAAAUAACUUAAACUAUCCUAUUAAUCAAAAACAAAAGAACAAAAUAAUAAAACAAUAAAACGCUUAGGUUACCUCCCAAGAAGUGCUUGUUUAGAGUCAUUAGCUUGACUUUGGCAAUUGCAUUAUGGAACUAUAAAGAAGGCUUUGGAUGCCCUGUCGAUUUUUCUUCUUUUGUCUUUGCUCCACUCUUCGUUGUUUUUCCAAACCUCGUCAUUGUCCUUUUCAAUGUGAUAUGAUCUUUUGUGCGGUCCAAUUCAAACUCAAUAGUAGACUUCAACCUUCUCAUCGGAUUUAAUCACAAAAUCAAUCUCUAUAUAAUCAAUGAAGUCAGACGAAUGUACGUUGUUUUCAUCUUCAUUGAUUUCUACAUCUUCGUUUGGUUCCUUUGUGAUCAAGUUGUCAUUCACUUCAGGCUCUUCUACGAUCAUUGAAAUUUCUUCGGAUUGAUUUAUUGAUCCACAUUCUAUAUCCACGGACGAUGAGAAGUCAUUCUUCAACCCCUUCGAGUGGAUUGUAUUUCCACCUUUUAAAUUCACUCCAGUAACUCCAAUCUCCAACCGAUAUUUUGCUCUCUUCCAAAUUGGCAAGUUUAUUGUAGUACUUUGCAAUUACCCUCCCAUUCAACAGAGGAGGACCAUUUCCCAUAAGUGUGAUGUCCUUAUCCCAAUCAAUAGGUACUUAAUCUUCCAAAGGCAUGUAGUCUUCAUCAGAUUUGUCAAUCGCUUCUUUUUGACAUCUUAAACAACGUAUGAACCUUUACUUUAUGGGGGUUGGUAGGUGUAUGCCAACAGUGCUUAGUGUAAUGCAUCCCACAGCAGAUUUCACAGAAGAUAUUUUCAACAAACAUGUAGUUUGUAUCCAUGUCAAGAUUACUUAUUUCAGUUGCUCUGCUCUCUUGCUGAUGUUGGAAUUAUGCAUAUACUAUUGAGUAGUUCCUGGAAAAUAUUUUAAAAAAAAAAUCAGGUGGGUAGGCAAAAUUAACAAAAUAAAAAAAAGAAAGAAAAAAUCUAAAUUAAAAUAGAAAUUACUUGAUAAUAAUAUGAGUAAAAAUCAUAUUAACAAUUCCCCGACAAUGGUGCCAAAUACUUGCCACGCGUUUUCUACAACAUGAUUGAUACCGCAAGUGUACGAUGUCAAGUUUUGUAAUAUAAUAUUGAAGUAGAGUGCCGAACCCAUAGUGAUUGUAAUUUAAUUUUCACUAAGUACUAUAAUUGUAUAAUCUCUACUUUAUUCAAAUGAAUGUAUGAUUGAAUGGAUGAAUGUUUUAUGAAUGAAUGAUUUAAACUAAUCUAACGUGAUUGGAUGCGACAAAUUGGGAGAAUGCAAAUUAUCAAAUGAGAGGGCCUAGGGUUUGAUUCCACCUAACUCUCAAUUAUGAUUCAAUGAUUUUCAAUUAUUUCGAUUAAUUUUUUUCAUAUUUAAAAGCAAGAAUCCUAAUGUAUUUUUAACCCCUCUCUCGAGCACCGAUUAGAAAUUAACCCUAGAUCCCAAUUCCAACAUCUUUGUUUGAAAUUGAAAAUCAAGAAUUUAAUAAAAGUUUCGAUUCUUUUGUGGAGUAAGCUUAACAGAUUUAUACUUUCUCUCGAAACCUAUAAAACCUAUGUCGUGUCAAUCUUAUGAUCAUGCCUAAAUUCCUCCUCUCUCUCUCUCGUGUCGAAAUUGACUAGCAUCAAAUCAUUCAAUUGUUGAUCAAACGAUUGAAAGCAUUAAAAUCAUGACACAAUUAAAUACAUGUGGAAAAUCAAACAAAAUAAUUAAUAAUUUCAUCAAACCAUAAUUUCAAUUCGGCUACAUCAAACCCUAGGUAAGUUGUUUAGCUCAUGAUUAAAUAUAUGAAAUUCAUACAAAUUAUAAUGAAAAAUGUAAAGGAGAAAGAAAAGAAAUUAAACUCUUUUGGAGUGUAAUCGAUUCUUCCCUUGUUCCACGCCUUCCAAUUAAAUUCUGCCCUUUGACUCUUUCAAAGUUAUCUACCCAUCCACUUUUUUCUCUUCUUCCAGAUUGUAUGUUGGCUAUCUGCUUGAAGUUCCCUCUGGUUCGUUCCUUCUACAAAUUUCGAUCGGUUGAAGCUCUUCCAGUCAAGCUGUGUAUUUGGGAUCUUGUUUUAGGCGGCUGAAAUCUAUGUAAUUCUCUCCAGAUUCUCCCCAAUUCGUGAAUUUGGGAAGCUACCCUCUUUCUCCAAUUUGUCUGCCAGCUCUCCCCUAGUUUUGUCCACUCCAAACCCUCUUCAUUAGGUCGUGUAAAAAAAUAAAUUAAAUUAGAAUUUUUUAACAACGAAUUUUAGCCCCUACUUGAUGGCCAUUAUUAAAAAAAAAUAAUAAUAAUAAUAAUAAUAAAUAAAAGAGUUCUAAAAAUAAUGAUUUUUUGGAGAAUGUGUGGUUUAAAAGUCAAAAAAAAAAUGAGCUUGCGUGUAAAAUAUUUUAUUGUAUAGAUGUGUGGUUAAAUCCAAAUUUAUAGUGAGUAAUAGAAGAUAUUUUUCAAAGUUUAGUGAUCAAAUUUUGACAUUUUUCAAAGUUCAGCGAGCAAUAGAAGAUAUGUUUCAAAGUUUGGUUGCCAAAAUUCGACCAUCUCAAAGUUUAACUGUGUGACGAGGCACCACGUGUGCAUCCCGUCGGCUAUGUCUCGAAUUUUUUAGGGGUUUGAGACGGAAGGUAUGCUAGUUAAUAACGUACAAUAUUUCUCAAAGUUUAGUGGUCAAAACUCAACAUUUAAAACUUUAGUGAGCAAUUGAAGACAUGUACCUAAGUUCUAUGACCAAAACUCGACAUUAUAAACUUUAGUGAGCAAUCGAAGACAUUAGCCUAAAUUCAGUGAACAUUGGAACAAUUAGCUUGAAACUUAGAAAAAAAUCCUCAAAUAUUAGAUGUCUUUUGAAAAAUCAUAAAAGUAUGUUGAAAUUAAAAAACAUUAUGUAAAGUUAAAUGUCUCUUUUCAAAGUUAAAACUGACACGCGAUAUGUUUUCACCAAAAAAGUUGACAGGAAUUUUUAAAAAAAAAGUAAAAAUCAAUUAAAAAAAAGUAACGGAAGAAAGUGACAAGCACUAUUCAAAAAUGACAAAAGUUAAAAAAGAAAAAAAAAAGAAAAAAUAGUGAUACACUCAAAAAAGUGAUAAAAUACCAAUCAAAAAUUAUGUUUGUCACUCAAAAAGUGAAAAAAUUAAAAAAAAAAACAGAUAAUAAAAAAAAGUGACAGAAAAAAGCGACACUUCAAAAAAGUGACAAACACUACAAAUACUAAAAAAAGUGACAAAACACUAAUCAAAACAUUAAAAUAUAUCAUUUUAUACAAAUUUAACCACUCCUUCAAUAUACAAACUUAUUUCAUAAUUAUUUUCCUACACAAAUUUUAAAUUUCCAAAAGAAAAGAAACUACCAAAUCGCCACCCUCUAAUUUCUCGGGCGUUCAUUUUAUCUUUUCUUUUCUUAGUCGCAUUUCUCCCCAAUAGAAAUAAUUCAAUCAAUUUUAUGGAGAAAUCCUCUUUGACUCAUUAAUUUUAUUUUACAAGACAAAGGUGAACCUUCUUCUUUCUUUGGUAGUCUAUUUUUUUUUUUUUUUUGUUAAUUUUGAAUUUAAUGAUUGAUUAGUGAUUAGUUUUCAAUUAUUGAUGCAUUGAGGAAUGAAUCUUUCUUUUAUUGUUAAAUUUGAGUUUUAUGAUUGAUUUAUUUCUUGUUAAUUGACUGAGGAUGAGGAGGUGGAAUACUAAUAGAGAAGAUGAUGCUGAGUCAAGAAGUAUUGUCGUCGAGGAAAAGCAUGUCAUUGGAUAGCUCAAUUCUAUAGGAAGAAAUUCAUCGCAAAGAACAGUGGGGAAGGAUUAUAGUGACAUUUAUGGUCUCUUUAAUCAGUUACGAGAUUCGGGGGUUUUGGUUUUGGGGGUAUGUUUUAUUUUAAGACUUAAUUAAUACGAGAUUUUAUGCGAUGUUUAAUUAAUUUAGGAUAUUAAUCCAAUUGGGUAACUUUUUAGAGCAUUUGGCCUAAUUUCCUCUUAUUUUAUCAAAAUUUAAAGUGGAAUCUAGAAUCCUUAGGCCCUAAAGCUCAUUAUAGCCUAUUUGAGCCUAUCUUUUCCAAAUUCAUUUCAAUCACACAUUCUCCCAUCAAAUAAUUUUUCACGUAAAUUUAAAUUUUUUUCAAUUUUUUAAAUCAUGCAUUCUCCGAAAAAUUACGAUGUCAAAGUAUUUUUUUUAGUUAAAGGAGGAUGGUACUUCCUAUAUAUUAUUAAUAUGCCCUCACUUGUGAUAGAGGAAUACCGUGGUUACAUGAGAAAAUAAUGAAAGCAAUAAACAAGGAAAUACUACUUCCCUUACAAAGAGAAUAAAUGACAAAGAACAAACAUAAAGCUAUAAGAGAGGAAGUACUACUUCCCUUACAAUGAAGAUAAAUGAUAAAGAACAAACGUAAAGCUAUAAAAAGAAAAAGUACUACUUUCCUUACAAUAAGAAUUAAUGCAAGUGAUUACAAAAAGAAGAAGAAUAAUAAUAAAUAAAUAAUCAUACUCUAAUGUUGGGCAGUCCAUAUCUUUCAAUCUGUACCAGUGCCCUAAUGUGUCAUGGUAAGUCAGCUGCUCUAUAUAUGUGGUAUCGGCGAUGAUACCAACCCUCUACAGCAAGAGCAUCUGCUACUUGGUUUUUCUUUUUGUAGAUGUGGGAAACUGUAGCUCUAUCGAUGGAUACGAUGUCUAUGAUUUGUCUAAGAAUACCCUGAAUAGCCCAUGGUCCUCCCCCUUUAGUGAUGCAGUGAAUAGCUAAAAGCCCAAGAACAACUAACCAAGAGGGGCAUGAAUUGGUUAAUUGAAACUUUUUCACAAAUUUAAGCAAAUAACUAUGAAUAAACAAGAUAACACAAAAGUAAUAAGAAGAAGGGAAAAGAGAGUGCAAACGAUGUAAUAAGGAGGUUCAUCCAAUCACGAUCUACGUCCACCGUUACCGAGCUCUCCGUCACGAGCAAGGUCUUUUUCACUAUGUUGAUUGACUUAUGGUGCAAUCCAACCUUCUACAAAGCUUUCGGUGACUUACAAACAAGGAGCACUGAUUUUUUACAGCGUUGAGCUUUCUAGGAUCUCAACACGACCCACACUAUUGAGCUUUACGGGACUUCAAUAUGACCUACACGGUGACUGACAACAAGGAGCUCCAAUCCUUAUACAUCAUUGAGCUUUUCGGGACCUCAACACGACCCACAACCAAAACCAAGAGAGUGAAAUAUUACAAGUGAAAAAUUUCUCUCUUAAUAAAUGAUAUCGACACAAUUAAGUAUCAAGAGAGAAGAACGCUCAACACUUCAAUAAAUUGCAAAGAGUAUAGCUCAAGUGUUGGUUGAAAAAAAUUGAUGAAUAUGAUAAUUAAAAGUUAAAUUCAAUGAAUCAAAGUUUUCAAUAUGAAGAAGUUGAAGAGUUUGUGUAAUGUAAGUAGAAAGAACUUCUUCAAAAAUAUAUCUCUCUUAUAAAUUUGAUAUUAUCAAGUUAAGAAUAAAGAGAGAUGAAAACCUUUGAUGAGUAAAAGUUGAUUCAAGAAAUUUGAUUUAACAAUCAAGGUUUUCAAUGUGAAGAAGUAGAAGAAUUUAUACAAUGUGAGUGCAAAUACCUUCUUCAAAUAUAUAUCUCACCUUGGAAAUUAAUACAAACAAGUUAAGCUCCAAGAGAUAUGAAAAACUUUGAUGAAAGGAUGAUUCAAGAAAUUUAAUUCAAAGUUUUGUUGUGAAGAAAUAAAUAAAAUGAAAAUAAAAGUUAAGCUUCAAAGAAGAUUUUUCACAAUAAUAACUCACAAGAAAGCUCUCUUCAUUGUUAUGUUGAGGAAUGGAAGAGAAAUGGAAUUUAUAGAACUCAAUGGACAAAAAUCUAUCCAUCCGGAUGUCCGGUUAUGAUCCGAACACCCAAAACUAGCCGUUGUGUAAUAGUAAAAAAAAAAAUUACCGUUCGCGGAUCCGGAUGUCUGGUUGACCGUUGACCGGACCUUUUUUUUUUCCAUAAAGAAUCAUGGUCUAAGUUCAAAGAUGACUUUUGAAAAAUCAAACUUAUUUUCUUUUGUUAAAAACAUUUUAUGCAAGUGGUAGUGAAAAUAAUUUUUGGUACACAAAAUGAUUUUGUGUCGUGAAAAUGUUUUCGUGCAUAAAAACUGUUUGAGCUAUAAUCGAUGCGAAAUAUUAAAGUGUUCUACCUUUACAUUUGAGUUCAAAAACGCAUCUAUAUCAAAUGUCUUCAAUAUCUUCUUCCAAUGUGAUUUUUGAUGCAAAUGCUCGAUUUCCAUCUCCACGUUCGUCUAUCUCCAAUUUGCUUCCAUGUUGAUCUCCAAGCAUCAAAAUCAUUUGUCCAUGUGCGUGAUUCUUGAUCCCGAUUCUAGCGCCUUCAUUUGUUGUUAAUUCCAUGAUAAUUACUAUCAACACUCAAAUUCAAUUUGUUAGAAUUAAACGCAAUUUGUUUGUGAUAAUCAAAACGAGAAGUCAACCAUUUGGUCAACAAUAGCCACUUUAGAAUCUGACUCAAUCCAAAUGUCUGAAAGACCGAGUCCUCUAGCUAGUAGAAUUCCAUCAAGAAUAGCCCUGAGCUCUGCCUCUAAUAUCAUGCACGUUCCAUAUGUAGUUGAAAAAGCCUUGAUACAGGAUCAUGCGUGAUCGUUGAUGAUACCUUUCCCAUUUGCAAUACCAUCCUUGACGCAUCCAUAAGUAUUGAUCUUGAUAUAUCCAAGUGAUGGAGUAGCCUACCAAACCAGAAUUGGAGGAGAUUGGGUAGGGGAAUCAAAGAAAUACCAAAGAUGGGUACAAGAGUCAAAUCUCUUUGUCAACGCAUAGCUUGAAACAUUCCUCCAAUAUGUAGAAAAGAGAUCAUGUGAUAGACCCUCCAUAUGAUACGUCUGGCCACCAUACAGAUCCUCCUAUGCUUUGCAUCAUUCCUCUCGGUCCAAAGAAACCAAAAUACCAGUAGAGGAAUAAUAGUACAAAUGUGUCCACAACGAACAUACUGUCCAGAAUACCUCUAUCUAACUCCCUCUUCUAAACUCAUAGGUAUCUGAAAAAUGUUCCCAAAAUGUUGUCGUACAUGAUCAGAAAUGUUACUGUCGGUGAAAAUAUGACUAAUAGACUCAAUCUCAGAACAACAUUGGCAGCGGGAAGCUGAUUGAUAGCCAAUCCUCCUCUGGAUAACCACAUCUACUAGAAUGAGGUCCUGCAUAGCCUCCAGCAGAAAAUAAGACAGUGGUUGGCAAAAUGGUGUUCAACAGUAGUCGAUAUGAAUUCUGAUUCUGGCAUCCUAAAUGUAUGAACUGCCAUGCCAACUUGGUAGUAAAGCUACCAUUCAAUGUAUCCCACCAAACAAUACAAUCUGGGGCAUCACACAUAAAGGUAUAGCCCCUAUCUCCUUUGCCAUAAAAGGAGGGAGAACCUGCAAUAAGCGUCCAAUGUCCCACUUAGGAUCAUCAAAAAAUGCCUGCACCCUCGCAGAUGUGUGCUGCUAGUGUGGUAAUAAUGAGUCCAAAGUGGUGUCUCCCUUCCAACAAUCAUGCCAAAAAAAUAUCUAACCUGCUCCAAGGUGCCAUACAAUGUGUGGCUCUAUCCGGGGCUCGAACAAUUUUAGCCUUUUCCAGGCAGGAGAAGCUGAGUGGGAGACUGCUGCAAGUAAAUGAUGUGUUCCCAUAUAAUAUUUGCCAAGUAAAAAUUAGGUCCAAAGUGAUCUCUGAGAACGAAACAACCACCAGAGCUUUUAUGGAGAAGGUGUCUACCAUAUCCUGUAAUCUUCUGAAACCUAGACCACCUUCAUUAGUAGUGAUGUGAACCCAGUUAGCUAGGUUGCUAUCAAACCCAUAGGAAUUGACAAGGACCCCAAGAACGCCCAAAUAAUGAUCAAGAUUUAGGAAUCAACCCACAAAAGUGAACUAAGCAACCGAACGUAUAUGAAAUGAACGACCUCUUAAUCACACAAUCUUGAAAUCUCCUCCGGAUUUGUGGAUUUGACCCAAAGAAUUAAUGAAUCAAACAACCCAAUGAUAACUACGAUGCGAACGACCAUUUGAUUACACAAUUCAAUGAUUCAUACCCGAUGUUUUGUUUGAACACCAUAAGAUAUCAAAUCUUGAUAAGUUCAGUAUUUUGAAGCAAAAGCUUCAAAAGAAAAUUUAUUUAAUAAUCCAUGAUAAAAGUUGUGUUACAAUGAAGAAAAUAAAACCUAAUUAUAUGGAAAACUAAAAACCUAAUUUUAUAAGGAAUAAAAGUCUAAGAAAUCUAGUUUUAAAAGGAAAUCUCAUGCUAACAUUGUAAAGAUAAGGAAAGAUUGGAAUUCUAAAACAAUAGGGACUCCUCGCAAAUUUUGGAAUUUUUUGGUCGUUUUUAGCCUAUGCGACCGCAAGGCAUUAAUGUAUGUGGUCGCAUGAUAUAUGGAGUUCGGCCCUCCAGAUCCCUGUAAUAUGUUGUGCGGUCGCAAGGACUUUUUAACCAAGCGGUCGUAUGGUUACGAUCUUGGUCUGAUUUCCAGUCGCAUGUAACACCUUGAUUUGUUUGGUUUCGACCUUGGAACCCUUCAUCAAAUAUGUCAUUUGGCUUCACAUCUUCAACCUCUUAGACUCCAAUGCUUCAAUCAGUAAUUGUACAGCUUGAAUUCGACCCCCAAUUGGUCUCCAACUAAGCUCAAACUUUGCCCUUGGCCUCUCGCCCACCGUCAACAAGCUCUCAUUCAACUCGAGCCUAUUCUAGAUCACAUUAAGUAGAAAGGCGAUCCUUCCAUCUCUGCCAAUGUAACCACAAUGCCUGUUCCUUGGAAUCCCAUAGGAAUCGCGCAAAGAUGCUCUCAAGUUUCUUCAAGCCAGCCUUAGGGUGCUGCAUAAUUUGAAGAAGAUGUAGUGGCAUAGAAAAAACAUUGAUCUCAGCAAGAUAAUAUGGCCACCAGGUGAUAAUAAUCGUGAAGCCCAACCUGAGAUCUUAUCCCUGGCCUUCUAGAUAAGAUUAUCAUAAAUGAAGCUCCUUCUAAUCCUCUUAGAUAAGUGGACUCCCAAAUAAAUGAAAGGUUGUUGCGGGUGUCGAAAUCUAGUCAAAAUCUCCAAUCGUCUGAUCUGACUAAUGGAUGCCCUUCUAGCUAGUAUAAGUCCACUCUUGUCCCUAUUCACCAACUGAACAAAAAUCCCUUCAUAAUGUUCCAGACAAUGAAAAAGCUUCCUAAUAGACUGUUUCUGGCCGUUGGAGAAUAUGAUCAUAUCAUUAGCAAGUGAAAGGUAUGAGAUAAGAGUACUACCUCCAUGCCGAUAACACAUACUGGGAUACUUCUGAAACCUCUAAGUGAGUAGGCGUGAGAAGUAGUCUGCAGCUAUGAUGAACAAUGAUGAUGAAAUGGGAUCACCCUGUCUGAGCCCUCGUAAGGAUGAAAAAAUCACAUGGGCGACCAUUUAGGAGUACAGAAAAAUGACACUCCGAGAUGCAUCGCCUAAUCCUGUCGAUCCAAAUUUGAUCAAAUUCGAAUGCCUCCAAUACAAAAUAAAUGAAGCCCCUAUCCAUAAGAUCAUAUGCUUUAGCCAUGUCUAGCUUCAGCACAGUGUUACUCCCUCAUACUCUAGCAUCCAAAGAAUAGAGUAGCUCCUGAGCUAAUAACACAUUAUUCGCAAUCAAGCGGCUAGGGAUAAAUCCACUUCAUGGAGGAGAGAUAAUGCGUGGUAAUAGUGAACUCAACCAAUUGUUCAAAAGCUUAGUUAUAAGCUUAUUGAACAUUGUGCAUAAACUGAUGGGUCUGAAGUCAGUCCAUCUACAAGCUUCAUAUAUCUAAGGGAGUAAAACGAUAGUUCUAGUGGUAAAACCCCGUGGAAGAUGGCCACCUUAAAAAAAGUCCAAACGGCCCUAUAUAUAUUGUCCUAAAUAAUAUCCCAGCAAUACUGGAAGAAUAGAGAUGAGAACCUAUCCAGACCUACAGCACUAUUAGCAUCUAUGCUAAAAAUCGCCUCCCAUACCUCAUGAAUUAAAGAUGGACGCUUUAGAGUCAAAUUAUCAUCCUCCGUCAAGAGCCUGGGAAUAAUAUCAGAAAGGAUGGGGUCCAAAAGCUAUGGAGAAUCAAAUAGAAGAUUCUGGUAGAACUUCGACAGCCCUGCACCAUCGUAUGAAAGUAUCGAGUAUUAUGAUCUCCCUCACAUACCCAACAUAAGCCUGCCUUUAGCUUCCAAAAGCCCUCCUCAAUAGAUAAAGUUUGAUUCAAAUCUGCCUAAGCAUGAUGUAGUAACUUGCGAUGCUCCGGUGUAGGGUCAUUGUCAUAUACUGCCUCUGCUUCAUCAACCAUAUCCUCAGCGUCCCUCACCCUUUGGAACACAUCUCCAAUCACAUGUCGAUUUCACCAACGCAGUCCCUAUUGUAGCCUUAAGAACUUCUCCAAAGAACAGUCAUCUCUAUAAGAUGUGUAGGGAGUGACCAGUUUUGAGAGACAAAGGCUAAAAAAUCAUAAUGCUUGGUCCAAACAUUGAGGAAUCUGAGAAGUUUAGGCCCCAAAUUAUCAUCAGAUACCUAUUGAAGUAGUAAAGGCGAAUGAUCAGAUGAAGUCCGAUUCAAGUUCCUUAUUGUAAGUUGUCGACAGAAUGCUGUAGCUGUAAAAUUAAUAAGUAUCCUAUCCAGUCUCUUUCUAACUUGACCCAUUGGUCCUAGUGUAUCGAUUCCCAAGAAAGCUAGCAUCCUCCAAGCCAUAGUCUAACAUCAUGUCAGAGAAAGCAGUAGUGCUUCCAUCAUUAAUAUUAUGACCAGUGCGUUCACCAUCAUGUGUGAUAACGUUGAAGUAUCUCCCAACUAGCUAAGGGUCGUCCAUAUCAAGAAAAAUGUGGGGAAGAGCCGUCCACAAAUCCCUCCUGAUAGUCGCCUAACAUGAAGCAUAGACGGGAGUCAGAUAGAUGGGACGUGCUAGUCUAGGAUCCUCAACUCUAACUUGAAGGAAUUGGGAGAUGAUCAACAAUAAUAGUAACAAUAGUGCCCACAUUCCAAACAAACCAUAUCUUGUUCGACUCAUUCUGAACAUCCAUGUCAAAGCUUAGGUAUCAUCAAAUAUGUGUAAAUCUAUGUUGUAGAACUGAAGGCUCCAGUGUAACCAAGCGAUAAACUUGAUGAAGCCAUAUAAGUCUUCUUAGGCGCCGGCGAGUCGCCACACUAGUUGUAGCUCUCGCAUUCCAUAUGAUGGCACUCAUAGGGACAUAGAAUAUGAGAGGUAUCAUGUGACUGGCUCCUAGUAACUCUCCUACUCAGAUGUGGAAUAUUAGUAGCCCGCUGUUGUUUCUUUCGUUUAACCCGAACCAAAUUUUCAUCCCCUGUUCAUCCAACCAUUCCAAUCAGAUCCUCGUUAGAGGACCUACAAAAUAUGCCUUACUGGUACACCUCAAUCUGUGGUGAUCACUCUAUAUCGGGCUGUUCAGACUCUAGAGAUGGAAUAGAUGCCUCAACGUUCUGCUGAUAAAGAGAAGUAUAGUGGUAAUAGGUGCCAGAGUAAGUGGAGAUGGACCUAAAAUCUGUGUAGCUCUGAUACCUUCAUACUUUGAGUCAUCUGGCAUCAGUGGUUUUUAGACCAUAAAAUCCACAAGGGAAUUGAAAUAUGAAGUAUAGGCGGCAUGUCGACUUGAGGUGAAUUCCCAUUAGCAUCAACUAUAGUAGGCAAAGAUGGCAAUGGAGAACUGGUCUGAGUAGAAACUAAACUCAGAACUGGCUGAACUGUGCAAUAUGUGGGACUCACUGAUGGAGCAACUGACUGAACCUGAACAUGUUUUCCAACAAGAGCUGGUGUGUCAACCGUAGCAAAUGGUGGUACUGGUCGUGAGAUAGACUGAAUCUAGAUGCCUAAAGUGCUAAUAGUAUGCUAUCCUCGUUGUUCCCUACGAAUUGGACCAAUUGCUUAGAGGGCUCAACAAGUGUUUCCUUACCCUUUCUCUUGUCAUUGUCCUGAUCAAUAGGCCUAGGAACACGGUCCUCAUCUGUGAUUGCAGUAGGUGGUGGUGCUAGGCAUGUUCCAAACGAACAGUGCUCGUUAAUAUGUCCAAAGUGUUUGCAUCGAAAGCAAUAUUCUGGUUUUUUAUCAUAGAGGACAAUCUGCUAAUAUCCACCACGCUUUUCCCUCUUAAUCCAAACCCUGUCAAGGAGCUUAUACUCUAAAUUAACCUCAAUACAUACCCAAGCCUCACUAGGUUGAUAAAAAUCUGAUGUUGCCUCAUCAAUACGCAGUGCCACUCCAAUUGCCUUAGCUAAGGUAAAUAAACUACUCUUGACCUGAAAAUGAAUGGGCAAUAAAAGAAAGGAAACCGAGACAGAAGCAAUAGGGGUCUCAUAUUGUGGACUGAAACUAGAUGUCCAUUUAAUAACUUGCAUAAAAAAUCCAUCAAUGUACCAAGUGGGUUUGAGGAAUAACCUUGAGUAGUUAUCCUCGUGCACUAAAUGAAUUAAAAUAUGUGAUGAAUCAAUAGGCCUAUCAUGAAAACCAAAUGUCUGAAAGCUAUCAUGUACCUUAACCAUUGAGGGCUUGCGCUGAGAGAAUUUAUCGACAAGUUUAAACUUGUAUGGCUCAGAUAAAAAUUCUUCCUCCUUCUCAGUAAAGGAAAUUGCAGCCUCCCCCAUAUGCAUGAAAGGUUCCUUGGAAGCAGGCCCGUGGUCCCUAAAAUCUUGUGGGGGCCUGAAAGACAAGUGUAAAAGAUUUUCUUUGACUCCUUUCUGCCUAAAAAGUAAUAGGUUUGCCAGAAAGGGCGGCAGCAUAUGAUUUCUUAUCCUAACUCUGUGAUGUCUGACCUACUAGUGGCAACCGAGCUUGAGCUGAACUUCCAGAAAGAAUAGUCGUGCCAAGUGGUCGCAUUAUCUGAGGCAAGGUACCUUGGGAUUUUGCAGCUGGACAUGGAUUAACAUGAUCAAUUUGGUGAGAAAAGACCUGGGAAUCAUGAGGAAUAGUUACUGGUUCAGUUUCUUGAUUUUCGUGCGAAGGCACGCUUUCCAAUGUAGUAAUUCUGUUAAAUUGGGAGGAAAAUUUCCAACCACAAGGAUUUUUGGGGCUAUUGAGAGCAAUGGGAAGGGUAAGACAAUCUGAUUUUGCCCAGGAAUUGUUGAAUUAGCUUGCCUCGUUUUGCGUGCCAUUAGACACUAAUCCCAAAGAGUAGUUUCGGACCGAAUUGGACUUAAUGUGCAUCAUCCUAGGGGUUUUCAUGGCUUCCCAAUUCAAUGGAGAUGGUCCCACACCCAGGAUUCGAGCUGAAUCGAUAGAAUUUAUCGGCACAGAUUGCACCUGAUCCAAGGAAAAGUGACUUUAAAAUUGAAAGAAUUGACGUUAUAGUUGGAGCAAUUAGGACAAGACCCAAUGUUGGUGUUGCUUGAAUUAAGUUUCCAAUGAUUGAAUUGGUGGAUUUGAGCGUACUAGAACCUUCAAUUAAUUGAGAAGAGCCAGUUUCGCUCGCGUUGGUUAUUGUCGAGUUCAAUUCCAAAAUUGGUCCGUCUAACUGAUGAAUUGAUGCUAUUGAAGAAUGACCCAUAGUUGUACCAAUAGUAAUUGAAGGAUUGAAGCCCAGUAGAAUCCUCAAUUGGAAAGGGAUUGGCCAAACCAGUACGUGUGUUACUUAUCUUUUUCAAUUUAUCUAUGUUAGCUCGAAAUUGGUGAUGACCCAUAGGCUGAUUUGAUGCAUCUGGAUGAGGCGUUGCUGGGGGAGGUGGCCCAAAAUUUUCUGAUGAAGGUGCAGUAUUCGUUGUUUGGAGAAAUGGUUGUAAAUUUUGAUUCUCAGUGUUGUUAGGUGUUAUAAGACCAUUUGUAGGUGCUAAAUGAAGAGAUUGUUCGAUCUGGGUGAUGGACAAGGCACGGGUGUCACCGAAAAUAGUAAUUCCAGCUUGUUUUGAUGAGAUUUUUCUACCAUAUCUGUCGGAUCUACGGCCUGUGUUUGAUUAGGUUAUGAGGAGGGCAGGGAGGGCUUCACGUAGGUAUGUUGGUCCGAUGGCCUAGGUGGCCAGAAGUUGUCGAAAAUUAACUCCAUAAAGUGGUGAUGGUAAGAUUGUUUAGGGUAAUUUUAGUAGAGUUUUGAGUAUUGUGAUUCUCAAAAUAUAUUUCUCCUAAAAAAGGGUCUCAAAUAGGGCUUAGCCUAUGUUUAAUUUUGUUUUGAGGUGUUUAUAAGCUCGUUGAUGCGAACCCACGUAAAGGGUCUCAAACAAGGCUUAGCCUAUGUUUAACUGUAUUUUUGGGUGUUUAUAAGCUCGUUGAUACGAACCCACGUAGCAGCGAUGGCUACGAAACUCACAACAAGAUUGUUAGAACCUAGAAAAGAUGAAUUGCAGGUUUAUGAGUUUGAACCAAGAAAUCCAACAAGAUCGUUGCUUGAAACACCCAUUGAUUACAUGUUCAGAUAUUCACGCCCAAGUUGUUUGAACGCCACAAGAAUUAUGAUUCUUGAUAAGUUCAAGAUGUUCAAUGAAGAACGGAAGAAGAAAGCACAAUUGCCUCUCAAAGGAUUCUCUCAAUUUAUUGAAUAAAUUUGUGCAAUGUCGUGUAUUACAAUGAAGAAAUAAAGCCUAUGUUUAUAUUAAGUAUCAAACCCUUAAAAUCUAGUAGAAUUCGUGCAAUAUAAGUCAAAGAUUACGAUAAUAUGAAAUAAGAAUAAAAUCUAGCCUAAUAUGGAAAAUCCCCAAAAAGAAAAUAUUCGCCUAAAUUUUUUCUCUGUGGUCGCAUAGAAGAAGCCUUUGACGCCCAAAAAUUCCUUGCCUGGUUGUAUGGGACCGCAUCAUUGGAUGAACUAUGCGGUCGCGUAGUUGCUGACUUUGGCUCCAACUUCAUCCGCUUCUAUCACAUUGAUCCACUUUGAUUCGGCACUCGACCCGAGCAUGAAAGUUGCCUCAUUUUACAUCCCGAACAUCGUCACAUCCACCCAUCCCUACAUGGACACCACCACCAUCUUCUUUCCCACUCCAACCACCACCCAUCUUCAACUAAUUCCAUACACACUUUUGAAAAUAUGGUUUAAUAAAUUUUAAAUUAAAAAUAAUACGAAAAGCAAAAGCACAAGAGUGAAUGGAAAUGGCUGCCUGGGAUUUUAGCAUGACGAUGCCCUAAGCUUAUUUAAUAUUUAACAUUUUUCAAUUUAUCAGUCUAGUACAAAAUUAAAAAAUUAUUCUCCCAGACUUCAUUCUUAAAAAAGUGUUGUUCAUUUUCUCCUCUUUUUCUUAUCCCUUUUUGGAUGUCCAUUUAAAUUCAAUCUUUAACCUGUAAUUUGAUUUUUUCUUGUUGUAAAUUCAAGAUGGGUUAUGCUUGAAAGUUUGCCAACUGAACAUAUCUAAAUCGACUAUUUUCAAUAGUCCUGCCAAAAUGAAUUCAUGUCAUCAAGGUAUGCUUCAUAAUUAACUCUGAAUGUCAUAUGUGGUGAAAUUAUACGUAAAUCUCAUUUUUUUUCUUCUCGUAGUUUGGUACAGUAUGUCACUAUUAGAGGUAGUGGGAUCGAACAGAUCAAGGGCAGAGCCAAGUACUUUGUCCAGUGCAGGCACAAAUUUAGGUGUCCGCUACAGUAAAUUUUUUGGGGGCCUAAAGUAGUAUAAUUAAUGGAGAUGCACAAACAAAAACUCAAAACACAUUGUACACAUUUAUAUGAGCAAAGAGGCAUGUUUUGUGCAUAUAUUUAUGAAACAAUAGCUGAACAGCUUGAACUACAAAAAUAUAAUCAACUAGGAUUUCCAACCACCUUCAACCUUUACCUGACCCCAGAACUUGCAUUGACACCAGAAAUCGAGCCUUUCAAUUGGGCAAACGUUGGAGCCAAUAUAGCAAUCCGAGAUCAAGCAGUGGCAUCGCAGCGUCGAGGCUCCCUCAGCUUAGAAUCAAAGAUAGGGUUUCAAUCGAUUUACCAGAUUUGGUCUACUGUCUGUGUUACCUUGGUCAGUGGGAACGGUUUUAACUGAUGUAGGCAUAUGGGCUAUGAUCAUGGGUUAAUGUUAAGAAAAGCCCAAUUUAACAAAAAGCCCACAAUUUUUUUUAAAAAAAAUGGCCCAACAACUCACCUUCCCCAUCAAUUCAUCCCUGCUCUUCAGUCUUCACUGCGAUGGCGGCUCUGGAAUUUUCUUCUCUUCUUGGUAUGGACAGAAAAGGCUUACAGGUUACAGUUUAGAAAAAAAUUAUUAGUUAGCUUAAGAAAAAACCCUUAUACCCUUCUUCCACUUCCAGGUUUCCACUCUGCGCUCAACUCUUUGACUUCAAGUGAUGCCUGGAUCUGUCGGAAUUCUCAGUGCUGGCACCGUCUUCAUCUACUGCCUAAAAUUUCAGUGCUUGAAAUCCCAGUGCGGGCACCUACCCUCACUGGUCUGUAGUUGGCUCCGCCCCUAGAACAAGUGGUGGUUGGAAGAGAGAAGAUGAGGCUUUUGUUUAGAAAAUUGUAUAGAGGACAUUUGUGCCAAUAAAAAAAAAUGUCAUUCAUGCAAAACUUUUCAAAAUUUUCCACAUUUAGAAAGGACACCUUCAUAAAGUAACCAAAAUAAAAAAUUAUGGGUUCAUUUUAAAUAUGGCAACUUUUGAUUUAUUAUUAUUAUUAUUUUGCAAAAAUAGUCAUUUUUUAAUUAAGAUUAUCAUUAUACCAUUUUCCAUAAGCAUUAAAGGUUUUUUCUGGAACUAGAUAGAACAGGACGAUUUCACUUCAGUUCUUUUACUAAAUGGGUCAAUUUUGGAAUCACACAACGAGAACCUAUCAGUUUUGAUCCAAUUCUAGGUACUGUCUUGAGAACUAAUAGUGAAUUCGAUUCUCCUGAAUUUCUCUUUUUGUUGAUAUAUUGUAUCAAGAUGCAUCAGAUCUUUGAAUACUAGACCCAAAAAUUAUCCUACACCGGAAUUUCACUUUCAUACACUUCUCUUUCAUUCUUUUGCAGCAAAGGAAUAAUAAGUGGUUUUAUAUUUUGUUUUUGUUUAUUUUUAAUUGACAAGUAGUUUUAUAAUUUAUUAUUAUGAUUUUUCUAAAGAACCAGAUCGAUCGAACUGGAAUUGAUUGGAUCGGUUCCAUAGUUGAAUAUGAAACCAAUAGUCCCAUUUCUAAAAUUUUCAUUGGUACUUUGUUCGAUUCGAUUCCUUUCAAAUUCGGACUAAAUUAGACCGUCCCAACUCUUAACAAGCAUCCCUAUUAUCGCAAUCCAGUAACCAUCAUCUUCUUCAACAUCCCUACACUUGCACCAAACAAAUAUCUUCUUCUUCAACAUCCCAAUACUUGCAGUAAACAGCCAUCAUCCAACACCAAAAUCCAACAAACCACCACCACCCAACACUAAUAUCUGGGGAUAAGGAAAACCGUUGCAACCUUCACCAACACUAGUCGCGCGUAGAUCUACUCGACCACCAUCGCAACCACCAUAACUAUAUUACCACUCCACCAUUGCAACCACCACCAAUCACAACAAUAACCACCUUUGCUCCAGCACCACUCGCGGUUGCUAGCAGUAACAUAUUCAAUUGUUAUAGAAGCGGUAAUUAUAAUCUCCUUCCCCGAGUGAUAUUUAUGAUUUUUUCUAUUAAAUUCUAACUACAUAAAUCAUCUCCAAUUCUCACUACAGUUUCUUAUGUGCUAUAUUAUUUUUUUAAAAAAAAUAGGUGGAAAAGUAAUGGAGUACUUCAUGACUCCACGAUGUAACAUUUUCUAUUUUAAAUUUUGCAUUAUGUUUUACCUUAUGUUUUUUACUUAAAGUCUGUUCAAGUUUCGUUCUUUGUCCAAAAUUCAUUUUAAAAUAGUAUUUUUAUAGAGAAUGUGUGGUCAAAAAUAAGGAAAAUUUUCGGAUUGAUGUGUAAUAUUAUUUUAUUGAAAAAUAUAUAUUAAAAAAUAAGAAAGAUAAAAAUAUAUUUUAAAAAUAAUGGGGAUCAAACACAGGCUUAGUCUAGAACGCUAAAGGUAGUUGCAUUUUGUUAUUAUUGAGUACAUAGAACCAACUAGUGUUCCUUACUUUUAGAUAAGCCCGUAUAAUUUAUUUUUUCUUGAACUUUCGAGCUGUUACUAAAUGGUACACAAAUGAUUAUUUGCAACGUUUUGUUGUAAUUAUGGUUUUAUUCUUUAAUAAAGACAUCCACACAUUCUUAGCGAAUUUUUAGGGUCCACCAGGAAGGUCGAUAGGGAUUAAGGGUUCCCUAAAUAUAUAUAUAUAUAUAUAUAUAUAUAUAUAUAUCUUUGUAUUUUGUCUAUCAUAAUUUUGAAUCUCAAUUCUGCCAAAUGCCAUUCUUCUGUAUUCUACGUGAAGUUUUUAGGCCAUUAAUUAUUCUGCACUUUUUUAUUAACCCAAAUUGCAGAGGCAACCAGAAUUCAGUAAUUCCGGCAAGAUAUGGAGAAGAUGAGAAGAUAAUGUGAAGAGACGUGAAGACAAGAUGAAGUGAAAUGGAAAGAGAUUUGAACUUUUCCAUAUUUAUCCCUCUUUGGAUCUUAAUUUGAUUGGUUGAUUGGUUUUUAAUUGAUUAGUAUAAUAUUUCCAUUUUGGCUUGAUUNNNNNNNNNNNNNNNNNNNNNNNNNNNNNNNNNNNNNNNNNNNNNNNNNNNNNNNNNNNNNNNNNNNNNNNNNNNNNNNNNNNNNNNNNNNNNNNNNNNNNNNNNNNNNNNNNNNNNNNNNNNNNNNNNNNNNNNNNNNNNNNNNNNNNNNNNNNNNNNNNNNNNNNNNNNNNNNNNNNNAUAUAAACCAAACGUUCGAAAAAGCAACAAUGCAUAAAGUGAAUAAAAAAGAAAUUAAAGCAAUAAAUAGGAAAGUACUACUUCUCGGUACAAUGGAAUUAAUGCAAAAAAUGGAACCUAAGCUACAAACCUCUAAGCUGGGUAGUCCAUAUCUAUCGAUCUGCACCAAUGUCCUAAUCUGUAGUGGUAGGUCGGACGAUCCAUACUUCUGAUAGCGCCAGUGAUCCCAACCCGCUGAAGCAAGCGAGUCUGCAACCUGGUUCCCUUAUCUAUAGAUGUGGGAAACCAUGUCUCUGUUGAAGGAGAUGAGGUCUUUGAUCUGUCUAAGAUUGCCCUGAAUCUUCCAUGGUCCUUUGCCCCUGGUGAUGCAGUGAAUAGUCACGGUUGAAUCUGCCUCAACCGAAAUAGCUAAUAUCCCAAUUCCUCGGGCCAAUAGAAUCAGUUUUCAAAAUCAAACAUGGGACAUAUGAUGCUGAGAAUGCCUUGAUGCAGUGUGUUGUGUGGUCCCUAAUGAUGUCUCCACCACUCGAAAAUUCAUCAUGGACGUAUCCAUCAAUGUUGAUCUAGUAAGAUCCUACUGCUAAGGUACGCCAAACAACCAUAAUAGGUGGUGGUGGAGAUAUAAAUACCAAAGAGUGGUGCAAGUGCUAAGUCUCACCGCCAGUGCACAACUCUAAAAAGUCCUCCCAUAUGAAGAAAAGAAAUCAUGUGGUAUACUCUUCAAAUGAUCCAUCUGGCUACUAUGCGGAUCUUCCUAUGAUUUGCAUCAUUCCUCUCGGUCCAUAAAAACCAGAAAAUCAGUAGAGGAAUAAUAGUGCGAAUGUGUCCACAGCGAACGUACAGAAUACCUCCAUCUCUAGAACCUCUGUCUGACCCCAUCUCCUAAUCUCGUAGGUAUAUGGAAAAUGUCCCCAAAGUGUUGCCAUACAUGAUCGGAGAUGCUAUUGCCAGUGAAGAUAUGAUUGAUGGUCUCAAUCUCAGAGCAACACUGACAUCGAGAAGCCAAUUGACACCCAAUCCUCCUCCUAAUAACUACAUUUACUGGAAUGAGAUCCUGCCAUAAUCUCCAAUAUAAGAAUGAAACAGAUGUAGGCAAAAUAGAGCUCCACGGCAAUUAAUACGAGUCUCGAGACUAGUGAACCAAACUAAUUAACUGCCAUGCUGAAUUGGUAGCAAAACUACCAUCCGAUGUAACCCUCCAAACAAUAUAGUCCAUGGCAUCUAUAGAUAAAAGUAUCGCCCCUAUCUGCUCUAUCAUGUGAGAAGGAAUAGCCGAUAAUAAUAGUCCAAAAUCCCAACCAGUGUCAUCAAAGAAAUCCUGCACCCUCGCAGAUGUGUUCUGACUAUUUGGGAAUAGGGAUGCAAAUGUGGUAUCACCCAUCUAGCAAUUGUGCUAGAAGAACAUUUGUCUCGUGCCAAGGUGUCAUGCAAUGUGUGGCUCAGUGUGUGGCACAACUCUUUUCAACCUCUUUUAAGUGGAGAGGCCGAGUAGGGGAACAACUGCAAGUGAUGGAUGAGUCCACAUACAAUAUUUUCCCAAUAAAAACUGAGCUCAAAGAUAACUUUGAGACCGAAACAACCACCAAAGCUUCAUAGAAAAGUAUCCACCAUAUCUUAGAGUCUUCUGAAACCUAGUCCGCCCUCAUCUACUGGAAGGCAAAUCUCCUUCCAACUCCUCUAGUGUAGUUGGCGUGCCUAUUCCAUAGAAUCCCAUAGGAACUUUGCAAAGAUGCUCUCCAACUUUUCAGUACAGCCUUGGGAGGCUACAUAAUCUAAAAAAGAUAAAGUGGCAUAGAUGAUAAUACUAAUCUCCAUCCUUCAAAAUUUUCUAACAAUCUCAAACUAUAUUUUGUGAUGGAGAACAAGACAACCAUGGCGACUAUCAAACUUAUGAAUCAAGAUAUGGUUCGAUUGGAUCGUUUUGACAGGACUAACUUGAUGCGGUGGAAAGAUAAGUUGAAGUUUCUCCUUACUACAUUGAAGAUCUUUUACAUUCUAGACUCGAAUUUGGCACAGUUACCGAAACUAACAAAUGGAGAGACCAAAGCAAUCAAGGCUGAAAGAUAGAAAUGACAAGAAGAUGAAUUAAUUUACCACGAUCACAUAUUAAAUGUAUUGUCAAAUUGCUUGUAUAAUCUAUACACCAACACUUCUUCGACGAAAGAAAUAUGGAACGCAUUGGAAAGUAAGUACAAAGCGGAAGAAUAAGGUAUAAAGAAUUUUUUUUAUUUCAAAGUACUUUGAUUUUAAAUUUUUGGAUAAUAUCUCCCUUCUUCUCCAAGUACAUGAAUUGCAAGUGAUUGUCAACAAACUAAAGAUGGUAAAGAUUGAGUCCCAGAGACCUUUCAAGUGGGGGGCUAUAAUUGCUAAACUCUCGGGGGUUUGGAAAGAAUACCAGGAGAAGAUCAUGCAUAAUUCCGAAUAUUAUUCUUUGGAUUUGUAAAAACAUCUUCAGAUUGAGUAAGAAUCCAGAUUGCGUGAUAAGAGUGAAAGAACUUCCAAGGCUAACGCCAUUGAAAAAUUUGAGCAGCCUACAAAAUUCGACAAGAGGAAGCCUUCGAGAAACUUUAAUAAGUCCAAGGAGACGACUAAAGGAGGGUGUUUUGUGUGUGAAAAAUUCGGUCACUAUGCUAAGAAGUGUGGACACUAAAAACAAAACAACUUUGAGGGUAAAGUGAAUUCCAUCCAAAAUGAUAAAAUUAUAGCUACCGUAAGUGAAAUAAAUGCUAUCAAGGGAAAGGUUCCCGGGUGGUGAUAUGAUACUUGUGCUACCGUACAUGUAUCAUAUGAUAAAUCAUUUUUCAAAAUAUAUCACGAGGUGGAUGGAAACCAAGAAAUUCAAAUGAGUAACGAAGUGCGGUCCAAAGUGAUUGGAAGGGGAAAUGUUGAUAUUAAAUUCACUUCUGGGAAAACUGUUACUCUUACAAAUGUACAUGUUCCUGAUAUGAAUAGGAACUUGGUUAGUGAAAAUCUCUUAGGCAAAUCGGGCAUUAAAAGUGUAUUCGAGUCCGAUAAACUUGUAUUAUCUCUUAAUGGAAAAUUUGUUGAAAAAGGCUUUUCUUGUGAAGGAAUGGUCAAAUUAUGUACCGUUGACAAUAAAAUAAAUAAAACUGAUUUUGCUUAUGCUGUUGAUUUAUUUUCAUUAUGGUAUGCUAGAUUAGGUCAUAUUGGAAUAAGAACUAUGAAAUGCAUGAAAAAUUGUGAAUUGAUUUCAUAUGAUGAAAAUAAUGAAAGUAAUUGCAAGAUAUAUGUAGAAUCUAAAAUGAUUAAAAAGCCUUAUCAUAGUGUGAAAAGGACUUCUAGUAUUUUAGAACUAAUCCAUACCGAUAUAUGUGAAAUGGAUGGCAUGUUAACUAGGGGCGGAAAUAGAUAUUUCAUUACCUUUAUUGAUGACUUUUCUAGAUAUACAUAUGUUUAUUUGAUAAAGCAUAAAAGUGAGACUUUUGAUAUGUUUAAAGUAUACAAAAAUGAGGUUUAAAAUUAUCUAGGAAAGAAAAUCAAAACUUUAAGAAGUGAUAGGGGUGGUGAAUACUUUUCCAGCGAUUUUAACUUGUUUUGUGUACGUGUCUUCACCAAUGUUCUGCAUCUAGGACUCCCGAGCAAAAAUGGUUUGGCUGAAAGAAAAAAUAGAACCUUAGUUGAAAUGAUUAAUGCCAUGCUCAUUUAUGCUAAGUUUCCAUUUAACUUGUGGGAUGAAACUUUAUUAAGUGCAUGUAGGGUAUUUAAUAGGAUUCCUUCAAAACGUACUAAGGUUUCUCUUUAUGAAUUGUGGAAAGGAAGAAAAUCAAACAUUGGAUACUUUAAAGUGUGGGGUGUCUUGCUUAUUGCAAGAACACAAACCCCAAUAGAACCAAACUGGGACCAAGAGGCAAUAAAUGUGUCUUUGUUGGAUAUGCGAAUAAUAACAAAUCUUAUAGAUUGCUGAAUUUGGAGCCCAAUGUGAUUAUUAAAUCCAACGAUGUGGAGCUCUUUGAAGAUUCAUUAUUUUCGGAUAAUGAAUUGAGGGAAAAUCUUGGAAAUGUCCCUAGCUCAAGCGGAACACGUGAUGAAAUAUCUUCUAAAGAAGUUGAUGAAUCUAGUGAACCAUGAAGAAGCAAGAGAACUCGGGUUGAGAAGACUUUGGGACCAAAUGAAAUUAAUUUUCAACUUAUCUUCUUUUUUUAGUAGAGUUAAAUGAGUUUAAUGUUGUAAAAACAAUUCCUUUUGUUUUACAAGUUGAAAUCGACCCUAAAACUUAUAAAGAAGCUAUGGCUUCUCGUGAUGGCGUCUUUUAGAAAGAUGCAACUAAGAACGAAAUGAAUUCGAUAAUGUCUAACAACAAGUGGGAACUUAUCAAUUUACCACCCGGAUCCAAACCUAUUGGAUGUAAGUGAGUAUUUAGGAGAAAAUAUAACAUGUUAUGUCCCUUGAAAAAUUUAGUUAUUGUGCAUUCUUGGUUGAGUAUUUCUCUUGAUGUACUUGGUUCAUUCCUCUUGAAACAAAAUCUGAACUUGUCUAUACUUAUUUGGCUUUUGAGCAAUAUGCCGCGAUCCAAUUUGAUGCAAAAAUUAAAAUCUUUCAUUCUGAUGGAGGUGGAGAAUUCAUUAACUUAGGGCUCAACUCUCACUUCCAAGCACAUGGCAUCAUUCAUCAGAUCUCUUGCCCUCACACCUCAGAAUAAACGUAUGGUUGAGCAUCAUCAUAGAAUAAUUCGUGAACUAGGUAUGGCAAUGUUAUUUCACCAUGCUGCUCCUUUAUACGUAUGUGUUCAUGCCUUUGCAACCGUUGCUUUUCUUAUUAAUUGUCUAUUCUUGAUUUAGAUGCACCAUAUUUCAAAUUUCAGGGAAAGCAUCCAAAUUAUUCCUUUCUAUGAGUAUUUGGGUCUAAAUAUUUUCCACAUACUUGGGAACUCGGAAAAAUAAAUUUGAUCCAAAGAUAGUACCAUGUAUUUCUCUGGGAUAUAGUGAUCGGCACAAAAACAGUAAGUACUUACAUCCAUCGACAAAAAAAUAUUUAUCUCACGGCAUGUGGUUUUUGAUGAGAACACUUUUCCUUGCAAGAAACCUCGAGGCCAUGAUUAUGUCAUUUCCCUCUAAUCAAUGGAUGAGUAUUUUUAACUUAUGGACUCUUUCUCAAACUAAUUCUUCCCCUCUGUCUAUAGGUAAUUGUGACUCACCUCUUCCAUCACCUGGUCUGUCAUAUCCAUGCACUCCACUUUAUGCUGUCAUCCAGCCCCUUCCAUUCCAACAACUUCUUCUAAAUCAACUUCAAUUUUACCCUCUGCCUCUGCGGACUUGAUGGCUACCCCACAUUUGCCACCUCAUUCAUCUGAUGAAACAGUCUCUGACACCUCUCACUUUCAUUUAACAAACUCUCAUUUGUCUUCUUAGCAUCAGGAUUCGGACACAACACCCAUGUCGCCUCUUUCCGCUUCAAAGCACGUCGAGUCUCAACAUAAAGUUGUUCCUAAUGUUUCAUUUGGGCAACCUGAGUUACUUGAACUAUCGGAGCCUACGAAUCAGCUGAUGGUAACAAGCUCUCAACUUAGCAUUUACAAACCCAAUCCCAAAUAUGAACUCACUGUUGUCUGUCAAGAUAUCCCAAGAGUGCUCUACUCAGUUAAAAUUGCUUUUAUUCAUGUUGGUUGGAGAGCAAAAAUGCAAGAGGAAAUGGAUGCUCUUCAUCGUAACAGCACCUUAUACAUUGAAUUAAAUUCUGGUAAUUUAUGAGUAAAUAAUAGACUUCCAGCUACAAAACCAAUCACUCACAAUGUUGAAAGCUUGGCGACGGCGUUGGGGCUCUCGACUGCAUAGUGAGAGGGAGAUAUAGGGUUUGGUUUGCGCCACACCGUCGUCUGUUUUUUGCAAAUUCAAUUUGUCGUAUAACAGGGGCUGGGUGCAAUACAAAGCAUAAAUUAAUGGGGCUAAUUUAAAAAAAAAACCAAAAAACACAAAAAAAAAUAUUAUAAUGCGCUUACAGAUAGAAAACUUUAAAGAAAAUGCAUACAUAUGAAUCUAAGAUGACACAUUAUUGUUUGCCUUUUAUGAGAUCCAUUACUUGACACUUAAUUGAAAUUCUCCAUUUACAUAAAAGGAAAGGGAAAAAUAAAAAAAAAAAAAAAAAAAAAAAAAAAAAAAAAAAAAAAAAAAAAAACCAACAACAACAACAAAAAAUUUAAAAAGGCCCAAAUCCAAACUUUAACCUUUUUUCCUGCUUCUCUAAUUCGUCCCCGGCUUCAAUCUUCCUCGCGGCACUGGAAGUUUGCUACAAUGGCAGCAUGCAACUUGUAAAUUCCGAAAAAAGUCUGCACGAGCGAUCGCACCAACUCGCCGGGUGCUGGCUCCGCCACUGACCAGAGCACCGUAAGAGCUACUUUUUACAAUGAGAAUUGCCACCAAGUGAAGGCAAGAUGCUGAAAAACAAGAUUUGGCUUGGAUUGUCUAUUUCAUCUCUCUUUCAUAAGAAUUUUCUGGAAUAUUUAUCUAUAUCUUAACCAUACUGACCUUUUUAUCAUUUUAUUUUGAAGAAUGUUAUAUAACACCAGUAGUGAUAUAGUAUCAGUUUCGGUGACUACACUUGAUAUGUUCAAUUAAAUAAAUUGCGUUACAUUACAUUUAAGUAAAUAUAUCAUUUAAUAUCAUGUAAUUGUCACAUUAGGGUGGUACUUGGCACUAAAGAUGCAAAAUAAAAUUAAUCUUUACUUUUUCUUGUACAUGUAUCACCUUGUCAUUAGAGGCUUAACAUAUUGUGAUUAAAGAUAGCUCCAUAUAUGACACGUGACAAACACGUGAAAUACGGUGUAUUUAAAUUAAGAACUGUUGAUGGUAGACGAUUAAUAAGAAAAACAGUAGUUGCAAAGGCAUGAACCCAUACUUAUGAAGUAGCACCACAGUGAAAUAACACUGCCAUACCUAGUUCACGAAUUAUCCUCUGACGAUGCUCAACCAUACGUUUAUUCUGAGGUGCGAGGGCAAGAGAUUUGAUGAAUGAUGCCACGUGCUUGGAAGUGAGAGCUGAGCCCUGAGUUAAUGAAUUCUCCCCCACCAUCAUAAUGAAAGAUUUUAAUUUGUCUCAAAUUGUCUCUCGGCAUAUUGCUCGAAAGCCAAAUAAGUAUCGACAAAUUCAUAUUUUGUUUCAAGAGGAAUGAACCAAGUACAUCAAGAGAAAUCAUCAACCAAACAUGCAUAAUAACUAAAUUUUUCAAGGGACAGAACAGGCGAUGGGCCCCAUAAAUCACAAUAAAUUUUAUUGAAGACGGUUGAACUAGAAUUAUUAGAACAAGAAAAGGGUAAUUUACUGAGUUUGCCUAAUUGACAGGUAUCGCAUAUUGAUUGUAAAUUAUUGGAUCCUUGAACAUGAAUUAACCCUUUUCUGUUUUAGAUGCGACAGCAUCUAAAAUGUUUGGAAAUUAACGCUUGCCGUCACCACCAAGCUUUUGGGCACAUUGCUCUUAGAGGCCUUCUGUGACUUGGACAUCAACUCCACCAUCUUCGCCGCCUUCUCGUCCUUGGUCUUCUUUAUUCUCUCCUUGAUCUCACUGAAAACAAAUACAAAGAGUCACGAUGUGUUCGGAUUAAAAGCGAGUACGAUGUUCUAUUCAAAGUAAGUCAGACCUUCAAAGUUGAUUUUUCUUACUGAUGAAACUUACCUUUCUGAAAUGGAAGUCUUACUUACUUUACAAAAGAGUAACUUAUAAGCACAGCCAAACAUACUCUACAUCUUGCUGAAAGCAUACUCAAACACUUCUAUAUUCACGAGAAUAUCAAACAUUUGAAUCUUUAACAUACCGUAAAGCAGCAUGACGUGCAGCAUCACGAACUUCUGGCUUUUCAGCUCUUUUCUUCUGUAUGACUUCCAAGGUUGCACCAACAAUUGAUCUAGAGUAGGGCUUCUGAGUGGUUCGGCGCUUCUUCUUCACAGUUUCAGCAGCAAUGUCCUAUAAAUCAGUCACGAGAACCAUCAGUGACAGCUAGAUUAUGAAGGGAGCCAAUUCAUCUAAGAAACAAAAGAAAGAUCAUUAAAAGGAAUUAUCACUAUAUUUCACCUUCUUAUGUUGUUUCCGGUAUACAGCAGUCCAUGUAAGCUUUGCAGGCCUCAGGCGAUUGUGAAAAUACCUCUUGCGUUUUGAGUUGGCAAAGUGGAAGACCUUCAACAGGGGAAAAAAAACGUCUUCAUUCCCCAAAAAUAACACAAAGUAAUAUUGGGUGAAAAGUAAAGUGAAAACUGAAUCCGCCCCUUAACAAAGUGACAUAAAUAAAGUAGGAAAAACAUAAAUUGUAUACAGUUCGCAACAAAAACAAAAGGGUGAAACUUUAGGAGUUAAGAAACUAGGCAAAAGGUUAUAAUGCGACACAAAUAUGAUAAUUCAAGCAACAAAGCUUCAACCACCUGGGAAUCUGAGCGAAUAAAUUUGAUACCCUUCCCUGGGUAUAUCUUGGCACCACUAAAUCGGCAAAGCUCUGUCCUGACAACCCAUAAUUAACAGGUGAGACAAACAAAAGAAAAUUAACUCUGAAAUUGAACGUAAAAUCUAUACAGAGUAGAAGCAAAACUUAUCCAAAGCAAGAUAACAUAUAUAUAUUUUGCAUCACAAGCAAAAUCAGGAGUAGGAUCAUCGCUUACAUCGCAUGAAUUCUUUGAAACACAUCAAAUACAACAAAGCAACGUCUAAAUAAGACGUUUGCGUCCUAUAUUUAUCUAUUUGAUAGCAUCUUCUGACUUUCAAAGUAAAACAAAAGAAUUCCAGAUUGAAAUACCAUAUGCUACUGUCUAGCCACAGUAAAAUAUUAAAUCCCCCAAUAAAUCUAAACUCAUACUAAAUUAACAACCCAUCUUUUUAAAAUUGUUAUUGCUACCUUUUGAAAUACCAAUAUGUCCUCCAUCUAAUAAAUAUUUUACACUCAACCUGUACGUGAAUUUCACCCCCCACACACCACCACCAUUUCUAUCGUAAAGUAGAAAAAAGUUCAAAACAGAUCCUUAAAUGCAACAGAUGACAUAUACACUAGAAAUCAGAAUUGAGCACUGGAUUACGCAUCUCAUCACAGAGAAGGAUGGCGGAACUCACUUGAGAACCAUUGUCAUGGAUGCCGAGCUCGCAGCGCUUCGUUUACUCCCGGAAAUGCAGAAACCCUGACUGCCCAUUCAGCAAUACACAGAGUAAAAGGCCACAAUGCGUAGGUUUAGGCUUGGAGUUUGGACCUUCCAUUCAUGAGCCCAUAUAUUAUUGUUGGGCUCAUAUACUAUCUACGAAGAGGAAAUUAGGCCCUAUACCCUUCUUUUUUAAUUGUUUUGAAUGCUAUUUCUCCGACUCCCUCUUGCUGUGCAGCUGGUGGCCCCUACCCCAUCGUCGAGCCUUCAAACUUGUAAGUGGAUUGGUAGUGGGUCUUUUGAAGAGCUUUAGUUGAGUAAUUUUGAUUUCCAUUUCCGAACCACAAAUUAUUUUCUUCUGGGCUCUUUUGGGUGUGAUGUUGUUUGAAAUGAUUUUACUUCAAUUAAUUUCAGAAGCAAAUAUACAAACUCGAGAAGAAGUUGUCGUGAAGCUGUUUAGUAUGAAAGUUUCGUAACUUUGUGAAUUUAAGUUCUUAUUUGGAAUAAAUUUUUUAAUUGUUAAUUUAUUAGUGGUUAAUCAACACCUUUAUUUUUUAUUGUUUACCUAUUGGGAAUUAGUAUUUGUAUUUACUAAGCUAGUUUAUUUGUCAAGUUUUAGCUAUUAACGAGACCAGCUGACAAAUCACUCGAGUUCAAGCAAUAGAUGUACUUCUUUGACAUCAAUGUGUGCAUUGAUUUGUUUCAAGCUUCACUUUGUGUACCUUUUCUGAAAUUUGUAGUGUCAUUUUCUCUUUAAGAAUCUGUUAAAAUUUGUAGUGUCUUUUUCUCUUCAACCUUGUGAAUGACUGGGAUUUUCAUUGGGAAAGAUUUAUGAUUUAUGUUUUAUAAAUUAUGAUUGUGAGUCUGCUGACUAAGAUUUAUGAUUUAUGAAAAUUGGGAAAUUAGUAAAUAUGUGAUAUACAUGGACUAUUAUUUGUGAUAAAUGAUAAAUUUGGGAAUUUGUGAUAAAUGAUAAAAUAGUCAUGUUUGCCAUUGUGAUUCUAGAAUGAGUUAUGCCUUAAUGGAAUUGGUGCACAAUGAAUAAGUUGUUGCUUAGGAUCCAUUAACGCACAAUUAGUAAGUUGUUCCUUAGAGGUGAGUUUGCUUUUUGAAAUCGAUAAUAAAAAGUAAUUAUCUCGUAUCUAUAAUGAAUAAAAGUUUCGAGGCUAUUGAGAUUCCGUUCAAAAUCUAAGUGUGGCCCAUCAAUUUUGCAAUCAACCAAAUUUGCUCAUAUUGUAAAAGAGUAAUGCUAUUUAACAACACUAAUAUUUGAUAGAGCAAUGUUAUUUGUCCCCACUGGGGAUGAAUAGCAUUUUUCUGAUAUUUAAUACCAGUCUAGAUAGUAGUACUAAUGACAUUAAAUUAUAGAUUCAAUUAAAUGUAAAUCACAUAAUUUUACAUUUAAUUGAAUUAAUCACAUAAUGUCACGUACUAGGUAACAUUAUUUAUUGUAAAAUUUUCAAUCAAGUCAUAUUCAGAUUACCGUAAUAAAAUUGUUGAAUUGCAAUCAAGAGAUUUGUAUUGCCAUUGUUUAUUGAGCUAAUCAUGGAUUACCUAGGAGAAAAUGUUCUGUCUGAUGACUGAAAAUUUAUUACAAAUAAUCUUAAAACGUAUAAUCAUAGAUGACAACUUCACAAAAUUCUCUCAGUUCAUUUUUUUUUUUUUGGCUAAUUACGUGUAGUUAUUUUGCAAAUAAUGAGAAAUAUAUUUUUUGUUCAUUCAUAUUUUAAAUUUAUUAAAUAUCAAUGAUUUAAAAUUCAACCCGAUUAUUGACUCAGAAAAGUUAAACAAUCAAGAGCCAAUAAGUUUAACAGGGUCUAAUUGAUGGUAAGAAAUUAUUAAAUCAAUACAAAAUAGUACAUAAGACAGUGUAAAUAUAUUUUUUUCCUUAUUUUUCAAAUAUACUUAUUUUAUACUAUUUUUAUUAAUUCUUAAUAAUUAUGAAAUAAAUAAGUACAAAAAUACAUAUUAAGCGGAAUAAUUUUAUUAAUUUACUACUCCCUCCGUCCCAAUUAUAUAGGUUGAGUUUCCUUUUUCGUUUGUCCCAAAUAUAUAGGCUUGUUUUCAAAUUUAGAAUCUUUUAUUUUGUUCCUUUACCAAUAUACCCUUAUUCAAUUUUAUGCACUUAAUAUGCCAAUUUCUUGAAAUCAUCCAAUUAUGCACAUUUCCCACUUCUUAAAAAUAUGGAACAACUCUCAUUUCUUUUUCGUCAAAUUAAAUCAUUCAAAUUAUUUAUUAAUUCCAACAAUAAUUUAUUACCACAUACUAAAAAUUAAAUAGUGGUAAAUUAGGAAUGAUCUUGACAAAAAUUAGUUUUCCAAUGAUAUUAAUAAGCCUAUAUAAUUGGGACGAAGAGAGUAUUAUAUCAUAUUGGGGUAUCAUUUCCACAUAGUAGAUUCCACCAUCUUCUUGUUGUGCAGUUCAUAUUUUCUAAAAUUAAUUGAUGGUGGCUAUCUCAAAACGAAAGAAAUGAAUGGGUGUGAAAUAUAGGAAUGUUACCAAAUCGGAAUCGGUUCAGGUGUUUCGAUUUUCGAAAAUCCAUUGACUUGCUAUUUUUUAUCAUAAUUUUUAAUGGUACGUUUUUUUUGUCUAACAGGCCCAAUUUCGAAGCCGAUUUCCAAUUUUGCCAAUUGAACUGGUCGGGCCGUGUCGAUUUUAAUAAUAUUUUUAAACAUUAUUUUUGGUCAUUGGCUAAACUUUCUAGAGUUUAUUUUCUUUAACAAUGGAUUUUUCAAUGAGAGACUAACAUGAAUUGAUGGGCACUUUAUUGUGACAUCAUUAACUAUGUUAACUUUUUUAACGGGCUUAGUUGAAGUGGUGGAUGGAGAAUAAUGAAUAUUUCAAGUUUAUUUCUCAAGUUCAGUGAUGUUAAUGAGAAGUAACGACGAAAGUUCAAUGACUAUUAUGAUAAUUAAGGCCAAUAGUUUAAGAGAGAUAAGAAAUACGCAUCAUAGUUAAUUAAUAUUUAAUUCAUUAAAAUAUUUUGUUUGUCUGUGCGACUUUGUCUUGUUAAUUAAUUUAUUUGUAAAUAAUUUUGAUUGGUGGGGCAUUUGAGAGUAAUUAGUCAAUUUAUUUAAUCUGUUAAAUUUUAGUUAAUGAUUUUCUCAGUUAACCACAAUAAAAUUAUUUGAAUCGACUGCAACAUCACCUAACUCAGCUCUUGUUUGCUCCCCUUAUUUUGAAAAUACGUUUUUUUUCUCUCUCUCUCUCUCUUUCUUUUUUUAAUCAUACAUUUUUUAAUAAAAUAAUAUUACAUGCAAAUCAAAUUUUUUUUAAAAAAAAAAAUUUAACCACACAUUUUCCAUUAAUUUACUAUUCUGAAAUGCAUUCUUAACCAAAAAUGGGGCUCAAUCGGACGCUCAAUUAGUUAACAACUUCACAUUGAAUUUACUUAACCUAAAAUAUUAGAAUUUUUUAUGCUAGAAUACCAACCAAAAUUAAACCUAUUCAAAUCUUAAUUUAUCGUUUAAAGAUAUAAUAAAGAGUAUACUUAAUUAUUUUUGUGCUGGAAUACCAACAAACAGCAAACCUACUUGGGUGCGAUUAGUGGAUCAGACUAGACUCGAUAAGAUAAAUAUAAACAUACGGCGAAUUGUAUUAAGUAAAUAGUAUUAUGUUGGAUUAAGAUGAAUUUAGUUUUUACACUUUUCAGGCAACUAGAUAACAUAGUGCUGAUAGUGAUGAGUAUAAUCCGGGAAAGAUAAGAUAUUAUUUUGUUCGCGUUGAAAUAAUGACUUCCAUUACCUUACCAUAAUAUUAUAAUGCUUAAUUUUUUUCCAGUCUAAUAGGUUUGCAGAACCCAUCCUUCAAGCGUUAAUUUAUCAAUUAUGGGAUUAGCGAGGAUUUAUCCUUGAUAUCUCUAGGUUGGUGUUAUCUAAUAACAUUUUCUAUAGGUAUUGACCCUAGUUGUUAGGUGGAUUCAUAGUCAAAAUUUCCAACUAUAAUUUAUAGAAAAAAUUGCAACGAAGGCUCUUUUAGACAGUUUUCAUCCAAAUGUCUGUUAGUUGACUAAAAAAUUUGACUUUGACCAUAUUUUUAAUAUUUUUGAGCCAGUAAAAUAGUAACUUUUCAUUUAUUAUAUUAAAAUAAGUUAGAAUUUAAAUUAAAAAAAUAAGAAAUGAGAAAUAAAAUAAAAUAAAAACCUCGUGGUCUUCUUUCUCUCACCCCACCCCCACCCUGCAACACCCUUGCCGGCCGCCGGAGGCUGUGCCACCAGUUGGAUCUGCUUCGGUACCAUUUUUGGAGAAUUGGGACCAAUUCUUUUGGCCCCAUAAAUCACCAUAUCAUCAACUGGACUUUGCUUUGGCGAACCCCUUUUUUUGUUGUUGUUAAUUUUCGGAUUCAGAGAAUCUAAUGACUCUCCUCUUCUCAAAAUGGUGACUUGCCCCAGAUCAAAAAAAUGACCUGUUCAACUUGUUUCUAGAUGUAUAAACUGACAAUUGCAUAUGAGCUGAGAUAGAAUUCCCACGUAUGAGGAAAUCAGUGCAUGGGUGCUCAUAUUGAUUAUGGUCAUCAAAUUUUUCGAUCUGAUUUAUUUUAUAUAGAUGCUUGAUUCUCUCAAGAAUCGUAAAAUAGGGAUCUCAAAAGUAGCCGAACAAUAUUGUCAUAUGUUCUAACCCAAGGAGACGCCUCUUGAAUAUUCUUCACUUCCAGACAUUGCCACAUUACCUUCCGCUGAAACCUAAAUAAAUUCACUUGGCCCGUAUCAGCACCAGCCCUCAUUUGCCUCGGAUUCUGCUCGAGCUCUACCGAUACUUCAAGCUCUUAACACAAUUGCUCCAUGCUCGCAACAAACUUCUCGAACCUGAGAUAGAGAGAGGAGGAGAGAGAAGGGGAGAGAUGGAAUGGGGGUGGGGCAUAUUAAAUUACUAUUUUUCCCUUUUAAAAUUGUAUAAAAUGUGGUUAAAAUUAAUUUUUCAGGUCAAAAUCAGUUUUUUAGGUCAACUAAUGCAAAAUUAGACAAACUCCAUCCAAAAGGGCCCCUGCCACAAUGUUUCGAAAGGUUUUGGGUGAUGGUUGCAACAAAUUAAAGGUUUGGGNNNNNNNNNNNNNNNNNNNNNNNNNNNNNNNNNNNNNNNNNNNNNNNNNNNNNNNNNNNNNNNNNNNNNNNNNNNNNNNNNNNNNNNNNNNNNNNNNNNNNNNNNNNNNNNNNNNNNNNNNNNNNNNNNNNNNNNNNNNNNNNNNNNNNNNNNNNNNNNNNNNNNNNNNNNNNNNNNNNNNNNNNNNNNNNNNNNNNNNNNNNNNNNNNNNNNNNNNNNNNNNNNNNNNNNNNNNNNNNNNNNNNNNNNNNNNNNNNNNNNNNNNNNNNNNNNNNNNNNNNNNNNNNNNNNNNNNNNNNNNNNNNNNNNNNNNNNNNNNNNNNNNNNNNNNNNNNNNNNNNNNNNNNNNNNNNNNNNNNNNNNNNNNNNNNNNNNNNNNNNNNNNNNNNNNNNNNNNNNNNNNNNNNNNNNNNNNNNNNNNNNNNNNNNNNNNNNNNNNNNNNNNNNNNNNNNNNNNNNNNNNNNNNNNNNNNNNNNNNNNNNNNNNNNNNNNNNNNNNNNNNNNNNNNNNNNNNNNNNNNNNNNNNNNNNNNNNNNNNNNNNNNNNNNNNNNNNNNNNNNNNNNNNNNNNNNNNNNNNNNNNNNNNNNNNNNNNNNNNNNNNNNNNNNNNNNNNNNNNNNNNNNNNNNNNNNNNNNNNNNNNNNNNNNNNNNNNNNNNNNNNNNNNNNNNNNNNNNNNNNNNNNNNNNNNNNNNNNNNNNNNNNNNNNNNNNNNNNNNNNNNNNNNNNNNNNNNNNNNNNNNNNNNNNNNNNNNNNNNNNNNNNNNNNNNNNNNNNNNNNNNNNNNNNNNNNNNNNNNNNNNNNNNNNNNNNNNNNNNNNNNNNNNNNNNNNNNNNNNNNNNNNNNNNNNNNNNNNNNNNNNNNNNNNNNNNNNNNNNNNNNNNNNNNNNNNNNNNNNNNNNNNNNNNNNNNNNNNNNNNNNNNNNNNNNNNNNNNNNNNNNNNNNNNNNNNNNNNNNNNNNNNNNNNNNNNNNNNNNNNNNNNNNNNNNNNNNNNNNNNNNNNNNNNNNNNNNNNNNNNNNNNNNNNNNNNNNNNNNNNNNNNNNNNNNNNNNNNNNNNNNNNNNNNNNNNNNNNNNNNNNNNNNNNNNNNNNNNNNNNNNNNNNNNNNNNNNNNNNNNNNNNNNNNNNNNNNNNNNNNNNNNNNNNNNNNNNNNNNNNNNNNNNNNNNNNNNNNNNNNNNNNNNNNNNNNNNNNNNNNNNNNNNNNNNNNNNNNNNNNNNNNNNNNNNNNNNNNNNNNNNNNNNNNNNNNNNNNNNNNNNNNNNNNNNNNNNNNNNNNNNNNNNNNNNNNNNNNNNNNNNNNNNNNNNNNNNNNNNNNNNNNNNNNNNNNNNNNNNNNNNNNNNNNNNNNNNNNNNNNNNNNNNNNNNNNNNNNNNNNNNNNNNNNNNNNNNNNNNNNNNNNNNNNNNNNNNNNNNNNNNNNNNNNNNNNNNNNNNNNNNNNNNNNNNNNNNNNNNNNNNNNNNNNNNNNNNNNNNNNNNNNNNNNNNNNNNNNNNNNNNNNNNNNNNNNNNNNNNNNNNNNNNNNNNNNNNNNNNNNNNNNNNNNNNNNNNNNNNNNNNNNNNNNNNNNNNNNNNNNNNNNNNNNNNNNNNNNNNNNNNNNNNNNNNNNNNNNNNNNNNNNNNNNNNNNNNNNNNNNNNNNNNNNNNNNNNNNNNNNNNNNNNNNNNNNNNNNNNNNNNNNNNNNNNNNNNNNNNNNNNNNNNNNNNNNNNNNNNNNNNNNNNNNNNNNNNNNNNNNNNNNNNNNNNNNNNNNNNNNNNNNNUAUGAAAAAUAUGUUAUCAUUUCAAUAUUCUAUGAAACUUGAAAUAUAAACCAGUAUAUCAACUCUUAAUGAACUAUACUAUAAUUUCAAAACCACUUGAAUUUUUGACUUAUACCAUUCAACAUGACAACUAUAUCAUGUUGCCGAGUAUUUUUCCAUUAUGAUGUUUUACUACAGAACUAUAGUUUUGGCUCAUGCACCAUUUGUUUUAAAAGUAUGCCUAUACACAAGUCUUGGUCUUGUUUCUUAAUUACGUUUUUACGCUUUUUUCAGACAUAGACCCGCUUAGACUCGUAGAAACUUGAAACUUGGCAUUCCCACCUAACCAUGGUUUACACUCUUUAGAACAUUGCACCAUAUUUUAAUUGAAAUGAAGGUCCCAAACUUUUGCUCAUUUCAUAGUUAUGUCCCCAAUUUUUCAUUGUAUUUUAUUUCUCAACCUAUUAAUUAGCACAAUUUGUCCAUGCUGAUGGCCAAAAAAAUCACGAGGACCUCAAAGUAAUAGAAUAUUCGGACAGAAACCGUCUGCUUAGAUAAGAUAUGUUAAUGAGACGAAAAAAAUAUAGGAAUAUAAGUACGAAAACGAGCAUUUGUUGACGAUCAUGUCAUUGAUUUCAAUGAACUACCACAAUUACAAAUUAAAUUAAAAUUUGUUAAAUUAAAGUUAAAAUGCAGUUAUUGAAGAAAAUUAAAGUUAUCCAUAGACACUAGAUUAGAAGUAUAAUUUCCACAAAUGGAAUUUACCCAGUAAUUUAUAGUCUGAUGUUGUUAAGAAUGUCGACUAGGCCCUUGUAGUACAAGGAAAGAUGGCCCUACAAAUGACCCAAAUGCAGAUUCCACUUAGGAUGUAAUUUACAUUUCAAUUAGCAUUUCAUCAAAUUCAUUUCGUCUCGGUAUUAUCACUUUAAGAGCACCAAUUUGUUAGGUGACUGCUAGGUUAUAUGGUAGAGAGAGAAGUCCGUAUCGAUAACUGAGUAGGAAUCAAAUUGCUCUUUACGAGACAUUGGGUUUUUAAUUGAAAGUUAUUGUACGCUUAAAUGACUCUGACUAAUAAAAGAUUAUUCUCAGUGUACAGAAAAAAUUCACAGAAUAUUUACUGGCUCUCACAUGGGUGUUGGGUCCAUGUGUUGUUUUGCAAAAAAUAAACUAUCCAUCUCACUAUUGAGUCUGUAAUACUUCUGUGAAGUUUCUCCAAUGUAGCUUGACUCUUCAAAAAAUAUAAAGAUUACAUGUGAUUGCUGGUGAAUCGAAUUGAUAGGUCACAAAAUUUGUACCAUUAAAUGAGUUUUCUGCACAAUAGCUUCAGCUUAUCCCUUUCUUUGUGUUGUUGCACAGAAGAAAAUGGCCAGUUGUUGAAAAUAUCUGUCAGACCAAAAUAAUUUCUAUAGCGUUUGAGAUAUAUUUAAUUGAGAGCGUUUGUUUCCCACUUUUGUAAAAAUGAGAAUGAAAAAUAUAGUCAUUGUGGCCUCAUAAAAGAGGUAGAAAUUUAAAUUUGGUAGCUUAAUAUGAUGGAUAACGGUCAUAUUUAUUAUUUUAAUAGUAAAAAAAGGAGAAACAAACAGGGGCUUAAUUAAGUUAAAAAAAUUAGGGAAAAAACGAUUUAAUUGAGCUAAAUCAGACUGUUAGGUGACUUAUAUUAUAGAGAGAGAAGUGAGUAUUGAUAAUUGAGUUGGAAUCAAAUUGUUCUUUACGAGACAUUGGGGUUUUAAUUGAAAGUUAUUGCACGCGUAAAUGACUUUGACUAAAACACUAAAAAAGUAUAAAUAUUCCAUAUGGUUGCUGGUCACAGAAGAUAAAAUAUGUUAAUGAGGAAAAAAAAUUGAAAACCUUUAUUACAAUUUAAAUAUAGCACAAUAAACAGUAAAUGUGGUAUAAAUAUAAUUACCCAUUUAAAAAUCUAAAAGUAAGGGACACAAUUAUUUUCAAAACUCUUUAAAGAUACUUUUGUCAUAUCACCCAUUAAAAAAUCCAAAAGUAGUGGACACAAUUAUUUUCUUAGCUCUUUAAUAGGAACUUCUUUUUUUUUUUUUCUUUUUUUUUUUUUCAAUCUUUUUAAUCAAAUGGGACACUAGGUGAACACUGUUAAAAUCUCCACUUGCAAUGUUACCAAAUUAGUUAGUUUAUGCAAAUGAAAAUGGAAGUUGUGAGUAAUUCAUAAAGUAAAGUUAUGGUACCUAAUUUAGCCCUUGUUUGAGCCACAUUUUUUUAAAAAAAUAUAUUUUUCAACAGUGUUUUGACAUUAUUUUAACCAUAUUCUUCAAUAAAAUAAUAUUAUAUGUAAAUCAAUAUUUUUUAUUAUUUUUUAAUCACACAUUUCUCAUCAAUAUACUAUUCAAAAAUUCAUUCUUUCCCAAAAAUGGGAGGUCAAACAAGGGCUUAGUAUUAAGAAAUCAUGAUUUUAGACUAAUUUCUCCACUACAAGUUGGAAAGUGGCAGGAACCAUAGGCGUUUCAUCCAUUUUUCUUGCUUUGGAAUCGGAAUCUGGAUUUGAAUUAUACGGCGUAUGAUUUAUUCGGUAUAGAGAGAAAUGUAGAAUUCAAAAUCAAUAAAUGAGUAGGUAUCUGUCCUUAGCCAGACAAUUGGGCCCAUUCUCCGAUAAUACAUGGUAUUGAAUAAUUCAAUUUGUGUACCUUUCUUUAAAAAAAAAAAAAAAAAAAAAAAAAAAGUUGAACCCCAACCUUGAGGGCCCCCUCGCUCCGUCUUUAGAGUUUUGUGAGAGAGGCAAAUCGCGGGAUGUGCCUUAGCAAGUCAAGGAACAAGAGCUGUCUGUACACUGCGUCUACAAGGAGUCCAAUUCCAUGUCUCAAGAAUCGAACCUCCACACUGCGGCUGCUAGCAAGACGUGAGAUAAUCUCACACCUGUUCUUUGCACUACGAACAACUCCACUGGUAAUUUUAUUUAAAUUAUGUUACAUUGGGUAAUUAUACUUUGAUUCGAUUUCAUUUAAGAUGACUUCGUCGAAAUAUAACUAUUUGAAAUGUUGUGUCCUUUUUUCUAAUAUCUUAUUUUAUUUCACGUAUAGAAGAACAUUAAUGACAUCGACAAUAUGAAAAAUAUGUUAUCAUUUCAAUAUUCUAUGAAACUUGAAAUAUAAACAAGUAUAUAUCAACUCUUAAUGAACUGUAUUAUAAUUCCAAAACCACUUGAAUUUUUGACUUAUACCAGUCAACAUGACAACUAUAUCAUGUGUGCCGAGUAUUUUCCAUUAUGAUAUUUUACUACAAAACUAUAGUUUUGGCUCAUGCACCACAUGUUCUGAAAAGUAAGCCUAUACACAAAUCUUGAUCUUGUCGCUUGUUACGUUUUUACGCUUUUUUUACACAUUGGCUUGCUUAGAUUCAUAGAACCUUGAAACUUGGCCUUCCUAGCUAACCAUGGUAUACACUCUUUAGAACAUUGUACCAUAUUUUAAUUGAAAUGAAGGUCCCAAACUUUUGCUCAUUUCGUAGUUAUGUCCAUAAUUUUUCAUUGUAUUUUACUUCUCAGCCUAUUAAUUAGCACAAUUUGUCCAUGUUGAUGGCCAAAAAACUUCAUUAGGAGGAUAAAUAUAAAUUUUCAACGAAAUAUUUUCAUCAAACAAAUGGAAUAUUUGGACAGAAACCGUCUUCUUAGAUAAGAUAUGUUAAUGAGACGAAAACAAUUCAAGAAUAUAAGUACGAAAAUGGACAAAAAUUGAAAACCUUCAUUGCAAUUAAAAUAUGAUGCGAUUAACGACAAUAAUUAUCCAGUUAGAAAUCCAAAAGUAGUGGACACAAUUAUUUUCAUCUCUCUUUAAUCAUACUUUAUUUUAUUUUUAUUUUUUUGGGUCAAAUGAGACACUAAGGUAAAAAUGGUUAAUAUCUCAGCUAGCAAUGUCAUUAGAUUUGUUAUUUAAUUCUAAUGGAAAUGGAUGUAGUGAUUAAUGGUUUUAAGUAUCAUAAGUCAUAAUGUUGGGUGACUAAUUUAGUAUUAACAAAUCAUGAUUUUAGACAGACUUCUCCGCUACAAGCUGGAAAUUGGCAGGAACCAUAGGCAUUUCAUCCAUUUUCUUGCUCUGAAAUUGGAAUUUGUAAUAUUCUAGCAAUUAGACAACGAUAUCUUGCAAAAUUUCUCUUCAGUUGAUCUAUAAUUUCAACGACAAUUUUAGUAAUCAACAGAUUUCAAUUAAAUAACUCAGUCCAAUUCCAUUACUUGGAUGGAUGGAUUGAAAUUGAUGAUGCAACAGUAAAUAAAUUUAUUUCAGUAAAGUUGCACUUGAUUCAAGUCAAUAACUAACAACCACGUGUGAUUAACGUCAUUUGUUGACGAUCAUGUCACUGAUUUCAGUGAAUUGAAAUUGGACGAAGUUAUCAAAAUUAAAAAUUGAAUUAAAACUUCGUUACGAAACUUGAAUUCAAAUUAAAGCACAGUCGGUUAAAUUAAGAGCUUUCUGCACAAGAGCUUCAUUUUAUCCCUUUCUGUGUAUUGUUGCAAGCAGAAGAAAAUGGCCAAUUGUUGAAAAUAUCUGUCAGAUUAAAAUAAUUUCUAUAGCAUUUGAAUUAGGAGUGAAUUGUCCAAAUGGUCAUUGAACAUUGCAAAAAAAUUUUCAAAGGCUCAUUGAAUUUUAAAAAUUACCUAAAUGGUCACCGAACUUUGCAAAAGGUUUCUAUGGAGUCACUAAACUUUAAAAAUCACCUAAAUAAUCACUAAAUUUUGCAAAAUAUUUUCACGGGGUCACUUAACUUUGCAAAAGGUUUCUCAAGAGGUCACCGAAUUGGGAAACUUUUUACAAAAUUCAGUGACUAUUUAGAUGAUUUUAAAGUUUAGUGACCCUGUAAAAAUAUUUUGCAAAGUUCAGUGACUUCUUAUAAACUUUUUACAAAGUCCAAUGACCAUUAGGACCAUUCAUUCAAAAAUUAGGGGAAAAACUACUCAAGGGAUCCGAAACAGAGUAGAAAAAACAAUUUAAUAUAGCUAAAUCAGACUGUUAGGUGACUUAUAUUAUAGAGAGAGAAGUACGUAUCGAUAUUUGAGUUGGAAUCAAAUUGUUCUUUACAAGACAUUGGGUUUUAAUUUGAAAAUUAUUGCACGCGUAAAUAAUUCUGACUAAAAGAUUAAAAAAAUAUAAAGAUUCCACGUGGUUGCUGGUCACAAAAGAUAAAAUAUGUUAAUGAGGUGAAAAAAUUGAAAACAUUUAUUACAAUUAAAAUAUAGUAAAAUAAACAAUAAAGGUGGUAUAAAUAUAAUUACCCAUUUAGAAAUCUAAAAGUAAGGAACAAAAUUAUUUUCUUAACUCUUUUAAACGUACUUUUAUAAUAUCACCCAUUAAGAAAUCAAAAAGUAGUGGACAAUUAUUUUCAUAGCUCUUUAAUCAUACUUUUUUAUUUUUUUAAAUCAAGCUGAACACUGUUAAAAUCUCCGCUUGCAAUGUUACCGAAUUAGUUAGUUUAUGCAAAUGAAAAUGGAAGUUGUGCAUAAUUCAUAAAGUUAUGGUACCUAAUUUAGUAUUCAGAAAUCAUGAUUGUAGACUAAUUUCUCCACUACAAGUUGGAAAAUGGCAGGAACCAAAGGCGUUUCAUCCAUUUUCUUGCUUUGGAAUCGGAAUUUUGGAUUUGAAUUAUACGGUGUAUGCUUUGGUCGGUAGAGAGAGACGUAGAAUUCAAUAAAUGAGUAUAUCAAAUUGUCCUUAGCUAGAUAAUUGGGUCCAUUCUGCAAUAAUAAAUGGUAUUGAAUAAUUCAAUUUGUGUCCCCUUCUUAAACAGAGAAGACGAAAAAAAUAAUUUACACCCCAAACAACUCCACUUUGCAAUCUGCAUCCAAAUCUCUCUCUCUCUCUCUCACCAAAUUUCCAAAGCAAGAAAUAAAAUGGAAGCCGUGGCUAUCGAAGGCGUGAAAUUUAUACUGGAGAAGUUGUAUGCGGUAGCUGCUGACGAAAUCAAUCUUAUGCGUGGUUUCAAGAACGAACUAGCAAGCCUAAAAAAAUACUUGGAAAAGGUCAACCAAGUCUUGGAAGGUGCUGCAAGGCGUGAAAUCAUCGACGGGGAUGUUAAAAGCUGGCUUAAGGACCUCAAGGAUGCUGCAGAUCAUGCCGACAUUGUCUUAGACGAGAUCCAAUAUGAAGAUUUGCGUCGUACAAUAGAAACCGAGGACGAGAUUAGCCCCUGUUUGGCCCCCAUUACCUGAAAAUGGUAAUGGGGGGAAUAGUAUUUUUUAGAAAAAUGAGUGGUUGAAAAAGAAAGUAAAGUUUUCGAUUUACGUGUAAUAUUAUUUUAUAGAAGAUUGUAUGGUUGAAAAUAGGAGAGAGAAAAAUGAAAUGUAAUGUAAUGUAAUUUAAUGUUAAUCAAACAGGGGCUUAGGUGCUUAAACAUCCCAUGCUGUACUAAUACCGCUUUGACAUUUCAACGGGAGAUGGCCCACAAAAUCAAGGACAUAAAUGCCAACUUCAAAAAGAUGAACAACGAAGCUGAUCGCCUCGGCCUCAGCAGAGUUAGAGAUUAUCCUCUGGCAAAGCCUCCAGUCAUGGAAACUACCAGCUUUGCUAUUGAUCCAAUUGUCAUUGGACGAGAAAUUGAUGAAUCAGAAAUACUGGAGAUGAUAACCAGCUCGAUCAAUAAUGUCCUUUCAGUCCUUCCCAUAGUCGGAAUGGGAGGGCUUGGCAAGACGACUUUAGCACGCAAGAUCUACAAUCACCAUCGUACACAAACCCAUUUUGACGAAAGGAUUUGGGUUUGUGUAUCAGAAAAUUUUGAUCAGCUGACGCUUUUCAAAAGGAUUCUGGAAUUAUUAUCGGGCAAAGAUUUUGGCGGAGGUAGCAAGCAAGCUGUUGUUCAAAAGAUUGCAGAGGAAUUAAAAAACAAAAGAUACUUGCUAGUUCUCGAUGAUUUAUGGAAUGAAGAAACAGAAGAUUGGGAUGAAUUCAAAAAUACACUGGUGGGAGCUAGCUCCAAUAAAGGAAAUUUCAUUAUCGUCACCACACGUAAGGAAAAGGUGGUAUCUACUGUGAACACUUGCAAUCGUCCAUGCAGAUUGAGGUCAUUAACAGCUGAUGAAUGCUGGUCCAUAAUCAGAACAAUGAUAUUUCAAGAUAAAGAAGUAUUGGAAAAAUUUGCGAUUAUUGGACUGGAGAUUGCUCGCAAAUGUAGAGGUUUACCUCUAGCAGCAAAUGUGAUUGGAAGAGUUUUGCAAGGAAAGGAAAUAGAAGAGUGGGAUUCAGUUCUACAGUCUGGGCUUUCAAAUCUUGAAGAGGGGGAGAAGGGUGUGUUGCAAGUCUUAAAGGUAAGCUAUGAUCGCUUACCUUCUUCAUCACUGAAAAAAUGUUUUGCCUUUUGUUCAAUAUUUAUCAAGGAUUCGAUCAUGGAUAGAGAAGACUUAAUCCAGCUCUGGAUGUCGGAAGGACUUCUUCCAAACAAUCAAGAAAGUGAGAUGGAGACUACAGGCAAUAAAUAUUUUAAUAUUUUGUUGCAAAAUUUCUUCUUCCAAGAGCCCGAAAAGGACAAGUAUGGCAAUAUCAUAAGCUGCAAAAUGCACGAUCUUGUCCAUGAUCUUGCAUGUUUAGUUUCGAAAUCAGAAAGUUUCAUGAAUACGGAGGGUCUCACUGUUGAUGACAUUCUUCAAGUUAGACACCUUGCAAUAGAAUCAAUUGGAGAGGAAAUGGUCAAGGACAUAAAAGAGAGAGCAAGUUAUCUCCACACCUUGUUCUUAAGAAGCAACGUACCAGAUGGAAUUUUACCGUACUUCAAGCAUUUGCAUUCUCUAAAGCUAUGUAAUGCAAAUAUUAAAGAAUUGCCAACAUCAAUUGGCACCCUGAAACAUUUGAGAUAUCUUGAUGUGUCCGACAAUAAAGAUCUCACUACUCUGCCAGAAUCUAUCUGCAAGCUCUACAAUUUGCAAACUUUGAGGAUUCUAUGGCACUACCUUUAUCGCGAGAUUCGAAGGCUUCCUAGAGAUCUGCGAUUCUUGACUCGUUUAAAGCAUCUCUGUAUUGACACUGUUACCAAGGAUUUCAAGAUGCCACCUAAAAUCGGAAGUUUAUCUUGCCUUCAAACGUUACCAUUAUUUUGUGUGAGUGACGAGGAAGGUUGUCGAAUUGAUGAGCUGGGAAAGUUGAAGAAAUUAAAAGGCAAACUACAAAUACGGAAUUUGGAAUUGGUGAGAUCUAACACAGAAGUGGAGCAUGCAGAUAUGGCUGGAAAGCUAAACAUUUAUAAGUUUUACUUUCAUUGGACUCCUUCCAGGUACAGGUAUUUCAAUGAUGAGAGUGAGUCAAUGGAUUCCUCAGAAAGUAACAUCAAUGAUGAGAGUGUACUUGAAGGGCUGCAACCUCAUUACAAUGCAACAUACUAAACUUGAUGCUUAAUGUUUGAGAAGUCAUGAUUAUGUUAAUUAUAAAUCCAUCCAACCCAUUCAUUUAUAAUUCUACUACUUGAAAUUCAUUAGUGAAUAACGUCACUUGUACAAUGUUUUUGCACAACUUGGUUGACAAGUGUGUUGAAAAAAUUCUGAACAUUGAUUUUAAAAGCAGUUUUUCAAAUAAAUGGAAGUGCUGUUUGUCAACUUAUGCAUUGUAAACCAAGUUGUAAAAUAAAUUGCACAAGUAACAUGAUUGUUCAUUAGUACCAGCAAAUUCCUCCAUGCAGCUACAGUGUAUCCUAGUUGUUAGCUAGAUCUCCUACCUCCACUUUUAUGGAAGGUUGGUUAACAACCCUCAUGGCAUAGAAAUAGACAGAACCCAAAGACAAAUGCCUCUACCAACCACUGAAUUCUUGGUCUUGGGGGUAAGCCAAGCCAUAGUAUCAAUUAAAGUGAAAGAACCCAAAUCCUUCUCUUAUGCCUUCUACACUGCAUAAUAAACAUAAAUGAUUGAGAAUGGUAUCAAUUUAAUAUGCUAAACUUAGAGUUUUAGAUCUGUUCUCCCAUAGCUUAUGCAUUACUAGGUAACAACCAUUUUCAUUUAAUAAAACCCAAUUAUUAAACCCUGCAUAUGCUAGUCGGACAUAUUUACAUCACUAGACAUCCAAUAAGAUGAUAAACAGCGGCGGGAGUCAAUAAAAUUAUAUAUAUUUUUCAUGAGCUUUGGUAAGAACAUAUAAAGAUAUCAACUUUACCCGUCAAAAAUAUUAAUUUGUGUUUCUAACAUGAGGAAAUAUGACACUAAAGUCAAUGAAAUUAUGUAAAAGUGACGGAAUAUGGAAAAGGAAGCAAAUAUUGGGGGGACUGAAAAUCCAAUUUUAAAGGAGGGCUACGAAUAUUUCCAAAAAUGCUAAAGUCCAAUUUUUCAAAAAAUGAAAAAAUAAAAAUAAUAAAAAUUGAUUGUAACCCCUCGGAUUCGAUCCCCAAUCUCCAAGGCCAAAACAAGAAACAUUUAUCAAUAAGCUUAAACCACUUUUAUGUCAGUAAACUAAGUUAUAAAAAUUGUACUUGUUUUCUGUUUCAAAAUAUACAUAAAAAUAUUAGAUGACUUCAAACCUAGUAUAAACGGAAUAUAGCAUAUUGUUGGAAUAAUAUAUUUUAAAUUAGUUUUAAAUAUUUUUGUUCAAUUCUAAUAAAAAUUAUAUUAUUCUACAUCUUUCUUCUAUAUAUUAUUCCAAAUCAGAGUUCAACCAAUUCUACAUUUACAUAUGAACAUACUUUUUAAAUAUUGACUUGAACAAAUUGACUGUUUCCAUAGCCUCACUUUCUACAAUUCCCUAUUGCGAAUGAUCUCUUUUAGUGUCAUUGUCUGUAUAAUUUUAAUUAUGGCAUUGAAAGAAAAUAUUCUAAAAGAUGGAACUCUAAGAAAUGAUAAAGAAUUGUUUCAAAAUUUUUUGGAAGGUCAUGAAUGUGGUCAAUUUGUUAAUGCCAAUAUUAAAAAAUUCCAAUCUGGAUUCAUAUGUAAAUAUAAAAUUGGUUAAAAGAUGUCAUUUAUGUAGCUUUUCAAACUCUGUGGAAAUAUAUACCAUUCAUUUCAAAUUUUAGUGAGAGUUUAAUGCAUUUAAAGAAUUGAGAAGGCACCGUGCUCUUAAUCCAAGAGAAACUGGACGCAUUAAUAUUUGAAGAUUUAUAAGAUCUAACAUCGUAGGUCGUGAGUGUUGUUUAUCUUAAAUUUUGUGACUAUUUAAAAUUUUUUUAGAAUUAAUAUGUUACACUUGUAUGAUUUUAACCCCAUCCACAUUAAAAGUAGUUGAUCCAAAGUCCCAAAAAAUGAGGAUUUUUUCAAUUUUUAAAAAAUAAUAAUCGAAUGGGCUUGUGGGUGGCUCGACUCAACUCAUGAAUCCCAUGAGCCAAAAAACCAAAUCAUGCAAUGUUUUUGGACAGUAGUCAAAUUAGACUCGUUCUAAUCAAAAUUAUUUGUAUAAAGAAUUUUACAAAAUAAUUUCAACCUUGUCAACUGAUAGUAAAAGAACAAAAUCGGAGUAUAUACUAAUACGUAGUAUGGAUUAAAAAAUAGUGAUAGAAAGAAAUAACAUUCAACUUGUUCCAUUGCUACUUCUAGAUGAAAUCGAGUUUAAACGUUAGCCUCGCUUCUUCGAGAUUUAAAUUUGAAAAGUCAAAAUUGGCUUGUUUGGUGUUUUCAAUAGUAUUAGUAUGGGCUUUAUAUUAGUCUACUUCGGUUGGGCCAGAUUUAAAAUGUAUCCGUUUUUUAGCACCAUUCAUUUAUUUUUUAUAAUUAUAUUCACAUAAUAAUUUUUUUAACUGCACAACAUUUUAACUAAAAUGAAGAUCCUCUAAUUUUGUUCAGUUUUAGACUUAUAUCUCCUACUUUUUCAUCACUUUUUAUUUUAAUCUUUCAUUAAUUAAUACAUGCUGUCUCAGAUAACGAUUUCUGUCCAAAUAUUAUGUUCAUGUGGGAAAAAUAUAUUGUCAAGCUUAUAUAUUUAUUUUUUAUCUUUCUUGUUACAAAUCUUCAUCCUAAUGGAUUUUUUGAUUGUCAUCAAGAACUAGAUAAAAUAAGAUUGAGAUUAUAGUAUGAAAAAAAUAAAAAAAAUUAGAGAUGUAAGUGCCUAAAUGAGCAAAGCAAAAAAUUACGACUGCAAUUGUGACUUGACGUACUUCACAAAAAAAUAAGGUGUAAAUUAUAUUUAUUCUUUAUUUUUUAUAACUGGAUAAUCAGGCCAUUUAUGUUAUAAAACUAAGUUAAAAAGAGUGAACAAUAUAAGAGAAUUGAAGAUCAAGUCUCAAGUUUAGUUUCUUAUAAUAAUUGAUUUAUAUAAAAUUUCAAUGAGAAAUACAAUUUGAAAAAAAUAUACUUUACAGUAAGGGUCCGUUUGAUUGUAAAGAUAGAAUUUGGGUAGAAAGAAACAAAUUUCAGGGAAUUGAAUUGUCUAGAAAUUAUUUUCCUAAGAAUUGUAAAUUAUUGUGUUUGAUUGGUAUAAUUUUCUACGUGGAAAAUGUUGAAAUAAAAGUAUUUUUUUGUGUUUGUUUGACUUUGUUUUACAUGAAAAUUGUCAAUUAAAGAGAUAAAAAUUACUGGUAUUGGAGAUGAAAUUUGUUUACAUUGCCAAAAAAAAUUCAAGAAAAUUAUCUAUCUUUUAGUGUUCGUUUAGCUUUAUUUUACAUGAAAAUUAUUAAUUAAAGAGAUGGAAUUUAUUACAAUAAUUCUUAAAAUUUGUUUCAAUUGCAAGAUAAAAAAUAAAAAUAAAAUACUUCAAAAGAUGGAAUUUCAAUUCCCACCAUUUUGGUGAGAAUUGAAAUUCCAAUGGUGGGAAUUGAAAUUCCACAAUUUGGUGGGAAUUGAAAUGUGGCAACAAAAGAUGGAAAAGGAAUUCUAUGUCAAAUUUGUGCCAUCAUACACAUAAAAGAUGGAAAAUAAAUUCCAUUUUUCAUGGAAAAUAUAAGCCUAUAAAACAUUGCCUAAGUUGAAAAGUUAUAUAAAUUCAAUAAGAGUAACUAGUCAUUCAUCAUUAUUUAUUAUUUACAACAUUUCUCCUUCAAUCACUAUUUAUAAUAACCGCUACGUUAAAGGCCCCUGCAAAAACUCAAUGGGACAAAACACCAAGUGAAGGGAAAAAUACAAAUAAUUAUCAAAAUUUGGAAAUACUACCUCGUUAAAAUCUUGUCAAAAAAUAUAUUGGAACAAAACUUGAGCAAAAGAAAAAGAAUACAUCUAUUCCCUUGAUUUCAAUAAAUAAAAUUCCUUGUAUCGAGCCAUUUAUAUUUUGUACACCAAUAUUUCGACGCUGCUGUUGUCAUACAAGAUAUUCAUAUAUCUCUCAUUGGUUAAUUGUAGUUAGUAUGAUGGUCUAACUAAAAAAAUAAAAAAUAAAUAAAUCUUCUUGUUGCUCUUCAGAGGUUCCAAUAAUAUUUUAUAUGAGCAACUUAUACAUAAAUAACUACAAAUUCUGAUAUCAUUAUAUGAAGGAUGGUCCUUGCGGAACUUUUCACCCGUAAAAAAUUUAUGAAGUUUUUGUCUUGGGAAAUUGAGAAUUAGUCCUUGUUCCAAUAAAUGGGCUUCAGCCAUACACAAAGAUUAUUAAAGAACAGCUUGGUAGCAUACACUUUAAAAGGUUUAUUACUAUCAACGGCCAACCAGUAGUUAAUGGCGCAAAGUCAGAUUAUCCAAGUGUUGGUAAUAUGCCGUCUUUUGUUUUCUCUUAUUUAUGUACAGUUGUGUUACGCCUUUGCCCAUGAGACAGGUAGCGUAAAGAUUCACGCAAGGUCAGCGCUACAUUUAGCAUUAUUUUUUCAAUGUCUUUUUCGAGGUGAUUGGGCCAUGCCUCUAAAUGCCUAACCUAGAAUAUUAUUGUUAUCUAAGAUGAUGCGUCACUUCUCCUCUAUAAUAUGUAUCUGAGGCAAUGACAUUUGCUGCAACCCUUGCCUUAGCCAAAUUGUAAUAGUACACUGAGCAAAAUGAUUGAUGCGAUACUUUGCAACAACGUUGUCCAAUCAGAUCACAACUUUCAACUCAUAUUUAGGCUAUGGAACCACAUGCAUUUGAUGACUAUGAAUUGACACAAUUGAAUGUGACAAUUAAGCACUUAAAAUAAAGUCGCAUGUCAAGCAAUCAGAGAGGGCCUCUUCUACCUGUAAAUACUCAAGUCUCUCUCCUUUAAAGAUAAGUUUUUGAAUGGUUGACAAACAAUAAGUACCAAAACCUAGUAACAAUAUACUUCCCUACAUUGUGUUUUACCCACACCCAAAAAUACUUCACCAUCUGAUUUGAGUGUCGAAGUUCACGCGACCAUCUCACCCACCAUUGGAGCUAUGGUCUAUGCAGUCCAACGUGAAUGUACAAAUGUGUUGAUAAUAUACGCAUGAUAGUUGAAUCAUGCUGUAUUUGAAGAUCAAUUAGUAUGUUGUUCAUUUCAGAUAUAAUAUCUAUGUAUGUACAUGUAUUUAUGUGCAGAACAGAUUUAAGCAGCAAAAGAGUGCAAAAGUUGUUUGCCAUGUACUCACCCAAUAUAUGUGGAUAGUAUAAUUAUUACGCCUUUUGAGCCUAGCUCACCGGUAAGUGUGUUUUUGCACACUCGUUCAAUAUCUAAAUAAUAUUAAAAUAUUAAUUAAAUGAGCGAAUUUCUAUUCACAAUUAUAUCGUUAUUGCAUUUGUAAGUAAAAAUCACCCAAAAAAAGGACACUGCAAAAUGGUGCGAAAAGGGCUCAGAAGCAUACAAAAAUGUGAAGUUGGGGACCAAAGUGCACACAUACUGAAAGUUCAAGGGCCUAUGUUGCCAAUUUUAGGGGUUUAAUUGAAAGAAAAGUCAAAAUUUGAGGACAAAAUUGUACAAAAUCAAAGUUGACGGACCUGCUAUGCAAUUAUCUCAUGAACUUAACUGCAAAAAUGACAAAAAUCCUUUUUUUUUGGGCCUUGAAAACAGAAAUUGGGCCUAGGCGCCAUUUUUAUGAUCAAAACAAGGCCCGGGACAUUUUUGCUUUUUUAUCCAAAACUCUGGGGACUUGUGCUGCAAUUUUCUGAAAAAGGGUUUUAAUUGAAUUGUAAAAAGACAACAACUGGGGCAUUUUCUGGAUUCUGCUUCUUUUGGGGUGGAGCGUCUUUUUUUUUUCUUUUCGUUCUUCUUUAUUUUUCUCUUCUUUUUCCUUUUUAUUUCCUUGGUAUUUUGAAGGAUACAAUAAAUAGUAAAAGAAGAACAUCAAGAAAAAGUGAAAAAAUAUUUGGGAAAAGCAAGAUCAAGCUCUAAAAAGGUUUCAUCUAUAACUUUGCAUAUCUUUAUUUUUUUUUGUCAAAUUUGCGAUGUAUUGUAUAAAAUAUUUUCCUUUUUACUAUUUAUAUAACAUGGGCCAAAUAUUUGUGUUGGGAUUCACGGCAUUAACUUAACAUAACUUUUUAAUUAAUUUUAAUAUUUGCUCUUUGAAGUUAAGUUAUUUAUUUUCAUGUGUUUUUACUACUGUUAUUAUUGCAUUUUCAUUUAUCUGACCAAUGUAUUAUUAUUUUUAGUGAUUUGUAUAUCGUUCGAGAGAAGCUUGUGCAUUUUAGAUCAAAUAGUGGAAACCCUAUGUUUGUGUAGGGGAUCUCUAACCCUAGGUGACUUAAUGAGCUAUUUUCACAAAGAGUUAAUGCGGUUGUUUGAUUUUAAUCGACAUAGAAAUAUAGUAUGUUAAAUCAAUUAAUUAGGAUUAAUUUCGCUCGAGAGAGGUAACUAAAUAAAAUUGAAUGAUCGGGUCUAACAUCGUAAAUGAGUAAUUUGUCAAUUAGCUUUUAGAAAAAUUAAUCGCGCAACGGUUAAACGAAACCAUGAAUCCUAACUACGUUUGCUUCCAAAAUUCCCAAAAUUUUUAUAUUUUCUUAGUUUGUAGAUUUUUAGUUAUUUUCCAAAAUCAAAUAUUUAUUGUGUGUUUAUUUUUAUUGUUAGAAUUAAAUUAAUUAAAGUUGUGUAAUCUAAAGUAAACAUUCCCCGAGGUAUUGACAAUCCGGACUUAAAAGAUCAACUUUAUUACUUGAACGCGAUCCAUGCACUUGCGGCAUGCACUUUUAUCAAACAAGUUUUUAGCACUGUUGUUGAGAAAUGUUUUUAUUUUGAUUACCACUUUAGUUAAUUUUAGUUUUAACAAUUUCUUUUUAUUUAUCUUUAAUUGCUUUUGUUUUUGUGUGCUUUGGCUAAGCCCCGUAUUAUUAAUCUACCUUGUGUUUAUUUUCUCUCCCUAUACGUUUCAAAUAUUUGCAGUAUUCUGACUUUGGAAAAGUAACAAAAUUGUUUCAAUGACAAAUCUCUAUAUGGAAAGUCAAGAUGUGCUUGGAGGAUAUCCAUGUUGUGAAAAUUGUUACGCGAUGCAUUGUAAUGGGAAUUGUUUGUUUUUGUAUACUAGUUUUAUACACGUUGAAACUUCUGAAGUUUAGAAAAUAUUUGAGGUGUCGAAAACAAGCCAUUGACAAAAAUGAUGAAGGGUACAUGCUCGCGGGAGAUUUGAUACCUUACAAUUGAGAUGACGUUGUUAAGCUUAUAGGAGAUGGCCCUUUCCUACUGAAUGAAAAGGUAAUUGCAAAGUAUUUCAAAGAGCUUGCCAAAUUGGAUGAAAAUGAUAUGCUUAUGGGAGACUACAUGUAGUGGGAAUGAUUUCAACAAUGGGGGUAUAAUCCGCUUAAUGCAAUCAAUGAGACCAACUUCUCACUGCCUGUGGAUCUAGACCGUGGACAUGUCAUUUAACUCGAGGAUAUAUCGAUUAUGGUAGAAGAGAUUAAAAAGAGUGGAGAAUUGAUCACAAAGGAAUCAAGUAAAGAAGUGGCAAUUAAUGAGGAUGAAAUCAACAUAUAUUCUUUUGACUUUAUUGAUUGUCCAGAAUUUUGAUUUUGUAAUUAAACACUAUGUAGCAGUGGAAGUCUACAUAGUUGAAGUUAUGUCAGAUGGAAUAGAGAAGUCCUACUAAAUUGAAAAGGACAAUGUCGAGGUUUGGAGAUCAAAUGAGAACUGGAACAAAGCCAAAUGAAGAAAAAAAAAAUUUGGGCAAGGCAUCUAAAGCCUUCUUUAGGUGCCCAUGAUUCAAGGCCAAAGUUGAGCUAAAAUCUAUAAAAAAAAUUGCUUGUUAGGAGGCAGCCCAAUUUUUAAAUUUUUAAUACUUUUAUUUAAUUUUAUGUAUUUUCUUAUUUUUAUUUAAUUAACCAUCAUUUUUUGUGGGUAAUUUUUGAAGUCCCACAUAUCUACGAUUUCUCACAAGUAUGGGAGUAAAUUGUGUACAAGAAGGUCACUUGCCAAAACUCAUUGAAAGCAUCGCAAGUCCAAGUCAAGUAUUGGUACCUCUUCUAAAAUGUUCAAUUAGGGAAGUCUCGUUAAACUCCUUCUUCUCUUUAUCUACUUCUUUACACAUUGAGGACAAUGUGUAAUUUAAGUUUGAGAGUGAUUAUGCUUAAAUUGGUGAUUUUGUGUUGACAUGUUGGAUAGUCUUGCUGGUUUAGGAUUGCUUGAUGUUUAAAAUUGUUAUUGAUUCAUGAUAUAUGACCAAAUAUGCUAUUUGUACCUAUAUUUUUUUUUUCAAAAAUUGUUUAUCCAUUUUAAGAUCUUGAAUUACGUUGAGUACAAUAAUCAUGAUUAAUUAUUAUCUAGAUGUGGAAAUUUUUUAACUGAUGGAGAGAUUUUUGAAACGGUUGAACUAGAUUGUGAGUUGUUUGAAAAUUUUAUAUCAACAUAUAUCCACUUCUCUUCGACUUAACCAUAUUAUAAGAUAAGUUUGAGGAUGGUCGAGCGGAUGAAGGAUAUUAUCUAGAAGUGUAUUGAUUCCAUGAAUGUUGAAAAUAUUUGUGUGGGGUAUCUUUUGCCAAGUAUAAGCUAGGUAAUGAGUAAACCCCUUUUUUUUGUGCUUAAAAUAAAAAAUAAAAAAUCAAAAGGAAUGUUAUUAUACUUGUUGAAUUCUAGAUCUCACUUCUUAACCUUUUUGACUCAAGUCCAUAGGGUUAUUUCAAAACCCGAUACCCUUUAAACAACUGGGAAGUAACCGACUUAAAGCUCGCUACAAGGGUCAAAAAGAAAGCUUACGAGAGUGAAGUAAAACAAGAGAUUCGGAUUAAAAAAGAAAUAAAGCAAAAAAAAAAAAAAUAGAGGAAAAAAAAGAAGAAAUUUUAUUUGUUGUUGUGCAAUUGUAUUUGAUAUUUGGGUUUAGAUAAGUAGUGAGUUUGAAUUGUUUAGUACAAGCUUAAAUGUGUAAGCACUCAUUAGUAGAGAAUCAUCACGUGAUUAGAUAUUGAGAUUGUCGAUUAGACCCAACCAAAUUAGAGCAGGAAAGGAAAAUAGUGAUUGAGAGAAACAUUUAGAUUUACACCUCGAGAAAGAAAAGAGCACAUCUAUUUGAGGAAUGUAAAUCUCACAAACGAGAAAGGAAAUAUUUAACCACAAAGGGUCGGGCUGAAACCAAUUUGAAAAUGUUUCCUUUGUGACAAUCUUUUUCUAAUUUAGAGGAUAAUGCUCAUUGAAUGAGCAAUUCAAUAAGAGAGCUCGGAUCGAAUCGGUAUUGAUAUACGAUUCGAUCCGAGCUCUUGGAAUAAAAGUGACUACACACACACACACACACUAAUUGAACAUUAGAUAAGCUCAAAUUAUUUUUGCUAGUAUUACUUGGAACAUAUUUGUGAAUUGACUAUAAAAUUUUACACUCAUUGAUGACAAGUUAUCUAAUGUGUUGAUCCUUAUCUUAUUUUGCAUGAUUAUGUUAGUACAUAAUCUUGCUCGGGAUGAGCAAGAGCUUAAAUUUGAGGGCAUUUGAUAAGCGUAAUUUUGCACACUCAUUUAAUACCUAAAUAAGCCUAAAUAUUGAUUAAAUAAGCGAAUUUCUAUUCACAAUUAUGUAAUUAUUGCUUUUGUAGGUAAAAAUCAUCCAAGAAAAGAGAACAAAGUAAAAUGGAGUGGAAAGGGAUCAAAAGUGUACAAAAACGUGAAGUCGGUGACCAAAGAGAACAAAGCAAUUUUGGGGGCAUAAUUGAAAGAAAAGUCAAAUUUUGAGGACCAAAUUGUACAAAAUCAAAUUUGAGAGGGACUAUCAUGCAAUUAUCUCAGGGACUUAACUGCAUAAAUGACAAAAAUCAGUUUUUUUCCCCCCUGAAAACAGAAACUGGGGGCCUAGGUGCCACUGUUCCAAUGCCUAGGCGCAUUUUUACAAUCAAAAUAAUGCUCGAGACCUUUUUGCCCUUUGUCCAAAAUUCCGGGGACUUGUAUUGCAAUUUUCUGAAAAGGGUUUUAAUUGAAUUGUAAAAAGACAAGAUCUGGGGAUUUUCUGGAUUCUGCUUCUUUCGGGCUGGAACGCCUUCUUUUUAUAUCUUUUUCUUUUCUUUCUUCUUUAUUUUUCUCAUUUUUUUCAUUUUCUUUUCUUUUUCCUUUUUAUUUCUUUGGUAUUUUGGAGGACACAAUCAAUGGAAAAAGCAGAACAUCAAGAAAAGAGUGGAAAAAUAUUUGGGGAAAGCAAGAUCCAGAACUAAAAUGAUUUCAUCUAUAACUAUGCAUUUUCUCCAUUAUUUUAUCUAACUUGUAAUGUAAUGUAUGAAAUUUACCAUUUAUAUAACAUGGGCUAAACAUUUGUAUUGAGAUUUAUGACAUUAACUUAACCUAGUUUUUAAUUAAUUUUAAUAUUUGCUCUUUGAUGUUAAGUUACUUAUUUUCAUGUGAUUUUACUAUUGUUAUUAUUGCAUUUUCAUUUAUGUGGCCAAUGAAUGAUUAUAUUUUAUGUUUUGUACAUCGUUCGAGAAAAGAUUGUGCAUUUUAAACCAAAUAAUAGAAACCCUAGAUUUGUGUGGUGGAUAGAGACACACCCUUUACCCUAGGUGACCCAAUGAACUAUUUUCACAUAGAGUUAAUGCAGUUGUUUGGUUUUAAUCGAUAUAAAGAUUUAGUAGGUUAAACCAAUCAAUCAGAGUUAAUUUCUCUCUCGAGAGAUAAUUAACUAAAAUUGGAAGAUAGUGUCCAACAUCAUAAAUGAGUAAUUUGUUAAUUGGCUUUUAGAUAAAUUAUUUAGACGACGAUUAAGCGAAACCUUGAAUCCCGACCACGUUUGCUUCCAAAAUUUCCAAGAUUUUUAUUAUUUUGUAGAUUUUUAGUUAUUUUCCAUAAUCAAGUAUUUAUUAUGUGUUUGUUUUUAUUGUUAGAAUUAAAUUAAUUAAAGUUGUGUAAUCUAAAGUAAACAUUCCUUGGAGAUCACAAUUCAGACACAAAAGGUCCACUUUAUUACUUGAAUUCGAUUCAUGAACUUAUGACAUGCACUUUUAGCGAACACUCACGUCAGCCUCAUUCCUAAAUUUAUGCUCCUCAAACUUAUGAAUAACUACCUAAAGUUCACAAGUACCACCAAAUCACCAAUAAUCCUCAUGUUGUAGAAAUAUUAGGCACCAAAGAUAAAUGGUGUCAAGCCUUCAGCAACCACUGCAUUCUUGAUCUUGGGUGCGAGUGCAAGUAUUUGAAAAAUAUAUCCAACCAUCCGAAGUUAAAGAAUAGAGAUGGCAAAAGAAUCCGUUCAACCUAAUACACUUGGAGCCCUGCCUAACUGGGUAAAUGGGAUGGGUACAAGACGAGAGUCAUUGCUCCGUUUAAAGUUAAUUUCAAAUUUAAGUUUUUAUCAAACAAAAGUAAUAGAUUUAUCAUCAUUUUUUAAAGUGAACAUAAGUUGUUUUAACAAAUUGGUAAAAAAGUAAUGAUAUUUACUACCUAAGGACAAAAAAAUAAAAUAAAUAAAAAAUAAAAAGAAAAAAUAAAUGAGGCGAUAAAUGGGGCAGGUGAUCCGCCCCGAUCCCGUCCCGCUUUAAUUGGGUAUGAGUAUGUGUUAAAAUAACAAAAAUACCCAACAUGAUGGGGGUAGGAAUGGUCGACCCGUACCAUACGCGCACCGUUGCCAUCCCUAUUAAAGAACCAAAAUCCAUUUCUUAUGCCUUUAUGACUGAGCAAUAAACAAGCAUUUGAACCUUAAUUCUCAUCAAGAAUCAGUAGCUAAAAAUGAAUGCAUCCUAGUCGGAAAAUAUAUUUUGGAAUAAGAAGUGUUUAUUUCUAAUCACAAUAUACAACCAAUUGGUUAGACUUGAGCCCAGACGACCUUUAGGGAUGUCCAAAUACAAGUCUUAUAAGCAUGAAUGUGAUAUGCUAAAUUUUAAUACUCAAGACUUCAAUUGUUAGCCAAAUAAUAGCAGAAUUUAGUUUUUAUUCUUUUGAAGCGAGUAGAUAACAUAGUGAUGACAGUGAAGAUGUGUUUAAGCCGGAUAAGAUAAGAUAUUAUUUUGUUAGUAUAAUGACUAAAUUAACUUAGUCUAACGUGGUUUGCAGAACACAUCCUUCAAGUGCUAAUUUAUCAGUCACAGGGUUGGUAAAGAUAAAUCAUUAUUAUUUUCUAAAAGAAUACUAAUUUUGAUAUCAUUCAGCUGGAGUUAUCCAGUAAUAACAUUUUCUAUAUGUAUUAUCCCUAGAUGUUAAAUGGAUUCAUAGUCAAUUUUUUCAACUAUAAUCUAUAAAACUAGAGUGGAAAUUUUGUUUGAUUGGAACUGUAGUUCUUAGAUCGCCACGGUCAAAGCUCAGGGUCGGCGAGUCUAUGGUUAAGCAGGUUGGUCAUUGUCAAACUGAAAAUUUAUAUCAAAAAUACAUAUUUUAAAAUCACUUCAAAGAAAUGUAUACGGAUGAAUAUAAAAUAAGACAUAAAGCUCUUUGGCCUCAACAAUCGAGGAGUUAUCGACUUAAAGCUCGCUACAAGGAUCGAGAAGAAAACUUACGGGAGUGAGGUAAAACGUGAUAUUCGGAUUAAGAAAGAAAUAAAGAAAUAAAGCAAAAAAAAAUAAUAAUAAUAAAAUAUAUAUAUAUAUAUAUAUAUAUAUAUAUAUAUAUAUAUAUAGUAGAGAAUCAUCACGUGAUUAAAUAUUGAGAUUGCUGGUUAGACCCAACCGAAUUAAAGCGGGAAAAAAAAAUAGUGAUUGAGAGCAACCUUUAGAUUUACACCUCAAGAAAGAAAAGAGCACAUCUAUUUGAGGAAUGUGAAUCUCACAGGUGAGAAAGGAAAUAUUUGACCAUAAAGGGUUGGGUUGAAGCCAAUUUGAAAAUUUUUCCAUCGUGAUAGCAUUUUUCUAAUUUAAAUGACAAUUAAAAGUGAUUAUGCACACACACACACUGAUUAAACAUCAGAUAAGCUCAAAUUAUUUAUGCUAGUAUUACUUGGAACAUAUUUGUGAAUUGAUUAUAAAAUUUUACACUCAUUGAUGACAAGUUAUCUAUUGUGUUGAUCUUUAUCUCAUUUUAUAUGAUUAUGUUAGUACCUAAUCUUGCUCAGGAUGAGCAAGAGCUUAAAUUUGAAGGUAUUUGAUAAGCAUAUUUUUGCACACUCUAAUACCUAAAUAAGCCCAAAUUUUGAUUAAAUGAGCAAAUUUCUAUUCAGAAUUAUGUAAUUAUUGCUUUUGUAGGAAAAAAUGAUCCAAGAAAAAAGAACAAAGCAAAAUGGAGUGAAAAAGGGAUCAAAAGCAUACAAAAAACGUGAAGUCGGUGACCAAAGUGCACAAGUAAGAAAUGUUCGAGGACAUGGGCUUGCAGUUUUUGGGUCAUAAUUGAAAGAAAAGUCAAAUUUUGAGGACCAAAUUGUACAAAAUCAAAGUUGCGGGACCUUCCAUGCAAUUAUCUCAGGGACUUAAUUGCAUAAAUGCGCCUAGGCGCCACUGUUCCAACGCCUAGGUGCCAUUUUUAAAAUCAAAAUAAUGCUCGAAACCUUUUUGCCUUUUGACCAAAAUUCUGGGGACUUGUAUUGCAAUUUUCUGAAAAGGGUUUUAAUUGAAUUGUAAAAAGACGAGCUGGGGAUUUUCUGGAUUCUGUUCCUUUCGGGCUGGAGCGCCUCUUUUUAUAUCCUUUUCUUUUCUUUCUUCUUUAUUUUUCUCAUUUUUUCAUUUUCUUUUCUUUUUCCUUUUUAUUUUCUUGAUAUUUUGGAGGACACAAUCAAUGGAAAAAGCAGAACAUCAAGAAAAAAGUGGAAAAAUAUUUGGGGAAAGCAAGAUCGAGCUCUAAAAUGGUGUCUUCUAUAACUUUGCAUUUUCUCCAUUAUUUUGUCAAACUUGCAAUGAUUAGUAUGAAAUUUACCGUUAUAUAACAUGGGCUAAACAUUUGUAUUGGAAUUUAUGACAUUAACUUAAACUAAUUUUUAAUUAAUUUUAAUAUUUUCUCUUUGAUGUUAAGUUACUCAUUUUCAUGUGUUAUUGUAUUUUCAUUUAUGAGGCCAAUGAAUGAUUAUAGUUUAUGAUUUGUACAUUGUUCGAGAAAAAAUUGUGUAUUUUAAAUCAAAUAGUAGAAACCCUAAAUUUGUGUGGGGGAUAAAGACAUACCCCUAACCCUAAAUGAUCCAAUGAGCUAUUUUCAUAUAGAGUUAAUGUGGUUGUUUGUUUUUAAUCGAUAUAGAGAUAUAGUAGAUUAAACCAAUCAAUUACGAUUAAUUUCUAUCGAGAGAGAGGUAAUUAACUAAAAUUGGAAGAUUGUGCCAAAUGUUAUAAAUGAGUAAUUUGUUAAUUGGCUUUUAGAGAAAUUAAUUAAACGAUUGUUAAGCGAAACCAUGAAUCCUGACCACGUUUGCUUCCAAAAUUCCCAAGAUUUUUAUUAUUUUUUAGAUUUUUAGUUAUUUUCCAAAAUCAAAUAUUUAUUGUGUGUUUGUUUUUAUUCUUAGAAUUAAAUUAAUUAAAGUUGUGUAAUCUAAAGUAAACAUUUCUCGAGAGAUGACAAUUCAGACUCAAAAGGUCCACUUAUUACUUGAAUUCGAUCCGUGCACUUUCGACAUACACUUUUAGUGAACACUCACGUCAGCCUCAUUCCUACAUUUAUGCUCCUCAAACUUAUGAAUAACUACCUCAAGUUCGAAAGUACCACCAAAUCACCAAUAAUCCUCACGGUGUAGAAAUAUUAGACACCAAAGAUAAAUGGUGUCGAGCCUGCAGCAACCUCUGCAUUCUUGAUCUUGGGUGCCAGCACAAGUAUCUAAAAAAUAUAUGCAACCAUCUAAAGUUAAAGAAUAGGGAUGAGAAAAGAAUCCGUUCAGCCUGAUACCCUUGGAGCUCUGCCUAACCGGGCAAAUGGAAGGGUACGAGACGAGGGUCAUUGCCCCAUUUAAAGUUAAUUUCAAAUUUAAGUUUUUAUCAAACAAAAGUACUAGAUUUAUCAUCAUUUUUUUUAAAGUGAACAUAAGUUGUUUGAACAAAUUGGUAAAAAAGUAAUAAUAUUUACUAACUAAGGACAAAAAAUAAAAUAAAUAAAAAAUAAAAAGAAAAAAUAAAUGAGGCAAUAAAUGGGACAGGUGAUCCGCCCCGAUCCCGUCCCGCUUUAAUUGGGUAUGAGUAUGUGUUAAAAUAACAAAAAUACCCAACAUGAUGGGGGUAGGAAUGGUCGACCCGUACCAUACGCGCACCGUUGCCAUCCCUAUUAAAGAACCAAAAUCCAUUUCUUAUGCCUUUAUGACUAAGCAAUAAACAAGUAUUUGAACCUUAAUUCUCAUCAAGAAUCAGUAGCUAAAAAUGAAUGCAUCCUAGUCGGAAAAUAUAUUUUGGAAUAAGAAGUGUUUAUUUCUAAUCACGAUAUACAACCAAUCGAUUAGACUUGAGCCCGGACGACCUUUAGGGAUGUCCAAAUACAAGUCUUAUAAGCAUGAAUGUGAUAUGCUAAAUUUUAAUACUCAAGACUUCAACUGUUAGCCAAAUAAUAGCAGAAUAUAAUAUAUUAUUUAUAUACUGGAAGAACAUAAUAGAAAAUUACAAACAGAACUGAAACUAAAUUGAAUGGCAGAAGUGAAGAAACCAGCGAACUGAGGCCUGUAACACAGUGUCCUUAAAAGCAAAAAUUGGAAACUCCCGUGGGCCCAAUUUUUGAUCCGUUCGGUUUGACAUUCAUAUAAGCUAGUCAUGCCAGCACACUAGUUCAAGAUCUGAAAUUCUAAUUUAGUCCUUGAUUUGCACCUCCAUACGCGAGGACAUGGAAAGCACCUCUAUGCUACAAAUGAUUAAACACUUCCAAAGUAUAGCCAUAUAUAAAGUUGUAUUUUAUUCCAUCUUUUUUUUAUGUGGGAAAGACCUUAAUUGGUUUUCCUCCAACACAUAACUCCACAUUCUAAUAGUCCAAUUUGAACUUCAAUUUCUCAUUCACCCAAACAUCAAUUUUGACAAGUUAAUAUAUGAUUUCGAUGUUUUUACGAAAGAGAACAUAAAUCAACUUUGAUUUUUCAAAUUGAACCAACGAGUCCCACCUAAAAUUGUGCCAAAAUUAGCUCAACAAAGUCAUUUUUUCCACAUCAAUAUCGUACAAUUCUCACUAUAGAAGUGCUAUGAUUUGUAAGUGAAGAGAUAGAUAUAGAAGCAUUAUCUUGCAAUAUCUUUUACUAAUAUCUCACAUUCUUCCUUUUCAUUUCUUCGUCUCUUCAUAUUCUUCUGAAGAGUCAAGAAUAAUUUCAAAAAUUAACGUAAUCAAUACUUACAAAUUAUUAUGAAGUUAGCUCUUUAGCUAUUAAUUUUUCACUUAUCUUAGACCCGGAGCUCUGUGUUUUUUCAUUCCUUUAAAUAUAUAAACUCUCUAGUAUGCCUUAUUUAUGUCUUGAUUAAUGAGCAAUUAUCGUUUAGGGAUGAGUUUAAUGAGCAUUUAGUUAAUUAAUUUGACAAUAUAAUGUUAUCACUGUGUCACCUCCGAUUUCUGUAAACACGUAGAAAUUUCCUUCAAGUGGAAGUAAUAGAUUUCACUCUGUGAUGGAUGUGUAAUAAUUUGAAUACAUGAGUGAGCAAUGAGUAACAAUUUAUUUAUUUAUUUAUUUUUUAGCUCAGAUAGUAAGUAAUAACCUAGAGAGAAAUUUAAUGAGCAUUUAUUUAAUUAUUUCACAAAAAUGGCAGCAAUGGCAAAUUGUGAUUUUUUUUUUUUAGAGGAAAUAGGCAUCAUCAAUGGUGGUGCUUUUGAGGUGGUGGUGAUGCCGAUUUUGCAGUGUUUUUGGAUGAUGGCGAUUGUGGUCAUGAUGGCAACGAGAUGGGGUGAUGAUGAUGUGGUGAGAUGAGUUUGGAUGGCAUGACUAUAGUGGAGGUGGUUGUUGGUGGAGGUGGACAUAACACAAUAGGUUACAUGUAUAUUUCAAGCACAACAUAGUAUGUUAAGUGUUACAUUUAUAACACAGUAGAUUAUAAGCGUUAUAAUAAUUAAUCGUAUAACAAACUGUAAUAUACAUAUUAUAUUUGUAGAAGUUAUUAUUAAACGGGUAAUAUUUGGAGUAUUUGUGAAAAAUAAACGUAGUUAGUGGGAAAGAAGAACCAAUUUUAAGAUUCUUAUGUUGUCAGAAAUAUAGAAAAUAGGAAAUAAGUUCAGUGACUAACGAGAAGCAAUGAUAAAAGUCUAGUGACCGUCGUGAUAAUUAACCAAUAACUUGCCUUCAGAGAAAGUAAUUAAGAAAUACGGGUUUCAGUUAAUUUUAAUGUAUAAUUUAUUAAAGAUUUUUGUUUGGUGGUGGAACACAUUAUAAAAUUUUUUUUGCUAGCAUACCAACCAAAAUUAAACCUACCAAAGUCUUAAUUUAUCAAUUAAAUGAUCAGUAAAUAUUACUUUUAAUUAUUUUUUCUCCAAAGGCACUAUUGUGUCCUUGAUAUCAUACUUUUGGUAUAUUAGUCAUUUUCUGGAUGUUUUGUGGAUUUGUAGUCAUAUUUGCCCACGAUAAUAAGUACUUAAUUAUAUUAACAACAAUUCUGAACACUUUCGACUACAAGAAUUUUAUGUUUUUUAUAUAAAAAAAAAAUUUGUUGUAAAAGGUUUUUAUUUGUAGGAAAAACCUUUUGCGGAUGAAAUAAAUUUUAGAAACAUUUGUGGGGGAAACUUCGAGAGGAUAGGUAAAAGAUGAAAUUUUUUAAAAAUUUGUAGGUUAAAGAUUUUCCCUAUGAAAUCAUUAGAGAGAAAUACAAUACGUCACGUAAGUCUUUCCCCAACAAAAUCAUUUGUCUGCUAAAGUUAAUUUUGCCCACAAAAAGAUUUCACUUUUCCCUACAAAUAAAUUUUGUGUGAAAAGGAUAUUUGUGGGUUAAGAUAUACACAUUUUUCCCUGCAAUUAAAAAUUUGUGACAACAUGGUACAAAUUAUUUUGUGGAUUAAACCCUGUUUUUCACUACAAAUAAUUUUUUGGAGGGAAAGAAUAUCUGCGGGCUAUUAUGAAAUAAUUCGUAAGGAAAAAAUAAAUUAUAUUACUUUAUUCAAAAUAAUAUAAAGAUACAAAAAGACAAUAAAUUAAUUAAGACAUGUCAAUAUAAGAUUGAAUCUAAAGUAUUUCAUCAAAACACAAAUAAAAAUCAUUCUAAAUUAACUUUCUUCGUACUCCUUUUUGGAUGAGUUACUUUUGUUUGCUUUGUACCUUUUGAAAUUGUAGCCUUGCUAGUGAUAAUUUUAUUGAUUAUUUCGUUUAUGGUUUAUUCCACUCGCACAUUUAUGUAUACAUCCAAAUAUGUAUUCACGUCCAUAUCAUUGUCUUGAUGUUGCAUUUGUUUUAAAUAAUGCAAUGCCAUUUGAGUACUGAAUUAAGUAUAUUAUUUUUAUUAAUAUAUUUUCAUAAAAAACUGGAUUAUCAUUUCCAGAUUUCCGCACAGUGGAUGUCCCCUCUCUCAUUGUUGUACAGUUUAUCUAUCUACCUUCAUUUUUUUCCCCUUCAAUAUAAUAAAAGAGGUGUCGACACGCUAAAAGUGCAGCUCAAAUCGAAUAGCCCCAAGAAUGAAGCCUAACUGGGCAAUUAAGGAUAAAUGCCCAAAUAGGGUUAUUAAUGAAUGCAGUGGAAGCCCACGAACGCAGUAACACAAUCGCCCAAACUUGCAAGACGCCCAAGAUCUGAGCGAAUGAAGUACCUUACAGUCGCCCAGAGUUAUGACCUUGUUCUUGCCCAAACCUUCGAAUCGCCCAGGGUCUUAGCAAACAUAAGAUGUUAUGGUUAUCCAAAAGUGCAGUUAUCGAAACAGUUAUUGAGUAAUCUUAUCACGUUCCACGAUUCAAGGAGAUCAGUUGAAGACGGUUGAGCGACAAAGAGUAGUGACAGCAGUUAGAGACGGCAGUUCCAUGAUAAGUUGGCCACCAUGAAGAAAGUGGAUAGUUAUAAAGUAAUUAAGCAGUUUCUAAGCAAUUGAUCACAAAAAGAUCAUCAAGGGAAUAUAAAAGGAAGAAAAGACAUCGAGAAAAGGACCCCGAAUCAAACACUCUCAAACAGAAAAUAUUUAAUUUCAAUUCCUUAGUUUAGACUUAAAACAUUUCUUUUCAGUAUUCGUGUGCUUGUGCCCCUUGGAGGCAUUUUGUUUAAAGUUCCAAUUGUAAAGUCAUCGCCAAUAAAACACUCCUUUUUGGGACUUUGUCUCAAGAGGUUUGUUCCUUACACAAUCAUCUGAUCCCUUUUUAAUUAUUAACGACUACCCACGCGAAACAAUUUGGCACGCCCAGUGGGACCUUGGUGUUUGGUAUUGAAAAUACAAAAGGUGAAACAAUAUGUCUCAGAAAUCCGAUAAGGAAGCAGCAAGUCAGGGAGGAGUCCAGUCUGUGAUCGAGAGAUAUGAGGAGCAACAUAGCUCUCCACGAACAAAUGGACAGAAUCAGAGCAAUCAUAGUCAUUACGAACCAAUGACAGAGUUGAGUCCUCGAACCAUGCGUGCAUUACUCGGAGAACUCACACAAGAUGUCAUUGAACAUGUAAAUCUACGAAGUAUUCAUAAUAUGGAAAAAUUUACCCAGAAUGGGAAUGCGCAUUAUGACAACAUGGCCAAACAACUGAAUACUUUGAACGAAAUAAUGAAUAAGUUAGUAGGCCAAAUUUGUCAGCCAGUUGUGCCUCUAGCAAACAACUUUCAAACUAGGACAAUUGUGAGACAUAAUCCCCCAGUCCUAAGUUUAAAUCAAGGGGUAGAACCACCUUUUGACCCCUCUACUUCAAACCAUGGGGGUGGUGCAAUACCAAAUCAAAAUAGUGGCAUUAUUACAUCUAACUUGGGGGGUAAUCCAAAUGUAAGGGAUAAUGUCCUAAAUAAUGGGCAGAAUACCUCACGUAUUAAUGAUGGAAUAAAUGUUCAGGCUAAUAGUAACAAUGGCCCAAAUUAUGGCAACUUUGUUGCCAACCAAGGACCAAACAUCAGGCCUCAAGCAAAUCAACCGGUCAACCAACCUGUAGGGAUCCCAUAUGACCCCAACGUCAUGUUGAGGAAUCAGAUUAUGGAAAUCGUAUAGGACCAGAUGGCUUUUGGAGUACGUCCUGUCAUUAGGCCGACUUACACAAAGCCAUAUCCUGAUUGGGUAUACCAAGCAUAUCCAUGGCCUAGAGGGUAUAAAGUGCCAAAAUUCUCAUUGUUUACCGGUUUAAAAGAGGUGUCUACUCUAGAACACAUAGGGCGAUUCACACUGCAAUGUGGUGACGUAACUGAUUAUCAUAAAAUGAGGCUGUUCCAUAAUUCAUUAACAGGAGUAGCCUUCUCCUGGUUCAUCAAUUUGCCAACAAACUCUGUUCAAACAUGGCAACAAUUGGAGUAAUUGUUCCACGCUCAGUUUUAUAAGACUGAGUCUGAAGUUACUUUGGUCGAUUUGGCGAACCUACGUCAAAUGCCAAACGAAUGGGCAGAAGGUUUCCUUCAAAAGUUCAAGACAGCAAUAAGUAAAUGUUUUGUACCUUUGUUCGAAAAGGAGUUUGUCAAAAUCGCUCAACGUUGUCUAAGCUUUGAUUUGAAGAAGAAGUUUCAAGAUAAGGAAUUUCUUGAUCUUUUUCAAUUGAGCGCAAACGUGAUUAGGUAUGAACGAUUAAUAAGAGAAGAAGAACAAAUGAAAAGUUCUAGCAAGGGGACUUAUUAUAGAGACCCAAAUUUUGAUGUUCAUACCAUUAAUGAAGAGUAUUACGAUCAAACCGAAAUGUGUUUAGCCGAAUUAGUUAAAGGAGACACAUAUACUUGUUCUAUAAUGGCUAAGCCUAGGCCAUCGGGUAAGGAUGAGCCUAUAAAAGAUGAAAACAUAAAGGCUAGAACGUUCUCGUUCGAUGUAACCAAAGCUGACCUUAUAUUUGAUAAAUUAUAUAAGGAUAAGCAGAUAAAGCUGAGCGAUAAGCAUAAAUUGCCAAGCCCUGAACAAGUUAAGGGUAAAAAAUAUUGUAAGUGGCAUAAUGCAUGGUCACAUUUGACUAACAACUGUUUGGUUUUUCGCCAUGUGUUACAGGAUGCCAUUGAAUCAGGACGAAUUACGUUCGAGGAUAAGAGGAAGAUGGCAGUGGAUGAAAAUCCUUUUCCACAGCCACUUGGAGUGAAUAUGGUGACGUCUGGUUUCAAAAACAAGUUACCAAAAUUCAAGUUGGUUAUAGAUGAUGGAGAAGAAGAAGCUGGACCACAUCCCAGCGUCUUUGAACGUAUCAAAGGGAAUGAACCCAAAAAGGACGAAGACGUCCUAUGUGCAAGAUACAAAAAAGAAGUGAGUGCAAGUGCAGAGAAACCAGGGAUAUGGCAGCAUCACCAUCGCCCUAGUUUUUUCCCAAACGCUCAGCCUGGUAGAGGGUGGGGUACAUCAUUCUAUAAGGGACCGCCUUUUGAGAGGCAGUUCAGGCUAGUAAAUAAUGGAAGAACAUUCAGACCGCAACCUCGCUAACCAAGUGUAUGGCAUUCAUUCCAGUAUAAGGCUGGAAGGGCGACACCUUUCAACGAGAUGACUAAAACUCAACAAAGGUGUUCUCAACAGAACUAUGGGCGAAUGAUGAGGCAACAACAGGGAAUACUACGUCCAAAGGCACCUAGGCUACUCGAGACAGCCAAUCAAAAUGUUCUCAAAGACAGUGAAGAGACUGGUACAGGAGAACCUAUGGAAGAGUUGCCAGAGACUUCUUCUGGGAGGUCGAAGUUUGAGCGAGACAGAAGGGAUGGAGAAGAUCCAGAUCAGCCCCUUACUAUUCAGUUUGGUACGUUGCCUCUUGUCGUGGCUAAUAACUAUUUGCUAGCCAAUGAGUUCAAGAAUAAAGAGAAGGGAGAAGAAGAAAAGGAGGAUAACGAAGAGGAAGCAUGCCUGCUGAAAUAUGAAGAAGGCCAAACUUCUAGCGAGGCCUACAAUGGUGAAGAAGAUGAUGGUAUGACAGACAUCGAAGAGGAAAUCGAUCUGGAAGCAGAAAGAAGAAGAAGAGGAGUAUCGUACAAUACUCUGUUGAAGCAACUACAUCGAGAGGGAGUUCGUGAAGUAGACUUAUUAGGAGAACCAUCUGGGCGUUCUUUUGAUUUUUAUGUGCUGUAUGGAAUGCCCAAAAGGAAGAAGAGAGUGCCUCAUUCUGAAACGUAUGGAUCACCUCCAAGAAUAAUACCUCCUCCCACACGUUGGAUAACUGAAGAAGAAGCAUUAGAAAACAUUAAAAAGGAAAUUCAGGAGACAGAGGCUCAGUGCGAUAUGCUGCACGUUGACUUACCACAAAAGGAUAACUCGAUAGAGGACAAGCAGGAAGUGGAAAUAGAUGCUGCCGAAAAAGUUAUUUUUAAGCGACCAACCAUGAAAUUGACCAAACACUUGAGACCAUUGGCAAAAGUGCUUGUCGAUAAUGGAGCAGCUAUAAACACCAUUUCAUCUACGAUGAUGAGGUAAUUCGCAAAGACAAAAGGUGAUAUGAUCCCAACGAAAGUCAUCCUGACAAGUUUCAAUGGAGGAGCAACUUCAGCUAAAGGGGUUAUGCCAUUGGACAUAACUAUAGGAACAACUACUAGGACCACAGUCUUCUUUGUAAUAGAUGGUCCCACUAGUUACAAUGUGUUAUUAGGAAGAGAUUGGAUACACGGAAGUCGCUGUAUACCUUCAUCGCUCCAUCAUUGCCUAGUUUUUUGGAAUGACAACGGCGAAGCAGAGAUGGUGCAGGCCGAUCAUAGGCCUUUUGUCACAGAAGCAAACUCAGUAGAAAGGUUCAUGCACGCAGGAAAUUAUGGACCUGUCAGAGUAGUCCAAGAUGGAGAAGAAACUCAGAUUGUCGCGCAGAGUGAAGAGUUGUUUUCGGUGGAUGCACUCACUGAAAUGUUCAAUCAGAUGAGGCCAAACAUAGUGGCCCUGGAGGAGCCAGUAAUUGAUAAAAGAAUAAUCAAGGAGUUUUAAAUGAGUUGUAAGCAACAAAGACAAAUGACCGAUAUUCAGGCCUUAAAGCAAAAUUAAUGGCUUUCAAUAAAGAAUGCAAGGACAACACAAAAGAAGCAGUAGCCUUGAAAGCAUUGAGAGACAAAUUGACAGUGUUCGAGUUGGAACAAAGUAUUGGCCGAGAAGUCAACAAGGCGGAUUGUUUAGAAGAAGAAGAAGUGCCUACAAGGGAACUGGACGACGAAGUGAUAAGGAUCGCCAAGCCUGGAUACGCUCAAGCACAAGACCCUCUGAUUAAAGUGAACAUUGGCAAUGAAGGAGAAGAUCGCCCAACGUUCAUUAGCCAAAUGCUCGAUCAAGAGGUUAGUGAUAAAUUAAUCGCUUUAUUAAAGGAGUACAAAGAUUGUUUUGCUUGGGAAUAUGAACAUAUCCUGGUUUAGAUAGAGAUUUGGUGGAACAUAGAUUACCAACCAAGCCUAAUUUUAAACAUCAUAGGCAACCUCCUAGGCUUUUCGCUCCUAAUGUACUCCCUGAAAUUAAGGAAGAGAUAGAGCGAUUAUUAAAAGCAGGCUUUAUUAGAACGGCCAUAUAUGUUGAAUGGUUAUCCAAUAUCAUGCCGGUAUUAAAAAAGAAUGGUAAACUAAGGGUGUGCAUAGAGUUUAGGAAUCUAAACAUAGCCACACCUAAAGAUGAAUAUCCAAUGCCCACGGUAGAUUCUUUAGUAGACUCGACUACCGGACAUGUAAUGUAUUCCUUCAUGGAUGGGUAUUCAGGAUACAAUCAAAUUUAUAUAGCUGAGGAAGAUAUACACAAAAUUGCCUUUAGAUGCCCUGGGUCUCUAGGAUAUUUUGAAUGGGUGGUUAUGCCUUUCGGCCUGAAAAAUGCAGGAGCAACUUAUCAAAGGGCAAUGAAUUUGAUUUUUCAUGAUAUGAUAGGCAAGUUUGUUGAAGUGUAUGUAGAUGAUAUAGUGGUCAAAUCCUUUAAAGAAGAGGACCAUUUUGAACAAUUAAGAUGUUCAUUUGAGCGAAUGAAGCAAUAUAAACUAAAGUUGAAUCCCUUGAAAUGUGCAUUUGGUGUUAAUGUAGGAAAUUUUCUUGGUUUCUUAGUACACAAAAGGGGGAUUGAACUAUAUAAAAAUAAAGCGACGGCCAUUUUAGAGGCCAAACCACCUAGCAACAAAAAAGAAUUGCAAAGGCUUCUAGACCAAGUAAACUUUUUAAGACGCUUUAUUUCUAGCUGUGCACGGCGAACUAAAGCUUUUUCGCCGCUUUUAAAAUUGAAAAAUCAGGACGAAUUCGUCUGGAAAGAAGAGCAUCAGAAGGCUUUUGAAAGCCUAAAGAUAUAUUUAUCAAGUCUACCAGUGUUGGUGUCACCAAUCCAAGGACGGCCAAUGAAAGUGUAAGCAUCGGCUGAAAAAGAAUCAAUAACUGGAAUGGUCGCGCAGGAAGACCAAUUUGGUGAAGAAAGGGCGAUUUACUACUUGAGUAGACGGUUAACAAAAUGUAAAUGUAAUUAUUCUGCCAUUGAAAAAUUAUGUCCUACAUUGUAUUUCACAUGUACAAAAUUAAGGACUUAUUUACGACCCGAGACCGUUUAUUUAAUUUCUAAAGUAAAUUUGAUUAAGUAUAUGUUCUCUCACCCUAUUUUACAUCAAAGGGUAGGCCUUUGGACAUUAGUUUUAUUAGAAUUCGAAGUACAAUACAUACCCCAAAAGGCAGUAAAAAAUCAGGCUUUGGCUAACUUUCUGGCCAAUCAUCCAUGCCUUGAUAUGCUUGAAGAAAUUGAGUUAGAGAUCAAUUCAUUCGAAUUAAAACCUUGGGUUUUAUAUUUCAAUGGAUCGAAAACCUCUACAGGUGUAGGAGUAGGAGUAGCAUUGAUAAAUCCUUUAGGGAUUUGUUACAUGUUCGCAUUCACUUUGGACAGGAUGUGCACCAACAAUCAGGUCGAAUACGAAGCCUUAAUCGUGGCCUAGAAUUAAUGAUAGAUUGGGGGUAAAGAAUGUGAUCAUUAGAGGCGAUUCUCAAUUGGUAAUUCACCAAUUGAUUGGUGAUUUUAAAUGCCAAAGUGAUUCCAUUAUAAGUCAGUAUGAAAUCGCCCAAGAGUUGUUGGAAGAAUUCGACCAAAUAGAGCUUCAAUGUGUUAAUAAGAUAUAUAAUGAUGUAGCGAACAAAUUGGCCCAGAUGGCCUCAGGGUACUCAAAGGUUUUAAAUUGGAAGUCUACUUGUGAGUAUGGAACAAUAUUGCCCGUGAUCCAAAGAAGGGCAAGAGCGAUUGAAAUUCAUUGCAUACAAGAUGGAGAUACAAUAGAUUGGAGGGCAGAGAUUAAAAGGUUCCUUAAAGAACCCAAUAAAGGAGAUAGUAGAAAAAUGAAGUUGCGUUUGCUAAACUAUACACUGAUAGAUGAAGAGUUGUUUAAGAAAUGCUAAGAUGGUAUAUUGCUAAAAUGUGUAAGUUUGCAAGAAGUCAAGACUAUCAUGGCUGAAGUGCACGAAGGAAUAUGUGGAGCUAAUCAAGCUGGCCAAAGGAUGAGAUGGUUAAUUAUUAAGAAUGUGUAUUUUUGGCCAAAGAUGGAAGAAUCAUGCGUUCAGUAUGCAAAGAGUUGUCUAGUAUGCCAAAAGCAUGGUCCAAUACAAAGGGCGCCAGCAUGAGAGAUGACACCUAUUAUUAAACCUUGGUCGUUUAAGGGUUGGGCGAUAGACCUGAUAGGGAAGAUUUAUCCCCCAUCAUCCAAGCAACAUACCUUUGUUAUAAUUGCAACUGAUUAUUUCACUAAGUGGGUAGAAGCGAUACCUUUAAAGGAGAUCACCCAAAAGAAUGUCAUAGAAUUUAUCCGUGAUCACAUCAUUUAUAGAUUUGGAAUUCCACAAACUUUGAUGGUAGAUCACGGAAUAUCUUUAAAUGGGGAUCAAAUGAAUAAAUUCUUGAGCGAGUUUGGAGUUAAAUUAGUGAACUCCACACCAUAUUACGCUCAAUCCAACGGACAAGCAGAAUCUUCUAAUAAGAUUCUAAAAAAUAUCAUAAGAAAAAUGAUAGAUGAAAUGCUAGAAAUUGGCACGAAUGUCUAAACAAGGCCUUAUGGGCUUAUAGGACGUCGCCUCGGUCAAGUACCAAAAUUACUCAUUUCCAACUUACUUAUGGACAGGAGGCUGUUUUGCCUAUGGAAAUCAACAUGCAAUCGAUCAGAGUGUGUUUGUAACAUAAGUUAAGUGGUGAUGAGUAUACCGAAUCACUAGUUCAAAACUUAUUGGAGUUGGACGAAUUAAAGUUGGACGUCGUAGAUAGAUUGCAAGUUCAAAAACAAAGAAUGACUAAAUUUUAUAAUAAAAAAGCUAUAGCCAAGUCGUUCAGCCUGGGUGAAUUAGUUUGGAAAACAAUACUCCCUUUGGAUAGUAAAGAUCCAAAGUAUGGCAAGUGGUCGCCCAAUUGGGAAGGACCAUAUAAAGUAAAUAAUACAUUGCCUAAUGGAGUCUAUCAUUUGGAAGAUUUAGACGGCACCAAGCACAUGAGAUUCAUUAAUGGCAAAUAUUUAAAAAAAAAUAUGUUCCUUCCUUAUGGGAAAGUGAACAAAUAAAAGUAUAAUCAAAUCGUGUUGAACGAUCGUAGAUUAAAAGGGCCAAAGCGAAAUACGUUCAAAUAAAUUCCUUUAUUAUCAAACGUUCAUUACAAAGUUGUAAAAUACAAAAUACUAAAUGCUCUACAAGUUACAAUUAAGAGCAAACUAAUCUCCCGGUAGAUCGUCGAGUAAGAGGGUGAACUGGCCUUGGUUGCCAUCAUGAUCGCACUGUUGCAAAGGCAAGCAGAAAGGCCGAGAAGCACUCUCAGCAAGCAAAAAGGAAGAAGAAGCACCCUCACAUCGCCUUCCUAAAUGCAUCGCUGCAAUAGCGGGCAAGGAGGUUGAGAAGCACUUUCAGCAAGUAAGGUGACUUGUAGGCGUCCUCAAAAAUUGUCUUCCAUCAUCGAACUCCUUGUAAGGAAUAUGGAGAUGAUGGGAAAAACUUUGCUGUUGGCCAAAGAAUAUUUCCUAUAUCUCCCAUACCAAAAGUGACAUCAAGAAGGAUGGCAAAAUGGGUGGAUCAAAUGAUCCAUCUCCAUGGAAAACGAAGGUUUUGGAUCGAUUGUCAAAAUGCCAAACAAUGGCAGCAAAUUGGUUUUGAAGAAGAGAAUGGAAAUGAAAAUGACAAGUGUGGAAUAUAAGUGCAUUUAUAGAGGCAUGAAGGUGAAGAGACAGAAUAUGAACAGCCACAUUCGUGCCUAGUAACUAGAAUCAAAUGGCCCGAAGUCUUGGAAAAAGAAACAGAAAUACCAAGAGAAAAUAUGCGUGAAUCUUAGCAUAAAGCAAUAAAAUGUUUGGGGGGUUGACGAUUAAAAACAACGUCAAUAAAUACACAAGAAGACAAAUUAAUCGUUCAUUAAUGAUAAUGGCUGCUGGUAUGUUCAGAAUUACCAAUGGACAUCAGUACGAGGUUACAAGGAGAAAGUUAAUACAAAGUUACAAAAAGAAAAGUUAAGGCAUUAGAUGUCUUAAUUACAAUUCGCCCCAGACUGAACGUAUUAUUUCCCUAAGUCUCCCCCAAUCCUCGCUCUGCUGAGAAGAAGUGACAUUCAAUUCAGCCACAAAAUCAUCAUCAACCUCCAGCUUCUUGUACUGCUCGACCAAAGACUUGGUUCGCUCAAUUCCUUAGGAGGCAUUCGUCCUUAGUUUUGUUGAUCUCCAGAAGCAAAGACUCUCUUUCAGAUACAGCGCGAAGAUAUUGAGUACUUUUGGCCUUCAGUUCAACAUUUUUGGCCAGUAAGGAGAGAAUCUCGGAAUGGACAACUUUCAACGUCGCUUUCAAAUCAAUAGAAAGAUUGAGCGAAGGAAGUGUCAAUGCUUGCGCCAACUUCGCACUCAAAUGCUCAAGCUUAUCCUUAUGUUUGGCAGCACUAGCCUGACCGAUGUCUAUAUCCAUAAUGGAUACAUACUCAAAUAUCGACUGCUUGAGGAACUAAUAUCUUCCUCUGAAGAAGCAGAAGGACGACUGGUUGAAGCAGAGCGAGACGUCUUGACUUGCCCCCAGGAAGUGAACAAGUUUUGGAUGGAACGCACAAUCUUAUCAGCAUCCUGCAAAAAAAAAUUGCCAACAUUGAAGGUUUUCACUAUAAUAAACAAAGUGGAAGUAAAAGUGAAGCAAGGAUUACCUCAUCAGCAAUCUUGGGAGGUGGCAUAUCCCCAGCCAAGUCUACCACCUGUGGCUCUAACACUUGUGAGGACUUCCCCUUGUCUAAGCGAGAAGACUUUGCCACAACGGGCAAACCCAUGGGAGCAUCUGCAGAACUCAAAAAAGUAAUGAAUUAAAAACCAAUAGCACAAGUAAAGGUCAAACAUCAAAAAAUGUAUUACCUUCUGGUUUGACGUUUUGGAGGUUGACGCCCUGGGAAGAAGGUGGCUCAUCCAUUGGUUGUGAUAAGGAUUCCGGGACUGAAGGUUUCUCUUUAAGCGUAGUCCCUUCAUCAGCUGGUUUGGAUGAAGCAGCCUCAGCAGAGGAUGAUGGAGCAGGAGCUGCCAACACCAAAGCCUUCAAAGGAGAGGCUGAGCUUUUCUGAGAAAUCCGAAUAAAUUAUCAGCACAUAGAAAAGUGUCAAGUAUAGAAAGGUAUGCUUGUGAGUAAACUAAUUUAAUUACCUUUCUCCUGACAAUGAGAGGAGUGUCAUCAUCAUCAUCAUCAUCAUCCUCCAAAAUGGGAGAUGCUGAGGCUGGCCGUUUGCGGUUUGGGGCACUCUUAGCUGCAGUAAGCUUGGUAGGAAGAGAAGUAGAUGGAUGAACAGACUGUUUGGCACUAGCAGAAGAGGAAGGACUCCUAAUAGACACAGGAGUGACCAAAACAGGAGAAGUGAAAGAAAUGUCUACCUGAUCCAGUGAAUGGAAAGCGCGAUUGUCAUCAGUUGCAAACAAUUUGCGCUGCACUGAUGGCCAGAGUUGUUCAAAAAAGGGAUGGCAUGGCAUGGCUAGAAUUGAAGGGGGCUAAUGAAAAGUUACUUGUCAAAAGAAUAUUGCGAGCAUCUAUAACUUCUGCCUCUGCCUUAUUAAUGGUGUAGAAGCGAUCUAUCAAAUUUCUUGAAUAACAAGGGGGAACAGGCCAAGUUUGGCCAAAACUAAGUUAACGAGCAAAAAAUUGGGGAGCAUGUAUUUCAACCCCAGCUUUGGCAUUGGUUCCAGUCAAAAUAUCAUGGAACAACUCCCUCCCGGUCAAAAACUGAACUGAAAUGAGCAGAGAGGUGCUCGCGUUUUCCAAAGUGGAUGGGGGUUGCACAUAAUCUGGAGUUAAAAAAGGAGGAAAAGAAAAGAAAGAAGGAAUUGAAUUCAAAGUAUAAAAGAAUGAAAAGAUGUCCCUUCUGGACAUAUUUACAGGGCUCAGUGGGCCAAUAGCUAGCCCAUGGCAGCUAGUAGAAGGAAGGGAAAAGGAUAGAGCACCAAGUGAUGGAAAAUAGGCUUUCAACCACAUUUGAGUGAACUAAAGAGGCCCACUGCCAGUAGGAGAUGCACCAUUCUUCAAUUGGAAUUGGAGAGAAGCCAUGCCUCUAUAGAGGGCAGCUAAAAAGAAAGAAUACAAAUUCAGAGGUCUACCACGCUCCAAUUCGUGCGCUAUGGGUAAAUAGCUCAUAGAAGGCUUCAUGCUUGGCACACACAGAACAUAUUUACAAAGCCAAAUUUGAAUAAAGGCCACACGCUCAGCAUGGGAAGGCUCAGCUCUCGAGUGAUUAUAACAACUUUGCAGGCUUGAAUAAGACUCGGUGAGUUUUCUCUCAAAUUUUGGGGCAACACCAGAAAUCAAAAUACCAGGAAAAAUGGUAUCGCCCAAAGGUGUCAAAUUUACUAAGGCCCCAACAUCUCUUAAAGUAAUGGACAUAGGACCAAGAGAGAAAAUAAAAGUAUUAUACUCAGAGGACCAAAAACUUAAAGCAAUAAGGAAAAUCGUUGAAUCAAAAAUAUGGGGUUGAAGAGAGAUUUCUAACAAAUCAAAAAUCCUAGCAUUAUCAAAAAUUGCCUUGGUAGGACCAUGGAUCACAAGGCGAGCAUGCCAUCUACGGAAAACAACAUCAAAUUUAGUCCAAGUGCGAAUACCUCUUUUGCAAAGCGGCCUCAGCGGCAAAGAGUUUAGAAACGGAGGGCCUUGAGUACAAGGGAACAGCUGGCUCAUCGCCACUUAUUCAAUGGCCUCGGCGUUGUUGAAUGAAGGACCUAGGUAGAACUCAUUGAGUUUGACAUUGGCUGGUGCAAGAAAGUUCGGAGUUCUAUAUGGCCGAGUGAGGAGUUUCUGGAAGUCUUCGAAGCUGAAAGAGUCACCAGAUUGGGAUUGUGAAACAGCCAUUAAAAAUGAAAUAAAGUUUUGUUGAAAUUUGCUUGAGAAACAUAGUAGAGAAGCAAGAAGAUGAAUAGUAAUAUUGCAAGAGAGAAGCGCGAAACAAUGAGGCGUGAUUUAGUAGUGCGAUGAAAUGGCGUGUAUUUGGGGUUUAUAAGGGUUUGCAACGUCGCACCUUUUCAGGCUAUGGAAGAAAAUAAUGAUUGAAAUUCUUGAGAAUUUCAAAUGUUGCUGAAAAACACAAAGUGAAUACGACAAAAAUUAAUAAUUGGUAUUAAUUCUGCCAUAUUGGGGGAUAAUUGUUGACACGCUAAAAGUGCAGCCCAAAUCGAAUAGCCCAAAGAAUAAAAUCCAACUGGGCAAUUCAGGAUAAAAGCCCAAAUAGGGUUAUUAAUGAAUGCAGUGAAAGCCCACAAACGCGGUAACACCAUUGCCCAAACUUGCAAGAUGCCCAAGAUCUGAGCGAAUGAAGUGCCUUGCAGUUGCCCAGAGUUAUGACCUUGUUCUCGCCCAAACCUUCGAAUCGCCCAGGGUCUUAGCAAACAUAAGAUGUUAUGGUUAUCCAAAAGUGCAGUUAUCGAAGCAGUUAUUGAGUAAUCUUAUCACGUUCCAUGAUUCAAGGAGUUCAGUUGAAGACGGUUGAGCGACAAAGAGUAGUGGUAGCAGUUAGAGACGGCAGUUCCACAAUAAGUUGGCCACCUGAAGAAAGUGGGCAGUUAUAAAGUAAUUAAGCAGUUUCUAAGCGGUUGAUCAUAAAGAGAUCAUCAAGGGAAUAUAAAAGAAAGAAAAGACAUGGAGAAAAGGACCCCGGAUCAAACACUCUCAAACAGAGAAUAUGUAAUUUCAAUUCCUUAGUUUAGAUUUAAAACAUUUCUUUUUAGUACUCGUGUGCUUGUGCCCCUUGAAGGCAUUUUGUUUAAAGUUUCAAUUGUAAAAUCAUCGCCAAUAAAACACCCCUUUUUGGAAUUUUGUCUCAAGAGGUUUGUUCCUUACACAAUCGUUUGAUCCCUUUUUAAUUGUUAGCGACUACCCACGCGAAACAAGAGGAAUUUUGUUUUGGCAUUGUUCAUUGGAAUCUGUCCCUCCCUUUUUUUUCCUUCCUGUUUUAGUUGUCCAUCCGGACUCUUCUACGUCUUUCAAUUUAAUUUUUCCAUAUUUUCACACAUGCAACGAGCACCGUAUCUUUUUACGGUCUUGAUUUAAUUACAAGCUCAAUGACAUAUUUAAAAUUCUGGAGGACACAUGUCAAUACAUAAUUGGAUAGUUUGACAUAAUGUCAUGUGUCAUUCCAUCAUUAGACAAUUUAAAGCACGGUCAACUUUUUCAUCCAAUUGUUUACGGGCUUUGCUUGGUAUAUAUAAUGUUUUGUACAUCAAGGUAUCCCACACUCACAUGGGAUAGGGCCCGCUUGAAUAUUACGGGCUUUGCUUGAUGUACAUAAUUUUUGUACAUCAGGUGUCCCACAUUCACAUGGGGUGGGGCUCGCUCGAAUAUUUACUGGUCUCAUCCCAUCUGAGUGUAUAGAUACCUUAAUGUACAAAAAAUUAUGUACAACUAUUGUUGUUCACUAUUAACUGUCACAUACAAUUAUGUCAAGUUUCUUAUCAAAGUAGCUUUAUCCAUCAAUUAUAGCCAUCCCAUCCUAUCAUCCAAUUUUUUGUCAAUCACCUUGGCCACAUAUGUGUGUGUGUAUAUGAAUUAAGCCCCCUGCAUAGGUCCAUUUGCACAGGGACUCUCACAUGGGCGUGUACUCCAUGUGUAAGCUCCACCCCCAUGUGUGUGCACCUGUACAGACCCUGUGCAAAAGGGUCUGUGCAGGUAGCACAAUUGAUUGAUAUAUAUAAGUGUAUUUUAUACACUUAUACGACGCACUAAAUUGUCGAACUAAAAAAUUGAUUAAUAAGGGGGGUUCUACAUCUUAUCAACAUUUCUUGUGAAGUUGAUAAAUUUUAUUUACAUUGCUUUCUAGUUAGUCGAUAGAUUUAAUAGUUUUUAGUUACCACUCAUUUUACUAUUCGAUUAAGGGUAGGGUUAACUUAAACUUGAUCAAACACAUAGUUCUCAUGGGUUCGACACUGUACACACCACUUUAUUACUUGUUCCCGAUUUCGUUCACUUGCGGAUAAUCAAACGAUAUAUAUAUAUAUAUAUAUAUAACCCCAUAUUUAAAAUUGAUCUAAGGCCCCAAAAUCUCAGGACCCGUCUUGCUGGCCAAGUAGCAUUAUUCAUCUUUUUACUCUUACUUCCCCCCACAAAAUUACCAUUCAUACGUCUCCUUCUUCUAACCUUUUGUUUUCUUUCUCCAAAAUUCUCUCUAACAAAUUCAAUUUUUGUAGAAUCAUAUGUUACUAGUGCAUUCUGUGAACUUCUUGAGAAAAACCGAGAGAACUCUGUUCAGAGGACGGAAUGAGAACAAGAAUCGCAAAUCAAGUACAAAAAUGGCAUCGAAGAUUUCCCUAAAGGCGGCGAAAGGGCAAGAGUGUAAAGAAGCUUGCGGUGGCGGCCCAAGGUGGAGUGUUGCGAAGUGGGUUAGCUACAGUUUUGAAGGAUGGUCCCCUGCAUAAAUACAGUUCAUAUGGAUUCAAGUUCGUUAGGUGAGAACUAGUCCUCGGCAUAAAUACAGUUCAUAUGGAUUAAAGUUCGUUAAUUUUUAGCUUGUUUGCCAUUUCUCUUUUAGUUGUUUGGUAUCUUUCCCAGCCGCAUUCUACUAUUAUUUCUAUUAACUUCUCUAUGUUCUUUUCUCCUCCACAUUUGCAGUUUCAUCCAGGGAAGAAUGUGGGUCUUGGCAAGGAUCACACCCUUUUCUGUUAGAUAGAUGGCAUCAUAAAAUUUGAGAAGUUUGGGCCUGAUAAGAAAAAGGUUUAUUUCAUAGAUACAUAAACUCGUCUCUCUAUUUGUAGCCGUAUAAAUAAUUGGUUAAAAAUUUUGCAGAGCGUAAAGAUAUAACGAUGUAUAUGUUUAUAAUGUAUGAAAUUACUUGAGUAAACAAAAUGGUUUACAAGACUCAUGGGUGGAUAUAAAUUAAUGAAGAUUUGGGUUGUGUGUUUGUGUUGUACAAACAUUAAAAAGAAAUGGCCUGCAGCUCGUGUGGUUGCGUGUUUGUUUUUGGAUGCAAGAUACACAAUUUCAGUUCCCUUCAAUGGCACUCCUCCUUUUGGUUCCUGUUUGGUUAAUUAAUGGAAAAAAAAAUGGGAAUUCUUUUCAGAUAUGGAGAUUAGAUAAUUAACUCUAUACUUUCAAACUUGUGUCACAAAAGGCAUCGAAUUAAAAGUUAACGUGCAUCGGUAAUUUUAUUACUCACAAUAUGUAAUUAUUACUUUUCCUGCAUUUUAUUUUUACCAUCUUCUCUCCAAAUUAUUAUAUUAGUGAUAUGUCCCUUCAUUAUUAUUAUUAUUAUUAUUAUUUUUUAUAGCAUUUCAUUGGGUCAAUAUAUGGAGCAUUGUAAAUUGAAAUAUUUUAGAUGCAUUCAACUAUAGAGAGUGACUUUGACUCUUAAAUAGAGAAAUAUUUCACUUUUAAAUAACUUCUUGGAUGUUGUAGUAGUAUUAAGAAAAAUUUGUGACAAAAAUCACUCUAAUCAAACCUAAUUUCUUCUUUGCCUGAGUUAUCCAUGUCCACGCAAACUCCUCCACAAUACCGACUUCCAAAAAUCUUAAAAUCAUGCUCUAAAUCCAAAAUCUAAAAAAUAUAAGCAAAAAAUUGAUUGGGAUGGAAACAAUCUAAAAAAAUUGAUUGCCUUUUCCUUUAUGCAAGAACUUAUUAAAAAUCAACUACCUAUAAUGGACAAGACUUGUCCAAUAGCCUUACUGGAAGCACAACUUAUUUGUUGGAAUUACCAUUGUCUCCAUUAUUGGGAUUUGGAUAAUGAGAAAUGAAAUGCAGGUUUGGGAUUCCCAUUCCCACAUAGCAAGCUUCUAUGUAUGUACAAUAUUAUGUGUAUGAUAGAUUAGAUUUAGUGCGACCAAUUAAACAAUUUUUACAUUUAUAAUUACAAGGGAAUUGCGAGAGAGGAAAUGUCACUCAUCUUAUUGCUUUCCUCUUGUUGCUGUAAUUUUAAAUUGGCAGAACUUAAUUUGAUAUAUAAUUUGUGUUCUCUGCAGGUUGUGCUAUCUGCUUUUGAUUCAGACGCCUCACUUGAUGUAUUGGACCAUCCAGUUCUGAACUUAAUCUACUACCAUGUAGUAGAUUAACUGAAUUUUUGUUCAGUUAUAAGAAAAUAUUUAUAAUCCAAUAGAAAAAAGUUUAGAUUUUUAGUGUUGUUUUCGAGGGAUUUUAUCUUUAUUCGAGCUAAAUUAUACGUUAAACCUUGAUUCUCUAGUUACAAAGAUAGACCAUAAAUUUAGUUAGAUAGAUACAUAACUUGUUAAGUCAAAUAUAUUAAAGAAUUAUGCUAAUUGUACAUAAAAAUGGUACAUAAAUGAUUACAUUAAAUAAUGCAGAGGGAAAAUAUAUGAUAAAAAAGUUGAUUGUGUUUUAAAUUGAAAAUAUAUAUAUAUAUAUAUAUAUAGAGCAAGAUUCUAUAUUAAAUCCCCAUCACUCUGUAAAUCAAGCUAAUUGUGUAGUGACUAACUGUUUCGUGCGGGUUCGUCGCUAACAAUUAAAAAGGAAUCAGACGAUUGUGUAAGGGACAAACCUCUUGAAACAAAGUCUCAAAAAUGGGUGUUCUUUAUUGGCGGUGACUUUACAAUCGGAAAUUAAAAACAGAAUGCCUCUAAGGGGCGCAAGCACACGAGUUACUGAAAGAAGUGUUUAAAUCUAAGCUAAGAAAUUUAAAAUUACAUGCUCUCUGUUCGAGAGUUUUUGAUUCAGUCAUUUUGCUCUAUGUCCUUCCUUCCUUUUAUACUCCCUGGAUGAUCUCUUUGUGAUCAACCGCCUAAAAACUGCUGGAUCGUUCUAUAACUGUCCAUUUUCCUCGUAAUGGCCAACUUGUUAUGGAACUACCUUUUCUAACUACUGCCAUUACUCUUUGUCAUUCAACCGUCUUCAAUUAGGUUCCUUGAAUUGUGGAACGUGAUAGGGCUGCUUUAAUAACUGUUUUGAUAACUGCACUUCUUGAUAACCACAAUACUUUAUGUUUGCUAAGACCUUGGGUGACUCGAAGGUUUGGGCGAGAAUAGAGUAACAGCUCUGAGCGACUGCAUGGCACUCCAUUCGCUCAGAUUCUGGGCGACUUGCAAAUUUCGGCGAUGGUGUUACCGCGUUCUUGGGCCUCCCCAUUUGGGCCUUCAUCUUGAAUUGUUUGAUUGGGCUUCGUUCUUUGGGCUAUCUGAUUUGGGGAUCCUCCAAUUGGGCUUCAUUCCUUGGGCCGUUCGAUUUGAGCUGAAUUUUUAUGUGUCAACAAUUACCCCUCAAUAUGGCAGAAUUAAUACUAAUUGUUAAAUUUUGCCAUAUUCAUUUUGUGUUUCCUGCAGCAUUUGAAAUUCCCAAGAAUUUCAAUCAUUGUCUUCUUCCAUAGCUUGAAAAGAUGCGACGUUUUGCAAACCCUUAUAACCCCCAAACACGCCAUUUCACUGCACCAUUAAAUCACGUCUCACUUUUUUUCCGUUUCUCUCCCACGAUUUACUGUUCAUCUUUUUGCUUCCCUGCUACAUUACUCUGAAAAAACUCCGUUUCAUCCCUAAUGGCUACUUCACAAUCUCAAUCUGGCGACUCAUUUAGUUUUGAUGACUUUCAGAAACUUCUGAGUCGUCCAUACAUAACUCCGACUUUUCUCGCGCCUGCCAAUGUCGAACUCAAUGAGUUCUACCUAGGUCCUNAAGACACUUUUUGAUAAUGCUAGGAUUUCUGAUUUGUUAGAAAUCUCUAUUCAACCCCCUACUUUUGAUUCAGCACUUUUUUCAAUCGUUUUGAGUUUUUGGUCUUCUGAGUAUAAUACCUUUAUUCUCUCUUGGCCCCAUGUCUAUUACUUUAAGGGAUGUUGGGGCCCUAGUGAAUCUACCACCUUUGGGCGAUACCAUUUUUCCUGGUAUCUUGGUUUCUGGUGACGCCCCAAAGUUUGGUAGAAACUACACCGAGUCUUAUUCAAGCCUGCAAGCCCUUCAUAACCAUUUGAGCGCUGUCCCAUACUGAGCGAGUGGCCUUUCUUCUGGUUUGGCUUUGUAAAUAUGUUUUGUGUGUACCAAGCAUAAAGCCCUCCCUGAGCUAUUUACCCAUAGCGCACGAAUUAGCGCGUGGCAGGCCUCUCAAUUUAUGUUAUUUCUUUUUGGCUGCCCUCUAUAGAGACAUGACUUCUCUUCAAACUCAAUUGAAAAAUGGUGCAUCUCCCACUGGCAGUGGACCUCUUUGGUUCACUCAAAUGUGGUUGAGAUCCUAUUUUCCAUUGCUUGGUGCUCCAUCAAUUUCUCGUCCUUCUGCUAGCUGUUAUGUGCUAGCCAUUAACCCCUGGCUCCUGUAAAUAUGUCUAGAAGGGACAUUUUUUCAUUCCUUUAUUCUUUGGAUUCAGUCCCUUCAUUCUUUCCUUUUCCUCCCUUUUUGACUCCAGAUUAUGUGCAUCCUCCCUCUUCUAUAGAUAGCGCGAGCACCUCUCUGCUCAUUUGGAUCCAGUUUUUGACCGGGAGGGAGUUAUUUUAUGAUAUUUUGACUGGGACCAAUGCCAAGGCAGGGGUAGAAAUAUAAGCUCCCCAAUUUUUUGCUCGCCAACUUGGUUACGACCAAACCUGGCCUGUUCCUCCUUGCUAUUCAAGGAACUUGAUUGACCGCUUCCAUAUUAUUAAUAAGGUGGAAGCAGAGGCUAUAAAUGCUCGCAAUCUUCUUUUAACAAGCUAUUUUUCAUUAGCCCCUUUCAAUUCUAACCAUGCCAUCCAUCCCCUUUUUGAACAGCUCUGGCCGUCAGUGAAGCGCAAAUUAUUUGCGACUGAUGCCAAUCGUCCCUUUCAUUCACUAGACCAGCCGAGCAUUUCUUCCCCUCCUCCUGUUUUAGUCACUCCUUUGUCCAUCUAGAGUCCUUCUUCUCCUCGUCGCACUAAACAGUCUGCUCGUCCAUCUUCCUCUCUCCCUGCCAAGCCUACUGCAGUCAAGAGUGCCCAAGCCGCAAACGGCCAGCCUCGGCAUCUCCCAUUCUGGAGGAUGAUGUUGAUGAUGAUGAUGAUACCCCUCUUAUCAUCAGGAGGAAGGUAAUUAAAUUGGUUUACUCACAAGCAUACUUUUCCAUACUUGAAACUUUUCUAUGUGCUGAUGAUUUAUUUGGACGUCUAAGAAAAGUUCAGCCUCUCCUUUAAAGGCUUUGGUAUCGGUAGCUCCUGCUCCAUCAUCCUCCGCUGAGGCUACUUCAUUCAAACCAGCUGAUGAAGGGACUACGCUCAAAGAGACAUCUUCAGUCCCAGAAUCCUCAUCACAACCAAUGGAUGAGCCACCUUCUUCCCAAGGCGUCAACCCCCCAAACAUCAAAGUAGAAGGUAAUUCAGUUUUUUGAUGCUUUACCUUUGCUUGUGCUAUUGGUGUCUGAUUUGUUGCUUUUGAGUUUUGCAGAUGCUCCUAUGAGUCUGCCCGUUGUGGCAACAUCUUCUCGUUCAGACAAGGGGAAGUCCUCACGAAUGGUGGAGUCACAGGUGGCAGACUUGGCCGGGGAUAUGCCAUCUUCCAUGAUUAUUGAUGAGGUAAUCUUUGCUUCACUUUUAUUUCCAUCUUGUUUGUUAUAGUGAGAAUCUUCAAUAUUGGCAAUUUUCUUUGCAGGAUGCUGACAAGAUUGUGCGUUCCAUCCAAGACUUGUUCGCUUCCUAGGGGCAAGUCAAGACAUCUCGCCCUGCUCCAUCUGGUCGUCCUGCUGCUUCUUCAGAGGAAAAUUUGAAGUUCCUCAAGCAGUCAAUAUUUGAGUACGUGUCCUUCAUGGAUAUGGACAUUGGUAAGGCUAGUGCUGCCAGACACAAGGAUAAGCUUGAGCACUUGAAUGCGAAGUUGGAGCAAGCACUGACACUUCCGUCACUCAAUCUUUCUGUCGAUUUUAAAGCGACGUUGAAAGUUAUCCACUCCGAGGUCCUCUCUUUGCUGGCCAAGAAUGCUGAACUGAAGGCCAAAAGUACUCAAUAUCUUCGUGCCGUAUCUGAAAAAGAGUCUUUGCAUCUGGAGAUCAACAAGGCUGAGGACGAGUUGAAAGAAAUCUCUUCCGAAGUCAUGAUUGAAGACUCUUUGAUAGUUAGUUUGGCUGCUCAGAUGAAGGAACUUCAAGCCAAAAUGGACGACUACAAGGCGAGAAUGGCUGCUAAAAAGCGUAACGCCUCCUAGGAAAUUGAGCGAACUAAGUCUUUGGUCGAGCAGUACAAGAAGUUGGAAGUUGAUGAUGAUGUCGUGGCCGAAUUGAACAUCACUUCCUCUCGGCAGAACGAGGAUUGGGAAAAGCUUAGGGAACGAAUUCGUUCAGUAUGGGGUGGAUUGUAAUUAAGACAUAUGACGCCUUAACUUUUCCUUUUGUAAUUUCGUAUUUGACUUUCCCUUUGUAACCUUGUUCAUCAUUAAUGAACAUAUAUGUUAACUUAUUGUGCAUUUAUUUGAAGUUUGUCUUUUAAUCGCCAAUUCUUCAAGCAUUUAACUGCUUUGUGCUAAAAUCUUGCACAUUUUCUUUUGAUAUUUCUACCUCUUUUCCCAAGACUUUGGGCUACUUAAUUCCAUUUACUAGGCAAAAUGUGGCUGCUCAUAUUCUGUCUCUUCAUCUCCACCCCCUAUAAAUGUACGUAUGCUUCGCACUUUCCAUCUUCUAUCUUCAUCUUCAUUUUCUUCUUCGAAACCAAUUUGCUGCCAUUGUUUAGCAUUCUGACAAUCAAUCUAAAAUUUCGUCUUUCUAUAAAAAUGGAUUGUUUGAUCCGUCCAUUUUACUAUUUGCCUUGAUGUCACCUUUGGUGUGGGAGAUACAGGAAAUAUUUUUUUGCAAGCAGCAAACUUUUUACCAUCAAAGUUCUUCCCAUCAUCUCUUUGUCCUUUACAAGGAGUUCGAUGAUAGAAGGCAAUUUUUGGGAUGCUUGCGGGCCACCUUGCUUGCUGAGAGUGCUUCUCAGCCUCUUUGCCCGCCAUUGCAGCGAUGCAUUUAGGAAGGUGGUGUGAGGCCAAUCCACCCUCUUACUCGGCGAUCCCACCAUUGCAGCGAUGCAUUUAGGAAGGCGGUGCGAGGCCAGUCCACCCUCUUACUCGAUGAUCGACCGGGAGAUUAGCUUACUUUUAAUUGUAGUUUGUAGACCAUCUAUUAUUUGUAUUUUUGUAUUUUUGUAAUGAACGUUUGAUAAUAAAGGACUUUAUUUGAACGUAUUUCAGUCUGACCUUGUUAUCCUUAAUCGUUCAACAUAUUUUGAUUAUGCUUUUAUCUGUUUACAUUCCCAUAAAGAAGGAACAUAUUUUUUCAAAUAUUUGCCAUUAAUGAAUCUCACGUGCUUGGUGCCAUCUAAAUCUUCCAAAUGAUACGCUCCAUUGGGCAACAUACUGUUUAUUUUGUAUGGUCCUUCUCAAUUGGACGACCACUUCCCGUACUUUGGAUCCUUGCUAUCCAAAGGGAGUAUCGUCUUCCAAACUAGUUCACCCAGGCUGAACGAUUUGGCUAUGACUUUUUUAUUAUAAAACUUAACCAUUCUUUGUUUUUGAACUUGCAAUCUAUCUAAGACGUCAAACUUUAAUUCGUCCAACCCCAAUAAAUUUUAAACUAGUGAUUCGGUAUACUCAUCAUCAUUCAACUUAUGUUGCAAGCACACUCUAAUCGAUUGCACGUUGAUUUUCAUAGGCAAAAAUUUGUUCACUUGAUCCCCAUUCAAAGAUGAUCCGUGAUCUACCAUCAACGUUUGUGGAAUUCCAAACCUAUAAAUGAUGUGAUCACGGAUAAACUCUAUGACAUUCUUUUGGGUGAUCUCUUUCAAAGGUACCGCCUCUACCCACUUGGUGAAAUAGUCGGUUGCAACUAUAACAAAAGUAUGUUGCUUGGACGAUAGGGGAUAAAUCUUCCCUAUCAGGUCUAUCGCCCAACCCUUGAACGGCCAAGGUUUAAUAAUAGGUGUCAUCUCUCGUGCUGGCGCCCUUUGUAUUGGACCAUGCUUUUGGCAUGCUAAACAACUCUUUGCAUACUGAACGCAUAAUUCUCCCAUCUUUGGCAAAAAAUAUCUACUCCUAAUAAUUAACCAUCUCAUCAUUUGGCCAGCUUGAUGAGCUCCACAUAUCCCUUCGUGCACCUCAACCAUGAUUGUCCUGGCUUCUUGCAAACUUACAAAUUUUAGCAAUACACCAUCAAAGCAUUUCUUAAACAACUCUUCAUCUAUUAGUGUAUAGUUCAGUAAACACAGCUUCAUUUUCCUACUAAUCCCUCCAUUAGGUUCUUUAAGGAACCUUUUAAUCUCUGUUCUCCAAUCCAUUGCAUCUCCAUCUGGUAUGCAGUGAAGUUCAAUCUUCCUCGCCCUUCUUUAAGUCACGAGCAAUAUGGUUCCAUACUCACAAGUAGACUUCCAAUUCAAAACCUUUGAGUACCCUGAGGACAUUUGGACUAACUCAUUUGCCACGUUGUUAUAUAUCCUAUUAACGCAUUGAAGUUCUACUUGGUCGAAUUCUUCUAACAAUUCUUGGGCGAUCUCAUAUUGACUUAUAAUGGAAUCACUUUGGCAUUUAAAAUCACCAAUCAAUUGGUGGAUUACCAAUUGAGAAUCGCCCCUAACGAUCACAUUUCUUACUCCCAUAUCUAUCAUUAGUUCUAGGCCUACAAUUAAGGCUUCAUAUUCGACCUGAUUGUUGGUGCACAUUCUGUCUAAAGUGAAUGCGAACUUGUAGCAAAUCCCUAAAGAAUUAAUCAAUGCUACUCCUACUCUUGCACCUUUAGAGGUUUUUGACCCAUCGAAAUACAACACCCAAGGUUUUAGCUCGAACGAAUUGAUUUCUAAUUCAAUUUCUUCAGGCAUGUCAAGGCAUGGAUGAUCGGCUAGAAAGUUAGCCAAAGCCUGAUUUUUGACUGCUUUUUGAGGUAUAUAUUGUAUCUCGAAUUCUGAUAAAGCUAAUGUCCAAAGACCUACCCUUUGGUGUAAAAUAGGGCGCGAGAACAUAUAUUUAACUAAAUUUACUUUAGAAAUUAAAUAAACGGUUACGGGCCGUAAAUAAGCCCUUAAUUUUGUACAUGUGAAAUACAAUGCAAGACAUAAUUUUUCGAUAGUAGAGUAAUUACAUUCACAUUUUGUUAACCGUCUACUUAAGUCGUAAAUUGCCCUUUCUUCACCAAAUUGGUCUUCCUGUGCGACUAUUCCAGCUAUUGAUUCUUUUUCAGCCGAUAUGUAUACUUUCAUUGGCCGUCCUUGGAUUGAUGACAUCAACACUGGUGGACUUGAUAAAUAUGUCUUCAGGCUUUCAAAAGCCUUUUGAUGUUCUUCUUUCCAAACGAAUUCGUCCUGAUUUUUCAGCUUUAAGAGCAGCGAAAAGACUUUAGUUCGCCCUGCACAGUUAGAAAUAAAGCGUCUUAAAAAGUUUACUUGGCCUAGAAACCUUUGCAAUUCUUUUUUGUUGCUAGAUGAUUUGGCCUCUAAAAUGGCCUUCACUUUAUUUUUAUCAAGUUCAAUCCCUCUCUUGUGUACUAAGAAACCAAGAAAAUUCCCUGCAUUAACACCAACUGCACAUUUCGAGUGAUUCAACUUUAGCUUAUAUUGCUUCAUUCGCUCAAACGAACAUCUUAACUGUUCGAAAUGGUCUUCUUCUUUAAUGGACUUGACUACUAUGUCAUCUACAUACACUUCAACAAACUUGCCUAUCAUAUCAUGAAAGAUUAAAUUCAUUGCCCUUUGAUAAGUUGCCCCUACAUUUUUUAGGUCGAAAGGCAUAACCACCCAUUCAAAACAUCCUAGAGACCCAGGGCAUUUAAAGGCAGUUUUGUGUAUGUCUUCUUCAGCUAUAUAAAUUUGAUUGUAUCCUGAAUACCCAUCUAUAAAAGAAUACAUGACAUGUCCGGCAGUCGAGUCUACAAAAGAAUCCACCGUGGGCAUUGGAUACUCAUCUUUGGGUGUAGCCAUAUUUAAAUUCCUAAAGUCUAUACACACCCUUAGUUUACCAUUCUUUUUUAGUACUGGCACGAUAUUGGACAACCAUUCGACAUAUCUAGCUGUUCUAAUAAAACCUGCUUUCAAUAAUCGCUCUAUCUCUUUCUCAAUCUUAGGGAGUACAUUAGGAGCAAAACGUCUAGGAGGCUGCCUAUGAGGUUUAAAAUUAGGCUUAGUUGGUAACCUAUGUUCCACUAAGUCUCUAUCUAAACCAAGCAUUUGUUCAUAUUCCCAAACAAAACAAUCUUUAUACUCCUUUAACAAAGCGAUUAAUUUAUCACUAACCUCUUGAUCGAGCAUCUGGCUGAUAAAUGUUGGACGAUCUUCUCCUUCAUUGCCAAUAUUUACUUUAAUCAGAGGGUCUUGUGCUUGAGCGUAUCCAGAUUUGAUGAUCCGCAUCACUUCGUCGUCCAGUUCCCUUGUAAGUACUUAUUCUUCUAAACAGUCCACCUUGUUGACUUCUCGGUCAAUGCUUUGUUCUAACUCGAAUACUGCUAAUUUGUCCUUCAACGCUUUCAGGGCUGUCUCUUCUUUUGCCUUGUCAUUGCAUUCCUUAUUGAAAGCCAUUAGUCUGGCUUUGAAGGCCUGAAUAUCGGUCAUUUGCUUUUGUAACUUAGAAUCCAUUCAAGACUCCUUGAUUAUUCUUUUGCCAAUUACUGGCUCUUCUAGGGCCACUAUAUUUGGCCUCAUCUGUCUGAACAUUUCAGUGAGUGCGUCCACUGAAAAUGGCUCUUCGCUUUGCGUGACAACUUGAGUUUCUUCCCCAUGUUGUACUACCCUGACAGGUCCAUAGUUUCCUUCAUACAUGAACUUUUCCACCGAGUUUGCUUCUGCGACAAAAGGCCUAUGAUCGACCUGUACCACCUCUGCUUCGCCUUUGUUAUUCCAAAAGAUCAGGCAUUGAUGGAGCAAUGAGGGUAUACAGCGACUUCCGUGUAUCCAAUCUCUUCCUAGUAACACACUAUAACUAGUAGGACCAUCUUUACAAAGAAGACUGUGGUCCUAGUAGUCGUCCCUAUAGUUAUGUCCAAUGGCAUAACUCCCUUAGCUGAAGUUGCUCCUCUAUUGAAACUCGUAAGGAUGACUUCUAUAGGAAUCAUGUCACCCUCUGUCUUUGCGAACUUCCUCAUCAUCCUAGAUAGAAUGGUGUUUAUAGCUGCUCCAUUGUCGACAAGCACUUUUGCCACUGGGAUGCCGUUAACUAGAGCUUUAACAUGCAAUGGCCUCAAGUGUUUAGUCAAUUUCAUGGCUGGCCGUUUAAAAAUAACCUUUUCGGUAGCCUCUAUUUCUACUUCCUGCUUGUCUUCUAUUGAAUUAUCCCCCUGUGAUAAGUCGACGUGCGACAUAUCGCGCUGAGCCUCUGUCUUCUGAAUUUCCUUCUUCCUGUUUUCUAAUGCUUCCUCAUCAAUUACCCAUCCUGUGGGAGGAGGCAUUAUUCUUGGGGGUAAUCCAUACUUUUCAGAGCGAGGCACUCUUUUCUUCCUUUUGGGUAUCUCGUACAGUACGUAGAAAUCGAAAGGACGUCCAGAUGGUUCUCCCAACAAGUCUACUUCGCGAACUCCCUCCCGAUAUAGUUGCUUCAAUAGAGUAUUGCGCGAUACUCCUCUCCUUCUUCCUUCUGCUUCUAGGUCAAUUUCUUCUUCAAUGUCUGUCAUCCCGUCGUCUUCUUCAUCGUUGUAGGCCUCUCUAGAAGUCUGACCUUUUUCACAUUCCAGCACGCAAGCCUCUCCUUCGUCGUCCUCCCUUUCUUCUUCUUCUUUUUUUUAUUCUUGAAUUCAUUGACCAGUAAGUAAUUAUUGGCCAGGAUAGGAAAUGACGUACCGAACUGGAUAGUAAGGGAUUGAUCUGGAUCCUCUCCAUCCCUUCUGUCCAGCUCAAACUUUGAUCUCCCAGAAGAAGUUUCUGGCAGCUCUUUCAUUGAUUCAUCUGUACCGGUUUCUUCACUAUCCUUGAGAACAUUUUGAUUGGCUAUCUUGAGCAGUUUAGGCGCUUUAGGAUGUGGCACUCCCUAUUGCUGCCUCAUCAUUCGUCCAUAGUUUCGUUGGAAACGCCUUUGUUGGGUUCUAGUCAUCUCAUCGAAGGGUAUUGCCCUUCCUGCAUUAUACUGGAACAAAUGCCAUACAUUUGGCCGGCGAGGUUGCGGUCUGAAUGUUCUCCCAUUAUCUGUUGGCCUGAACUGCCUCUCAAAAGGCGGUCCUCUAUAGAAUGAUGUACCCGCCCUCUACCAGGCUGAGUGUUUGGGAAGAAAGUAGGGCGAUGGGGAUGCUGCCAUAUCCCUGGUUUCUCCAUGUUCCCACUCACUUCUCUUUUACAUCUUGCACACAGGACGUCUUCGUCCUUUUUUGGUUAUUUUCCCUUGAUUCGUUCAAAGAUACUGGGAUGUGGUCUAGGGUCCUCUUUUCCAUCAUCUAUGACCAACUUGAAUUUGGGCAACUUGUUUUUGAAACCAGACGUCACCAUGUUCACUCUAAGUGGCUGUGGAAAAGGAUUUUCAUCCACUGCCAUCUUCUUCUUAUCGUCGAACGUAAUUCGUCCUGAUUCAAUGGCAUCCUGCAACACAUGGCGAAAAACCAAGCAAUUGUUAGUCAAAUGUGACCAUGCAUUAUGCUAUUUACAAUAUUUUUUACCCUUAAUUUGUUCAGGGCUUGGCAAUUUAUGCUUAUCGCUCAGCUUUAUCUGCUUAUCCCUAUAUAAUUUAUCGAAUAUAAGGUCAGCUUUGGUUAUAUCGAACGAGAACGUUCUAGCCUUUAUGUUUCCAUCUUUCAUGGGCUCAUCUUUGCCCGAUGGUCUAGGCUUGGCCAUUAUAGGACAAGUAUACGUAUCUCCUUUGACCAAUUCGGCCAAACACAUUUCGGCCUGAUCGUAUGACUCGUCGCUGAUGGUAUGAACGUCAAAAUUUGGGUCUUUGUAAUAAGUCCCUUUACUAGAAUUUUUCAUCUGUUCUUCCUCUCUUAUCAGUCGGUCAUACCUAAUCACAUUCGCACUCAACUGGAAAAGGUCAGAAAAUUCAUUGUCCUGAAAUUUCUUUUUUAAAUCAAAGCAUAAACAGCUCUGAGCGAUUUUGACAAAUUCUUUUUCGAGCAGAGGUACAAAACACUUGCUUCUUGCUGUCUUGAACCUUUGGAGAAAACUUUCUGCCCAUUAGUUUGGCAUUUGACGUAGAUUUGCCAAAUCAACCAAAGUGACUUCAGACUCAGUUUUAUAAAACUGAGCGUGGAAUAACUAUUCCAAUUGUUGUGUUUGAACAGAGUUUGCUGGUAAGUUGAUCAAUCAGGAUGUGGCUUUGUGUAAGUCGGCCUAAUGACGGGACGCACCCCAAAAGCCAUCUGAUCCUGUACGAUUUUCGUUGGGAUCAUAUGGAAUCCCUACAGGUUGGUUAACCGGUUGAUUUACAUGAGGCCUGAUGUUUGGUCCUUGAUUGGCAACAAAGUUACCAUGAUUAGGGCCACUACCAUUAGCCUGAACAUCUAUUCCCUCAUUAACACGUGGGGUAUUCUGUCCAUUGUUUAGGACAUUAUCUCUUAUAUUUGGAUUACCCCCCAAGUUAGGCGUACCACUACCAUUGUUCUGAUUUGGCACUCCAGCACCCUCUUGGUUUGAAGUAGAGGGACCAGAAAGUGGUUCUACCCCUUGAUUCAGAUUUAGGACUAAGGGAUUAUGUCCCACAAUUGUCCUAGUUUGAAAGUGAUUUGCAAAAGGUAUAACCGGUUGACAUAUAUUUAUUCAUUGUUUCGUUCAAAGUGUUUAGUUGUUUGGCCAUGUUGUCAUAAUGUGCAUUCCCAUUUUGGGUAAAUCUUUCCAUAUUAUGAAUACUUCGAAGAUUUACCUGUUCAACGACAUCUUGUGUGAGUUCUCCAAGUAAUGCACGCAUGGUUCGAGGACUCAACUCUGUCAUUGGUUCGUAACGACUGUUACUGCUCUGAUUCUGUCCAUCUGUUCGUGGAGAGGCAUGCUGCUCCUCAUAUCACUCGAUCACAGACUGGAUUCUUCCUUGACUUGCUGCCUCCUUAUCGGAUUUCUGAGGUAUAUUGUUUCACCUUUUGUAUUUUCAACACCAAACACCACUGUCCUACUGGGCGUGCCAAAUUGUUUCGCGCGGGUUCGUCGCUAACAAUUAAAAAGGGAUCAGACAAUUGUGUAAGGGACAAACCUCUUGAGACAAAGUCCCAAAAAGGGGUGUUCUUUAUUGGCGGUGACUUUACAAUCGGAAAUUAAAAAUAGAAUGCCUCCAAGGCGCGCAAGCACACGAGUUACUGAAAGAAGUGUUUAAAUCUAAGUUAAGAAAUUUAAAAUUACAUGUUCUCUGUUCGAGAGUUUUUGAUUCGGUCCUUUUGCUCUAUGUCCUUCCUUCCUUUUAUACUCCCUGAAUGAUCUCUUUGUGAUCAACCGCCUAAAAACUGCUGGAUCGUUCUAUAACUGCCCAUUUUCCUCGUAAUGGCCAACUUGUUAUGGAACUAUCUUUUCUACCUGCUGCCAUUACUCUUUGUCGUUCAACCAUCUUCAAUUAGGUUCCUUGAAUCGUGGAACGUGAUAGGGCUGCUUUAAUAACUACUUUGAUAACUGCACUUCUUGAUAACCACAACACUUUAUGUUUGCUAGGACCUUGGGCGACUCGAAGGUUUGGGCGAGAAUAGAGUAACAGCUCUGGGCGACUGCAUGGCACUCCAUUCGCUCAGAUUCUGGGUGACUUGCAAACUUGGGCGAUGGUGUUACCGCGUUCUUGGGCCUCCCCAUUUGGGCCUUCAUCUUGAAUUGUUUGAUUGGGCUUCGUUCUUUGGGCUAUCUGAUUUGGGGAUCCUCCAAUUGGACUUCAUUCCUUGGGCCGUUCGAUUUGGGCUGAAUUUUUAUGUGUCAACACUAACGUGAGCCAAGAUCGGAAUGCCAACGUUAUUCCUAUAAUUGCACAAUUAUUUUCCUAUUAUUAAUUUUUCUAUGUAUAACUUAGAUUUUAAUGUUUUAUAUUUGGUACCAUGUAGUAAUAUAAUUGCACGAUAAUUUUCCUAUUAUUAUUAAUUCAGCCUUUUGGUUUUAGUAAUUAUACCUAGAAGUUUGAUGAAAGCUCUGAUGAGCAGGGACGGAUUUUGGUUUGUGGGGGGGGGGGUAGGACAGGGCUGUAGUCCCCCACCCUCAGGCCCAACAAAUUUUUUUAAGGGUGUUUUUUAUUUUUUGGUAAAAAAUCAAAUUUUUAUGUGUAAUUUUUUUUUCCACGUAGCUGCCCGGUUUGAAAUUUUAUAGAUCGAUCUUGGAUCCAAUCUUGGAUCCGUCCGUGCUGAUGAGGCCUGGAAGCGGUCAAAAAACACCUAGUGAUAGUGAUCAGGUUUGUUAUUGUCACUAAUUGUGUUCAUAGAAGGUGUUGGAAAUGUUGAUUAUAUUAUUCAACUUAAUUCAAUUAUUCUGAAACUAUUAUAGAAUUGACGUCCAUAGAAGACUGGAAAAAGAUUAGUAGAAAAAAUUUCAGAUUUUCUUUGAAAUCCUAUAGUUUAUGUAUAAUUGUACUAUUCGAACACUGGACGGAGUGGUCAUUGAGUAGACAAGAGCUGAAUUAGGAGGUGAGUUCCACUCCAUGCUUCUUUAGUAGGUAUCAAUGGGGCAACUUUUAAAAUGGCUGGAUAAUUGAUCCAAUUUUUCACAAUGGUCUUUUUUGUUGGAAGUAUUAUUUUGCCCUUACUAUAAUUAUUUGCAAGAUGUAUCUUAUAUCUUUAAGGAUUUAUUAGUCAGAACCUAUAUUUAUAUUUUUCAAUCUUUCAAAUACCUUUAAAUAUUCAUUAUAUUUUAGUAGUUCUUCAAAGAUCCUAGGCUGACCUUUCUUGGUUAUAUAUCCUCGAACUAAUCCUUCUGAAAUUUCUUCUUGUAUAUCUCUAUGUUUAGUUAUAAUAUCUUCUACCUUUCUUAUUUCUCUGCUAGUUCUUACAGAAUCAAAUCCUAUAUUAUUUUUACAAUUAUAAUCUAUAUCUCUAUAUAUUUCUUCAAUUUUUUCUUUGCCAACACGAAAUAUAUCUUCAGACUUUUCAUCUAAUUUAAAUAAAAACAAAACAUCUGUUUCAUCUAAUAAUAUGAGAUUAUUAUCAUUAGUGGAUGUGGAUGCUUGUGAAUUGUUCAUCAGAAUUAUUAAAUCAUAAGCAUGUAAAAACAAGUAAAUAACUUACAGUAAUCAAAUGGAAGUAAACAUACUUUCCUCCAAUAUGCUCUUAUAGAUGCUUUGUAUAUACUUAAUCAAUCUUCUGAAUCAAGUAAAGGUUUAAAAUAUUUUUUGAAAUCAUUUGGGUCCACAACUGCUUCCGCAAAAGGCUUUUCAAUUAAUGUUGCAUUUCUCACUCUAGAGAACUAGCCGUGUUGCCACAUACGCUAUCACACAGUAUCUAAAGUCUCUGUUUUCACCUUUAUCCAAAUUCUUUUCAGAAUUAAAUUCUUACUUGGAACGAAAUUUUAAAAGAUAACUCACACACAAUGUGCUACAAUUUUGUUAGAAAACUGCCUUUUUACCCUAAACAAUUCAUCAAAGACGGGUACUUUGGCAUGGCUAACAUCCAUUCAAAAUCAAUGUUUUGAAAUAUUUUAAAAUCUCUAUCUGUACUGCCGAGAAAUCAUGAGAAACUUAACGAAAUCCUUUUAUGAAAGUUUUGUUGAACAUAACAAACUUUACUUUGAUAUUCAUAAACUGAAAUUGUACAUGCUUACAAACUAUAUUUACAUAUCUUUGGUACUCACCUUAUGAAGUUUAGAACUCCAUAAGUGAUUACCUUAUUACACGCUUUACUAUCUUCAAGCUAUAUAAUAUUUUUCUGAAUACAAGUGGUGUAUACAGAUUGCAAAAGAUAUCUUUCUAAGAUGUGUUUCCUCAGAGUGUUUAAGAGAUAAGUUGUUUCGAGAUAUCCCCCUUCUUCCUUCUUGCCUCCUUUUAUAGAAGUCUUUGGGAAUCUUAUCUUGACAGAUGUUUUCCACCUUUCUUUGUUGGGUAGUUAGGCCAUCUUAUCUCCACCGAAUUUUCCAUUAUCUUCUUGCUAAGUGGACCUCUUCUUUUGAAAUUAUAUGCCUUGUCUUUUGAGUUUAUCUGCCACUUGUGACAAUUGGUGGGGAGAAGUCACAAUUAUGGAGACUUUUCUUGCACUAUCUUCUGUCUUUUAGUAGCCACAGUUUUUCUUUAAUAAAUUUAUUUAUUAAAGUAGUGAUAAAGGGCUACUUUUGUCACCAUCACUUUUCCAUUUUCGAAUCAAAGAAUUCUGCAGGGAAUUCUUCAUCAUUAAGGGAUGCUUGACUCAUAUCUUCAACUACGCAGUAUUCACAAUGGUGAUCACUGUAGUUCCAAAGUAAUUUGCAUAAUUCUUUAGCCAUAUCUUCUGAUCCAUGCACUUGGUUAGAAAUAAUUGCAGAUAAUAAAUGGUCGAGAUAACAAAUAUCUUCUUCCUGGGUGGCCAUCCUUGCAUUGGAAUAGAUAAUAUGAUCUUCAGAUGGAUAAACCCAUAUUUUUUUCUUUUUCAGUAAUUAUCUGAGUUACAUGUUCAAAUAUCUCUUUGUACCCUUUUGCUUUUCUGUAGGGCAUCAUAUUUAGAAUAUCUUGAUAUCCAUUUUUAACAACCUUUUGAUUGGUUGGUAAAAAAUGUUGAUUUGUAAGUCCCAUUUUUAUCACAUGGAACGAUGGAUGCAUAUAUUCAAGAACGGGAUCCCAUUCCAUGGUUGCUGAAUGGAAUCUGAUAUAUAUAUAUUUUGUGUUGACGACUUCAGUAUAUCUUUUAACAACUUUCCUAAUGUUGGCUGGAAGCUGAGCUAUCUCUUUGAGAUCUUUGCUAGGAUAUAUACAAAGUAUAUUUCCUAUCUCAAAAUAAUUUCGAACCCAGUUGGCUGGUGCUCUUGGAUAAAAAUUUAUCUUGUUGUAUUUUGAAUAAUGGAGAGUCUUCAUCCACUUUCCAAUCUCCAGAUACCAAUCUGAUAAAAUAUUAAAAAUAACAAUAAAGAGUGUUACUUCUUCAUGGUUAUCUUUUCUGGGAAUUUUUGCUUCAUGGCAUAUCUUGACAAUAUCUUUUAGAUCUAUCCUUUCAAUAGAAAGUUUAGAUUGAAUUUGGCUCUGUGAAGAGCUACAUUCUCUUUUGAUAUCUUGAAUAUCUUUAUUACUAGUAAUAGGUUCAAGUUUUCCCUGUGAAGGGGUCCUAUUACCUUCUUUUCUUUCCCUUUAUCCUCGGGGAGAGCGCUAGUAUUCACAAGUCCUUGCGAAGGGAUACUAGACUUGGUACAAGUAACUCCUGCCUCAAGGACUAUAUUUUUGUCUCGAAGGCUAUCUUGAAUAUUUUGAAUUUGUGUUUCCAAAUAGGAAACUUUUAUCUCAAGUAUUUGGACUUUCGUCCUUAAUUAUUCUAGCUCCAUCCCUGCUAAGAUAAUCAGGAAGAAAGUUAGUUUUACCUUUUAUGUAUUCAAUAUCAAAUUUGAAAUAUGAGAACCAAAUUUGUAUCCUAAUAAUAUAUCUAUUGGUAAUAGAUGGAUCAACAUUAUUUUUUAAAAAGGCUUUAACUUGAGUAUUAUCAGUUCUGAUCAAAAAUUUCUUUGGUAACAAAUAAUCUUCAUAUUUUUGAACUCCUCUUUUUACAGCAAUGAGUUCUUUUCUAUUUCUCUCAUAUCUUGUUUCAACUUCUUUAAAUGUUCCUGAUGUAUAUCCUGCAAGUAUCUCAGGACAAGAACAAUCCUCUUCACAUUUAUAUUUUUUAUGAUUCUUUUUAACAUUUAAUACUGCUCCCCAGCAAUUAUUUGAAGCAUCAGUUUCAAGGAUAAAGAAAUCUUCUUCUUGUGGUAUUACAAGUUUGGGCAAUACCUUUAAUUCUUUUUUAACUUUCCUUAUAUUUUCACAAUCUUGUUCUUCCCAAGACCACAUAAUAUUUUUUCUUAACUUUGGAAGAAAAUAAUUUUUCAGUUUGGCACAAUUUUCAAUGAAUCCUUCAACAUAAUUUAAUAUACUAAGGAAGCUUUGUAAUUAUUUUUUAUCUUUGAUUUCCUCGGGAAAAUCUUGAAGUUUUUCUCCAACAUGAGAUUGCAAUUGCAAUUCUCCUUCUUUUAUAAAUAAUCCUAAAAAUUCUAUUUCUAUUCUAACUAUCUCAGCUUUCUUUUGAGAAAGUGUAAUACCAUGUUUUUUCAUAAUAUAACAAAAUUUCUCAAGAUAUUCAAUAUGUUCAUCAAUAUUAUUUGAAUGAAUAAGUAAAUCAUCAACAUAUGCAAUACAGAAAUGAGUAAUUGGUUUGAUUACCUCAUCCAUUCUUCUUUGGAACAUUUGUGGUGCAUUUUUCAACCCAAAUGGCAUUACAUUCCAUUCGUAUUGUCCUAAAGGAUUGGGGGUACUAAAUGCAGUUAGUGGUUUACUUUCUUCUGUAAGCAUGAUUUGCGAAAACCCUGACUUACAAUCAAAUUUUGAAAAUAUCUUUUUGUUAUGUACUUGUUUAAUAAGGGUAUCCUUAUUUAGCAAGUAGUAUCCAUAAAAUUUAGUAACUUCAUUUAAUUUUUUGUAAUUUAUCACCAUCCUGGCUUUUCCUCUUUUUCUCUCACUAUGUUUUCUAACCAUAAAGGCUGGGCUGCUAUGUGAACUUUUACUAGGCCUAAUUAAUUUGGCUUCUAGCAAUUCUUUUAUCUGGUUUUUAAAUUCCUUCUGGUCAUCAACACUAUAUUUCAUGGGUUUGACUCUAACAAUAGUGUCUGGAUUGGUUAAUUCCAUCUUUGCCUUUACUUUAACUGUAUUCUAUUUUUCUAAUGGAUUUUUCAGAAUAUGUUUUAGAAAUUUCUUUUUUCAAUUUUUCUAACCUAUUUUCUGUUGCCAUCUUUAAGACUGUAACUGGUUUAAAUUUUUCUGUACUCCAACAUCUAACGCUGGGUUGAGGAACUCUGAUGGUUUACAUCUGUAUAUGCUAUUGUAACAGUUUUAUUUAUUUUUGGUAUAAAUAUUUUAUGUGCACAAGGUGUUGUGAACAUAUACUUAUCAAUAUAUUGUGUAAAUAGUGGAUAUUUUAAUAGGAAAUUUUGUCCUAAUAAAAUAUCACAUCCAAUUGUGGUUGACAUAUAUAUUGUAUCAACAAAUACUUCUCUAAAGGAAAUUAGAAAAGGUACUUGCGUAGCAUAUUUGCUGUAUAUUACCUUAUUUCCACCUGCUGUUGUAGUGGUGACUAUCCUCAUUGAAUUGUCUAUUCAGUAUUCAGAUGGUAGUACAUUUGAUAAGCAUAAACUUAUUGUACUUCCUGUAUCUAAGUAAGCAUGAAAUUUAAUUCUACAAUAACUUUUUGUAUUAAGUGUAAUUUCAAUAUAUGGACUCAUGGGGUUAGUACUUAUUACUCUUUCCAUGAUAACAAUGAUUUCAUAUUUUCAUCUAUUCUUGAUAUGAUGAUUUGGUUAUCAUCAACUGUUAUCUUUAAAUAUCCUUGGCUGAUUUUAUAAGGACUAUAAUUCUCAAGAAAGUUCAUUCCUAAUAGAAUAGGUGAACGAUCUACUCCAUAUAAUUCAUCUUUAUAUAGAAUUAUUUCUUUAGUAUAUUCUUUCUGAUCCUCUCCUAUAAGUAUAAGAGGGAACUUAACAUAUUUUCUUAUUUUAAGAUUAUUUUCUAAAUAAUCCUUAAAUAUAUAUGGUUCUGGUAUUUUAAAGUCUAUUAAAUGACUACCAAAUUUAGCAUUUAUAUGACUUUUAUCUGCUCCAAUAUCUAUGAGGACAAGAAGAUUCUUCUUGCAUCCUUCUUGAUUUACAUAUCUUGUCUUAAUGUAAUAUUGCGAACUUGUUGGUUCAGCAAUACUUAAAUUCUUAAGUCUGCUUAUCCUAGAGUCUUGUCUAGAGGGAAAUCUUGCAAUAAGAUUAUCUCCUUCUAAGCUGACACUAUUUCUUCUUAUUAGUUUUCCUUCAGAAUUAAUUUCUCUAGCUUGUUUGUGGAAAUCAAGCAUUAUCUGUUCUGGUACAGUGACUUCAUGUUCUUGGUAUUUUCUAGGAGGUAUAUAUUGUGCUAAUUCCUCAAAAUCUUUAUGUAUGAUAAUAUUAUCAGUUAUCUUCCUUAGAUUGUUAUGAUGGCUAGUACUAAAAGCAAAAAUUGAUUUUAUACUUAUACUAAUAGCCUUACUUCUUCGUAACAUUUUUAAGUUUUCAAUUCUAUAGUAUAGAUUGAAACUUUGGUCAAUAUUUUCAUCAUUUAAUGAUAUUGCAUAAUUUGGUUUUACUGUAAAUAUUAUAUUUUGAUAGACUAAGUUUCCUACAACUGUUCCUAAUAGAGCAUGUAUAGGAUCUUGUAAGAUUCUAUUGUCCAUACAGUAUAUUUCUAUUGGUAUGUUCAUACCUUCUCUAAAAAAUCCUUUUACCAUUAUCUGGACUCCUCCUAAUUCAAUGCAUUUUAAUUUGUUUCUUACGUUUUCUGGAAUUUUGGAUAACUUUUGUUUUACCCAUCCUUUUGUAAUUAUAGGAAUCCUUGCUUUUUCUAUAGUAUCUUCUAUAUUGAUAGACAUUUCUUUAUAAUUCAUACUUACAAUUGUUUUAUUUACUCUUGAUAAAAUUCCUAAGAAUCCUUGAUGGAAUACAUCUUUUUCUUGCAGGUCUAAUAUCUUCUUAGUGAUUCCUGUGUAUUUUUUAAUAUCAAAGGUAAUUUCUUGAUUUAUACCUUCUAUAGAGUCUUCAACUUUUUCAGUUGUUUCUAUUUCUAUUUUUGAUUGUUGUAUCUCUUGAUUCAUAUAUACUAUUUCCUCAUAAUCUUCUUCUGAUGAAGAUGUAUUUAAUUCAUAAAUGCUACUGCAUUCACUACUUAGAUUUUCAAAAUAUUCAAUUGGUUCUAUGUCAUUAUCUUCUUGAAAUUUUUCAUAAAUUCUAAGAGUUUUUAUAUUUUGUCUAUCUUUCUUUUUAGGACAUUGAGGGGCAAUGUGUCCUUCUUCAUUGCAAAUAAAACAUCUACAUUUCUUAAUAUUUCUUGAUUUAAAUUUUUUAUUCCAAUUUCUUUUCUUGAAAUAUUUUUUAUGUGGUUUAAAAUUCCUCUUCUUGAAUUUUUUGUAGUUUUUGAAUUUUCUUUUAUAUUUUUUAUAUGGUGUUUAUCUCUUCUUAUGGCAUCCAAAUUGUUCGACUUGGCCAUUAUCGUUAUAACAACAUAAUGAAUUCUUUCUUAUUUUAUAUGCUUUUUUAUUUUCUAAAGUUUCUCUACACCAUAUGUCUAUCAUUUUCUUUAUAAAUUCAAUUCUACUUCCAAGACUAUCUGUUUUUACUCAUUCCUCUUCUCCUAAAGGUAAUAAUUUUUCAUAUUCUUUUAAUAACUUAAUUCCCCAUGGGAAUGGUAAUUUAGUAAAAUAAGACCUUAAUAUAGAUUUAUUUUCUUGAUAAUCUCCUUGAUUUAGUAUAUAGUAUAUUUCUUUGAAUUUACAUGUGUAUCUUUCUAGCUCACACAUAUCACAUAUCUUUAAAUUUUUCAUUGCUAUCAUUCCUUGAUUAUAUUCAUCUUGUUUUCUUUCUUCAUCAUUAGAAGUAUAUCUAUCUCCUAAAAAUUCUGUUCUUAAGAUUUUUUCAAAUCUUUUUAAUAUCUCCUGAAUAUUUUGUUCAUUUAAAGUAUUUCUAUUAUCUAAUACUUCAGUUCUACUUGCUCCAUACUUUAUUCUUCCUUUAAUAGUUUUUGGUAAUUUUCUCCACCAUUCAAAAAUAAUUCCUCUGAAUGUAUGUUCGAUAAAUCCAAAAGCUAUAUAUGUUUCCCAUUUAUUGAAUUGUAUUGCUAAAUCUAUACUUUUUAUCCAUAUUUCAAUAGCUUUAUUUUUAUCUACACAGUCUAGAUCUAACCAUAUACCUGUUGUAUGAAUUGGUUCAUUAUAAGAUUUCAUUGGGUUUAUUUCUUUUAUGGACUGUUUUCUUACAUUUUCAGUGUAUCUUUUCUGUGUUUUUCUAUUUUGGUAAAUACCAUCCUUAUUAGGUAUUGGGGUACCAUAAGGAUAAUCUUGUUCUUCAUCACUACUGAAUUUUACUUUUAUAUUUUGACUUGAAGAUGGAUUAGUAUUCAUCUUUGUAUUUUCCAUUUUUUCAGUUAAUUCUUUUAACUGUUUUUUAUAUUCUUCAUACUCUUCUCCUGUAGAUUCUAAGAAUUUUUGUUCUAUUUCUUCUAUAUCUGUAAUCAUAUAUUGUUUUUCUUCAUGUUUUUUCCCUUUAUUAUUUUCCUUUUGUGUUAUCCUAAAAUCUUGAGGUGGAUUAAUUAUAAUCAUAUCUUUUUCUUUAAGAUUUUUAUCUAAAAGAGCGUUUCCUACUUGUAGAUUAUGUUCUAGAUUUUCUAAUCUUUUGUGUAUAUCCUCAAAACUUUCAUUGCGGUGUUUUUAGGUAAAUAGGGAUAACUAGGUUUUUUAUGUUUUUCAACUUUUUUCAAAAAUUUUUCAAUUAUAUUUUCUUCAUCUACUAUAUUCAUCAUAAUUUUUGGUUCGUAACAUGGCUCUAAUACCAUUUCAUCGGAGUAAGCAGCGGAGGGAUUAAAAUUUUUGAGCCAAUUAAAAUCUUUAUAAUUAUUUAAAAUAUCACAAUAGAAUUUAUAAAAUUCACUAUUUUUUAUUAAUACUUUUUCUUCAAUAAUUAUAUUUAGUUCUUUAAUUCUUCUUCUCAGAUUAAGAAUUAGUUUAUAUAUAUCAUUUUCUGUUUUGAUUGUACUAUUAUCUAUAGAAACAUUUUUAUUUUUUAAUUUUGGAUCUAAAUAUUCUGUAAAGAAACCUUUUAGAUCUUCUUCUAAAUAAUUUAAUUCAUUUUCUGUUGCGUUUUUUAGAUCAAUAAAAUUUUGUAUAAUAUUUGGGUUUAAAUUUAUUAAAGAUUUUUUUAUCUAUAUUUGAAGGUUUUUAUACAUUGUAAUGGCUUUGGUUGCAAUUUCUCAAUGAGGGGUAUUUUUGGAAAGAUUAUUGUUAAAAUGCUAUUUCUCAAAUGAUUAUAUUUUUUUGGUCUAAUCUUACAAACCUCCCUUUUAUUUAGGCUAUCUAGAAGUAUUUCCUCAGGUAUCAAUGUAGCUUGCAAGUAAGUAGUAAUAACAAAAAACCAUAAUGUAGAAGUAGAACAGGAAGAGAGCAAAAGAGGUUAUAGACUGAAAUUUUACCAGUGGGGAUUUGCUUAGUCGUUUUGAUUAUUUGCUUUCCAUAUUGGUUGGAUAUAAUAUUUUAAUUUCGAACAAAAAUUCAAUUAUAUUUACUUGUUCAGAACUUCGUUCCCAUUGAGUCCAAAGGAAGGCGAGCAAUGUGUUGCUACCAUGUGUUCCAUUCCAUGCACGGACACUCUACACUCCGUGCACAGAGUGCUAUACUCCGUGCACACUCUUUGCACGGCGUGAACGAACUAUUUUUUUUUUAUUUCUAACAAAAUAAAUCUGAAAACAUUAAAAGAUUUAUAUUAAAAAAAUGAGAUUUUUUUGUCAAAAAUCUUAGUAGGAGGAGUGCGUGUGGCUUCUUUUUAUUUUAUUUAUUUAUUUAUUUACAUAAUUAUAAGUUUAAAAAAUUUCAUUCUAUAUUUACCUCUUCCACAUAAUUUUGAUUUUAAGAUCAAUAAAUCAUUCAUCAUGGAAAAGAGAAGACCCAAUAAACUUUAGAGAGAAGAAGAAAUUGUCGGUAAUUUGUGUGGUGAAAUGGACAACCAAAAGGCAAUAACGUGUAAAAAUUGAGAAGAUAUAAAAAAGAUAUACACGAAUUGAGGAAGAGGGAAGAUGUCAGGGAAAAUAGGUGAAUAGGAAACGACAUCGUUUUUGGUCACAAAAAAAAAAAAAAAAAAAAAGGAGAAGAAGCUAUAGUGAGAUAAAAAUGGAACAAUUCACUGUUGAUUUCUACGGUAACUUCACAUUCUUCUUUUUAUAUAGUAGAAAUAGGGAUAAAUAAUAACUAAACAAUUACGUAUUAUUAGUUUUCGUUUUCGAAAUAAUUUCUUUAAAAAUUUUAUCGGCUCGAAUUAUUACUUUUUAAUAUAGAUACUUCUAUUAUUGAGUUUAAUCAAUUUAUUUUAUAAAAUUCAAAUUUGGACAAUUUAUAAAUUGCUCUUUAUUGUUUAAAGAGUUCGAAAAACACUUUUCUUUCGAGGUUAAAAUAGUUCUAGUUCUAAAAAUCAUUGUUUCAAAAUUUUGCAUAACCUUCGUCUAAGCUUGGAGCUUCUAUUUAUCAUUCAAUUAUGCUUUACGUAUAAAUUUCAUCUUGUCUUGCUUAAGUUCAUAAAAAAAACUUGAAAAUUGAUCAUAAAUAUAUGAUUGAAAAAUGUAUUUAUUUCUUAUUAUAUUCGGUUGUAUUUGAUGUAGGAUAAUCUUAUUGUAAAUAGGGUAAAAGUUAGAUAAUUAUAAUAAGAUUUUUACUUGUGAUAGGUUUUAUCUUUUUAUUUUAAUAUUUUGUUGAGAAUAUGAUUUCUAAUUACUUUUAGAUUAGGAUUUAUUUUAGUUUCCUUAUAUUAGUUUCCUAGUAGUAAUAGUAUGGAAUAAUUUUGCCUAUAAAUAUAGAGGCAUUGUAUACUUUUCAACAACAAUCAAUUAUUAUUCAAUGCAUACAUGACAUAAUUAUUCAAAUAUCGUUUUUAUUUAUUACAUAAUUCUUAUUACAAGAAUUUCAUCACGCUUCUGCACCAGUAUUUUAUUACAUUUUUAAUUGUAUAUGACUUUAACAUUUUUGUGAAUUUAUAUAUAGAUUAAAAAUCUUUAAUGUUAUUUAAUUAAAUAUUAAUAAACAAUCUUACUAUUGUUGGCGUCAACGACUACCCUAUCUCACUCAAUUUCCAGGAUCUGUCAAUGUCCAUGAGGAAUUUAACAGACUCGAUUUCGUAUUUUCUGAAGAGUUAGCAUUGAUUGGUUUUAUAGGGUAGACGCCUAGAUGGUAUAUCUGUGAUUAUGCUGCUCAUUGAAGCAUAGUCAAGAUUCGGAUCCAAUAGUGACGGCCUUCUACGUGACUUCAAUUUCAUUUUCUUAGAAAUUAAUUUGAUCCCAUUUCAAAAAUUUAUUUUCUCUGUGUUUGUGUAUUAUGUCACGUUUAACUAGGUAGGAGAAUUUACUUUUAAGUGACUUUUAUUGUUCUAAGUAUUGUCUUUUAACAGUAAUUAUCUGUUGGUAGCAUACUUAUGUUUUUAAUAGAUAACGCCUUUUUGCUUUUAAGCACACCCAAAAAUUGUGAUAAAUAUGAACAUCUAAUUAUUGUGAUACUUACUUGUAUAAUUGCAUGUUAACAAUUUACUUAAUUACAUGGUAACAUUUACUUUUAAGUAAAUUUUUCAGAUUAGCCAAACUUGCUGAGUACUUACCUCCACACAAACACAUGCCUGUUUGUGCCACGUUGGAUAUUGAUUAUUGCGCAGUUGGUUGCAUAGAAUUCACAAUAAGUGGAUAACUAUUGAUAGCGAUGCUGUUAUAGAUCCUGAUAAAAUUCUAUAGUUUAAUUUUUGAAAUCAUUCUCUCUAAAAAUUACUACAAUACCUAAAAUUUCAUGAACUUGAAAUUAAUCAAUAACUCGGUAACGUUACAGUUUUCCCUUCAUUUUAUUUAGGGAGGUCUGGAGCUAAUACGUUAUCGGCUUCCCUGAUGCGCCUCUCCUAUAAUUCUACGUGAAGAUGAUGAUGGGCAAGUAAAUACAUCGUUCUAUCAAAAGUUAUUCAUGUAGACAGGGGCGUAUCCAGGAGUUUCAGUCAGCACGGGCGGCCGUUGACCAUUUAUCGUUAGCCGCAACAAAAUAUUAAGAGUCCAUUUAAUACCCCUUUUUUUCACAAAAAAAAAAAAAGAGAAAAAGGAAAGCAUUUUGGAAUAGGGAUUUGAUGGAAAAUGCUUGGCUAAAAAUAAAGAAAUGUUUGAAUUUGCGUGUAAUAUUAUUUUAUUGAAAAAUGUGUGGAUGAAAUAAAAGAAAAACAUGUAUUUAAAAAAAAAGGAAUCGAACAAAGCCUAAAGUUUAAAUAAAACAAUUAUUUUGCUCAAAUUCAACAUAAAAUUCUGUUUUAAGAAUAAAUAGGACUCAUCAAAUGACAUCGUUGCCAACUUUUGUACAAUUCAAAGGAAGGGCGAGGAUUCAAAUCUUUGCAAUUGUUUUUGUAUUAAAACAAUUAAAAUCUAACAAAUAUUAUUUUGUUAAAUUUAGUGACACAACUCAAAAAGUGCUGUAAUGGUUAAGUUUACAACAACCCUUGCAUGUGGUCACAUGAAUUCCCUUUGUCCCCUUCCCUAUUGAAUUUUGAUAAAAAUUGUAGAAUAAAAAUAAAACACAACAAAUCCAUUGGUAAGUGGUUCGAACCCGAGACUUUAAAUAUGCACAUGCAAACUCUAACUAGCUGAGUUGCAAGAGAAGUUUGAAAAUGAAAUGAGUUACAAGUAAUAUAACGUAAAAAUUAAAUCUAUUUUCAACAAAAAAAAUUUCUCCAGCAGUUUCGGCGAAUCCAACUUGCCACCACCUAGAUCCGCUAUUGACAAUGAUUUACUAGUUCUCAAAGGUUUAGACAGAAUAUGACAACAAUCGGAAGUACGAGCAACCCUUUAUCAGAAAAGAUGAAGAAACUUGUUGUGAACACAACAAUGGUUGCUGAUACAAAUAUCUACUCUCUGGUUCUGCCAACCCCUGAUAUUUUAAAGGCCUUAUGCGAGCUUCAAAUAUGGGGUCCUUUUAAAAAAAAAAAAUCAUCAUAUUCUUACUUGAGCUUUCUUAUAGAGAGUUUUAAUAUAAUCAUGAAGAAUCUAAUAAAGACAAUUAAGUCCCAAAAUUUGAAAAAGAAAAUAAUAAAAUUUAAAAUUUAAACAUGCAAUACAAAUUAUAGGUGAAGUUUACCAUACAGAAUUAUAAUGCAAUGGCAAAUGGAUCUAUUCGUUUAUUUGAUCACACAAUUUUUAUGCAUGUGUUAAAAUCUUAAAUUAUCUAUUUGCACACUUUUUAAUUAUUUUCGUAGAAUUAUCAUAUUUAGGCCAUGUUUGAGCCAUAUUUUUUUUUGGAGGAAAUAGAUUUUGGAAUAGUGAUUUUUUAGACAAUGUGUGAUUAAAAAUGAGUUUUGGGAAAAGUGGAGCCUAACAUAGGCAUCAUAAUUAAAAUCUCCUUUAAAUUUUUAAUUGCAAAUAGAAAUUAAGUAUAAUUAAAUCAAUAGUUAGCUAAAUAGAUACCUGAGUUCAACUCCCAUAUAGUUUACUGAGUGAAUUGCCCAAAUAGUCACUGAAUUUUACAAAAGGUUUCCGGGAGGUUACUGAACUUUAAAAAUUACCUCACUCAUUACUGAACUUUUCAAUUCGUAAUACCAUUCAUCACUGAGCUAACGGCUGUUUAUAAUUUGGACGGAAUGCUGAUUUGUUCAAUGACGUGGCGCGCCACUUAGAUGGUUAUGCCAAAUGGAUGAAUUGUUACACAAUUGGCAUUCUUGAACACAUUUUUUUUCCAAAAAAGAAAAUUAAAAAACGAAAAAACAAAAAACAAAAAUCAUACUACCUUUAAACCACCUUAGAGCCACCACUUAUGGACCACCAAAACUGUACCCUCUGACCACCUUGCCACUGGAUCAACAUACCAUCUUGAAACCCUCAGUUCCCUCUUUGCAACCCUUGUAAGCUUAGGCCAUAACACCAACCGAUUUAGAUGAAAAUUCAAGCCAAAAUAGGCUGCCCACUCAACGAAAAGUCGCCGGAAUCUUCACUUAUGCGACACCCAUGCCUACACAACUCCAGAUCGAUCAAGCUUCUCAAUACUCACCUACAGAUGUCCUCAUACCAUCAAAUACUAGAAAUAAUCCAAAUCCCCAACCAAUUUUGUCAACAGCGAACUCGAACUGUUUACACUUGACUUUCGGCGCCAGCAGGAUGAUUCACGAUUGCGAACCACUUCCACUACCACCGCCUCAUCAAGACGCACCUAAUGCACCUAUGGGUCAUCUCCAAUUUUGCCCCCAUAUGGAAGAAAUAGCUUUGAAAGUUCGCAUGCAAGGAGAAACCGACGAUCCCCCUUUCAAUUGAUGCUUCUCCAUAGCUUCAACCCACAAAUUGGACCAACCAGCAUGAAAUUCAUGAAAAAAGGACUCCGGGUAAGGAUUCAAUUGCUGCAUUUCAUCAAUCAAAAGAAACAAUUUUGGAUUUAGCUUCAAGAACGGUCCACCAACGUUCAUCUCCAAUUUCAUAUUCAAUUUCUUUUUAAUUUUUUUUCAUUUAUCCUUAUUAAAAAUGUCAACUAUGUAACAAUUCAUCAUUUGGCAUUCAUCGUCUGAAUGGCGCGCCACGUCAUCGGACAUAUCAGCAUUCCGACCAAAUUUUAAACGGUCGUUAGCUCAGUGAUGAAUGGUAUUACAAAUUGGAAGGUUCGAUGAUGAGUGAGGUGAUUUUUAAAGUUCAAUGACCUAUCAGAAACCUUUUGUAAAGUUUAUUGACUAUUUGGGCAAUUCACUCAAGUUUAUUAGAUCAAAUAAAGAAAAAAACCACCACCGACCGAGGAUAAUAGCUCCCAAUAAGUACUUGUACAAUAGACUUCAUUCCUGCAAACGAAAUAGCACAAGUAAUGAGCAGAUAUACAUGAUAAUAAUACAAAAUCACCGAGAAAUUAUGCACUAAAAUUGAAUAUGCGUCAAAAAUUUGUGGAAGGGAACGCAAUCAUUCAUAUUUGUGAAGCAGCAAAUAUUUAAAAUAUAAGUUAGUAAUAAUGUUAAUGUAGCCUCGACUGACAACUUUUUAAAUCAACAUAUACCUCAAAUAAAUUUACGUCAUCUAACUAAUGUUACGUAUAGGCCAUACUGCAUGAACCAGCUUCUGAUUAAGAGUCCUCAAUUUUGUAAAAAUUGGCCUUAGAUUUUGCUAGAAAAUUGGAAAUUUGGAAUACUAAAAUUUAAUAAAGAGAGUUUAUGUUUCUUCUUUGUCCAAUUCAAUAAAAUUGACGGGCAAAUAUUCAUUUCUUUGUCCAUUGUUCAAUUUUGUGGCUAACCCCUAGGCCUAAGAGCCCUAGAUCAUGAAAGAAGACUGAAUUCGAUAUAGAGUUGUAAAUUUAGAUCGAGCAUCCGUUUAGACUUUCUUUAAUUUUAUUCGGUUUCUCUUUACAAAAUUUCAACAAAGAAGAAAUCUAGACCAACAUGGGUCGUGCCUUGUCUCGCAAUUUUUUUGGGCCAACUGAAAUGCGGCCUGUUGGUUUUUCUACUACACGUCUAGUUUGGUGAGAUCAAUCAAAUCAAGUGUAAAUGUCACGGAUACUAAAAUUCUUUAGAGAAUUUAAAAUUAGAAUGCUUAAAGAAUUUCUUAAAAAUAAAUGGGAAAUUGCCCUCCUAGAUAUGCCUAAGGUCAAUAGGAUGGCCCAUGGGCUGGUGUUAUGCUCAGCCCCCAAAAAAAGUUGAAAGGCUUGAAAUAGUUAUUGUGAAAAUUUUGCCGCAUAAUAUUUAGAAUCUACCUUUCAAUUUAUUUUUUUUAAACCAUAAAUGCUGUAUUUUCAUAGUAAAAUCGAAAUAUGAAAACUUAACCAAAUAAUAAAGCCAAUUCACUUUCUGUUCCUAAAUUUACUCCAUCAAACGUGUCCUUAACUUACGCUACAACCUUAACAUGACAAAUUAAUAUCCAAAUCCAUAAAAUGGAGCCCAUUCAUCUUCCACACAAAUCUCCUCCCAAAUCAUCUCUCACUAGAAUCAUCCAUCAAAAUAUCCACACAACAUAAAAAUCAAAUUGAUCUUCUACAGAUCUACCGCACCGCAUAAUCCAUAUCAUUAUCACACAAAUUCAUCAUUUGAUUCUCGUUUUGCAUUCAUUAGGGCAUUAUCGCAUGUAUAAAAUCCUAGUUGGAGGCGUAGUACCGCCAUCCAGAUUCAAAAAUUUCUACUUAUCCACUAUAAUACACAAUGGUUUACGAGUUUUCAAAGGUUCAGACAGAAUAUGUCAACACCCCGGAAGCGGGGGCAAACUUUUUUCAGAAAAGAUGGUUGCUGAUACAAAUAUCUACUUCUGGUUCUGUAUAGAUACAACAAAAUAUGGAAAAGACUCUAAUCAAUGGCGAUCCCGAAACGCCAUUUGUCCAUGGGUCCCAUCAAGACCCAGCAAGUAUUCUUGCUACAUGACAAGUUUUGAAAAGAAAUGAUAAUGUGAAUGACUUUUUUUUUUCCUUUUUCACUUUAUCGAAUUCAUAAUAAAAACUUAUCUUGAGCAACUGAAUUUGGAUAGUUGUUUGAUUUUUUGAUUGUUCUAUUAAGUUCAUUGUGCACUAUGGUUUACUUUGUUGGUAGAUUAUUAAGCGCUAGAUUUAUACAGGGGAUUAUGUAGUUGUGCAUGUUAAAGGUAGCCUAAUAUGAUAGUUAAUGAUAUAGGUUACGUGUUUAUGAAAAUAAAAUCUACUACAAUCAUUUCCACGUGUGAAGAAUCACGUGUAGAUAAAUUUAUGCUCUUACUCUUCGCUUAGGCAUUAACAAUUUAUAGUUCACUGAUUCUGUAAAAAUAUGUAAAAUUGUGGGAUGGUUGUUGUUGACCUCGCGAAUUGGACCUUACACGUGUUCCUCCCUGUGCACAACAAUAAAUGGUAGGACGUACACAGCUAAAACCAGCGGGGUGGUGGCGGCCGCAUAUACUCCAACGAUGAAGUCAGUGGACGGUGUUGAAACGGUGUCGGAAUUGUGCAAGAGAGUAGGGAGGAGAAUAUAUUUUACUUAAGUAUGGAGUGCCAAAUCUGAGAAAGAUUCAUUACCUUUGUUUCUUGCCAAACCUUUGGUAUUUGCAGGUGAGGGGCACCGUUGAAUGUAAGACACGUGUAUGCAUCUGAUGGUAUGAAGUGUCUGCUCGUUGACGUCAAUCAGCCGUAUCUAGGGGGCAGGUAAUUAAUUCUUCUGAGUUGUGAGUUGACAUAAAGCUAGGAUGCCACAUCAAUCAAUAUAUGAAGAUAAAAGAUGAUCAUGACAUAAAGAUAUUUCUCUGAAACUGGCGACGGGGAGACCUCUGUUGCAAAGUGCCUCGACACUCCUCACACUUUGGUAAGAGGGGACACCUCGACAAUUACUUCAGAGAUGCAUGUGUUUCGUAACUUGCUAGUCAUGAGGUUCGAGCAAGAAUAGUAUCACUUUGGAAUCAUCUGCGCUAGAGACGUGGCACAUCGCUGAGGAGUAGGCAUAACGUGCCUAGGUGGAUAAGCUAGGGGCGUAACAGUGGUCUCCCAAGUUCAGGGAUGAAUAUUUAUAUCAUUUGUGGACUUUUUGAUUGGUUGUGUAUGCUUGCUGUUUUGAGUGUAGGUUGUUUGUCAUUUCUAUUGAAGUGCUGACCUACAGGGGACGACGCGGGCAAAUGGGCGGAAGCUUUAUAGGCUGCUGUUCAUUUUCUAACCGAGACAAUGGGGAUAGGGAGUCCUUUUGGUUAGUAGUUUGUUGCUUUAUAAAGAACAAUAAAUCUUCAACUAAUGCGUAAGAGUGUUGUGAAGCUGGGUGCUAAGGCGUAUUUGCGAUCGGAGCUUGACCCAUAGCGGACAAUGAUUGGGAGAUGGCUGAAACUUUGUAAAGCUUUCACAAUGCUGUAAUCGAGGCGAUGACCCUGAGGGGACUCCGCAUCGAAAGGGUUGAAAACUGUAAAGCUGAUGGAAGUGCUCAUCUGUGAUCAAUACGCUGACCCACAAGGGACGACGAUGGGGAGAUGGCUUGAAGCUUUGUAAAGCUUUUGCAACAAUGCAACCGGGGUAAUGACCUUGAGAGGACUCCGCAUCGAGAGGGUUGAAGCCUGUAAAGCUGAUGGAAGAGCUCAUCUACGAUCGAUGCGUUGACCAACAAGGGACAACUCUAGGGAGAUGGCUUGAAACUUUGUAAAGCUUUUGCAAUGCUGUGACUGAGGCGAUGACCAUAGGGGACUCCACGUCGAAAGGGUUGAAGUUUUGUAAAGCUGAUGAAGGGGCUCAUCUGCAAUAGAUGCGCUGACCCAUAAGGGACAACGCUUUGGAGAUAGUUUGAAGCUUUGUAAAGCUUUUGCAACGCUAUGAUCAAGGCAGUGACCCUGAGAGGACUCCGUCAAGGGAGGGUUAAAGCCUGUAAAGCUGAUGGAAAAGCUCAUCUGUGAUCGAUAUGCUGACCCACAAGGGACGACACUCGGGAGAUGGAUUGAAGCUUUAUAAAGCUUUUGCAACGCUGUGAUCAAGGCGAUAACCCAUAGGCGACUCCGCGUCGGGAGGAUUGAAGCUUUGUAAAGCUAAUGAUGGAGCUCAUUUGCGAUCGAUGCGGUGACCCAUAGGGGAUGAUGGUUGAAGCUUUGUAAAGCUUAGUUUCAAUCCGAGGCAUUCAGUUUGUAAUCUUAAAUGAUGUAACGACCGUCGCGUAUUUUCAAGGAGGACAGUUGGAUGUAAUGCCUAUUCCCAGAAAAGGCUGCUGCGGCUAAUUAUGGUAAACCGUUGUUGAAGCUCGAGGCGACGCAUUUGAUGCUUAGGUAAGAGUCACAGCUAGAUCUUGGGCGAUGAUUAAAUCUUGUGUUUUGUUUCUAUGGUCUAGAUUUGUAAUGCGAUCAACGGCCCAGAUUGAUAGCAUUUGAAUUCAAUGGUAUAGAUCAUCCUAAGCCUCUUAUAAAAGGCUGAUUUUUUGCCAUUCGAAGGUUUUCGCUUUGGCAAAAUCUGAAACUUCGUUUCUUUCAAGCUUUUUUUAACGUUCGACGAUCUUUUUGCGCUCUUUAGAGUUUUUCGGCCACGAUCAGUGAGCCUUAUGACAUUUUCGAUCGUAAGAUAUCAUUUUCAGUGAGUUUUUGUAAGUAUUCACAAUUUUUCACCUUUUUCUUUGAGAGAAAUGGCUUCUAAGGGUAAUGGGUCUUUCGGGAGGGAUUUGGAAAUUGUUAGGAUAGACAAGUCGAUGCUAGCUACUUCAACAGAGCUAUCCAAAGCGAUAGUGAGGGAAAAACAUUUCGAAACGACCAGAUAGCCCCGUGGAUACUUCUAUGCAUGGGAGGCAUCUGAUUACCCCUCGAAAUUGAAAUCAUCCGACCAGGUUAGGCUUAGGGCAGAAUAUAGGAUACCGAAUAGUGUGGGUCUAAUCAUAUCGGAUCCAGAUGAACGAGCAUGUUCCCUUAAGCUCGGGUGCGUGGCAAUAAGUGAGGCCAUUCUUAGGGCAGGGCUUAGGUUACCUAUCCACCCAUUCUUUUGCUACGUCCUUAGGUCUUGUGGCUUGGCCCCCACCCAACUCAACCCGAACUCGUGGAGUCAAAUGGUAGGAUCAUGGAUGUUGUGGAAGGGGGCUUCAUACAGGAUGGAGAUGCCUUUUUAGUUUUUCAGACCCUUCACAUUCCCAAAGGGCAGUGGGAAGUAAUAAAACUAGGGGUGGUACUAUCUGACCUCUUGGGAGGCCCACACUCCAUUCAUGCUCGAUUUGCCAAGCUCCAUUAAGGAAUGGAAGAGUUCAUGGUGCUGGGCUUCCAGGAAAUAGGAUACGAUGGAGGGUGGCCCCUUAGCACCUCUAACAGUUCCCACCAAAUAUUCCGCAGUUAAUGAGUACUAAUACUUCGACUUAUUGUAUAUUUCUUUGGCUAGCGUACUUAAAGCUCAUAUUCUGGUAUAGGUGCCCUUCCUUGGUGUGAAUUGUCCAUAGAGGAUUUUUAUAGUAUCUGCAUCAUCUAUCAGCUUCUAGCUAAGAUCCGGUCUUACCAGGAGUUGAUAAGGAAAAAUAUACACUUCGUCAAUCAAGGCUUGAUGUCUUCACAAGGUAGACUAUCUGACCUUAUCAUGUUUAUUCCGAGUCCUUUAUACUCGGGCUAAUAUUCGAAGUUUCUUGCAUAUGAUUUUAAUAAGAAAAGGCCUCUGAAGCCUGACUUCGCCACCAUCAAGCGCAUGAUGGCUGAGGCGAGGGCCUUGAAGACCUCCUCCUCAGCAUAUGAAAUGCAAAUGGAGGACUUGGUGGCAACCAGCAAGAAGCUGCCUCCUGCUGAGGAGGAGGGGGGAAGCCCCUACUCAAGAAAGGGAAAAAAGUAGCCAGGCCAUUCUCAAAUGCCUCAACAAUGGCGAGGCCGGCCACUAGGCAGACAACGAUUCCCACUGGGGUCAUGAUACGAGAGAGGUUUGUAUGUUUGUCGGAGACGACUCCUACUGAAGUGGCCCCUAUCCCACCUCUAGUUGCUUCAACUGCUGAUCACCCCGUCGAAGAAGGGAGGAAAAAAAGGGCCUGUCUUGACAAAGAGCAAGAUUUUUUGGGUACCAACUUUGAUGAGCCUGUGAAUGAGGUACUGAAGCCUUGCCAUCAAAGGCUGCAGCAGUAGCACUGACCCAUCACAAGUAUUAGACCGAGGCUUGGAAAGAUAACACUUCCUCUUAUACUGCCGAGGAUUUUGUGGCUGCCAACAACACUUGUGUUGCCCGAGCUCUGAGUACCAACACCCAGCUGGAGGGCCUCGUCAAAACUUGAGGGUGAAGAACAUCGAUCUAGCCCAAAGGUUGGAGAAGGCAGUAUUGUAUGGUGAUGAGGUGUGGGUUACUAGAAAUAAGGCCAUGGAGACAGAGAAGAGCAGAGCCGAGGCGAAAAGUAGGGUGGUGAAGGCUGAGGCUGAGUCAGAGCAGCCAAAAAAAUAGUUGUACGAACAGAAUGCCAAGUUUCUGUUCUGAUGAGGCGGAUUGACCACGCUAAUGAACAUCACUGCCUCACCGUGGAGACCUUGAAGCCUCAAAUAAGGAAUGGGCUAAGCUGAGGCAGCGGGUGGAGGCCCAAGUUAAAGAGAUCGAAUCUCUCGAAACAGAGGCAAAAACUGUUGGGGAGUCAGCCAUGUAGCAUUUUAUUGACCACUUUGAAGAGCACGAGCUGUACAACACAUUUACCAACUAUUAGGCCUCUUGGAACACCCAAGCUAUGUUGCAGCGUCUGAGGAAGGUGUACUCGAACCUGGACAUUUCAGCGUCUCAGAUCGAUGGGCCUACCAAAGGUCGUCCUGACAUUGCUGCUGUCAAGGAGGCUACAACGACUCCUCAAGAAACAAAGGCGAGGGAGGGGGACAUAGUGCUAGUAGAGCAGGAUUCUCUUUGUAUUUUGUAAUGGCCUCGGCCCUUAAUUGUAAUUAUUUGGGUAUUAAUGGAUUGAAAUAUUUUGUGACUUCUUCUAUUCAUGUUGAGCUGUGUAAUUGCAUUAUUGUGAUUGGAUAAGCGCCUAAGUUAAAAUCAAGCGUUACUUACCAAUAGUAAUAGUAGAAGCAAAAAAUGAUUAAUCCAUAGAACACUGACAAACUAAGGUUUCAUAAGAAAUUUGAACUUAACAUUAUCAUAAGCUAAGGCGAUUUCAGCACUUAAUCAGAUAGGAAUAAGUUACAGUGGAUCAUAGAAGAACAUGACCAAUUCAGAGCAUACAUUUAUUGGUAGUACUUCCUCAAGUGUUCAAUAUUCCACUGAUGUGGCAUCAUUUUUCCUGCUAUAUCUUCAAUCUGAUAAGUUCUGGGUCGGGAUUCUUUGACAAUGCGAUAUGACCCUUCCCAGUUCGGCCCAAGCACUCUGAAACCAGUUGGUUUUGAUGUUGGGGAGACCCUUCUAUGUACCAGGCCACCCAAACAUAGAGUUCGAUUUUCGACCUUCGAAUUGUAGUAGCUGUCAUCUUUCUCUGAUAUGUGGCUAGUUUGACUUAUGAAGAAUCCUUUUUUUUUCUUUCGGGAGGUGAAGCUCGUAUACUUGCAUUUAAUCGUUGCUGAUCUCAUUGAAGUGUAUGAGACGAUGCGAGGGAAUCCCCACCUCAAUUAGGCUCAUGGCUUCGACUACGUAGGUCAUAGAGAAGGGUGUCUCUCCUGUUGCAAUUCGGCAAGUUGUACGGAUGGACCAGAGAACAUGGGGAAGCUCAUCGACCCAUGCUCCUUUCGAGGCGUCAAGCUUUCUUUUCAGGGUGUGCUUGAUCGUCUUGUUUACAGCCCUAACAUGUCCAUUUGCUUGGGGUGAUGGGGUGUUGAGAAAUCCUUCCUUAUACCCAGUUCGUCGCAUAUAUCUCGCAUCUUCCUAUUGUCGAACUGACUCCGUUGUCAAACACCAAGGAGUGGGGAUUGUUGAACCUACAAAUGAUGUGCUUCCAGAUAAACUUCGUAGUAUUCGCUUCAGUGAUUUUUGCCAGAGGUUCAGCUUCGACCCACUUGGUAAAGUAAUCAAUAGCAACAAUCGCAAAGUUGCUCUUCCUCUCCCUUUUGGGAGGGGACCAAUGAAAUCUAUCUUCCACUUGGCGAACGGCCAGGGACUAGUGACUGCGGAGAGGCUCUGUGAAGGCUAUCUUUGAACAUUGGAGAACCGCUGGCACUUAUCACAUCUUUGAACAAACUGGUAGGAAUUAUUUUUCAAGGUCGGCCAGAAGCAACCUUGUCGAAGCACUUUGUGCACCAAGGCUAUUCUCCCGGAGUGGUUUCUACGUACUCCCUCGUGAAUUUCCCUCAUUAUCUACAUAGCCUCUUCUUUCCCAAAGUAUUGAAGGAGAGGCGAUGCGAAGCCCCUUUUAUACAGCAUGUUUUCCUGGAGGAUGAAAUGAGCAGCCAUUCUUCUCAACUUCUUGGCCUCGUUUUUUGAGGUUGGCACUCUUUGAUCUUUGAGAUAGGUUAUCAUUGGUUGUAUCCAAGGUGAGGUACCCUCAAUCCACAUCACCUCUUCGCCUUCGGUAAUGGAGGGCUUUAGUAGGCGCUCAAUUGGAACAAUCUUUAGUAGUUCGGAGUCCUUGCUACUGGCCAGUUUGGAUAGGGCUUCUGCACGAAUGUUUUCGAGGCGUGGGACCUGCACUAGUUUGAAUUUUUCGAAGUGGGGGACGAGGCUCAAAAUAGUUUCAAAUAGGCGACCAUGCCACUAUCUUUGGCCGCGAAUCACUGCUGGCUAGGAGUCUUUUGACUUGCAUUUCUUUGGCCAGUCUAAGGCCUGCUAAGAAAGCCUCACAUUCGGUAGCAUUGUUCGAAGCUUUGAAGCCGAACCUGAUUGCAUAGUUUAGCUUAUGGCCUUUUGGGCUUUCUGAAAUGACUCCUGCCUUGGAGCCAGUCUCUCUUGAUGAGCCGUCCACAAAGAGGUUGCAAGUAGGGGGCUCUGCUGGUUCCAUGGUUGCCUCAAUUUCUUGGGCUUUGGUAAUCUCUACGACAAAGUCUAUGAGGGCUUGUCCUUUGAUGGCGCUUCGGGGUUUGAAGAGUUGGUCAAACUCGCCAAAUUCAAUUGCCCAUUUGAGUAAGUGACUCGAAGUGUCUAUCUUCUGUAACACUUGUUUCAGUGAAAAAUUGGUUAGAACUUCAAUGGAGUGGGCUUGAAAGUAUGGCCAUAGUUUCCUUAAUGCAGUUACGAAGAAGAGUGCAAGCUUUUCCAUGUCUGGAUAGCAAGCCUUUGCUGGCAGCGGGGCUUUGUUGAUGUAGUACACUGGCAAUUGGCGUGUCUUUUCUUCCCUGAUGAGGACUGCAUUGACUGCUUCUUCUGAAACCGCCAAAUAUAGCAGAAGUGGCUCGAGUGGUUUGGGCUUCGACAGUAAGGGUGCCUCUCCCAAGUGCUUCUUUAUCGCUUGGAAGGCAAUCUCACAUUCCUCCGCCCAUUGGAACUUUUUUCCCUACUUCAGAAUCUUGAAGAAGGGUAGACUUUUAUCGGUGAUCUUGGAGAUAAAGCGGCUAAGUGCAGCAAUCCGUCCGUUGAGGGUUUGUACCUCUUUUGGCUUCUGAGGUGACCUCAUCUCUAAUAGGGCCUUUUGGAUUGGCCCAGCGUGCCAGCCAUUUUUUUGAAAAAAUAUAUUGAAUUUAAUUGUUUAUAAAUAUUUCAUGAAUCAUGUAAAUUGUUUAUUUAAGUAAAAUAAUUAAUUGUUUUUAUUUCAAUUUAUUUAAAAUAUAAAUAAUUUAAUUAAUGAAAUAAACAAUUUGAAUAAAUAUAAUAAACAAUUGAAUAUUCAAUAAACAAUUAAAAUAAAUAAGAAAUUAAUAUAAAUAAUUAAAUGAAGUAAAUAAAUAUGAAAUAAACAACUAAAUAAGUAAUUAAAUAGAGUUAUCAAAUAUUAAAAAACAAUAUACAUAACCAAUUAAAAUAAUUAAUGAAAUAUUUAAAUAAUAAAUAAAUUAAAUAUUAAAUAAAUAAUUUAAUAAAUCGAUAUUUAAUUUAAUUGUUUAUUUAAAUAUUUAAGUAAUUACUUUAAUUGUUUAUGUAUAUUAUUUGUUUAAUAUAUAAUUAUUUAUUUUAUACUUUAUUUGUUUAUUUAAAUAUUUCAUGAAUUAUUUUAAUUAUUUAUAUAUAUUGUUUAUUCAAGUAAAUAAUCAAUAACUAAUUGAAGUAAUCAACUAAUUGAAAUAUAUUAAAUAAAUAUUAAUAAAACAAUUAAAGCAAUUAAUUGAAAUAAUAAAUAACUAAUUGAAAUAAAUUCAAUAAACAAGUAAAUUAAAUAUUAAUUAAGGAAUAUAAAUAAUUAAUUAACAUAAAUAAAUAUAAAUAUAAAUAAUAAAAAACUAGUUCAAAUAAGUAAUUAAAUAUUAAAUAAACAAUUCAAACAAACAUUUGAAAUAAAUAUUAAAUAAACAAUUCAAACAAACAUUUGAAAUAAAUAAUUAGCAUUUAAAUAUUAAAUAAAUAAUUUAAAUGAACAAUAAAUAUAAAUAAUAAAAAAUAAGUAAUUUAAAUAAGUAAUUAAAUAUUAAAUAAACAAUUUAAAUAAACAAUUGAAAUAAAUAAUUAAUAUUUAAGUAUUAAAUAAAUAAUUUAAAUGAACCAUGAAUAUAAAUAAUAAAAAUAAGUAAUUUAAUAUUAAAUAAACAAUUGAAAUAAAUAAUUAACAUUUAAAAUAAACAAUUAAACAUUCAAUUAACAAUUAAAAUAAAUAUUAAAUAAACAACUAAACAAUUAAAAUAAAUAAUUUAAAUGCACAUUUAAAUAUUGAAUAAAUAAUUUAAAUGAACAAUUUAAAUAAAUAAUUAACAAUUAAAUAUUCAAUAAACAAUUUAAUUUUCAAAUAUUAUGUUUUAUCCAUUGUCUUUUGCAUAAGGCCCUAACAUUUUAAAUUUUAUAGGAUGGAUUAUCAUUUAGACGUCGCCAUGAGACAGAUUCCGACAAAGUUACGUUGAACUAUAACUUUGCUAGCUUUACAUUAGUCCUAGAUUUGUUGAAUGAGGAGUACGUAGACCUGUUAUGCCAAUCCUUCUUACGACGAUAACUCUGGCACAGUUAGGAGACGCAUUCAGGGAAUGCGUCAAUAUGUCUAGAAAUUGAAGUUGAGGAUAAUGUUUAUACUGGAAAGCACACUGAGGUAUCAUCACAAGAUGACGUCGAUCGAAGUUUUCAUUUAGAGGUUGUUAAUGACAUUGACAAAUUCAACAACUAUCCAUGGGACAAAGCUAACAGUUAUCGGCUCUCGUCGACGAUCCUAAGGUACGUAUUAUUCAUUUGUGAUUUAUGUUGCGCGUCAUUUCGAAAUCUCAAUGCAUGGUCAUUAAUUCAAUGAAAUGUUAAUAUGUCAGCUUGAACUGCUCACUGAGCUGACACCGUUGAUCGAGAAGGAAGUUAGAUUCAUAUCUGAGGAGAUACAGCUUGCAAACGAUGAGGAUUCCAGAUAGUGACAGAGAAGGUGGUAGAGAUGGUGACAGAGAGGGUGGCGGUGGAGGGGUGGGAAUGUAUACAAAUGUUUUCAUUAGAAUCAUUAUGGAUCUCAGUGGGGAUGGAAAAAGUGCCAGUGGAGGGGAUGAAAUAAUUGUAUAUAUUUUUUUAUUUAUGAAAUAAUUGUAUAUAUUGUAAAAUUUAUUUAAAUAAGGUAAUGAAAUAUUAAAUACAUAGUAUACACAACCAAUUAGAUAAUUUAUAAGUGAAAUAUCUGAAUAAGAAGUUAAAUUUAAUAUUACUUUUUUAUUUAAUGAAGUUAUUAAAUAAAUAAUUAAACAAAUUAAUUAAAUAUUAAAUAAAUAAUAUACAUAACUAUGCCAGAGAUGAGCCCCAACUUGAUAGAUAAUGUCGCGAGUUUGGAUAACGUGACAAUUAUGCCGGAGAGGAUAAUGGAAGUGACACCAUGUAAGAAACAUGUUAUUGAUGUGCCAAAGUAGAUGGUUAGCAAGAUGACUAGAUCAUCGUCACAAAUACAUUGUUUCUCUGUACACAAUCGAGGCAAAGAAGAGAACAUCCGUCGACGGUACAUUGCCCAACCUCUUUCGUGAAAUCGACUCGGGGCAAUUGUGGAGUCUUCACAUUGAAGUACAUUGAAUUUUUUUAAAUGAAAACGUUCUUUUAUGUAUAUUGUGAUCCGUAGUUAUAAUAAUUUAAAAUGUAAGCAUUUUUUUAAAACGUUUGCAAUACUUUAGUAAUUAUGUCAUUGUAUGAUAAAUAAAUAAUUACUCUUAAUUACAUAUAUAACACACUUCAAAUAAAGAAAAUUUAGGAAAUCACUAACAUACUAUAAAUAGAGAAUACAUACGAUUUAAGUAGAUAUUACAUAUCCGUCGGGUCAAAUUUCAUGUAAUCAAUAACACACUAUAAAUAGAGAAAAUUGAGGAAAUCGGUAACAUGCUAUAAAUAGAAAGUACAUACGAUUUAAAUAUAUAUUACAUAUCCGUUGGGUAGAGAAUAGCAUGCUAUAAUCGGGAACUUCCCACUCGACUUCAUUUGGUAAAGAAAAUAUAGUUUCAACAUUCAUGAAUAGUGUUCGAUGUUUUGAAAAUGUGGUCAUGCCCAAUGUUCAACUCCCGUCUCUGUUAGAUAUUCUCAUCCACCGUGUGAUUUAUGUCCAAAUUAAUUAUUAAAUAAAAAAUAUACAUAACCAAUUAAGAUAAUUAAUUAAUAAAAUAUUUAAAGAAUAAAUUAAAUUAAAUAUUAAUUUUCUAUUCAAAUAAGUGAUUAAAAUAAUAAUUAAAUAAGGUAAUGAAAUAUUAAAUACAUAAUAUGCACAACCAAUUAAGAUAAUUUAUAAAUGAAAUAUCAAAUAAGAAAUUAAUUAAAUAUUAAUUUUUUAUUUAAUUAAGUGAUUAAAUAAAUAAUUAAACAAAGUAAUUAAAUAUUAAAUAAAGAAUAUACAUAAUUAACUAAUGAAAUAUUUAAAUAAGAAAUUAAAAUAAAUAUUAAUUCUUUUAUUUAAAUAAGUGAUUAAAUAAAUAAUUAAAUAAAGUAAUUAAAUUUUAAUUGCAUAAUAUACAUAACCAAUUAAGAUAAAAUUAAUGAAAUAUCUAAAUAAGAACUAAAUGAAAUAUUAAUUUUUUAUUUAAUUAAGUGAUUAAAUAAAGUAAUUAAAUUUUAAAUAAACAAUAUACAUAACCAAUUAAGGUAAUUAAUAAAGAAAUAUUUAAACGAGAAAUCAAAUUAAAUAUUAAUUUUUUUAAUUUGAGUAAGUGUUUAAAAUAAAUAAUUAAAUAAGAAAUUAAAUAUACAUAACCAAUUAAGAUAAUUAAUUAAUGAAAUAUUUAAUAGAGAAAUCAAAUUAAAUAUUAAUUUUUUAUUUAAACAAGGGAUUAAAUAAAUAAUUAAAUAUUAAAUAAAUAAUAUACAUAACAAAUUAAGAUAAUUAAUUAAUGAAAUAUUUAUACAAGAAAGUAAAUUAAAUAUUAAUUUUUUUAUUUGAGUAAGUGUUUAUAAUAAAUAAUUAAAUAAAGUAAUUAAAUAUAAAGUGAAAAGUGUUUGGUUUUUUAAUUUGUAACGUAAGGGUAUUUUUAUCUUUUUAAACAAAAUUCUAUCUUUGUAAUUGUAUAAAUUAUUUAAGGAUAUUUUUGUCUUUUAUUCAACAAAAGAUCAUUUUGAUGAUAGGCAAAUUUUUUUCGUUAAAAUGAAAAAAUAGAAUUUUGACUUGGCCAAAAGUACCCUAGAAAAGAAUAUGGCCUUACAAAUGACCCAAAUGCAGCUUCCACUAUGAUGCAAUUCAUGUUUCAAUUAGCAAUUCAUCAAAUUCUUUUCGUCUGGGUCUUAUCACCUGCAGAGCACUGCACAUUGUAAUUAUAAAUGAACAUGAAAUGAACUCUCUGCAUAAUAGAUCCAGUUUAACCCUUUCUCUGUGUUGUUGCAAUUCUUACAGAAGAAAAUGGCUAAUUGUAGAAAACAUCUGAUAGACCAAAAUAAUUUCUACAAUGUUUUAGAAAAAAAUUAAUUAAUUUGAAAAUAAUUAGGGAGAAAAAUCUACUCAGUGAUUCGAAAAAGAGAAGAAAAAACGAUUUAAUUGAGCCAAAUCAAAAGAAAAUAAAAAAACAGGUCACUAGUAUCUAAUAUUCUUGAAAUGUCACAACAAAAUUUUUUUUUUUUAAAUUUAUUUCGGUAUAAUGGCCAUGUACGAUCACUGCUUGAAAUGUCAUCAAAUUUGUUGUUUAUAACAACGGGAUGAGAUGUAGUGACUAAUGCUAUAUAAAUAUCAAUAUUCGAUAAUUUAAAUUUAAAAUCAUUUGCAAGUAACCAGGUAAGUUUGGACACUUUCUAAUUGAGUUGGUAUCAAAUUAUUUUUGCAAGACGUAGGAGCCAUAAGGGACGAAUCCAGGAUGUUGAGCCAGCACGUGCGGCAGUUGACCGUCGAUCGUGGACCGUAGGCCGUAAUAAAAUAUUAAGAGUUCGUUUGAUGUUAUUUUUUGCAAAAAAUGCAUUUUGAAAUGGUGAUUUGAUGAAAAAUAUGUAUUUAAAAAUUAGAAAAAAUUUUGAAUUUGCGUGCAAUAUUAUUUUAUUAAAAAAUGUUUGAUCGAAAAUAAGGGAAAGAAAAAUGUAUUCUGAACUAAAUGGGAAUCAAACAAGGCUAAAAUUUAUAUAAAAUAAUUAUUUAGUUGAAGUUGAACAUAUAUAAUUUCGUUAUAAGAAUAAAUUGUACUCACCAAAUGACAUUAUUGCUUUGUAUAAUUCAAAGGAAGAGCAUGGUGUUAAUAAUUUUACAAUUGACCCGCUAAAAUCUAAUAUAUAUUAUUUUUUCAAAUUUGAUAUCAAAACUCAGCAAGUGUCAUAAUGGUUAAGUUUUCAACAUAUUUUUAAAAAGCUCACAUAUUCGAUUACCCAUUGGUCCUUUCCUUAUUUCAAUGGUUUUUGGUAAAUAUUGUAUAACUAAAAAUGUUAUACAAUAUAUUGGUGGACAAAAGUUUCGAACCCGAGACCUCUAAGAAACAAAUGCAAGCUCUAGCCAACUUGGCUAGGAGUUGUUGAAACUAAAAUGUAUUAUCGGUAAUAUAGCAGCAAGCUCUUGUUGCAUAACCUAUAUAAAGGUGCAAAGUGUAAGUAUUACGCCAUUGGUCCAAUCAAUUUUGGACAUAAAUACUUUAGAUAUAUAAUUAAUGCAAUUUAACGGCAGAUCUAUUAUUUAAUCAAUAGACAAUUAAAUAAAUAAUAGAGUUUGUAAAUUCAAAUCUUCGUAAUUUGUUAAUUACAAGAAAUUGUGAUUGUGAGAUACAAAUUACAUCUGAUUGAAUCUUAAAUCAACUUUGGACAUAAAAACUUUUGAUAUAUAAUUAAUUCAAUUUAAUGGCAGAUCUAUUAUUUAAUCAAUAGACAAUUAAAUAAAUAAUAGAGUCUGUAGAUUCAAAUUUUCGUAAUUUGUUAAUUACAAAGAGUUGUGAUUGUGAGAUACAAAUUACAUCUGAUUGAAUCUUAAAUCGUCCGUGGUCGUAAGUAAUAACGAGAUACGGAUAUCGUUAUUACGGAUAGACCAUCACGUGUAGCAUUUCUUACUUAUGAAGUAAGUAACUCAUCUCACAAGUUAAAGUGUGGUGAUACUUAAAUGAACACGUUGCUAUUUUAUUACAAAACAAAAUAUUGGAGACCCGUCGAGAGAUUUCACAUGGAUAACUAUCUGAGUGUCAGUGGUUAAUCUCUAAAGUUCGAUAGUGGGAUUGGUCCUUUUGACUUGAGGUCAUUAUUGUACCUUAUAUGAGGACGGUCAUGCUUUGAUGGUGUUGGAUGUUGCUCUGCCAAGGGCUACUAAUACGACAUUGUUUGGGUAUGUCAAUAAUCAUAUGAAGGUUAUGAAUGACCAAUAGAGGAUUUGUCACUCUUAGGUAGUAAGAGAUUAUGAUCUGCGUUUCAUUCAAUUAAGUCGACAACGAAAUCCUUGGCUAAGGUGUACUUAUAAGUCAAAAAGGAGUUUUCGACUUAUAUUGACUCAAUAGUAGAGUGAAAGAUAUGAUCGAUAAUUGAGAUUGACACACUUCCAUAUCUCGUAAUUAAUCGGAUCAUAUUGAUGAAGGGAUUAAGUUUCACGGUAAACGAACGAGUUUGGUUUUAUCAUACCAUAUGAUAUUUUACGUCAUAUGUAUUGCCCUGACACAUUGCUAGAUGUCAAUCUUGGACGGCGAGUGUGAAUUGAUAAUAAAUUAAAAAGGUAUUUUAAUUUAUCAAUUUUAAUUAGAUCAAAAUAAUAUUUCACGUCGUUAGGCAUCGCGAUCGGAAACCUGAUGGGUCGCACACAAAAGAGAAUUGGAAGAUUGCAAUUUGUCAAUUAAUUAAUUUAACAAUCGUUAGAUAAAUAAAUUAAUUGGUUUGGUUAUUUAUAGGCCCGAAUUAAUUAAUUGGAUUAAUUAAUUCACGGACCGGAUUUAAUUAAAUGGUUUAAUUAAAUAUUAGACCAGGCCAGGCCCGUUUUGGUUUAUAUAAAUACAUGGCUAGGGUUUUCAAUCUAUAUGUUUUUCUCAUAAUUAUUCUUGCUAGCACAAGAAGAGAAAACCCUAAUAGCUGCAAUCUUGUUUUCUAUGUGGAUCAUCGUUGGAGGCUGGACAAUUGGACAGCUGUAGGUGACGAAUCAAGAUUACUUGAACGAAAAGAAUAGCAAAGAAGUUUGCAGAUUUGGAAAAUGUACAAUCUUAUCACAAUUUCUAUCUAAACACAAAGGCAAUUCUUGGUGGGAAUCAAAAUAUGUUUUAAUUUUUCGCUGCGCAUGUUAAGUGGAUUCCCAAACGUGGUAUCAGAGCCAACUUUGUGUUUGUUAGGAAUUGAUUUACGUAUUAUUGAAAUCAAAAGUUGAUUUAUCAUGUUUUUUCUUUGAUCUAGCAAUUUAGAAUUAUUUUUCAUUUUCAAAAUUUGUUUGGAGAAGAAAUAAUUUUGGAUCAAAACAAAACAAAGGGGGAGAUGGCGGUGGAGGACACGACAGCGGCGGCGCACCACCCGUGAUCGACCGCGAGCAGUUGCAGCAAGCGUGGCGGUGGAGCAGCAGCAGCAUGCUUGCUGUAGCUGGCAGCGACAGUGACGCCGCUACUGUUGCAGGGCGGAGACGCUGCUACAGCAGCGCCUCAGCGCUGCUGGAGGGUGGGCAAAAAAAUCUAAAGGUUUUCAGUUGGGUGAGGGAGAUUUGAAGGCGAGGGCCUCAGUUGCAAUUUUUAAAAUUGCAGGCCCCCACUUGCAAUAUUAUGAAAGGGAUCGAGUUGUAAUUUUAAAAGGAAGGGCAUGUCUGCAAUUUCGAAAAUUGGAAGGUGCAACAAUUAACUCUAAACCAGGGUCAAAUUGCAAUUUCUAAAAGGUUUUGAAUUUGAAUUUUGAAAUGGUUUUAAAAUUAUAUCUUAAUUGGGUUUGACCCAAAUUAAAAAUUUUAUUUAAAAUUGACGACUUUUAUAUUUUCGUUAAAAUAUUAUUUUAACUCAAAUAUUAAAUUUGACCCAACUGAAUUUUUAUUUUAUUUAGGAGUGUUAUCCUAUAUUAAAAUAUUAAUUCAAUUUAAAUUAGGGUUGACUUUAAUUUAAUACUUAAUUAAAAUUUGAUUUUAUUUAAUUAUUCACUCGAUUAUAUUUUUGAAAUUAGAAUUGGAUUCUAAUUUGACAUUUAAUUAAAAUUUGAUUUUAAUUAAAUUGUGUUGCCCUAAAAUUUUAUUUAAAAUUAGAGUUAGACUCUAAUUUGUGUUUAAUUAAAAUUUGAUUUUAAUUAAACAUGUUCGCCCUAAGAUCUUGGAAUUAAAGUUGGACUCUAAUUUUGUUAUUUAAUUAAAAUUUGAUUUUAAUUAAAUUCAACCGCUUUAAAUUUUGGAAUUAGAGUUGGACUCUAAUUCGGUAUUUAAUUAAAAUUUGAUUUUAAUUAAAUAUGUCCGCUAAUUAAAUUAAUUGAUUAAUAUGAUUAAUUAAUUAUUUAAUUGUUCCAAUCCAUUUGUCUAAAAGAGUUUAGACGACCUUAAUUGCUAGAAAUUUGAAAUGUAUUUGCAUAUAAUAUUAUAUAAGAAUACAUUUAUGUGAUAAAUGCAUUAUUAGUGGACAAUUAUGGACUCGACCAUAUGGAUGUGUUUAAUGAUUUAAUUUUAUUCUUGUCGUUUUGUGAGCCUGCGAGCUCUUAAUUGUUUUGGGCCUGGGAGCCUGUUAUUAUUGUUAUUAUUACGGGCCUGCAAGCUCUUAAUUAUUUUGGACCUGCGAGUCCGUUAUUGUUAUUAUUAUUGUUGUCAUGGGCCUGCAAGUCCAAUUUCAUACAGGUCUGCGCGUCAACUAGUAUAAGAUACAUGUUGCAAUUGGACUAAUUGAAUACACACGAAGAGGAGGAAACCAUGAAGAUGGUGCAUUGAUACUGAUCAAUGCGAUACCCCCUAGGAAUUGACCAACUAGUCUUCCUCAUGGCUCCGGAAGACUAGAUAGUAAAAGUCCAUAAUCGUCCACACUAUUACAAUAUAUUAUAUAUGUGUUUAUUGGCAUGGUAGAUGUGUAAUAAAAUAUAUAUGAUUGUUACGAUGAGACUUUUGAAUGCAAAACCCCUCAAUAAAAUAUUAUGUCACAUUUAUAAUCGCCUUCCAUCAUUAUAGUGAAAAAUCAGAGUCCCAAAUCGUCUCAACAUGUUGAGUACACUCAAGGUUGGUCCAUUAGGAAUAUGUUUGACGCUAUGAAGUAUUUGAUAUUUCUGAAUGAUGAGUUUGACUUAACUAAAAUUUAUCUUUUAUUGAGUACACUCAAGGAGAUGAAUUUUAGAGGCAUGUUAACCUGACACAUAAGAUAUGUGAAGACGAUGAGUUGUCAGCUUAACAAUCUGGGAGUUGUAUGGAGAUACAAUUGAUAAUUGUAUUUACCUAAAUGUUAUAUUAAGGCUUGUUGACAACACUCUAGGACUUGAUAUAAUAGAUGGGAUCCCAGUCCACUGGGAGUCAAGUAUGGACUCCAUAAAUUUAUAUGAAAGGGUCAUAAAUUUGAGUUAAACAGUGGGAGCAUAAUUAAUUUAAUAAAAGUCCAUGUUGAAUUAAUUGAUGCAUUUUAUAUAUUAUUCUUCUUCUUUUUGUCAUUAAUACUUAUUGAAUCUUGAGUAACCAUAUGUUUUGAAUGGCAUACUGGAUGUCAACAACUAAAAUUAAAUCUUCUUGAUAGGCACUGUAAUUUGAGAAUUGUUCUCAUGCAUGAGAAAAUUGGUCACGUCCUUGAGUAGCCCUUUCCAGAGGCACCUGCUGAUGACUCGAUUAAAGAAGAGGUGGCUACUGUAAUAAAGACACUGAUGAUGAUAGUAUUGCAACAUGUGUGAUGUUUGUGUUACGUCACCUGAGUUACAAAAGAAGCUUGAGAGUAUAGAUGUUGACGCAUGAUUUUUCAUUUCAAAGAAUUGUAUGAUAAUAAUUAUGUGUGGAAGGAUGCGAGACUUCCAAGCAACUAUACUGAUGCAAAAUAACAGAGCGAUCUUCAGUCAGUGCAAAGGUACUGAAGGUGAUUGACGUUGAGAAGUGUCUCAGUUAAGUUCAAUCAUGAACCAUGAACUAAGUAUUGACUUUGUUCUGCAAUCUCUAUUGGAAAGAGCUAUUCGCUACUAAUUAUGAAAUAUGAUAUGAAUAAACUCGAAUGCUUACUCAUUAAGUUGCUUAACAUGCUUCGGACUGUUAUGCCCAAUAACAAUGUUAUAAGUGGGCAAGCUAUUGAUUCCUCUAAGGGUAUUAAGAGGAAGUCUAAAAGGACUUUGGAAAUGUACCCAAUAUGGUUAAGACAGUCUAAGUGAAGGACAAUACCAAAUCUAAUGACCCUUGGUUUCAUUAUAGAAUGAAAGGUCAUUGGAAGGAAUAUUGCGUGACUUACGUCUACUUUACGAGUUUCUUAGGUAUUUGAUACCAGAUGUAAAUCUCAUAUUUAUACAAAUAUGGAGAAACUAAAUAGAAGUAGACCACUGUAAAAGGGAGAAGUUGACCUACACGUUGGAGAUGAGCAAAGGUUGCUACAUUGCCUGUAGGAAUACACUUCUUGCCAUUGCCUUUUGGUUUAGCAUUGAAAUUAGAGAAAUGUCGCUUUAUACCCACCAUAGCUGGAACAUUAAAAUGAAUUUUAUGUUCGGAUAUGAACUAUUUUAAACGUGACUUACGUCUACUUUACGAGUUUCUUAGGUAUUUGAUACCAGAUGUAAAUCUCAUAUUUAUACAAAUAUGGAGAAACUAAAUAGAAAUAGACCACUGUAAAAGGGAGAAGUUGACCUACACGUUGGAGAUGAGCAAAGGUUGCUACAUUGCCUGUAGGAAUACACUUCUUGCCAUUGCCUUUUGGUUUAGUAUUGAAAUUAGAGAAAUGUCGCUUUAUACCCACCAUAGCUGGAACAUUAAAAUGAAUUUUAUGUUCGGAUAUGAACUAUUUUAAUGUUAAGGACAAUUAUUGUUCUUGUUUAUCUUGAUAAAGAUCCUAAUGGCUAUGGUAAAUUACAAAACACGAUGUUUAUAUUCUUUAAUACUAAGGAUUCUAUAAUGAGUAUAGAAAUUAUAAGGCAUAAAUGCGAUAAUCUAAUUAUAUAUGCAUGUCUGGCACAAUGACCAAAUCUUCUUUUAUUUGAAAAGAAGAAAGGUCUGCAUAAUUACUGGUCUAAUGCAUACCGAUGCAUAUGGACUCUUGUUAAUUGAUGUCAGGUAAUGUUUCUCUUAUUUCAUCAAUGAUCAUGUAUACUUGGUGAAAUUCAAACAUGAAACUCUUGAAGAGUUCAAGGGAUUCAAACUAGAAGUAGAUAAACAAAUAAGUAAAGAUACCCUCACAUUAAGAUUCGAUCGAGUAAGAAUAUCUUAAAGAUAAAAUUUAGAUUAUCUAAGAGAGAAUGUGAUUCUCUUGCAGUGGACUCCUCCAUAUACGCUGCAGCAUAAUGGUGUAUCUAAAAUGAGAAAUUGUUAACUAUUAGAUAUAAUGCGAUUAAUAACAAGCCAUGCAAACUCCCAAAAUUGUUUUGGGGUCAUACAUUGAUUGCAGUGUGCAACACACUAAAUCAUGUCCCAUCUAAAUUGGUUAACAGAACUCCAUACGAGUUAUGAAAAUGCAAUAGUCCCAAUUUAUCUUAUAUGAAAGUUUUGGGCAAUAACGCUUAUUUGAAGCGCCUUAAAUCAGAUAAGUUUGAGACUAAAAUCGAUAAAUACAUAUUUGUGGGAUAUUCAAAGCAGAUAUUUGAAUAUAAAUUUUAUUAUUGUAAAGAAAGUCUUUAUCUCACGACAUAUCGUCCUCUUAGAGUAAAUAUUUACUCUAGGGGAGGACAGUGGGAGCAAAAUAGAACAUGAAAGAGUUCAAGAGUCCUCAAAUAUAGUUAACCCAAGUAGAUAAAUUCGAGUUUGAUCCCAUAUUUGAUAUGGGACAUACUCUUGAUUAGGAAGUAAAGACUCCUAAGGACAUAUCAGCUCUAUAUGAAUCUAGUAGAAUCAUUCGACCUUCAAGAAGGUGCAAAUCAGUGAUUACUAAUUAGGUAUUACUGAUUUAGGAUAAUGAACAUACUAGUUGCAACAAAAUAAAAUCAAGUGUUGACUUAAAAGAGACAGCAAGAGGCCAUGAAACUCGAGAUGAACUCGAUGUAUGUGAACAAGGUCUGGACCUUAGUCAAGCUUCCUGAUGGAAUAAAAACCAUAAGUUUUUGUAAAUAGUUUAGAAGGAAAAUGUCGAUAUGGAUGGGAAUAUCCAUAUAUACAAAGCAAAGGUUAAGUGUUGACCUUGGUGAAACCUUUCUCCUGUAGCCUUGUUGAAGUGUAUUCGGAUUUUGCUUGCAACAGUUGCAUACCGUGACUAUAGGUUAAGAGAAGUCUUUUGGAGCUGAAAUCUUAGAUUUGAUGAAAAAGUCAAGUGUUUGAUUUUAUCAAAUUUGAAGACGAAUUGUGUGUUUACAAGAAGAUAGUGGGAGUAUUGUCGUAUUCUUAAUAUUAUAGAAAACGACAUCCAUAUGUUUCAAUCGUUGAAAUAAUGGUUGUUAAAGGAUUUAUUCAUGAACAAUAUGGGAGAAGCAACUUGAUCUAUAGAGGUAGAUCUAGAAGAUUGCUUAACUUAUCCCAAUUUACAUAAAUGAAAUCUUGAGAAGAUUUCAAGAUUUCAUACGAGAAACUUGUUUACUCUUAAGUGGUAUGUUGGAAAGGUUCCAAACAUGAAGCAACCGUUGAUUCAAUAGUAGAAACCUAAUAACUUCAGAAGUAGCAAAGAGUUGCAAUUUGAAUCAUGAUGUUAUAAAUGAACUUGGAGUAGUUCUGAUAUUGUUGAUCACAUGUCAUUGUAUUGUGAUAACAAUAGAGCCAUUACGAAAGCGAAGGAACUAAGGUCUCAUCAAUGAUCCAAACAUGUAUUAAGGCGAUAUAAUCUUAUCAGAGAGAUAAUACAUAGAAAUGACGUAAAGAGGAGAACAAAUUCCCACAUUUAACAAUAUUGUAGAUCCACUGACAAAGAGUUGUUGUAGCAUAAACAUGAUCGUCAUGUAGACCUAUGAUAUUGGAUACAUAAGUGAUUGGAUCUAGUGCAAGUGGGAGUUUGUAAGUAUUAUGCCUUAGAUCCAAUCAACUUUGGAUAUAAAUACUUUUGAUAUAUAAUUAAUGUAAUUUAAUGGCAGAUCUAUUAUUUAAUUAAUACUAUUAUUUAAUUAAUAGAUAAUUAAAUAAAUAAUAGAGUCCGUAGAUUCAAAUCUUCGUAAUUUAUUAAUUACAAGGAGUUUUGAUUGUGAAAUACAAAUUACAUCUGAUUGAAUCUUAAAUCGUCCGUGGUCGUAAGUAAUAACGAGAUAGGGAUAUCGUUAUUACGGAUAGACCAUCACGUGUGGCAUUUCUUACUUAUGAAAUAAGUAGCUCAUCUUACAAGUUAAAGUGUGGUGAUACUUAAAUGAACACGUGGAUGUUUUAUUAUAGAACAAAACAUUGGAGACCCGUCGAGAGAUUCCACAUGGAUAACUAUUUGAGUGUCAGUGGUUAAUCUCUAACGUUUGAUAGUGGGAUUGGUUUUUUUGACUUGAGGUCGUCAUAGUACCUUAUAUGAGGACGGUCAUACUUUGACGGUGUUGGAUGUUGCUCUGCCAAGGGCUGCUAAUACGGCAUCGUUCGGGUAUGUCAAUAAUUAUAUGAAGGUUAUGAAUGACCAAUAGAAGAUUCGUCACUCUUAGAUAGUAAGAGAUUAUGAUCUGCGUUUCAUUCAAUUAAGUCGACAACGAAAUUCUUGGCCAAGGUGUACUUAUAAGUCGAAAAGGAGUUUUCGACUUAUAUUGACUUAAUAGUGGAGUGAAAGAUAUGAUCGAUAAUCGAGUUUGACACAUCUCCAUAUCUCGUAAUUGAUCGGAUCAUAUUGACGAAGGGAUUAUAGUUUCACGGUAAACGAACGAGUUUGGUUUUAUCAUACCACAUGACAUUUCCCGUCAAAUGUAUUGUCCUGACACAUUGCUAGAUGUCAAUCUGGGACGGUGAGUGUGAAUUGAUGAUAAAUUAAAAUGGUGUUUUAAUUUAUCAUUUUGAUUAGAUCAAAAUAAUAUUUCACGUCGUUAGGCAUCGUGAUCGGGAACCUGAUGGGUCGCACACAAAAGAGAAUUGGAAAAUUGUAAUUUAUCAGUUAAUUAAUUUAACAAUCAUUGGAUAAAUAAAUUAAUUGGUUUGGUUAUUUAUAUGCCCGAAUAAAUUAAUUAAUUCACGGAUCGAAUUUAAUUAAAUGGAUUAAUUAAAUAUUGGACCGGACCAGGCCAUGCCGAUUUUGGCUUAUAUAAAUACAUGCUAGGAUUUUCAAUCUAUAUAUUUUUCUCAUAAUUAUUCUUGUUAGCACAAGAAGAGAAAACCCUGGUAGCUGUAAUCUUGUUCUCUGUGUGGAUCACUGUUGGAGACUGGACAAUUGGACAGUUGUGGGUGGCGAAUCAAGAUUGUUGGAACGAAAAGAAUAGCAAAGAAGCUUGCAGAUCUGGAAAAGAUACAAUCUUAUCACAAUUUCUAUCUAAACACAAAGGCGAUUCUUGGUGGGAAUCGAAAUAUGUUUUAAUUUUCUGCUGUACAUGUUAAGUAGAUUUUCAAAAGUGAUAUCAGAGCCAACUUUGUGUUUGUUAGGAAUUGAUUUACGUAUUAUUGAAAUCAAAAGACUCGCUCGAGAUUUUCGCUUGAACAGGAAGUCUCAGUAACUGCUAUUAGUUAUACAAUCCAAGGAGCCUUCUUCAUUGGGAUAAAUUCUCUCAAGGUCGCCCAACUUAAAAGUUACUUCCAUAUUGAUCCCUAACUUGUGUUUUUGUUUUGAUUGGAUAAUUUCAUCGAUAGCCGUCGAUCAAAACUUUUAAGAGAUUCUGUAACCUGGCACCAAACAAAAUUAGUGAUCGCAGAUCAAUCUCCGUGCCCCGCACCAAAAUUUCAUUAAGGACUGUCUAAUAACUUGUAGAUUUGUAAAAUUAUGUUAAAGAAUUGAAGUUAUUGUAAAAUUCGAAUUUGUCCUAAUUUAUCUUAUAAUUAUGAAGGCAUCCUUAGAUUUUAACAUUAAGGUUAGAGAAGAUGAGUUUGUGAUUUUCUCUUGUAAAAUUUUUUCAUCAUUGUAAAUUACUGCAACAACGAAAUGUGAAGUAAUUUAACAUUGAAGCGAAUCUUUACAAAUCUUACUUAUUUCUAGUGUUUCGAUUGCUCUUGAUGGAAUAUAAUUAUAUUUUCAAAAAAACGAAUUUUGAAAAUGAAAAAUAAUUCUAAAUUGCUAGAUCAAAGAAUCACAUAUAGAUGUAUCUUCAGAGAGAGAGAGAGAGAGAGAGAGAUGCGACCUUCACCAGUAUCGACCUAACAGUACGUGGCUAAUAAAAUCUAGUACUGUAGUACAGAUAAUUAAGAGUGUAAAAAAUGAAAACAAAACCAAGUAGGAGCAUAUUCUUCUGCAACUUGUUCCUAUGCGUUCGUUCACAUAUUAAAAUAAUUGAAUUUUUAGUUUCUUGCAGUGUAGAAGGUUACAUUAUUACAAUUGAAAAAAGAUAAUGAACUAACAAAACACAGCUUUGUUAAUUGUAAACUUGUUAAUCCCCUGUUUGUUUCCCAUAAUUUGACAUUAUAAUUUUUGGAAUAAUAUUUUUUUGGAGAAUAUAUGGUUGAAAAUGAAUUUUUUUAUUUAUGUACGUGUAAUAUUAAUUUAUAAAAAAUUGUGAAGUUCAAAAUAAAAUAUCGAAAAAUUAUAGUAUGAAAUAAUGAGGGACGAGCAUAGGCUAAUAAAUCAAAAGUUGAUUUAUCAUGUUUUUUCUUUGAUCUAGCAAUUUAGACGUUGGAGCCAUUUCUAAUUGAAAGUUAGUGCACGAGAAGAAUACGUAUCAAUAAUUGAGUUGGAAUCAAAUUAUUGCCUGUGAGACAUUGACAUUGGGGCCCUUUCUAAUUGAAAGUUAUUGCACGCGUAAAUAACUUUGGCUAAAAGAGUCAAAAAGUAUAACAAUCACAUGUGAUUGCUGGUGGAUUGUAUUGACAAGUCCUACAAAAAUCAGCCAUAUUCUUUCCCAGGGAAAUUUCAUGAAUAUUGAUGAAAAAAAUUGUCUACCAUUUAGAAUUCAACAAAAAUGUUAGAAAAAAUAUGCUAAAACUUUAAGUUGUCCUUUUUACAAAAAUUGUAAAUGGCCACAUUUUUGAACGGGUCAGACAUCAUUCAUGAUGGAGUUAGGGACACUAUUGGGUGGUUAAAAUUUUACGUAUUGAGGUGGCUUAUGCAUUCCAUUCAUGUCUUUUUUAUUUCAACGGAAUAAGGGAUCUCGAAACUAUAGAAAUAUAUACCAUCUAUAAGAAAUAUUUGAAUCUCAUUUAAGUUCUAUUUUAAAUAAUUCAAUCAAAUUUUGAUGGAAUUAUAAUUAUGACUAUUAAAAUGAAGUUUACUUUUUUCAUUGUGUAAUGAUUCUUGAUCUUGUUGAUAAAAUAUUCUUGGUCUUUCUUUUAAUUUUAAAUUUUUAAUAGAUAUGUCACAACUGUUUUCAAUUUAUUUCGGUAUAAAGGUGUAAGAUCACCGCUUGCAAUUUCAUCAAAUUUGUUUGCUGAUAGAAACAGAAUGCGAUGUAGUGACUAAUGGUGUUAAAUAUCAAUAUCAAUAAUUUAAAAUUAUGUUGUGUAAGUGUAAUUUACUAGGUGGAGAGAACACAAAUUAAAUAAUUGAGUUGGAAUCAAAUUGUCCUUAGUGAGACAUUGGGACCCUUUCUAAUUGGAAGUUAGUGCAUGAGUAAAUGACUCUGACUAAAAAAUUGAAAAAGCGUAAAGAUUACAUGUGAUUGCUGAUGAGUUGAAUUGACAUGUCACACAAAAUAAUAGCAUAUUCUUUCUUGGGGAAAGUUGAUGAAAUAAUAUACCAAAAGUUUAAGAAUUUUUAUUUUUAUUAUUAUUAUUAUUAUUUCUAUUUUAUAAAGAAACGCACAUAUUGCUGGGCAGCCUAGAUAUCAUCCACGGUGAAGAUAUGAACAAUAUUGCGCGACUAAGAUUUCAUGUAUAUUGGCGUCGUUUGCACAUAUUCAAGGACUACACUUUAGAAUAAAGAAAAUGCAACCAAUUCAUUCGAAUUGAGUACUUCAAUCCAUGUCCUUUUUUUCCCCAGUUUCGAUUCCAAAGAAAUAAGAGCUCCAAACAAAUCAUUGAUUUGGGCAACUUUCGCUAUGGAUUGACCUACAAAUGAAGGAAUGAAAUAAUUUUCAUGAAUAAUUUUUUUUUUUUUUUUAACAACUAGGAUCUUUUAGGCUCGUAGAAGCUUGAAGCUUCCCCUAUCAUCUAGACCCUAGCCACGAUUUACAUUUUUAGAGCAUUGCACCAUAUUUAAAUUGAAAUGUUGUUCUUCAACUUUUGCUCAUUCUAUGGUUAUGUCCCCAAUUUUUCCAUCGUAUUUUAGUUUUCAACUUUUUAUUAAUUAGUGUACUUUGUUCGUGUUGGUUGCCAAAAUAUUCAUUAGAAAGGAGUAAAUAUAAAAGUUUGAUAAAAUAUUUUUCUCGUACUUAUAAAAUAUUUAGACAAAUCCUAUCAUCAAAGAUAUGAUAUGAUACUAGGACGAAAAAAUUUCGAGAAUACAAGUACGAAAAUGAGCAAAAUUGAAAACUUCCAUUACAAUUAAAAUAUAGUGCAAUUAACUAUAAAUGUGGUGUAUAUAUAUUUAUCCAUUAAGAAAUUUAAAAGUAGUGGACACAAUUAUUUAAAUAACUCUUUAAUCAUACUUUUAUAUUAUUACCCAUUAAGAAAUCCAAAAGUAGUGGAUACAAUUAUUUUCAUUACUCUAUAAUCAUACAUUUUCCCCCCUGUUUUGUAAUCACGGGGCACGAAGGGAGACAUUGUUAAAAUAUCUUCUUUCGUUGUCAUCAAAUUCGCUAGUUUAUGCUAAUGGAAAAGGAUGUAAUGACUUUGGCCUCAUUUGUUUCUUAUUUUUUGAAGAAUGAGAAUGAAAAAUAUAGACGUUAUGAGCUUCAAAUAAGAGAUAAAAAUUCAAAUUUGGUGACUUAAUGUAAUGGAUAACGAUCAUAUUUUUUAUUUUAAUGAAAAAAUAAUGGAAAACAAACGAGGGCUUAAUAUUGGGUAAUUUAUUUAGUAAUAAAAAAGAACAUGAUAUUAGACUAACUUCUCCACAAGCAUGGGCAUUUCAUCGACAUAUUUCUUGCUUUGGAAUUGGAAUUUGAAUUAUGUGGUGCAUGAUUUAAUUGUGCCAAUCAGAAGAAAAUAAAAAUACAGGGCACUCGUAUCUAAUAUUCUUGAACUUUUUUAAAAUUUUAUUUCGGUACAAUCGCCACGUACGAUCAUUGCUUGAAAUAUCAUCAACUUUAUUGUUCAUAACAACGGGAUAAGAUGUAGUGAUUAAGCUCUGUCUGCUUCUCAUUCUUUCCUUAUUAAAAUGAAAAAAAUAUAACUGUUAUUCAUCACAUCAAAUUACCAAAUUUGAAUUUCUAUAUUUUGUUUGAAAUUCAUAACGAUUAUAUUUUUUAUUUUCAUUCUUUCAAAAAUGAGAAACAAACGGGAGUUUAGUCAUUUGCAAAUAACCAGGUAAGUUGGGGCCCUUUCUAAUUGUGAGUUGGUAAAGAAUACGCAUUAGCACCUUUUUGAGCCCGAUUAAUUUAUAUUACAUUUCAUUUUUCUCUUUCCUAUUUUCAACCACACAAUCUUCCAUAAAAUAAUAUUACGCGUAAAUCGAAAAUUUUUCCUUCAUUUUUAACCACUCAUUUUUCAAAAAAAAUAUUAUUCCACCCAUUAAAUUUUCACGUAAUGGGGGCCAAACGGGGGCUAAUAAUUGAGUUGGGAUCAAAUUUUUUUUGCAAGACGUUGGAGCCAUUUCUAAUUGAAAGUUAGUGCACGAGAAAAAUACGUAUCAAUAAUUGAGUUGGAAUCAAAUUGUUGCUUGUGAGACAUUGGGGCCCUUUCUGAUCAAAAGUUAUUGCAUGCGUAAAUAAUUUUGAAUAAAAGAGUAAAAAAGUAUAACAGUUACGUGUGAUUGCUGGUGGAUUGAAUUGACAAGUCUUACAAAAAUCAGCUAUUUUUUUUCCCAGAGAAAUUUCAUGAAUAUUGAUGAAAAAAAAAAAUUUGUCCUCUUUACAAAAGUGACCACAUUUUUUUCAGACAUCAUUCAUGAUGGAAUUAGGGACACUAGUGGGUCGUUAAGAUUAAUUUCAAAGGAAUAAGGGAUCUCAAAAUUAUAAAAAUAUAUAUCAUCUAUAAAAAAUAUUUGAAUCUAUUUAAGUUGUAUUUUAAAUAAUUAUAAUUAUAACUAUUAAAAUUAAGUUAAGUUUUUCAUUGUGUAAUGAUUCUUGAUUUUUUUAUUUUUUUUUUUGUAAAAUAUUCUUGGUCUUUCUUAUACUUUUUUAGAUGUGUCAGAACUUUUUUCAAUUUAUUUUGGUAUGAUGGUGUAAGAUCGCAGCUUGCAAUGUCAUCUAAUUUGUUUGUUAAUACAAACGGAAUGAGAUGGUGACUAAUGGCGAGGAAUACUAUAGUGUACAACCUCCUCACAUGAGAAGAGAGCCCACAAAUCCCUUUCUAAUUGGAAGUUAGUGCAUGAGUAAAUGAUUUGGGAAGUGUUAUAUGUUUAUAAUUUGUUUACAUAAUGAUAUUCAUAAUUACAUGUGGUAUUAAAUUCAAUUUUUAAUUCAAAUCUCAUAAUUGUACAUCAAUAAUCAAAUUAUUGUCACAUCACAUUAUGAACAUCAUUAAGUGCAAUAAUUAAAUUUUUGACAAAUGACUUUGACUAAAAAAUUGAAAAAGCAUAGAGACUACAUGUGAUUGCUGAUGAAUUGAAUUGACAAGUCACACAUAAUAAUAACAUAUUCUUUCCUGGGGAAAGUUGAUGAAUAUUGACGAAAAAUGUCUGAAAUAAUAUACAAAAAGUUUAAGGUUUUUUAUUUUUAUUAUUAUUAUUAUUUUUUUAUUUUAUUUUACUUUUUUUUUUUUACAGAAAUGUACAUAUUGCCCUUGUUUGAACCCCAUUUUUUUGAAAAAUAUAUUUUUUUACUAGUAUUUUGAUAUCAUUUUAACCACAUAUUUUUCAAUAAAAUAAUAUUACAAGUAAAUUCAAAAAUUUUCCUUAUUUUUUAACCACACAUUUUCCAUCAAUACACUAUUCAAAAAUUCAUUCUUUCCAAAAAAAUGGGGCUCAAACGAGGGCAUUUUUGAACAGUAUAGAUAUUAUCCAAGAUGACACUACCACGCGGCUAAGAUUUCUUGUAUUUUGGUGUCGGGUUCACAUAGUUGAAGGACUGUACAAUUUAGAAUAAGAAAAUGCAGCCAAAUUCAUUGGAUCGGAGUACUUCGAUCCAUGUCCUUUUCCCCAAUUUUGGUUCCAAGAAAAUAAGGUUGUGUUUGAUAACUCCCUUUUCCAUGGAGGACUGUACACUUUAGAAUAAGAAAAUGUAGCCAAAUUCAUUGGAUCGGAGGGUCGAACUUUAGAAUAAGAAAAUGCAGCCAAAUUCAUUGGAUCGGAGUACUUCGAUCCAUGUCCUUUUCCCCAAUUUUGGUUCCAAGAAAAUAAGGUUGUUUUGAUAACUCCCUUUUCCAUGGAGGACUGUACACUUUAGAAUAAGAAAAUGCAGCCAAAUUCAUUGGAUCGGAGUACUUCGACCCAUGUCCUUUUGCCCAAUUUUGGUUCCAAGAAAAUAAGGUUGUGUUUGAUAACUCCCUUUUCCAUGGUAAAGGGAAUUUAAAUUAUAUUUGCCCUGUUUGAUAGGCAACAUUUUCUAGGCAAUAGAAUUUCCAUUUUCCAUACGCGUGACUUGUUUUCCACCAAAUUGAGGAAUUCAUAUUCUUUUGCUUGGGGUGGGAGAGUAUGGUUUUUGGUUUUCCAGGCAUCUGGCAACUUUUAUAAAAUUUUUUCCUUUUUUUUCUUUUUUGCAAUAGAAACAAAUUCUAUCACCAAUUAUAAAAGAAUAUAUUCCUUAAAUUGACAAUUUUCAUAUAAAACAAAGUCAAACGAAUACCAAAUUUUUUUUAUUAUUAAUUUUUUUUGCAAUAGAAACAAAUUUUAAUAACAACAAUAGAAGUAGAUAUCUCUUAAAUUGAUAAUUUUCAUGAAAAAUAAAAUCAAACGAACACUAAAAAACACUUUUAUUUCAACAUUUUUCAGGUGAAAAAUUAUAUCAAUCAAAGACUAUUAAUUGACAUUUCCUAGUAAAACAAUUUAUAGGCAAUUCAAUUCUCUAGAAUUCAUUUUUUUCUACCCAAAUUCUAUCCAUGUAAUCAAAUGGACUCUAAGAGUUCCAAUCAAAUUAUUGAUUUGGGCAUCUUUUGCUAUGGACCGACCUGCAGGUGAAGGCUGGAAAUGAUUUCACGAUUUAGGCAUUUAGGUACAAAGCUUGACCUUGACGUUUAAACACGCUUUAUAUAUAUAUUUUUAACAACUUGGAUCUCUUAGGCUCGUAGAACCUUGAAGCUUGCCCUAUCACCUGGACCCUAGCCAUGAUUUACAUUUUUAGAGCACUACACCAUAUUUUAAUUGAAACGGUGGUUUUCAACUUUUGCUCAUUUAAUAGUUAUGUCCCCAGUUUUCUCCGUCGUAUUUUACUUCUCAACUUUUUAUUAAUUAAUACACUUUAUCCGUGUUGAUUGCCAAAUAUAUCCAUUAGAAAGGAAUAAAUAUAAUAGUUCGACAAAAUAUUUUUCUCAUGCUAAUAGAAUAUUUAGACAAGUUCUGUCAUUAAAGAUAAGAUAACAUACUAGUUUGAAAAUUUUUUGAAAAGUACGAAUCAUUACAAUUAAAAUAUAGCGCAUUUUAAUUAUAUAUGUAGUGUAUAUAUAAUUAUCCAUUAAUAAAUUUAAAAGCAGUGGACACAAUUACUUAAAUAAUUCUUUAACCAUACUUUUAUAUUAUCACCCAUUAAGAAAUUCAAAAGUAGUGUACACAAUUAUUUUCAUUACCCUUUAAUCAUACUCUUUCCCCCGAAGGAACACCUUGUUAAUAGCCACACACCCCAACAUUUGGUAACAGGCUCGCUCAUCCGACCUCGAAAGUAUCAAGUCUACGCUAUCUGGUAUCCUAUAUUCCCUCUUAAGUCUAUCGAGGUCGGCAAAUUUAAGUUUCGAUGGAUAGUCAGACGCCACCCAGUGCACAGAAGUAUCUACUGGGCUGUUAGGUCUUCUUCAAAUGUUCUCCCACUAAUAUCGCGUUCGACAGUUCGACGGAGGUCGCCAAUAUGGGUUCAUCUAUCCUCACCAUCUCCAGUUUUCUCCCUGAAGUCCACUACCCUCAAAAGCCAUUUUUUGAGAUAAAAAGUGCGAAGAGAACUCCAAACGGUCUUGUGAAUGUCACUAGAAUACUUAAAUGUCACCGAAGGAGUUUGAAAAUUGCAAUAACAGUCGUCGAAAAUCACAGAGUUAAGAACAAGAAGAUUUUCUAUGUUUCCAAGAGUCAGACAAUCUCAAACGUUGAAUUCAAAAUACUAUUGAUCUGGGUCGUUCAUCGCAUCACAAAUCUAAGCCACUGAAACCAAACGCCAGAAUUGAUCAACGCCCAAGAUCUAACUGUGAGACUCACGUGAAUACCAAACACAUUGCAUCAAGCUUCAACAGUCGUUUGCCAUAAUUAACCGUAGUAGCCUUUUCUGGGAGUAGACGUCACAUCCAAUUGUCUCUUUGGAAAUACGCGACGACCGUCGCAUCAUUUAAUAUUACAGCCUUCAUGCUUUUGAUUUAAACUCUUUAGCUUUAAAAAGCUUCAACACCCCCAACGCGGAGUCUGCAGUGGUUCAUCACCUCAAUCGCAGCGUUUCUAUGCUUUACAAAGUUUCUAGCCAUCUCUCAAAACAUCGUCCCCUGUGGAUCAGUGCAUCGGUCAUAGAUGAGCUUCUCUUCAGCUUUACAAAGCUUCAACCCUCUCGACGUGGAGUUCCCUGUGGUUCAUCACCUAGGUCGCAGCAUUUCUAAGCUUUAAAAAGCUUCAAGCCAUCUCACAAAGCAUUGUCCCCUGUGGGUCAGCACAUCGCGCAUAGAUGAGCUUCUCCUUCAGCUUUUCAAAGCUUCAAUGCCCCCGAGGCGGAGUCCUGUGUGGGUCAUCACCUCGAUCGCAACUUUUUAAACUUUAUAAAGCUUCUAGCCAUCUCUCAAAGUAUCGUCUCCUAUGGGUCAACGCAUCAGUCAUCGAUGAGCAUCUUCUUCAAGCGUUACAAACCUUCAACCCUCCAGACGCGUAGUCUCAUGUGGAUCAUCGCCUCGUUUGUAGCUUUUCUAAGAUUUACAAAGUUUCAAGUCAUCUCCCAAAGGGUCGUUCCUUGUGGGUUAGCUCACCGAUCGCAAAUGAGUUCCUCCUCCAGCCAGAAUCACACACUUCUACGCAUAGGUCGAAGGUGAACUGCUCUUUACAAACCAAUGAACUACUAACCGAGAGCAUCCUCUACCCCCAUCGCCUUAGUUACAACGCAAUUCAGCCCACAAGGCUUCUGCCCAUCUCCUCGCGUCGUCCCUGUGGGUUAGCGCUACAGAAGAUGUGUCAAAACCUAUUCUCACAGUGGCCAGCGUACACAAUCAGUCAAAAAAGUUCACGAAUGAUAUAAAUGUUCAACCUUUAAUUUGGGAGGACCACUAUUACGCCCCUGACUAACCCACUUCAGUGCACCAUACCUACUCUCAACGAGGUGCCGCAUAUCCCUCCAAAGUGGUGCUGAAGUGAUAUGAGCCUCGACCAAACUUUAAGUUGACAUGCUACAAGACACAAGCAUCGCUAAGUAAAUCUGCCAUGGUGUCCGAAGUGUCUCUUGGUGCUAAACGUGAGGUACUUCGAGGUGCUUCUUCAGUGCCUUCACCGCCAGUUUUAGAAAUAUAUAUAUGUGUUAGGAUCUCCUUUAUCUACGUGGAUUAAUUGAUGUGACAUAUCAACUUUAUGUCCACUCAAACUUAGAAGAAUUAAUUAUCUGUCCACUCUAAACGUGGCUGAUUAACGCCUACGAGCAGACGUCUCACACCCUUAGAUGCAUACACAUGUCCCACAUCCAAUGGUGCUCCUCGUCUAUAAAUAUCAAAGGUUUGGCAAGAGACAAAACUAAUAAAACUCUCUUUAAUGUACUUGGCACUCCACACUCAAGCAAUAUAUAUUCUCCUCCCCACCAUAUUCUACAACACCAACCACUGCCCACUGACUUGAUCGUUGGAGUGUAUGCGGCCGCCACCGCCCUGCUGGUUUCGACUGUGUAUUUCUAACUGUUUAUUAUUGUGCACAGGGAAGAACGCGUGGAAUAGCUUUCGGUUGGCCACGUGGAGGGUCCAAUUCGCGUAGUCAAUAAUUUCAAUUGUCAAUAAAUAAAUAGAUAUCAAAUUGUCCUUAGUUAGAAAGUUGAUAUCUUCGAUUGCUCACUACACUUUAAAAUAUUAGGUUUUGACUACUAAACUUCUCAAAGUGUCAUAAUUAUUCACUGAAUUCACUUCCAUUUUGCGUUCAUGCAAGUAAGGUGUCUAUGAUUGUUGACUAUACUUUGACGACUUUUUUGAUUGAUCGCUAUACUUUUAGCUAUACUUUUCAAAUUGACGUUGUGAUAACAUUAAAAUAUGUGUUUUGUUUAUUUUCGUGUAUAAUAUUUGUUAUUAUGUAUUUAGAAAGUUCUUUCUAUGCUGAACAUUUUAUUAAAUUACUUUGCUGGUGGAAUAUAAUAUGGAACACAAUCAAAUAAAACUCGAUCACCAUUUCUUACCGGUAGUUUUACUUAAAUUUUGUUUAAUUGGGUAACUAUACUUUGAUUUGGUUUUAGUUAAGGUGACUUCUUCCAAACAUAACUGUUUGAAAUGUUGUGUCCUUUUUCUAAUAUCUUAUUUUAUUCCAUGUGUAGAAGAUCAUGCGGCAUUAAUGGCACCGACAAUAUGAAAAUACGUUCUCCUCUUAGUAUUCGAUGAAACUCGAAAUAAAAACUAGUGUAUCACCAAACAUACACAUUGAAACAUAUUAAACUCUUAAUGAACUACAACAUAAUUCCAAAACCACUUGAACUUUUUACUUCUACCAUUCAACAUGACAACUACAUUUUGCCGACUAUUUUCCAUUAUGAUAUUUUACUACGGAACUAUAGUUUUUGCUAUAUAUACCAUGUGUUCUAAAAAGUAUGCAUAUACAAAAUCUUGGUCUUGUUGCUUAUUUACGUUUUACGUUUUUAUUUUUUACACUGGCCCACUUAGACUCGUAGAAUCUUAAAACUUGGCCUUUUCACCUAACCAUGGUUUACACUAUUUAGAACACUGCACCAUAUUUUAAUUGAAGUGAAGGUCCCAAGCUUUUGCUCAUUUCGUAGUUAUGUUCCCAAAAUUUUCAUUGUAUUUUACUUCUCAACCUUUUACUAAUUAGCAGACGUUGUCCAUGCUAAUGGCCAAAAAAUUCAUUGGGAGGAAAUAAAUAUAAAAUUUGAACAAAAUAUUUUCCCCAAGUUAAUAAAAUAUUUGGACAGAAACCGUCUUCAAAGAUGAGAUAUGUUACAGAGAAAAAAAAAUUUCAGGAAUAUGAGUACGAAACUGAGCAAUUAAUGACAAAUGUGGGAUGAAUAUAAAUACCCAUUUAGAAAUCCAAAAGUAGUGGAAACAAAUAUUUUUAUCUCUCUUUAAUCAUACUUUUUUCUUCUUUCCUUUUUUUUUUUUUUUUUUUUUUUUUUUUUUUUUUUUUUUUUUUUUUUUUUUUUUUUUUGUUUUUUGUUUUUUGUUUUUUGUUUUUUGUUUUUUUUUUUUGGGUCAAAUGGGACAUAAAAUCUAUGGCAAUAAAUUAAGAGCCAAUAAAGUUCUUUUGCAAAUUAGAAAAUAAGGAAAAAGAGAAAAUGUGAAAAGUUAUCCAAAAACCUAAAUCUCGGAUCACAUAAUAUAAGAACAAUAGCAAAUAAAUAAAAUUUGAUAAAUUCCAUUAGCGAUACUAUAGUUUCGUCUAGUGUUUAUCAAGUCAUUGCAAUUUAAUUUUGUUCAUUCGGAGUUUGGUUUUAAUAUGAUUUCAAUUAGAGUAACUAUUCUUCAAUUAAGAUAGUUUUAUUUGAACCUACUUAUGAAAAUUGAUGACAUGACAAUCAAUAAAUGAUAGUCAUUACAAACAAUUAUAGAUGUAGAAUAAGUAUAGUGUUUAAUUAAAUAAAUAAUGAUCAUCAUUUAUUUAUUGUCACGUUAUAGUUUUUCGUGAUUCAAGCGAUCGAUUCGGACAAUUUUAUCCGUUUAAAAUAAAAUCAAAAUGUAGUUACUCGAUUGAACAAAAUUAAAGUACAAGUACCUGAUUAUUAAAAAAAUAAAAGUAUAAUUACCGUGAAUAAUUUGUCCUUCCAUAAAUUUUUUCGAGAAAAAAACUUGGAUUUUUAUAUCGCUUCCGUAAAGAGAAAAAAAUAUUGGUAAGAAAUGAGCAGAGCAUUAUGUGGAUGAUGCGUGAUUGACACCACUACCACAUUUCAUUAUAGGUAGUAGAAAUUGCACUAUGGUCAUCAACCUAUUGCCAUUUUAGCAAGUUGAUCUAAAUCCUUGAUCUUUUAUUACCGUUGUACAACUAGUUUUCAAUUAACUGUUAAAAUCUAAAUCUUCAUGAAAUAAUUUAGUGAAAAUGUGGACAUUAUUGAUAUUGAAUGAAGAAUUGGAAUACCAAAACAUAACUGAAGUAAUAACUAGGACCAAUAAUGCAAUUUUCUAUAGGUAAAAAUGAAUAGGUUUUUGCUUUGAUUUGGAAGAAACUUGGUAGUAGUUGAAGUUAAUUCUACUUGAAUUAAAAUUUAAGUUUUUUCGAACAUUAUCUUAGUAGGAAUUGAAGUUAGUUGAAAUUAAAACAGUGUCUGCUUGGAAAUCCAAAUCAUCAAUAUCCAAUUUGAUCCCGUUCCAAUAAAAAUAGAUCCGACCCAAGUAACAACCGAAAUUUCACGGAUGAAUUUGAAAGAUUUCAUUUACAAUGACGUAAUCAAAUCAAACCUGACACAGUGGUCGUGCCUCGCUCCAAUGUCAGCUUGCAAUGUCAUCAGAUUCAUUAUUUAAAAAAAAAAAAAAAAAAAAGGUCUAACCCCAAUCUUGAAGGCUCCCAUGGUCCAGCCCCUAAAACUUUGUGAGGGAAAUAAAUCUCGAGAUGUGCUUCAGUAGGUCAGGGAACAAGAGUUGCAUGUAUAUUGCGCCGAUCCAAUUUCAUAUUUCAAGAAUCGAACCCUCACACUGCGACUGUCAACAAGGUAUGAGAUAACCUCACUCCUGUUCUUUGCACCACUAAACUAUGCCCGAAGGGCCAUCAUAUUCGUUAUUUUAUUCUAAUGAAUAUGGAUGUAGUGAUUAAUGGGUUAAGUAUCACAAGUCAUAAUGUUGGGUAACUAAUUUAGUAUUAAAAAAAUGAUUUUAGACUAACUUCUCCACUACAAGCUGGAAAGUGGCAGGAACCGGUGGCAUUUCAUCCAUUUUCUUUCUUUGGAAUUGGAACUUAAAAUAUGUGGAGGAGAGAGAAAUGUAGAAUUCAAUUAUCAAUAAAUAAGUACGUCUCAAAUUGUCCUUAGCUAGACAAUUGCGUCAUUCUCUAAUUGAAUGUUGCAAAUAAAAAAAAAAAGGUUGAACCCCAAUCUUAAAGGCCUCCACGGAUCUUGUCCUGGACUAUUGUGGAGGAGGUAAAUCGCAUGAUGUGUCUCUUAGGAGCCAGGGUGGAGAGCAUAUGGGUAGGCCAAGGCUGUUAACCUAUAUGGUAACUUUCGCUUGCAACAAAGUCAAUUCUACCUUGCGGGGAAUCGAACUCUGCACACUGUCGUGCUGAGCCCUAUCCGCCCUCCCCUUUGCCACUGGAAGAUAUGCCCUGGGGGCGAAUGUUGCAAACAAGACUUGACUAAAAGAUGGUAUUGAGGCCUGUUUGAGUUCCAUUAAUUUGAAAAAAAAUGUAUAUUAUAGAAUAAUAAUUAAUGAAGAAGGUAUAAUUAAUAAGAAUAAAUUUUUUUUAUUUUAAUUUAAGCCUCCGUUUGAUCCCAUUAAAUUCAAUUAUAUUACAUUCUAUUUUUCUCUUUCCUAUUUUCAACCACACAAUCUUUUAUAAAAUAAUAUUAUACGUAAAUCGAAAUUUUUUUCUUCUUUUUCAACUAUUUAUUUUUUUUAAAAAUACUAGUCCUUUCAUUUUCAAGUAAUGGGGCUCAAACGGGGGUUAAGUAACUUAUAUUGUAGAGAGAGAAAUACGCAUCAAUAAUUGAGUUGGAACCAAAUUGUUCUUUACUAGACAUUGGAACCCUUUUUAAUUGAGAGUUAUUGAACGCGUAAAUGACUCUGACUAAAAAGAUUAAAAAUGUAUGAAGUUUACACGUUAUUUCUGGUGGAUUGAAUUGACAAGACAUGAAAAUCUGCAAUACAAUUUCUCGGGGAAAGAUGAUGUAUAUUUGUGGAAAAUCUUUAGGACAGUUCCAUUGAGGGCAUCAAAAGUUGUACCCCUCUCACAUUGUGCGCGGACUUUGCGUCAAUAUAAAAAUUCUCAAGUGUGAUCUUUAUUUUUUUUACCGUGAGUAAUAGGUAAAUGAUUAUAUAAAAAUAUUAUGCACAUGUAACAUUGUCUAAAUUUUUAUAUGUGGUUAUUGGUGGAUUGAAAAUUGACAAGUCACACAAAGAUAAGAUACGUUAAUGAGACGAAAAAAUUGAAAACUGUCGUUACCAUUAAAAUAUAGUACAAUUAAAGAUAAGACCCUGUUUAAGCAAUAUUAUUUAAAAAAAAUAUAUUUUUUAACAGUGAUUUAAUAUAAUUUCAAUUACACAUUUUUAAUAAAAUAAUAUUACACAUAAAUCUAAAUUUUUUUGUUAUUUUUUAACCAUAUAUUUUUCUCAUCAAUAUAUUAUUUAAAAAUGUAUUUUCAUUUCAAUAAUGCGGCUCAAACAAUGGCUAAGUGUGGUAUAAAUAUUAUUACCCAUUUAGAAAUCUAAAAGUAAGGGGCACAAUUAUUUCCAUAACUCGUUAAACAUACUUUCAUAAUAUUACCCAUUAAGAAAUCCAAAAGUAGUGGACACAAUUAUUUUCAUAGCUCUUUAAUCAUACUUUUUUUUAAAAAUCAAAUUGGAUACUAUGGUGAACACUGUUAAAAUCUCCACUUGCAAUGUCACCAAAUUAGUUAGUGUAUGCAAAUGAAAAUGGACGUUGUGACUAAUUCAUAAAGUUAUGGUACCUAAUUUAGUAUUAAGAAAUCAAAAUUUUACACUAACUUCUCCACUACAAGUUGGAAAGUGGCAGGAACCACAGGCGUUUCAUCCAUAUUUCUUGCUUUGGAAUCGGAAUUGGGCCCAUUCUCUAAUAAUAGAUGGUAUUGAAUAAUUCAAUUUGUGUACCCUUCUUAAACAGAGAAAAAAAAGGAAAUCAUUUACACCACAUACAACUCCACUUUGCAAUCUGUACCCACCUUUCUUACUCUCUCAACCUCCCGAAAUCAAUCAAUCACACCACCAAAUUUCCAAAGCAAGAAAAAAUGGAAGCUGUGGUUAUUGACAGUGUAAAAUCCAUGCUGGAGAAUUUGUUUGCAUUUGUCACCGGAGAACUCAAACUUGUGCGGGAUUUCGAGGAUGAAUUUGCAAAUCUGAAAAAAUAUUUGGAAUGGAUCAACCAAGUCUUGGAAGAUGCUGAGAGGCGCGAAAUCACCGACAAUGCUGUUAAAAGCUGGCUCAAGGACCUCGAGGGUGCUGCAUAUGAUGCCGACAAUGUUUUGGACGAGAUCAAAUAUGAAGAGUUGAUUCCUACAAUCGAGACCCAGCGCACGAAAAAACGAAAAUGGAGCACUUUGACAUUUCAACGGGAGAUGGCUCACAAGAUCAAGGACAUAAAUGCCAACUUUGAAAAGAUAAACAACAAAGCUGAUAGACUUGGCCUCAAUAGAGAUUUGAAUGCUUAUCCUCUGGCACAGCCUCAGGCCAUUCACACUACCAGCUUCACUUUUGAUCCAAUUGUCAUUGGAAGAGAAGUUGUUGAAUCAGAAAUUCUGGAGACGAUAACCAGCUCGAACAAUAAUGUCCUUUCAGUCCUUCCCAUAGUCGGAAUGGGAGGGCUUGGCAAGACGACAUUAGCACGAAAGAUCUACAAUCACCAUCGUACAGAAACCCAUUUCAACAAAACGAUUUGGGUUUGUGUAUCAGAAAAUUUUGAUCAGAUGACGCUUUUUAAAAGGAUCCUGGAAAUAUUAUUGAAAGAAAAAUCUGAUGGAGAUAGCAUGGAAGCUGUUAUUCAAAAGAUUGCCGAGAAAUUAAAAAAUAAAAGAUAGAUGCUUGUUCUCGAUGAUUUAUGGAAUGAAGAAGAAGGUGUUUGGAAUGCUUUCAAAAAUACAUUGGCGGGAGUUAGCACCAGUAAAGGAAGUUUCAUUAUCGUCACCACACGCAAGGAAAAGGUGGUAUCUAUCGUGAACACUUGCGAUCAUCCAUGUUGCUUGAGGUCAUUGACAGAAGGUGAUUGCUGGUCCAUAAUCAGAACAAUGGCAUUUCAAGAUAAAGAAGUACCAAAACAAUUUGCGAUUACAGGAUCGGAGAUUGCUCGCAAAUGUAGAGGCUUACCUCUAGCAGCAAAUGUGAUUGGAAGAGUUUUGCAAGGAAAGGAAAUAGAAGAGUGGGAUUCAGUUCUGCAGUCUGGGCUUUCAAAUCUUGAAGAGGGGGAGAAGGGUGUGUUCCAAGUCUUAAAGGUGAGCUAUGAUCGCUUACCUUCUUCAUCACUGAAAAAAUGUUUUGCCUAUUGUUCAAUAUUUAUCAAGGAUUCAGUCAUGGAUAGAGAAGACUUAAUCCAGCUCUGGAUGGCGGAAGGAUUUCUUCCGAAUGAUAAAAAUGGUGAGAUGGAAUCUGUAGGCAAUAAAUAUUUUAAUAUUUUGUUGCAAAAUUUCUUCUUCCAAGAGCCAGAAAAGGACAAGUAUGGCAAUAUCAAAAGCUGCAAGAUGCACGAUCUUGUCCAUGAUCUUGCAUGUUUAGUUUCAAAAUCAGAAAGUUUCAUGAACAUGGAGGGUCGCACUGUCGAUGACAUUCUUCAAGUUAGACACCUUGCAAUGGAAUCAAUUGGAGAGGAAAUAGUCAAGGACAUAAAAGAGAGAGCAAGUUAUUUCCGCACCUUGUUCUUAAGAGGCAGCGUACCAGAUGGAAUUUUGCCAGACUUCAAGCAUUUGCAUUCUCUAAAGCUAUGUGAUGCAAAUAUUAAAGAAUUGCCAACAUCAAUUGGCACGUUGAAACAUUUGAGAUAUCUUUAUGUGUCCGAAAAUCAUCUUCUCACUACUCUGCCAGAAUCUAUCUGCAAGCUCUACAAUUUGCAAACUUUGAGGAUUCUACGUUGCUUAAGUUUUCUCAAUCUUCCUAGAGAUAUGCGCUUCUUGAUUCGUCUAAGGCAUCUCUGUUUUGAUAAGGUUUGCCGUGUUUUCAAGAUGCCUCCUAAAGUCGGAAGUUUAUCUUGCCUUCAAACGUUACCAUUAUUUUGUGCGAGUGACAAGGAAGGUUGUCGAAUCGAUGAGCUGGGAAAGCUGAAGAAAUUAAAGGGCAAACUACAAAUACAGAAUCUGGAAUUGGUGAGUUGCAAAACAGAAGCGGAGCAUGCAGAUAUGGCUGGAAAGCUAAACAUUUAUAAUUUUAGCUUUUAUUGGAAUUGUUCAACGGAUUCCAAUGAUGAGAGUCAGUCUACGAAUUCCAUAGAAAGUAACGUCAAUGAUGAGAGUGUACUUGAAGGGCUGCAACCUCAUGAAAAGCUAAAAUGCUUAACAAUUGAUGGAUUCCGAGGUAAAAAAUUUCCAUUAUGGACUAGAAAUAUGAGAAUAUAUAAAGGCAAUUCUGGCCUUCCGGUGAUAUUUGAUAAAUUGAUCAAGAUCGAAAUUAUAAGUUGUGGCAAUUGCGAAGAAAUCCCAGUGCUCGGCCACCUACCACUCCUCAAGUAUCUACUUAUCCAGGAUCUGGGUAACGUAACAUUGAUAAGUUCAUCAUUCUAUGGAGAGAGUGAUUGUACCACAAAUAGCAGCAACGAUGGCCAAGAGACAAGAGAAUCAUUCCCGUCACUCAAAAGUCUCGUAAUAAUGGAAUUGCCGAACCUAAUAAAUUGGGAAGAAGCACAAAUGAGCGGAACACAGGUAUUUCCUUGCCUUGAAUAUUUGGAUAUACUUUUUUGUGACAAGUUAGCUCAUGUUCCCCAUUUACGGGGCAGCGGAGCUUCUCUUAAAAAGAUGAAAAUUGAGAAUUGUCUUAAAUUGAGGAAAUUACCCUAUGACCUUGGUAGCCUCCAGUCUCUUGAGACAUUGGAAAUAGAAUCAUGUGGAAAUCUGAAAUCAAUUUCAUAUCAAAGUGGACAAAAAGGCCUCCUUUCCCUUCAGAAGUUGGAAAUUCGUAAUUGCCUCUUUUAAUUUUUAUAGAUAUGUCACAACUUUUCCCAAUUUAUUUCGGUAUAAUGGUGUAAGAUCACCGCUUGCAAUGUCAUCAAAUUAGUUUGUUGAUACAAAUGGGAUGAGAUGUAGUGAUUAAUGAUGUGUAAAUAUCAAUAUCAAUAAUUUAAAAUCAUACUGUGUGAGUGUAAUUUAUUAGGUAGAUAGAAAUACAAAUUAAAUAAUUGAGUUGGAAAUCAAAUGGUCUUUAGUGAGACAUUGGGACCCUUUCUACUUGGAAGUUAGUGCACGAGUAAAUUCGAAAACAAAAAUGAGCAAAAUUGAAAACUUUCAUUACAAUAAAAAUAUAAUGCAAUUAACUAUAAAUGUGGUGUAUAUAUAAUCAUCCAUUAAAAAAUUUAGAAGUAUUGUACAAUUAUUUAAAUAACUCUUUAACUGUACUUUUAUAUUAUCAUCCAUUAAGAAAUCCAAAAGCAGUGGACACAAUUAUUUUCAUGUACGUCUCUACGGACUUUAUGUGUGGAACACUGCCAUAAUCUCACUUCACUUCCUGAAAUGAGUGGGAUGGGUUCUCUACAGUCUCUAGUUGUGGGUGGAUGUAAAAAUAUCACUUCAUUUCCUGAAAUGAGUGGGAUGAAAUCUCUACAGGAACUAUGUUUAAAGUCAUGCACUUCCUUUCCAGAAUUGAGUAGGAUGGGAUGCCUUAACAGCUUAAUUGAAUUGUCCAUUGGGUUCUUCCCAAAUUCAAUGGAAUUACAUUCAUUUCAAUCUUUUAUCAACGGCAUCAAACGCAUGAAAUCCCUUGAAAGAGUAGUCUUAUAUGGUUCGGGAGAUUGGGUCUCUCAACUAGAUCAGCUUCAACAUCUCAGUUCCCUAAAAGAAUUGUUAAUAUAUGAAUUUGAAAUGGAAGCCUUGCCUGAUUGGAUUGGAAAUUUGUCAUCUCUUGAAAGUCUAGGAGUACGGUACUGUGGAGAGCUUAAGUACCUGCCCUCUAAAGAAGUUAUGCAACGGCUCACCAAAUUAGAACUAUUAAAUAUUUGGUUUUGUCCGAUAUUGGAGGAGAGAUGCAGGGUAAAAAGCGGUCCUGAUUCUGAGUGGCCAAAAAUUUCUCAUAUUCCCCAUCUGAUAAUAAAAGAUCUGUGAAGUUUGGUGUUCCUGUAAGUAUAUUUAAAGUUUGAAUAUUGACUUUAUUGUUUAUUAAUUUUGGUUAGUGUAUGUUCUAAAUAUUGCUACAGGGUGGUUUUAAUUGAUUUCUGUUACUAAUAGAUAAAAAGAGUUUGCAUGAGGUUGUCCUUUAAUUUUGUCAAAUAACAAAGAUUUCUCGAUUAAAUGUUUACCAAAGUAUUCAGUUAAAUGACUUUAUUUUUCAAUUAAUUAUAUUAUCCUUUCUUAAGUUAGCUAGUGUGCUAAAAUAGUUAUAGUUAUGAAUUGCUUCGAGUGCCUUAUGGAAUUUGUAUAAAUUUUAUUAGGUUGUGAUGAAGAAGAGCAUCCACCCUCAACAACUUGAUACUCAUUUAUUGUCCUAUCAAUUCCUAAUUCUAUUUGGAUCUUCGUCAACUUUACUAUUGUAAGUUUUCUUAUCAUUACAUAAAUAUUAGAACGAUUUGAACUAUCUUCACAUGAUUUCAUAUUAACUUCUCCACAGACAUGGGCAUUUCAUAGACAUUUUUCUUGUUUUGGAAUUGGAAUUGGAAUUGGAAUUUGAAUUAUGAGGCAUAUGAUUUAGUCGGUAGAAAGAGAAAUGUAGAAUUCAAUUAUCAAUAAAUAAGUAGGUAUGAAUUGUCCUUAGUUAGAAAUUAAGUUGACAUCUUCGAUUGCUCAAUACAAUUUAAAUAUUGGGUUUUGACUACUAAACUUUUCAAAAUGUUGGAGUUACUCACUGAAAUCUUUGCAGCAUUUUGGCACCGACAAUCUGAAAAUAUGUUAUCUUUUAAGUAUUCUGUGAAACUCAAAACAUAAACUAGUACGAAAAAGCAAGAAAAUUUUAAAAUCUUCUUUGCAAUUAAAAUACGGUGCAAUUAAUGAUAAAUGUGGGCAAGUUUAUGUUUGGUGGGAUUAAAAUUUGAUUUUGAGAAGAAUUUGAUAAAAAUUGAAGAAAUGUGUGAUAGAAAAGUUAUAUAACCCAUGAAAUAUGUAUUUAAUAUUGAAUGUGAACUUUAAUUAGUUUAAAAUUUAAAUUUUAAGCAAGUAGGUUGUAAAAAGACUUUGACUAAAGGAUUGAUCAAUAAUUAAGUGUACCUUUCUUAAGCAGAGGAAAACAAUCAUUUACACCACAAACUCCUCGAAUUUGCAAGCUCUUGUUCCCUGACCUGUUGGAGCACAUCCCGCGAUUUACCUCCCUCACGAUGCUCUAGGAGCGGGGCAGUGGGGACCCUCAAGGUUGGGGUUCAACCUUUAAUCAAUCACACAUACUAAAUUUCCAAAGUGAGAAAAAAUGAAAGCUGUGGCUAUUGACGGUGUAAAAACCAUACUUCAGAAUUUGUUUCCGGUAGCUGUUGAAGAAUUCAAACUCUUGCGGGGCUUUGAGAAAGAAUUUGAAAAUUUGAAAAACUAUUUCGAAAAGAUCUGCGAAGUUUUGGACGAUGCUAAGAAGCGCGAAAUCACUGAGAAGGCUAUUGAAAGCUGGCUUAAAGGCCUCAAAGAUGCUGCCUAUGAUGCCGACAACGUUUUGGACGAGAUCAAAUAUAAAGAUUUACGUCGUACAAUAGAGACAGAGGACAAAAUUGGGUGCUUAAACUUUCCUUUCAUUAUGACAUUUCUGCAAAAGAUGGCGCACAAAAUCACUUUUCAUUGGAAGAUGUCACACAAGAUCAAGAGCAUAAAUGAAAAUUUCAAGAGGAUAAACAACGAAGCUGAUAGCCUUGGUCUCAACAGAGUUAUGGAUCAUCCUUGUUCAAAGCCUCUGGUCAUGGAAACUAACAGCUUCACAGUUGAUCCAAUUGUCAUUGGAAGACAAAGUGAUGAAUCAAAAAUUCUGGAAAUGAUAACCAGCUCGAUCAAUAAUGUCCUUUCAGUCCUUUCCAUAGUCGGAAUGGGAGGGCUUGGUAAGACGACUUUGGCAUGCAAGAUCUUCGAAAACCAUCGUACAGGAAACCAUUUCGACAAAACGAUUUGGGUUUGUGUAUUAGAAAAUUUUGAUCAGCUGACGCUUUGCAAAAGGAUCCUGGAAUUAUUAUUGAUCGAAAAAUUUGAUGGGGGUUAGCAAGGAAGCUGUUGUUCAAAAGUGUAGCGGAAAUCCCUCUAUAAAUCUUGAUUCCGGGCUCAGAAAACAAUGAAACGAACACCGAUUUACCUCGACUUAACCCGAGACUUUCGCCUUCACUUUGGACUGCUCUCUUUCUCUCUAACCCCACAAAGGAGAAUGGUGGUGGAAUUAGCAAUCCACAAAAGUAUGAAGAGGAAGAAGAAAAUAUCACAAUGGUUGAAUCUCACUCACAACCUCACAUGGCUCCCUCUCUCUCGGUUGCCUCUCUUCUCUCAACUCUCCUCUCCAUUGCUACAACACACACACACCCCAAAAAUGGCUGGGAGAUAAAUAAAUAUUUUUAGGUUAGUUUAGGUCACUCUAAUUGGGCCUAGGGUUUACUAAGUGGGCUACUAAUUAACCUAAACUAAUGAGCCAAUAUUCAACUCCAUAUUAGUCACUAAAUGGUCCAACUAACCAAAUAAUCAUCCAUCCCAAACCCGAACCAUCCAAAAGUGUAGUUCAUCUCCGAGCCGAGCCAAGUCCAUGGUGUCGAUAAAUAAUCCGACAACUGUUUUAAAUCAUCGUCCGGAUUUUUGGGUAUAAAAAAACCCAACAAUCUCCACCUUAAUGCCCAAUAAUCUGCAAGCAACCAAAACACACAGUUUAUACUUGCACAAUCAAGGUAAUCCAAUAAAAUUGGAGUCACAUACCUUACCUCGUGUUUCGAACCGAAACACAUAUCAUACUUACUCCAUGUACUCACCAGGGCUAAGGUCAAGAACACCCAAAUAGAAACAAGUAUUCACAUUGAACAAACAAUCAUGCGAUGAAGAUAUAUAGGAUAACACACACAGAUCUUUUCAAAACCACAUUCACACAGAACCACAGAUUAACACCUAGUUAAUCAACACAUGGUCAUGCACAUAUGCAACAAAUGUAUAAAUGACCCUAAGAAAAGAUCUUACCACACUUAUCCUAUCCCAUUCCGUGUUGCUUACACCUCGAGAACACAUAUCUCCUCUCAUCGCCCACAAUGCUCACUAAACCAAUUACUUAACUCAUAUCUAACUGGAAAGUUACAAUAGAUCCCAAGCUCUCGGGAUAAUCCUCUAUCACCGCAUCACUUCUCCCAACCUACGUGGAUAAUGGGACUCCACCUUACAGAAGUGAUAGAAGUGCCUCUCUCGCACUCCACCUGUACAGGGUCUCUUUCACAGAUAAAGGAUUCUACACACAUCUCCACUCGUGAUCCAAAUGUCACACUCCACAUUCCCAGGUACAAAUCACCAUGUAUCCCUAGAUAUCUAUACUCCACCUUACCAAAAGACAUCCAACUCACUGCUAAUGCAUCACAAACUCAUUGCGGCAAAACAACACCUUUCGGUGACCACAAAUGUUACUCCAAUUACCAAAGCUCCAAAAAAUCCACAAAGAAAAUGGCGAAGGUGGCACUCACAAAGAAAAAUCGAAGAAAGAGUCGGUUACUUCACAACACUCACAAAGAAGGCUCACAAAGAGGAAGAAUAUAACCCUAACAUGGCUGCCUUACAUAAUCUCACAAACCACAUAGGCUCACAAAGAUAAAGGAGAGAAAUGGCUGCCCAACUUUCUUCUCACUACCACACUCUCUCACCACUCAUAGAGCAAAUAGAGUACGCCACAAAACUUAACCCACUAUUCAUGUAAACAUAUUACACAAAGUAAUAUGUCACUCUUAUUCAUGCAAUUACACACAUCAAACAUAUUGAAAGUAUAACAUCAACAUUUCAACAGAAUCAAAUGAUCACAUACAUGCAGAAAGGAUUAUACACAGAUGCACAUGCAGUAACUAGGUUUAUUCUCAAUAAAUCUCACUAGGAUCACUACUCGAUCCUAAAGUCAUAUUCACCUCGUCUCUAUCCUCAUCUUUCCUUUUAUUAUCAUCUUAGGACAAUCUCUUUCAACUAUGCCCAAAUUUUAUCACAGUUAAAACAUAUUUUAUUUUUCGCACUUGUCUUAGACCUAUACAUGUCAAUAAUACCAAAUAAUGACCACAAGUAAAGUACUGACACAUAAUUCACACAAAAUAGUUAAGUAAUUUUUCCUAAGGUCACAUGCAAUUCUAUCGGUAUAGAAAAAUUGGUGACAAAUUCACAUGGAAUUUAAGGCAAUUAAUUAACAUGUAAUUCCUAGGUCUAGCAACAAGCAAUGGUUACCCCAAACCUAACGUUACCCCACACGAUGACUUUCAAUGCGAAAAAAUAAAUAAUUAACCUAAACCCCAAACCUAACGUCACCCCAUACGAUGACUUCCAAUGCCAAAAAAUAAAUAAUUAACCUACACAUUUAUUUUAACUACAAUAAUAAAAAGCAAAGAGAUACCGAGCGGACCACGUCUGAAGGUCCGUAAAUAUCGAGAGACGUGAAUUGACCACUUUAGAAUCAUCACUGUUUGUCCUAAAGUCACCAAUAAUUACAGCAACACAAAAACAGCACCCGGCACCUGAAUGUCCAAGGGCAAAAUCGUUCACCUUUCACUGCAUUGCUCAAAACUGAAAUUCGACAACACCGUAGAGUCCGUAUCGUCACUAGCAGCAUUCUGUCUGAAGACAGCAUCCCCAGAUUCCUACUCACGCCUCGCUGGAGUUCCCACGCGCCGGAGCCAGUCGGCGACGCGCUGGUGACGCCCCGACCUUUCUGAACCGUCUCCAGCUGUAAAGUCCAAUGGUGGUGUCCGUUUUGCCAAACUCCUUUUGGUUUCACCAAAAAACGCCAAAACAGAUUCGGCAGAAAUUUGAAAAAAUCCCAGAAAACUGUCUAGUUUUUCUGCCUGUUUUUCUGUCCGAUUUCUAGUCAAUUCCAACCCAUUUUUCAGCUCCAAAAAUCACAGAUUUAUCAAUAACACAAGCUCUAAUACCGUUUGUAGCGGAAAUCCCUCUAUAAAUCUUGAUCCCGGGCUCAUAAAACAAUCAAACGAACACCGAUUUACCUUGGCUCGACCCGAGACUUUCGCCUUCACUUUGGACUACUCUCUCUCUCUCUAACCCCACAAAGGAGAAGGGUGGUGGUGUUAGAAAUCCACAAAGAUAUGAAGAGGAAGAAGAAUAUAUCACACUGGUUGAAUCUCACUCACAACCUCACAUGGCUUCCCUUUCUCUUGAUUGCCUCUCUUCUCUCAACUCUCCUCUCCAUUGCUACAACACACACACACACACACCAAAAACGGCUGGGAGAUAAGUACAUAUAUAUAGGUUAGUUUAGAUCACUCUAAUUGGGUAUAGGGUUCUCCAAGUGGGCUACCAAUUAACCUAAACUAAUGAGCCAAUAUUCAACUCUAUAUUAAUCACUAAAUGGUCCAACUAACCAAAUAAUCAUCCAGCCCAAACCCGAACCAUCCAAAAGUAUAGUUCAUCUUUGAGCCGAGCUAAGUCCAUGGUGUCGAUAAAUAAUCCGACAACUGCUUUAAAUCAUCGCCCGGAUUAUUGGGAAUCAAAAAAUCCAACAAAAAGAUUGCAGAAAAAUUAAAAGACAAAAGAUACUUGCUUGUUCUCGAUGAUUUAUGGAAUGAAGAAACAAAAGAUUGGGAUGAAUUCAAAAAAAACACUAGUGGGAGCUAGCUUCAGAAAUGGAAAUUUCAUUAUCGUCACCACACGUAAGGAAAAGGUGGCAUCUAUUGUGAACACUUGCGAUCAUCCAUGUUGCUUGAGGUCAUUGACAGAAGGCGAUUGCUGGUCGAUAACCAGAACAAUGGCAUUUCAAGAUAAAGAAGUACCAGAACAAUUUGCGAUCACUGGAUUGGAGAUUGCCCGCAAAUGUAGAGGUUUACCUCUAUCAGCAAAUGUGAUUGGAAGAGUUUUGCAAGGAAAGGAAAUAGAAGAGUGGGAUUCAGUUCUACAAUAUGAGCUUUCAAAUCUUGAAGAGGGUGAGAAGGGUGUGUUGCAAGUCUUAAAGGUAAGUUACGAUCGCUUACCUUCUUCAUCACGGAAAAAAUGUUUUGCCUAUUGUUCAAUAUUUAUCAAGGAUUCGGUCAUGGAUAGAGAACGCUUAAUCCAGCUCUGGAUGGUAGAAAGAUUUCUUCCGAAAGAUAAAAAAAGUGAGAUGGAGACUACGGGCAAUAAAUUUUUUAAUAUUUUGUUGUAAAACUACUUCUUCCAAGAGCCUAUGAAGGACCAGUAUGGCAAUAUCAUAAGCUACAAGAUGCACGAUCUUGUCUAUGAUCUUGCAUGUUCAGUUUCGAAAUCAGAAAGUUUCAUGAAUAUGGAGGGUCGCACUGCUGAUGACAUUCUUCAAGUUAGACACCUUGCAAUAGAAUCAAUUGAAGAGGAAA